GUCCAUCCAAAACUAUACAACAAUGCCGGGACUGAAGAAGUUGGCAGGUGACAAAGUCGUUGUGUGUCAUAAGCAGAACUAUCCCUAUGCUGUGUUUUUCUGCCAUGCAAUAAAACAUACAGCAGCUUAUGCUCUCUCCCUGAAAGGCGAUGAUGGGGAGAAGGUUAAAGCAGUAACCAUCUGCCAUCUAGACACAUCAGAAUGGGACCCAGAGCAUAUGUCCUUCCAAAUCGUCAACGUUAAGCCCGGAACCAUUCCCAUCUGCCAUUUCAUUUCCACUGAUGCUAUUGCCUGGGUUCCGAACCACAAAUCUGCAUGAUCAUCACUUAGCACUGUACGUAUAAUUAUCUCCUUACUUAUUUCUGCCUCUUCAUCAUGUGGUGUAAGAUAUAUGAUGAGAUGAAGUUUUUGGGAUUAGUGGUUGGGUUGCCUGAAAAACACAGAUUACAGAAACUGCUUGAAAUUAACCCGAUCAUGUUUUCUCUUGUAACUAUAUAGACUUCAACUUGUACUCAUAAUAAAGCAUGCUAUAUUUAUGAAGAGAUAUUAAUCUAUAUAUAUUUUUUAUAUAUGCUUUGGCUUUGUGGUUCUACCCAAUGUUUGAGUGUUGAAUUGUUACGUUGGAAUAGGCUGCUAAUGCAUGUAGUUAGAGAAGCCUUCAUUUAUAUCAAAGUCCUCAAACUAUCAAGAACUAAUGUAUCCAGAAACAUAUACCAAGACGCAAAACAACAUAUUUUCCAUGCUCUGUCUGUAACACCAAAGCAAACUUCCUUGAUCACAAAAGGAUCAAAUUCCAGUACUAAUCUAAUCCAUCAUGUAAAGCAUACAAGUGCCUCCCUAAAUACUAUACUCUUUUUGUUAUUUCCUACUAUACUAUUUAAGUUUGCAUACUCAUAUAGCAUAUGCAAACACAAUUAGAAAUUCUACAAGAUACAAACAACCCCCUCAACUUUGACCAGUGUGUCAAUUUAGUUCUUGAAAUUUAGAUUACAAAGCAAAAUCAAAUCAUACCAUGAAACACAAGCGACUUAAACCUCCAGGCAAAUAGAUAUUAUGAACAUAUAUAGCAAUUUAUAGAACAAUACAUUAAUCCAGAAGAAAUAUUAUGAAAUGAAAAGAAUAAAAAGUAGAAAAACACAAGGAAAGGAAUUUGCACCUGCUCACUUGCAGAUUGCUUUCUCCGGCCGUAGAUGUAACAGAAAUUUUCUCUUAAUAAUACCACAAUGAUCGGGUAAUUGUAAGAACAAGUUGAUUUAAAAUUCCUUGACCCAAAAAAAAAAAAAGUUGAUUUAAAAUUCAGGUCAACCCAUAGAUUUCUCCCCUUUUUCUUCUUCAUCUCGUGGGGCUUGUCUUCUUCUUGAGGAUUGUAUAGGCCAAGGAAAUGCUUUGAGUUAGUUUUUACGCUUUUGCGUUUUGGGCCUUGGAAGUUGGGACCCAAACCAACUUCACAAAAAGAAAACGCUCAGACUAUAAUGAAUGGAAAGUUAUAAGGGGUAAGUUAUAAGGGGUUCACUUUAUAGCCAUCAGAUCAAUCCAAGGGCUGGGGAGAAUUGAGAUAAAGUUUUAAAAUCGGGUAGGUGAGGAACCCAAACCCGAAUUGAAUAUCCAGCACGUCCGAAAAAGAAGAAGAAGAGGCAAGCACGUCCGAAAAAGAAGAAGAAGAGGCAAGUUCGAAGUUUGAACAGAAAAAACUCAUCUCUUUAAAACCCAUAGCUCUGAGAAACGGUUGAAGGCAACGGUUAACGACGGUUAAAGGCAACGGUUGAAGCCACUCCGUUCUCCAGACCCUGAAAAAGUAUUUAUUUUGAGUAGAAGGGGCAAAGGUGUGGAUUCCGAAACAGUGAAGGGGCGAAGCAGUGGAAGGGGGAGGAGAGAAGCCGUAUUCGUUGGAAGUGGUAGGUUCCAUUUGUGGAGCAAAGCAACACAAAGACCCCGCACAGACACCUUGCGAUUGUUCAAUAACCAGCAUUUGGUGAGUAAUUUAUGGAAUUUGAGUUUAGGGUUAGAGUAAUGGUUUUCCCCAAUUUGUACCAUCAAUUUUGUUGGAUUUGGCAUCUCUUCUUUGUGCUUCAGUUGCAUGUUAAUUUUUGCUUGGGUAUAUGUUAAAAAAAGAAUGAAAAUCAAGUCAAUAACAAGUGAAUAACAUGUCAAUAAUGAUAUGAAUAAGAUAAUGGUGUUGAAUUGGAGGAGGCCCUCAAAACAUUCCACAUUUGAAGCAGUGCAUAGUGCAGAUUAUCUCUCUGGCGCUAGAAUAUAUAUAUAUUUUGAAAUAAAUAUGAUUUCCUUUGUUACUAAAUUUGCCUGAGAAACAUGAGAACAGAUAAUAAUAAACUCAUGAAUAGAAGUGCAAAGCAUUUGAUGAGUAAUUUAUGGAAUUUGAGUUUAGGGUUAGAGUAACGGUUUUUCCCAAUUUGUACCAUCAAUGUUGUUGGAUUUGGCAUCUCUUCUUUGUGCUUCAAUUGCAUGUUAAUUUUUACUUGGGUAUAUGUUAAAAAACAAAUAAAAAUCAAGUCAAUCACAUGUCAAUAACAUCUCAAUAACAUGUUAGUAAUGAUAUGAAUAAGAUAUAAUGGUGUUGAAUUGGAGGAGGCCCUCAAAACCUUCCACAUUUGAAGCAGUGCAGAGUACCUCUCUGGCACUAGAAUUUAUAUAUUUUUUUAAAUAAAUAUUAUUUCAUUUGUUACUAAAUUUGCCUAUGAGAAAUGAGAACAGAUAAUAAUAAACUCAUGAAUAAAAGUGCAAAGCAUUUGAAAUAAAGGUUGAUCUAUGACAAUUGUGGCUGACAGAAGAAAAAGCUAGAAAGAAAGAAGGAUGUGGCAAUUGCUUAGCAAGCAGAUAGCAGAGUAGAUGCUUUGCUUUGCUUCCUUCCACUAUAUUAUUUAUUUAUUUAUUUUGUGUUGUGUAUGAGAUGACAAUAAUUGUCAUGUGUGUGAAGUGCAGAACUUGCCUAGAUUGCACUCACACUCACUCAUGCAUCAACCAUUGAUUCGAAUUUGGAUCCAUGAAUAAAACACAUGAAAUUGUUUGUAAUUCACAUAAUCAUUGCAUUAACAGGUAUUUGCACAAAAUUUUUCAUAUUGCUUUGAUGAUGUUAAAGCCUGUGAUCAGUAAUCCCUAUGCUUAUGUACUUUGUAAAAUUUGUAAUGUGCCUGGUUGACUAGUUGUGUAAAUACCAAUGUGAUUGUGCAAAUACGUGGUAGUAUAUGUGUUCAUGUUAUUUCAUCUUGUAUUUCAGGAAAUGGGAUCCAAUGUGGAGCUGGUAUGGCCAGAGUCAGAGGCAUAUUCGUCACGGGUGAACAACUGCUCACAUGCAAAUUCAUCUCUAGCUGCAAUUCGAGCGAAGUUGAGUGCGGAACAAUUAGAACAAUUCAAGACAUCAUGCUUUGGCCAUCUUCUGAAUAUAGAUAAGAUUCAGUUUAGCGGGCAGAUUGUGCAUGGGGUUGUGUUGCGUAGAGUAGCGGGGCAGGGUGUGAAAGACUUGGAUGGACUGAGUUUCUUAAUAGGGUGUGACGUUGCUCAGUUCACUCGUCAAGAUUUCUGUUUGAUCACAGGGCUUCGUUUUGGGGAAGUGCCUGAAGUUUCCAGUGGAGAGAGUGAUGAAAUUAGACUUCAGAAAAGAUAUUUUAUAGACGAAUGAAUUACAUGCAAUGCUUUAGAAUAAACAUUUUUGAGGUGCACAGAGGAAGAUGACAUCUACAAGCUAGCUCUUGUUUACUUUGCUGAGUUAGUGGUUUUGGGAAGGGACAAACAUUUGAACAUCAAUCUAAAUUACCUGACCCUUGUAGAGGACUUAGAUGCGUUCAACAGGUAUCCGUGGGGUUCGGUGUCCUUUGACAAAACCAAAGACAGUCUAUUUUCUGCACCAACAAAGUAUGUGAAAAGCUUUGAAAAUGAAGAGGGAAGAGGGAAGGGGAAAAGUAAGGUAACAGGAACAAGCCGGAGAAAUGAAAAGGGCAAGAAGGAUAAGCAUGGUGAAGUGCAAAGGGGUGGUUGGAGUUUUAAAGGUUUCACGUAUGCUUUCCAGGUACAUGGUAAUAAUGUUCAUGUCAGUUAUGUCUUGUUUUUCUUUAAAACUUAAAUAAUGACUUUUGUCCUGUGAAUUGUGUAGAUUUGGGUAUAUGAAUUAAUUGCUAGAAUGGCAGACCUGAAUUACUGCAAGGUUGUUGAUCCGACAGCUGUCCCGCGUAUUUUGCGAUGGAGAACUACUACGUCUGUUCCUGAGAUGAGAAAGUUGAACAAUUAUUUUUUCCAGAGCAAAGAGGUUUGGUUUGCAGCCCUUAGAACUAUUUAUAAGAUUUAAUGAAAUUAUGAAGUAGAAUGAUUGAAUAUGACUCUUGUCUGUAUUCUGAAACAGUCAGUUCAGUUGCGGGCGCUAUGUCCGAGUGAAGAGGAAAUGAGACAACCAUAUUGGAGUUGGCCACAGGAUCGCCCUGCUGUUGUCUCGGCAGAGUCAAUUCCUUCUUCAUGUGCUGACCUUGAUGAGUUGAACAAGGUGGUAAGCUUGUUGAGGUCCGAGUUGUUUCAAGUAAAGUUGGAAAAAGACGUCCUUGAGUUAAAGGUCAUACGGAUGGAAAAACUUUUGGACCACUGUUUAGGUCCUCAAUUUGAGCAGGAAGUAAGGAGGGACCUAGCUUUACUGAAAGAGAGGACGAAUCUUUGUGUCAUCUCACAUCUAUUUAAGGGAAGUGAGGAAAUGGAUGACAUUCAAUGGGAUGAAGGGCCAAGUAACAGAAAUGAGGGAGAGGAAAAGGAAGAUGAAGGGAUUGAAGGGGGUGAAGGGCCAAGUAAUAGAAUUGAGGGAGAGGAAAAGGAAGAGGAGGGGAUUGAAGGGGGUGAAGUGCAAGGAAAACCAAGUGAGGUAGAGGAAGCUCAAAGGAAAAGAAGUGAAGGAGAGCAAGUGAAAAUAAAAAGCAGUAAGGGAGAGAAAACGCAAAGAAAGAGCAGUGAGGGAGAGGAAGUGAAAAGAAAAAGCAGUAAGGGAGAGGAACUGCAAAGGAAAAGCAGUGAGGGAGAUGAUCCGCAAAGAAAAAGAAGGGAGGGCAAGGAAGUGAAAAGACAAAGAAGUGAGGAAAAGGAAGUGUAAAGAAACCAAUGUGAGAAAGAAGAUAAUGAAGUUAUGUUGCUUGGCGAUGACAUUGGCGAGAGCACAGAGGGGACAAAGGUUGAGUUUAGUCUCGGGGACAUUGAUUUGGAUCAACCUACAGCUGUGCUAUCUCAGUUGAAUGUUUGGUUGAAUGAUAAAGGUAAAGCUGUGGAACAAGGGGUCCAAUUACGGAAGAGGAAGAUGAUCAUUCCUAUGUGGAAGAUCAUUGAAGGUAGUGAAUUGGUUUCAAAAACUUUGGCAGAGACAACCGGACUUCAGAUGUUAGACCCAACGAAGGCGAUUCUGUAUGAUGAUCUGGUGAAAUUGCUGAAACUUUGUUGGGAAUGGCGCCAUAACCCAAAGUAAGUCCCUUGUUUUUUGAGAUAAAAGGCAUGAGUGUAUAUAUUUUUUAAUUGUUGUGUUCUAAAACUUUUUUAUAUUCAUAGUUUGGUGAUGCAAUUUGGCAACAUGGAAGCUGAGAUUGAAUUCUUCGCUUCCCUCAUCAAAGCUGAUGGUUGGCUGAAAGGAGAUGUAAGUUUAAUUGAUUAUGCAUUUGUUUUAAUGUACAUAGAUUAUGAGAUUGACAAGAAAAACAUGUUGCAGCACAUUGAUUUGGGGUUGUAUCUCAUCCGGAAGCGACAACAAGAGUUGGAGGAAGUAGAAAUAUCGGACUGGACAAUGACCGAUGUAUUUUUUAUGGUAUGUCAUGGGCCUUGACCAAGUGCUGUUAAUAAUUACAAAUUAUCCAUACUUGUUUUGUGGAGGUGUUUAACCAUUGAUUGUUUUCUAUUUCACAGAAUCACAUUCGUACUUGCUUUGCGGAUAAUAAAAGAAAAAAAGAGCAGGUUUGGUGGAAAAUUAGAAACAGUUUACUGAACGUUGUAAAUGGCAAGGUUCCGGCGUGUGAGAUGGAUUGGCAGAACAUAUAUAAGGUGUAUGCCCCUUGUAUGUUGACGAAGUACAAGCAUUGGGUGGCUGUAAUGAUUGAUCUAGUUUUGUGUGAAAUCCAAGUGUACGAUUCAAAGGUUUCACUUAUUCCAGAUGAGAUCUUAAAGGAAGAACUCGCCCCGCUUUCAAUUACGAUUCCAAAUCUUCUCAACACCAUCGACUUUUAUGAAGAAGGUGUUUACGUAAACAAUUGCAGCCGAGAUUGGUGGUGUCCGUGGCCAAUAGAGCGUGUGGAUGUUCCACAACAGUCUAAUCAGUAAGCACAACUUUUUAUUUAAUUUUAUUACUUUAAAUUGUCAAUUACGUUAGAAUGUCAUUAGUUGAAUUGAUCGAGUUCUUGUUUUGCUUCAGAGGCGAUUGUGGCAUGUUCGUGUUGAAGUACAUUGAGCUUUUGGGCGCUGAGAUUCCGUUAGCUACUUGCACCUCGGAGAACAUGCCCUUUUUUCGGUUGAAAUUGGCUGCAAAGAUAACACGGGGAGAUGCUUACAUGCCAUGAUAUUGGUUGAACUUGGUUUAGGUACAUGAUGAUUAAAUAGGUUUUGGGAAUGUCCAAUUUCAAACUCAUGUAAAUACACAAUAGAGACCUACGGGUCCUUUUCGAAUUCUACCUCUGCUCCUCUAUUCUUCUUCGUCUUUCUCAAUCUUAGUGUAUUUUUGUACAUAAUUUGAGGUUUAAGUUAUUGGACGAUAACAAUUAGAACCAAAAUAGUGGCAAAUAUUAUAGCGGAUGCAUGCUUUCAUUUUGAUUAGUGUGAUACUACGCUACAUUUAUUCUCAUAUUGUGCUAAAUGUAUAUGGAGUUGGAUGCAGAGCAUAGACAGAAAAAUGAAGAAACUGAAAUGGAGAUGCUGAGGCUUGGUGAGGAGAAAAGUAAAUGGAUCUGUAAAUCUAUUGCACGUAGGCAAUCUAAAUGGAUAGGCAGAUGAGUUUUUGAAGUUAGACACUUGUCAUUCCCAUACAUAGAAUGUGCCUAUGGAGUGUAAAGUAUUUUUGGAUUUAAUGAAACAAACUUCUGUGUAAUAUUAGCCUAACUCCUUCACGACAUUUACAUAACCUUAACCAACUGCAUUGAAUUGGGAUUUAAAGACUGCAUAUGUGAAUUGGGAUUUGAAGAUGGCUUUUUAAGUGUAUUACAUCAUUGCAAAGUGAUAUGUCAUCGUUUAUGCAAGCCACCAUUAAUCGCAAUAGGUUGCAUCUUAAUAAGGUAAUUCUGUAAGGGGAAUAAGCGGCUAUGGCCUCGCCUCUAAUGUUUUAUUCAACCAUGCCCUCUUUAUAGAAACACAUGAAAAAAUGUCCCCAGGUGCAAUGCUAUAAAAACUUCCAGUUGGUUCUGUACCGCCCCUCGGGUUUGAAUCCCUCUCUCCUUUAUAAUCGGUUAAUAAAUUCAUUGAUUUUCUUUUUUUUAUUGGUUUUGGGCAGCUCAGUAGCAUAAAAGUAAUGUAUAUUGGUGCGUCUAUAUUGCAUGUCUGUUGCGUCUAUAUUGCUUCUCUAUUGUGUGUAUAUCUUACAUUUAUUGUAUGUGUAUUGAUUGUUUAUUGCUUACGAAGGAAAUAAACAACAAUACACAGGCAACAGACAAACAAUAUAUACACAACAGACAAACAAUAUACACACAAUAGAUACGCAAUAUACAUACAAUAGACAUGCAAUAUACACACAAUAGACAUGCAAUAUACAUCCGUCCCCAAUUACACAAACCAUAAGGAAGUCGUAUUGAAUAGGAAAUUAAACUUAACAGUUGUUCUUCCUACUAAAAGAAAGAAUAAGGUCCGUUUUCCCCCUUAAAUCUUACUUGAGUGGUACUUGUGCCCCCAAUAAACAUCCAAUAUUGGAGCAAUAACAUUCGAUAUACAUGCAGCAAACAAUCAAUAAACCUUUAAUAAACAUUCAAUAUCGGUUCAAUAACAUGCGAAAUACAUGCAGUUAAUAAUCAAUAAACCUUCAAUAAACAUGUAAACAAUCAAUAAACUUUCAAUAAACAUUCAAUAUCGGAGCAAUAACAUGCGAAAUACAUACAGUAAACAAUCAAUAAACCUUCAAUAAACAUUCAAUAUCAUGCGAUUUAUAUGCAGUAAACAAUCAAUAAACUUUAAGUAUACGCAAAUAAACAAUCUAUAUACACUAAAUAAUUAUGCAAUUUUCAAAAAAAAAAAUGUAUUGUCUUGUUAUUGCAUCGUAUUGGCCCUGUAUUGUGAUUUUAUCGUCUUCGUAUGAUUUUAUUUUUUUAAAGUAAGUCUUGGAAAGUUUUUGCUGGGUUUCAAACAAAUAAAUGCUUUUGUUUAAAUUCAAUGCCAAUCCACUUAUUUCAAGAACAAAAAUUACAAAAUGGGUUUGAAAACUCAUUGGUGGUGCGUGCAACAUGUCUUUUUGGGGAGAAAUUUCACAAUCCUUGAAACCGUGCACUUAAUUGAUCAUUAAAAGAACAAAUAAUAUGACAAUUGAUACAACUAAUAAAACUAAUACCAAGUCCUUAAUGGACUUCAGCAUAUUCAGCACUGUAGCAUCAUACGUGUCAUCUUGAUGUUCUGCUUCAGCGGAGGUUACAUCAACCCAUUCGAAUCCAUUGCAACUGGUGGAUCCCUAAUUGCAGGCAUCAUAUAUGCAAAAUAAUUCUGUCAGAGUUAGACAUAGGUUUUUUUUCCCCCACACACAUAUUCUUGAAAUGAAAACUUACAUAGGAGGUUAGACACUUCCAAAAUGGCUUCCCUCGAUUUUUAUCUGAUUUUGAAACCCGAACCACCAUUGUAGCUCCACAAUACUGACACCUUUUUGUUUGAGCAGGAGAUGAAGACGAAGACAUGUUGAAUCUUCUCACUUGUACCUCUUCUCACUCAGAUCUUCUCACUGAAACCUCUUCGGACUCAUACCUUCUCACUCAUAGUUCUCAGUCAUACCCCUUCACUCAUAACCCUAAAUUUCUCACUCAGCUCUCUCUCAUCUCUGCCCAAAUCAAAUUAUAUCCUUCUUUGCUGUGUGUGGGUGGGUUGGUCACGAUCUGGACACCUGUACCGUCAGAAUUGUGACAUCUUUUACCCCGAAAAGCAAUAUAAUAUUUCACUACCAAAUAUUAAUCUGAAAAUUGAGGGGACACUGCUUGAAAUAUAUUAUUUUAUUUAUAUUUCAUUAAGACAACUAGUUGGAUAAGAAUCCAUCAUCAUUGGUUUCAUUUUAAUAACAUUACUAGUGGUAGUUUGGUGUGGGAAAAUGAAAAAGUAUAUGAUGGGACCUUCUGUGACUAGUCAGUAAUCCAUCACAUUUGUAUCAAUGAAUUUGAUGGUGGGAAAAUCCUAAAAAUGGCUAUGCAAAUAGGUUAUUAAUUGAAUUUUUGACUGUCUGACUCUCUAUGCAAUUUUAUGACGUUUUCCCUUCUUUUGUCUCGAGUUUUAGGGUGUCGGGUUCAGUUUCUUUAAAAACGGUCAACUUGGAAAAACCCCAAGUGGAAACACCUUUUAAAAACACUAUAAACAGAGGCUAAAACAAAACCAAAACCCCAUAUAUUCUCAUUUCUGCCCUCUUCCACUCCUCAAAUCGUUCCAUUCCAAAAACAUUUCAAUGAAUUCGAAACAUUUCACUACACUCGGAGGAAAGAGAAGGAAGCAUCUCCAUUUGGAUAUGCCCCAAGCCUUCAUCCCGGAGUUAGCUUGGUUUAAAGUGAUGUUAUACGUGGCAACCCAAUCAUCGGAAGAUCUCUUCCGUAUGGCAUCUGUGUGCCCAUUGUUCCAUACUUUGGCAAACACUCCACAAGUGUGGAACACCAUUUCAGUGGCAAAGUACCCAAACCAUCCUAGCUGGUACCGUGCCAAUCCUGCGGUCCAGCAUUUCUUGCAACAAUGCAGGGCUUGCGAUAACCCUAAGUCGAUAUUUAGAGAAGCAUUCGAAGUGUUUUUUAAGCAGGGUAACGUGGAAGCAUUGUAUGGGAUGCGCAUUACAGCCACGGCAGGCCAUAUAGAAGCGGCAUAUCUAGUUGGACUACUUGACAUGUCCGGAAUUGGUCAGUCAAAAGAGGAUGCAUUAGAAUUCUUGUGUUCUUUGAAUCAAUGUAACAACAUUGAUAUGAAAGGAACCAGGGAUGCUUUGAGACAAAGAUUAAGCCGACCAACAGUUGCAAGACAUAUCCUAGAUAUGUUUGACUAUGGGAAGAUUAAGUUCAAUCACUGCAGCCCUUGUAACAACAAUGAAUGGUGUUUUGUUAUUCAAGGCUGGCCUACUGAAGAAAAGAUAAAUCCUGCCUUCUGGACUUGUUGCAAUCGAUGCAAAUGGCACCGUGAGAGUAUUUUUUGGUUCAAGGUGAUGCGUGUGUAUGUUGUGCGAGGGAAUCCAUACCCUUAUAAUUAGUUGUAGUAUGUUUUUACGGUUUUUAUGCAUUGUGGACUUGCUUCUCUUCAGUUCUAGGUUCGCUGGCUACGUUGUACAAAUGUUGUUUAAAUGUGGGGUUUUAAUCUAUUUUGUCUGGUAUUUGUGCUGUCAUAAACCGUUUUAUAUAUAAAUGUAUAAUAUAUAUUAUAUAGCGGAAUUAUUACUGACAUCAUAGACGGCUACGAAUGACAUUUUACUGACACAGAUAUUUUGCACAACUGCAAUCUUAAUAUUUGGUAAACGAAAAGGCAUGCAUGGAGUAAAUAGGUGUCUUUUCACCAGUGCUUGGGAAUGACAUUUUCCCACUGAGCAUAUCCCAAAUGAUUUGGUUACAAGUUUCUUAAGCAAAACUUGAAUAGUGAAUGACGUUGAAUAAUUUUUUCCUAAUGUUGUAGAAUAGAUGACUUGUAUAUUUCCAUUUUAUUUUUCAAAACAUCCCUUAAACCUAAAAAAUAAAAAAAUUAACAAAUUGAAGAAGAGAGAAACCGAUUAGCACCAGAAAUGGCCUAUUCGCACGGAAAAUAAAAAUUAAAAAAAAAAGUUGGAGUAAAUAUAAUUAACAAAUGGACAGGCUAAAAAGUAAUAUAAUAAUAAUAAAAAUAAUUUAGGAUAAUAAUAAAAUACUAAUGUAACAUAACCAUGAAACAGGGAAUUCAGUAGGAAGAUGAAAUCUCAAUAAGUUCGUAGCAAUUUUCGAAACAUUAUUGGGAUUUUUGUGUAUUUAGUUAUGAAUUUUCCAAGAAAAAGUAAUAAAAUAAUAAUUUAGGGUAAAAUGCAAGGAUGUGGCCAUGUUGACUGACGUACACUUGUGCAAGUGAUGAAAGUUGACGGGCUGAGAUCGUGCCAGGUGUCCUCUUGCAAUUAUUUUGGCUUUUUUAGUGCAAAAAUCUUUGAAAAAAGGUAAUAAAUAGUAGGUCUUGUGACGUUAUAAAACUAGGGGAACCUAUAAAUCAUCCGUCUCGCAAUGAAAAAAUCCAAAUUAUUUUAGAUAACUCACUUUCCUCUUAACCCUAAGUAUUUAUGUUUGUUAACUUUAACUUCAAUAACCUACUUGAACAAUCAUCUCCCGUUAAUGUUCGGAAUUAUUUUUUUAAAAUGUGUAACCAUGUAUCGGGGAAUUCAACAAGGGAGAUUGAGUGUCAAUGAGUUCGUAGCAAUUUUCGGAUCAUUUUUCUAAUUUUUGUGUAUUUAGUUAUGAAUUUUCUAAGAAAAAGUAAUAAAAUAAUAAUUUAGGGUAAAAGGCAAGGAUGUGGCCAUGUUGACUGACGUACACUAGUGCAAGUGGUGAAAGGUGAUGGGCUGAGAUCGCGCCAGGUGUCCUCUUGCAAUUAUUUUGACUUUUUUAGUGCAAAAAUCUUUGAAAAAAGGUAAUAAAUAGUAGGAAAAUCCUAAAAAUGCCCCGAAAAUUACUCGGACCUCCUUGUGAUGUUAUAAAACUAGAGGAACCUAUAAAUCAUCCGUUUCGCAAUGAAAAAAUCCAAAUUAUUUUUACAUAACUCACUUUCCUCUUAACCCUAAGUAUAUAUUUUUGUUCACUUUAACAAUUAUAUUUCCUUAAUAUUCGUUAUAUAAUUUGUAAUAAUACAAGAAUUAGUUUCCUUUCAUAUAUAAGGAUGUAAAAUAAUUUGUUUUGUUAUAAUAAUGUACAUAUAUAAUAAUUGCACAUGCUUUGAAGCCAUCAUUGCAACUACGCCUAGAGCUUUGAACACGUCAGAGGUAUUCAAUAAGUUGUCCAUAUGACGCCGCAUUGGGAAUCAGUAAUAUAUUUUCUAUCAUGUCCAAUCACAUAAAAUAAUGCCAUACUUUUUCUGAAAAACCUCACACAAGUCAAGCAAUUUUAAAAUAUUAGUGAAUAUUUGUCCUAGUCUAUAUGAGUGAUUAUAUAUUCAGUCUGCAUUUUUUCACAGUAUAUGUUAACUUUCAGAGGGAUUCCACAAACAUAUAAUAUAAAGAAAGAAAGAAAUAGUAGGAGAUGAACCAGUACAAAAAACAAUAUAUAAAUGGUACAUAAUAAUUCCAUAACCUUGUCACAAACGCACUCACAAAUGCUUUUCCAUAAACCUUGUCCUAACAUAUAAUAAAUAAAGGCAACAUUGCAUAUGAUGCAACCAUGUCCAAAUCUGAUACGUGAUCACAAAAAAAUGGACAUGGCAGCAACAUAUGACUGAAGUAGAUGAGCUCUUUGCAUCUUGUGUUAUCGUAAUUAAAGACAUCAAAAGAUUAAGGUUGAAAUCUUCCAUAGUAGUAAGCAUCAAAAUAGGUUUGAAGCAGAGUUUAACGAAAAUUCCAAUUCCACUUAUUGGCCUCUGCUCAAACACGAGAACCAAAAUGGUUACUUCCCUUGCUGAGUAUAUUUGUUAACGUCGGAAACAGUAACAGAUGACCAAUCAAACCCGGGUACGACGAGUUUUGCAUAGGAUCGGAAGUAGUCGAAUCCAGCUUGCAUCACACGCUUCUUUGACUCCACUGCAUUAGAUGAGUUCUUGUAUUUUUGAACAGCUACACUCCGAAGUCGUUUGUGUCUACGCUUCAUGCACUGCAAAUUCGCCCUAUCCAGAUUGGCCUGCCUUUUGUCAUCUUCAAUUUGGCCUUCAACAAAUUCCAAACGUGCCCUUGGCCUUUGGAUUUCAUCACCAAGUUGAAGAUGCCUCUCCUUCCAAAAAGCAAGAACUCUUUCAGAUUCAAAACUUCCAACAAAAUGGUCAUUCUGUCUAGGAAUGUGACAUUGCUUGUCUAGUGACUCACUUGCGUUUCGAAGGCAGUCUUUGUUUGGAGGGGUGUUUAUUAUGCUCACAUCAAACUUGGUUAGUAAAUCCAUUUUAUGGGGGGAGUGAGUUUCUAUGGAGGAGAGAGUUUUAGUAGAUGGAGACAGAUUCGGUGAAGGAGUGAGUUUUGUGUGGAGGGAGAAUUUCUAUGAAAGGAGUGAUAGUAAUAGCAAUAAAAGGGUUCCCGCCAAAAAAUAUUUGGUUGACAAUGUAUAAAUUAAUUUUUGGUCUGAUACAAUCUAAGUUUAAUCCUAACUAGUUUGGUUGAGUUCACUAACUAGAUGUCACUUCCAUUGAGUUUCUUUCAACCACUAUCAGUGGUGUAAGGAGAGUGUGAGGUUGACAUGCUUGAAAAGCAAAACCUGACACCUCUUUUUUUAAAAAUUGAAAGAAAGUACAUAUGUUGACUACACACAACCUUUGGUAUGUUGGUCUAUAAACCUAUGUUCCCUUUCUCAAAUGAAAUUGCAUAUGCAAUCCUCAUCCUCCCAAAACAAAUAGGAUUAUUCAAGCAUGUCAACCUCUUCAGGCGCCAACAACACAAUCGAAGAUGACAAAUUGGAGUCGCAGGUUCUAUUUCCACAUUGUACUCACCGACCCCUUCCUUUUUCAACAUCAUUUGGGAGUGAGGGGGACUCCGAUGAUCCAUUAGAGGCAAUACAUGCAGUCAGUAGCAAGCUGGAUUAUAAUUCCAAACUGAUCAAUUCAUGGCACGAGAAAUGUGUUGAAGACGAGGCCAUUUUGGCUGAUCUUAACAUUAGAGUGAACAAAGGGUUCUCCCAAAAGAACAAGUACUUGAAGCUGAGUCAUAAAAGGAAGCUGAAAGCUGAGGAGUUGGAUACAGUAAUAAAUGAUGAAAUUAAAGGUUGUUUGAUGAACCAUAUGCGAUGCAAAGAGCAUCAUAGUGAACUGGAGUUGGCAUUCAACGAAGGAUUUUUAAAAUUUCAAGCAUUUGCGGCAACUACUCAUACAAGUUAUAAUUGGGACUAUGUGUCCCCUGAUGCUGUGAGAGAGAUACUAGACGAUGAUGGUGACAUGAAUGAGCAUAAGCACGUCAAAGCUGCUCGGAAGAAGCCGACCGAUACGACUAAGUGAUUGCGGCUACCGUUGUUCAGUUGGUUGAGGGUGAUCAUGGUAUUGCACAAAUUAGAAGUAUAUUCCCUUAAUGUCAUUAUCUAAUUUAAAAUAACACAAAUAUCAGUUUCAUUUGCUUCAUAUAUAAUUAUUGGGACUAUGUAUUGCAAGUCAUCAUGUGUUCCUUCUGUCUAACAUUAUAUUUUGCAAAUAUCGAAAUAUUAUUCAAUAAGCAGUCAAUAUCACAGCAAGUUGGGAAUCAGUAAACCCCCAUUAUCAUGUACAUUCACAUUAAAGAGCUGGUGUACUUUUUCUCAAAAAACUGACACGUGAGUCAUAAGUAACAUAACAUGUGCUAUACAUUGUUUAGUGAAUGGUUUAUGAUUUAUUUAUAUAUAAUAAAAUUCCAAAUAUUGCUGAAUAUUUAUUUCGUCUAUAUCACUGGGGACAUGAGUGAACAUACGCAUGUGAGACCUGCUAAGAAGAAGCUGACCAAUACGACCGAGGGAUUGUGGCUACCAUUGUUCCGUUGGUUGGGGAGAUCGUGGUAUUGCUAAGAGGGAGCACAUAAUAUGUUUUGCAAUCAAAUUUUCUUUUGUGUGUGGAAUUUUCUUUUAUGUGUGGAAUUAUGAGUAGUUCAAAUGUUAGUGUACCCUUUAAUAUUCUCCAACAGUUCAAAAUGUGAUUAGCUGAAUGUACUUUUUUACACGCUGCUUUCUAAUCACUCUGUUCCAACAAAAGGCUUUAAGUAUCCUUCAGUUACAAAUGUUUACAAAAUCGUGCCCCUAAUAACCAGUCGAGCUUAGAUCUUAAUAACCAGUAAAACACUAGAACAUAACAUUCGGAAAAAGUGAGUACUGUUGGAAAUCAUUACUGGUAAUGGAAACAACAGCUGGCUGCUGGAAAUGCUGCAUUAGCAUGUGAUAUAAUCAAUGAAUCUCUGUUAAAACAUAAUUCACCAUAAACUACCCAUUUUACAUGGUAAAAGUCAUUGCUUCUUCACAUAACUCAAAAUUUGAUACUUUAUCAAAUGUCUAUGAAAAUUUCUAAAUAGGGAGAAGACGUAAAAUUAACAUGUGUCCAAAUUUCAUGCAAGAAUGAAACCAAGCAAAUUUUCAUUUCAAUUACCAGUGGACAUAGUAAGAGCUCAUGGGUGGACAUGAACAAAAUAAUAAUAAUAAUAAAAACUGAAUCUAGAAAACUUCACCUGAUCAUUAGUCUUCAUAACAACCGGAUUUCGUCUAAUAGAAACAUAAAUCAUUCAGUUGGUCCGUGCAUCCUGUCAAAUUCGUCGAAUAAUGGGUCACUACGAUCUAUUGGAGUUGAUUCGUCAUUGUUCGAUGGUGAUGUCCUGCAUAAACAUCAAACAAAAGCACAUAAAAAAUUUACCUAUUCAAAUUUUAGGUGUUAUUAUAAAUAGUGUUAGCAUCUUACGGUGUGUUCAAAUUUCUUGAGCAUUGUCUUCUAUCAUGGCCAAUGUGUCCACACUCCCGACAGUGUCUAAUCCUUCGCUUCAUUGCCUUUUCCUUUGCUCCCGUUACUCGUUUCGACCUUCCUUUGCACCUCACUCUCUUAGGGUCUUUCAUAUAUUGUGUUUGAGAGCUGGACUCUCCAACUUCGUUAUUACUUGGUCCAUCCUUCAACAACUUCAACUUCACCUACAAACUUUUUAGAGUCUCUGACAGUAGCUCACAUCCUUCUUCACUCAUUAAUGCAUCCUCAACCACAUCUGAAGCAAGUCGAGACAUUGUACUCCGCUUUAUUAAAAGACCAGGAUUUGCAGAGUCUUUAAUUUCGUUGCCAUUUGCAUCUGACACCAAUCCAGAUUUCGCAGUUUUCUUCCACCUCUUCAAAAUAUAUUUAUCGGGCAUAUAUUCAAUCUGGUCCCUUCUGAACAAUGCUAAGAUGUGCUUGCAAAUAAUUCCAACAAAUUCAAAUCUUUUGCAGCUACACGAUGCGUGGUCAGAAUCUUUGACAUAUACAACUUCUGCCACUCUUGUUUCCCAAUUUUUCCUUUCGCUCACGUUAAAGACAACUUUAGAAGCAUCCUCUGUUUUGAGCUCUAGGAAACAUGCUGUACUUUGUAUUAGUUCUUGCUCAAACUUUUGAAACAUUGUCCUUGUGUACAAGGUAGCCAUUUGUUUGUUUAUUGGCAUCGGUAGAAUACAUUGAGCCACUUCAAAUGCAUCUAUGUGAUCAGCAACUAACUCUUUUUGACGUUGAUGAGAAAGUGCCCUCUCAAAUCGUAUUAUGAAAUCCAUCAACGAAUUUCUCUUUGAUAUGUAUUGCUUGAAAAAACCAUGAGAACCUUCCGCUAUUUGGCUGCUUGAUAUUCCAGCGGCAAAAAAUUGUCGUGCGUAGGCUGGAACCCAAGAUUCCCUUAAAUCAAACAUUGAACUUAGCCAUGGAUGGUCAGUCAAACCAGCCUUUGUAACCACAAUAUUCCAUUUUGCAUCAAACUCAUCCUUAUUGUCAGUAUCCCAUAUGACUUUCUGAAAUUCACUCCAAUACUCCUUAUAAGCAGAAUGUGGUAACUUAACAGAGAACUUUGAUGUGAUGUGCCAUAUGCAAAGUCGAUGAAAUGUAGUCGGGAAGGCUAUUGAAAUCACUCUGGUCAUUGCCGCAUCUUGAUCUGUAAUGAUCAUUUUAGGUUCGCCACCUGGCAUGGGUUUCUUAAACUCCUCAAACAUCCAAAUAAACGACUCAGUCGUUUCCUUGCUAAAAAAUGCACAUGCUAAGACAAUUGUCUGACCAUGGUUAUUAACUCCCAACAUUGGUGCAAAUGUCAAGUCGUAUCGAUUCGUGUUGAAUGUGGUAUCGAAUACAACAACAUCUCCAUAAAACCCGUACGCCCGUCUAGAAGUUGCAUCUGCCCAAAAAAAUCGACUAAACUUGUCAUGGCCAUCUCCCUCAAUCUUGAAAUAAAAAGCCUCAUUUUUUUCUGUUCAGCCAUAAAAUACUCGGUCACUAGUUCAACAUCGUGGUUCCUCAGCUUCCCAUUCACACUACAUUCAAGAUUGUAGAUAUCUUUUUUGAUAAAUCUGAUUUUAUCCAUUCCUCCGGAUUGCACCUCGAAAAUACUUACCUUCUGAUGAAUGAGAAUAUUAACUGAACCCAACUGUUUUGUGAGUACUUUUGUAGAAUCUGAAAUACGACGGUGUGAUCUUAAUAAAUGCAUUCUUUCUGAGGGUGUCAUCUUAUGAUUGUGUCCCUCUGCAAAAAGAGAGAUGGUAUACUUCUUGCUCCCAUUUGCCUUCACAACUACAAUCUUAGCUUUGCAAUUGCAUCUACUUAUUCCCCGUUGUCUUUUUCUCUCUCAAGUUUCAUCUCUCAUGUAUGCACCUUGUUUGCAACAUACAAAUUCUUUCCUCAAAAUCUCUUUCUUAUUUUUCCCCCAAAAGCUGGAAUGAAGUCGAAUACCAAAGCCAGCCAAGAAUGCAUAUCUAUUAUAGAAAUUGUAAACGAGGUCAAGCGAGUCGAACUUCAUCCCAACUGCUGGUGUUUCCUCAUUUCUUACUUCAGGAAUAUAAACCCUCCCAUUAGCUGUUACACAGUCAUCACUCUCUGAGCCCCCAGACAUUUUAUCUACAUAUAUUAUUGAUCCACUUCUAUAUUACUGCAUAGCAAAUAUUAAUUCAUUAAUCAGUCAUUACUGCAUCACAACAUAUCAAUGCAUUCCACUUACACAAAACAUUGCCCAAAUUGACACAAAACACACAUAGCCUAACUUGUUGGAUUCCGAUUACACAAAACGCAAGCAAAAUUUAAUAAUAGUUACGUCAUCUCUUGUGAAAUAAUCUGGAAAAAAUAACAUUAGAACCAACAUGUUCAACUAAGAACACAAAUGUAAUUCAAACCACCAAUUACAGAACUUCACCCAAUAUCCUCUCCAAAUGCUUACUCCUAAUGUCAUUAAGCCUAAAUUUAGGAUCUUUUACCUACAUUUCAUAAUUUUCCACCCCCACCAAAAACAAUCAACUAAGUAUAUUGAAUAUUCAUAAAGAAAGGACACAUUAUUGACUCCACCAAUGACGCAUUAUUGAUGCCACAAAUGACGAAUUUCCCACCCUCACAAAAAAUAAACCAAAGCCAAUAAAAUCAAUCCAGCAAGUGAACUUACCUCUCAAAAUCAAUCGGGAGCUCCGAAGUCAGUCAGCUUGAGAGAAUGUGGUGGACAUUAGAGAAGACUCUUUGGUAUUUGAGACUCCAUCUCUACCAAAAUUGAGGAACAACUGCUGCUGCGGCAUCUAGCUACAAAAAGAGAUAUGCUACUUUACUUUCAUCUGGAAUCUUGUCUGCUGAAUGAAAAAGAGAAGGGGUUUUCACUUGAGCCAUAAAAUCAAAACAGGGCAACAGCUAGGUAAGAGCCAUUAAUCGCAAUACCGAGGAUACCAUAGAUCGCAGGCCUCCCAAGAAGCUGAUGACAAUGGAGUGACUAUAGGGUUUGGGAGCUUUGGAUCCUUCUAAUUGUGGGUUUUCUUUACAUUCAAAAAGAGAGGAUUAUGUUCUUGAGUUUUUCACAAAGAGGGAAAGAGGGAAAGAUGAGACUGAAGUUGGGUUUCUAACGGGUUAGAUUUCAACCCGAUUCUACAUGCACCCUUUUUAAAAACUCACCGUUGGAUGAAAUCCAACGGCUCUUACAUACCCCUCAAAAACACCCCUUAUAACUUUCCACUCACUAUAGAAGCUCCCAAAAGAAAACAGAUUUGCCAAAAAUCAAAUUUUAAGUCUCUCCUACGAUCGAAAUUUGGAUUUGAUGAACUAAAGUGGUUUUACUUUCUCCAUCAGUGUUUGAUGACUUAAUUUGUUAUUUACUUUUUUUAAAAAAACUUUAUCUUAUAUAUAUUAGUUUUCUUUUUUCCUUCAUAUUCACCACCUUUAUGUUGCUUAAGUAUUUCAGUCUUAACGGGUUUCCAUCUACCACUCAUCUUUGCUCUUCUCAGUGUAAGCCUUUUUUUUAAGCAUAAGAUUAGAGGGGAGGGGGGGGAGGGGGAUUUCUUAAUGUAAGCUUUGCAGUUUCAUAAUUAAUAUUUCCAAUAUCUCACUGUUAGUAAAAUACAAAACAUGAAAAGUAUGAAUAAAAUACGCACAUGUUACUAAUUUAUUGAGAUAAAAUACCAUUUUGCCCCUAGAAUAUUUUAUUAGGUUUAAAGUUGACUUUUUGACCAGGAAGGAAUUUGGGUAUUUCGACUAUAUCGUUGCAUAGAGCACGACGAGGUGAUUCCAUAGACACGUGGUAGGCUCGAAUCGGAGUUGUAAUGAGAGACAUACGAUCAAAAUACCUUCAGUGGCAUAAUCGUAAUUUUGGCUUAAAGGGUUUGAUAAAAUAUGAUUUUUCUUUCUUUCUCUCUCUCUCUCUCCCCGCCCAGUCUCUCUCUCGUGACGGCAGUGAUAGCCGGCCACAUUUUGGCCAGCCGUGCUCUCGUCCGGCCACCAAAGCUGAUGGGGCCGGUACCAAAAUGAUCAGGCCACCAUCCUUUUCCAACCUCAGCCAGGCCCCGCCGCCAGCAGUCGUGGUUUUGCCGGAAAAUGGAGAAGAAGCGGCCGGUUUUGUUCGAACUUCUCCGACUUCGUUCUCCCUCCUCUGGCCACCGAUUCCGAUGAAUGAGGUAUGGUUUCUCACCUACUUUUCAUGCUCUAGCUGCCUGUUGGGUAGGAUUCGAUCAAUCCCUAGUGUAGGUGGCUUGAUUUUCGAAUUGGGUUUCAGCCGAUUUUGGGAUCUCGAUUCCAGCCCCUUUCGAUCAGUUUUUAGGGUAGGUCCCAGAACAAAAGUGGUUCCAAAUAGGGUGUUAUACCUAGGUAGGAACCUUGAGCCGUGAUUUUGAGAAUUUUCUACGAUGCCUAAUCGCUUUGGACACCCACGCGCUACCGGCACGUGGGCACUGUAGAAAAAGGGCAUUGUGUCCCGAUGCGAUCCCCUUGUUGUCUUGAGUGCAUAGGUGUGCUCGGAUUUCAAUUGAAUACCGUUUGAGUCUCGAACGAAUAUCACAUAUUGUGCGUUAUCCGGAGUCGAUAGGUUUGAACCGUUGGAUAGUCUUAGAUUUAUAAUAUGUUAAUCUAGAUAUUCUUAGGAUCAAAAAGGAUUUGACGGAUCGUAAAAUGGAGUCCCGGAUACUCCGAAAAUGCCAACCCUAGGGCUAGGUUCCUAGUAACCGUCCGAUCGUGCAAUCAUGAGCAAUCCGACAGUCCGAUCCGGACCAAACUUGCAGGACGUGUAUCCUAAACCUUGUAGAACCCAUAGGAACUUUCAGAUUAGAAUUUGGAGGUCGUGGGCCCCUUGGGCCCGUUUGACUAAGUUUGGGUAGUUUGACCAUUGGCUGAUCGUGAGUCUUCAAAGGUAGUUUUACCUUCCUAGGAGGAUUAUAAAGACCCUAGUGACAGGUCUUGAGCGUUGUUGAGCUAUGUUGACUAGGUUUAGACUUUUAGAGUGUUUAUUAUUAUCGUAGGAAACUCUUGGAUAUUAUUUUAAUAAUUGAAAUUAUGAAAUUUAUGUUUAUGUGCAUGAUCGUUGGUCUAAAAAUAGCAUUAUUUUCCUGAUAAAAUUACGUUGCAGUAUACUAUAGAAUGGUAUCACUAAAUGGGGAUUACCUCUAUUAUUAGUUUAGAUAAUUAUGAGUAUGUCAGUUUGAAGUGCUAUACGCACUACCCUAAGUACCACCCUGUGAUUGUUAGGUCCCAUGUGGUGUAGGUUAUCCAGUGUAAGGACAGACCCCAUACGUGGCUUCAGAUGUUCUGAAGUAUUGGGGAGAUUAUGUGAUGGUUUUGUCACACGUGGCGUAGGUUAUCCGGCGUGUUGACAGACCAUAUACAUGGAGUUGGAUGUUCCGGCAUAUGGAGAGAUUUUGUGAUUGUUAGGUCCCACGUGGCGUAGGUUAUUCGGCGCGAGGACAAACCCUAUAUGUGGCUUUAGAAGUUCCGGCGUAUGAGGGAGAUUAUGUGAUGGUUAGGUCACACGUGGCGUAGGUUAUCCGGCGUGUUGACAAACCUCAUACGUGGUGUUGGAUGUUCCAGCGUAUGAGGAGAUUUUGUGAUUGUUAGGUCCCACGUGGCGUGGGUUAUCCGGCGUAAGGACAGACCCCAUACGUGGCUUUGGAUGUUCCGGCGUAUGGGGGAGAUCAUGUGAUGGUUAGGUCACACAUGGUGUAGGUUAUCCGGCGUGCUGACAGACCCCAUACGUGGCGUUGGAUGUAACGACCCGGUCCUAAAUAAAUUAGUAAAUAUUAAUUUAUUCAAAGAAAAUACCAUUUUGCCCAUAGAAUAUCUUAUUAGGUUUAAAGUUGAUUUUGUGAUCGGAAAGGAAUUUCAGAAUUUCGACUAUACCGUUGCGUAGAGCACGACGAGAUGAGUCCGUAGACACAUAGUGGGCUCGAAUCGGAGUUGUAACAAGAGAGAUACGAUCAAAAUACCCUCAGUGGCAUAACCGUAAUUUUGGCGAAAAGGGUUGAUAAAAUCAUAUUUCUCUCUCUCGGCCGGAAAUCCCAGUUGACAAAAUCCCGGCCGGAAACCUUGAAUUUCAGCCACAGCUUCGACUGGUUUGAACAGGGUUUUUCCCGGCUUUGCCCCAUCGCCUCCGCCGCCCAAUUCUGGUGAAACAGGUAUGGUUCCUCACCUAUUUUCCGAGAUCUAGCUGCUGUUGUGUAGGAAUUGGACAAUUUUCGUGUUUAGGAACUCGAUUUAGAAUUUUGGUUUUGCCCGAAUUUUCAAAGUGAAAUUUCGGCCACUUCUGCUAGUUUUUGGGGUAUGUCCAAGAACAAAAGUGGUUCCAAAUAGGGUGUUAUACCUAGAGUAGGAACCUUGAGCCAUGAUUUUGAGAAUUUUCGGCGAUGCGUAAUCGCUUUGGAAGCGCGUGGGCACUGUUGAAAAGGGGCAUUGUGUCCCGAUGAGAUUCCCCUGUUGUCUUUAGCGCGUAGGUGUGCUCGGAUUUCAAUUUGGAUACCGUUUGUGUCUUGAACGGAUAUCACAUAGUGUGCGUUAUCCGGGUUCGAUAGGUUUGAACCGUUGGAUAGUUUUGAAUUUGAUAUAUGUUAAUCUAGGCAUUUCUAAGAUCGUGUAGGAAUUCACGGAUCUUGAAUCGGAGCCCUGGAUGUUCCGAUUUAAUAACUUAAAGUUUAUGUUUAUAAUAACCGUCAGAUCGUGCAAUUGUGAGCGAUCCGACCGCCCGAUCCAGACCAAACUUGUUGGACGUAUAUCCUAAACCUUGUGGAACCUAUAGAAAUUUUCGGAUUAGAAUUUGGAGGUCGUGUGCCCCAUGGGCCCGUUUUACCAAGUAUGGGUAGUUUGACCCUUAGUUGACCAUGAGUCUUCCGAGGUAGUUUUACCUUCCUAGGAGGAUUAUAAUGACCCUAGUGACAGGUCUUAACCGUUGUUGAGCUAUGUUGACUAGGUUGAGACUUCUAGAGUGUUUAUUAUUAUUGUAGGAAAUUCUUAGAUAUUAUUUUAAUAAUUGAAAUUAUGAAAUUUAUGUUUAUGUGCAUGAUCGUUGGUCUAAAAAUAAUAUUAUUUUCCUGAUUAAAUUACGUUACAGUCUACUAUAGACUGGUAUCACUGAAGUGGGAAUACCUCUAUUAUUAGUUUAGAUAAUUGAGAGUAUGUCAGUUUGAAAUGCUAUACGCACUACCCUAAGUACCACCCUAUGAUUGUCAGGUCACCCGUAGCGUAGGAUUUUCUGGCGAGAUGACAUACCCCAAUUGUGGCGUUGGAAUUUCCGGCGUAUGGAGAGAUUAUAUGAUUGUCAGGUUACGCGUGGCGUAAGAGUUUUCGGCAUUAUGACAGACCUCAUACGUUGCGUUGGAAUUUCCGGCGUAUAAGGAGAUUAUUUGAUUGUCAAGUCACCCGUGGCGUAGGAUUUUUCGGCGGGAUGACAGACCUCAUACGUGGUGUUGGAAUUUUUGGCGUAUGGGGAGAUGAUAUGAUUGUUACGUCACAUGUGGCGUAAGUUAUUCGACGUGCUGACAGACCCCAUAGGUGGCGUUGAAAUUUCCGGCAUAUGGGGAGAUGAUAUGAUUGUUAGGUCACACGUGGCGUAAGUUAUCCGGCGUGCUGACAGACCCCAUACGUGGCGUUGGAAUUUCCGGCGUAUGAGGAGAUUAUGUGAUUGACAGGGAGAUGAAUAAAGGUAUUGUAUGUGUUUGGAAUGGGGAUUUAGUAGGAAGAACUACGUGUGGCUUGAUCCCUCAGUGAGGGUAUGUAGGUAGCCUAAGGUUAUUAGGUGCAGCCGCGGACAUAGAUGUGAUUGUGUUAGGAGGUUAAAACCUCGUAUGUUGGAAUUGGAAAAGUUAGAUGAUGUAUGUUGUAUUUAGUAUUCAUAAUUCAUAUUUGAGUUUAUUAUUUGCCUUGCUGAAAGCAAUAUGUGACUCAAGAGCUUUGUGGGUAGUUUGGGAUAUUAAAUGUGUUUUAUGCAGGUUGAAAAAUUUGGGGAAUGAUCAAUUUACAGGGGAGACUUUGCCGAAAUUUCGACAGAAAGUCCCGGUCUUUAGUAAGUGGGCCCGGCAUCGGGGUGAUGUCGAGAAUUCCAUAGGAUUCGUAUCGGGUUUCGGGAAAUCUGGGGCUAGUCUUGUCAUUGGAUGUUCCGGCGUAUGGGGAGAUUUUGUGAUUGUUAGGUCCCACGUGACGUAGGUUAUACGACGUGAGGACAGACCCCAUACGUGGCUUUGGAUGUUCCGGUGUUUGGGGAGAUUAUGUGAUUACUAGUGAGAUGAAUAAAGGAUUGUUUAUAUUGGGAAAAAUGUGUUUGUAGAAAGAAUUACGUGUGGCUUGAUCCCUCAGUAAGGGUACGUAGGCAGCCUAGGGUAGUGGUUAGGUGCAGCCGCUGACUAAACGUUAUAAUGUUGUUUUUAGGUUUGAUUAUAUGGUAUUAUGGGCCGAGGCCCCUGGGACUAUUGGUUAUAAUUCAUAGAUGGUAGUUGAUGCAUGCUAGAAAUUUGUAGGAAGUUAUUUCAUGUGGAUUGCAGUGGUACUCGUAAAAUUUAUUUGAGUUCCUGAAUUGCAUUGUUAGUAUAUUAAUUGACUUAAGAGUACUGCUAGUAGUUCUGCCUUGAUUUAUUUGAAGGUUGGAGGCCUUGUCUGUAAACUGUGUGCAAUUACAUUGUGUGUGCUGGCAGUUGGCUUUUUAAAUUGUGAAUUUUGUGCAUGUUGAAAUUUGGGAAAUGUUCAAUUUACAAGGGAGACUCUGUCAAAAUUUCGAUAGAAAGUCUUGUGCCCUUAUUCCUUUUUCGGAAAAAGGAUAUAUAGCUUUAGAAGUGGGCCCGACAUCGGGAUGAUGUCGGGAAUUUCGACAGAAUUCGUCUUAGGUUUCGGAAAAUUCGGGGCGGGUCCGAAAAAGUUGCUUCAGUUUUGGCAAGUAUCGGAAAAGACCAAAAUUUUCCGACUUUAUUAUUACUAGAAACAAAGUCGAAGUAUUCACCAAUCAUGUGGCCUUCCAAGUGCUCAAGGUUAAGCCAGGAACCGUUCCUAUCUGCCGUUUCCUUCCCAACUAUGAUCAUGUUGUCUAGGUUCCAACCCACAAAUCUACAUUGGGCUAUGUAUUUGAAUUUGUACUAAAGCGUGAUCUAUAGUAUGCAUUUAUUAGAUAAGUUUGAGAUGGCAGUGGCUUGGGUGUCCGCCGAGCUUGAACAAGUUUGGGUGUGCUGAGUGUUUCCAUGGGUGCGUUGAUGAUCAUGGUUAUUAGAUUUGUGAUAGUUUGGGCUCAAUUUCAACAGAACUUAUCUCAAGCCUAGUUAGUUGAUUCAUAAGUUUAUCAGGAAAAAAAAAUGAAAAAUGAAAAAUGAAAAAUGAAAAAAUCUUAAGUUAAGCCCAAGGACUUCUCACCAAAGUGUGCAUAAAUUGAAAUAUUUAAUAGAAGCCCAAGAUUUCUGAAGCACAUAAUAUCUACUAAAUUCUACAAAGUGUUAUACUUUACAAACUUCCUAUGUGUACCAAUUUUUACUAAAAUUAAUUUCUCUGCGGUGUUGAGAUUCAUCAUAAUUUUAGUAGAAAUUGGAAGUUUUCAUCAUUUUUGCUUUAAGUCUCUCCUCCACUCACUAAUAAAGAUUACUCAAGUGAGUUUACAAAACAUUUUUUUCUACUCUCUCCUGAAAACUACACUUCUUCUCAAAAGAUUAGAUCACUUCACAUCUUGCAUAUGUGAAAACUAAUGUAAAAAGUUGAAACUUUAUCAUAAAACCUCGACAAAAAUUAGCUCUACUUAAAACGUUAAAUUUGGAUUCGUUGAUUUAAAUGGCAAUUUGACACUUCAUAGAAAUUUUUACAUACAUGUGUUAGUGUUUGAUCACUUCACUUGUUACUUACUAUAUUUAUUCCAUGAUUCUCCCUCAAGUUAGGUAAAUAUUAUUAUCAAACAUUUCAAUUCAUUUGUGAUCUUUCUUGUCCAUCUUUUAAUGUACCCUGAAAUCCAUUAGCCACAUAUGAUGACCAAAAUCCAUACGUUCCUAUUUUUAAUGUAUGUUUACUCCCUAUAAUGUUCCAGUCUAGGGUAAUAACACUGCUAGUUUCAUAUGACAUCCUAUUUCUAAUGUGUAUCUACCCUUGUAAUGUUCCAGUUUAGGGUAAUAACACUGCUAGUUUACUAUCAUGUUGAUUAAUGCUUGUCAUGUUGCUAUUUCUAAUACAUGUCCAACAAAGAAAAGAUGAAGAAAGAACAAACCAGACCAACUCAAAAUAAGUUGAGUCCAAAUAGUUAAUACUAUUAUGUCGUAGAAGUACGUUGUUAAUACUCUGUAAUAGAAGUACAUGGUUAAUACUCUGUCAUAGAAUUACAUUGUUAAACAAAAAUAAGAUCCAUAACUGAAAUAGUAAUAAAAGAUAAGUCGAUCAUCAAAUCUUAAAAUACAUUUCGAAAAUCAACUAAAAUCCGAAGAGAAACACAUAAUUGAAGCAAAAGAUCAAAAAUCUCAAGUCCAAACCAAACAACGACGACGACGACAAUGAUGACGACAAUGACGUGGCGAAGAGGAGUAGAGCUCGAAGAUGAGGAGUAGAGCUAAGAGCAUUUGAUCAAGGUUCGUUUGAGGUCUCGAACAAUCCGAAAAAAAAAAAUCAAUAGAAGCAAGAUUUUAAAACAAGAAUCGAAUGUGAAAUAUUGAAAAUUGUAGAUUAAAGAUGAAGAAUAUAGUUGGACCUGAGACUGAGCUCCAAUGGAAGCUCCUCUUGCUCCAACACCAGAGAAAGCACCAACAAGAAAAGAGAAAAUAAAUAUGAUUUGGAUUUUUGGCAGAUUUGAAUUUUUGGCAGAUCUGGUUUUUUUGGCAAAUUUGAAUUUUUGGCAGAUCUGUGCAGAUUUGUUUUUUUGGCAGAUCUGAUUUUUCUCUCUCAAAUCCAUAUUGCAAGGGCAAUAUAGGUAUUUAACACACACAAAUAAACUAAAAAACAGCUAUUAAAUUGAAAAAUUUGACAGCUAUCAAUUUUGGGUGUGUUUGUAGUUUUUAAAUAGUAUAGGGUUUCUUUAUUAGACUAUGUCUACGAUUGGGUAUAUAAUUAAAUUUCUAUUAUUAAAAAAAAAGGACCCUAGUAAAGCCAUGGGACGAUACUCCUUUUAUAUAUAUUAUAUGAUAUAAAUAUUAUAAUAUAUUAUCUAAUAUUUGGAAUAUUUACUCUAAAAUAAACAAUAUAUUAGGUUCUUUUUGUCUACAAAUUGACCAUUAAACUUCUUAAUCACUCUUAUACUUUUAAUUAAAUCUACUAGGCUAGGUUACGAUAUUUGCACUAAAAACUCCUAAUUGUUUUUUCUUCUCUUUCUCUUGCUCUUUUUUUAACUUAAGCUGAAGUUUUGUAAUUUUUUUUCCCUCCCUUUUUACAUGUAUGAGUAGGGUACUUUAAUAUUGGGAUUUAUGAACUUUUUUUGUAUUUCUUCUCUAUGUUGGAAUAUAAAUUAGAGAUAUUUAGUCAUAUACCCAUUCUUAGCACUAAUAUUAUAAAUAAACCUUACAUCAUUCAAUUCCUAUAAACAAACCCAAAAAAUAAUAGCUGGCCCUAUUGAAUUUAAUUUUGACUAUUAAAUUACUUUGAUGCCCUAUUGAGUGUUUUGGGCUUUUUUUUAUGAGAUUUUGGAGUUGAGUUUGUUUUAAGAAAUCAAUGGCAAUUUUGUAAUUUAAAAAAAAUUAAAAGGCUUUUUGUUAUGUUGUAAAUAGGUUUCGAGUGUGUUUCUAAAGUCCAUUUCAUAUAGGUUUUUUAUAUAUAAUAAUUUGAACUCCUAUAUUGGGUAUAAUAGUGAAUCUCCAUUUAUUAACUUUUGAGUCUUUAAUAGUGUAGAUGAUGAGAUUAAUAUUCAACCAUUUUAUAAUAUGAAAUUAAGGACAAUCAUGAUUGUAAUGAAUGGAUUAUUAAUCAAUAUGAAAUGAUAUUAUGAAGUAGGCUAAAUGGAGUAGUUAGUAUCGUAUUAACUUAUUAACCGGUUAGCGCUUGAGCCCUCUAAUUCAAAUUAUUUUAUAAAAUUUUGUGAAGGGCCCCUUCUAAUGCAAAUUCCUGGCUGCGCCACUGCCUAUAGCAACUUGGUAAUGUGUGUGAAACAUCCCCUCCUUUUGUCGUUUAAACUAUCGGUUCGCUUGUAUUAAUAAAACAAAAAAUAAAAUAAAAGAUAAAAUUAUAAAUAAAACAAAACACAUAUUAAAGCCUAACUGUUAAUAAUGGAUCCAACAUAAGAUCCAGCCCAAGCCCAUGAAUAAAGCCCCCGAAAACGGUUGGUCCCUCAAUUAAAUUAUUCGUUCAAAUGGUCCAUCAACUCUAUAUUAUUCGCUCCAUUGGUCCUACCGUUAUAUUUUGUCAAUAUUUCUGUUAAAUAUGAGGGCAAAUUGGUCAUUAUUUAUCCUAAAAUUAGGUUAAAUCUAACAUAAAAUUAGACGGUAGGAAUUCGGGGCAGGUCAUGUCAAAAAGCUAAUUAGAGGGGCGAAAUUGACAAAUAAAUUUAAUACAAUAGCUAAAUUGGUUGAAAGAUUAAUUCAAGAUGUAGAUUUCAACAAGUGUGAUAAUUCAUGGGGUAUUCGGUAAUUUACUCCUUUUUUUCCCCUUGAUCUUCUAUAUUCAAGUAAUGGAAAUGUGUUCCACAUUUUCCAUUUAGUUGAUUAUAGAAAAGGAAGAGCAAACAUGAGUUAAGCCCAAGGCACCGAACUUAGGGUCAGUUUGGCAUUGUUAUGCUGUGAAAAUAAUCGUUGUCAGAUUUGCUGUGAGAGAAAAUAGUUUGGCGUUUGGUAAAAUUUUUGUUAAAAGUAUUAUUAGUAUUUAUUUUACGCAUAAUCAGAAAAUGAUUGCUGCAUAAUCAUUAAAUCCAGCGCCUUUUCGAAACUGAUUUUUGCAUAAUCAGAAAAUGAAAGCACAUCAUUAGCUGCUUUCCUUUAUAGCUUUCUCUCACAUCAAUUUUUAACAAUAAGUGAUUUUCUCACAGUUUACCAAAUGGAUUGGGCUUCUCAAAAUUUUAAAAAAAUCACUUAUCACCCCAAAUAAGUAAUGCCAAACGGGCACUUAGACUUCUCACCAACGUGAGGAAGAAAAAUAUGACAAAUUGAUAUAUUUAAUACAAGCUCAAACUGUGCACAAAUUAAUAUAUGCAACGGAAGCCCAAGAUUAUUUCUGAAGCACAUAAUUUCCGCAAAAUCUACAAAGUGGUGGGAGGCAGACCAACAAAAAAAAGUAGCGAAGGCUUAUAACUCUGGUAAAACAAGAGUGACUUGGACAGAAUAAUGUUAUGUCGUACUGAAGAUUUUUGGGUUUCUUUAAUUGGUUAAGUUUAUAUACCUUCAUUUGAAGAUUCUUUAUUUGGGUUGCUUUCAAGAUGAAAACCAUAUCCACAACCACAACCACAACUGGCAGACAAUCUUUGGCUGUUCAUCACAAUUGGGCGACAAUGAAGAAGACAGAAAUUGGAGUAAUGUAUGUUACCAGCAAUCCACGAGAAACUGACAUCUGCAAGCUUUCGUAAUAUAAGGAGGAUGGGGAGGCCGUGCAAUACUUAUCACCUUAGCCACCACCUACACCACAAGACCAAUAUGUUGUAGGCCAGGAGGCUUUCCAAUUUUAAUAUAUAUAUAUAUAUAUAUAUAAAAGUAAAGUGACAAAGAAAUUAAUGUAGGGUAAAGGUAGAAUAGAAAAGAGAAUGAACAAAAUUAAUAAAAAAAAGUUUUAAAAAGUAAAAGGGAGUGUAGAUGGAGAAAAGAGGAAUGGGGAAAUUAGCUCCCUAUAUAUAUAUAGAUUGAAAAAUUAAAAUUAAAAUCAAUCUAUUAUCUUAUAUAUUAUAAAAUAAAGAUUAUUGCUCCAAGGAAAUGAGAUCUUUUGUUUUCUGGGAAUUUUCUGAACCAAGAAGAAUCAAGUAAAAUUAAUAAAGCAUAAAUUGGAAAGGGAAAAGAUCCAGAGGAUGCAUUGUAAGAUUGCUGAUGCCAAUAAUUGUACCCUCUAAUUUUAUACAUGGACGGGCAUUCAAAUCGGCAAAUCAGAAAUCCAAGCCAAAUCGCACAGGAAAAAAUCGAGUUGACCAAAUAGUCAACAACCAAUCAAAAACCAUACCGGACCAGUUUGGACCGGUUUUGGAUCCAAUUCUAUGUCUUCAAAAACUGAACCAAGCGGAACCGAACCAGUCAAAUUAAAAAAUAUAUAAUUUCAAUAUAUAUUUAUAUUCAAUGCUAUAUUUUUAGUCUCAUAACUAAUAUUUAUGCAAGUUCAAUUUCAAAACAUCUCUCUUUUCUGGCUUUAAUAUUUAUUUUUAUAUAAAAUUAAAUAAUUUAUUAAUUUUCAAGUCAAAAAAAUAAAAUUUUAGUUGAAAUUUGUAUUAAAAAAUUAUUUGAAAAAAAUUAAUUUUAAUAAUCCAGUUCAAAACCAAAUCGGACCGGAACCUAAUCAAAAUCGGUUCAACCUGAACCGGACAGUUUUUGAAUUUUUUUUGUUAAAACCGAACCAAACCAAACCGGACAAAUAGUAUCGGAUUCGGUUCUAAUUUGAGACAAAAACCAGUCCAAACCGGACCGUGCCCACCCUAUUUUUUUUGUUUUCAAGUCUUAGAUGACAUGUCGACCUAAAAUUAUUGUUCCUAGCGGGCUCUCCACCCCCACUCAACCUAUUGUGUAUUAUUAUUUUCAAUAUUAUCUUAAAUUUAACUACUUAUGUCCAUUAUGAUUAGUCAUGUAUUUUAUGGACCAUCCAGCUGUGAGGCUUUAUCUCAAAAACAUUCAGUACCUUUUUCCCGCUUGCAACAAUUGUAUUUGAUUCAGAAUUAUGUCCUAUAUUGGUGGGUGGAGUGUUACUUCUGGGUACCCCUCAUCAUUCGUCUAUAAAAUGGUGAAGCCAGUUGCUACUGUUACCAUAAGAGCCAUCUCCGACUUUCUUUAAUUUCUUGCUUCAUAUCCACUAGCUACAUCUGUUGCCAAGUUAAUUUCAGUCCUAAUGGGGUUUCAUCUCCCACUCAUCUUUGCUCUUCUCAGUGUAAGCUCUGCAAUUUGAUUAACAUUUCCAUUAUCUCUCAUUGUACUCUAUAUAAACGAAAGUUUUGCAUUCCUAUAAUCCUCUCUGAUUUUAUUUACCACAUAAGUGUCGUCCACUAAUUAAUUACACUUUGUGAUUUGAUUUUAAUUAGAGUUCGAAUUAAUGUUGCAGCUAGCAGCGGUGGCACUGGCAAACCAUGCUGCUCAACCAGCAGCUCAACUUUACUGGAACUCCGUCCUGCCGAACACACAGAUGCCAAGAACUAUCAGUGAACUUCUGCAUCUUGGUUUGUGUUAAUCACUUUAGAAUCUUAGAUAUUUUUUCUACCUGCCAUUUUACUAAAAUUUGUUUGACCACAUAUUUAUCGGUUAACUACUGUUUUCCAAUUUAUUAUUAACCUCUACAUGAGUAAUUAUAGUAUGGUACUAGAGUACGUACGGCAACAUAUUCACAAAUGUCUCACUGAAUCUUCAAUCGGCUGAUCACUUAUUUUCCAUUAUGACGUUGAUAUAUAAUUUGCCGACUCCACAAAUGAAGAAAAGAGCACAAAUAUCAUGAAUGCUGUUGGGAAUGGAAAGCCAACUGACCACAAGGGAAAACCUGAAAUAAACGCAUUGUUUAGCGGAUACACAAUUCAAGUACAGUAUGCAGGAGUUCCUAAUUCUGACAAUCAACUCCAGUAUUAUAAAAACAUAACUAUUUUCUUCUUGGGGAAGGACAUGCGCCUUGGCGCAACAAUGAACUUCCAAUUCCCUAGAAAUUCAAACACGGCUACUUUCCUGCCACGCGAAAGUGCUCAAUCAAUCCCCUUCUCCUCUAACAAACUAUCAGAAAUUUUCAAACAUUUUUCAGUGAAGCCAACAUCUGUGGAAGCCAAAACAAUUAAGAAAACAAUCGAAGAGUGUGAAGCUCCAGGCAUUAAGGGAGGGGAAAGAUAUUGCGCCACAUCUUUAGAAUCAAUGGUUGAUUUUAGCACUUCCAAGCUUAGAACAAGAAACGUUCAAGCAAUCUCGACUGAGGUAUUGGAAAAAGGAACUGCCAUGUCCAUGCACAAGUAUACAACAAUGCCGGGACUGAAGAAGUUGGCAGGUGACAAAGUCGUUGUGUGUCAUAAGGAGAACUAUCCCUAUGCUGUGUUUUUCUGCCAUGCAAUAAAACAAACAGCAGCUUAUGUUCUCUCCCUGAAAGGCGAUGAUGGGGUGAAGGUUAAAGCAGUAACCAUCUGCCAUCUAGACACAUCAGAAUGGAACCCAAAGCAUUUGGCCUUCCAAAUCCUCAAAGUUAAGCCCGGAACCAUUCCCAUCUGCCAUUUCCUUUCCACAGAUGCUAUUGCAUGAACAUCACUUAGCACUGUACGUAUAAUAAGCUUGCACCCCUGUAUAAUUAUCUCCCUACUCUACUUAUUUCUGCCUCUUCUGUUGAGAUUUCAAUCAGAACUUGCACACACAAUGCAUCAGCUCACACAAAACCAGAUGAAUUUAAGAAAACAGAAAAAUGCAGAGAAAGAAUGGAUUGGCUACUCAGUAAUGCUCAAAGGUUCGUUGCUAUGCACAAAACAUGGCAGUGCACAAUACUCUCAUUUCUAACGGAACCAUUCCUUUUUACAAUGCUGAGAAUGUGAUCUCAGCCUUACAAUUGAUCCAGCAAUGUAAGCUGGACACUUGUCUUAAAUCUGAGUCAUAUAAGUUUCAUCCAACCAAAAUAUUACAUCUGUGAAAUAAAACUUAAACCAGCAGGAAUUUAUAAUUCGACAUUCCCUUCUAAAUUGUUGACUGGUUUAACACCAAGUAGACCUCUUAAGUAAUUGAAUCGAUCCUUAGACAAAGCUUUAGUGAAUAUGUCAGCUGCUUGCUCUUCGGACUUGCAGUAUCUUAGAUCCACCACACCUUCUUGCAAAGCAUCUCGAAUGAAAUGGUAUAUGCGGUUAAUGUGUUUGGUCUUUUGAUGGAAAACUGGAUUCCUUGUCAUUGCAAUGGCAGAGGUGUUAUCUACCAUUAAUGGAGUUGCCUCUGUUUGCUAUUCUCCAAAGUCUUCAAGCACAAACUUCAACCAUAUAGCUUGAGUAGUAGCUUCACUUACACUAACAUAUUCAACUUCAGUUGUGGAGAGAGCAACACUGGGUUGCUUGACAGAUGCCCAAGAUGACACGCCACUUCCAAAUGAGAAAGCAUAUCUAGAAGUGCUCUUCAUGUCAUCUUGACUCCCACUCCAGUCACUGUCACAGUAUCCAAUUAAUACAACUUCUUUUCCCUUCUGGUAUUCAAUACCAUAAUCAAUUGUGCCUUUGAUAUACCUCAACACCCUCUUAGUUGUUCCAUAGUGUUUCUUUUAGGACAAUGCAUGAAUCUAGCUAAUAAGCUAGCUGCAAACAUUAUGCCAGGCCUUGUAGCUGUUAAGUACAACAAACUUCCCACAAUCUGCCUAUAUUCAUUCUCAUCUGCUGGAUCACUUCCAUCUGCUUUGCAUAAUUUCUCACUUGCCACCAGAGGAGUGCUAACAGGUUUACAUUGUUUUAAGCCAAACUUGCUUAACAGAGUCAAAGCAUAUUUCUUUUGACUUAUGAAAAUACUCUUUUCAGUUUGAAUCACAGCCAUACCAAGAAAAUGAUACAAAAGACCUAAGUUAGUCAUUUCAUACCUUCUCAUCAUCUUAGACUAAAAAUCUGCAAUCAAUUCUUCACUGCUUCCUGUAUACACUAUAUCAUCAACAUAUAUCGAUACAAUGAGUGUUCUAGAGUUUUCCUUGGUCUUGCAAUACAGAGUUGCUUCACUAGAGCUCCUUGUAUAACCGCAGUCAAUAAGAUACGAGUUUAUUUCCUCAUCCCAUGCUCUUGGCGCCUGUUUUAGACCAUACAGAGCUUUCUUUAGUUUGUACACUUUGUCUUUAGAGUUCUUAAUCACAAAACCAUCUGGCUGGUCCACAUAUACUUCUUCCUUAAGCACACCAUUCAGAAAAGCAGACUUGACAUCCAAUUGAUACAACUUCCACCCCUUUUGAGCUGCCAAUGCAAUAAAAGUUCUAAUGGUGUCUAAUCGGACUCUGCACCCCUCUCGAUUGAAAACCUAUUGUGUAAAUCUUCAAUCCUAAACGAUGCACCUAAAACACAUGUUGCAAUACACAUCCACCCAUUCUCAGGCCAAUUAUUGCUCAUAGUGGGCUCCCGACCCCCUCUCAAAUUUAAGUGGUCCAUUAUUCUUAACCACAUAUUUUAUGGACCAUCCAGCUGUGAGGUUUUGUCUCAAAAACCUUCGGUACAUUUCUCCCACAUGCCACAAUUGUAUAUUCACAAUUACGUCUGAUACAUCACAUCAUGCCACUUGCCUCAAAUGAAUUUAAGUGAGUGAGGCAGUUGGAAGUAAUUAAGCUCUAUAUUGGUGGGUGGAGUGUUACUUCUGGGUACCCCUCAUCAUUUGUCUAUAAAAUGGUGAAGUCAGUUGCUACUGUUACCAUAAGAGCCAGCUCCGACUUUCUUUAAUUUCUUGCUUCAUAUCCACUAGCUACAUCUGUUGCCAAGUUAAUUUCAGUCCUAAUGGGGUUUCAUCCCCCACUCAUCUUUGCUAUUCUCAGUGUAAGCUCUGCAAUUUGAUUAACUUUUCCAUGCUCUCUCAUUGUACUCUAUAUAAACGAAAGUUUUGUGGUCCUAUAAUUCUCUCUCGAUUUUAUUUAGUACGUACUUAAGUGUUGUCCACUAAUUAAUUACACUUUGUGAGAUUUGAUUUUAAUUAGAGUUCGAAUUAAUGUUGCAGCUAGCAGCGGUUGCACAGGCAAACAAUGCUGCUCAACCAGCACCUCAACUUUACUGGAACUCCGUCCUGCCAAACACACAGAUGCCAAGAUCUAUCAGUGAACUUCUGCAUCCUGGUUUGUGUUGAGCUCUUUAGAAUCUUAGAUAUCUCUUCUACCUGCCAUUUUACUUAAAUAUGUUCGACCACAUAUUUAUCAGUUAACUACUGUCAUUACAUGAGUGACACAUAUUCACAAAUCGGCUGAUCACUUAUUUUCCAUUAUGACGUUGAUAUAUAAUUUGCAGACUCCACAAAUGAAGAAAAGAGCACAAAUGACGUUGGCAAACCUGAAACUUUCCCAUUGGGCAAUCAAAAUUACUCCAGUCAAAAAAAUUAUGGAACAGGCAAUAAACGUUACUGCAGUCAAAAAAGGUAUGGAAGAGGCAAGAAACGUUACUGCGAUCAAAAAAAGUAUGGAAGAGGUGCUUCUCCAUCUGACAAUCAACUACUCCAUUAUAAAGACUUAGCUAUUUUCUUCUUGGAGAAGGACAUGCGCCCUGGCACAACAAUGAAGUUCCAAUUCUCUAGAAAUUCAAACACGGCUACUUUCUUGCCACGAGAAAGCGCUCAAUCGAUCCCCUUCUCCUCUAACAAACUACCAGAAAUUUUCAACCAUUUUUCAGUGAAGCCAACAUCUGAGGAAGCCAAAACAAUUAAGCAAACAAUCGAAGAGUGUGAAGCUCCCGGCCUUAAGGGAGAGGAAAUAUAUUGCGCCACAUCUUUAGAAUCAAUGGUUGAUUUUAGCACUUCGAAGCUUGGAACAAGAAACGUUGAAGCAAUCUCGACGGAGGUAUUGGAAAAAGGAGCCACCAUGUCCAUGCACAACUAUACAACAAUGCCGGGACUGAAGAAGUUGGCCAGUGACAAAGUCGUUGUGUGUCAUAAGCAGAACUAUCCCUAUGCUGUGUUUUUCUGCCAUGCAAUAAAACAUACAGCAGCUUAUGUUCUCUUCCUGAAAGGCGAUGAUGGGGAGAAGGUUAAAGCAGUAACCAUCUGUCAUCUAGACACAUCAGAAUGGAACCCAGAGCAUAUGUCCUUCCAAAUCGUCAACGUUAAGCCCGGAACCAUUCCCAUCUGCCAUUUCAUUUCCACUGAUGCUAUUGCCUGGGUUCCGAACCACAAAUCUGCAUGAUCAUCACUUAGCACUGUACGUAUAAUUAUCUCCUUACUUAUUUCUGCCUCUUCAUCAUGUGGUGUAAGAUAUAUGAUGAGAUGAAGUUUUUGGGAUUAGUGGUUGGGUUGCCUGAAAAACACAGAUUACAGAAACUGCUUGAAAUUAACCCGAUCAUGUUUUCUCUUGUAACUAUAUAGACUUCAACUUGUACUCAUAAUAAAGCAUGCUAUAUUUAUGAAGAGAUAUUAAUCUAUAUAUAUUUUUUAUAUAUGCUUUGGCUUUGUGGUUCUACCCAAUGUUUGAGUGUUGAAUUGUUACGUUGGAAUAGGCUGCUAAUGCAUGUAGUUAGAGAAGCCUUCAUUUAUAUCAAAGUCCUCAAACUAUCAAGAACUAAUGUAUCCAGAAACAUAUACCAAGACGCAAAACAACAUAUUUUCCAUGCUCUGUCUGUAACACCAAAGCAAACUUCCUUGAUCACAAAAGGAUCAAAUUCCAGUACUAAUCUAAUCCAUCAUGUAAAGCAUACAAGUGCCUCCCUAAAUACUAUACUCUUUUUGUUAUUUCCUACUAUACUAUUUAAGAUUUAAAAUUCAGGUCAACCCAUAGAUUUCUCGCCUUUUUCUUCUUCAUCUCGUCGGGCUUGUCUUCUUCUUGAGGAUUGUAUAGGCCAAGGAAAUGCUUUGAGUUAGUUUUUGCGCUUUUGCGUUUUGGGCCUUGGAAGUUGGGACCCAAACCAACUUCACAAAAAGAAAACGCUCAGACUAUAAUGAGUGGAAAGUUAUAAGGGGUAAGUUAUAAGGAGUUCACUUUAUAGCCAUCAGAUCAAUCUAAGGGCUGGGGAGAAUUGAGAUAAAGUUUUAAAAUCGGGUAGGUGAGGAACCCAAACCCGAAUUGAAUAUCCAGCACGUCCGAAAAAGAAGAAGAAGAGGCAAGCACGUCCGAAAAAGAAGAAGAAGAGGCAAGGUCGAAGUUUGAACAGAAAAAACUCAUCUCUUUAAAACCCAUAGCUCUGAGAAACGGUUGAAGGCAACGGUUAACGACGGUUGUUGAAGCCACUCCGUUCUCCAGACCCUGAAAAAGUAUUUAUUUUGAGUAGAAGGGGCAAAUGUGUGGAUUCCGAAACAGUGAAGGGGCGAAGCAGUGGAAGGGGAAGGAGAGAAGCCGUAUUCGUUGGAAGUGGUAGGUUCCAUUUGUGGAGCAAAGCAACACAAAGACCCCGCACAGACACCUUGCGAUUGUUCAAUAACCAGCAUUUGGUGAGUAAUUUAUGGAAUUUGAGUUUAGGGUUAGAGUAAUGGUUUUCCCCAAUUUGUACCAUCAAUUUUGUUGGAUUUGGCAUCUCUUCUUUGUGCUUCAGUUGCAUGUUAAUUUUUGCUUGGGUAUAUGUUAAAAAAAGAAUGAAAAUCAAGUCAAUAACAAGUGAAUAACAUGUCAAUAAUGAUAUGAAUAAGAUAAUGGUGUUGAAUUGGAGGAGGCCCUCAAAACAUUCCACAUUUGAAGCAGUGCAUAGUGCAGAUUAUCUCUCUGGCGCUAGAAUAUAUAUAUAUUUUGAAAUAAAUAUGAUUUCCUUUGUUACUAAAUUUGCCUGAGAAACAUGAGAACAGAUAAUAAUAAACUCAUGAAUAGAAGUGCAAAGCAUUUGAUGAGUAAUUUAUGGAAUUUGAGUUUAGGCCCAGGAAAUUCCUUGACCCCAAAAAAAAAAAAAAAGUUGAUUUAAAAUUCAGGUCAACCCAUAGAUUUCUCGCCUUUUUCUUCUUCAUCUCGUCGGGCUUGUCUUCUUCUUGAGGAUUGUAUAGGCCCAGGAAAUGCUUUGAGUUAAUUUUUGCAUUUUUGCGUUUUGGGCCUUGGAAGUUGGGACCCAACCCAACUUCACAAAAAGAAAACAGAUUUGCCAAAAAUCAAAUUUCAAGUCUCUCCUCCGAUCGAAAUUUGGAUUUGAUGAACUAAAGUGGUUUUACUUUCUCCAUCAGUGUUUGAUAACUUAAUUUGUUAUUUACUUUUUUUUUAAAAAACUUUGGCUUAUAUAUAUUAGUUUUCUUUUUUCCUUCAUAUUCACCACCUUUAUGUUGCAUAAGUAUUUCAGUCUUAAUGGGUUUCCAUCUACCACUCAUCUUUGCUCUUCUCAGUGUAAGCCUUUUUUUUUUUUUAAAGCACAAGAUUAGAGGGGAGGGGGAUUUCUCAAUGUAAGCUUUGCAGUUUCAUAAUUAAUAUUUCCAAUAUCUCACUGUUAGUAAAAUACAGAAAAAGUACUAAUAACAUAUGCACAUGUUACUAAUUUAUUGAGAUAAAACACCAUUUUGCCCCUAGAAUAUUUUAUUAGGUUUAAAGUUGACUUUUUGACCAGGAAGGAAUUUGGGUAUUUAGACUAUAUCGUUGCGUAGAGCAUGGCGAGAUGAGUCCGUAGACACAUGAUUGGCUCGAAUCAGAGUUAUAAUGAGAGAGAUACGAUCAAAAUACCCUCAGUGGUAUAACCGUAAUUUUGGCUUAAAGGGUUUGAUAAAAUAUAAUUUUUCUUUCUUUCUUUCUCUCUCUCUCUCUCUCUCUCUCUCUCUCCUCUCUCUCACGACGGCAGUGAUAGCCGGCCACUUUUUGGCCAGCCAUGCUCUCGUCCGGCCACUAAAGUUGACGGGGCCGGUACCAAAAUGACCGGGCCACCAUCCUUUUCCAACCCCAGCCAGGCCCCACUGCCAGCAGUCGUGAUUUUGCUGAAAAAUGGAGAAGAAGCGGCCGAUUUCGUUCGAACUUCUCCGACUUCGUUCUCUCUCCUCCGGCCACCGAUUUCGAUGAAUGAGGUAUGGUUUCUCACCUACUUUUUAUGCUCUAGCUGCCUGUUGGGUAGGAUUCGAUCAAUUCCUUGCGUAGGUAGCUUGAUUUUCGAAUUGGAUUUCGGCCGGUUUUGGGAUCUCGAUUCCGGCCACUUCCGGUCAGUUUUUGGGGUACAUCCCAAAACAAAAGUGGUUCUAAAUAGGGUGUUAUACCUAGGGUAGGAACCUUGAACCGUAAUUUUGAGAAUUUUCGGUGAUGCCUAAUCGCUUUGGACACCUACGCUAUGCCUGCGUGUGGGCACUAUAGAAAAAGGGCAUUGUGUCCCGAUGCAAUCCCCUUGUUGUCUUGAGCGCGUAGGUGUGCUCGGAUUUCAAUUUGGAUACCGUUUGAAUCUCGAACGAAUAUCGCAUAUUGUGCGUUAUUCGGGGUCGAUAGGUUUGAACUGUUGGAUAGUCUUAGAUUUAUAAUAUGUUAAUCUAGACAUUCUUAGGAUCGAAUGGGAUUAAACGGAUCGUAAAACGGAGUCCCGGAUACUCCAAAAAUGCCAACCCUAGGGCUAGGUUCCUAGUAACCGUCCGAUCGUGCGAUCGUGAGCGAUCCGACCGUUUGAUCCGAACCAAACUUGCAGGACGUGUAUCCUAAACCUUGUAGAACCCAUAGGAACUUUCGGAUUAGAAUUUGGAGGUCGUGGGCCCCUUGGGCCGUUUGACUAAGUUUGGGUAGUUUGACCCUUGGCUGAUCGUGAGUCUUCAGAGGUCUUGAGCGUUGUUGAGCUAUGUUGACUAGGUUUAGACUUUUAGAGUGUUUAUUAUUAUCAUAGGAAACUAUUAGAUAUUAUUUUAAUAAUUGAAAUUAUCAAAUUUAUGUUUAUGUGCAUGAUUGUUGGUCUAAAAAUAACAUUGUUUUCUUGAUAAAAUUACGUUGCAGUCUACUAUAGACUGGUAUCACUAAAUGGAGAUUACCUCUAUUAUUAGUUUAGAUAAUUAAGAGUAUGUCAGUUUGAAGUGCUAUAUGCACUACCCUAAGUACCACCCUGUGAUUGUUAGGUCCCAUGUGGUGUAGAUUAUACAGCGUCAGGACAGACCCCAUACGUGGCUUUGGAUGUUCUGGCGCAUGGGGGAGAUUAUGUAAUGGUUAGGUCAUACGUGGCGUAGGUUAUUCAGCGUGUUGACAGACCCUAUACGUGGCGUUGGAUGUUCCAGUAUGGAAAGAUUUUGUGAUUGUUAGGUCCCACGUGGCGUAGAUUAUCCGGCGUGAGGACAAACCCCAUUCGUGGCUUUGGAUGUUCCUGCGUAUGGGGGAGAUUAUGUGAUGGUUAGGUCACACGUGGCGUAGGUUAUUCGGCGUGUUGGCUAACCCCAUAAGUGCCGUUGGAUGUAACGACCGGUCCUAAAUAAAUUAGUGAAUAUUAAUUUAUUCAGAGAAAAUACCAUUUUGCCCAUAGAGUAUUUUAUUAGGUUCAAAGUUGACUUUUUGAUCAGAAAGGAAUUUGAGAAUUUCGAUUAUACCGUUGCAUAGAGCACGGCGAGAUGAGUCCGUAGACACGUGGUAUGCUCGAAUCGAAGUUGUAACGAGAGAGAUACGAUCAAAAUACCCUCAGUGGCAUAACCGUAAUUUUGGCAAAAAGGGUCGAUAAAAUCAUAUAUAUAUAUUUUCUCUCUCUCUCUCUCUCUCUCUCUCUCUCUCUCUGCGAUAUUGUCCCUCUCUCUCUUUGAUUCACUGCCAUCUGCCCACGGCAGGACUUGAGACUGGUCACGUUUGAACCGGCUCGAUGUCCCGAUCACGUCGCACCCAAAAUGCAAAUGGAAACCUUGAAUUCCAGCCACGGCUUCGACUGGUUUGAACUGGGUUUUUCCCGGCGUUGCGCCACCGCCUCCGCCGCCCAAUUCCGGUGAAACAGGUAUAAUUCCUCACCUAUUUUUCGAGAUCCAGCUGUUGUUGUGUAGGAAUUAGACGAUUUUCAUGUUUAGGAACUCGAUUUAGAAUUUAGGUUUUGGUCGAAUUUUCAAAGUGAAAUUUCGGCCACUUCCGCUGGUUUUUCGGGGUAUGUCUAAGAACAAAAGUGGUUCCAAAUAGGGUGUUAUACCUAGGGUAGGAACCUUGAGCUGUGAUUUUGAGAAUUUCCGGCGAUGCGUAUUCGCUUUGGACACCCACGCGCCGACAGCGCGUGGGCACUGUAGAAAAGGGGCAUUGUGUCUCAAUGCGAUCUGCUUGUUGUCUUGAGCUCGUAGGUAUGCUCGAAUUUCAAUUUGGAUACUGUUUGAGUCUCGAACGGAUAUCGCAUAGUGUACGUUAUCCGGGUUUGAUAGGUUUGAACCAUUGGAUAGUUUUGAAUUUGAUAUAUGUUAAUCUAGGCAUUUCUAGGAUCAUGUAGGAAUUCAGGGAUCAUGAAUCAGAGCCCCGGAUGUUCCGAUUUAAUAACUUAAAGUUUAUGUUUAUAAUAACUAUCAGAUCGUGCGAUCGUGAGCGAUCCGACUGUCUGAUCUGGACCAAACUUGCAGCACGUAUAUCCUAAACCUUGUGGAACAUAAAAAAAUUUCGGAUUAGAAUUUGGAGGUCGUGGGCCCCGUGGGCCCAUUUAACCAAUUAUGGGUAGUUUGAUCCUUGGUUGACCGUGAGUCUUCCGAGAUAGUUUUACCUUCCUAGGAGGAUUAUAAUGACCCUAGUGAUAGGUCUUGACCGUUGUUCAGCUAUGUUGACUAGGUUGAGACUUCUAGAGUGUUUAUUAUAUUAUUGUAGGAAACUCUUAGAUAUUAUUUUAAUAAUUGAAAUUAUGAAAUUUAUGUUUAUGUGCAUGAUCGUUGGUCUAAAAAUAAUAUUAUUUUCCUGAUAAAAUUACGUUGCAGUCUACUAUAGACUAGUAUCACUAAAGUGGGAAUACCUCUAUUAUUAGUUGAGAUAAUUGGGAGUAUGUCAGUUUGAAAUGUUAUACCCUAAGUACUACUCUAUGAUUGUCAGGUCACCCGUGGCGUAGGAUUUUCCGGUGAGAUGACAGACCCCAUACGUGGCGUUGGAAUUUCCAACGUAUGGAGAGAUUAUAUGAUUGUUAGGUUUCACGUGGCGUAGGAUUUUUCAGCGGGAUGACAAACCCCAUACGUGGCAUUGGAAGUUUCAGCGUAUGGGGAGAUGAUAUGAUUGUUAAGUCACACGUGGCGUAGGUUAUUUGGAGUGCUGACAGACCCCAUACGUGGCGUUGAAAUUUCUGGCGUAUGGAGAGAUGAUAUGAUUGUUAGGUCACUUUGGAUGUUCUAGCGUAUUGGGAGAUUAUGUGAUUACCAGUGAGAUGAAUAAAGGAUUGUUAUGUUAUAUUGGGAAAAACAUGUUUGUAGAAAGAAUUACGUGUGGCUUGAUCCCUCAGUAAGGGUACGUAGGCAGCCUAGGGUAGUGCCUUGGUGCAGUCGCUGACUAAACAUUAUAAUGUUGUUUUUAGGUUUGAUUAUAUGGUAUUAUGGGGCAAGGCCCCUAGGACUAUUGGUGAUAAUUCAUAGAUGGUAGUGGAUGCAUGCUAGAAAUUUGUAGGAAGUUAUUUCAUGUGGAUUGCAGUGGUACUCGUAAAAUUUAUUUGAGUUCCUUAAUUGCAUUGUUAAUAUAUUAAUUUACUUAAGAGUACUGCUAGUAGUUCUGCCUUGAUUUAUUUGAAGGCUGGAGGCCUUGUCUGGAAACUGUGUGCAAUUAGAUUGUGUGUGCUGGCAGUUGACUUUUUAAAUUGUGAAUUUUGUGCAGGUUGAAAUUUGGGAAAUGUUCAAUUUACAGGGGAGACUCUGCUGAAAUUUCGGUAGAAAGUCUUGUGCCCUUAUUCCUUUUUGGGGAAAAGGAUAUAGUUUUAGAAGUGGCGAUGUCGGGAAUUUCCACAGGAUUCGUCUCGGGUUUCGGGAAAUUCGGGGCGGGUCUGAAAAAGUUGUUUCAGUUUUGGCAAGUAUCGGAAAAGACCAAAAUUUUCCGACUUUAUUAUUACUAGAAACAAGGUCGAAGUAUUUACCAAUCAUGUGGCCUUCCAAGUGCUCUAGGUUAAGCCAGGAACCGUUCCUAUCUGCCGUUUCCUUCCCAACUAUGAUCAUGUUGUCUGGGUUCCAACCCACAAAUCUACAUUGGGCUACGUAUUUGAAUUUGUACUAAAGCGUGAUCUAUAGUAUGCAUAUAUUGGAUAAGUUUGAGAUCAGUGGCUUGGGUGUCCGCUGAGCUUGAACAAGUUUGGGUGUGCUGAGUGUUUCCAUGGGUGUGUUGAUGAUCAUGGUUAUUAGAUUUGUGAUAGUUUGGGCUCAAUUUCAACAGAACUCAUCUCAAGCCUAGAUAGUUGAUUCUUAAGUUUAUCAGGAAAAAAAAUUAAAAAUUAAAAAAUCUAAAGUUAAGCCCAAGGCGCCGAACUUGGACUUCUCACCAAACUGUGCAUAAAUUGAAAUAUUUAAUAGAAGCCCAAGAUUUUUGAAGCACAUAAUAUCUACAAAAAUCUACAAAGUGUAAUACUUUACAAACUUCUUAUGUGUACCAAUUUCUGCUCAAAUUAAUUUCUCUGUGGUGCUGAGAUUCAUCAUAAUUUUAGUAGAAAUUGGAAGUUUUCAUCAUUUUUGCUUUAAGUCUCUCCUCCACUCACUAAUAAAGAUUACUCAAGUGAGUUUACAAAACAUUUUUUUUCUACUCUCUCCUGAAGACUACACAUCUUCUCAAAAGAUUAGAUCACUUCACAUCUUGUAUAUGUGAAAACUAAUGCAAAAAGUUGAAACUUUAUCAUAAAACCUCGACAAAAAUUAGCUCUACUUAGAACAUUAAAUUUGGAUUCGUUGAUUUAAAUGGCAAUUUGACACUUCAUAGAAAUUUUUACAUACAUGUGUUAGUGUUUGAUCACUUCACUUAUUACUUACUAUAUUUAUUCCAUGAUUCUCCCUCAAGUUAUGUAAAUAUUAUUAUCAAACAUUUCAAUUCAUUUGUGAUAUUUCUUGUCCAUCUUUCAAUGUACCCUGAAAUCCAUUAGCCACAUAUGAUGACCAAAAUCCACACUCUGUUGUUUGCAAACGUUCAAUAUACGACUUGCAUCCACAGUCCUGACCCAAAUGAAAUGCGGAAACUGUCAAGCUAACUGUAGGGAGGACUAUAUUUGAUUUUACCUUAAAGACUGAUCCGAAACCACCUUCUCCAAGUUUAUUGUUGUUUGAAUAGUUUUUGGUUGCACAAACAACAGCGGCCAAGUCAAAUAAUGGCAAUUCCAGAUCUUCCUUUUGGCCGGGCUUCAGUUCUCCUGUGAAGUACGUAGUGAAGUAAAUAAUGUAGCAUGGAACCUUAGCUUAGAAACCAGAGAGGCAACAGCAAAAAUUUUCUAUAGAACUGAACCUACCUAUCUUAGAAAAUGAAGGGGCAGAAGAGUAGAAAAUCAAAUAGCUUACCAUAUUUUUGUUGCUGGUUCUUCCUCACAUAUAAUAGCAGGGUAAGGCCCAGGGUCAGCAGUCCAGUAGACAACACAGUACUGGUUACUAUGAUCUUUGUAUUGUGUCCUUGAUCUAGGAAUGAAGUAUUUGAAAGCAGAAGAUUGAGGAGUCAGAAAUUCAUAAAGAAAAAAUCUCUACUUUUUAUCAUCCAACGAACAAUUAAUGCUAGUUUCUGAGACAGUUCUAAAGAAAUAUUUUUCUAACAAUGUCAAAAGUUUUCUGGCUCUAUCUUGUUUCUAAUCAUGUCACUGUUGGAAGAUUUCUUUCUUCUUUUUUCCUUGGUGGCUUUUAUUUUUCUUUCAAACUUUGUUUUAAACAGCAAGAUGAUUCCAUACCUAGUUCUGACGAAGCCAUUCUUAUGUAAAUAUCUUGCCCAUUUAUAUUGGAAUAUCUUAUAUCAACCAGAUCGCUGAACCACAGCAAGGACCCCCUUCCUCCAUCUCGGAUAUCCAAAUUUGAAAAAGCGGCGCAGGAGCAGUUGUUCAUGCACAUCAUCUCACAUUCCUUGAGGUUCAUAAUUGUGUUAUACUAGGAUUGUUCUGUACUUUAUUUCACCCCAGUGUACUUCUUAAAGAUGUCUCCACUGCAAUUCAGUUGGCUCUUUCUCACAGAUCUAUAUGACCAAUCCACCAAGUCCCAGUCUUGUUGAAAGUCGGUAUAAAUCCUUUCAAGCAGCUACGUACUGGGGACUUGUCAAUACAACAUGCACCAUUCGGACCACAUAUUCCAUAUUUGUCGCAGAUAUCAGUCGUUGCUCUUAGAUAAACAACCCAACCUUGGUUUCCAUCACUCCCGAUGUAGCUCAGCCCAAAUCCAUCUUGAGUUAACGCCAGCCUGAAAAGAGUUGAGCUGUUGAGAAGCUUAUAACCAUAAUAUACUUCAUCAUCAUUAUCCAACACAAAAUCAUAUGUUGGAUUUAAAUUAUGCAUCCCACUAAAUUGGAUUCCAUUCCAUGGUGCAGUCCGAUAUUUUAUAACAGAACCCUCCCUCAGAAUUAAUUCAUGGUACCCAUAAGGACCAAGUUGAUAUGGGUAAUGUCCUUGAGAAGGAUCCUGGGGGCUUUUCCAGGGUGUAAGAUGCCAAUUAAAACCUGUGAUUUUGUUCCUAACAAGCUUCAUACCUGGUAUUAAUGUAUCUCCUGGGUAAUCAAAACUCUGCCAUAAAAUAUUAUCAGAGUCAUUACGACCAUUGCCAUCUAUCACAACAAGAUUUCCGGAAUCCAAAAUCUGUGCCACUGGAUUCUAUGAAGAACUUGAUGUGUUGGAAGACCUGUAGUGUUCUUUGUUGAAUAUUUGGAUUGCAAAGGGAGCAAGAAAUGUACUGAGAGAGAAAGAGAGAGAGAGAGAGAGAGAGAGAGAGAGAGAGAGAGCAGUGAGCCUUAGAUUGUUCUAACAGUUUUCUUACUCUGCAUGAACAUAGCAGCAGAGCUUAUAUUCCUUCAUGACUGUUACAUGUUCUCUCUUACAUCAGUAGAUUCAAAUCUAACGGUUUGUAAUAGUAAGCCAAUGUGAGUAUGACACAUGGCAAUACACAGCUGUCCUAACAGCUGGGAAUUCAAAACAGACUCUAGCAUUGCACCUGGCAUAUAAGCACAAGGCACUCAGCUAACACAAAGAUUAAAAACAGAUUGAAUAUAAACUGACAUAGAACUUACUAACUAAUCUGAAAUUAGCUAGACAGUUUACAUUUUAACACUCCCUUCUAAAGUGCUAGCUGAUUUCACUCCAAGCAUUCUCCUCAAAUAGUCAAACCUGUCUUUGGGAAGAGCUUUGGUGAAGAUAUCAGCAAUCUGCUCUUCUCCUUUGCAGUAGAGCAGUUCAAUCACUUCUUCUUGUAUUGCAUCUCUAAUAAAAUGAAACUUCCUUUUAAUAUGCUUGCUCCGUUGAUGAAAAACAGGAUUUUUAGCCAUUGCUAUGGCUGAAGUGUUGUCACAAAACACAGUUGUUGCAGUGGUCUGUUCUUCCCCAAAAUCUUCAAGAACAAACCUGAGCCAAAUGGCUUGUGAUGUAGCUUCUGCUGCACUCACAUACUCUGCCUCUGCAGUAGAGAGAGCCACACUGUGUUGUUUGACUGAUGCCCAUGAAAAAGCACCACUUCCAAAUGAAAAUGCAUAUCCAGAAGUGCUUUUCAUAUCUUCCUCAGAUCCACUCCAGUCACUGUCACAGUAACCAACUAAGAGUGCAGAUUUUCCUGUCACAUACUCAAUUCCAUAGUCAAUUGUGCCUUGUAUGUACCUUAGAACCCUUUUAGCUGCCCCAUAGUGCAUCUUAGAAGGGUUAUGCAUGAAUCUUGCAAGCAGGCAGGCAGAGAACAUGAUAUCUGGCCUGGUUGCAGUAAGGUACAGCAGGCUGCCUACAAUUUUUCUGAACAAACUUUCAUCUGCAGCAUCACUUCCAUCCUCUCUUUUCAAUUUAUCAGUAGCCACUAAUGGAGUGCUUACUGACUUGCAGUCUUUGAGUCCAAACUUAUCCAAGAGAGUGAGAGCAUACUUCUUUUGAUGAAUGAAGAUGCUCCCUUCAGUUUGUGUUACUCCCAUACCAAGAAAAUGGUGGAGUAAACCCAAAUCAGACAUCUCAUACUUGCACAUCAUUUCAGCUUUGAAUUCUUUCAUCAUUUCAUCUCUACUUCCUGUGUACACUACGUCAUCUACAUAGAUUGACACUAUUAGUGUUCCCACCUUCCUUUGUUCUCACAUAGAGAGUGGCUUCACUUGGACUUCUGUGAAAACCACACUGAUUCGAGUAGGUGUCAAUUUCACUAUACCAGGCCCUUGGAGCCUGCUUCAACCCAUAGAGGGCUUUUCUUAACCUAUACACCUUAUCCUCAUCAUCUUUAACCACAAAACCAUCCGGUUGAUCAAUAUAAACUUCUUCUUCAAGGACACCAUUUAGGAAGGCUGACUUGACAUCCAAUUGCCAUAGUUUCCAGCCUUUCUGAGCAGCAAGAGCUAUGAGAGUUCUAAUGGUGUCUAACCUUGCUACAGGAGCAAAGGUUUCAUUGAAAUCAAUCCCUGGUUUUUGUGUGUAUCCCUUGGCAACAAGUCUUGCUUUAUGUUUUUGAAUGGAGCCAUCAAGAUUAAGCUUAAUUUUGAAUAUCCACUUCACUCCCACAAUUGGUUUACUACUUGGCCUGUCAACCAAUUCCCAACUGGAGUUUUUCUCUAUCAUAAGUAUCUCCUCAGUCAUAGCCUUCCCCCAAGCUUCAUCUUUGACUGCUUCUUCAAAAUUUUCAGGUUCAAUGAUGCUCAUCUUGCAUUGAGCAUACACUUCACUCAAACUCUUCCAUUUCUUUGGGGUGUUAUCAUAAGUUUCUAAUGGAGCAGAGUCUUGAGUAGCAUGCACAUCAUUACUUGUUUGUGUUUCCAUAGGAGACUGUACAAUCUGUUGCUGUAACAGAUUUGGUUAUGAAUCCAAAUCUGAUACAAUUGAACUUACUCCAUCACCCCAAGACAUAGGGAUUUGCAAUGCCUCAUUGGUUUCCCAAUUCCACAUUGCUUCUUCAUCAAAAAUAACACUCCUAGACAGCUCAAUCUUUUGAGUUCUCAAGUUGAGCACUCUAUACCCCUUUUCACAUACACCAUAUCUUACAAAUACUCCCUUCUCACCUGUGUCUUCCAGCUUGUGCCUUUUCUGUGUGGGGAUGUGAAUAUAGCAUAGAGAACCAAAUAUUCUCAAAUGCUUGACACCUGGUUUUCUUCCACCGAACUUUUCAAAUGGAGUGGAAUUGUCCAGUGCACUUGUAGGACAUCUGUUCUGCAAAUAUACAGCUGUAUUGACAGCUUCUGCCCAAAACUUCAAAGGGAUUUUCUUCUCAUACAUCAUGGCUCUUGCCAUUUCCAUCACAGUACGAUUCUUUCUCUCUGUAACUCCAUUCUGUUGUGGAGAGUAGCCUACUGNNNNNNNNNNNNNNNNNNNNNNNNNNNNNNNNNNNNNNNNNNNNNNNNNNNNNNNNNNNNNNNNNNNNNNNNNNNNNNNNNNNNNNNNNNNNNNNNNNNNNNNNNNNNNNNNNNNNNNNNNNNNNNNNNNNNNNNNNNNNNNNNNNNNNNNNNNNNNNNNNNNNNNNNNNNNNNNNNNNNNNNNNNNGGUGUGGUCAUCAAUGAAGGUGAGGAAAUAUCUGUUCCCUCCAAGAGUGAUGGUCUGCAUUGGACCACAAAUGUCUGAGUGAAUCAGUUCUAGAGGUUGAGUGGCUCUCCAAGCUCCUUCCUUAUCAAAAGAGCUUCUGUGAUUCUUGCUUUCAGCACAACCUGAGCAGACCUUCUCAUGUUCUUGUAAAUUAGGCAUUCCCUGAACCAUAUCUCUCUCUUGUAACAACUUCAAACUAAUAUAGUUUAGGUGCCCAAAUCUUCUGUGCCACAGCCAGGAUGUUUCUCCAACUGUUGCUCUGUUUGCCAUAGGAGGAUUAACAUAGUCAAGAUUUAAAGGAAAACAUUUGUUUCCCUUCAUUGGCACUCUUGCAAUGCAAUCUUCCAACUGCCUAUCUCCAUAGAUAUCAACUGCAUUAUCACCAAAUACAAGCCAAUGCCCAUGUUCUAUCAUUUGACCUACACUUAGCAAAUUUUCAUCUAAACUUGGUACAAUCAUGAUUUCUUUGAUAUAUCUAGUCACACCCUUCAUUUCUAUAGCCAAAGUCCCUUUGCCUAUUAACUGCACUAGAUCACCAGUCCCCAUUUUGACUUUACUCUUCAUACUUUUAUCAACAUUUACAAGUAAUGACUCAUGGGAAGUCAUGUGAUUGCUGCAUGCACUAUCAACAUACCACAUAUUCACAUUCUUUCCAAUUGUUGCAGCAUGACAUGCAUAGAACAUAAUGGCAGGUUCAGUUACCUGAUUUGCAAUGUUAGCAAGUUUCCCUGCCUUGUUUGCUUGGUCACAGUCCUUAACAAAAUGACCAAAUCGAUUGCAGCCAUGACACUUUGGUUUUCCUUUAAACCAACACUCACCAUAGUGUAACUUCUCACAAUGUUUGCAUUUUCCAGAUUUGUCUCCUUGACUUGGUUUUCCCCCUUGAUUGGCACUGUUUUGGGGUUUAGAAUCCCAUUUCUUAUCCUUGGACUUCCAAUUCUUCUUUGAUUUAUUAGAGCCAGAACUAGAACUUGAUUGAGAUCCUUUUGAGUUUAUGCUCAUGCUGCUGAAAGCUUUCUCAGUGGUGCUUUCUGCAUGUCUGUCAAGGCGCUGAGCAAAACCUCUUAAUGCUGCAAUUACCUCCUGCACUUCAAUGGUUUCAAUGUCUCUAGUUUGCUCAAUCACAUAGCAGACUGGAUCAAAUUCCUUGGUUAAGCUUAUUAGCAGUUUUUGAACUAUCCUCCCUUUGGUCAGAUCUUCCCCAUAUCCCUUCAUCUGAUUUACAAGCUCAAGUAACCGAGUGAUGUAUCCAGACAAGAUCUCAUCAUCCUUCAUCCUGGUGUACUCAAAAUCUCGACGCAGACCCUGCAACAUGAUGGAUCUGACUUGCUUAUCACCAUGAAACUCCUGAUGCAAGAUAUCCCAAACACCUUUUGAGGUUUCUUCAUUUGAGAUUCUGGGAAAGAUGUCAUCUGAAACAGCACCUUGGAUAAUACCAAGAGCCUUAGCAUCUUUCAUCAACAAGGACACCAUCUCUGAAUCUGAUGACCCUUCUUUAUCAGCUUUUGAAUCUGGAACUUGAAGGCCUUUCUCAACCAAAUUCCAGAUUCCAUGAGAUUUGAAAAUUGUUCUCAUUCGAAUCUUCCAAAACUCAUAGUUCUCCCCAUUGAAUAUUGGAGCUCUAAGAUCACUCCCUCCUGACCCAGCCAUCUGAGACCAGACUCAAUGAGUUGAGAGUAGGAAAUUUCCCGUUGGAUUUCCAGACUCAGCUCCCACAGCUUCAACGCCCUCUAUCCAGAUCCAACCUGCGCACCUGAUACCAUGUUGAAUAUUUGGAUUGCAAAGGGAGCAAGAAAUGUACUGAGAGAGAGAGAGAGAGAGAGAGAGAGAGAGAGAGAGCAGUGAGCCUUAGAUUGUUCUAACAGUUUUCUUACUCUGCAUGAACAUAGCAGCAGAGCUUAUAUUCCUUCAUGACUGUUACAUGUUCUCUCUUACAUCAGUAGAUUCAAAUCUAACGGUUUGUAAUAGUAAGCCAAUGUGAGUAUGACACAUGGCAAUACACAGCUGUCCUAACAGCUGGGAAUUCAAAACAGACUCUAGCAUUGCACCUGGCAUAUAAGCACAAGGCACUCAGCUAACACAAAGAUUAAAAACAGAUUGAAUAUAAACUGACAUAGAACUUACUAACUAAUCUGAAAUUAGCUAGACAGUUCACAUUUUAACAUUCUUAUGGUCGGCAGGGACAAGAAUUCCAGGGCUGCUCAACUUGAAUACACCUGAUGAACCAGUGAGGGGUGUGUUUCUUUUAGUCUGCACUAUAUAUGCAGGGUCUGACUCUAAUUAGAAGAUAAUUGUAUUAAUUUGGUAAAGCUUUGUCUGUAACUGUCUCGCACCUUAAAAAAAUUUCACAAUUAGCAGCAUUGGCAAUACUUGAUUAGAAAGCAGAAACCCUACAGUAUAUAGUUAAGUUGAGUAGCUGGGAAGACAAUUAGUAAGCUUUCAAUACUAAAGUUGAAUAUUGGGGAGACAAAUUACUAGAGCUUCAAGUUCAGAUAAAUAGGAUGAAUUUCUCUUAAGGGAUCCCCUUUCACUGUAGCUUGGAGUAGAAUUCAUUUUGACACAAUAUCAAUUAUCAAUGUAAACACGUUACUGAUGCACUAUUGACAAUAUCGAUGCACGUCAUAUCAUAUUUGUGGGAGUAAAUUUCCUCACGAGAAUAUUUGGUUCAAAAGAUUCCCCUUUUUUUUUUUUUUGCCGCCUCUUUCUCCUUGCAAAAUAGAACAAAUAAGAGGACCACACCCGGGGGGUGUUGGCCAAAGGCCCUCCGAUGCUAAAUUAGUUCAAGUAUUUGUAAGAAAAAUACUAGCUAACUAGGGUACAGAGGUGUAUUUAAGGUGUAAACCGGGCAGCCGAAGUCUUAUGUAAAAGAGAGAGAGAAAGGAGGUGGCUAGCGUUUGAGAGGAAUUUUCUGCAGAGUUUUUAGUAGAGAUUUCAGACGUACCUCAACCAUUGUGUGUGGCCAUCUUUUUAUAGUGGUCUUGGAGGCUAGGGUUUCAGAGGAAUAAUUCCGUAGAUGGAAAGGAAUUAUUCCUCCCCUAUUUGGAAUUGAUUUGAUUAAUUAGGGAUUUGAUUUAUUAGGGUAAAUCAAAUCCCUAAUUGUGGUAGGUAUCAAAUCAAAUCCUUUUUUAAUUAGGUAACUCCUCAUUUAAUUGGGAAUUGUGGUAGGAAUCAAAUCAAUUCUCAACCUAAUUAGGUAACGUUCAAUUUAAUUGGGUAAUUCCCAAUUAAAUUGAGUAACUCCCAAUUAGGUUGAUUAAUUCCCAAUUAGAUCAAAUAAUCCCCUAAUUGAAGGAAUUAUUUGACCUAGGGUCUGAUUUAAUUCGAUUCCCACAAAUGCCCCCCAGCUUCUGCAUGGUGCAUGGUGGCACGUAGGAGAUGUAAAUUAUCUGUUGGGCUGUCCAGCUGUAACUGGGCUUCCUUCGUGGACCUGGGCUCCCGAGUAGAGGAGGUGUUUGACUUGCCAAUUUUAUGAACACCCAAUUGGAAAGGGUUUGAGAUUCCUUGUAGGUCAAGGAAUUUUGCUCCUUAUAAAUGUAGGGCUCCUCCAAAUUAUUCUCGACAUCAGAAAUCUACUCCUCCAAAUUUGUUAGUGAGAGAGAGAAGACUUUGGAGAAUUUUUCAGCGUGCUUGAGACUUCAUCUUUGCAGCCCAUCCAAGGUAAUUUGAUAGGAAGAAUUUUAUUUUGAGUUGCUAUGACUUUUGGCAGCAAGCUGUGAGACUAAGGGCAUGUCUUGAGGUGCGCGCUAGGGCUUUAGGCAUGGCAAGAGACUCGGAAAGGCUAGCAGGUUCGUUUCCACCUACGCUGGGCUCAAGGAGAAGGCAACAGGGCUUCAGGCCUUGUGGAUGAAGUGGGCUUUCGCUGGGAGCAAGAGGCCUGGAGCUGAGGCAAGGAGACAAUGGGCCUGGUACGAGGUGUGGGCUGAGCAUGCCAGCUUUGGAGCAAGGGGGCCAGGACGACUGCUGGGCAGGAGGUGCGCUGGGCUGCAUGCGCGAGCUGCGCCGAGUGCUGGCUGGAGGAGCGAGCUGGGCUGCGCGCUAGGCCAUUCAUGCUGGGCUACUUCCGUUUUUUUUUUGUUUUUUUUUAAAUUUUAUUUGCUGUUGCUGCUUUUUUUUUUGUUUUUUUGUUUUUUUUUUGUUUGGUAUUCUAACUCGUAAUUUUUUUUUUCUUCUUACAGCUACUUGUUGAUCAACCAUGUCUUCCGGAGAUGGUAGCAAGGCUCCAAGCUCUUAGGUCCUUUUGUAUUUAUGGGGAGGCUCCAUAGUGCAUGGCAAGAAGUUUGUGGUCAACUUGCAUCGCGUCACGACUUAUGCUCAGUUCCAGAAGUGGCGGGCCACUUAUGCGUCUGCCAUUCCAGAUGACGUGCUGGUCAAGCUAUUGAAAUCUCAAACUGAUAACGAGCCUUUGGUGGACGUGAGUGAUCAUGAUGCUAGGAUCAUUACCUUCCGUCCUUUUUACUUCUCUUUAGGCUUCAAAUUCCCGUUGUCAAAGCUCUUCAAGAAGGUGUUCUGUGCCAUGGGGUGUGCUCCGAGCCACUGUACUCAUGUGCUUCAAGAAUUUGAGUCGUUUCUUCAUGUUGGAGCUGACGAUGCGAGAGUUCUUUUAUUUUUUUCGAAGUGAGGCACUUUGAGCGGUACGCCCAAGUUCGUAUCUACAAGGCCAAGCUGUUCCACGGUCUCAGUCAAGGAGAUCACGCUUGACAUGAAGAUGUGUUGGAGGUCAGCAGACGGUGGGAGGGUGACGUCGGUGACGGCCCACCUGUUCCCAUCACCUAUUGUGAUGGUAUGUCUCUUUACGAUUUUUGAUAUGCUCCUUUUAUUUGAAUUUCUUGAAGUGUGGCAGACUAACUUCUAUCUUCUGCUCGUAGUGAGUGACAUUAGCAAGCAAUUGGAGCUCCGACCAGACAUGGCUAAGGUCCGUCGUGCUUUGAACAUCCCUCUAAGGUUUCACGAGUGGCGCUGGCUGUUGAGUGAGUACCGGGAGGAAGACGGUGGUUUUCUCCUUGCCGAGGAUGUCGAAAGGUGGAAGCAGAACGAUCCUGACCCUGAUGAUCUGCUUGGCAGACAGGAAGAAUGUUCUGCUUAAUCGCUCUUAAAGAGAAAGGCUGCUGCCAAAUCUUUGAGAUGUGAAGCUACUUCUUCGCAUGCAAAGGAUGGGUCUCCAUCGAGGAAGAAACCAAGGCUCCCUUCUGCUGAGAAGACUCAAGUGGGGUCUGCUCCCUCAUCAUCUGCCAGGGUUAAGCAUCUCGUGGGUGCAGAUAGCAAGAAGGUUGGUGGUAUGCAUGGUACUCGGGGUGUUCUGCCCAAGCUUCCUGCUGACACGCUCGAAAACCAUGAUAUACUUCGUGAAGUGGCUCGUGCCCAACCUAGUUCUGCCAAGCGUCAAAGAGAUGUAGACAUUCCUCCUAGAAGUUCGAGUUGUCUGCAUCGGUCAAAAGAUGGAGACCGAAGCGGGAGGUCUGCUUAUGAUCCAGCAUUAUUGACUCAUUUGGAGAUGAGGUUGGCGAAGGCUAAGAAGGUGAAAGAGUCAUCUGCCCGGGUUAAGGGUUCUUCCUCGGCGUUGGUAGUUGGUCCCAAGAUGAACAAGUCUAGCUCUGUAGGGGAUGCAUGCGUAUCUGAUCUGCUCAAGAUGAACUUCCUAUCAAACCCGUCCUCUUGUGUUGAGUUGGUUGAUCACAUCCCUCAAGCGGGCGAUCUAGGCACUUUCUCGUGCCUUUCCUUAGAAAAAUGAAGGAAAAUGACAUUCCAUCUGAUUCAAAAAGGACUGGUUUUUGCUACUGAGACUAUUUGGAACUCAUCUGCUAUUGCCCCUCUUCUGUCCAACUCAGCGAGUUGGAGAAGAAGAAUGCUGAUUGGCUAGACAGCUUUCCGCCGAGCAGGCCCGUUACGAGAAGAAGAUGUCUGAUUUGAGGGCGAUGAUAUCUGAGCUGAAAAGCUCCCUUACCGAGAAGGAUUUCGAGCUCAACUCUUCUGCUGCUGAUUUGGCUAGUCGAAAAGAUACCUUCUUUCGUCUUGAGCAUAAGAAUGCUGACAUCUUCCUUAGCUAUAACAAACUCCUGGCUAGAUUUCAUGCCUACCAUAAGUCUGCUAAAGAAUCCAAGACAGAUGGAGCUGCUGAAGGCGUAGCCGGUCAGGUGGAUGCCGAAGAGGCUGCAGCUUAAAAGUCUUCUGCUGGCGUCUCAGAGUAGAUGAAGACUCUUUUUUGUUUCUUUUCAGCUUUUGUAGUUUGCUUUAUUGUUUAGAAUAACUGGUCUUAUUUGACCAUCUUCUUUUUGUUGAACUUGGCUGGUUGGUCUGUUUGUUAGGGAAAUUUCAGUUACAUUUUCCAACUUCAAUUUGCAUAUUUGACUUGUGAACUGCUUAAGUAACCAGCCUGUGUUUUGAUUGCACAUCCCCCUUUAGAGAUUUGUGAGUACCAGGGUCCCCCUUGGAGGACUCCGGCCAUGCACAGUAUAUCUCGUAGGAUGGUUCCCCUUAGGAAGUUGGCGAGUACCAGGGUCCUCUUUGAGAGACUCCGGGUGUGUUCUGCACAUCCCGUAUGAUGCCUUAAUCGUCGCCUUGCUUCUCCCGUAGGACGCUGCUUAUAGGCAACUAUAUGACUAUCCUGCCUUUCUUAGGAAACGGAUAGGAACCUGGAUAUUUCCCGCAUGAAGCAUGGAGACCUCCUUUUAAGAAAUUUUUGGUGCACCAUGCUUCUCCCUUAGGACGCUUUUUUCGCAGGCUGGGUCUCCAAAUGGACGCUUUUAGUCGUUGCCCUGCGUCUCCCUUAGGACGCUCCUUAUGGGCAACUGUGUGACUAUCCUGCCUCCCUUAGGAAAUGGAUAAGACUUGAAUAUUUCCCGCAGUAAGCAUGGCGACCCCCUUUUAAGAAACUCCUGGCGUACCCUGCAUCUCCCUUAGGAUGCUUUUUAAGAGGGCUGCUUCUCCAAACGGACGCUUUUAGUCGUUGCCUAUGUCUCCCCUAGGAUGCUCCUUAUGGGCAACUGUGUGACUAUCCUGCCUCCCUUAGGAAACAGAUAGGAAACUAGAUAUCUCCCUUAGGAAAUUCCUAGCGCACCUUGCGUCUCCCGAAGGACGCUUUUUUAGCUGGCUACGUCCCGAAACGGACACUUUUAGUCGUCGCCCUGCGUCUCCCUUAGAAUGCGCCUUAUAGGCAACUGUGUGACUAUCCUGCCUCCCUUAGGAAACGGAUAGGAACCUGGAUAUCUCUCUUAGGAAAUUCCUGGGGCACCUUGCGUCUCCCGAAGGACGCUGCUUAUGGGAAAAUAUUGUGUUUCGUGGGCAGAUGAGACAUUUUGGAAUGAGAAACUGAACUUAUAUUGAUAUUCAUAAGAUUACAGUCCUUUAUUUGAAAAUGGAAAUAACUUGGUUCAAAAACUUAGAACUUCUAGCAGCUACGAGGAAGCACUAUGGAUAAUACUUUCGGAGAUGGUGAGCAUUCCAUUGUCGUGGUAUUUCCUUCCUAUCCAUGGUGUCCAGUGUGUUGCUUCCUCUGCCCCGGACCUGCUGAUCACAUAAACGCCCUCCCAGUUAGGAUUCACUUUUUUUGACCCGUGUCUUGGUGCAGUAAUGAAAGCCUUAGCACGAGGUCGCCUGGUUGAAACUGUUUGACCUUAGCUCUUUUGUCGUAGUAAGACUUCAACUGCUAGUGAUAGGAGGCGACCCGAAUAAUGGUCUUCUCACGCCUGCCCUCAAGUAAGUUGAGGUUGAGCCUCAUCUGCUCGGAGUUCUGAUCAACACUGCCUACCUUAAGACUUAUAGAGAGGACAGUGAUGUGAGGUGGUAUGAUCACUUCUGUUCCAUAGGCGAGAGAGAAUGGGGUUUCACCAGUCGAUCUUCGCUUGGUGGUGUGAUAAACCCAUGGUACUCUGGGGAGUUCAUCCACUCAUUUCCCUUCAGCGCCUUCCAGCCUUUUCUUUAAGCAGUCCAAUAUGACUUUGUUGGAUGCCUUGGCUUGUCCAUUUCCUUGUGGAUACCUCGGGGUGGACAAGUGUUGUUUGAUCUUGUAUUUCACAAAAAAAGCGGUGAUCUGCUUGCCAAUGAACUGUGAGCCAUUGUCGGUAACCAACGACUGUGGGCAGCCAAACCGGCAUAUGAUGUUUCUCCAGAUGAAUCACUCCACAUCGGCUUCUUUAGUAAAUGAUAGAGCUUCGGCCUCGAUUCAUUUAGUAAAGUAGUCGGUGGGGACGAUCAUCAUUUCUUUCUUGGCGGGCGCUAGUGGCAAGGGAUCCACUAGGUCGAUGGCCCAUUGCAUGAACAGCCAUGGACUGUUUUGCGGAUGAUAGACUUCGGCAGGCAAGUUAGGGAUCGGCUUGUAUUGCUGACAGCGUCACAUUUCUUGGCACAUUCAGCACAGUCGUGACGUAUGGUAGGCCAGAAGUAGCCUAUGUUUAGAACUUUCUGGGCGAGUGACCUGCCCCAGAAUGGUUGCCAUACUCGUCGUCGUGAAUUUUACAGAUAAUCUCAAGUGUUUGAUGGUACUUUAUGCAGGUGAGAUGAAGGCCGGAGUAUGAUCUGUGGAUGAGCUUGUUGCCGUGCAUGUAGUAUCUCUCGGCCUUUUGCUGGACUUUUCUAGCUUCGGACUUGUCCGUUGGCAGGUUUCCAUUCGUGAAAUAGUCGAUGAUGAGGUCUUGCUAGCUGGGGUCCUCGUCAAUCUGCAUGGUAUUAAUCGGCUCUAUUUCUUCAAUGCUUGGUCGGUCAAGGUGUUCGACCUAGAUGGAGUGUUUGAACUGGGUAUCCAGCGUUGAACCUUGGCUUGCCAGUGCGUCUGCAUGCGCGUUCUUUGCCCGGGACACUUGUUGGAUAGUGAAGGUAGGAAAUGCCUUCAACAGCUCUUGGACUCUAUCAAGGUAUAAGAUCAUCCUUGGGUGCUUUGCCAUAUAUUCACCUGAGGCUUGAUUCGUGAUCAACUGUGAGUUUGAGUAGAUGGCUAGCUUUUUGAUUGCGAGCUCCUUUGCCAAGCGUAAGUCGGCGAGUAAUGCCUCGUAUUCUACCUCGUUGUUCGAGACCGAGAAGCCAAGCGUAAUAGCUUGCUCUAACAGGGUUCUAUCCAGGGUGGUGAUAACGACCCCUGCUCCAGCUCCUUUUUGGUUCGACGCUCCGUCUACACGCAACUGCCACAUGUCUCUGGGAUGGCUUGGUUCUGCGGAGGUCCUGUCUGCUUUUGAACUUCCCUCCUUUUGGUUGACUAACUUCUCUUUUUUGGCUGAUGGGGUGAAUUCUGCGACGAAGUAUGCUAAAGCCUGGGCUUUUAUUGCAGUUUUUGGCCCGUAGAGGAGGUCAUAUUGGCUUAGCUCUAUAGCCCACUUCAUGAGUCGCUGAGAAGCAUCAGGGCUGUGGAGGAUUGAUCUCAAAAGAAAGUCAGUCAUGACUAUGACUCGAUGAGCUUAGUAGUAGGGUCGCAGCUUUCUCGCAGAAACUACAAGAGCCAAAAUAAGUUUCUCCAAUUUCGGGUAACGAGUCUCUGCAUCGAGGAGAGCUUUUGACGUGUAGAAUACCGGAUAUUGGGCCCCUAUCUCUUCUCGGAUGAGAGCUGAACUGACAGCUGAGUUGGACUUACCUCACUAGGGACUGGAUUUGAGAGCAUGGAAGGUGAGGUGAGGUAAGUCUUCAGAUUAUGGAAAGCUACUUUGCAGUCCUCAUCCCAUUUCUCUCUUUGUCCUUUCUUCAAAGCUUUGAAGAGUGGUCUGCACUUGUCGGUUGAUCUCGAGAGGAAUCGGUUGAGAACCGCUGCUUUGUCCGUCAGACUUUAUAUCUCUUUCACCGUGGAAGGCGACUUCAUCUCUAGAAUGGCUUUGAUUUGACGUGGAUGUGCCUCGACACCUCGUUGCGUGGCUAGGUAUCCCAAGAAUCGGCCGGAGGAUACACCAAACAGGCAUUUACUUGGAUUCAACUUCAUGCGAUACUGGCGGAGCAAGCUGAAUGAUUGGGUAAGACUUCCGAUGUGAUCUGCACGUUUUGGGGCUUUGACCAGCAUGUCAUCCACGUAGACCUUCAUAGUUUUGCCGAUCUGCUUAUUGAAGAUUUUAUUCCCGAGCCUUUGAUAGGUUGCUUUGGCGUUCUUCAGCCCAAAGGGCAUGACCUUAUAGCAGCAGGUCCCUCUCUCGAUGAUGAAAAAAGUUUUUGCCUUGUCAUCCUCGUGCAUCAGGAUUUGUUUAUAGCUGGACUAGGCGUCCAUGAAGCUAAGCAGUUGAUUGCCAGAAGUGGAAUCCACGAGUUGGUCGAUUCUCGGCAAUGAGAAGUUGUCUUUAGGGCAUGCUUUGUUGAGGUCUGUGUAAUCGACACAAACUCUCCAUUUGCCAUUUUCUUGUUUUGCCACCAAAACAACGUUGGCAAGCCACUCUGAGUAGGAGGCCUCUUCGAUGAAGCCGACAGCUAGGAGUUUGUCAAUCUCGGCCUCGAUGAUAGCAAGUCGCUGGGGUGCGAAGUUGCGUCUCUUCUGCGCCACUGGCUUGCAGGCAGGGUUGAAGUGGAGUCAGUGACAGAUGAUGUUCUUGUCGAUGCCAGACUUGUCUGACGGCAACCAUGCGAACAUGUCUCUGUUGCUCUGGAGGAAGGUGGUAAGCUCCACAUUCUCUUCUGGCCUUAGGCGCGAACCGAUCCACUCUUUCCUAUCUGGUUGGUCAGGAUCCAAGGGUAUUAACUCGACGUCCUCCUUGGGUUUCCAUCCUUCUUCAGGAAAGACCUAUGGACGGAUUUCCUCGACUUGGUCCUGACGCUUUAAUUGCUAUAAGAUAGCAAGAUCCAGUUGCUCAACCUCCUCCAGAUCUGCCUGGCUCACAGGGAGAAACUGCGCUUGUUUACCUUUCUUUAGCCCUUGGGCGGAGCAUUUCCUCGCCAUUGCCUAAUCGUUGUUGAUUUGGCCGACACCGCCCCCAAGGAUUGGGUACCGAAUUUUCUAAUGUGUGGCGGAGGUGAUUGCAUUAAUUUUGCCAAUCGAUGGUCUGCCCAGAAUGCCGUUGUAGGGUAAGACCUUAUUAAUGACCAUGAAGGUUAUGAGCUGAUUAUAAGUGGGGAGUAGACGUCGAGGUCUAUCAUGCCCACGGUAACCGUUGUUGCACCAUUAAAAUCGCUCAGCAACCUAGCUAAUUUGUAAAUCUUUGUCUCCAAUCCCAUCUGUUGAAUGACCUCCAGUUGCAGGAUAUUGGCUGCGCUGCCCUCGUCUGUGUGGAUUCAGUCUACCAUGACCUGAGCAAUUUGAAUGCUGAUGACAAGGGCUUCGUUAUGUGGCAUGUAGAGGCCGAUCAGAUCUUUCUUUUGGAAGCCGAUUACAGGAUCGUCUUCUGCUGGUGGAAGGUCGGUCGAGAUUUGGGAGAUCACAGUGGUCUGUUUGAUCUUCCUCUUUUUUUCCUUUCUGGUCAGCCCAGACUCCUCGGAGUCAGCUAGGAUUGUGUUAAUUCUUAUGACCUUCUGAGGCGGCUCCUUGGCGAUGUCACGAUCUUCUAUCCGCUGGAUGACCUUCUUUGCAAUGAAUUCUGUGCAGUGACCUUCUCUCACGAGUUCUUCAAGAUGUGCUUUCCAAGCGAAGCAGUUGUUCAUAGUGUGUCCGUGCAUUUCAUGGACGGCACAGUAUUUGCUAGUAUUCCUUUUGUCCGGAUCUUCUUUCAAGGGUGGUGGUCUUCUUACCCAAGGUUGUUCUUCACUUGGGCUAAGAUUUGAUGUAUGGAGAUGGUGAACUUGGUGUAGUUCUCUCCUGCCGUAGCAUCCCCUUAUGGGUGCGACCUGCGCUUGUCCUUGUCCCUGUUGCUAAAUCCGUCGCUUCUUUGGCCUGCCCCCUUAGUCGGCUGAUCUUCCUGCUUAGUAGAGUUCUUUGCGGCGAUUCGAUCGUCAUCCCAAAGCGCAUAGCUUUCCGCGGUCUCGUAGACCUCUGCCAAAGUUUGGCUGGGAGUGAUGGUCAGCUCGUGGUACAAGUCGUGCUCAGUCGAAAGGUCUUUCUUGAAAGCAGAGGACGCAAUUUGGUCAUCACAUCCUACAAUGUUGGCCUUUUCUACUUUGAAUCUCUUGAUGUAAUCUCUAAAGGAUUCGUCGAACUUCUUGCGCAGGUUAUACAGGUGGUCAGGGUUCUUCUUGAUUGUUCGGUAAGAGGUGUAUUCUUUGGUGAAUAAGUAAGUCAGCUCCUUGAAGCUGCUGAUCGACCUGGAUGGCAGAGUAUGGAACGAGUCUUGGGCUUCCUCACAAGGUCAUUGCAAACACCUUGCACAUCAGCGCGUCGUCAACCUUGUGGAGGAUCAUGACACUUUUGAAGUGUUUUAGAUGGCUCUCAGGAUCGGAAUCCCCCUUGAAGUGUGUGAAUGUGGGCGUUGAGAAUCGCUUCAGGAGAGCAGCCUGCUCGAUUUUGGCAGUGAAAGGUGUAGAGUAUGCCUGGUCUACCUCAUUUCGUACAUCUUCGAAAUUUCCACCGGUCUUCAAGUCUCGAAGUUGGUCAUUCACAAGCUUCUCUACGUCUUCCGCACACAUUGCUUGUCGGCCACAUUGGCGACCUUCACGAAUUGUUCGAUGCUGACUGACUUCCUCGUUGAUUUCCGAGGAUCGACCUUCUUGUCUGCAUUGCCUAGGUGGAGUGUUGGUGGAUUGCGCCUACGAAAGAUUCUCUGUGGCUUGUCAAUGAGAAUCGGUUCUUCGAGAGUGAGUAACGAAGUGCCUUUCCUCAUGGUCCUUAUUGUGAGGGUUAUCCAGCUGACCUCCCUGGGGCCUAGCCUUUCCUGAAUGCUUCUCUGCGAGUAGACAGUUGAAUGCUUUUCUUCACGAUCCUCGUUGUGAUGGUUGUUUGGCUGACCUCCUUAGGGUCUUAGCCUUUGAUGUACAUUUCCCUGCCUGCCCAAGUAGGUGCGGACGUCGAGUCGUGGGCCCAGCCUUUCGUGCACGUCGUUCCUUAAACUCAAUCUGCUCUGAGUGUGGCUUGCAGAUGCUUGCGACAUGUCGGCAGGUCGAUCACGUUGUUGUCCCUCGACUUGUCUGCCCACUCUUGCUUGACCUGCUUGGUACUCGUUGAGCUGUCUACCGGCCCGUUCAUCCUUCCUUCUUUCCUCGCCUGGUUGUCCAAGGCCAAGGUUUUGAGCAAAGCUUAUUUGGUUGAGGAGCUGCCUCAUUAGAUUGUUUUGGUCGUCCAUUCUUUAAGCUAGCUGGUCAACUCUCAGAUUAAGGUCUGCUUGAUUUCAUGGAUCAGGAGGAGAGAAGUGUGUGGAGCUCAACUGCACAUAGGCUAGGGUUUCAUUAGAGGUGUAUGCGGGAGCGUGUGUCGAGCGUGGAGGCAAUAGAGGGAAUGCUUGGAGUUGCUCCAAGACCGGCCCUAGGUCGGCGGUGGUAACGAGUCCACCUUGAUGGGAAGUUCCACCAUGUUUGGCGGCAGUGACCGAUGCAGUGGUGAGAGGUGGUGGUGCCACCAUGUCGAUCGCGGGAUCGUUGGUGGAGUGGCUUUGGGCCGUCGCAAAUCUAGCCAUCAUGGCGGCUUUGCCUCUCGUGUUCAUGCUUCCAACCAUGGUUGUUUGGAAGGCUUAGGUGGAUUGGAAAAUUAGAGGAACGGAUUCCUUGAGCACGCAUUGAGUAUAACUCGUGCUCUCAAUGAAAGCACCAAUUUGUGGGAGCAAAUUUCCCCACGAGAAUAUUCGGUUCGAAAGAUUCCCCUUUCUUAUUCGCCGCCUCUUUCUCCUCGCAAAAUAGAACAAAUAAGAGGACCACACCCGAGGGGUGUUGGCCAAAGGCCCUCCGAUGCCUAAAUUAGUUCAAGUAUUUGUAAGAAAAACACUAGCUAACUAGGGUAUGGAGAUGUGUUUAAGGUGUAAACCGGGCGGCCGGAACCUUAUGUAAAAGAGAGAGAGAAAUGAGGUGGCUAGGGUUUGAGAGGAAUUUUCUGCAGAGUUUUUAGUAGAGAUUUCAGACGUACCUCAACCAUUGUGUGUGGCCAUCUUUUUAUAGUGGUCUUGGAGGCUAGAGUUUCAGAGAAAUAAUUUCGUAGAUGGAAAGGAAUUAUUCCUCCCCUAUUUAGAAUUGAUUUGAUUAAUUACGGAUUUGAUUUAUUAGGGUAAAUCAAAUCCCUAAUUGUGGUAAGUAUCAAAUCAAAUCCUUUUUUAAUUAGGUAACUGCUCAUUUAAUUGACAAUUGUGGUAGGAAUCAAAUCAAUUCUCAACCUAAUUGGUAACGUUCAAUUUAAUUGGGUAAUUCCCAAUUAAAUUGAGUAACUCCCAAUUAGGUUGAUUAAUUCACACUUAGAUCAAAUAAUCCCCAAAUGGAAAGAAUUAUUUGACCUAAGGUAUGAUUUAAUUCGAUUCCCACAAUAUUUAGAUGCAUAAUUGAAUGCGAAUAAACAUCACUCUCUCCAGUGUGAAAUGGCGAAAAUUCUCUUCAAUCAAAAGUGGGCUUACUUCAAAUUUAGUUGAAGAAUGAUGGUGUGUCUUGCCUGACAAUUGACAAUUAGGUUUAGGAGCGUUCCUCUAGUAGAAAAAUCUAAAUCAUUUGUGGUCAUCCACUCACUUGGUUAGUCUUCCAGAAUCAAAUACCAAAUCAACCCAAAGGAAGCUGCAAUUUUCUGAAUUGUAUACUUGUUUUAAUUCUUCCUAUCUUUUUCUCUCUUUCAUUUUUUUUGUCUCCCUCAAGUUAAUACUUAAGUGAGUUGCCAAAUGGGGGUAAAAAAGAGAGUAGAAGAGAUGAACCCCACAUUUGACUUUAAUAGACAAAUGCCCAAGAGAAGUACCAGUAAGAGCAUCUCCAAUUGGGAGGUGCUAUCCUAUAAUUUGACACACAUUUCUUUUUUCUUUUUUUUCAAUUCUAACAACAUGUCAUCUAUAUCGCAAUAGGCCGUUGUAGUUAAAUUUUCAAAUAACCAAGUUGCUCUCUAUUUUCCAAAGAAGACUAGAAAACAACUUACCAUCUAUCUGGUGCUGCUUCUUCCAAACAUUAGAAAAAACAGAGCUACACCCAGGAGGAGCCCAGGAGAUGACACAAUACUGCCUACUAUGAUUCUUACUUUCUUCACAUUCAAUGAGACUAUAAAAUAUAACCCAAGUGGUCUAACCCCCCAGGGCGGAAAUUGGGUUUAGCAAGUUUAGCACUGAUUGUUGUAUAGUCUUAAACAGUCCUGAUCUCUUGGACCCCUGUAGUCCAAGAGAUUUAUGGUCACCCACCGUUGGAUGUAAAUUCAACGGUUGACUUGAAUCGGGUAAUAAUAAUUUAUGUCAUAUUGCAUUUAUAUAUAUCAUUUUGAACCAUUGGAUUAAUAUCCAACGGUGGGUGACCACAAUCUCUUGGACUCCUGUGGUCCAAGAGAUCGGGACUGUAGUCUUAAAAUAAGUAGUUUAGCGAGUGCAAACUUCGACUUAAAAAAACUCUCAUGUAUAGCCGCGCGGCUAUACUAUUUACAUAUAAAUAUAUAAAAAAGCACCCCCUAGUCACGUGUCACAAAUAGUAUAGUCGAAAACAGUAGAGCCGCGCGGCUAUACUGUUUUUAAAAUAAAAAAAACCAUAUUCGAUUCUCCUUAUAUUUAAAAGGGGUAUAGCCGCAUGGCGAUACUAAUUUUUUUUUUUCAAAAAAAGGGACCCCAGUACUCCUUUUAUAUAUUAUAAUAUAUUGUCUAAUAUUUGGAAUAUUUACUCUAAAAUAAACAAUAUAUUAGGUUCUUUUUGUCUACAAAUUGACCAUUAAACUUCUUAAUCACUCUUAUACUUUCAAUUAAAUCUACUAGGCUAGGUUAUGAUAUUUUCACUAAAAAACUCCUCCUUUUUUUCUUCUCUUUCUCUUCCUGUUUUGUUUAACUUAAGCUUAAGUUUUGUAAUUUUUUUUCCCGCCCUUUUUACAUGUUUGAGUAGGGUACUUUAAUAUUGGGAUUUAUGAACUUUUUUUGUAUUUCUUCUUUAUAUUGGAAUAUAAAUUAUUAACUUUUGAGUCUUUAAUAGUGUAGAUGAUGAGAUUAUUAUUCAACCAUUUUAUAAUAUGAAAUGAAGGACAAUCAUGAUUGUGAUGAAUGGAUUAUUAAUCAAUAUGAAAUGAUAUUAUGAAGUGGGCUAAAUCGAGUAGUUAGUAUCGUAUUGUUGAGACCCAAAAAAUCCAAGGCUAGGCCCAAAUAUAUUAUGAAGUGGGCUAAAUCGAGUAGUUAGUAUCGUAUUGUUGAGACCCAAAAAAUUCAAGGCUAGGCCCAAAUAUAUUUCCGGUCCAAUGCGAUACCUUACCGAGAAGAAACCUUAUUUGGGCACGCGAAAGUUCGUCAUAUGCUCUUGCACACAUGCCAUGCCAAGCAAAUAAGCAACAUGCCACGCUACAAGCUUAAGUGGGCCCAAGCCACGUGAAUGCCUAGGGCCUGCUGAGUGGGUUGUGGUAUGGAUGGUUAUGAGUAUUCACGAGGCCCAUUGAUGGUCUAAGGAGUGGAAGUUUUGGGCUACUUGGGAGCACCAAAACUCAAGCCCAUUCAUUGAGCCCAAACAUAUGGGUAAGCAUGAGAUAAAACCUAGUAGCCCAUCACCUUAAGAAAUCCUAAUAGCCCAUAACAUGUGAGAAAAUCCCACAUCAACCAAAGCUUCCAGCAGUCUGACGAAAUCAAAGGGAACUCACAAGCCGUUGGAAACAAAACAACCCAACACUGUAACACCCCGACCCCAAAUUUCCCCAAAUUUAACCCUUAUUUAAUUAUUUAAGGGUAUUUUAGUCAUAUUUUUAACCGGAGAGAGUUUGGGGCAAUGACUAGUAUUUUUGGAUAGGUCGUACUGAGACGAGUUUAUGGACACGCAGUGAGCUCGAAUCGGAGUUGUAACGAGAGAGAUAUGGUCAAAAGAAGCCCAGUGGCACAAUCGUAAAUAUUUUGAAAUGAGAUUUUUUAUAAAAAUCUGGUUUUCUCUCUCUCUCUCUCUCUCUCUCUCUCUCUCUCUCUCUCUCUCUCUCUCUCGCUAGCGACCUCUCUCUCUCUCCCCCGUCGGUCUCUCCCCUCUUUCUCCUCGUAACUCCGGCCACCGGCCCCGGCUGUGGACGGGGCCGGUACCAAAAUGACCGAGGCGUCGUCCUCUUCCUACCCCAGCCACCUCCCACCGCCAGCCGUCGCGGAUUCGCCGGAAUCUGGAGAUGAAGCGGCCUACGUCGUCCAAAUUUCAAAGCUGCCGAUCUCCCUCCUCCGGCCACCAAUUCCGUCGACCCAGGUAUGGAUUUUGAACUUCUCGAGCUGCUCUAGCUGAUGGUUGGGUAGGAUUAGAUCGAUUCUUAGCUUAGACAACUCGAUUUUCAAAUUGAAAAUCGGCCGAACUUCGGCUGCCGUGAUCGGCCAUUUCCGGCCACUUUUUGGGGUAGGUCCAAGAACAAAAGUGGCUCCAAAUAGGGUGUUAUACCUAGGGUAGGAGUUUGGAGCCGUGGUUUUGAGAUUUUCCGGCGAAGCGUUAUCGCUUUGGGCACCCACGCGCUGCCGGUGCGUGCGGCGGCGCGUGGGCACUGUAGAAAAAGUAGCACUGUGUUCCGAUGAGAUCCUUAGGUUGUCACGAGUGCGUAGGAUUUUGCGGAUCUCAAUUCGGACGUCGUUUGACUAUCGAACGGAUAUUCGCAUAUUGCGCGUUAUUCGGGUUCGAUAGGUUGGGACCGUUGGAUGGACCCAAAUUUAAUAUAUGUUAAUCUAAUUAAUUCUAGGAUCGUGUAGGAAUUCACGGAUUGUGAAUCGGAGCCCCGGAUGUUCCGAAUAAUAAUUUUAAAGUUUGUAUUUUAUAUUAAUUGUCAGAUCGUGCGAUCGUGAGCAAUCUGACCGUUCGAUCUGAACCAAACUUGCAGGACAAGUGUCCUAUACCUUGUAGAACCCAUAGGGACCUUCGGAUCGGAAAUUGGAGGUCGUGGGUUCCGCAAGUCGGUUUGACCAGGGUUAGAGAAGUUUGACCCUUGGUUGACCGUGAGUCUCCCGGAGUAAUCUCACCUUUCUAGGGGAGAUUAUCGGGUACUAGAUGAUUGUGGACACAAUAUUAGAAUUAAUUUAUAUAAUUAUAAUUAUAUAUGGUUGUACAAGGGUACAACAGAGUCUAGAAUGUCAGUUUGGAGUGCUAUACGCACUACUUUAGGUACCUCCCCGGAUGUUGGGAUUUACUACAAGUACCACCAAGUGAAAUUGAGGUCCCGCGUGGCGUAGGUUAUCCAGCGUUGGGAUAGGUCUCAUACGUGGGGUUGGUUGUACCGGCGUAUGGGGAGAUUUGUGAUAUUAUGUUCAGGUCUCACGUGGCGUAGGUUAUCCGGCGUUGAGACAGGCCCCAUACGUGGUGUUGGUUGUACCAGCGUAUGGGGAGCUAUGUGAUAUUGUGUUGAGGUCGCACGUGGCGUAGGUUAUCGGGCGUGUCGACAGACCCCAUACGUGGCGUUGGUUGUACCGGCGUAUGGGGAGAUUUGUGAUAUGAAAUUGAGGUCCCACGUGGCGUAGGUUAUCCGGCGUUGGGACAGGCCCCAUACGUGGCGUUGGUUGUACCGGCGUAUGGGGAAAUAUGUGAUAUGAUGGCAUGGUCGCACGUGGCAUAGGUUAUUCGGCUUGUUGACAGGCCCCAUACGUGGCGUUGGUUGUACCGGCGUAUGGGGAGAUUAUUUGAAAUGCAGAGAAACGAAAUAUGGUAUCGCCCAAAUGUGGAAUUGGGUUUUAGGGAAGAACUACGUGUGGCUUGAUCCCUCAAGGAGGGUACGUAGGCAGCCUAAGGUUAAUAGGUGCAGCCGCAGACUAAAUGUUAGUCAUAAUUGAUAUUUGAAUUGUUUGGUAGUUGGUUAAGAAUUAUUGGAAGGCCGAAGGCCAUUUGUGUGAAUUGCAUGAAAUUAUAUUGUGCAUGCUGCCAGUUGGGAAUAUUAAAUGCGUUUUUAUGCAGGUAUAAAUUUUAGGAAAUGUCCAAUUUAUAGGGGAGACUCUGCCGAAUUUUCGGCAGGAAGUCUCAGUUUUUAGUAUCUGGGCCUGGCAUCGGGAGGAUGUCGGGAAUUCCAAAGGGUCGUCUCGAGUUCUGAAAAAUUCGGUGCGGGUCCUUUCAAACACCUUAUAAAAUAUCCAACGCCGUGCAUCUCUGUUAAAACCAGAUCACAGCCAAACCACCAAAACCAUGCAAACCCAUAUGCUGAUCACCAUUUUUACUAGCACCCUUACCCAUUCUUUCCUCUUCAAGCUUUGGUGAGAAAACAAGAAACAAAAGUGGGCGGAUCUUCACCCACAUGGAGAAAUCCAGCUGCCUGAGGGCCCUGGAACUCCAAAAAACUUCUUACCUACAUGCUCAGGCUAGGGAAGUUUCACCAAAUAAGCAAGAAUGGAAGAAAGUGAAGGAAAAGGGGAAAGGGUGGCUUGACGAAAUUAAGGUUUUCAGCACUUAUAAAAGGAAACACUUUCUAUCCAGCAAAAACAACUCACCCUGGUUGCUGCAAGCCUCCUAGCAACCAUGAGAAUUCAUUGAAGGCAAGCAUCCCCUUUGGAACCCUUCAAUUUCAUGCUUUGUUCUUCCAUCUUCCUCCUUUCUCUCUCUCUCAAAACCCACAUCCAGAGAGAGCAAGCAUCAUCUCUCAUCUUUGGAACCCUUCGAUUUGAAGCCUUGUUCUUCCAUUGCUUCCCAUUUUCUCUUCUGUCAAAUCACCUAGGAGCUUGACGAAACUUUCGUCAAGCUGCUGGAAAUAUGGUAAAGCCACCCAUGCUUCCAUCUUCUUCCUCUCUUUCCAUAAACACACAUCCAAAGAGCAAGCUUCAUCUCUCAUCCUCUAAACCUCUGCAAUUUCAAGCCUCAUUCCUCUAUCUUCUCCCAUUUUCAGCGGUAGUGAGAAUGAUUUCUGCGUGUGCAUGGGAAGGAUUGUAACUCAGAUGAGGAGGAGAUGGUUUGGAGUGGGGUGAGGCAGUUGGAUAGAGCUCUUGGCCUUUUCAAGUUUGGAUGGGAAAGAGCAGGGAUGAAAGAAGCUUUACAACUGCAAGGGCAUAUAUGGUGCGUAGGGGCUGAAGGCAGAACACUUACAUAUAGAGGAAACACAUUUUUUGUCCAUGGGAUUCAUGUUUGACAAACACUUGUCUUAGACUAUGAGUUCAAAUUUCAAAACCUUUUUUUUUUCUUUCUGAAAUCAGGACCAGUGUGGAGAACUAGCAAGGAUUGGAGAAACAGAUUUUUGGGCGUCACUUGACCACAGAUUGUUGAUUGCUCAAAUGUGUAGAAUUGGCCAUCUUAAAUGUCAAAAUGAUUUAUCAAUUGGGGUUUUUUUAGAAACGUUUAUGUUUGUCAAUAGAGACAGAAGUCAGAGAACAUAAACCUUUCUCAGCAAAUUGAAAUUCUCAGUGCAUGCUCUGUUCUUCCAUGGCUUUCAAACCUUCUCUGCCACGGUGAAAUGGAUCGAUAGAGAUAGUUUAGGCCGUUCCAUUUGUUUGAUGAAGCAUUCGUUCUAGGGAUUCUGUAUAUUCAUAACAAAAUCACUAGAAUGAUUCUUAGAAAUUCAUCACUGCUAAAGGCAAUGGGUUCAGCAUAAUAACUUCUUAGUCUUGCUUCUUGGUCCUUUAUUUUCUUUGCAUAAUACUCCAAGUUUACCUGGGUUCUACAGAGAAAAUCUCGUAGAUACCUCUUUUUGUGGUCUUCCAUGGCAUUUAAGUGCUGCUUUCCAUGGUGAAGUGGGCCUAUAGAGACUACCUGAGGUGUGUAGGCUUUGUCAUUUCCACGCCGUAAUCGCUCAGGAACUCUGUAGAUACACCUUCAAGGGGGACAAGGGAGACAAACUAUCCAAUUCCUUGCGCCUUACAAAUAGAUCGCAUGGGUUUUCUAUUUCAUCUGCAGCUUCAUCAAUUCCUUCCAUUUUUCUCCUGAUCAUCAUGCGCGGUGAUUCAAAUAUUUCAUAAUGAACAUUGAAAUGAGAUGCUACAAGCAAACUUAUGAAAAGAAACAGAAAUACCAAAAAGACAAAUCAAUGUAGAUGGUUUAGAAAAUCUAAACAUUGCAAUUAUACUCCUUUGCCCAACUUCUAGGAGCAAACGUACACAAAGACCUUAUUGCUUCCAACUUUUCCAACAGAAUUUCAUAUGAAUUGCUCCAAGUGAAAUCCGUAUGAAAAAUCGGUAGUUGGAUUUUCAUCCUGCUUUAAUAUGAUUAUUUAACUUCUAACAAAAAAACUCUUAUUACUUGAGCAAGUAAAAUACUAUUCCAGGUUUCUCCUAGUUCUAUAUGCGCUUAUAAUUGGUAUACUCUAUAAAUACCAUAAUCUGAAUUUCUCUGUUUUGAUUACUUUAAUUUAUUACUUAUGUUUUAAUUAUUGUUUACUUAGUGAAUUAUUAGUAUUUAAGAGAAGGCCUUCCAUCGAUUAGGCACCACGUGUCUAUAAUAAGUAAAGCCGUCCGGCUAUACUUAAAAAAAAAAAAAAUUGUAGUAUAGCCGACCGGUAUAGCCGCGCGGCUAUACUAUUUAAUACAUUAUAUUUAAACGGUAUAGCCGCGCGGCUAUACUAUUUAAUAAAAUAAAAAACAAAAGAAAAAGAAAAAUUACCCUCCUAUUUCAUUAGUUUGUACUUUAUAGAUACUAGCCCCUUGACACAUGCUCACGCAUGUGCCAAUUGGUUUUCUUUUUCUUUUUUAUUUUUAUUUUUAGAAUUAAGAAAAAAUAACAGGAUAGUUAUGUUCCAUAAAAGUAGGACCUAUUAUCUUAUUUUGUUUUUAAUUUUAAUUUUUUUAAUAUUAAAAAAAUAUGAAUUUACGAUAUUAUCCUCAUUUAAUUAAUAAUUUCAAUUCUUAAUGUUUGAAUUAACAAAGGGCAUUUUCUGGUAUUUUGAAUGUUUCACCAUUCUCUGCCUUUUGCUUUAUAUAUAUAGAUUAAUUUGCCAGUUUCAAGAUAUCCAAAGUACAUAUUAGACUUUCACUAUAUAAAUUUCAAUAUAUAUUUUUUAUAACAUGUGUUGUUCUUAUUCAAUAAUAUGUGAGAAUUAUUUGUAUAAUACGUGAAUUUUGUGUGUCUUACUGAAUUUUUUUAAAUACGUGUAUUAAACGUUACAAAUACGUACAUAUAUGUACAACACGACUAUUGUAAGUUUGCUAUAUAAAAAAAAGUGAGAUGUAUCUAGAACACGAAUGUAUUAUCGAAAAAUAUAUAUGUAUGUAUAUAUAUAUAUAUAUAUGUAAAAGCCUAUAGCCUCUCACCUAUACUAUUUAUUAAAGACAAUUUAAAAAUUACAACAACAAAAAAACCAGUACAGCCACAAAGCUAUACUAUUUUAAAAAAAAAAAAUAGAAAAAAUAUCAAGUACUACACAGGGCAAAGGCCCAGUGUAAAAUAGUAUAGCCGUACGGCUAUACGUUUUUAAGAAGAAUUUAAAAAACUAAGUAUAGCUCACCGACUAUACUAUUUUUUAAUAUAAAAAAACAACCCCAUCCAUUAGGCGCCACGUGUCAACAGAAGUUUAUUUUUAAAAAAAAAAAUUAAAAGACAAGGAGUAUAGCCGGGUGGUUGUACUAUUUUUUUAUUUUAAAAAGAAGACAGUCCAUCGAUUAGGCGCCACGUGUCCAUAAUAAGUACAGCCGCUCGGCUAUAUGUUGGAUAUUUUGAAACUAGCAAAUUAAUAUCAAUAGCCGGUCGUAACCUAUGCUGUCCACGUCACUCAUGUUUUACCAGAGUUAAAGCAUCCACAAUGAGCUCCCCAAACCAUCUCUUUAGACAAAUUUUAGGGAGAAAUUGGAAAAGUACAACUCCAACCAUGCUCCCUAUCCACCAACUAAAAUAGGGAGACCUCUAGGAGCUCCUAAAUCUGAGGAGAGGGAAAGGACUCUUAGUGACUCCCUAUAAUUUAAUGUUGCUUUGUUUUAUGCAUAUUUUAAACUUUUAAUUAAAUCAAAUUAUUAUUUUAUAUUAUUUUGUAUACAGAUGGACCAAUUAUAUUAAAUUAAAAAAUAAUUAAAGUAUUUGUGACUCUCUAAACUAAGGAGUAUGAUUAGAGUUCAAAUUUUAUAAAAAGCUCUUAAAAUAGCUUUUGUGUGUUUUUAGCUAAAUUUUAACUAAAAAAUUUGAAGAUUCUUUAUUUGGGUUUCUUUCAAGACGAAAACCAUAUCCACAACAGACAUCUUUGGCUGUUCAUCACAAUUGAGAGACAAUGAAGAAGACAUAAGGGAGAGGCUGCCAAAUACUUAUCACCUUAGCCACCACCAACACCACAAGACCAAUAUGUGUAGGCCAGGAGGCUUUCCAAUUUUAAUAUAUAUAUAUAUAUAUAUUAAAAAAUAAAAUAAAAAUCAAUCUAUUAUCAUAUAUAUUAUAAAAUAAAGAUUAUUGCUCCAUCCUCCAUGCACUUGCGUGCCCUCUUACAAAGUAUGAAGUAGAUUUUGUUAGCUGGAUUUAUAAGAUCUUUUGUUUUUUGGAAAUUUUCUGAAAUAAGGAAAAUCAAGUAAAAUUAAUAAAGCAUAAAUUGGAAAGGGAAAAUAUCUAGAGGAUGCAUUGUAGGAUUGCUCAAGCCAAUAAUUGUACCCUCUAAAUAUAUAGGGACAUAUUUUUUUUGUUUUCAUGACAUGUCGUCCUAAAAUUAUUGUUCUUAGCGGGCUCUCCACCCCCUCUCGAUUGAAAACCUAUUGUGUAAAUCUUCAAUCCUGAAUUAGAAAAGUACAACUCCAACCAUGCUCCCUAUCCAUCUCCUAAAAUAGGGAUACCUCUAGGAGCUCCUAAAUCUGAGGCGAGAGAAAGGACUCUUAGUGUCUCUUUAUAAUUUAAUGUUGCUUUGUUUUAUGCAUAUUUAAACUUUUAAUUAAAUCAAAUUAUUUUUUUAUAUUAUUUUGUAUACAAAUGGACCAAUUAUAUUGAAUUAAAAAUAAAUUAAAGUAUUUAUGACUCUCUAAACUAGGGAGUAUGAUUGGAGUUCAAAUUUUAUAAAGAGCUCCUAAAAUAGCUUGUGUGUGUAGGGGUCUUUUUCUUCUGGCAACUACAGAUGGGUUGGGCUACCGUAAGGAGCAAACUGAAGAAAAUAUCCCCUGUGUCUGAGUUCAAAGAUUCGGCCCCAAAAUAUUUCGAAAAGGCAGUAAAGCCUUAGGAAACACCUUAGUUACCUUCACCAACGAAAAUGACGGCUGCUUACAGGUAGAUUCUUAGUGCUUACAGAUGAAUUCUUAGCUUAGCAUGAGGAGAUCGUGGCAUGGAAGCAAAGUUAGCAUGAGUUUAGCACUAAAGAGAAAAUUAUGUGUUCUUGGGAGGAAGAAGGGGUGUCCAGGUAAAUGGGAAAAGGUUUUGCAAGUAGAUUUGGCUAAGAGAGAAGGGAGAGAGAGAAGAGGGUGGCUAGAGUGCUUCUUCCGGCAGCUUGACAGUGACUCUGUCAAAUGUUAGAGCAAUCUGCCAUAAGAGGGAAAAUGGGGAAGAAGGAUGAACAGUGCACAAAAUUGCUAGGUUUUUGCAAGUAAGAGAGGAAGCUUGCUCUCUGGAUGUGGAUGAUCCGUUGGGUAGAAGAGGCCCCAUUUUAUAGCCGCUGGAAACUAUCAUUUCUCAAGAAACCCUAAUAGUUUCUACCCAAUUUGGUCAAGCUUUUCCCUUCCUUUCUCAUCUCCUCCCUUGACUUUUCCUAUCUUGGUGAAAUUUCCUCUGUCUAUUUGCACAAAAUCAGGAGCUCAAGGCCUCCCUUUCCCGCAACUGUUCAAUGGGAGACUCCAUUCUUAGCUAUUUUUCUUCUUCUUUCCUUCCUCCUUCCCUGACCAAAUCUGAUGAAGGAAAGCAAAUAGGUGCACACAUUGGUUUGAAGGGUGCUUCUCCUUCUAGCAGCUUACAUGCCAAUAUCCCUUGGGUCCUUGCAUGUUUUUUGCUUUGAAACUUGUUUCUUCCUUCCCGUCAACUCACGUGGUCUUCCAUGCUUCUUCAUGGCUUUAUCUUUCAGCCAAAAGAUGGAGUUUUUACUGCUUGCUACUUUUAAUUGUAUGGGUCUUCUAGGAUAGGAAGUCAACCUACCAAACAAAUGGGCCACCUUUAUCAAAUAUUGGGCUGUUGGGGUUAGUUUUAGUGGGCCAUUUUGACUGGGCUUUUUGGUUGGGUUAUUUAAGUUAUUUUCCCUUUUGUGCUCACCCAUGUAUUUAGGCCUAAGAAAUGGGCUUGGGCUCCGAGUCUCCCAAGCAACCCGGAACCUCCAUUUCUUGGCCCAUUAAUGGGCCUCAUGACAACCUAUUACCAUCCAUACCACAACCCACUCAAGCAAGCCCCGGGCAUUUGAAUGGCUUUGGCCCACUUUAGGCUUGUAGUGUGAUUGGGUGUGGCAUAACGAUUUCUCGCUUGGCAUGGCAUGUUGCUUGGCAUGUUUUUUCAUUACGAUGCUUGAUGGAUUUGUAGAGCUACCUAUUUUUAUGAUCUUAAUCUUGAUUCCUAGCAUGACAAAUUUAUUUAUUUGGCAUGGCAUGCGGAGCGUGACUUGUGCGUGGCGAGUUUUGUAUGCUCCAACUUGGGCCUUUCCUAAAUAAUGUAUCAUUUUGGGUUAUGAAUUCUUUCGGGCCCAACCGUGAAUUUUUUGGGUUUCAACAGUGUGUUUUUAGCUAAAUUUUAACUAAAAAAUAGGGAGCAUGAUUGUAGAUCAUCUUAUAUACCUUAAUUUGAAGAUUCUUUAUUUGGGUUUCUUUCAAGAUGAAAACCAUAUCCACAACUGGCAGACAUCUUUGGCUGUUCAUCACAAUUGAGAGACAAUGAAGAAGACAUAAGGGAGAGGCCGCCAAAUACUUAUCACCUCAGCCACCACCAACACCACAAGACCAAUAUGUGUAGGCCAGGGGGCUUUCCAAUUUUAAUAUAUAUAUAUGGAGUGAAAAAAAUAAAAUAAAGAUUAUUGCUCAUCCUCCAUGCACUUGCAUGCCCUCUUACAAAGUGUGAAGAAGAUUUUGUGUGCUUCAAGUCAUUGACUAGAGCUGAAACAUGGUUAGCUGGAUUUAUAAGAUCUUUUGUUUUCUGGGAAUUUUCAGAACCAAGGAAAAUCAAGUAAAAUUAAUAAAGCAAAAUGGAAAGGGAAAAGAUCUAGAGGAUGCAUUGUAGGAUUGCUCAUGCCAAUAAUUGUACCCUCUAAAUAUAUAGGGACAUAUUUUUUUUGUUUUCAUGACAUGUUGUCCUAAAAUAUUUGUUCCUAGCGGGCUCUCCACCCCCUCUCGAUUGAAAACCUAUUGUGUAAAUCUUCAAUCCUGAACGAUGCUCCUAAAACUCAAGUGUCCCAGGCCAAUUAUUGCUCUCAUACCACUUGUUGCAAUACACAUCCACUCAUUCUCAGGGAAAGAAACCCAUCGAUAUUAUCUCAAAUUUAACCACUUUAGUCUAUUAUGAUUAACUAUGUAUUUUAUGGAUCAAUGCAGUUGUGAGGUUUUAUACCCAAUUAGAUCGACCAAUACAGAGAUCACAUGUGGACUGAAAAGCGCCAUCGGUAGGGGAGUGUUUGGCACCCUUUACUGCCGAGUGCAACACAAGACCCCUUACCAGGAACUUAUCUACUAGGACACGUGAAGCCACCACAAGUAAUAUCAACAGUCCCACAUCGAAGUUUAACAUAACAUGUACACUCCCCAGGACUGAUAAAAGUGGGCACAAGUCCCAAAAAUGGGGGAACUUGGACUUUCAGCAAUUCAUCCAUUAUUAUGUCCAAAUUACUAUACACUCCGUACUUAUUCUUACUUAAGCAUUGGAGAGCCUUCGGCCGGUACCACACCAGUGCCUAAGGGCUUACCGAGCGUUCUCUAUCUUGCAUAUUGAUCGCUCUACUGAAGCCCAUAAAGAGUUAAAGGUCAAGACAUCACUAAGUUGAGCCCAAAAGUGCUGAACCACAUCAAAAAUAUGUAUAGAUUGAAAAAAUAAAAUAAAAAUCAAUCUAUUAUCAUAUAUAUUAUAAAAUAAAUAUUGGAUAAAUUACUCAAAUGGUCCUCAAACUUAUACUCGAUUUACAUUUUGGUCUCUCAAUUAAAUUAUUUGUUCAAAUGGUCCAUCAACUCUAUAUUAUUUCUGCAAAAUCUACAAAGUGGUGGGAGGCAGACCAACAAAAAAAAUUAGCGAAGGCUUAUAACUCUGGUAAAACAAGAGUUACUUGGAUAGAAUAAUGUUACGUCGUACUGAAGAUUUUUGGGUUUCUUUAAUUGGUUAAGUGAAGAUUCUUUAUUUGGGUUUCUUUCAAGAUGAAAGCCAUAUCCACAACCACAACCACAACUGGCAGACAAUCUUUGGCUGUUCAUCACAAUUGGGCGACAAUGAAGAAGACAGAAAUUGGAGUACUGUAUGUUAUCACCCACACCACAAGACCAAUAUAAGGAGGAUGGGGAGGCUGCGGAAUACUUAUCACCUUAGCCACCACCUACACCACAAGACCAAUAUGUUGUAGGCCAGGAGGCUUUCCAAUUUUAAAUUAGAUAAAUCGGAAACUGUUUCGAUAUCCAAUUGUAUUCUAUAAAAUCAAUGAACACGGUGCUUCAAGAAAGUAAUAAAAUUUCAAUAAUUCAAUUGAGUGGUCAAAUUCAAGUGAUUUUUUGUAGUGAUGAUCUUUGAAUGAGUAUCUAUAAAAGAGACGGUUUGGAUUAGUGAAAUACAAUAUGGAGUGGGCCCUACCAGCAAUCCACGACAAAAUGUCUGCAAGCUUUCGUAAUAUAAGGAGGAUGGGGAGGCUGCGCAAUACUUAUCACCUUAGCCACCACCUACACCACAAGACCAAUAUGUUGUAGGCCAGGAGGCUUUCCAAUUUUAAUAUAUAUAUAUAUAUAUAUAUAUAUAUAUAUAUAGGGAUGUGAUUUCUCUACUCCCCUUUUCUCUACUUAUACUCCCUUUUGCUUUUAAAUACUUUUUAAUCAAUUUUUUUUCCGCUUUCCUAUUAAUAUUCUACCAUUUCCCUACAUUAAUUUCUUUUUACUUCACUUUUAUAUUAGUUCUUUUUCUUUAUACUUAAUUUUUCAACUUGCACUCCAUUUUCAUUAUUUUUUUCCUAAUCGAGUAAGAAAUUAAGUUUUUUUUCCCCAUUUAAUACUGAAAAUGGAGUGUAAGUUAGAAAAUUAGGUAUAAAGAAAAAGAAAUAAUAUAAAAGUAAAGUAAAAAAGAAAUUAAUGUAGGGUAAAGGUAGAAUAGAAAAGAGAAUGAACAAAAUUGAUAAAUAAAUAAAAAAGGUUUAAAAAGCAAAAAGGAGUGUAAAUGGAGAAAAGGGGAAUGAGGAAAUCAGCUCCAUAUAUAUAUAGAUUGAAAAAAUUAAAAUUAAAAUCAAUCUAUUAUCAUAUAUAUUAUAAAAUAAAGAUUAUUGCUCCAAGGAAAUGACAUCUUUUGUUUUCUGGGAAUUUUCUGAACCAAGGAAAAUCAAAUAAAAUUAAUAAAGCAUAAAUUGGAAAGGGAAAAGAUCUAAAGGAUGCAUUGUAGGAUUGCUGAUGCCAAUAAUUGUACCCUCAAAUUAUACAUGGACAUAGGGGUGGGCAUUCAAAUAGGCAAACUAGAAAUCCGAGCUGAACCGCACCUAGGAAAACCGGAAAAAAAACCGAGUUGACCAAAAAGUCAACAACUGGUCAAAAAUCGAACCGGACCGAUUUGGACUGGUUUUGGAUUCAGUUUAUAUGCAAUGCUACAUUUUUAGUCUCAUAACUAAUAUUUAUCCAAGUUCAAUUUCAAAACAUCUUUCUUUUUUAGCUUUAAUAUUUAUUUUUAUAUGAAAUUAAAUAAUUUAUUAAUUUUCAAGUAAAUAAAAUAAAAUUUCAGUUGAAAUUUAUAUUAAAAAAAUAAUUUUAAUAAUCCAGUUCAAAACCAAACCGGACCAUCCAGCUGUGAGGUACAUUUCUCCCACAUGCCACAAUUGUAUAUUCACAAUUACGUCUGAUACAUCACAUCAUGCCACUUGCCUCAAAUGAAUUUAAGUGAGUGUGGCAGUGGAAAGUAAUUAAGCUCUAUAUUGGUGGGUGGACUGUUACUUCUGGGUUCCCCUCAUCAUUCGUCUAUAAAAUGGUGAAGGCAGUUGCUAUUGUUACCAUAAGAGCCAGCUCCGACUUCCUUUAAUUUCUUGCUUCAUAUCCACUAGCUACAUCUGUUACCAAGUUAAUUUCAGUCCUAAUGGGGUUUCAUCUCCCACUCAUCUUUGCUCUUCUCAGUGUAAGCUCUGCAAUUUGAUUAACUUUUCCAUUCUCUCUCAUUGUACUCUAUAUAAACGAAAGUUUUGUGUUCCUAUAAUUCUCUCCGAUUUUAUUUAGUACGUACUUAAGUGUCGUCCACUAAUUAAUUACACUUUGUGAUUUGAUUUUAAUUUGAGUUCGAAUUAAUGUUGCAGCUAGCAGCAGUGGCACUGGCAAACCAUGCUGCUCAACCAGCACCUCAACUUUACUGGAACUCCGUCCUGCCAAACACACAGAUGCCAAGAUCUAUCAGUGAACUUCUGCAUCCUGGUUUGUGUUGAGCUCUUUAGAAUCUUAGAUAUCUCUUCUACCUGCCAUUUUACUAAAAUAUGUUCCACCACAUAUUUAUCAGUUAACCACUGUUAUUACAUGAGUGACACAUAUUCACAAAUCGGCUGAUCACUUAUUUUCCAUUAUGACGUUGAUAUAUAAUUUGCAGACUCCACAAAUGAAGAAAAGAGCACAAAUGACGUUGGCAAACCUGAAACUUUCCCAUUGGGCAAUAAACAUUACUCCAGUCAAAAACAUUAUGGAAGAGGCAAACCUGAAACUUUCCCAUUGGGCAAUAAACAUUACUCCAGUCAAAGACAUUAUGGAAGAGGCAAACCUGAAACUUUCCCAUUGGGCAAUAAACAUUACUCCAGUCAAAGACAUUAUGGAAGAGGCAAACCUGAAACUUUCCCAUUGGGCAAUAAACAUUACUCCAGUCAAAAACAUUAUGGAAGAGGCAAACCUGAAACUUUCCCAUUGGGCAAUCAGCAUUACUCCAGUCAAAAAAAGUAUGGAAGAGGUGCUUCUCCAUCCGACAAUCAACCACCAAUUCCAUAGAAAUUCAAACACGGCUACUUUCUUGCCACGAGAAAGCGCUCAAUCGAUCCCCUUCUCCUCUAACAAACUACCAGAAAUUUUCAACCAUUUUUCAGUGAAGCCAACAUCUGAGGAAGCCAAAACAAUUAAGCAAACAAUCGAAGAGUGUGAAGCUCCAGACCUUAAGGGAGAGGAAAUAUAUUGCGCCACAUCUUUAGAAUCAAUGGUUGAUUUUAGCACUUCGAAGCUUGGAACAAGAAACGUUGAAGCAAUCUCGACGGAGGUAUUGGAAAAAGGAGCCACCAUGUCCAUCCAAAACUAUACAACAAUGCCGGGACUGAAGAAGUUGGCAGGUGACAAAGUCGUUGUGUGUCAUAAGCAGAACUAUCCCUAUGCUGUGUUUUUCUGCCAUGCAAUAAAACAUACAGCAGCUUAUGCUCUCUCCCUGAAAGGCGAUGAUGGGGAGAAGGUUAAAGCAGUAACCAUCUGCCAUCUAGACACAUCAGAAUGGGACCCAGAGCAUAUGUCCUUCAAAAUCGUCAACGUUAAGCCCGGAACCAUUCCCAUCUGCCAUUUCAUUUCCACUGAUGCUAUUGCCUGGGUUCCGAACCACAAAUCUGCAUGAUCAUCACUUAGCACUAGUACUGUGCGUAUAAUAUGCCUGUAUAAUUAUCUCCCUACUUAUUUCUGCCUGUUCAUCAUGUGGUGUAAGAUAUAUGUUGAGAUGAAGUUUUUGGGAUUAGUGGUCGAAAUUAACCCGAUCAUGUUUUCUCUUGUAACUAUAUAGACUUCAACUUGUACUCAUAAUAAAGCAUGCUAUAUUUAUGAAGAGAUAUUAAUCUUCAGGCAAAUAGAUAUUAUGAAAACAUAUAUAGCAAUUUAUCCAGAAGAAAUAUUAUGAAAUGAAAAGAAUAAAAAGUAAAAAAACAGAAGGAAAGGAAUUCGCACCUGCUAUGUAUGAAAGGACCAAGAUUGUUUUCCCUUUGGUUAAUGACUAGAAAAGCUCACUUGCAGAUUGCUUUCUCUGACCGUAGAUGCAACAGAAAUUUUCUCUUAAUAAUAGCACAAUGAUCGGGUAAUUGUAAGAACAAGUUGAUUUAAAAUUCCUUGACCCAAAAAAAAAAAAAAAAUCAUUUCAAAUUCAGGUCAACCCAUAGAUUUCUUGCCUUUUUCUUCUUCAUCACGUUGGGCUUGUCUUCUUCUUGAGGAUUGUAUAGGCCCAGGAAAUGCUUUGAGGUAGUUUUUGGCCUUGGAAGUUGGGACCCAACCCAACUUCACAAAAAGAAAACAGAUUUGCCAAAAAUCAAAUUUCAAGUCUCUCCUCAGAUCACUAAUACAGAUCAAAUUUUGGAUUUGAUGAACUAAAGUGGUUUUACUUUCUCUGUCAGUGUUUGAUGACUUAAUUUGUUAUUUACUUCUUUUUUUUUUUUUACUUGAUCUUUGUAGGGGUUUUUUUCUUCCGGUAACUUAAACGGGCUGGGCUGCCGUAAAGGGUAGAUUGAUGAAAUUGUCUCCUUUGUCUGAGUUCGAAAAUCAAGCCCCAAAAGCGCUUCGAAAGGGCAGUAGAGCCUUAGGAAGCGUUCUAGUCAUCUUCACCAACUAAAACAACAGCAACUUACAGAUGAUUUCUUAAGGCUUACAGAUAAAUUUUCUAGCUUGGCAUGAGAGGCUUGUGACAUGGAAGCAAAAUCAGCAUGAGUUUAGCACCAAAGAGGAAAAUAUGGCUUCCUAGGGAGAAAUGGGAGUGUUUAAGGUGAGGAAGAAGAGGUUUGCAGGCUGAUUUGGCUGAGGAGAGAGAAAGAAAGAACAAUGUUCUUCCAGUAGCUUGACAAAGCUUCUGACAGAUGUGAAAGUCGUCUGCCAUAAGAGGAAAAUGAAGAAGAAUGGUGAAUAGUGCAUGAAAUUGCUGGGUUUUUGCAGGUAAGAGAGAAAGCUUGCUCUCUGAAUUUGAGUUGGUUUUUGGUUGGGUAGAAGAGGCCCCCUUUUAUAGCUGCGGGAAACCAUCUUUUUUCAAGAAACCCUAAUGGUUUCUAUCCAUUUUGGCCAAGCUUUUCCCUUCAUUUCUCUUCUCCUCCCUUGACUUUUCCUAUCUUGGUGAAAUUUCCUCUGCCUAUUUGCACAAAAUUAGAGAUUUUGAGGAGCUCAAGACCCCUUUCCCGCAGCUGCCUCAGUGGAGAAUCCCCAUUUUCAGUCAUCUUUCUUCCUUCUUUUCUCCCAUCUUCCAAGGUUAGGUCUGAUGAGGGAAAGAAAUGGGUAUGCACACUGGUUUGAAGGGUAUUUUUGCUUGAAACUUGUUCUCUCCCAUGUGCUGGAGCUUCCCAGCAACUUACACACAUGGAUAUUUUGGCUUUCAUCGUGGCUUUUGUUUUCAGCUAGGUGCUGGAGAUUUCGCAGAUAUUUUCAUGAGUUGCUUGGGCCUUCUAGGACAAUAGGUUGGUUUAUCAAGUGAAUGGGCUAACUUCAUCAAUUGUUGGGCUAUUUUGGUUGAGUUAAUGGACUAUUUUGGUUGAAGUAAUGGGCUAUUUUGGUUGAAUUAAUGGGCUAUUUUUCUCUCUUUGUGCUCACCCACAUAUUUGGGCCUAAGAAAUGGGCUUGAGUUCCGGGGCUCCCAAGCAACCCCGGGACUUCCAUUUCUCGGCCCAUCAAUGGGCCUCAUAUCAACUUAUUACCAUCCAUAUCACAACCCACUCAAGCAAGCCCUGGGCAUCUUGCGUGGCUUGGGCCCACUUAAGCUUGUAGCGUGACGUGUUGCUUAUUUGCUUGGCAUGGCAUGUGUGCAAGCGCAUAUGACGAACUUUAGCGUGCCCAAAUUGGGUUUAUUCUCGGUAAGGUAUCGCAUUGGGCCGAGAAUUUAAUUGGGCAGAACUGUGGAUUUUUGGGCCUCAACAAUCUUAUAUAUAUUGGUUUUCUUUUUUUCCUUAAUAUUCACCACCUUUCUGUUGCAUAAGUAUUUCAGUCUUAACGGGUUUCCAUCUACCACUCAUCUUUGCUCUUUUAAGUGUAAGCUUUUUUUUUUUUUUUUUAAGCACAAGAUUAGAGGGGAGGGGGAUUUCUCAAUGUAAGCUUUGCAGUUUCAUAAUUAAUAUUUCCAAUAUCUCACUGUUAGUAAAAUAUGGAACAGGAAAAGUAUGAAUAAAAUACACACAUGUUUUAUUUAGCAAAAUUUUGACAAGAUACAACUGAAAAGUUUGGCCACUAUAUAAUAUUUUGAUAUAAUUUCUACACUUCUUCUCAAAAGAUUAGAUCACUUCACAUCUUGUGUAUGUGAAAACUAAUGUAAAAAGUUGAAACUUUAUCGUAAAACCUCGACAAAAAUGAGCUCUACUAGAAAAUGUUCAAUUUGGAUUCGUUGAUUUAAAUGGCAAUUUGACACUUGAUAGAAAUUUUUACAUACAUGUGUUAGUGUUUGAUCACUUCACAUGUUACUUACUAUAUUUAUUCCACUCAAGUUAGGUAAAUAUUAUUAUCAAACAUUUCAAUUAAUUUGUGAUUUUUUUAUUAUUUAAUCAAUUAUGAAUUAAUGGAUUCUUCUUGUUGUUUUGAAGACCAAUAAAAAAAAAAGGGUAAGGAUGGCUUAUAACUCUGAUAAAACAACAGUGACGUGGACAGCAGAUGUUACACCGUACUGAAGAUUUUUGAAGAUUCUUUAUUUGGGUUUCUUUCAAGAUGAAAACCAUAUUAUCCACAACCACAAUGAAGAAGACAGAAAAUGGAGUAAUUCAGAUGUUACCAGCCAUCCACGACAAACUGAAGUCUGCAAAGCAUUCGUAAUCUAAAGGGAGACUUUGGAAAAGCCCAAAGGAGAGAGAAAAUUUUUAAAAGAAGCAAAAAUGGACAAAAUUGCCCUUAUUUAUUUUUUGAUUUCCUAAGAAAUCCUUUACAUUUGCAUGUCUUUGGUUUGAAAGUUGAGAGGUUAUUCUGUCUUUUUUCAAAAAGCUUUGGCUUUUUCCAAAAGUGAAAGUUUUUUUAUGGGUAAAACCUAAAUUUACUUAAUCCCUAAAAAGGAUGGGGAGGCUGCGCAAUACUUAGCCACGUGUAGGCCAGGAGGCUUUCCAAUUUUAAUAUAUAUAUAAAUUGAAAAAAUAAAAUAAAAAUCAAUCUAUUAUCCUAUAUAAAAUAAAGAUUAUUGCUUCCAUGGGCAGUGCUAUGCACAGGACAGUGCCUGCCCAGCACAAAUUUUUUUUAAAUAAAAAAAAAAAAUCUACAUAUGUUAUAAGCUCAUCCAAAAAAAUAAAAUAAAAUAAAAGUAAAUUCUACAUAUAUGUUGCCCAUCUAGGUGGUUCCAUAUCUUCUCUCUCCUUCUCUUUUGGCUAUUAGACUUCUUGUUUCUCUCUCUCUCUUUGCUACCUCACAUCAGCAAGUUUCUCCCUCUCUUUUUUUGGGGUCAAAUUCUUCCUCUAUUGACAAAAUCUUCUAUUAUCUUGGGUGGGCAACUUGGCAACAACAUCUUCUCUUCUCCUUUUGUCAACAACAAGUAUUAUUCUCAUUCUCUCAUUUGCUAUAUAUCUUUAAUUAUAGUUUUAAUUUAAAAUUGAGUAUUCUAGGGUUUAAUUAGGGAUGAAUUAUAAUUUUAGAAUUUUGUUGAAAUUAAUUAAGGCUUCGAUUAGGGGUGAAUUAUUCUACUGCUUUGGUUUGGAAUUUUGUUAAAAUUGAGUAUUAUAGGGUUUAAUUAUGGAUGAAUUAUAAUUUUUGAUUUUGGUAUUAUUGAGAUGUUAUUAUGAGAAUUUGUUUCAUUUUUUUAUUGGUAUAUUUGAUUAAAAUUCUUUCUACAUAUUAUUCAUAGGCUAUCUUUUAUUAUGUCGGAUCACAAUCGGAAUCCCAAGAGAACAAAGAAUUUGAAUAGUGUUGUUUUGUAUUGCAUUGCAUUUACUUUUGGUUUUAGUUUUGCUUUUAGUGUAAAUUACUCAAAUGGUCCUCAAAUUUGUACCCGAUUUACAUUUUGGUCCAUAAACUAAAUUAUUCAUUCAAAUGGUGCACCAACUCUUUAUUAAUCAGUGCUUUGGUCCUACCGUUAUGUUUUCUAUUAAAUUUAGUCAUGUGAGCAGCACAUGCUACAUUUGUAGGGGUAAAUAAGACUUUUGACCACUUUAUCACCUAUGUAUCACCACUUUAUAACCUAUUUGGAGAACAUAGGUCAGUUAUGGACGGUUUUACAAUUAUAUUUGACGGCAACAUUAACAUAAUGUAACAGUGGGAUCAAUGGAGCGAUUAAUAUAGAGUUGAUGGACCGUUUGAACGAAUAAUUUAAUUGAGGGACCAAAACGUAAAUUGAGUAUAAGUUUGAGGACCAUUUGAGUAAUGUACCCUUCGCUUUUAUAUUUGUUGAACUUUUAUUUAUGGAUAGAUAUGCAUUUGAGGGUAAGACCCAUUAUGUUCCCCCUGACUUGGUGUAUCUUUUUAUGUUUAUUAAUGAAAUUCACUCGAACUGUUGAGUUUAGUAUGUAAGUUUUGCCUAACCGGCUUUUGAAUCCUAGAACCGCCACUGUUGCUCCAUCCUCCAUGCACUUGCAUGUGCUCUUACAAAGUGUGAAGUAGAUUUUGUGUGCUCCAAGUCAUUGACUAGAGCUGAAACAUGGUUAGCUAGAUUUAUAAGGACCCAUCUCUCUAUUUCCUAGACAUAUACCCAUCUCUCUAUAAAUCUAUAUGUAAAACUCAAUUUCAAACUUAAAUGACCAGUAAGAUAUAAGAGGUCAUAGUAUUCCUAUGUUUUUACAUCGUUGCCACCAGACUUCUUAUUUUAUUUAUAAUUUAUUUCAAGCAUUUCAUUAACUGCCAUAAUUGUAAUUAAUACUCCAUAUUAAUAGCAUAUCAAUCACCCCAUUUCUUUUGAUUGCCAUUCCCUCUAACAUAUCGCCCCUUAAAAUUGAAAACCAAAAAAAAAAAAAAUGUAAAUUACAUAUCCAAUAAUGUACCUAUGAAAAAUAUAAAUAUAAAUAUAUACGUAUAAAAAUAUAGGUUUAUUAUUUACCAAAUAAAAAAUAUAAAAAAACUAGGUCAGUUGCUUUGUAAUUGAAAUUUCUAUACAUUUUCCACAAAUUAAAAAUAGGUACACAAUAAUUUAUAGAAAAUAUAGGUGCAUUAUUUAUCCAUAGGUAAAAAUACCUAUAAAUGCACAUAGGUAAAUUAUUUACCCAUAUAUUAUUUUUUUGCUAAGGAUUUACCUUAGUUUUUAGUAGAUUAAUUUACCUACCUAGAGGCAUAGGUAGCUUAAAAAAAUUGUAGCACCUUAGUUGGUUGCAUACUAAUUUACCUACCUAGAGGCAUAGGUUGCUAAGAAAAAAUGUAGGUAAAUUCAUGUACCUAAACACAUAGGGGUCAAAUAGAGAAUAACAUGUUAUUUCCCUUCGAACAAAUUAAUUUCAAACCAUAACAAUAAUUGAAUUCGGAAAUUGGUAUAAAUAAAAGGAAAUAAAUAAGCUAUCAAUUUGAAAAUUAAAAUAAGAAAUGAUCAAGUAGUCAUAUUUGAAAAAAAAGAAAAGAAUAUAUUCUUGGUUUUUAUAGGAACAACGUGUAUAUUCAAACCAAAUGGCAGUAACUACACCAAGCUUUAAUUACUUUUUUUUAAGGCCAAAAGUCACUUUUGGUCUCUGUAGUUUGACACUUCUAUUACUUUUGACGCUGUAGUUUCAAUUCCGUCAAUUUUGCCAUUGUAGUUUCAUAUUUGUAGCAAUUCAAGGACAUGUUAAUAUUAAUGUCAAUUUGUUUAAUGAUGCAAGGGGUAAUUUCGUCAUCCCAAAAUCCUUGAGCAUAAAAGCUUGUCUGAAAUUCUCCCCAUUUCAUAUUAGGGCUCGAAAUUCAACCACUAAUCCCAAUUUUUGAAGAACCCUAUACCCAAAUGACCAAUUUCAAGCCCUAAUAACAAAUUAGGGAAGUUUUAGAUGAGCUUUUAUGCUCAAGGAUUUUGAGUUGAAGAAAUUGCCCCUUGCACUGUCAAAGAAAUUGAUAGGAAUACUGACUUGUCCUUGAAUUGCUACAAAUACAAAAAUACAGGGUCAAAAUUAACAGAAUUUAAACUAUAUGGUCAAAAGUGGUUAAAGUGCCAAACUACAAGGACCAAAAGUGACUUUUAGCCUUUUUGUUUAAAUAAGGAAAAAACUUACCUAUUAAAUCCUUGGAAUCUAUACAAAAUUGAAACACAGUUAAUCAGCAUUGAAUUGCAGCUAAUUUCUUAAACAAGGGUAUUAUAGGAAUUUAAAAAGUAUAACAUUUAAUCCAUUGAGCUUGAUUAGGAAUCUUGAUGAGUUGGAUCCUAGUUAUAUAGUUUCUCUUAUAAAAAUCGGGUUUUAUUUAUAGACAAAUAAAACAAUGGGUUGUAGGUAAGAAAAUAUUAAUUUGAAGGGAAAGUGUCACAUCCUGGGAUCGGCUCCGCCGUAGCACGAUAUUGUCCGCUUUGGGCCCCCCUCUCUGCCCGCACGGUUUUGUUUCUGGGAGCUCACGAGCAACUUCCCAGUGGGUCACCCAUCCUGGGAUUGCUCUGGCCCCCAACUCGCUUAACUUCGGAAUUCCUAUGACUCCGAAGCCAGUGAGCUCCCAAAAGGCCUCGUGCUAGAUGGAUGCGGGUGUGUACAUAUAAGACACAUCACCCCCUCUCCGUUGGUUGAUGUGGGAUCUUACAGAAAGAGUCAAAUUUACUAAAUUAAUAAAGCAUAAAUUGGAAAGGGAAAAGAUCUAGAGGAUGCAUUGUAGGAUUGCUCAUGCCAAUAAUUGCACCCUCUCGAUAUUGAAAAACCUAUUGUGUAUUAUUAUCUUCAAUCAUGAAUGAUGCACCUAAAACCCAAGUGUCCCAAGCCAACCAUUGCGCUCAUACCACUUGUUGCAGUACACAUUCACCCGUUUUUAAAGAAAGAAAUUCUACCAAUCGAUAUUGUCUCAAAUUUAAUCACAUAGGUCUAUUAUGGUUAACCAUAUGUACUUUUAUCGGCCAUAUAGAGGUACCUUUUUCCAACGUGCAACAAUUGUAUUUGAUUCACAAUUAUGUCUGAUAUACAUCACAUCAUGCCACUUGCCUCAAAUGAAUUUAAUUGAGUGAGGCAAUGGGAAGUAAUUAAGCUCUAUAUUGGUGGGUGGAGUGUUACUUCUGGAACCCUCAUCAUUCGUCCAUACAAGGGAACAAUUCCCUUCCUUCUAUAAAAUGGUGAAGCCAGUUGCUAUUGUUUGUUAGAGUUUUAGGAUCUGAGUGUUAGAUUUUGUGAGAAGAGAGAAGAGAAUUUAGUGAAAACUUCCAAUACUGCUCUGCUAUACGUGUAGCAGAGAGAACAUUCUGUUUUGUUAUAUAUUUUCAGUACAACAACACACACUUGGUGUGAGAAGAAAAAUGACUGUUAUGCACAGUACCAGCUGGAUGCUUUCCAUCAAAGUAAUCUCAGCCAUUCACUAUCUAACCAAUCAAGCUAUGACACCUGGACUAAGUAUAAAGAAAUACAACUAAGCAGAAAACAAGACUCUUAAUCCUGAAAUCAACUUAAGCACUUAUAAUUCAACACUCCCCUUUAAGUCUUGAGGUGAUUUCACUCCAAGCAUGCCUCUGAGAUAAUUGAAUCUGUCUUUGGCCAGAGGUUUGGUAAAAAUGUCAGCCAAUUGUUCAUUUGUAGGACAAUAUUCCAGAUUGAUUACCCCUUCUUGCAAUGCAUCCUUGAUGAAGUGAUACCUCCUGUCAAUAUGCUUUGUCUUCUGGUGGAAUACAGGGUUUUUAGUGAUUGCAAUUGCUGAGAUAUUAUCACAAUGCAAUGGAGUAGCUUCAGUUUGAAGCUCUCUAAAGUCUUCUAGCACAAAACGGAGCCAAAUAGCUUGAGUAGUAGCCUCAGCUGCACUGAUGUACUCAGCUUCUGCAGUAGACAGUGCAACACAGUUCUGUUUCACUGAGGCCCAAGAAAAUACUCCACUUCCAAAACUAAACGCAUACCCUGAUGUGCUCUUGCAAUCACCAACUGAUCCUCCCCAAUCACUGUCACAGUAACCAACUAGAAUUGAUCUUUUGCCUUUCACAUAUUCAAGACCAUAGUCCAGAGUUCCUUUGAUGUAUCUCAAAACCCUUUUAGCUGUUCCAUAGUGUCUAUUUGUAGGACAGUGCAUGAAUCUAGCUAGCAAGCUUGAGGCAUACAUGAUGUCUGGUCUUGUAGCAGUUAAGUACAGCAAGCUACCAACAAUGCUUCUGUAUUGUUCUUCAUUUGCAGCUCAACUCCCAUCAUCCUUAGCUAGUUUCUCAGUGGCAACAAGGGGUGUUGUCACAGGUUUGCACUCAGUCAAACCAAACUUGCUCAACAAGGUGCUAGCAUAUUUCUUUUGAUGUAGAAAUAUACUAGACUCAGUCUGAAUAACUCCCAUGCCAAGAAAGUGAUGAAGUAAGCCCAAAUCAGUCAUCUCAUACUUAGCCAUCAUGUCUUCUUUGAAUUCAGCCAACAAUGCUUGACUGCUCCCUGUAUACACAAUAUCGUCUACAUAGAUAGACACAAUUAGAAUCUCCUUAUCUCCCCUUACUUUGGUAUAUAAGGUUGUUUCACUUAAGCUUUUCACAAAACCACAUUGAGUGAAGUAGCUGUCUAUCUCUCCAUACCAAGCCCUUGGGGCUUGCUUCAGACCAUAAAGGGCUUUAUGCAAACGAUAAACCUUGUCUUCUUUACCUUUAAUUACAAAACCUUCAGGCUGACUGACAUAAACUUCCUCUUGCAGCACACCAUUAAGGAAAGCAGACUUCACAUCAAGCUGGAACAAUUUCCAAUCCUUUUGAGCAGCUAGAGCAAUAAGUGUUCUAAUGGUGUCCAAUCUGGCUAUAGGUGCAUAAGUCUCAUUAUAAUCCAGUCCAGGCUUCUGAGCAUACCCCUUAGCCACUAAUCUUGCUUUAUUCUUUUGCACUGAGCCAUCCAAAUUCAGCUUUGUCUUGUACACCCACUUAACUCCAAUCACUGGUUUUUCAGUUAGUCUAUCUACCAAUUCCCAUGUUUCAUUCUUUUCAAUCAUCUGCAGUUCAUCUUCCAUAGCCUUAAGCCAAGAUUCAUCCUGAGCAACAUCAGCAUAUUUUUCUGGUUCCAUGAUACACAAGUUACACUGAGCUAGAACAUCAUCUAGCCUUCUCCAUUUUAGAGGGGUGUGAUCAUAAGCUUGAGUUCUCCUUUCUUCACUGCUUAUAUCACCUGGAGUUGAUGAAAUGCUCUCUUGCAUAUCCAAAGUUUGAGGUGUACCAGUAGAAUUCUCAUUAGAACUGUCAGAUUUCAAGUCCAAAUCAACUUGGUUUUCAAUUGAGUAUGUUGUCAUAACUGAACCAUUUUUGUUUGUCCAAUGCCAAGCAUUUUCUUCAUCAAAUGUCACAUCCCUUGAUAGUAAAAGCUUGUUAGAAACAGGAUCAAAAACUCUAUAUCCUUUUUCACAAGUUGCAUAUCCCACAAACACUCCCUUUGUACUCUUAGGAUCCCGCUUGUGUCUCAAUUCAGUUGGCACAUGAACAUAACACAGAGAACCAAACACUUUCAGAUGUGCAAUUCCAGGCUUCCUUCCACUAUAUGCUUCGAAUGGAGUAAUGUUGUUGAGAGCUUUGGUAGGACAUCUGUUCAGCAAAUAGAUAGCUGUAUGCACAGCUUCUGCCCAUAGGAAAUAAGGCAUUCCCUUCUCAUGUAACAUUGAUUUUGCCAUCUCAAUGACAGUUCUAUUCUUCCUCUCAACUACUCCAUUCUGCUGAGGAGUAUAGGCCAUUGUAAGCUGCCUUUGAAUGCCAUUAGCUUCACAAAACUCCAAAAAAUCAGUAGACAUAAACUCUCCACCCCUGUCACUUCUUAUGCACUGAACCUUGUGUCCAGUUUGUAAUUCAGUCAUGGACUUGAACUUCUUGAAACAAAAGAAGGCUUUUGACUUGUUUCUCAAGAAGUAUACCCAAAUCAUUCUUGUGAAAUCAUCUAUAAUCAGCAUGAAAUAUCUGUUCCUUGCAACAGACUCAUUUCUCAUGGGACCACAGAGAUCCACAUGUAUUAGCACUAGUACUUUGCUUGCUCUUUGAGCUUGAUCUUUUGGAAAAACAUUUCUGUGCUGUUUUCCAAAUUGGCACCCGUCACACACACCACUUUGUUCUUCCAAUUUUGGUAAACCAUGUACCAUUUCUUUAUCACUUAGCUGCUUCAAUCCUCCAAAAUGCAGAUGACCAAAUCUCUUGUGCCAAAUCCAUGUGGAUUGAAGAAAACUAGUCUUCAUUAGUAACUGUUUUUCAGCUAGAAAAGAGACAGGAUAGCAUCUGUUACUCUUCAUUUGCACCUUUAUGAUGAGAUAAUCCAUGGAUGGGCUAUCAAAUACCCUGCACAUCCCUUCUCCAAACACUAGACAGUACCCAUGUUCAUCCAUCUGCCCAACACUUAGCAGAUUUUCUUUCAAUCCUGGCAGAUACAUUACUUCUCUGAUGUAUUUCCUGCCCUUUGCUGUAUCAAUACUCAGUGAGCCAAUACCAGCUACACUCACUAAUGCACCAGUUGGCAUUUGUACUCUCCCAGCUACAUUAGUUCUCACAUCAACCAGCAAAUCUAAAUUUCCUGUCAUAUGAUUGCUGCAGCCACUGUCAAUGUACCAUUCAUUGGUUUUGAUCUCAGUGGUUGAGCAAUUGGCAUAAAACAGGUUUCCUGUAACCUCCAUUUGAUUUACACAAUUAGCCUUCUGCACAUUUUUGCUCACUGUACAGUCUCUAGCAAGAUGUCCAACUCUGUCACAGUUAUAGCAUUUUGGUUUUCCCUUAUACCUGCACUCACCAAAAUGAUGCUUUGAACACACCUUGCAUUGAGGCUUUGUGUUUUCCUGAUUUGAGAACUGUGUUGAAGUGUGGUUCUGUGCAGAAUAAUUAUUCUGCUGUGUCUUGUCUUUUGCCUCCCAUGACUUCCCUUUAGAGUUCCAGCUUCUCUGUGACUUAGAUGAACCAGACUGAGAAGCAUUUUUGUUCUGACCCUUUGAAUUCACAGUGAAUGAGGCAAAUGCCUUCUCAGCUGUAUCAACACUAUGCAUUUCAAGCCUUUGCUCCCGACUCUUCAAAAUGGCAGUUACUUCCUGCAAAUCCACAGUUUCUAGUGUCUUUGUGUUUUCAAUCACAAUGCAUAUAGGGUCAUACUUCUUACUUAGACUAAUUAACACCUUCUGAACCUACCUCUCAUUUGACAGAACUUCACCAAAUGUUUUCAUUUGGUUAAUCAAUUCAGUUAGUCUAGUAAGAUAUUCAGAUAAGGUUUCACUAUCACGCAUCCUACUGUAUUCAAACUCACGUCUAAGGUUUUGAAGCUUUACCGAUCUAACAUGCUCUCCACCAUGAUAUUCUGAGUACAGCAGAUUCCAAGCCAUCUUUGCAGAGUCAGCAUUGGCAAUUCUGGGAAAAAUCUGAUCAGAAACAGCAUUUUGAAUGAUACCCAAGGCCUUCGCAUCCUUCAUGAGAAUCGCAGCUGUUUUCUCAUCAACUUCUUCUUCUGAACCAUCCUCAGAUUCCUGCUUCGUCUUUGAAUCUGGGAUUAAAAACCCCUUCUCUACCAAACCCCAUAAACCAUAUGAUCUGAAUAUGGUUACCAUCUUAAUCCUCCAAAAUUCAUAGUUCUCACCUGAGAAAAUGGGGAUUCUAGCCUCUGAACUUCCAGAUCCAGCCAUUACGAAUUUCAGAUUCGCCUGGAAACAAGAUGUUUUCAGAUUUGACCCUUGAUCGAGCUCAAUCAGCUUCGUGAGCUUAGAAUGAGCUCACCUCGAUCGAUUUUCUUCACAGAACAACGCCCAGCUUCAGAUAAUCAAACUUGGCUCUGAGGCCAUGUUAGAGUUUUAGGAUCUGAGUGUUAGAUAUUGUGAGAAGAGAGAAGAGAAUUUAGUGAAAAUUUCCAAUACUGCUCUGCUAUACGUGUAGCAGAGAGAACAUUCUCUUUUGCUAUAUAUUUUCAGUACAACAACACACACUUGGUGUGAGAAGAAAAAUGACUGUUAUGCACAGUACCAGCUGGAUGCUUUCCAUCAAAGUAAUCUCAGCCAUUCACUAUCUAACCAAUCAAGCUAUGACACCUGGACUAAGUAUAAAGAAAUACAACUAAGCAGAAAACAAGACUCUUAAUCCUGAAAUCAACUUAAGCACUUAUAAUUCAACAUUGUUACCAUAAGAGCCAGCUCCGACUUUCUUUAAUUUCAGUCCUAACGGGGUUUCAUCUUCCACUCAUCUUUGCUCUUCUCAGUGUAAGCUCUGCAAUUUGAUUAACUUUCCCAUUAUCUCUCACUGUACUCUAUAUAAAGGAAUAAGUGUCGUCCACUAAUUAAUUACACUUUGUGAGAUUUGAUUUUAAUUAGAGUUCGAAUUGAUGUUGCAGCUAGCAGCGGUGGCACUGGCAAACCAUGCUGCUCAACCAGCACCUCAACUUUACUGGAACUCCGUCCUGCCAAACACACAAAUGCCAAGAGCUAUCAGUGAACUUCUGCAUCCUGGUUUGUGUUGAAUAAAUAUAGUAUGUUACUGGAGUACGUAUGGCAACAUAUUCACAAAUGUGUCACGUAUUUUCCAAUAUGACGUUGAUAUAUAAUUGCAGACUCCACAAACGAAGAAAAGAGCACAAAUGUCAUGAAUGCUGUUGGGAAUGGAAAGCCAAUUGACCACAAGGGCAACCUGAAAAUACUGUACUACCACAGCUUGCACGACGCCCAUUUUCUUACAAGAGUGAUGAUCGUCCCACUGACAAUCAACUCCAUUAUAAAAACGUAGCUAUUUUCUUCUUGGAGAAGGACAUGCGCCCUGGCACAACAAUGAGCUUCCAAUUCCCUAGAAAUUCAAACACGGCUACUUUCCUGCCACCAGAAAGAGCUCAAUCGAUCCCCUUCUCCUCUAACAAACUACCAGAAAUUUUCAACCAUUUUUCAGUGAAGCCAACAUCUGUGGAAGCCAAAACAAUUAAGCAAACAAUCGAAGAGUGUGAGGCUCCAGGCAUUAAGGGAGAGGAAAUAUAUUGCGCCACAUCUUUAGAAUCAAUGGUUGAUUUUAGCACUUCGAAUUUUCGAACAAGAAACGUUCAAGCAAUCUCGACAGAGGUAUUGGAAAAAGGUGCCACCAUGUCCAUGCACAAGCAUACAACAAUGCCGGGACUGAAGAAGUUGGCAGGUGACAAAGUCGUUGUGUGUCAUAAGCAGAACUAUCCCUAUGCUGUGUUUUACUGCCAUGUAAUAAAACCAACAGCAGCUUAUGUUCUCUCCCUGAAAGGCGAUGAUGGGGUGAAGAUUAAAGCAGUAGCCAUCUGCCAUCUAGACACAUCAGAAUGGAACCCAAAGCAUUUGGCCUUCCAAAUCCUCAAAGUUAAGCCCGGAACAAUUCCCAUCUGCCAUUUCCUUCCCACUGAUCAUAGUGUCUGGGUUCCGAACCACAAAUCUGCAUGAUCAUCACUUAGCACUGUACGUAUAAUAAGCUUGCACCCCUGUAUAAUUAUCUCCCUACUCUACUUAUUUCUGCCUCUUCAUGUGGUGUAAGAUAUAUGAUGAGAUGAAGUUUUUGGGAUUAGUGGUCGGGUUGCCUUAAAAACACAGAUUACAGAAACUGCUUGAACUUAACCCGAUCAUGUUUUCUCUUGUACUCGUAAAGCAUGCUGUUGUGGUUCUACUUAAUUUCGUUCUCCCCAAUGUUUGAGUGUUUAAUUGUUACGUUGGAUAAUGCUUGUAGUUAGAGAAGCCUUCAUUUAUAUCAAAGUCCUCAACUUGUAAAGAUAUCAAUGGUCCUAGUGCUGCCACGUGUAAGAAGAUUGAAGAAUAAAGCUGUUGAGAUAUUGUUAGACCUGUUAUGCAGUUUAGGAAAACUGUUAGUAUUGAUAAGAGAAGGUUAGAGAUGUUAGAGAGGUUAGAAAACACGUGAACAAGGCUUUAACUCAGCUGAUAUAAAGUCUGUAGUUGUGCUCAGUUGAACUUAAUGAGAAAUACAACAAGUCUCUUCUCUAUCUCUGAAAUUCUCUCUGCUCUCUCUGCUUUACUUCUUUUGUCUCUGCUCUACAUUUUUUUUCAAUCUUCCUAUCUUAACAAAACUAUCAAGAAUUAAUGCAUCCAGAAACAUAUAUACCAAGACGCAAAACAACAUAUUUUUCAUGCUCUGUCUGUAACACCAAAGCAAACUUCCUUUAUCACAAAAGGAUCAAAUUCCAGUACUAAUCUAAUCCAUCAUGUAAAGCAUACAAUCUACAAGUGCCUCCCUUAAUUUGUCCAUUGGAUAUAUAUGUCACUUUUUGGUAAUUUGGUAUAGCAGCACCACGUAGUCUUGAAAUAGUAGUGCGGCUAUACCAAAUAUACCAUUUGCCCCUGCAUUUAACAGAAAAGUAAACAAAAUUGACGGUAGAACUAUUUGUCCUAACGAAACUGCAGUUGAAAGACCAUGAGAACGAUUUUGAAAAUUGAGGGACUCAAAUGAAAAUUGGGUCUAAGUUCAAGAACCAAUAAAACGAUUAACCCAUAGAUUUUGGAUCCAGUACCACAUCCCAAAGAGAAAACCACAAGUUUGCAAGCAAGUUUGUCCAUAAUAACACUACGUACAGUAUGGGCAGUGCGCUAGACUCAUCUCACUUUCUCAACCUAUCCUAUAGUUGUCUAAAAGAGUUUCUAAUUUAAUGUACUGAGAUUUACGAAAGAAAUAUCAGAGAAACAAUUUUCAGGCAAUAAAAAAAUGUCUUGGCAAGAAAAUGUACAAUUUGUUACAUAACUUAUUAAAUAUGAACAGUUGAAAGAAAAAAGAAUCUGGAUGAGGGAUUUGCAAAUUCCUAUGGCCCAAUUACCUUUUUUUCUUUGUUGUUUUUUUUUUUUUUUUUUUGGUUCUUUUGAUCCAGUAGCAUAUUCCAAAGAAUGAAAACCACAGGCAUGCAAUGCAAGCUCUUUUCCCACGUUUUCCUCUGUUUUUCUCCUAUCAUGGAAGUGAUUAAAACACACCUCUAAGCUUGUUUUGCGUUUGGUAGCCGAGUGUAAAAGCUCAAUGCAAGAUAGUUUGAGGUAGAAUUUUCUCCUAUUUUAUUAGGACAAUGAUAAUUAAAAAAAAGUGUGAUUCAUUGAAUAUUUGCGGGGUUUUGUUCAGACCUGACAAAGUUCUAAGUCAACACAUCAAAUUCCUUUUUCCAACAUGCAACAAUUGUAUUUGAUUCCCAAUUUUUUCUGAUAUACAUCACAUCAUGCCACUUGCAUCAAAUGAAUUUAAUUGAGUGAGGCAAUGGGAAGUAAUUAAGCUCUGUAUUCGUGGGUGGAGUGUUACUUCUGGAACCCUAAUAAUUCGUCCCUACAGGACUCUAGAACUCUCAAACUUCUUACAAGGACUACUUAACUCUAUAGCUUAAUGCAUAUAGCAUAUAUAUGCAAACACAAUUAGAAAUUCUACAACAGAAGCAAGAUCAAUCUCACUAUGCCUUCUAAACAAACAAACAAAUAAAACAAGCAUAUUAAUUGCUUUAAUCACUCUACUAACAUCAACACAGCACACUUAGUUUACUAACAGAUGAUAUAGAAAGGAAAAAAAAGGACCAAUAGGGAGAAAAUGGUGAACUAAGGAGAGACUAAUACUUCUGGUCCUUAGAAGGCAUAACAGAAAUAAUAGAGCACACUGCUUGAAUGCAAGUCAGUAUUAGGAGCAAAACAGCUGCAAUGAAAGAAAUAGUUGCCCAAGGUGUAUUGAAAUAAUGUUGCCUCAAAUUUGCCUUCCAUUUGUUCCAAGGCUUUCUGCAGUAGCUAUUAAGGCGCUCAGAAAGAAUAGCAAAGUAGAAGCUUUCACGAUACACUGCAAUUCCUUUUCCGAGGUUGUUAAUCAGAGUGCACACCUCAUUGUAGUCACCAAGCAUAUUUUUGACAAUCCCAUCCUUCAGAAGGAACUCCACAUCCUUUUCGGUGUUCACAAACUCAUCCAUGAGUGAAACAUAAUCACUUAUGUAAUUCUUACGGCAAUGGCACUAUUCAAAGGCAAUGAGGUUACGGAGUGUGAGCUCUGUGUAAUCGUGUAUUUUUAGUUUUGGAAUUUCUAGAAUCCCAUCGUUGAAUUGUGUUAACGCAGCUUUCCUUUCCUAGCCUACACGGAAGUCAACUUCACAAUCUCCUCCUAGCAAUUAGUCUUUCCUGCUGUAAAUCAGAUUUCCUACUGUAAAUCGGAUUGUAUUCAUGUCUAUAUUAUUUCCUACUUUAAGUAGAUAUCUUGUACUAGUAUAAAUAGGGACUUUGUGUAAUCUGUUAAAUACAAGGAAAUAUAUACUCUGCAUGGUAUCAGCCUAACCUAGGGUUCUCUCUCUCUCCCUUAUUCGAUCCUCUUCUCCUUUAGGUCCACCUCAUGGCUUUGUCUGAAUCCACCAUCUCCCUCCCAAGCCCCAACUCUUCUAUUUUAUCAAGCUUAUUGACUCCAACUAUCUUCUUUGGCUCCGCCAACUCAAACCCUUUUUAGUCGGCCAUGACCUCUGGAAAUUUAUCGAUGGCAUUCAUAAACAACCUUCUGCCCACACCUCCACCUCUACCACCGCAACACCCACAACCACCACCACUCUUACCCAAAUCAAUCAUGCCCAUGCUCAGUGGUACCAACAAGACCAACUCAUUGUUAGCUACAUCACCAAUACACUCUCUGAGUCCAUUCUCUUUCUCACUGUUGGUUGCACCUCUGCCCGGGAUCUCUGGGAGUGUCUCCAACGCCACUUCUCUCAAUCCAGUAUGGCCAGUGAAUCUACUCUUCGUUUUAAACUCAUGGAUUUGCAAAAAGGCUCUGAACCCACUUAUGCUUACAUUCGUCAUGCUAAGUCCUUUGCCGAUUCACUGGCUGCCAUCAAUGAACCUGUCUCCCCAAAAGAACUUGUCACUACUGUGCUUUGGGGUUUAAGACCCUAUUGCAACAUCCUCGUCACAGCAAUUCUCAAUUUCCCUCUGCUUCCUAACUUUGCUAAUCUUCGUGCUCGUUUGUUAGCAUUUGACGCACAGACUCCUUGAAUCUCUCCUGAUCAAAACACAGCGCAAAUGGCCACCCAAUCCUCUCCUCACACCACCGGUCAUACUUCCUUCCCUUCUCACCGUGGUGGUGGCUCUUCCAACAACAGGCGUGGUGGCCUCGGUGGCUGGCGCAAUAGCGGCCGGGGUGGCUGGCGCAGCUUCUCAUCUUCCUGGAGCAACCCGUGGAAUGGCUUCCAGCAGCUCCAAUGACCUAAUCAACCAUGGCCUCCUUUUGCUCCAAGUUCUGGAUCUCAAAGCAACUGGCCUUCCUUUCAGCCUCCUUGGGCCUAAUCUGCCGCUUCUAUCAAACACUUUGCCCGGCCCAACUCAGCUCCUGGUGUCUUGGGACCCGCUUGGUGCACUACCUGCAAUACCAAUCACAUACUACUACAAUAUGUCCUCAUCGCUACAAUGGCCCAGAAUCCUUUCUUUGCUAGGGCUCAAUUCAUGUAGCCACCUGACUCUACUUGGUACCCUGACACAAGUACCACUCAUCAUAUGAUUGGUAGUCCUUCUAAUCUCCAAAAUCAAUCCUUCUAAUCUCCAAAAUCAACAGCCAUAUCAGGUUCAUAAUUCUGUAUUUCUUGGUAAUGGAGAUUCUCUCCCUAUCUCUCAUACUAGCUCUCUCUUUUGUCUUCCAUCUCUUCGUACUAAUCUUCUUUUUGUUGCCCAUUUUACUUGUGAUAAUUUAGUUUUCUUUGUCUUUACUCUUGACUUUUAUCAAAUCUAUGACUUAUGUACUGGUUCGUUACUCUUUCAGGGCCCUUCUAAAGAUGGUCUUUACCCACUUUCCAUCUCCUCUCACUCAUCCAUAGUCCCCCAUGCCCUUACCACCGUGCACUCUCCUGCUUGGCAUCAUUGCCUUGGCCAUCCAUUCCAUCGUGUGCUCUCUCAUUUAGCGCCAUCUCUAGGCUUUAAAGUUUCUCAUGCUUUCUGUAAGGAUUGUGCACUUAGCAAAUCCACCAAACUGUCAUUUCUUAGUAAUAAAACCUUUGCCCCAUCUCCCUUUUAUUUAAUUCACUCUGAUGUAUGGAUGUCCUCGGUCAUUUCUGUCACUGGUUAUCGCUAUUAUGUCUUGUUUACAGAUGACUUUUCUCGUUACUCCUGGAUCUAUCAUAUGCACCGUAAAAAUGAGGUCUUUUCUCACUUUCAAACCUUUCUUGCUAUGGUUAAAAAUCAAUUUCACACCACUGUACAAAUUCUUUAAAGUGACAAUGGCACUGAAUAUGUUAAUAAUGCUUUCUCUGAUCUUUGCAGUCAACUAGGCAUCCACCAACGUUUCACAUGUCCCCACACUCCCCAACAAAAUGGCCUAGCUGAACAUAAACACAGACACAUUGCCACCAUGAUCUGUCCCCGGUCAUUUAUUCAACCAUCUUGACCUUUUGCUUGAUCAUUUUCCACAAGCAACCGUCCACGUACCCCAAUAAUUUAAAAGGGCUGAUGAUCUUUAAUUUGGUGAAAGCUUCUAUCUACCUACCGUGCUAUAUAUGAGCUAUGCAAUCGUGACCGUGUUACAUGACGUCCCAAUGUCGUAGGGAUAAAAAAAUAAUAGUCAUGGUUUUCUUAUUAAUGUCAAUACAUUCAUAGCAAAGAGCUUGUAGCUCUAGUGGUUAAGAGCAAUUACCCAUGCACUUGAGAUAUUUUGUGUUUAAAUCCCCUCUUCCCCAAUAUUUCUUGUAUAAAAAUAAAAAUAACAAUAAUAAUGACAUUAAUGUUGUAUUCUAUAAAGUGUUGGACAUGUUUUAUACCCCUUUCUUGCAAAUUACAGUUUGCCACGUGUACAAAAAUAAUAGAUAAGUGUUGGACAUCAAGAGCACUUACAUAUAGGUUUAAUAGGUAAGUUUUGAAUAUUUCUGUAUUUAGCUUUAAAUAUUGAAAAUCAACCUAUUAGCAUAUUAAAGAUUUGUCCAUAUUCGACGUACAUUCUCUUAUUUUUCUCUCAUUGAAGUAAAUACAAAACUAAGCACAUAGUGGGAAAGUGCGUCACGAUUAGGGGUGGGUUUAGUCUAGGUUGGUUCAUUUUUGGGCUCAAUUUGAACACCGAACUGUAAGCUUCGGUUUGGCUAUUUUGGAAACCGAAACCAAACCAUAAUUGAUGAAAACCGACCACUUCGAUUACCUUCUGGUCUUCCAACCAGAAGAAAACUCAAAACUUUAACCAUACCAAGUGCAACAGAAUUACACCAGGCUGGAUUCAAGUUUAUGAUGGUUAAAGAUAAAAACUUAUUUGACAUACAAUUUGAGAAUGGAAUCCUCAAAAUUCCACACCUGCGAAUACGGGGUUUAACAGAAAUUUUCUUCCGCAAUCUUAUUGCCUAUGAGCAGUGUGAGCUUCAUGAUCAUUACAUCAACGACUAUGUCUUCAUCAUGGACCGCCUGGUCGACAGUGCCAGGGAUGUGGAAUUGCUUGUGAAGAGUGGAAUUCUUGAAUCUAUGCUACCGGACAGCGAGGCAGCAGGGGAAUUUAUUAAUUCUCUUGACUUGGGGCCUAUUUUAGGCAAGCUUGAAACAAGACUAUUUCAGUUCACCAUGGGCUGGCCUGUCUAUUAUUGUAGCCGCUAUACUAGUUGUGCUCACAUUUAUUCAAACAGUGUGCUCCGUAAUGGCGCUGUAGGUUCUUCAUUUCCUCAAUUUCAUGUUUAGUGGUUGCAGAUUUGUUGCUCAUGUACGUGUUUAUCUAAAGUUAAAUAAGAGUGAUUGACUGGAUUGACUGUUAGUCUGUUAGUUUGUUUUUCUGGGGUUUUUCCCCCCUGUUCGUCAAAAAAAAAAAUAAAAGAGUGAUGGCUUGUGCCUAUGAAAAUUACUUAGGAGUAUGCUCCACAGAGCCAAAAUAAAUAAACUAGGGAAGUGGAGGUUCUUCUGUUUGUAUAUAAAUGAGCAAUUCAAACUCUCAGUGCCAAGGGAGUUACCCUUGAUACAUUUGUUAAAAAUUAUAUAUUUGGUCUUACAUCAAACAAAUAAUUUGAAGGGCUUUUUUGACAACUGCUGACAGCGUUUGGCAGAAAAGUUUAGAAGCGCUUCUACGCUUCUAGAUCAUAAAAGUGCUUUACCAAAAAGCACUUAGAUUUCUUAUGAAAAUUUCAACAUUUUUAUAAUAAAAGCGCUUGCUAGAAGCACUUAUAAGCAGAAGUGCUUCAUAGAGAAGCAGUCCCAAACGAGCUUGAUUUUCAAAUGUGCUGCUUAAGAAGAAAUUUAAUACGUUUUGAAAACAAAAAAAAAUACGAAAUUUAAUACGUUUGUUUUACAAAUUGUAUUAAUUGUUAUCAAUAAUACUUGUGCACACCCACAACAUACUUCUUUCUUUCUUUAUUUUCCUUCAGUACAGUUCUGCCUUUCUUUAAUUAUUUUUAACGAAUGCAAAGAGUUUGUCACAAAAUCAAGGAUUGAAAAAAAAAGAGAGUAAAUUAUGUGCUAGAGAAACUUUCCUGCAGAAAUUGAAGAACAACUCUAGUUUCUCUCUUUCGCCUUGUACUCCCGCACUGAGGUUAGUAUUGUUAUAAUGUGCAGAUUAUACGGUCACUCUUGUAUAAUGGCGAGAAGGCUCUAAUUAUAUUUUUGAACCUCUUUGACAGGACCCGCCCCGAAUUUCCCGAAACCCAAGACGAAUUCUGUGGAAAUUCCCUACAUCACCCCGAUGUUGGGCCCACUUCUAAAACUAUAUCAUUUUUCCUAAAAAGGAAUAAGGGCACGAGACUUUCUACCGAAAUUUCGGCAGAGUCUCUCCUGUAAAUUGAACAUUUCCCAAAAUUUCAACCUGCAUAAAACACAUUUUAUAUUACCCAACUGGCAGCAUGCACAAAAUAAUAACAUGCAAUUCACAUAAACGGCCUCUGGCCCUCCGGUAAUUCAGAGCAAUGCAAACUAGCAACUCUAAACCUAAUAAAACAACAUAAGUAACAUUUAGCCAGCGGCUGCACCCAGGCACUACCCUAGGCUACCUACGUACCCUUACUAAGGGAUCAAGCCACACGUAGUUCUUUCAUACAAAAUUUCCAAAUCCAUCAACAUGCAAUCAAUUACAGAAUCCCAAACAAAAUCUUUCUCAAACAUCAUUAGUUCCCAACUCAGUAUAAUAAUCCUUAAUUCAUCUCUGUAAUAAUCACAAUAUCUCCCCAUACGCCGGAACUACCAACACCACGUAUGGAGCCUGCCUGUACGCCAGAUAACCAACGACACGUGGGACCUCAUCAUCAUAUCACAUAAUCUCCCCAUACGCCGAAACUACCAACACCACGUAUGGGGUCUGUCAACACGCCGGAUAACCUACGACGUGUGACCUCAACAUCAAAUCACAAUAUCUCCCCAUACACCGGAACUACCUACGCCACGUAUGGGGUCUGUCCACAUGCCGGAUAACCUACGACACGUGGGACCUCAUCAUCAUAUCACAUAAUAUAUUAACGAUCAAGAAAUAUCACUACGGUCAUUUAAUCCUCCUGGGAAGGUAAAACUAUCUCAGGAGACUCACGGUCAACCAAGGGUCAAACUACCUCAUACUUGGACAAACGAGCCCACGGAGCCCACAACCUCCGUUUUACUAUCCAAGAGUUCCUAUAGGUUCUACAAGGUUUAGGAUACACGGCUUGCAAGUUUGGUCAAGAUCAGACGGUCGGAUCGCUCACGAUAGGACGGUUACUGCAAACCUAGCCCUAGGGUUGGCAUUUUCGGAGUAUCCGAAACUCCGUUUUACGAUCUGUCGAAUCAUAGACGAUCCUAAGGAUUUGCAGACUAACUAUAAUAAAUUCAAGACCAUCCAACGGUCUAAACCUAUCGAACCCGGAUAACGCGCAAUAGGCAAUAUCCAAAUUGAAAUCCGAGCACACCUACGCACUCGUGAGGACUAGGAGAUUACAUCGGGACAUAGUGCCCUUUUUCUACAGUGCCCAUGAGCCGCCGCACGCACCAGCAACGCGUGGGUGCCCAAAGCGAUUAUGCAUCGCCAAAAAAUCUCAAAACCACGGCUCAAGACUCCUACCCUAGGUAUAACACCCUAUUUGGAACCACUUUUGUUCUUGGACCUACCCCAAAAACUGAUCAGAAGUGGCCGGAAUGGCUGAAAUGUAAUUCAAAAAUCAAGCUACCAACGCUCAAAAUCGAUGCAAUCCUACCCAACCAUCAACUAGAUUAUGAAGAAUGGAUAAAUUUCCAUACCUUGAUCGCCAACAAUGGCGGCCGGAGGAGAGAGAUCUGAUCCGGCGAAGUUCGAGUGAAAACGGCCAAAAAUCAUCUUUUUCAGGCGGCUGGAGGGCGACCGAUGUCAGGGAAGGGCAGGGUCGUGACGCUAAGGCUGAGCCUGUCCUUUUGGCACCGGUCCCUUCCGCAGCCGUGUCCGGUGGCUGGAGUUUCGAAGAGAGAGAGAGAGAGAGAGAGAGAGAGAGAGAGAGAAAUCUGAUUUUUAUCAAACCUUUUUGCCAAAAUUACGGUUAUGCCACUGAGGGUAUUUUGAUAGUAUCUCUCUCGUUACAACUUCGAUUCGAGCCCACCACGUGUGUACGGACUCAUCUAACUGUGUUGUACGCAACGGUAUAGUCGAAAUUCCCAAAUUAUUUCCUUGUCAAAAAGUCAACUUUAAACAUUAUAAAAUAUUUUAGGGAAAAAAUGGUAUUUUCUCUCAAUAAAUUAGUAACUAAUUUAUUUAGGACUGGGUCAUUAUACUCUUUUUCGCUUCAAUGGAUGGGAAAAAAUUUUAUGUAAUAUCCCACAUCGACCAACGAAGAGGGGGCGAUGUGUCUUAUAUGUACAUGCCCGCCUCCAUCUAGCAUAAGGCCUUUUGGAAGCUCACUGGCUUCAGAGUCAUGGGAACUCCGAAGUUAAGCGAGUUGGGGGCUAGAGCAAUCCCAGGAUGAGUAACCCACUGGGAAGUUGCUCGUGAGCUUCGAGAAACAAAACCGUGAGGGCAGAGAGAGGGGCCCAAAGCGGACAAUAAGGCCUCGUGCUAGAUGGAGGCGGGCAUGUACAUAUAAGGCACAUCACUCUCUCUCCGUUGGUCGAUGUGGAAUGUUAGAAUGGAAUUGUUACCUUUGGUGUGGAGGUGUUCUAUCAUUUGAGCAAGAAAUUCCCACAUAUUCUUCAACUAUUUUUCAAGCAUGCAUAUUCCUCCCUAUCAAUCUUUGGUUUCUUCCUUUACUGUGCAUAGUAAGGAUCCAGUCAGGGACGGACCGUCGCUAUGACUAUCCUGGGCUAUAGCCCAGGCAAAUUAUUUUUUUUUCUAGUCUAAAAUAGCAAUCCCACCGCUUGCUGUAGUACUUGUUCAGUUCGUCACAAACAUGAGCAUAAUAGAAGUUAUCAACAUCUAUAUAGGAACCCCAAUGAAAAGGCUGUUAACUAAUAAUGAAGUUAACCCGUCAAUUUUUCCGCAUAUCAGAUAUCUCUCAGAAUAUGCGAUUCCAUAUUCAAUAAGCCACUCCACAUGCCCUGAGGUUUUCAUCAAACCACCCAUUAAGGAAACAUACUGACUCAUGUAAUUAUCAUUACUCAUCGGGUAAUGCAAUUGUUCAAAGGCAAGGACAUUUCUCAUUAUUUAUGUAGCGAACCCCAAUGGAAAUGGUGGGAUCUUCAGAACCCCAUCGGUGCUACUGAAUUGUAUGUCAAAUAUGUUUUCACCUUGUCACGCCUCAAACUUGACUCCAGCGUGCUGUAAUUCUGUCAAGCUGGGUAUGGAUGAUGGGAGUUUGAUGCAGGAGCAUAGGGGUGGAUCAAGAUAGAUAUUUACUAUUUAAUUAGUUAUUUCAUGAUAUAUUGUUAUUUUCUUAUUUAGGUAGUUUUAUGAUAUCUUUUAUUAUUUAUGUGUGAUUUUAUAAUUAAUUAGUAUACUUUUGGACCAAGUAGCCUUGGUGCUCAAGUCUUGUAAAGCCUAUAAAUAAGGCUAAUGUAAUAGUUGUAGAAUAGAUGUCGAUGAUUAAUAAAAUCGUUUAUUUGUGGCAUGGAUUUGCUACGAUAUAUGUGAGUUUGCACUAGCCCUAGAUUUCAGUGCUCGUGUAUGUGGUUGGUGACCUGUGUCCGGAUCCCGAUCCCCAUCAAUUGGUAUCAGAGCUAUGGCUCAAGAUCUGCUAUAUCGGGGAGGUUUUUGGAUGGAGGGUCGUUUUAACAACUACAACGACAUGGAGGAAAUUAGGAGGAUGCUACGGCAACUUAUGGAACACAUUGCUCGCAUUGAAGCUCGAACCCAGAUAGGUAAGAGUUCUGACGGGGAGGGAUGUGUGAACCCUUAUCUGAACCGAGUAGCUCGCAUCGACACUCUAAGCCGUGAGAGUCUCGACGGGGAGUACGAGGGAGAUAGCCCUUUUCAUUAUUGUGCUCCGCUGUGUGAGUCAAGUGAAGAGGGGCACGGUUAUUCUCAUUGUGUCUUUGAAGGUAUAAAUGAAUUUAGUAAUUUUGGUGCAUCUUGUUAUUCAUCAAAGUUAUUAAAUUUGGAUUUACCUCCAUUAUUUGAUCCUUGCAAUUGUGAAAAUUGCAAUAAAAAUUGUUUGGGUGUUCAAAGCAAUUUUGAUAAGCAAUUUAUUGACCAGAACAGUGAAGAGAUGAGAAUUGAGAAAACUUUCGAAGAUAUUAUUGAUUUUAUGGGCAUUAAUAUUUUCACUUGGAAGGUUGCCAAAAAUCUGGUUGAUUUUGUCAAUCGGUUGAAGAUUCUAGAGAGAAACAUUUGCAUUGCUAGAGGGAGUAAGAAGUCAAGAAUAACGAAAUAUUCCAAAUAUCUUUUUAUUUGGAAAGGAAGGUUUCAAUUGGAUGCUAAAAGAUCCAAAAUUAAUAUGCAGCAAUUGAAGAUUCUACUCGGAUUUUCCUUAAUCAAAGGCUUGAAUUCGAGGACGAAUUCUUUCCAACUAUGGGAGUCUGAUGCAGGAGCAUAGGGGUGGAUCAAGAUAGAUAUUUACUAUUUAAUUUGUUAUUUCAUGAUAUAUUGUUAUUUUCUUAUUUAGGUAGUUUUAUGAUAUCUUUUAUUAUUUAUGUGUGAUUUUAUAAUUAAUUAGUUUACUUUUGGACCAAGUAGCCUUGGUGCUCAAGUCUUGUAAAGCCUAUAAAUAAGGCUAAUGUAAUAGUUGUAGAAUAGAUGUCGAUGAUUAAUAAAAUCGUUUAUUUGUGGCAUGGAUUUGCUACAAUAUAUGUGAGUUUGCACUAACCCUUGAUUUCGGUGCUCGUGUAUGUGGUUGGUGACCUGUGUCCGGAUCCCGAUCCCCAUCAGAGUUCCCCUCCAGCUUUUGAUUCCAACGGUUGAUAGAGUUUAAAUAUUUUCCUGAAAAGAUCAAUAAUAUGUGCCACUGAUCUAAAAGUCUCCAAAUUGUCUUCCAAUUUGUCAACAGGCAAUAGAUGUUCGAAGAAACUGAAAGAAAUACAAAUUAUUGAAAGCCCCUCAGUAAUGCUGUUAUUGUCAGCAUUAGCAGGGAGUGUAAUUUUCUGUGGGUCGAAAAGAUCCUCGAGAAUGAAGAAUGGCAACUGAUUUUCAAGCAACCACGUAUCUGUCCAUGCAUCUUGCAACAUACCUGGUUUGUCAAAUAUGCGGUCAUUUUCGUCCCAAAAUUUGAAGUAGUCCUUCAAUAAGGGCUCAAUAACGAAGGCGGCGCCCACUAGAAUGAUUGUUACAAAUUCAUCACUGCUAAACUUGAUGGGUUCUCCAUAACAACGUCUCAAUCUUGCUUCGUGGUCCUUUAUUUUCUUAAUAUAAUCCUCCAAACUCACAUUGGUCCGACCUAUAAAAUCUUGCAGGUAUCUCUGUUUGUUCUCUUCCAAUACGACAUUCAAGCCUUCCUUUCCAUGGUGAAGUGGACCUAUAGAGACCGACUGCCUGAGGUGUGCAGAGCUUUUCAUUCACACAUACGUAGAUAAAAUGUCUGGGGGCUCAGAGAGUGAUGAAUGUGCAACAGCUAAUGGGAGGGUUUAUAUUCCUGAAGUAAGAAAUGAGGAAACACCAGCAGUUGGGAUGAAGUUUGACUCGCUUGACCUCGUUUACAAUUUCUAUAAUAGAUAUGCAUUCUUGGCUGGCUUUGGUAUUCGACUUCAUUCUAGCUUUUGGGGGAAAAAUAAGAAAGAGAUUUUGAGGAAAGAAUUUGUAUGUUGCAAACAAGGUGCAUACAAGAAGGAUGAAACUCGGGAGAGAAAAAGACAACGGGGAAUAAGUAGAUGCAAUUGCAAAGCAAAGAUUGUGGUUGUGAAGACAAAUGGGAGCAAGAAGUAUACCAUUUCUCUUUUUGCAGAGGGACACAAUCAUAAGAUGACACCCUCAGAAAGAAUGCAUUUAUUGAGAUCACACCGUCAUAUUUCAGAUUCUACAAAAGUACUCACAAAACAGUUGGGUUCAGUUAAUAUUCCCAUUCAUCAGAAGGUAAGUAUAUUCGAGGUGCAAUCCGGAGGAAUGGAUAAAAUCGGUUUUAUCAAAAAAGAUAUCUACAAUCUUGAAUGUAGUGUGAAUGGGAAGCUGAGGAACCACGAUGUUGAACUAGUGACCGAGUAUUUUAUGGCUGAACAGAAAAAAAAUGAGGCUUUUUAUUUCAAGAUUGAGGGAGAUGGGCAUGACAGGUUUAGUCGAUGUUUUUGGGCAGAUGCAACUUCUAGACGGGCGUAUGGGUUUUAUGGAGAUGUUGUUGUAUUCGAUACCACAUUCAACACGAAUCGAUACGACUUGACAUUUGCACCAAUGUUGGGAGUUAAUAACCAUGGUCAGACAAUUGUCUUAGCAUGCGCAUUUUUGAGCAAGGAAACGACUGAGUCGUUUGUUUGGAUGUUUGAGGAGUUUAAGAAAGCCAUGCCAGGUGGGGAACCUAAAACGAUCAUUACAGAUCAAGAUGCGGCAAUGGCCAUAGCGAUUUCAAUAGCCUUCCCGAGUACAUUUCAUCGACUUUGCAUAUGGCACAUCACAUCAAAGUUCUCUGUUAAGUUACCACGUGACGCUUAUAAGGAGUAUUGGCCUGAAUUUCAGAAAGCCAUAUGGGAUACUGACAAUAAGGAUGAGUUUGAUGCAAAAUGGAAUAUUGUGGUUAUAAAGGCUGGUUUGACUGACCAUCCAUGGCUAAGUUCAAUGUUUGAUUUAAGGGAAUCUUGGGUUCCAGCCUACGCACGACAAUUUUUUGCCGCUGGAAUGUCAAGCAGCCAAAGAGCGGAAGGUUCUCAUGGUUUUUUCAAGCAAUACAUAUCAAGGAGAAAUUCGUUGAUGGAUUUCAUAAUACGAUUUGAGAGGGCAUUUUCUCAUCAACGUGAAAAAGAGUUAGUUGCUGAUCACGUAGAUGCAUUUGAAGUGGCUCAAUGUCUUCUACCGAUGCCAAUGAACAAACAAAUGGCUACCUUGUACACAAGGACAAUGUUUCAAAAGUUUGAGCAAGAACUAAUACAAAGUACAGCAUGUUUCCUAGAGCUCAAAACAGAGGAUGCAUGUAAAGUUGUGUUCAACGUGAGCGAAAGGAAAAAUUGGGAAACAAGAGUGGCAGAAGUCGUAUAUGUCAAAGAUUCUGACCACGCAUCGUGUAGCUGCAAAAGAUUUGAAUUUGUUGGAAUUAUUUGCAAGCACAUCCUAGCAUUGUUCAGAAGGGACCAGAUUGAAUAUAUGCCCGAUAAAUAUAUUUUGAAGAGGUGGAAGAAAACUGCGAAAUGUGGAUUGGUGUCAGAUGCAAAUGGCAACGAAAUUAAAGACUGUGCAGAUCCUGGCCUUCUAAUAAAGCGGAGUACAAUGUCUCGACUUGCUUCAAAUGUGGUUGAGGAUGCAUUAAUGAGUGAAGAAGGAUGUGAGCUACUGUCAGAGACUCUAAAAAGUUUGCAGGUGAAGUUGAAGUUGCUGAAGGAUGGACCAAGUAAUAACGAAGUUGGAGGGUCCAGCUCUCAAACACAAUAUAUGAAAGACCCUAAGAGAGUGAGGUGCAAAGGAAGGUCGAAAGGAAUAACGGGAGCAAAGGAAAAGGCAAUGAAGCGAGGGAUUAGACACUGUCGGGAGUGUGGACACAUUGGUCAUGAUAGAAGACAAUGCCCAGCCUUGAACACACCGUAAGAUGCUACCACUAUUUGUAAUAAUAUCUAAAAUAUGAAAAGGUAAAAUUUUUAUGUGCUUGUGUUUGAUGUUUAUGCAGGACAUCACCGUCGAACAAUGACAAAUCAACUCCAAUACAUCGUAGUGACCCAUUAUUCGACGAUUUUGACAAGAUGCACAGACCAACUGAAUGAUUGAUAUUUGUAUUAGACGAAAUGUGGUUGUUAUGAAGAUUAAUGAUCAAGUGAAGUUUUAUAGAUUCAGUUUUUGAAUGUUAUUGUGUUUUUGUUCAUGUCCACCGAUGAGCUCUUACUAUGUCCACUGGUAAUUGAAAUGAAAAUUUUCUUGGUUUCAUUCUUCCAAGACAUUUGGAGACAUGUUAAUUUUACGUCUUCUCCCUAUUUAUAAAUUUUCAUAGACAUUUGAUCAAGUUUGAAAUUUGUAGUUAUGUGAAGAAGCAAUGACUCUUACCAUGUAAAAUGGGCAGUUUAGGGUGAAAUUUGUUUUAACAGAGAUUCAUUUUUCAAUUCCUCAGGGUAAUGCAGCAAUUACAGCAGCCAGCUGUUGUUUCCAUUACCAGUAAUCAUUUCCAGCAGCAGCCACUUUUUCCGACUGGUUAUUAGGGGCACGAUUUUGUACACUUUUGUAAGUGAAGGAUACUCGAAGCACUUUGUUGGAACAGAGCAAAUAGAAACCAGCGGGUAAAAAAAAAACAUAACAUUGCAGCUAAUUACAUUUCGAUACAUAGGUGAAAAAUAUUAAAGGGUACACUAACUUACAUAAAUACUCAUAAUUCCACACACAAAAGAACAUUUGAUUGCAAAACAUAUUAUGUGCUUCCUCAUAGCAAUACCACGAUCUCCCCAACCAACUGAACAACGGUAGCCACAAUCACUGGGUCGUACUCGUCAGCUUCUUCUUAGCAGGUCUCACAUGCUUAUGGCCACUCAUAUCCCUAGUGAUAUACACGAAAUAAAUCUUCAGCAAUAUUUGGAAUUUUAUUAUAUAUAAAUAAACCAUAAACCAUUCAGUAAACAAUGUAUAGCACAUGUUAUGUAACUUAUGACUCACGUGUCAGUUUUUUUUUUAACACAUUAGUACUCCAGCUCUUUAAUGUAAAUGGACAUGAUAAGGAGCAUUUACUGAUUCCCGGCUUUCUAUGAUAUUGACUGCUUCUUGAAUAAUAUUUCCAUAUUUGCAAAAUAUAAUGUUAGACAUUAUAACACAUGAUGACUUGCAAUACAUAGUCCCAAUAAUUAUAUAUCAAGCAAAUGAAACUGAUAUUUGUGUUAUUUUAAGUUAGAUAAUGACAUUAAGGGAGUAUAUGUGCAAUACCACGGUCACCCUCAACCAACUGAACAGCGGUAGCCGCAAUCACUUAGUCGUAUCGGUCGGCUUCUUCCGAGCAGCUUUGACGUGCUUAUGCUCAUUCAUGUCACCCCCAUCGUCUAGUAUCUCUCUCACAGCAUCAGGGGACACAUAGUUCCAAUCAUAACUUGUAUGAGUAGUUGCCGCAAAUGCUCGGAAUUUGUCGAAUCCUUCGUUGAAUGCCAACUCCAGUUCAGUAUGGUGCUCUUCGCAUCGCAUAUGGUUCAUCAAACAACCUUUGAUUUCAUCAUUCAUUACUGUAUCCAACUCCUCAGCUUUCAGCUUCCUGCUAUGACUCAGCUUCAAGUACUUGUUCUUUUGGGAUAACGCUUUGUUCACCCUAAUGUUAAGAUCAGCCAAAAUUGCCUCGUCUUCAACACAUUUCUCGUGCCAUGAAUUGAUCAGUCUGGAAUUAUAAUCCAGCUUGCCACUGACUGCAUGUAUUGCCUGUAAUGGAUCAUCGGAGUCCCCCUCACUCCCAAAUGAUGUUGAAAAAGGAAGGGGUCGGCGAGUACAAUGUGGAAAUAGAACCUGCCACUCCAAUUUGUCAUCUUCGAUUGUGUUGUUGGCGCCUGAAGAGGUUGACAUGCUUGAAUAAUCCUCUUUGUUUUGGGAGGAUGAGGAUUGCAUAUGCAAUUUCGUUUGAGAAAGGGAACAUAGGUUUAUAGACCAACAUACCAAAGCUUGUGUGUAGUCAACAUAUGUACUUUUUGGCGGGAAUUUUUUAAAAAUAGGUGUUAGGUUUUGCUUUUCAAGCAUGUCAACCUCACACUCUCCUGACACCACUGCUAGUGGUUGAAACAAAGUCAAUGGAAGUGACAUCUACUUAGUUAACUCAACCAAACUAGUUAGGAUUAAACUUAGAUUGUAUCAGACCAAAAAAUAAUUUCUACUUUGUCAACCAAAUAUUUUUUGGCGGGAACCCUUUUCUUGGUAUUACUAUCACCCCUUUCAUAUAAAAUCUCCUUCCACACAAAACUCACUCCUCCACCGAAUCUGUCUCCAUCUACCGAUACUCUCUCAAGCAAACAAACUCAUUCCCCCCAAAGAAUGAGCAUAAGCACAACCAAGUUUGAUGUGAGCAUAAUAAACACCCCUCCAAACAAAGACCGGCUUCGACACGCAAGUGAGUCACCGGACAAGCAAUGUCACAUUGCUAGACAGAAUGACCAUUUUGUUGGAAGUUUUGAGUCUGAAAGAGUUGUUGCUUUUUGGAAGGAGAGGCAUCUUCAACUUGGUGAUGAAAUCCAAAGGGCAAGGGCACGUUUGGAAUUUGUGGAAGGCCAAAUUGAAGAUGACAAAAGGCAGGCCAAUCUGGAUAGGGCGAAGUUGUAGCGCAUGAAGCGUAGACACAAACGACUUCGGAGUGUAGCUGUUCAAAAAUACAAGAACUCAUCUAAUGUAGUGGAGUCAAAGAAGCGUGUGAUGCAAGCUGGAUUCGACUACUUCCGAUCCUAUGCAAAACUCGUCGUACCCGGGUUUGAUUGGUCAUCUAUUACCGUUUCCGACGUCACCAAAUAUACUCAGCAAGGGAAGUAACCAUUUUGGUUCUCGUGUUUUAGCAGAGGCAAAUAAGUGGAAUUGGAAUUUUGGUUACACUCUGCUUCAAAGCUAUUUUGAUGCUAACUACUAUGGAAGAUUUAAACCUUAAUAUUUUGAUGUCUUUAAUUACGAAAACAGAAGAUGCAAAGAGCUCAUCUACUUCAGCCAUAUGUUGCUGCCAUGUCCAUUUGUUUUUGAUCACUUAUCAGAUUUGGACAUGGUUGCAUCAUAUGCAAUGUUGCCUUUAUUUAUUAUAUGUUAGGACAAGGUUUAUGGAAAAGCUUUUGUGAGUGCGUUUGUGACAAGGUUAUGGAAUUAUUAUGUACACUUUAUAUAUUGUUUUUUGUACUGGUUCAUUUCCUACUAUUUCUUGCUUUCUUUAUAUUUUAUGUUUGUGGAAUCCCUCUCAAAGUUAACAUAUACUGUGAAAAAAAUAUUAUGCAACUGAUUAUAUAAUCACUCAUAUAGACUAGGACAAAUAUUCACUAAGGGUUUUAAACUUGCUUCACUUGUGUGAUGUUAUUGACAAAAAGUAUGGCAUUAUUUAUGUGAUUUGACAUGAUUGAAAAUAUAUUACUGAUUCCCAAUGCGGCGUCAUAUGGACAACGUAUUGAAUACCUGUGACGUGUUAAUAACUCAAGGUGCAGUUGCAUGUGGACAACUUCUUGAAUACCUCUGACGUGUUGAAAACUCUAGGUGCAGUUGCAUGUGGACAACUUAUUGAAUACGAACUGACGUCUUCAAAGCUCUAGGCGUAGUUGCAAUGAUGGCUUCAAAGCAUGUGCAAUUAUUUUUUAUGUACAUUAUUAUAACAAAACAUAUUAUUGUAUAUAGUGAAACUAAAUAUUGUAUUAUUAGAAAUUAUAUUUCGAAUAUUAUCCGAAAUAUACGUGUUAACGUGAAUUUGGGUUAAGAGGAAAGUGAGUUAUGUACAAAUAAUUUUCAUUUUCUCAUUUUCCGGGCAUUUUUUGGAUUUUCGUAGAAUUUAUUACCUAUGUCCACAGAUUGUUGCACUAAAAAAGCCAAAAUAAUAGCAAGAGGACACCUGGAGCGAUCUCAGCCCGUCACUGAUGACUACUUGCACAAGUGUACGUCAGUCAACAUGGCCACACCCUCCCAUUUUACCCUAAAUUAUUAUUUUAUUACUUUUCCUUACAAAAAUCAGAACUAAUUACACACAAAAUAAAAAAAUUAUCCGAAAAUUGCUACGAACUCAUUGACACUCCAUCUCCGUUGCUGAAUUCUCCGAUUCAUUGUUACGUAUUUGUAAAAUUAAUUCCCAACAUUAACGGGAGAUGCUUGUUGAAGUAGGUUAUUCAAGUUGAAGUUAACAAACAUCAAUACUUAGGGUUAAGAGGAAAGUGAGUUAUGUAACACAAUUUGGAUUAUUUCAUUGCGAGACGAAUGAUUUAUAGGUUCUCCUAGUUUUAUGACGUCACAAGUAGGCCGGAGUAAUUUUUGGGGCAUUUUUACGAUUUUCCUACUAUUUUUUACCUAGUUUCAAAGAUUUUUGAACAAAAGAAUCCAAAAUGUAAAAGAAGAUGACACCUGGCGCGAUCUCAGCCCGUCACUUUUCACUACUUGCACAAGUGUACGUCAGUCAACAUGGCCACAUCCUCUCAUUUUACCCUAAAUUAUUAUUUUAUUACGUUUUGUCUUGGAAAAUUCAUAACUAAAUACACAAAAAUUCAAAAUUAUUUCUGAAAAUUGCUACGAACUCAUUGACACUCCAUCUCCGUUGCUGAAUUCUCCGAUUCAUUGUUACGCAUUUUUAAAAUUAAUUCCCAACAUUAACGGGAGAUGCUUGUUGAAGUAGGUUAUUCAAGUUGAAGUUAACAAACAUCAAUACUUAGGGUUAAGAGGAAAGUGAGUUAUGUAACACAAUUUGGAUUAUUUCAUUGUGAGACGAAUGAUUUAUAGGUUCUCCUAGUUUUAUGACGUCACAAGUAGGCCGGAGUAAUUUUUGGGCCAUUUUUACGAUUUUCCUACUAUUUAUUACCUAGUUUCAAAGAUUUUUGAACAAAAGAAUCCAAAAUUAACAAGAAUAUGACACCUGGCGCGAUCUCAGCCAGUCACUUUUGACUACUUGCACAAGUGUACGUUACCGAACAUGGCCACAUCCUCCCAUUUUACCCUAAAUUAUUAUUUUAUUACCUUUUUUCUUGGAAAAUUCAUAACUAAAUACACAAAAAUUAGAAAAACGAUCCGAAAAUUUCUACGAACUUAUUGCGAUUUCAUCUUCCUACUGCAUUCCCUGUUUAAUGGUUAUGCUACAUUAGUAUUUUAUUAUUAUUUAUCCACAAUUAUUAUAAUUAUUAUGAUAUUACUUUUUAGGCUGUCCAUUUGUUAAUUAUACCACAUCCAACUUGUUGAAAACAAUUUUAUUUUCCGUGCGAAUAGGCCAUUUGUAGUGCUUAUCGGUUUCUCUGUUCUUCAAUUUGUUAAUUUUUUUAUUUUUUAGGUUGAAGGGAUGUUUUGAAACAUAAUAUGGAAAUAUACAAGUCAUCCAUUGUACUCCUUCCACACAAAAAAAUAGUCUACGUCAUUCACUGUUCAACACCCUAGGUUAAGACACGUGUAACCAAAUCCGUUCGGAUAUGCUAAGUGGGAAAAUGUCAUUCCCAAGCACUGGUGAAAAGACACUUAUUUACUCCAUGCAUGACUUUUGGUUUACCAAAUAUGAAGAUUGGGGUCGGUGAGCAAAAUAUCUGUGUCAGUAAAAUGUCAUUCCUAGCCAUCUAUGAUGUAAGUAAUAAUUCCGCUAUAUAAUAAAUAUUAUACAUUUAUAUAUAAAACGGUUUAUGACAAAAUACCAACAUUUGAACAACAUUUAAACUGAGAUAGGUAUAACGUAGCCAGCCAACCUAGAAGUGAAGAGAAGCAAGUCCACAAUGCAUCAAAACUGUAAAUUCGUACUAAAACUAAUGCAAAAAUACGUGAUUCCCUCGCACAACUUACUCACGCAGGAUUUUGCACCAAAAAAUACUCUCACGGUGCCAUUUGCAUCGGUUGCAGCAAGUCCAAAACGCAGGAUUUAUCUUGUCUUCACUAGGCCACCCUGGAAUAACAAAAUACCAUUCAUUGUUGUUACAAGCGCUGCACCGAUUGAACUUAAUCUUCCCAUAGUCAAACAUAUCUACGAUAUGUCUUGCAACAAAUGCUCCGCGACAUCUUCCUGUUAAAGCAUCCCUGGUUCCUUUCAUAUCAAUGUUGUUACGUUGAUUCAAAGAACACAAGAAUUGUAAUGCAUCCUCUUUUGACUGACCAAUUCCGGACAUACCAAGUAGUCCAACUACAUAUGCCGCUUCCAUAUGGCCUGCCGUGGCUGCAAUGCGCAUCCCAUACAACGCUUCCACCUUACCGUCUGUGAAAAAACCUUCGAAUGCUUCUCUAAAUAUGGACUCAGGGUUAUCGCAAGCCCUGCAUUGUUGCAAGAAAUGCUGGACUGCAGGUUUGGCACGGUAGCAGAUAGGAUGGUGUGGGUACUUUGCCAUUGAAAUGGUGUUCCACACUUGUGGACUGUUUGCCAAAAUGUUGAACAAUCGGCACACACAUGCCAUACGGAAGAGAUCUUCCGAUGAUUCGGUUGCCACGUAUAACAUCACUUGAAACCAAGCGGACUCCGGGAUAAAGGCUUCGGGCAUAUCGAAAUGGAGAUGCUUCCUUCUCUUUCCUCCGACUGUAGUGAAGUGUUUCGAAUUCAUUGAAAAGUUUUUGGAAUGGAACGAUUUGAGGAGUGGCAGAGGGGAUAAAUGAUAAUAUUUGGGGUACACGUUCUACUUCCGAGCCUCUGUUUAUAGUGUUUUGAAAAGGUGUUUCCAGUUGGGGUUUUUCCAAGUUGACCCUUUUGAAAGAAACUGAAUCCAAGUGAAUUAAAACUUAAGACAAAAGAAGGGAAAACGUCAUAACGGUGCAUACAGAGUCAGACAGUUAAAAAGUUAAUUAAAUGGCUAUUUGCAUAGCCAUUUUUGGGUUUAUCCCACUAUCAAAUUCAUUGAUACAAAUGUGAUGGAUUACUGACUAGUGACAGAAGGUCCCAUCAUAUACUUUUUCAUUUUCGCACACCCAACUAUCCCUAGUAAUGUUAUUAAAAUGGAACCAAUAAUGACGGAUUCUUAUCCAACUAGUUGCCUUAAUGAAAUAUAAAUAAAUUAAUAAAAUUGAAGCAGUGUCCCGUCAUUAGUCAGAAAAUAUAUUUGGUAGUGAAGUAGUUUCUAUUGCUUUUCGGGCUAAAAGAUGUCACAAUGCUGACGGUACAGGUGUCGACAUCGUGACCAACCCACCAAAUGAUCCCAAAAAAAAGUAAUAUAACUCGAUUUGGGCAGAGAUGAGAGAGAGCUGAGUGACAAGUUUAGGGUUAUGAGUGAAGGGGUAUGAAUGACAACUAUGAGUGAGAAGGUAUGAGUCCGAAGAGGUUUCAGUGAGAAGAUUUGAGUGAGAAGAGGUACAACUGAGAAGAUUCAACAUGUCUUCGUCUUCAUCUCCUGCUCAAACAAAGAGGUGUCAGUAUUGUGGAGCUACAAUGGUGCUUCGGGUUUCAAAAUCUGAAAAAAAAUCGAGGGAAGCCAUUCUGGAAGUGUCUAACCUCCUAUGUAAGUUUUAAUUUAAAGAAUAUGUAUGUGGGUGAAAAAAAACCUAUGUCUAACUCUGACAGAAUUAUAUUCCAUAUAUGAUGCCUGCAAUUAGGGAGCCACCAGUUGCAAUGGAUUCGAAUGGGUUGAUGUAACCUCCGCUGAAGCAGAACAUCAAGAUGACACGUAUGAUGUUAGAGUGCUGAACAUGCUGAAGUCCAUUAAGGACUUGGUAUUAGUUUUAUUAGUUGUAUUAAUUGUCAUUUUAUUUGUUCUUUUAAUGAUCAUUUAACUGCACGGUUUAAAAGAUUGUGAAAGUUCUCUCGCACAAGACAUAUUGCACGCACCACCAAUGAGACCCUAAACCCAUUUUGUAAUAUUUGGUAACUGCAUGUAUUUCGCAUGUUAUUGAAUGUUUAUUGAAGGUUUAUUGAUAGUUUGCUGCAUGUAUAUGGAAUAUCAUUGCCCCAAAAUUGGAUGUUUAUUGGGGCCACAAGUAUCACUCAAGUAAGAAUGAAGGGGAGAAACGGACCUUAUUCUUUCUUAUAGUAGGAAGAACAACUGUUAAGUUUAAUAUCCUAUUCAAUACGACUUCCCUAUGGUUGGUGUACUUGGGGACUGAAGUAUAUUGCAUCAUUAUUGUGGGCAAGGGCAUGUCUAUUGUGUGUGUUAAGGGAGUAUUGUGUGGGCAAGGGCAUGUCUACUGUGUGUAUAUUGCAUGUCUACUGUGUGUAUAUUGCAUAUCUAUUCUCUGUAUAUGGCAGGCCAAGUUUGUGUAUAUUGUUUGUCUGUUGUGUGUGUAUUGCUUGUCGGUGCGUUUGUGAAUUGUGGUUCAUUUUGUGUAUAUUGUCUUUGUUUCUACUUUUAUGCUACUGAGCUGCGGAAAACCUCGCAUGUUUAGACACCUAUUAUGAUGCAACACAUUGCGAUUAAUGGUGGCUUGCAUCAACAAUGACAUAUCACUUUGCAAUGAUGUAAUACACUUAAAAAGCCGUCUUCAAAUCCCAAUUCACAUAUGCAGUCUUAAAAUUCUAAUUCAAUGCAGUUUGGUUAACAAACAUGUAAAUGUCAUGAAGGAGUUAGCGGUAGAAUUCGAUAAGGACCCGUACGUCUCUAUUGUGUAUUUACAUUAGUUUGAGAAUGGACAUUCCCAAAACCUUCUCAUGUACCAUUUGUCAUCUUCAACCAAUAUCAUGGGAAGUAAGCAUCUCCCCUUGUUAUCUCCGCAGCCAAUUUCAACCGAAAAAAAGGCAUGUUGUGCGAGGUGCAAGUAGCUAACGGAAGCUUAGCGCUGAAAAGCUCAAUGUACUUUAACACAAACAUGCCACAAUCGCCUCUGAAGCAAAACAAGAACUCGAUCAAUUCAACUAAUGACAUUCUAAUGUAAUUGACAAUUGAAAGUAAUAAAAUUAAAUUGCAAGUUGUGCUUACUCAUUAGACUGUUGUGGAACAUCCACACGCUCUAUUGGCCACGGACACCACCAAUCUCGGCUGCAAUUGUUUGCAUAAACACCUUCUUCAUAAAAGUCGAUGGUGUUGAGAAGAUUUGGAAGCGUAAUUGAUAGCGGGCCGAGUUCUUCCUUUACGAUGUCAUCUGGAAUUAGUGAAACCUUUGAAUCGUACACUUUGAUUCACACAAUACCAGAUCAAACANNNNNNNNNNNNNNNNNNNNNNNNNNNNNNNNNNNNNNNNNNNNNNNNNNNNNNNNNNNNNNNNNNNNNNNNNNNNNNNNNNNNNNNNNNNNNNNNNNNNNNNNNNNNNNNNNNNNNNNNNNNNNNNNNNNNNNNNNNNNNNNNNNNNNNNNNNNNNNNNNNNNNNNNNNNNNNNNNNNNNNNNNNNNNNNNNNNNNNNNNNNNNNNNNNNNNNNNNNNNNNNNNNNNNNNNNNNNNNNNNNNNNNNNNNNNNNNNNNNNNNNNNNNNNNNNNNNNNNNNNNNNNNNNNNNNNNNNNNNNNNNNNNNNNNNNNNNNNNNNNNNNNNNNNNNNNNNNNNNNNNNNNNNNNNNNNNNNNNNNNNNNNNNNNNNNNNNNNNNNNNNNNNNNNNNNNNNNNNNNNNNNNNNNNNNNNNNNNNNNNNNNNNNNNNNNNNNNNNNNNNNNNNNNNNNNNNNNNNNNNNNNNNNNNNNNNNNNNNNNNNNNNNNNNNNNNNNNNNNNNNNNNNNNNNNNNNNNNNNNNNNNNNNNNNNNNNNNNNNNNNNNNNNNNNNNNNNNNNNNNNNNNNNNNNNNNNNNNNNNNNNNNNNNNNNNNNNNNNNNNNNNNNNNNNNNNNNNNNNNNNNNNNNNNNNNNNNNNNNNNNNNNNNNNNNNNNNNNNNNNNNNNNNNNNNNNNNNNNNNNNNNNNNNNNNNNNNNNNNNNNNNNNNNNNNNNNNNNNNNNNNNNNNNNNNNNNNNNNNNNNNNNNNNNNNNNNNNNNNNNNNNNNNNNNNNNNNNNNNNNNNNNNNNNNNNNNNNNNNNNNNNNNNNNNNNNNNNNNNNNNNNNNNNNNNNNNNNNNNNNNNNNNNNNNNNNNNNNNNNNNNNNNNNNNNNNNNNNNNNNNNNNNNNNNNNNNNNNNNNNNNNNNNNNNNNNNNNNNNNNNNNNNNNNNNNNNNNNNNNNNNNNNNNNNNNNNNNNNNNNNNNNNNNNNNNNNNNNNNNNNNNNNNNNNNNNNNNNNNNNNNNNNNNNNNNNNNNNNNNNNNNNNNNNNNNNNNNNNNNNNNNNNNNNNNNNNNNNNNNNNNNNNNNNNNNNNNNNNNNNNNNNNNNNNNNNNNNNNNNNNNNNNNNNNNNNNNNNNNNNNNNNNNNNNNNNNNNNNNNNNNNNNNNNNNNNNNNNNNNNNNNNNNNNNNNNNNNNNNNNNNNNNNNNNNNNNNNNUUUUCCUCUCCCUCAUCUCUAUUAUUUGGCCCUUCACCCCCUUCAAUCCCUUCAUCUUCUUUUUCCUCUCCCUCAUUUCUGUUACUUGGCCCUUCAUCCCAUUGAAUGUCAUCCAUUUCCCCAUAUCCCUUAAAUAGAUGUGAGACGACACAACGAUUCGUCCUCUGUUUCAGUAAAGCUAGGUCCCUCCUUACUUCCUGCUCAAACUGAGGACCUAAACAUUGGUCCAAUAGUUUUUCCAUCCGUAUGACCUUUAAGUGAAGGACGUCUUUUUCCCGCUUUUCUUGAAACAACUCGGACCUCAACAAGCUUACCACCUUGUUCAACUCAUCAAGAUCACCACAUGAAGAAGGAAUUGACUCUGCCGAGACAACAGCAGGGCGAUCCUGUGGCCAACUCCAAUAUGGCUGUCUCAUUUCCUCUUCACUUAGACAUAGCGCCCGCAACUGAACUGACUGUUUCAGAAUACAGACAAGAGUCAUAUUAAAUCAUUCUACUUCAUAAUUUCAUUCAAUCUUAUCAAUAGUUCUAAGGGCUGCAAACCAAACCUCUUUGCUCUGGAAAAAAUAAUUGUUCAACUUUCUCAUCUCUGGAACAGACGUAGUAGUUCUCCAUCGCAAAAUACGCGGGACAGCGGUCGGAUCAACAACCUUGCAGUAAUUCAGGUCCGCCAUUCUAGGAAUUAAUUCAUAUACCCAAAUCUACACAAUUCACAGGACAAAAGUCAUUAUUUAUGUUUUAAAGAAAAACAAAACAUAACUGACAUGAACAUUAUUACCAUGUACCUGGAAAGCAUACGUGAAACCUUUAAAACUCCAGCCACUCCUUUGCGCUUCACUAUGCUUAUCCUUCUUGCCCUUCUCAUUUCUCCGGCUUGUUCCCGUUACCUUACUUUUCCCCUUCCCUCUUCCCUCUUCAUUUUCCAAGCUUUUCACAUACUUUGUUGGUGCAGAAAAUAGACUGUCUUGGGUUUUGUCAAAGGACACCGAACCCCACGGAUACCUGUUGAACGCAUCCAAGUCCUCUACAAGGGUCAGGUAAUUUAGAUUGAUGUUCAAAUGUUUGUCCCUUCCCAAAACCACUAACUCAGCAAAGUAAACAAGAGGUAGCUUGAAGAUGUCAUCUUCCUCUGUGCACCUCACAAAUGCUUCUUCUAAAGCAUUGCAUGUAAUUCCUUCGUCUAUAAAAUAUCUUUUCUGAAGUCUGAUUUCAUUACUCUCUCCACUGGAAACUUCAGGCACUUCCCCAAAACGAAGCCCUGUGAUCAAACAGAAAUCCUGACGAGUGAACUGAGCAACGUCACACCCUAAUAAGAAACUCAGUCCAUCCAAGUCUUUCACACCCUGCCCCGCUACUCUACGCAACACAACCCCAUGCACAAUCUGUCCGCUAAACUGAAUCUUAUCUAUAUUCAGAAGAUGGCCAAAGCAUGAUGUCUUGAAUUGUUCUAAUUGUUCCGCACUCAACUUCGCUCGAAUUGCAGCUAGAGAUGAAUUUGCAUGUGAGCAGUUGUUCACCCGUGAUGAAUAUACCUCUGCCUCUGGCCAUACCAGCUCCACGUUGGAUCCCAUUUCCUCAAAUACAAUGUGAAAUAACGUGAACAUAUAUACUACCACGUAUUUGCACAAUCACAACUAGUCAACCAGGCACAUUACAACUUUUACAAAGUACAUGAGCAUAUGGAUUACUCAUCACAGGCUUUAACAUCAUCAAAGCAAUAUGACAAUUUUUGUGCAAAUACCUGUUAAUGCAAUGAUUAUGUGAAUUACAAACAAUUUCACGUGUUUUAUUUAUGGAUCCAUACUCGUGUGAGUGCAAUGUAGGCAAGUUCUGCACUUCACACACAUGACAAUUAUUGUCAUCUCAUACACAACCCAAAAUAAAUAAAUAAGAAAUAUAGUGGAAGGAAGCAAAGCAAAGCAUGUACUCUGCUAUCUGCUUGCUAAGCAAUUGCCACAUCCUUCUUUCUUUCUACCUUUUUCUUCAGUCACCCACAAUCGUCAUAGAUCAACCUUCAUUUCAAAUGCUUUGCACUUUUAUUCAUGAGUUUAUUAUUAUCUGUUCUCAUUUCUCAUAGGCAAAUUUAGUAACAAAUGAAAUAAUAUUUAUUUCACAAAAUAUAUAAAUUCUAGUGCCAGAGAGGUACUCUUCACUCUGCACUGCUUCAAAUGUGGAAGGUUUUGAGAUGUUAUUGACAUGUGAUUGACUUUAUUUUCAUUCGUUUUUUAACAUAUACCCAAGCAAAAAUUAACAUGCAAUUGAAGCACAAAUAAGAGAUGCCAAAUCCAACAACAUUGAUGGUACAAAUUGGGGAAAACCAUUACUCUAACCCUAAACUCAAAUUCCUUACAUUACUCAUCAAAUGCUUUGCAGUUCUAUUCAUGAGUUUAUUAUUAUCUGUUCAAAUGUUUCUCAGGCAAAUUUAGUAACAAAGGAAAUCAUAUUUACUUCAUAAAAUAUAUAUAUAUAUAUAUAUAUUCUAGCGCCUCUUCUUAAUCUGCACUAUGCACUGCUUCAAAUGUGGAAGGUUUUGAGGGCCUCCUCCAAUUCAACACCAUUAUCUUAUUCAUAUCAUUAUUGACAUGUUAUUCACUUGUUAUUGACUUCAUUUUCAUUCUUUUUUUAACAUAUACCUAAGCAAAAAUUAACAUGCAACUGAAGCACAACGAAGAGAUGCCAAAUCCAACAAAAUUUAUGGUACAAAUUGGGGAAAACCAUUACUCUAACCCUAAACUCAAAUUCCAUAAAUUACUCACCAAAUGCUGGUUAUUGCAAGGUGUCUGUGUGGGGUCUUUCUGUUUCUUUGCUCCACAAAUGGAACCUACCACUUCCAACGAAUACAGCUUUUCCCCUUCCCCUUCCACUGCUUCGCCUCUUCACUGAUUUGGAAUCCACACCUUUGCCCCUUCUACUCCAAAUAAAUACUUUCUCGGGGUCUGGAGAACGGAGUGGCGAAUCGUUGCCUUCAACUGUCGUUAGCCGUUGCCUUCAUUGGGUAUCUCAGACCUCUGUGUUUUAGAGAGAUGAGUUCUUUCUGUUCAAACUUCGAACUUGCCUCUUCUUCUUCUUUUUCGGACGUGUUUCCCUCUUCUUCUUCUUUUUGGACGUGCUGGAUAUUCAAUUCGGGUUUGGGUUCCUUACCUACCCAAUUGUGAAACUUUAACUCAAUUCUCCCCAGCCCUUGGAUUAAUCUGAUGGCUAUAAAGUGAACCCCUUAUAACUUACCCCUUAUAACUUUCCACUCAUUAUAGUCUUGGCCAGGUAUGGCGGCCAUGCUAGUAAGUGUUGGGUCUUUGACCCAACUUAAGCUAAAUGGGUCAUAAGAUGACCGAUCAUCUUAUCUCAUAAGGAUAUAUAAGUCAUGUUAUGAUUUAGGAUUUUAUAGGGUUUCCUUUGUAAGAGGUAAGAGAGAAACAAGCUCUCUCUCUCUCUACACAAGGAGGUCAGCCAUAGCAAGGGAAAGGCUCCUAGCACUCUCCUCUCUCUUAUUAUAUCAUCCUUCCAAGGACAGCUUUGGUAUGGUAAAGUUGGAGGUUGCACACUUUGUGCACUUUGGUAAGAACUCAUCCAAGGGAGCCAAGAUUAAAUUGGUUAGCUGUUGGAUUAAAUUGGUUAGCACGAUUCAACGGUUAAUAGAUAAAACUUCACAUAAAAGUCAUAUAUAAGGCCCUCACUAUAGAAUGACUCGUUAGUUUAGUCUCUUGUUACAUAUCAAAUGUUAGAGAUAUUUUUUAAUAAGGAUCUGCCAUACCACAUAGUUGGAUAAGACAUUAUACACGGCUUUUGUAAGAGCAUCUCCAGCGCUCCAAACUAGCCCAAGCAGCAGGGGGGCCUAAGUCUAGGAAGCAGCUCCAGCUCGCAAGAUUCAACCCAGGCAAGGUGUGGAACCCACGAGGAGAUCUAGCCCGUCACCUUGCCUUUGGGUUUCAGUCAAGCUGAUGUCAACGAAAGAAUUUCAAAUUUUUUUUACCGUUACAAUGUACGCGCCAACGAUAAAUUUUCUUUGGAUUUCUUGCAUUGAUCCACAGCUACCAAAAACCAACAGCUACAAGCCACGUGGCUUCUCCAGGAGCCUCCGAUCCAAAAAUCAUGUCAAAUCUAACGGCAGUCCAUUUUUUGGCUAAAAAUAUCAAAAAAUUAUGGAAACAUGUUCUAUAAAUUCCUACAAAUAUUAUUCACUUCCCACACCAAAUCUUCAUACAAAUUCAUAUCCUUUCAAUAUUUUUCACUUUCCAUACAAGAUUUUCUACUACUAAGUUUCGUUUGUGUAAAAAUACAAAUGACCUCUUCUAUCGAAGCCGGAGGCGCGUGUACAACCGUGGAAGAUAUUUUGUUGCGUGAGUGUUGGGUCAAAGUUGGUCAUUCCCUGAUCACGGGCAAUGAGAUGAAGUCCUCUCGUAGGAGUUUCUGACAUCGCAACGAAAGUAAGAUGUGAUAUGAAAAUGUAAGGAAUUUGAUGAGAGGAAUGGGAUUUGAGGAGUUUGAUGUAGGAAUUGAUGUAGGAAUUGAAUUUGGGAGGUAUGUAUAUAAGAUUUGAGGGUAUGUGUUUAGGGAUUUUGAUAAGAGGAUUUGAGGAAUUUAGAUUUGAAGGAUUUGGAUUUGGGGAAUUUAAAUAUGAGGAAUUUGAUUAGGGUUUGGGUUUGAAUAUGUGAAAUUUGAUAUGAGAGUUUAGAGACAACAGAUGAUCGAUUGCUCUGAUACCAUGCUAAAAUAUGAUAUGGUUUGAAUACUUUAGGUUGAGUUUUAUUCUUUUCCAUAAAAAGGUAUAUAUAGGAGUUUACAUGAGUGCUUUACAAAGAAAUAGAUACAAUAAUCAAUUAGGAUAAUAUCUCCUAAUUAUACAAUAAUUUGUCAACUAUAUAGAAUAGGAAAGUAAAUUCCUUAAUUAAUCAAGAAAAUAAAUCUCAUUGAUUAAUUAGGAGACUAACGUCAACAUUUAUAAGCCAUAAAAGAGCAGAAAAAGAGGUACUUAGGAGAUUUUAUACGUCGGACUAAGGUAAGCUUAAAGGACUAUAUCAAAAAAAUAAGGGACCAAGAAGCAAGACAGAGAAGUUGUUAUGCAAACCCAUUAAGUUUAGCAGUGAUGAAUUUGUAAAAAUCAUUCUAGUGGAUUCUGCCUUCACUAUUGAGUUCUUAUUGAGGUUCUAUCUGAAAGGAUCUGGACAUGAAGGAGACCGCUUAUUAAACAAACCGUGGAUGUUUACAGCCUGACAUGUGGUUGCUUGAAAAUCAGCUCCCAUUCUUUAUUCUUGAGGAUCUUUAUCACACAUACAUAAUAACCGACUCUUUUAGGAAUUAUUACAGUACUCAUGAUCAUGAGAGGCUUUCAAUAAUUAAUAUUUCUAAGAAUUUCUUCACAGCCGGAAUAUUGAAUUUGGAGGGGAAGGGAGACAAAUGGAACAGAAUAUCAUCUUCUUCUAGUGUUGGAAAUUUUAUAUUAUUUAAUAAUAUUUAAUUUCUAUUGUGAAUGAAAAAUAAGUUUCUUUAAGAAACGUGUGUCUUAGGCCAGUUUUUCUAACUGGUCGGCUUCCUUAGAUUUGUGCCUAUUGCUUUUCAAAGUAUAAUGAUGCAAUGGUUGUAUCUCGUUCAGGCAAAUGGAAGGUAUAUAGCAAUUUAUAGAACAAUACAGUAAUCCAGAAGAAAUAUUAUGAAAUGAAAAGAAUAAAAAGUAAAAAAAGAGAAAGAAAGGAAUUCCCACCUGCAAUGUAUAUGUAUGAAAGGAAGGACCAAGUUUGUUUUAAAAUGGUAAGAACAAGUUGAUUUUAAAUUGGGUUCAGAUCAACUCAUAGAUUUCUUGCCUUUUCUGUUCUCCUUCCUUGGACAUGAACUGUUUAAUCUUGGACUCUUCCCCAUCAUGUUGGGCCUGUCUUCUUCUUGAGGAUUGUAUAGGCCUAGGAAAUGCUUCGGGGUAGUUUUUGUGUUUUGGGCAUUGGGACCCAACUUCACAAAAAGAAAACAAAUUUGACCAAAACACAAAUUUGAAGGACAUUGAAAUUGUACCCGUAGGAUAGAUUAAAACACUAUAAGGGAGGUAAAUAGUACGUUUACAGAGUUUAAGUGUAAUAAAGGAAUAAAAACAUGCCCAGAGAAUUGAUAAGUGAUAUCAAUUCUUGAAUAUACGUGAAAAUUAUUUUAUGUGGUUAAACCCCACCUCUGGGGAAAAUCCACGGAACUUCUUAGUCCAACUUCUAUCACUUAUCCUAGACACAUUCUAGAUAAUGUUUGCCAACCUCUUCGUAACUCAACUUCUGUCACGAGAUGAUCUUUCAACACUUUAUGUCGAACGCAAUACUGGUCACGAUUUCUUCAAGCUCGCCGGAGUUCUUCCAAUUCUCCUUAUAUUGAAUCUGAUACUAGUCACGAUCGAUUCAAGCUCAUCGGAGAAAAAUCGCCACAACAAUCUUGGUGCCCUCAACCGUAUGAGUCACUGAACAUGCAAAUGAAUACAAUAUGAAUGAUAAAAGUGUUUGAUAAAUCACCAAGUUAUGGAACACUUGAUGAUUUAUCUCAAAUAAAAAUUCAGCUUUCCAAAGUUUAUGAAUUGAAAAUAUGACCGUUAAAGCUCUCUAAACAAAGAAGACGAAGGUCUUAUUUUAUAGACUUUUACUUUACAAGAAAGAAAACACGUUGAAAACCAAAUCUCCAAUUUCCAAGGCUUGACAGAAAAUCACAAAAUUAUCUUUCCUAUUCUAGAGAUUGGUCACAUGAAGUCCAACCAAUAGGAAAUGAGAUAUUUAAGAAAGGAAGAUUUUGAUCAAUAUCAAUAUCAAAUGAAUUCUUAUACGCCUAGUCAAUUGUUAUGGGUAUCUUGACUCCUUGAUAUUGUGAUAUGAUUGAAACAUGAUUUCCACGUUAGAAAAUUAAGGGGAUGUUAAAACAUGAAGGUAAUAGGAGAAUCAAAUUGAUUUGGGCCAAAAUUGCCUAAAAAGAAAACACUCCUUAAUAAACUUCAAUUUACUUUUAAAAAUAGUAAAACGUGAUUGAAUCGUUCUUUAAAACAAUUCCCUAAUAUACAUGCAUGAUAGUGAUAUCACUUACCUUUGAAUCAGAUGGCUUUCACGGGUCAAGCCACAAGUUUUUGUCUUGGGGAUUGCUGAGCUUCAUCAAUCCUGCCAAUGUCAAUUUUGCCCCUAAGCUCUCUCAAAGCACGUUUACAACCUAUGCUAACAUAUAUUAGAGUUUAUGUUAGUAUCAAGAAAAUGCCAACACUAAUUUCGUAACACGUAGAAAUUGUUAGAGAUUGAAGUUUUUAUCAUUUUUUCUUCCAGACUCUCCACCACUCACUAAUAUAGUUUACUCAUGUGAUGAGUUUACAAAACCUAUUUCUCUACUCUCACAAAGACUAUACUUAGGGGGGUGUAUUCAAUUAGGAUUCUAAAGCGUUUAAAAAGAUUUUGUUUAAGUGCCAGCUUUCAUAGAACUUGAUGGAACUUUAUAAUUCGUAUAGAACUUGAUAGACUUUCAGAAGACUUCUGUAUAAUUUUUUAAUAAAACUUUCUUAAGCUUUCAUAGAACUUGAUAGGCUUUCAUUCCAAACUUAUGUAGAUGGUAUAUUUCAUUUUAUCCCCAUCCUUGACAUUUAAAGAAAGAAACUUGAAUUUUUUCAAUCAAAUUUGUUUUUGUUACCAAAGCAGCAAAAACAAAAAGUACUUGUUUGCGAUGGAAGAACAUAUGCACAGUUCAAAAUGAAAAGAAUAAGAAGCAAAGUACCUAUUUGACCAAUGAAUGCUGUGUCAACUAGAGAAGCAAUUGGAUCGGCUGUCAAAGCCAAUGCUGCAGGCAAUGCAUCGAUGGUCCAAAUUGCAAUAAAAAAAUAUUUUGAAUAAUGGCUCUUGCAGACAAAGACCACAUAAAUUCUGAACUGGUCUAGCUUGAAUAAUAAGGUUAGAUUAGCCAAUUGAUGAGAUUAAAAGCAAAGCAAGUUGAUGAAUUUAUCAUCAACUAUUUAAUAACCACAGUCCUGAUCUCUUGGACCCCUGUAGUCCAAGAGAUUUAUGGUCACCCACCGUUGGAUGUAAAUUCAACGGUUGACUUGAAUCGGGUAAUAAUCAUUUAUGUCAUAUUGCAUUUAUAUAUAUCAUUUUGAACCAUUGGAUUAAUAUCCAACGGUGGGUGACCACAAUCUCUUGGACUCCUGUGGUCCAAGAGAUCGGGACUGUUAAUAACCAAUAGAGUAUUUAAACAUAAACAACAAUGUUUGAUCAACAAAACAAAUAGUCCAAAUAUCAUCCAAAAAACAAUAACAAAAAAUCAAUCAUUCCAAACAAACUAGUCAUUCUCAAAAACUCUCAAAAAACCCACUCAUUCCAAAUUGUAGGAUAUCCAAUUUGAGCACUCCUCAGGAGACAUUUUCAAAAAUGCAUCCUUUUUUGUGUUACUAUGCAACAAAGAGAGUGCUUUAUAACGAGCAUGUUCAUCCAAAUUUGGGGUCUCCUUAAUGGCAUCCCAUAUAUAACUCCGCUGCUCUCUCUCUUUUUCCCUUUUUGCCAAUAGGUUAUGGACCUCCCGGAAGUCGAUGACAAUUGAAUCAAUGCUAAGGCUAAUUCUUCCCAUAGCUUGCUGGGUGGUCACAUUUGAGAUAGCAUUCCCUUCCAAAUAUGUUCUAGUUCGUUUCCUCUAGUAACAAGCAUAAAUCCUAGUAACAAGCAUAAACCCUAACCCCAACCUAUAACCUAAUAACAAGAAGAAAACCCAACGAGGUAUUGAUCAAAGAAAAAUUAGGGAGCAUACCUUCACAGAUGGAGGAAGGAAGCUGUUCGUCUUCGCAGAGAGAAAAUCUAGGGAAAGAGAAAAACGUCUUAUGAAAUACUUGGGGGGGAGGUUGGAUUUAUUUUGGUCUUUUUUAUUUAUAACUCUCCCCUUAAAACCUACGUAAAUUUAUCACUUAAUGAAAUCCUUCCAAAUAUAUGACCUUUCGAAUACACCUAGAUUUGAUUCAACUUUUUUAUAAUCAUAAUUGAAUACACCCAUAUUUGAAUGGACUUUUUAAAAGUUCAUAUAGGUCCGAAAUGAAUAUACUCAAACUUGUAAAACCUCUUUUAAAGUUUGUAUAAAUCCAAAUUGAAUACACCUGGAUUUUUAAAAUCUUUUUAAACACUUUAUAAUCCUAAUUGAAUACACCCCCCUUAUUCUCAAAAGACUAUAUUACUUUACCUCUAUCUCUGUGAAAUGUAAAAAGUUGAAACUUUAAUGUCAAACCUCAACAAAAGAUGAACUUUCAUCAGUUACGUUGAAUUUGGAUUUGUUGAACUUAAGUGGUUUUAUUUUCUUUGUCAGUGUUUGAUGACUUAAUUUGGUAUUUAUUUCUUCUUUUUUUUCCUUGGAAAUGUGUUCCACCAACGUGAGGAAGAAAAAUAUGCACAAAUUAAUAUAUUUAAUAGAAGCCCAAGAUUUCGGAUGCAUAUAAUUUCUACAAAAAUCUACAAAGUUUUUUACUUUACAAACUUCUUAUGUCUACCAAUUUCUACUAAAAUUAAUUUCUCUGUGGUGCUCAAAUUCAUCAUAUGUGUGUCGUUAAUUUUAUUGAAAAUUGGAAGUUCCCAUCAUUUUUGUUUUUUGGGAAUUUUCUGAACCAAGGAAAAUCAAGUAAAAUUAAUAAAGCCUAAAUUGGAAAGGGAAAAUAUCUAGAGGAUGCAUUGUAGGAUUGCUCAUGCCAAUAAUUGUACCCUCUAAAUAUAUAGAGACAUAUUUUUUUUGUUUUCAUGACAUGUGGUCCUAAAAUUAUUGUGUAAAUCUUCAAUCCUGAACGAUGCACCUAAAACUCAUCCACCCAUUCUCAGGCCAAUUAUUGCACCUAGUGGGCUCUCGACCCCCUCUCAAAUUUAACCACAUAUUUUAUGGACCAUCCAGCUGUGAGGUACAUUCCCCCCACAUGCCACAAUUGUAUAUUCACAAUUACGUCUGAUACAUCACAUCAUGCCACUUGCCUCAAAUGAAUUUAAGUGAGUGAGGCAGUUGGAAGUAAUUAAGCUCUAUAUUGGUGGGUGGAGUGUUACUUCUCGGUUCCCCUCAUCAUUCGUCUAUAAAAUGGUGAAGGCAGUUGCUAUUGUUACCAUAAGAGCCAGCUCCGACUUCCUUUAAUUUCUUGCUUCAUAUCCACUAGCUACAUCUGUUACCAAGUUAAUUUCAGUUCUAAUGGGGUUUCAUCUCCCACUCAUCUUUGCUCUUCUCAGUGUAAGCUCUGCAAUUUGAUUAACUUUUCCAUUCUCUCUCAUUGUACUCUAUAUAAACGAAAGUUUUGUGUUCCUAUUGUUCUCUCCGAUUUUAUUUAGUACGUACUUAAGUGUCGUCCACUAAUUAAUUAUACUUUGUGAUUUGAUUUUAAUUUGAGUUUGAAUUAAUGUUGCAGCUAGCAGCAGUGGCACUGGCAAACCAUGCUGCUCAACCAGCACCUCAACUUUACUGGAGCUCCGUCCUGCCAAACACACAGAUGCCAAGAUCUAUCAGUGAACUUCUGCAUCCUGGUUUGUGUUGAGCUCUUUAGAAUCUUAGAUAUCUCUUCUACCUGCCAUUUUACUAAAAUAUGUUCCACCACAUAUUUAUCAGUUAACCAUUGUCAUUACAUGAGUGACACAUAUUCACAAAUCGGCUGAUCACUUAUUUUCCAUUAUGACUUGAUAUAUAAUUUGCAGACUCCACAAAUGAAGAAAAGAGCACAAAUGACGUUGGCAAACCUGAAACUUUCCCAUUGGGCAAUCAACAUUACUCCAGUCAAAAACAUUAUGGAGGCAUACCUGAAACUUCCCCAUUGGGCAAUAAACAUUACUCCAGUCAAAAACAUUAUGGAAGAGGCAAACCUGAAACUUUCCCAUUGGGCAAUCAGCAUUACUCCAGUCAAAGACAUUAUGGAAGAGGCAAACCUGAAACUUUCCCAUUGGGCAAUAAACAUUACUCCAGUCAAAAACAUUAUGGAAGAGGCAAACCUGAAACUUUCCCAUUGGGCAAUCAGCAUUACUCCAGUCAAAAAAAGUAUGGAAGAGGUGCUUCUCCAUCCGACAAUCAACAACUCCAUUAUAAAGACUUAGCUAUUUUCUUCUUGGAGAAGGACAUGCGCCCUGGCACAACAAUGAAGUUCCAAUUCCCUAUAAAUUCAAACACGGCUACUUUCUUGCCACGAGAAAGCGCUCAAUCGAUCCCCUUCUCCUCUAACAAACUGCCAGAAAUUUUCAACCAUUUUUCAGUGAAGCCAACAUCUGAGGAAGCCAAAACAAUUAAGCAAACAAUCGAAGAGUGUGAAGCUCCAGACCUUAAGGGAGAGGAAAUAUAUUGCGCCACAUCUUUAGAAUCAAUGGUUGAUUUUAGCACUUCGAAGCUUGGAACAAGAAACGUUGAAGCAAUCUCGACGGAGGUAUUGGAAAAAGGAGCCACCAUGUCCAUCCAAAACUAUACAACAAUGCCGGGACUGAAGAAGUUGGCAGGUGACAAAGUCGUUGUGUGUCAUAAGCAGAACUAUCCCUAUGCUGUGUUUUUCUGCCAUGCAAUAAAACAUACAGCAGCUUAUGCUCUCUCCCUGAAAGGCGAUGAUGGGGAGAAGGUUAAAGCAGUAACCAUCUGCCAUCUAGACACAUCAGAAUGGGACCCAGAGCAUAUGUCCUUCCAAAUCGUCAACGUUAAGCCCGGAACCAUUCCCAUCUGCCAUUUCAUUUCCACUGAUGCUAUUGCCUGGGUUCCGAACCACAAAUCUGCAUGAUCAUCACUUAGCACUAGUACUGUGCGUAUAAUAUGCCUGUAUAAUUAUCUCCCUACUUAUUUCUGCCUCUUCAUCAUGUGGUGUAAGAUAUAUGUUGAGAUGAAGUUUUUGGGAUUUGUGGUCGAAAUUAACCCGAUCAUGUUUUCUCUUGCAACCAUAUAGACUUCAACUUGUACUCAUAAUAAAGCAUGCUAUAUUUAUGAAGAGAUAUUAAUCUUCAGGCAAAUAGAUAUUAUGAAAACAUAUAUAGCAAUUUAUCCAGAAGAAACAUUAUGAAAUGAAAAGAAUAAAAAGUAGAAAAACAGAAGGAAAGGAAUUCGCACGUGCUAUGCUAUGUAUGAAAGGACCAAGAUUGUUUUCCCUUUGGUUAAUGACUAGAAAAGCUCACUUGCAGAGUGCUUUCUCCGACCAUAGAUGGAAGAGAAAUUUUCUCUUAAUAAUAGCACAAUGAUCGGGUAAUUGUAAGAACAAGUUGAUUUAAAAUUCCUUGACCCAAAAAAAAAAAAAAAGUUCUUUUCAAAUUCAGGUCAACCCAUAGAUUUCUUGCCUUCGUCUUCUUCAUCACGUUGGGCUUGUCUUCUUUUUGCGUUUUGGGCCUUGGAAGUUGGGACCCAACCCAACUUCACAAAAAGAAAACAGAUUUGCCAAAAAUCAAAUUUCAAGUCUCUCCUCCGAUCACUAAUACAGAUCAAAUUUUGGAUUUGAUGAACUAAAGUGGUUUUACUUUCUCUGUCAGUGUUUGAUGACUUAAUUUGUUAUUUACUUUUUUUUUUUUACUUGAUCUUUGUAGGGGCUUUUUUUUUUCCGGCAGCUUAAACGGGCUGGGCUGCCGUAAAGGGUAGAUUGAUGAAAUUGUCCCCUUUGUCUGAAUUCGAAAAUCAAGCCCCAAAAGCGCUUCGAAAGGGCAGUAGAGCCUUAGGAAGCGUUCUGGUUACCUUCACUAAUUAAAACAACAGCAACUUACAGAUGAUUUCUUGAGGCUUACAGAUAAAUUUUCUAGCUUGGCAUGACAUGGAAGCAAAAUCAGCAUGAGUUUAGCACCAAAGAGGAAAAUAUGGCUUCCUAGGGAGAAAUGAGAGUGUUUAAGGUGAGGAAGAAGAGGUUUGCAGGCUGAUUUGGCUGAGAAAAGAGAAAGAAAGAACAAUGUUCUUCCGGCAGCUUGACAAAGCUUCUGACAGAUGUGAAAGUCGUCCGCCAGAAGAGGAAAAUGGAGAAGAAGGAUGAAUAGUGCACGAAAUUGGUGGGUUCUUGCAGGUAAGAGAGAAAGCUUGCUCUCUGAAUCUGAGUUGGUUUUGGUUGGGUAGAAGAAGCCCCCUUUUAUAGCUGCGGGAAACCAUCUUUUUCCAAGAAACCCUAAUGGUUUCUAUCCUUUUUGGCCAAGCUUUUCCCUUCCUUUCUCUUCUCCUCCCUUGACUUUUCCUAUCUUGGUGAAAUUUCCUCUGCCUAUUUGCACAAAAUUAGAGAUUUUGAGGAGCUCAAGGCCCCUUUCCCGCAGCUGCCUUAGUGGAGAAUCCCCAUUUUCAGUCAUCUUUCUUCCUUCUUUUCUCCCAUCUUCCAAGGCUAGGUUUGAUGAGAGAAAGAAAUGGAUAUGCACACUGGUUUGAAGGGUGUUUUUCCUUGAAACUUGUUCUCUCCCAUGUGCUGGAGCUUCCCAGCAGCUUACACACAUAGAUAUUUUGGCUUUCAUCGUGGCUUUUGUUUUCAGCUAGGUGCUGGAGAUUUUGCAUAUAUUUUCUUGAGUUGCUUGGGCCUUCUAGGACAAUACGUUGGUUUAUCAAGUGAAUGGGCUAACUUCAUCAAUUGUUGGGCAAUUUUGGUUGAGUUAAUGGACUAUUUUGGUUCAAGUAAUGGACUAUUUUGGUUGAAAUAAUAGGCUAUUUUUCUCUCUUUGUGCUCACCCACAUAUUUGGGCCUAAAAAAUGGGCUUGAGUUUCGGGGCUCCCAAGCAACCCCGGGACUUCCAUUUCUCGGCCCAUCAAUGAGCCUCAUGUCAACUUAUUACCAUCCAUACCACAACCCACUCAAGCAAGCCUCAGGCAUCUUGCGUGGCUUGGGCCCACGUAAGCUCGUAGUGGCAAUGUUGCUUAUUUGCUUGACGUGGCAUGUGUGCAAGUGCAUAUGACGAACUUUCGCGUGCCCAAAUUGAGUUUCUUCUCGGUAGGGUAUCGCAUUGGGCCGAGAAUUUAAUUGGGUAGAACCGUGGAUUUUUUGGGCCUCAACAAUCUUAUAUAUAUUAGUUUUCUUUUUUUCCUUAAUAUUCACCACCUUUCUGUUGCAUAAGUAUUCCAGUCUUAGCGGGUUUCCAUCUACCACUCAUCUUUGCUCUUUUAAGUGCAAGCUUUUUUAUUUUUAUUUUUUUAUGCACAAGAUUAGAGGGGAGGGAGAUUUCUCAAUGUAAGCUUUGCAGUUUCAUAAUUAAUAUUUCCAAUAUCUCACUGUUAGUAAAAUAUGGAACGGGAAAAGUACGAAUAAAAUACACACAUGUUUUAUUUAGCAAAAUUUUGACAAGAUACAACUGAAAAGUUUGGCCACUAUAUAAUAUUUUGAUUUAAUUUUUUUUAUUUUUUUAAUAUAUAUUAUUUUUAUUCAAUAAUAUGUGAAAAAUAGGUGUACAAUAUAUGAAAUUUGUAUGUAUUAUUGAAAAAUUCGUAAAAAAAAAACAUGUUAUUAAAUGUGAAAAAUAUGUACGUAUAUGUAUAAAACAUGUAUUGUACAUUACUUUUUAACAAACUUGUAUUUUACCUAGUCUUUAAACCGUAUAUGGAAAACGGAAGUAUUAUUGAAAAAUACAUAUGUACGUAUAUGUAUAAAACAUGUAUUGUACAUUACUUUUUAACAAACUUGUAUUUUACCUAGUCUUUAAACCGUAUAUGGAAAACGGAAGUAUUAUUAAAAAAUACAUAUGUACGUGUAUAAUAUGAGUAUUAAACAAAAAAAUGUGCUAAGUACUUAUCUUUUAAUUUAAUAAUUCAUUUCAUUUUGUGAUCUCAUACGUAGUAAUGAGAGUUCAAAUUAAUGUUGCAGCUGACAAUGGUGGCUCUGGCAAGCCAUGCUUGAUGCAGGAGUAUAGGGGUGGAUCAAGAUAGAUAUUUACCAUGUAAUUAGUUAUUUCAUGAUAUAUUGUUAUUUUCUUAUUUAGGUAGUUUUAUGAUAUCUUUUAUUAUUUAUGUGGGAUUUUAUAAUUAAUUAGUUUACUUUUGGACCAAGUAGCCUUGGUGCUCAAGUCUUGUAAAGCUUAUAAAUAAGGCUAAUGUAAUAGUUGUAGGAAAAGAGAUGUCGAUGAUUAAUAAAAUCGUUUAUUUGUGGCAUGGAUUUGCUACGAUAUAUGUGAGUUUGCACUAGCCCUAGAUUUCGGUGCUCGUGUAUGUGGUUGGUGACCUGUGUCCGGAUCCCGAUCCCCAUCAAUGCUGUUCUCCCAGUACCUCAACUUUACUGGAACUCUUUCCUGCCAAACACAAAUGCCAAGAGCUAUCAGUCAACUUCUGCAUCCUGGUUUCUAUUAAGGGACUUUUCGUGAGCUUAUCAUCUACCCAAAUUUUACUCAUCCGACGUAAUUUUAAAAGUGAUUUGAUCCUUUGGCAAAGUAAUCUUGAACUACAAAAAAGGAGGGCACUCGAAUAGGCAUGCCAUUUGGUAUUACCCACCUCUAAUUUCUUUUAAAAUUUUAGUAAUUGAUUUUUAAGAUUAGAAAAUGGGAAAGUUCAAAACCGAAAAAGUUGUUUCAGUUUUGGCAAGUAUCGGAAAAGACUAAAAUUUUCCGACUUUAUUAUUACUAGAAACAAAGUCGAAGUAUUCACCAAUCAUGUGGCCUUCCAAGUGCUCAAGGUUAAGCCAGGAACCGUUCCUAUCAGCCAUUUCCUUCCCAAGUAUGAUCAUGUUGUCUGGGUUCCAACCCACAAAUCUACAUCAGUACCUGAACUAAUCAGUUCUACAUGAAUAUUCAUUCAUGGCAACCUUGGGCUAAGUAUUUGAAUUUAUGCUCAUAAAGCUUUAAUGCUUUUGAGGGCCAAUCGUUGUCUACAUAUGGUAUUGUAGCAUCUUUAGAUGGAAGAGGUCAGGGGUUCAAUUCUUGUUUUCCACUUCUUUAUUUGUUGGUUUAUCGAGUGUAGAGUGGAGUUGCACCUAUAUGUUCGUCUCUCACCCCAUCAUUUACCAUUGAUAUAUAUUUAAUAGAAGCCUAAGAUUUCGGAAGCACAUAAUUUCUACUUUACAAACUUCCUGUGUCUACCAAUUUCUACUAAAAUUAAUUUAUCUGCGGUGCUGAGAUUCAUCAUAAUUUUAAUAGAAAUUGGAAGUUUUCAUCAUUUUUGCUUUAAGUCUCUACUCCACUCACUAAUAAAGAUUACUCAUGUGAGUUUACAAAACAUUUUUUUUUUCUACUCUCUCCUGAAGACUACACUUCUUCUCAAAAAAUUAGAUCACUUCACAUCUUGUGUAUGUGAAAACUAAUGUAAAAAGUUGAAACUUUAUCGUAAAACCUCGACAAAAAUGAGCUCUACUACAAAAUGUUAAAUUUGGAUUCGUUGAUUUAAAUGGCAAUUUGACACUUGAUAGAAAUUUUUACAUACAUGUGUUAGUGUUUGAUCACUUCACAUGUCACUUACUAUAUUUAUUCCACUCAAGUUAGGUAAAUAUUAUUAUCAAACAUUUCAAUUAAUUUGUGAUUUUUUUAUUAUUUAAUCAAUUAUGAAUUAAUGGAUUCUUCUUGUUGUUUUGAAGACCAACAAAAAAAAAAAAAAGGGUAGUGAUGGCUUAUAAUUCUGGUAAAACAACAGUGACGUGGACAACAGAUGUUACGCUGUACUAAAGAUUUUUGAAGAUUCUUUAUUUGAGUUUCUUUCAAGAUAAAAACCAUAUUAUCCACAACCACAAGCACAUCCGGCAGACAAUCUUUGGCUAUUCAUCACAAUUGGGAGACAAUGAAGAAGACAGAAAAUGGAGUAAUUCAGAUGUUACCAGCCAUCCACGACAAACUGAAGUCUGCAAAGCAUUCGUAAUCUAAAAAGGAUGGGGAGGCUGCGCAAUACUUAGCCACGUGUAGGCCAGGAGGCUUUCCAAUUUUAAUAUAUAUAUAGAUUGAAAAAAUAAAAUAAAAAUCAAUCUAUUAUCAUAUAUAUUAUAAAAUAAAGAUUAUUGCUCCCAUGGGCGGUGCUAUGCACAGGACAGUGCCUGCCUAGUCCAAAUUUUUUUUAAAUAAAAAUAAAAAUCUACAUAUGUUAUAAGCUCAUCCAAAAAAAAAAAAAAAAAUAAAAGUGUUGUAAAUUAUAAGGUGGAGCCCACAUGUUGGAAGGCUUUGCCUACAAAAGGGUUCACACCCUCCCUUUGUAAUUAGACAUUGAGAAUACUAAGGAAGACAGAAAUGAAUAGAGAGAAAACAUUCCCUUCUCUCCAUCUCAAUUCCCUCUCCAAUUCCUCUAGAUUUAUAACACGUUAUCAGCAGCACGAAUCGCUUUCAAACAAUACCAGCUGAAUUUUAUGAUGAAACCCAGAUCUCUCAUCCAUCUCUGCUGCUCCACUACUUCAAAAUAAAUCCCACAGAAAAAGAAAAAGCCUCAAUGCUCUCUCUCUCUCUCUGUCUCGCUUGGGAGACUUGGACAAUUCCUCAUCCCCGUUACUGACAAUUUCAACAGCUUCAGGGGAAGCUAGUUUAUCUUCCUCUGCUCACGAAACCAUGACUCUUUCAGAGCCAAACAACAACACAAUAGACAACGCAUGGAGACCAGACUGGAGCUCGUCGGCUAAGGCACCGACGAUCCGACCCUACCCGUAUGGACCUUCCGGAUGUGGUUCCUGGGUCUUGUCUCAUGUGCCCUCCUCUCAUUUCUCAACCAAUUCUACAAGCAGCAGAGCUUCAAAUCAAACAGAUCAUGGCAUCGCUUUCACACCUCCCCAUCUUCCUCUUCCUCCUGUUCACCGCUUUCUAUUCUACAGCUUCGCAGUCCUUCAUCGGCGCAUCCAAAGGCGACAUACCGGCGCUCGCCUCAGAUCCGAACGCGGCGGCUCAGUGGGUGAACUCGAAUGUCCUCGCCUUCUACUCGGCCAGCAACAUCGACCUCAUCAACGUCGGCAACGAGGUCCUUUUUCUCCAACGACCAGGGCCUCAUCUCGCAGCUCCUCCCCGCCAUGCGAAAUGUCCAAUCUGCCCUCUCCGCCGCGUCCCUCGGCGGCAAGGUCCGUGUCUCCACGGUCCACUGCCUCGCCGGAUCGGGAUCCUUCCUUCAAGUGUUUCUCUGUCUUCGACUUGAAAAAGAAGGUCAUGGCAGGCCUAUGUAAAAAUUGCGAAAAGGAAGGCAAUCUUCAACCUUUUCUCCUGUCUCUCUCUUGAUCAAUUCAUGGAAGGCACAUUUGGGUCUUCCGGGGGCUCAUCAAAUGAGUCAGCAAUGUCAAAGGUGGAGGUGGUGGAGCAAGACUACGUGGGGAUGUCAUAUGAGGCAACCUCAUACCCAGCUGAGGCAGAGCUUGUGCUGGGCCUGGGCCUUGGCCUGAGCCUUCGUGGUGGUGGUGCAGGGAAGCAGCCAAAGCCAUGUGCAUGGGGUGAGCGUGGUAGAAUCUUGACUGCUAAAGUUAGGUGCUGAGUUACACUGUGUUCUCUGCUACUGACCCUAAGAGGAGUGCUAGAAACUUCCAUGUUCCGCCAUCAUUUCGCUUUCACUGUUACAAGGCACUGGAGUAUGUUUAAUUGAAAAGUGAGAUACACAGCAAGUUGAUCAGCCUAGUGGAAAGCAAAGGAUUAUUGCCAGGGAUAUGAACACCCACCGAAAUAAAGGGAUAAGUACUCUUUUUCCCUUCGACCAGUUUUUUUUUGUCCCACUGGGUUUUUACUGGCAAGGUUUUUCACGAAACAUAUUCCGUAUCAUUUGUGGUCUCUAAGAGGGAGUGUUGUAAAUUAUAAGGUGGAGCCCACAUGUUGGAAGGCUUUGCCUACAAAAGGGUUCACACCCUCCCUUUGUAAUUAGACAUUGAGAAUACUAAGGAAGACAGAAAUGAAUAGAGAGAAAACAUUCCCUUCUCUCCAUCUCAAUUCCCUCUCCAAUUCCUCUAGAUUUAUAACAAAAAGUAAAUUCUACACAUAUGUUGCCCAUCCAGGUGGUCCCAUAUCUUCUCUUUCCUUUUCUUUUGGCUAUUAGACUUCUUGUUUCUCUCUCUCUCUUUGCUACCCCACAUCAGCAAGUUUCUCCCUCUCUUUUUUUGGGAUCAAAUUCUUCUUCUAUUGACAAAAUCUUCUAUUAUAUUGGGUGGGCAACUUGGCAACAACAUCUUCUCCUCUCCUUUUGUCAACAGCAAGUAUUAUUCUCAUUCUCUCAUUUGCUAUAUAUCUUUAAUUAUAGUUUUAAUUUAAAAUUGAGUAUUCUAGGGUUUAAUUAGGGAUGAAUUAUAAUUUUGGGAUUUUGUUGAAAUUAAUUAGGGCUUCGAUUAGGGGUGAAUUAUUCUACUGCUUUGAUUUGGAAUUUUGUUAAAAUUGAGUAUUAUAGGUUUAAUUAUGGAUGAAUUACAAUUUUUGGUUUUGGUAUUGUUGAGAUGUUAUUAUGAGAAUUUGUUUGAUUUUUUGUUGGUAUAUUUGAUUAAAAUUCUUUCUACAUAUUAUUCAUAGGCUAUCUUUUAUUAUGUCGGAUCACAAUCGGAAUCCCAAGAAAACAAAAAAUUUGAAUAGUGUUGUUUUGUAUUGCAUUGCAUUUACUUUUGGUUUUAGUUUUGCUUUUAGUGUAAAUUACUCAAAUGGUCCUCAAAUUUGUACCCAAUUUACAUUUUGGUCCAUAAACUAAAUUAUUCAUUCAAAUGGUCCACCAACUCUUUAUUAAUCGGUGCUUUGGUCCUAUCGUUAUGUUUUCUAUUAAAUUUAGUCAUGUGAGCAGCACAUGCUACAUUUGUAUGGGUAAAUAAGACUUUUGACCAGUGGCGGAUCCACGUUGGGACAAGAGGGGUCGGACGACCCCUUGGAAGGCUGGAAAUUUGGCAAGGGAGUCCAUGAAAGCCCCCUUGGACAGCUGCUGGAAGCCCCCUUGUAUGCACACAAUGUGCUCGACGAAAUGCCCCAACGAAAUGUCCUGCGCAGCUGUGCUGCGCCUUGCGCGUAAUUUUUUUUUAAAACCAGCCUUGCCAAACGACGUCGUUUGGUCAAGGCUCAGUCAAAUUUUUUUUUAAUUAACCUGGCCUCAAAACGACGUCGUUUUGGGCCAGGUUUAAAAAAAAAAAAACAGAACAGUACACACGCACAGCAGCUCUGCACAGAUUCAUUUUCUCCAAACCUUUCAUUCCCAAUUCCACAGCCCCUCUUCCCAUCCUCUCAAACCCUAACCUCCCAACCUCCCAACCUUGGACAACCUCCAUCAACUCUUCACCGGUGGCCCAAUGCCGAUCACCACCACCUUCUACCGCCGUCCGCCGCCCAUUUUUUAAACUACAAGUAAGUAAGCAUGGAAAAUCUGAUAUUAAUAAUUAUAGUGAUAAUAUAUAUUGUUGAUAUUGAUAUUUUUUUUUUAUGUAAUGAAAUUUAUGGAUAUGAAUCAUAUUGAUUGAUUGAGUUUAUGCUUGAAAUUUAUGGAUAUGAAUCAUAUUGAUAUUUUUUUUUAUGUAAUUAAAUUUAUGGAUAUGAAUCAUAGUGAUAAUCAUAUUAAUGUAGAUUGAUUGAGUUUAUGCUUGAUUGAUAAUAUGAAUUGAUUGGGUAUAUUAAAUAUUGAUUGCUAUUUGAUAUGAUAAUUUGGUAUAUUGAAUAUUGAUUGAUAUGGGUUUAGGGAGUAUAUUGAAUAUUGAGAGUGGGUUAUUGAAAUUUUCAUAUUCAUAUGAUAAUUAGGAUAAAAAUUAAUGAUUGAUUGAAUUAAUUGAUUUGUAGAUUUAUGGAACGAUUCUUUAAAAGAAAAUUAUCUACGGAUAGUUCUUCUCUGUCUAAUCCGGGUAGUUCAAAUGCAAGACCAAUUGAAGUAGAUGAGAUCUUAGCUAAUCUUCAAGCAGACCCUGGACUAAGAACUCGAAUGGCGGAUUAUAGUCCUAAUAUUAGGGAUGAGAUCCGAAGAGCAUAUCUACAAAAGGGACCUUGUCAACCUAGAAGUUAUAAAUUCCCACAAACUAAUCAAUCAGGAAUUAAUAGACGCUUCAUUGCUCAUUGGUUUGAUGAUCAUGAUUGGUUGGAAUAUAGUAUUGCUAAAGAUGCUACGUUUUGUCUUCAUUGUUAUCUCUUCAAAUCUAAUUUUGAUCAAGUGGGUGGUGAUGCAUUCACUGGGGUAGGCUUCAAUAAUUGGAAGAAGGCGAAAGAAAGAUUUAACCUUCAUAUUGGACCGGUUGGUAGUGUUCACAACCAAGCUAGAGAAGUUGCUUACAAUUUGAUGCAUCAAACUACACACAUUGAAACAAUUGUGCUCAAGCAAACAAGCCAAGCUCGCACGGCUUAUCGCACUUGCUUGAAUGCAUCACUUAAGUGCACUAGGUAUUUGUUGCGGCAAGGGCUUUCUUUUCGUGGUCAUGAUGAAAGUGCACAAUCAAGUAAUAAAGGGAAUUAUUUAGAGCUCUUGCAAUUUCUUGCGGAUCAUGAUGAAAAAGUUAAGGCCGUUGUAUUGGAAAAUGCUCCGGGAAAUUUAAAGUUAAUAGCUCCUUCAAUUCAAAAAGAUCUUGUCAAUUCUUGUGCCAAAGAAACCAUUGAUCUUAUCUUGAGUGAUGUAAAAGAUAGAUAUUUUUCAAUAAUGGUGGAUGAAGCACGUGAUGUUUCAAUAAAGGAGCAAAUGGCAAUGGUGUUGCGUUAUGUGAAUGACAAAGGACAAAUAAUUGAAAGGUUUGUGGGGGUUCAACAUGUAACCGACACUACUUCAAGUGCACUAAAGGAAACAAUUGAUGAAUUCUUUUCUUCCGCGAAUUUGAGCUUUUCCAAGCUACGAGGACAAGGUUAUGAUGGAGCUAGCAAUAUGAGAGGUGAGUUCAAUGGCCUUAAGAGAAAGAUUUUGAGAGAACAACCUUGUGCAUUUUAUGUUCAUUGCUUUGCUCAUCAACUUCAACUAGCUCUUGUUGCGGUAGCAAAGAAAAACAUUGAUGUCAACUCUUUUUUCACAACGGCUAAUAGUUUGGUUAAUGUGGUUGGAGCAUCUUGUAAGCGUCGCGAUGCACUUAGAGCACAAUACCAAGAAGAGCUUGUGAGAGCUUUUGAAGAUGAUUGUCUUAUAACGGGGCGGGGCUUAAAUCAAGAAAGGACUCUCAAACGUGCCGGCAAUACACGAUGGAACUCACAUUAUGGUACGUUGAUUAGUAUCAUUUCUAUGUUCCCAUCUGUGGUGAAUGUGCUUCAAAUGAUUGUUGAUGAUAAUCUUAAUGAUAGUUCGGGUGAAGCCUAUAAGUUAAGGAGAGAAAUACAAUCUUUUGAGUUUGUGUUUCACUUAUUUGUAAUGAAAGCUAUAUUGGGAAUAACAAACACUUUGUCUCUAGCAUUGCAAAAGAAAGAUCAAGACAUUGUGAGUACAAUGAAUUUAGUGAAAACAUGCAAGGAAAACCUGCAGUUGAUGAGGGAUAAUGAGUUUGAAGAAUUGGUUGGGCAAGCAUCCUCGUUUUGUUACAAAUAUGAUAUUAUAGUUCCUACCAUGGAUGAGGAAUAUGUAAUUCCAGGGAGAUCAUGGCGUAAUGCUCCAAUGAAGACAAAUUAUCAUCGUUAUCGUGUGGAGAUCUUUAUUCAUGUAAUUGAUGGGCAACUUGCGGAAUUAAAUGAUCGCUUCAACGAGGUAAGUACUGAGUUACUUACUUGUUUGGCAUGCUUGAGUCCAAAAAAUAACUUUGUGACUUUUGACAAACGAAAGCUAGUUCGUCUUGCUCAAUUUUAUCCUUAUGAUUUUUCGGAUAGAGACUUAUUGAUGCUUGAAGAUCAACUUGGUGUUUAUGUUCAUCAUAUGCGUUCGAGUAGUGAUUUUUCUCAAUUGGAAGGGAUUAGUAGUCUUGCGGAAAAAAUGGUGGAGAAAGGAAUGCAUGAAAUAUUUCCUUUUGUAUUUGCUUCUUACAUUGGCUUUGGUUUUACCGGUUGCAACUGCAUCAGUGGAGAGGGCAUUUUCCGCUAUGAAUAUUAUUAAAAAUCCACUUCGCAACAGAAUGGGAGAUCAAUGGUUGAAUGAUAGCUUGCUUGUUUACAUUGAGAGAGAUGUUUUUGCUUGUAUUGAUAACGAAAUUAUAAUGCAAUGUUUUCAGAAUAUGAAAACUCGUCGUGGACAAUUGUAACUUGUAUUAUUGGUUUUGUUAUGAAUUAUGAAUGAAAGUACUAUCUUUCUAUCUUUUUAGCAUUAUUUUCUUUGUAGAAAAAUUUCAGAACUUUUACACUAAGCCCCCUUGGCUACAUAAUCCUGGAUCCGCCACUGCUUUUGACCACUUUAUCACCUAUGUAUCACCACUUUAUAACCUAUUUGGGGAACAUAGGUCAGUUAUGGACGGUUUUACCCUUACAUUUGACGGCAACAUUAACAUAAUGUAACAGUGGGAUCAAUGGAGUGAUUAAUAUAAAGUUGAUGGACCAUUUGAAUGAAUAAUUUAAUUGAGAGACCAAAAUGUAAAUCAAGUAUAAGUUUGAGGACCAUUUGAGUAAUUUACCCUUCGCUUUUAUAUUUGUUGAACUUUUAUUUAUGAUAGAUAUGCAUUUAAGGGUAAGACCCAUUAUGUUCCCCUGGCUAGGUGUAUCUUUUUAUGUUUAUUAAUGAAAUUCACUCGAACUGUUGAGUUUAGUAUGUAAGUUUUGCCUAACUGGCUUUUGAAUCCUAGAACCGCCACUGUUGCUCCAUCCUCCAUGCACUUGCAUGUGCUCUUACAAAGUGUGAAGUAGAUUUUGUGUGCUCCAAGUCAUUGACUAGAGCUGAAACAUGGUUAGCUAGAUUUAUAAGGACCCAUCUCUUUAUUUCCUAGACAUAUACCCAUCUCUCUAUAAAUCUAUAUGUAAAACCUAAUUUCAAACUUAAAUGACCAGUAGGAUAUAAAAGGUCAUAGUAUUCCUAUGUUUUUAUAUCGUUGCCACCAGACUUCUUAUUUUAUUUAUAAUUUAUUUCAAGCAUUUCAUUAACUGCCAUAAUUGUAAUUAAUACUCCAUAUUAAUAGCAUAUCAAUCACCCCAUUUCUUUUGGUUGCCAUUCCCUCUAACAUAUCGCCCCUUAAAUUUGAAAACCAAAAAAAAAAAAUGUAAAUUACAUAUCCAAUAAUGUACCUAUGAAAAAUAUAAAUAUAAAUAUAUACAUAUAAAAAUAUAGGUAUAUUAUUUACCAAAUAGAAAAUAUAAAAACCUAGGUCAGUUGCUUUGUAAUUGAAAUUUCUGUACAUUUUCCACAAAUUAAAAAUAGGUACAUAAUAAUUUAUAGAAAAUAUAUGUACAUUAUUUAUCCAUAGGUAAAAAUACCGAUAAAUGCACAUAGGUGAAUUAUUUACCAAUAUAUUAUUUUUUUGCUAAGGAUUUACCUUAGUUUUUAGUAGAUUAAUUUACCUACCUAGAGGCAUAGGUAGCUUAAAAAAAAUGUACCACCUUAGUUGGUUGCAUACUAAUUUACCUACCUAGAGGCAUAGGUUGCUAAGAAAAAAUGUAGGUAAAUUCAUGUACCUAAACACAUAGGGGUCAAAUAGAGAAUAACAUGUUAUUUCCCUUUGAACAAAUUAAUUUCAAACCAUAACAAUUAUUGAAUUUGGAAAUUGGUAUAAAUAAAAGGAAAUAAAUAAACUAUCAAUUUGAAAAUUAAAAUAAGAAAUGAUCAAGUAGUCAUAUUUGAAAAAAAAGGAAAGAAUAUAUUCUUGGUUUUUAUAGGAACAACGAGUAUAUUCAAACCAAACGGCGAUAACUACACCAAGCUUUAAUUACUUUUUUUUAAGGCCAAAAGUCACUUUUGGUCCCUGUAGUUCGGCAUUUCUACCACUUUUGAUGUUGUAGUUUCAAUUCCGUCAAUUUUGCCAUUGUAGUUUCGUAUUUGUAGCAAUUCAAGGACCUGUUAAUAUUAAUGUCAAUUUGUUUAAUGAUGCAAGAGGUAAUUUCGUCAUCCCAAAAUCCUUGAGCAUAAAAGAUUGUCUGAAAUUCUCCCCAUUUCAUAUUAGGGCUCGAAAUUCAACCACUAAUCCUAAUUUUUGAAGAACCCUAGACCCAAAUGACCAAUUUCAAGCCCUAAUAUGAAAUUACGGAAGUUUUAGAUGAGCUUUUAUGCUCAAGGAUUUUGAGUUGAAGAAACUGCCCCUUGCACUGUCAAAUAAAUUGACAGGAAUACUGACUUGUCCUUGAAUUGCUACAAAUACAAAACUACAGUGUCAAAAUUAACAGAAUUUAAACUAUAGGGUCAAAAGUAGUUGAAGUGUCAAACUAUAAGGACCAAAAGUGACUUUUAGCCUUUUUGUUUCAAUAAGGAAAAAACUGACCUAUUAAAUCCUUGGAAUCUAUACAAAAUUGAAACACAAUUAAUCAACAUUGAAUUGCAGCUAAUUUCUUAAACAAGGGUAUUAUAGGAAUUUAAAAAGUAUAACAUUUAAUCCAUUGAAUUUGAUUAGGAAACUUGAUGAAUUGAAUCCUAGUUAUAUAGUUUUUCUUAUAAAAAUCAGGUUUUAUUUAUAGACAAAUAAAACAAUGGGUUGUAGGUAAGAAAAUAUUAAUUUGAAGGGAAAGAGUCAAAUUUACUAAAUUAAUAAAGCAUAAAUUGGAAAGGGAAAAGAUCUAGAGGAUGCAUUGUAGGAUUGCUCAUGCCAAUAAUUGCACCCUCUCGAUAUUGAAAAACCUAUUGUUUAUUAUUAUCUUCAAUCCUGAAUGAUGCACCUAAAACCCAAGUGUCUCAGGCCAACCAUUGCGCUCAUACCACUUGUUGCAGUACACAUUCACCUGUUUUUAAAGAAAGAAAUUCUACCAAUCGAUAUUUUCUCAAAUUUAAUCACAUAGAUCUAUUAUGGUUAACCAUAUGUACUUUUAUCUGCCAUCCAGAGGUACCUUUUUCCAACGUGCAACAAUUGUAUUUGAUUCACAAUUAUGUCUGAUAUACAUCACAUCAUGCCACUUGCCUCAAAUGAAUUUAAUUGAGUGAGGCAAUGGGAAGUAAUUAAGCUCUAUAUUGGUGGGUGGAGUGUUACUUCUGGAACCCUCAUCAUUCGUCCAUACAGGGGAACAAUUCCCUUCCUUCUAUAAAAUGGGAGCAAUUCUCUCACUGUACUCUAUAUAAAGGAAUAAGUGUCGUCCACUAAUUAAUUACACUUUGUGAGAUUUGAUUUUAAUUAGAGUUCGAAUUAAUGUUGCAGCUAGCAGCGGUGGCACUGGCAAACCAUGCUGCUCAACCAGCACCUCCACUUUACUGGAAUUCCAUCCUGCCAAACACACAAAUGCCAAGAGCUAUCAGUGAACUUCUGCAUCCUGAUUUGUGUUGAAUAGAUAUAGUAUGUUACUGGAGUACGUAUGGCAACAUAUUCACAAAUGUGUCACGUAUUUUCCAUUAUGACGUUGAUAUAUAAUUGCAGACUCCACAAACGAAGAAAAGAGCACAAAUGUCAUGAAUGCUGUUGGGAAUGGAAAGCCAAUUGACCACAAGGGCAAACCUGAAAAUACUGUACUACCACAGCUUGCACGACGCCCAUUUUCUUACAAGAGUGAUGAUCGUCCCACUGACAAUCAACUCCAUUAUAAAAACGUAGCUAUUUUCUUCUUGGAGAAGGACAUGCGCCCUGGCACAACAAUGAGCUUCCAAUUCCCUAGAAAUUCAAACACGGCUACUUUCCUGCCACGAGAAAGAGCUCAAUCGAUCCCCUUCUCCUCUAACAAACUACCAGAAAUUUUCAACCAUUUUUCAGUGAAGCCAACAUCUGUGGAAGCCAAAACAAUUAAGCAAACAAUCGAAGAGUGUGAGGCUCCAGGCAUUAAGGGAGAGGAAAUAUAUUGCGCCACAUCUUUAGAAUCAAUGGUUGAUUUUAGCACUUCGAAGCUUCGAACAAGAAACGUUCAAGCAAUCUCGACGGAGGUAUUGGAAAAAGGUGCCACCAUGUCCAUGCACAAGCACACAACAAUGCCGGGACUGAAGAAGUUGGCAGGUGUCAAAGUCGUUUUGUGUCAUAAGCAGAACUAUCCCUAUGCUGUGUUUUACUGCCAUGUAAUAAAACCAACAGCAGCUUAUGUUCUCUCCCUGAAAGGCGAUGAUGGGGUGAAAGUUAAAGCAGUAGCCAUCUGCCAUCUAGACACAUCAGAAUGGAACCCAAAGCAUUUGGCCUUCCAAAUCCUCAAAGUUAAGCCCGGAACAAUUCCCAUCUGCCAUUUCCUUCCCACUGAUCAUAUUGUCUGGGUUCCGAACCACAAAUCUGCAUGAUCAUCACUUAGCACUGUACGUAUAAUAACCUUUACCCCUGUAUAAUUAUCUCCCUACUCUACUUAUUUCUGCCUCUUCAUGUGGUGUAAGAUAUAUGAUGAGAUGAAGUUUUUGGGAUUAGUGGUCGGGUUGCCUUAAAAACACAGAUUACAGAAACUGCUUGAACUUAACCCGAUCAUGUUUUCUCUUGUACUCGUAAAGCAUGCUGUUGUGGUUCUACUUAAUUUCGUCCUCCCCAAUGUUUGAGUGUUUAAUUGUUACGUUGGAAUAGGCUGCUAAUGCAUGUAGUUAGAGAAGCUUUCAUUUAUAUCAAAGUCCUCAAACUAUCAAGAAUUAAUGCAUCCAGAAACAUAUAUACCAAGACGCAAAACAACAUAUUUUCCAUGCUGUGUCGGUAACACCAAAGCAAACUUCCUUUAUCACAAAAGGACCAAAUUCCAAUACUAAUCUAAUCCAUCAUGUAAAGCAUACAAUCUACAACUGCCUCCCUAAAUUUGUCCAUUGGAUAUAUAUGUCACUUUUUGGUAAUUUGGUAUAGCAGCACCACGUAGUAUGCAUUUAACAGAAAAGUAAACAAAAUUGACAGUAGAACUAUUUGUCCUAACGAAACUGAAGUUGAAAGACCAUGAGAACGAUUUUGAAAAUUAAGGGACUCAAAUGAAAAUUGGGUCUAAGUUCAGGGACCAAUAAAACGAUUAACCCAUAGAUUUUGGAUCCAGUACCACAUCCCAAAGAGAAAACCACAAGUUUGCAAGCAAGUUUGUCCAUACUAACACUACGUACAGUAUGGGCAAUGUGCUAGACUCAUCUCACUUUCUCAACCUAUCCUAUACUUGUCUAAAAGAGUUUCUAAUUUAAUGUACUGAGAUUUACGAAAGAAAUAUCAGAGAAACAAUUUUCAGGCAAUAAAAAAAUGUCUUGGCAAGAAAAUGCACAAUUUGUUACAUAACUUAUUAAAUAUGAACAGUUGAAAGAAAAAAGAAUUUGGAUGAGGGAUUUGCAAAUUCCUAUGGCCCAAUUACCUUUUUUUCUUUGUUUUUUUUUGGUUCUUUUGAUCCAGUAGCAUAUUCCAAAGAAUGAAAACCACAGGCAUGCAAUGCAAGCUCUUUUCCCAUGUUUUCCUCUGUUUUUCUCCUAUCAUGGAAGUGAUUAAAACACACCUCUAAGCUUGUUUUGCGUUUGGUAGCCGAGUGUAAAAGCUCAAUGCAAGAUAGUUUGAGGUAGAAUUUUCUCCUGUUUUAUUAGGACAAUGAUGAGCUAUAUGUGACAACAAAUUGCUUUAAUAAUGAAAAUUAAAAAAGUGUGAUUCAUUGAAUAUUUGCGGGGUUUUGUUCAGAGCUGACAAAGUUCUAAGUCAACACAUCAAAUUCCUUUUUCCAACAAUCGUAUUUGAUUCACAAUUUUGUCUGAUAUACAUCACAUCAUGACACUUGCAUCAAAUGAAUUUAAUUGAGUGAGGCAAUGGGAAGUAAUUAAGCUCUAUAUUGGUGGGUGGAGUGUUACUUCUGGAAUCCUAAUCAUUCGUCCCUACAGGACUCUAGAACUCUCACACUUCUUACAAGGACUACUUAACUCUAUAGCUUAUUGCAUAUAGCAUAUAUAUGCAAACCCAAUUAGAAAUUCUACAACAGAAGCAAGAUCAAUCUCACUAUGCCUUCUAAACAAACAAACAAAUAAAACAAGCAUAUUAAUUGCUUUAAUCACUCUACUAACAUCAACACAGCACACUUAGUUUACUAACAGAUGAUAUAGAAAGGAAAAAAAAGGACCAAUAGGGAGAAAAUGGUGAACUAAGGAGAGACUAAUACUUCUGGUCCUUAGAAGGCAUAACAGAAAUAAUAGAGCACACUGCUUGAAUGCAAGUCAGUAUUAGGAGCAAAACAGCUGCAAUGAAAGAAAUAGUUGCCCAAGGUGUAUUGAAAUAAUGUUGCCUCAAAUUUGCCUUCCAUUUGUUCCAAGGCUUUCUGCAGUAGCUAUUAAGGCGCUCAGAAAGAGUAGCAAAGUAGAAGCUUUCACGAUACACUGCAAUUCCUUUUCCGAGGUUGUUAAUCAGAGUGCACACCUCAUUGUAGUCACCAAGCAUAUUUUUGACAAUCCCAUACUUCAGAAGGAACUCCACAUCCUUUUCGGUGUUCACAAACUCAUCCAUGAGUGAAACAUAAUCACUUAUGUAAUUCUUACGGCAAUGGCACUAUUCAAAGGCAAUGAGGUUAUGGAGUGUGAGCUCUGUGUAAUCGUUUAUUUUUAGUUUUGGAAUUUCUAGAAUCCCAUCGUUGAAUCGUGUUAACGCAGCUUUCCUUUCCUAGCCUACGCGGAAGUCAACUUCACAAUCUCCUCCUAGCAAUUAGCCUUUCCUACUGUAAAUCGGAUUGUAUUCAUGUCUAUAUUAUUUCCUACCUUAAAUAGAUAUCCUGUACUAGUAUACAUAGGGACUUUGUGUAAUCUGUUAAAUACAAGGAAAUAUAUACUCUACAUGGUAUCAACCUAACCUAGGGUUCUCUCUCUCCCCCUUAUUCGAUCCUCUUCUCCUUUAGGUCCACCUCAUGGCUUCGUUUGAAUCCACCAUCUCCCUCCCAAGCCCUAACUCUUCUCAUUUUAUCAAGCUUACUAACUCCAACUAUCUUCUUUGGCUCCGCCAACUCAAACCCUUUUAGUUGGCCAUGACCUCUGGAAAUUUAUCGAUGGCAUUCAUAAACAACCUUCUGCCCACACCUCCACCUCUACCACCACAACACCCACAACCACCACCACUCUUACCGAAAUCAAUCCUACCUAUGCUCAGUGGUACCAACAAGACCAACUCAUUGUUAGCUACAUCACCAGUACACUCUCUGAGUCCAUUUUCUCUCUCACUGUCGGUUGCAUCUCUGCCCGGGAUCUCUGGGAGUGUCUCCAAUGCCACUUCUCUUAAUCCAAUAUGGCCAGUGAAUCUGCUCUUCGUUUUCAACUCAUGGAUUUGCAAAAAGGCUCUCAACCCAUUGAUGCUUACCUUCGUCAUGCUAAGUCUCUUGCCGAUUCACUAGCUGCCAUCAAUUAACCUGUCUCCCCAAAAGAACUUGUCACUGCUGUGCUUCGGGGUUUAGGACCCGAUCACAAAAUGCUCAUCACAGCAAUUCUCAAUUUCUCUCCGCUUCCAGACUUUGCUGAUCUUCGUGCUCGUUUGUUAGCUUUUGAUGCACAGACUCCUCGAAUCUUUCCUGAUCAAAACACAACGCUAAUGGCCACCCAAUCUUCUCCUUACACCACCGGUCAUACUUCCUUCCCUUCUCACCGUGGUUGUGGCUCUUCCAGCAAUAGGCGCGGUGGCUGGUGCAGUAUUGGCCGUGGUGGCUGGCACAACUUCUCAUCUUCCUAGAGCAACCCGUGGAAUGGCUUCCAGCAGCCCUAAUGACCUAAUCAACUGUGGCCUCCUUUUGCUCUAAGUUUUGGAUCUCAAAGCAACUGGCCUUCCUUUCAACCUCUUUGGGCCCAAUCUGCCGCUUCUAGCAAACACUCUGCCCGACCCAACUCAGCUCCUGGUGUCUUGGGACCCGCUUGGUGCACCACAUGCAAUACCAAUCGACAUACUACUACAACAUGUCCUUAUUGCUACAAUGGCCCAGAAUUCUUCCUUUGCUGGGGCUCAAUUCAUGCAGCCACCUAACUCUACAUGGUACCCUGACACAAGUGCCACUCAUCAUAUGACUGGUAGUUCUUCUAAUCUCCAAAGGAAAUUAAAUGAAGGAGUCCUACGAAGGCUCAAGGCUCGAAAGCACACGAUCCGGCUCUGCUGCGGAGCUCACUCAACUACUGGCUGAGGGGGCGCAAAACAGAAAAUUGUGAGUGGACAAAAAUAAAAAUUCAGUUCAGUGUAAACCAACGUAAUAUAACCCCACCGUUUAGAAAACCAUGCAAGAAAUCCAAAUGCAUCUCAAAACCAUCAUAAUCAUCAAAUCAAAAUCAAAUACUGGAUGCCAAGUCCGAAAUCCAUAAAGAAAGCUUUACAAACCCACCAUCCAAAUCUUACAAUCCCACAACUAAACUCUCGAAAGCGUACCCAUUGGCAGUACCAGCAAGGAAGUAUCCUCACCGAGAAACAAGAACAAAAGAAUAGCUAUAUAUAUAAUUAUAUAAUAUAACCACACCUAGUUGUACCGGGAAAACAAUCCAACCGGGGGAUUGUUUGACUAGUCACCAUGGCAGAGUCAAAGUAAACAAAUUCCUCAAUUCACCAUGUGACUAGGGAACGAGCUGUCCAACUGGGGGACCAACUCUCAGCCAGCAUGUACCGUCGAUAGCCUCAAAACCCGUACGUCUGUGACCAGUCCUACGCGUGCAGACUACCCAAUCAAGGGUUUACAGCAACAUCCCAUCAAGGAUGCCCUAGGUUCCCACAAUUCCAAGUAUCUCAAGUUUGCGUAUCCAAGUUCCAAAUCCGGGGAGGUACAUAGGGUAGUGCUUAUAGCACUCCAAAUUGACAUUCUAUACUCAUCACUUUCCACAAUCUCAUCUCAACAACCUAAGUACCCCACACAUAGCCAAACAUAUAUAGAAAUUCUCAAAAUCCAUAUAUACAUACUCAAGAUACUCAAAUAUGUCAAAAUCCAAAAUAUAUUUCCAAUGCAUCAUAAAAAUAUCACUUUUAACAAUUGAAUAAAUAAUAUAUAUCCAAUAUACCAAUUAAAACAUCAUGCAUAAUAUUUCCCAUCAUAAAAUCAUGCAUAAGAUUUGAAAACAAAGUCCACUCACAAGUAGUCCCACACUGCUUGACCUUGAGAGGGUCCCGCCUACUGCGUAUGCGUGGUUGGAGUACCUAUUUCAGAAUACGUAUACGAGAUUAAUAAGAAGCGUUUCGAACGAGAACUUUGAAUUAAAUAUCCUAAUUUCCCAGGUUUCUAGUAAGUGUACUAGGAACGAGACGUUCUAAGGUUCCACUACCCAAUUCGAACCAUGGAAGAGCUUCGGGAGACACUCGGUCAACCGGCGGUCAAAUUCCCAAAUCGGGUCAACUGGCCCACGGGACCCACGACCUCCGUUUUUAAAAUCCGUAAGUUCCUAAAGGUUUCACAAUGUCUAAGAUACUACUAUCACAAGUUUGGUCCGAAACGGACUGUUAGAUCGCUUACGAUCGCACGAUCAGACGGUUAUUGUAAAACGUAAACUUUAAGUUAUUGAAUCAGAACAUCCGGGGCUCCGAUUCACGAUCCGCGAAUUCCUACACGAUCCUAGGAAGGUCUAGAGUAACAUAUAUUGGAAUGGAGUCGAUCCAAAGGUCCGAACAUAUCGAACCUAGACCGGAUAACUCCUAAUAUGUGAGAUUCGUUCGGGGUUCGAACAUCAACCAAAUUGGAAUCCUAAGGUACCUACGUGCUCGUGACAUUAAGGGGAUCAAUUGGGACAAAAAUGCCCCUCUGCUACAGUGCCCACGUGCCACCACACGCGGCGGUAGAGAGUGGGUGUCCAAAGCGAUUUCUCUUCGCCGGAAAAUCUCCAAAUUACAAGCCACUCUCCUGGCUACAGGUUCUACUCAACGAGUGGAACACUUUAUUCAACUACAGCCAAGUCCAAUUCGGACGGCAAGUGGCCGGAAACUCACGGUUUAACCCGGAACUUCAUGGCUUGGAUUGGGCGACCAUCGUCACCAUUGUCGUGGCACAACCUAGGAAAUAGCUAAAAGGAGAGGAGGGCUACCUAUUCCAAGCGAUGGCGCAGCUCGCGGUAGCCGAAAAUGUAGCCGAUGACGUUGGCAGUUUUGGCCGGUUUUUCACGUCGUUGCCAUCGCCGUUUGUCGAGUUUUCGAUUGGAGAAAAGGGGUGGGGUGAGUAGAGGAGGAAGAGAGGAAGCUUUUGCAAGAAAUGACACUUGUCAGGGAGGGGGGGGUUGGGGGAAGAGAGAGAGAGAGAGAGAGAGAGAGAGAGAAAAAAAAAAAAUUUCAGAUUUUCAUCCAAACCCUUUUCGAAAUAUUUACAAGUUUGCCACUAAACUACUUUUGGUUGCCAAAUCUUCGUUAUAACUCCGAUUCAAGCCUACCACGUGUCUACGGAUUCGUCUCAAUACAACCUACCCAAAAAUACCAGUCACUGCCCCAAACUCUUUUUGGGUAAGAAAAUGACCAAAAUACCCCUACCCCAAGGGUAAAUUCAUAAUUUCACUUCAAUAAUUUAAUAAAGAAUUAAAUUUGGAGUCGGGGUGUUACAUUAACUACCUGUUUAGUAGGUGUGGGGUUUUAUACAAAAAGCAUCGAUGUUAUUGGGAGUGGAACCACUUAUUAUAAGUUGUGAUUUAUUUAGUCAAGUUUCCUAUGUGGGAUUUUCUAUUCUUCAACAAGCCCCCUCAUGUGGGACCACCACAUAGUGGGCCACAUGUAAAGCUAAGUCCACAUCGGAGUCAAUCAUUCAAGCCCAAUACCUAAACACCACGUAUUGUGUGAGGGGUAGGGGUAAACAUUCAAGCCCAACAUGUGAACCACCAAAUAUUAAGUAAGGGUAAAGGCUCAAUUCAGGCCCAAUCAAUGAACCCAUUAUGAUAUCAUGUUAAAUUUCAGAUAGACGGGACUGUGGCCCACCACUAGCAACAUUGAUAUUGUCCCCAACUUAACUACAUGUUUAGUAGGUGUGGAGUUCUAUACAUAAGGUCUCGAUGUUUUUAGGAGUGGAACCACUUAUUAUAAGUUAUAAUUUAUUUAGUCAAGUUUCCAGUCAACCUGACUUUGAUACCAUGUUAAGAUUUUAAAGGGACGAACUCUUGGCACUAUUAGUAACAUCGACAUUGUCCCCAACUUAACCACCUGUUUAGCAAGUGUGGGGUUUUAUCCUAAAGGCCUCGAUCUUAUUAAGAGUUGAGUCAUUUAUUAUAUGGAACUUUCUAUUUUGUUAACUCUGUGUAUUCUUCAUCAAUGUGAACACCCCUAAACCAAUCAUACCUGAUACGAAUUGAAACACAAGUUUGUUUUUUGCCUUUGGUAGAUGAGUAGCUAGAAAAGCUCAAUGCACUUGCUCUUCUGCUACAUUUCAAUAUAAGAACAAGGUUUGGAAGUCAGGUCAACUCCUCAUAGCUUCCUUGCCUUUGCUUUGACAUGUCUAUGCACUUCUUGGGGAAGUUUGAAUAAUCCAUUGCAGGCCCCAUGACAACUAAGGAACCAACAUUUUGUAGAAGGUUUUGUCUAUACCUUUUGACUAUAAGUAAAAUCUUUUGUAUCUGCUCUUAUGUUUCGGUGAAGUUUCUAUGUGUCCUUUGUGCCGAGUUUCUAUGCGUCCUUUGUUGAACCAAAAAAUGAGGUUGUUUCUUACUAGAUUCAAAUACUUAAAAGAAAAAAAGAAAUUGUUGUUUCUUAAUGGAUUUUAUGAUGAACAAUAUCAAACUCUCCUCUUAUACGUCUGUUGGUAAAUUUUAACAACAAUAUUAAAACCUUGCAAGUGCACAAAUCAAAUGAUAGUAUAGUAAGCAAGCAAGGGUCGAUCCCACGGAGAUUGUGAUCUAAAGAGAUGUUUAUCAAUGUCACGCAAUGAAAAUCAAAACAAAGGACUUCCAAACACACGCCAACACCAAGGGGGGUUUUGAUUUGUUUUUGUGAAUCAAACAAAAUAAGGAAAAGGAAACAAAAGAGAAUUUAAAUUAGAGUUUAAGAGAAAUUGGUUUAAAAUCAAUCAAGAUCAAUAGCUAGGACUUACUAUCCACCUCCAAACAAUCAAUCAAUCCAUAAACAACAAUAGAUAAUCAAUUUCUAGUAAGCACACUACUACAAAAAAGCAAAAAGACGACGGUAAAUCACCGUCGUGUAUUCGGUUUUUCAAUGGUCGUGGAAUCCACCGUCAUCUUUUCCCUCAUAAACCACGACGCUAAAUCACCGUCGUUGUUACAAUAUACAACGUCAUCAACAAAUACAAAACGACGUCUUUGUACUGCAAAAAGAUCUAAAAAAGCAAUCGAUGAUGAGAAAAGACGACCAACUCUCUAAACAAACCGUCGUUAAAAAGAAAAAAUAUGACACAUAUUAACAGAACAUGGCCGCAAGAUAGACAUACAACGACGAAAAUUAAAAUAAGACGCCGUUAAAUAUCAUUUUCACGACAAUAAAAAAUAUGUCGUCUUUAAAUACAUUAGAAGACGACGUUAUUGAUACCUACUACGUCGCCUAUAUAAAAAUAACCGUCGUAAAAUAAAUUUUCCACUUCGAUUUUUCUAUAAAAGAUGACGUGGAAAUAGUUGUCAGUGUCAUUAUUUACGACGUAUGUAUUUAUAGAGUAGACGUUGAACAACGAAACAACGUCGGUUACAAAUAUAUGAGAGUCGUAUUACAAAAUUUAUACGUCCUAUUUUCAGAAACAAACAACGACGAUAAAUAUUAGACGUUGUUAAAUAAAACAACGUCGAAAACAAAUAAAAACAGACGUGUUUAGUCUGCUAAAGUUCUAAAAAAUAGUCGAGGAUGAGAAUAGACGACCAACUCAAACAAAUCACCGUCGUUAAAAAGGAAAAAUAUGACACAUAUUAAAAGAACAAGGCCGCAAGAUAGACAUACAACGACGACAACUAAAACACUACGCCGUCAAAUAUAAUUUUCACGACAAGAAAAAAUAUGACGUCUUUAAAUACAUGAGAAGACGACGUUAUUGAAAUAUACUACGUUUCUUAUUUACAAACAACCGUCGUGAAAUAAAUUUUCCACUUCGAUUUUUCUAAAAAAGAUGAUGUGGAAAUAGUUGUCAGUGUCAUUAUUUACGACGUAUGUAUUUAUAUAGUUGACGUUGAAAUGCGAAACAACGUCGGUGGCAUUUAUAUAGUCGACGUUGUAUUUAUAUGUAUUCAUUACUCACGACGCACUUAUUAAUAUAGACGACGUUGAACUUCUAAACAACGUCGGUUCCAAAUAAAUGAGAGCCGUAUUACAGAAAAUAUAGAUGGCGUUGAUUAUGAUGAGAGCCGUAUUACAAAUAACGUCGUUUAAUUGAUAUUAGACGGCGGUUAUAAUGAAUUACCGUCGGAAUUCAUUUCGUUCCUCUUCGUUUAUAAAAGAACUUGCGACGUGGAAAAUGUAUGAUGACGUCGUAUUUUUUAACGUUCAGAUUAUAUAUCUCGUUUUUUAGACGUCGGUAUUAUGGGAUUGGAGUCGUGUUAUUUUGAAUUACAUGGCGGUUCUUAAUCCUUCCCCGACGUGAUAUCCUGAAUAAUUGCUUCAUAAUAGCGUCGUGGUUCUUCAUUGUUACGUUGCUUUAAGACGUCGGUAAAUAUGCUGAAUAACUGGUUCACAAUAACGUCGUGUUUUAUUUGAACGUAGAAAGUGAAGAAAUCACAUUACAAUAUAUUACAAAAUUAAUGUCAUACACUGCCAAUUACAUAAGCAUCAUUCAAUCCAUAUAUCUUCACACCCAUCUCGAAUAUUUUGACCGCCUAACUCACCCACCAGUUCAUCAAAUGUGUCAACAUUUGGCAUCCCUCUAGUAAAUGGCUCACACUCAAUUAUCACAUCACCUAAGACUUCAUCACCAAUAACAUUAUUAUAUUCUCUAUUAGGCAUUGAUAACACUACCGACCAACCACGAUGCAUCGGGUCGUCAACAAAAAAUAUUUGUUUGACUUGAGAAGCCAAAACAAAUUGGUCAUUCCUAUGUCCAAUUUUACUCAAAUCUACAAGGGUAAAUCCAAGUUCGUCGACUACAAGACCAGAACUAUCUAUCCAAUCACACCUAAAGACUGGGAUUGUAAACUUUUGGUAGUCAAGGUCCCAAAUUUCUUGAAUGACACCAUAGAAACCCAUAUUUGAGAGAAUUGAGUUUUUAUCCUUGGCACUAGCAACUUGCAUGGUAUGUGCAAGUAAAUAAACUCCACUAUUUUGAGUUGUCCGCACAUCAUCUUGUGCCUUGAUAUUGAAUUUAAUACCUUUAAUAAGAUAGCUCCUAUAUAAUGGCACAGCCAUGUUUGGACCAGCUGCUAGCCACCUUAAAUUUUCUGAUACGCCAUGAUUGUCUUCCUCAAGUUCACUUUGAACCUGCAAAUUAAUCAUAUAUCUUAAUGCAAUCUAACAUAGAAAUAAGAAGAAAAUUAAAAGAGAAAUAUGUUAUUCAACAACAUAUACCUUGAAGCGUAGCCAUUGAAUGAAAGUGUUAUUGUGCUUAUCCUGCAGCCACUUUGUGAUUUAAGGUAUGACAAUCAUGUGAUUUAAGGCCAAGAAGUCUUGAAUCUUGUAAAGAUACAAGAUUUUUAAUAUUUGAAGAAUAACCUUCAGGGACCUUCAUACCAUAGAAAGAAUUGCAAACCUCUCUCUUCUCUGCUCUUGACAAAUUCCAAGGCCCAGGAGGCAAACGAGUACGUCUUUCUCCAUACUCGGGUUGCAAAUCAGUUUUGACCCCCAUGUUCAAUAAAUCUAAUCGAGCAGCAAUCCCAUCUUUAUUUUUUCCAGGGAUCUCCAGCAAUGUACCAAUGAUACUAUCGCAAACAUUCUUCUCAAUGUGCAUAACAUCUAGGGCAUGCCUCACAGGAAGGUAUUUCCAAUACUCGAGAUCAAAGAAUAUUGAUUUCUUCUUCCAACAAACUCUGUCACCAUUUUCAACCAUGUGCAGCACUUCUUCUCCGGUUAAUGGCUCGGGAGGUAUGCCAUAUUCAGGUUUCCCAUUAAAAGCUGCACGUUGCCUCCUAUAUGGAUGAUUGAUUGGUAACCAUUUUCUAUGCCCAAUGUAACAAAUUUUGUGGCCAUUUUCAACCUGUGACUAGGUGUAUCAUCGCCGCAUAUUGGACAAGCUUUAUAUCCUUUAACAACACAACCAGAUAAGUUUCCAUAGGCGGGGAAAUCAUUAAUUGUCCACAUUAAUGCAGCUCUGAGUGUAAAGUAUUCUCCAUUAUGUGCAUCAUACACUCCUCUAAUCCCAUCCCACAAAGAUUUUAAAUCAUCAAUCAAAGGCUCCAAGUAGACGUCUAUAUCAUUUUCGGGUUGUUUAGGACCGGAAAUCAAUAAGGUUAACAUCAUGAACUUUCGUUUCAUGCACAGCCAUGGAGGGAGAUUAUAUGUAACUAAGAUAACCGGCCAACAACUAUAUCUGCUACUUAGAGAACUGUGGGGAUUGAAUCCAUCAGAUGAAAGAGCCAAUCUCAAGUUUCUCGGCUCAUUACCAAACUCAGGCCAUUUAUCAUCAAGAAGUUUCCAAGACGGGGAAUCCGCCGGAUGAGACAUCUGACCGUCAAUUGAUUUUCUAGCAGCAUGCCAAGUCAAACUCUUAGCUGUCUCAUGUGAUUGAAACAUCCUUUUAAACCUUGGAAUUGGAGGAAAAUACCACACCACCUUCGCUGGCACAUCCUCUUUCAAGAUUGAAUCUUUGCCUUCCUUCCACCUUGAGAUACCACAAGUAGGACAAUUAGUUGAAUCCUCAUACUCCUUCCUAUACAAGAUGCAAUCAUUGGGGCAUGCGUGCAUUUUCUCAUAACUCAGCCCCAAUGCACACAAAGUCUUUUUUGCCUCAUACAUAGAGGUUGGUAUUGUAUUUCCUUCUGGAAGCAAAUCGCCUUGAAGUAUCAAUAAUUCUGUAAAACAGACAUCACUCAUCCCAUGUUUUGCCUUCAAAUUAUACAACUUCACUAAUGCCGAUAACUUCGUGUACUUUCUACAACCAGGGUACACUGGUUGAUCUCCAUCCCCAAUCACAUUGGCAAACUCAUACGGAUCGGAACCAAAAUCACCAAAAUCAUUAUCAUCCAUAUCAAUUUCUUCAGACACAAAACUGUACCUACUAUGGCCAUCAUCUUCUUCAACAUUUCUACUAGCAUUAGUAGUUGCUUCCCAAGGUUCUCCGUGAAAUGUCCAAUUCUUAUAGCUUUGGUCAAUUCCAUUAAAGUAUAAGUGAUCCCUUAUAAUUCCAACCCCAAACAACUUCAAAUUAACACAUUUAACACAUGGACAACGGAUAUGUGUUGUAGUUAGAAGAUUUUCUACAGCAAAGUUCAAAAAUGCUUCCACCCCAAACUCAUAUGCCUUCGAUCUUCUAUCCGAGUGCAUCCAUGACUUAUUCAUCUCCGACACUAUAACCUAUUAUCUAUAAUAAAGUGAAAAUACAGGCAAUGACCAUCACUAUAGCAGAUUAUACAAAGAUCUAAUAGCAAGUAAUACAUAACAGAGACGACGGGUUUUAAACAAAAACAGACGUAUUUGGCAUAUAUAGACGACGGAUUUUCAACAGACGUCGUCUAAUAUAAGUAAUACAAACGACGGUUUAUGAAAAAACCGUCGUGUAUAAGUAAUACAACGACGGUUUUUUCAUAAACCGUCGUGUAAUCGUCGUCGUAUGCCUAAAAAGGCGUCGUGUCUCAGUUUAUUUUCAAGAACCCAAAACCCAUUAAGAACACAACAUAUAUAUGAAACCAAGCAAGAAACCAACAUAUACAUGAAGCCAAGCAUGAAAACAAUAAAUCCAUUCCCAAUUCAACAUAACAUAGGGUGAUUAAAAGAUCCGACAAAAUUAAAACCAUUCCCAAUUCAACAUAACAGAUAAUGUAAUCCAUGAACCCAUUAAACAGAAAAUCCAUGAACCUAUACCUAUAAGCACAUUAUUAACAGAUCGCAAAGCAUAUACCUAAAACCCUUUAACAAAACAACCUAAUAUCAUUCAAUGAAUUUACAAAGGGAAGAUAGGGUUUGUACUUACAGGUUGGACGAGCUCACAGAUUCGACGAAGCCUGGAGAGUGCAACUUUUAAUUAGAGCAGAAGUGAGAGAGCGAAUGUUAUGUUGCGCGAAAUCUGAAAAUUUUAGGGUUCAGGGUUAGAAGUAUAAGAAUAAGAGCCAAAUAUAAAAAAAUUUAGGGCGCGCGAAAAUUUUUAGAGCGCGCGCUCUUUAAAACGUCGAAAGAAAAACCAUGGCGAAAGUUCUACAAGAACCGACGUAAAUGUAAUAUUCCACGACGAAAACACUUAACGUAACGCCGUUUAUUUUGACGUUCAUUUUUCGGAUUAAUUUUAAAUUUAUUUUGAAUAUUUUGAUAUAAAGACGACUGAAAAACCACGUCGAAGUUAAGAAAUUGAAAACGUUGUAAAUUAUAAUAGACGACUUACAUAUUAAAAUGACGUCGUUUAAAGUGGAAACCAUGUCGGAUAUUUUACUGCACGACGUAACAUAUGUAUUCCACGACUCAACCACCGUCGUUAACAAUUAAUACCCUAAACCCUUAAAACUAAAUUAUAUAAUUUUAAAAAUUAAGUUUAUAAAAGGGUUUAUGGUUUUACAGCCUAAUAUAUACCCUAUACUACCCAAAAAUUAUACUUUAAAAAUAAACCCCAAUAAAUAACAACCCUAAUCUCUAAACCCUAGACUCUAAACCCUAAACCAUAAAACUAGAAGUGAUUUUAUGACUCAUCAAAACAAUUUUGUUUUGGAUGGUCAUUUUAAAUUUUUUUUAUUCAAAAUGAAUUUUUUCAAGGUUUAGGGGGAAGAAAAUAUAUCAAUGACUUCAUAGGAGUUGACUUUUCAUUUUUCUGAUUUAUUUUAAAUUUAUUUUGAAUAUUUUGAUAUAAAAAUAAUAAAAUAUUCUUAUCACAAUAACAAACCACGUCGGUGUUAAUAAAUUUUAGACGUUGUAAAUUGUAAUAGACGACUAAGUUGUUAAAAUGACGUCGUUUAAAUGAGAAACCAUGGCGGAUAUUUAACUAUCCGACAUAAAAUAUAUAUUCCACGACUUAACCGCUGUCGUUACAAAGUACUACCCUGAACCCUUAAGAAAUUGAAGACGUUGUAAACCAUAAACGACUCAAUUGUUCAAAGAACGUCGUCUAAAUAUCCUUUUACGUCGGAUUUGGUUAAAACGAAACAACAAAAAACGACGGCUUUUGACUUUAUUACGUCGUUGGAAAAGUAUUACACGUCGGUUACGCAAUUUGUAUGUUUGUUUUUUUUUUUAAUUUAAGAAAACCUCAACAAAUUUUUACAUUAUAUAUUAUAGACAAAAUUUGUACAUUAUACAUAAAUAUCAAGUGUUCAAUAAUUCCCCUAUUCCAGGUGAAGGCAAACAAACUCUGACCAUUCAUUCCGGACUUCAUCAAUUGCUUCUUGGGGGUAUGGCGCUUCCUGUUUUCCCUUGGCAUACUGCAUAAACAAUGACUAUUAGGGUUUAUAAAUAAAAAGAAAUUCAAUCACAGACGACGAUAUUUUUCAUAACCGACGUACUAUAUCUAUUCAACGACGGUAAUUUUACAUGACCGUCGUUGAUAAUACAAAAAACGACGUAAAAUGUAUGAAGGUAAUUUCUUCUUACCUUCUUCUCAAACCCCAAGGAAGGAUCCAUGAUGAUGUCCCUCAUGAAGCGCAUCACAUAAUACCCGCAUUCGACAUUGCUGGGUUGCUUUGGUGUCCCUGACAGAGUUUUCCAAAUGGCUGCCUUACGGCCUGGUCUGGCUAUGUGAGAAUUAUAAAUUUUUAUAGCACUGUUCACAAUGUUUUUGGCCUCUUCAUCGACCACACGAUUUCCUGGCAGAGGAUCCAGAAAAUAGACGGUUUCUCUCUUUGCUCUUACAAUCAGCAAGAUCCAAUGACGGCUGCACAAAAUUAAUAUAAAAACGACGGUUAUUUACAAUAACGACGUAUUAUAAUGUUUCACACGACGAAAUAAAGUAGCAAUCGACGACAUUUUACAUUUAUCACGACGAUAAAUAACUACCGACGUGGUUAGUAGUUUCAAACGACUCAAUAAAAUAAAACACCGACGUGGUUAGUUUAUACGCUGUAAUUUAUUGAAAAUCAUAAAAACAAAAUCCUGUUAAGGAGACUAACCCUGGAUUGUAAGGCAUCAGGAAAAUCUGUUCACCGUCAGUCUUUUGAAGUCGAGCUGCUAGUAAGCGUGAUCUGUCAGCUAUUGUGCCAGAGUUGGCACUAACUGUAGCAAGGUCGAUAAAGCCAACCAUAUUGCACAUAUUUGCUCGUUUCAAAACAUCGUGCAAGUGCCUAAAUAUAUAAAAUAAUAUAAACAAGUCAGCACAAAAAAACACACGACGGUUAUGUAUAACAAAACGACGUAUUAUAAAAUUUCACACGACGUACUGAAAUAGACAACGACGUUAUAAUAUAUUUAUCACGACGGUAAAUACUAACGACGUGGUUAGUUAGUUAAGACGACGUAAUAAAUAAACCAACGACGUAUUAUUUUAGAAUGACAAACCUCAUAUAUACAAAAAAACACGACGGUUAUGUAUAACAAAACGACGUAUUAUAAAAUUUCACACGACAUACUGAAAUAGACAACGACGUUAUGAUAUACUAACGACGUGGUUAGUUGGUUAAGACGACGCAAUAAAUACACCAACGACGUAUUAUUUUAGAAUGACAAACCUCAUAUAUACAGCAAUGACAGUGGCUCCUAUUUCUUCCAUGCCUGCAAAUUGUGUAAUAUCUUCAGGCAGGAGGAAGGUAUCGCGCUCUAGACCAAACACCUCCUUAUCAAUUGUAAAGUGCAGGGUCUUAUCCUGAGGCACGAGUGUCGUUUCCACAUAACGACAAAGGGAGUUUAAAGAAGAUGGCGCCUCCAUAUUUGAAUAAUCAACAACUUUAAUAACCUGUUUAAAGAAAUAUAAAAAAUGACGUGGUAAUUCAAUAAAAACGACGGUUUAAGGAAUAAAACGUCGUCUGAAAAGAAUUUAAACGUCGUCUGAAGAAACCGUCGUGGUGAAUAAUUUAUUACGUCUUAAAAAAAAUUCCGCCGUCUAAGUUGUAAACAAACGACGGUUUAAAGAAAAAUAUCGACGUCUGGAAUUUUGAAAAACAAAUAAAAAAGGCAAAGUUAUGUGAACAUACCUGGUCGUCAUCUUCUUUCUCCUUUUCAUCAUGUUUUUCUUCUGUCUUCCCUUCAUCUAUUACGUCGAGAAUGACUAACUCCGUCGUCUAAAAACCACAAAGUUUUAAAAUAACGACGUUUAAUGGCGUGUAAAACAAGUAAACUAAAUACGACGUGGUAUUGAAAUACAAACGACGGUUUAUGUUUAAAAUCGUGGUGGUAUGUAUUUCAAACGACGGUUUUAUUAAUAAUAACGACAUCUAAUGGUUUUUAAAAAAACAGAGAAUUCAAAGUUCAGAUAUGUUACCUUUUCUUCCUGAUGUUUCCCAUUUUUGGCAGUAUCAUCCUCAAAAUGCUGGGAUCUCACAUCACCUCCAGAGCAGCUUGCUUUGUCAGACAUUGGAUUUUUGGGACUUUGGCUAAUUCUGGGUUUAAGCAUGCUUGGAUCAAAAUUGGGAAUUAAUUGGGAAAGCUGACUCAGGAAAUGCUCCCUCUCAGCCUCUACCAAUUGUUUCGUUCUAGCCUCCAUCCUUAAAGCCUCUUCCCUUGCCUUAGCUUCCAUCUUUUUAGUCUCUUCUUGAAGGAGAACUCUUAAACUGUCCUUCAAACGGUCGUCAAAGCUCACUCUCUGUGGUUUGGGUAAAUUGAAAUAUUGCCUUGGUGAGAUCCCAGCACCUACUCCUCUCACUCUGCCUGGAUGCUCGGGGCCCAAAGCCAUGGUCAGCACAUCAUUGCUGCCAGAAACAGUGACUUUGCCUUCCGAGACUUGUUUUUGCAAUUCAUCCUAAAACAAAGAUAUAUAAAAAAGUAAGAACAAAAACACACGACGGUUAUUUAUAUACAAACGACGUAUUAUAUAAUUUCACACGACGCAAUAACAUAUAAAUCGACGUUAUUAUAAUUUAUCACGACGGUAGUUUUUAAACCGACGUGGUUAGUUUUUAAAACGACGAAAUGAAUAAACCACCGACGUCUUAUGCUUUAUUUACAGAUAACAGAGGGAUGAUUCAAUAUUCACACCUUUAACGACCUUGUUUAAAAUAUUUCGACGUAGUAAUUCAAUACAAACGACGCGAAAAUGAACCACCGACAUCUUAUGCUAUAAUUACAGAAAACAGAGUAGUGAUUCCUGAUUUAGACCUUUAACGAUGUGGUAAUAUCAUUCACACGACGCAAAAUAUAACAUAAGACGUAAUAAGAAUUAUUCACAGUUUAAUAAAAAUUUAAAACAGAGUGAGUAGGCUUACAAUUAAUUUUGCUUUCUCUGCCACCUUUGGAUCCGGGAUGUUACCAUGUUUGUCCUGUCUAGCUCUCUUCCAUAAGGUAGAUCGAUCAAUUUCUACCCCAGGCAUGGUUUCCUCCAAUUGAUCCUCCAAACCAGCAUAUCCUUUUCGAGACAAUCGAUGAUUGUACUCAAGUUUCUCCCUAAUCUGUGCAUGUUGAGAAUGCACAGACUCAAAAUCUUUGGAUAACCUUGAAGCUACAAAGGCAUCCCAUUGUGCUUUCUCUAUGAAUUUAUAUAUUUCAGGGGGUUGGCUUAAUCUCUCCCUGUCAUUAGUGUAUGGAAGGAUAUAUUGCCUCGUUAGUGUAGACUUGAAAUCCUUCCAUUUCUUGGCAGCAGAAGCUAACACAGAGCUCUUGCCCCCUUGACCUACCACAAAAGCAAUGUCAACUGCUUCCCAAAUCUGCUCCUUUAUAUCCUUGGAGAUUUGAGCCUAUUUCAUGUCCACAAGUGGAACUCUGGAGCGUGCCAACACACCAAUGUAGGACUGCAUCUCACUAUGUGCUUGGCCAAUUCCUUUCCCCCUUUUAUUGUACUCAACAAUUGGCCUCAGUUUCUGAAGUUUUCUCUUCACAACAUGAGGCAUUGUGCUCAUACCUCGACCAGACUUUGAAUCAUCAGAGAUUGUUGUCGUGCUGGUUCGUUCUGUCUCAGCAGAUGAUGAAGCAAACUUCAUCUUCUUCGAAGGCUUCACUUGAGGAGGUACCAUUCCAAGGUCCUUACCUCCAUUUUUCUUGGAGCCAGAAUCCUUACUUUGGUCUUAGUGAGAAACCAUUUUUACAGACAAAACUGCAAGUGAAAAUAUUUCAGGAAAAGAUUAAGAACACAAACGACAGUUAUUAAUAAAAUACGACGUAUGAUAUGAUUUUAAACGACGCAAUGAAAUAAUCUCAGACGUAAUAAAUGUUUAAAACCAAGGUAAUUAAACAACGACGAAAUAAUUAACUAUAAACGACGUGAUAAUUAACUAUAAACGACGAAAUAUUUAUAUAACGUCGUGGUAUUGAUGUUCACACGACGUCAGUCGUAAUAUACCGUCGUCUAUAUAAGGAUCCAAAACCCUUCUUUCUUUCUCUGUGAAUGUUUGAUUGCAGAUUUGAUUUUUCUGAACCAUGGUUUUUGUUUUCUAAUUUGAUAAAAUACAAGGCCAAGAAAGAAAGUUUUGGAAUCUUAUAUAGACGACGGUAUUUUAAUAUGACGUCGUGGUAUUAACAUUCACACGACGUAAAACAAUAAGAUACUGUCGUCUAUAUUAGAUACCAACCCUACUUUCUUUUUCUUUAUAUUUUAUCAAAUUAGGGAAAAACAAAAACCAUUGUUCAGAGAAAUCAAACCUGCAAUUAAACAAGCAAAUAAAAAAAAGACUAUAAUUUUAAAAACAACUUUGUCAAUUUUCAGACGACGCUAGAACGACUGACGAACCGUCGUGGUCUACAUAUUUAACCACGUACAUAAGAAGCUACCGUCGUCUUAUUUAGUUGAGGUAGUUGUCUUCAAAGUUGGAAACUUUCCCUCUUUGUCUGUAUAUUUUAUUGAACUUGGAAAGAAGUAAAAUGAUUUUGGCCAGAAAAAAGGUAAAAAGAUUUUUCAAACAAAAAACGUAUGAGCAUGCAAAACAACAACCAAAAUAGUGAAAAUGAAAGCUUACCUUUUGCGUGCAAUGAAAGCAAGAGGAAGAUUAUGUUUAAGUUCAGAGACGACGAAGAAGAAGAGAGGAAGACGAUGAGAUACUCUGACAGUGCUCUGACAAGGAAAAAAGUCUAAAAGUUUUCUCUGGGAGAUUGAACUUUUUAAUCGGGUUUGAAAACGGCGCAUGUGUAUGUCAGGUAGACGAAAAGUUGCUUACAUAUAAAACCAUUUCAAAAAAAUAAUACGGCGGUUACAUAUAACUACGACGUAUAAAUUACAAAAUACGACGGUACAUUUAACUUCGGACGUGGUAAAUAAAUACGACAGUAGUGUUGUAGGUACCGUCGUAGUAAACUCAAAAAUUAAAGUACAUAAGUAAUAACUCGCGUCAUGGUAGAUUAUUUAACACGUCGUUUUUAUUAAUUUACCGACGUGGAUUUCUGUAAUAUACGUCGAUAAUACCGACGUUGAUUUUACAAUUUAAACGGCGGUUUUUUUGUAAGGACCGCCGUUGGUUUUAAAAAUUUAUUCUAUAAAUUUGUCGCUUUCAUUCAUUUUCGGUUUACAUUUAAGGUUCCAAGUUCUUCCUCUCUCAGUCUCUCACGUCUCAAAGACAAUAAUUUGGAUGUCUUUCUCAAAGAGAAAUUGAGCUUACUCGCAUCAAAUAUAUGUCCACAAGAAGAAGCUUGUCAACUAGCCUUCUCACUUCCUUGAUCAAGCCUGAUAGGACACUUAGUGCUUCUGAAUACUCCUUGCUUUCCAUCAAAAGAGAUGCAAGCCUGGCCUCCACUCGCUGUCGAAGGAAAGUUCGCUUCUCAGGGAAAUCUUCUUGAUUUUCUUGGCUAAGAAGAUCCGUCAGAUUUGUGAUAGCCUCUUCCUUUAUCCGUAGAGCUUCAGAAGAAGAAGAUGGGUUUCAAGAAUGCGAUAAAGAAUAGAAAUGGCUUCAGAUGGCCUCUAAAGCAUGAGCAAUCGAAUCAGUAGUUGUUGGGAGAUAUGAUGAAGACAUUGUCAAUGCUUUGAACUAUACAAGUCCUGCAGAAAGAUAAAGGACCAAACUGUUAAAGAAACUGAAACAAUGGCGGUUUUCUGUUCUACCGUCGUCUUUUCUCGUCGUCUAUAUUAAGGUAAGAUGGCGGUAGAUUUAUAAUUACCGACGUAGAUUAUUUUGUUAAACGUCGUUAAGUGUACUACAACCGACGUGGAUUUUAUUUUUAAAUUAUAAAUAGAGUUUUUUUUCCCCUAUUCUUUCAGUUUUAGUUUUCAAUUACAAAGCGUGAUAAAUAGAUUUUUCUUUCCCGAGGAAAUUUAAAAUGAGGGAAAUUAAUGUUCUAGAAUUUGUAAACUAACACGACGCAAUAUUUGCAAAUCUGUGUCAUCUGUUAAGAUUAUGAUGUGGAACAGAGUUCCAUCUGGUAAGAUUUCGUAACCCUUGGGAUCUCAGACAAAUCUGAUUAUGUCGGCGGUUUUCUAUAUAAAUCGUCGUGGUUAUUUCAAUUCUUGUCAUUAAGUAGAUCUACCGACGUAGGAUAAGAAAAUCAAAGAAAAAAAUUGUUAACAAAAAUUCUUAUUAAGACGACGGUUAAAAUUAAAGGUACGACGUAUAAAAUGAAUAAAUACGACGUUAAAUUUUAUUGUACGAUUUAAAGAUAACGUCGUAGAACUAUAAGAGAAUGACGUCGAUAUAUUUAUAUUUUCCGUCGUUGUACAUUAAUUUAAUACGGCGAUAUUUUGUAUUUUAAAGCCGUGGAUUUGUUUGUAAUUAUACGGCGUCUUAUACGAAAACCUCGUCGUGUUAUUUUAUGAGUAAAAACGGCAGUUUUUAUUGAAAUCGUCGUCUUUACUUUCUACGUCGGUCGAUUCAUAACUUCUGCCGUUCUUUGUUGGCAUUGAUUUUACACUGCGAAAAUCUGUUUCAAAUAGACGUCGGUUGUUUAAUUAUGUACGUUGUUGUUUUUGAACAGCCAUUUGAAUCUCCAUUUUUUAGUUGUCUAAGGUUGUAUUACACGACGGUGUUUUUAGAACCGUCGUCUUUUUAAAAACCACGACGGUUUUCACUUAGACCGUCGUUGUUUUCUGGUCGUCUUUUUCACUUUUUGUAGUAGUGGCAUAUGAUGACGACACUCACAACAAGAUCAUGGCAUUUGACUCGAGUUGUAUGAUUCUCUCUUAAGUGUAUGUAAAGUGUAUGACAUUUACAUCAAUACGUGUAUUCUUAAUUGAAAUCUACUAUGGCAUUUACUCAAAUUAACAAUCAAGAAUCCAUUAAGAUCAAAGAGAAUAUGAGUGUCACAAAAACCCUAAAACAUGGCAUUUGUUAUUAGGAAUUCAAGAAUCGAUUUCUCAUAACUAGUUCUUAACCCAAUUAUUCGUUGCAAAUAAGAACACAUUCAAUAUGGCAAUUGACCUAUGUUCUACAACAAUUUAAUUCCAAUACAUGCUUCUAAGUUAGCUACUCAAAGAAACAAAAUAUCAGAAUUCACAUAACAUAUAGAAACCGAAAACAUCACGCUUGUAGAAACUAAAAAUCCAUUAACCUUGUUUAUAAAAUUGAAAUCAUGUUUAGGGCUUCAAGAUUAAGCCCUAACUAACAAGAAAUUAGUUACUCAUGGUCUUGGAUGAACUCAAAAAUAAAUACAUAAGAACUGAAAAUUAAAGAAGGAAGGAAAAGAAAGAACUCGUUCGCAGCUUUCUCCUCUUGCGCUGUUGAUCUCUUUAGGACGUGAAUCCUUUUUAUCAGCCUUGCCUCGUCUUUUAUAUCACUUAUAUCAGAGUUCUAAACCCUAAAAUUGACUGAAAAGUCGUCCAAGAAGUCUUGGUAAACAAGGAAUCCAAAUAGGAAAGUAAAAAUCACAAUUCCUAACUCCACUGGGAAAUACAGCUCAGCCCAAUGUUCACACGAUUUUGGGAUCUUCGACCUUGUAGAAAAAUCAUUAAAAAUAUAUUUUAGAAAGAUAAAUGUCUUAUCUUUCCAACCAUAUAUAGCACGUAACUUGAAAAAUUCGGAAAGGCUUCCGUUUCUUCACAUUCACGUAGCAUGUACGAAACUGUCCUGUCUGCACGUGGGCUAACUUUACUUGUAAUACUGUACCAAUUGGCUCGGUAGAAAAUUCUAGAAAAAUCAUAGAUUGAACUUCAAGAUGUUAGCUUUCAUCUCCAAUCAGGGGCGGCCUUGGGGAGGUGCAAGUGGCGCCACCGCACAGGGCCCCCGAAAAAAAAAAUAUUUAUAUUAUAUAUAUAUAUUAAUAUUAUAUGAAUCGUAUAUAUAAUAUAGCGUCUGGAUAUUUGCACAACAGCGUGUUCAGGGGAGUUGGAUGGAGCACAUCUCUCUUUGGCAAAAGGGCCCGAGUUCGAUGCUCCUUGAUGUCGUUCUACUGGCUAGCCUUUUGUGAUAUUAUUUUUGCAUUCAAACUUUACAUAAUUAUUGAACCAUUGGAUUAAUAUGCAACGAUGGGUGACCACAAUCUCUUGGACUCCUGUGGUCCAUGAGAUCGGGACUGAUAUUACAUGACUUAUUUUAUUAAAUUAUUAUCAUGUUGAUGAUUGGUUGUAUGAGAAUAUAGUUUGUAGAAAUAUUUAUCUAUUUCUUGUUGGGGUUUUCUUCCAGGUUAUAGGGUUUUGGAAUUUUUCUUUGUAAUCUAAACAUGCCACCUACUAGAAAAUACGUUUAUGGAUAUACAAAACGGCUUAGAAAAAGAAAAUUCGAGGAAUUGACUCAAUCUCAAAGAGGAGCUCUUGAUAGAUUCAUUGUUAGAGAAUCACAUGCUACAAUUGAUGAAAAUAUUUAAAUUUUUAUGAAUUUAAUUUCUGAUUUUCAUUGCAUAUUUAUUGAUGGUGAAUUUUAGUUAUAAAAAAAAAUUGUUUAUGACAUUAAGUUAUGGCAAAUUUUUAUAGUAUUUUCGUAUUAGAUUAUGCAAGGCCCCAAUUUAAGUUUCGCACAGGGCCCUCAAAAUCUCAGGGACGGCCCUGUCUCCAAUUGGUCUUGUGCUAAAAUUCCUCCGAAAAGUUGAUUUUCCCUUAAAAACCUUCUAAGAGUGCAGAAAAGCUGAAAAUCAGAAAAAUAAAGUAAUAAGCCAUUUUUAAAUCUAAUUCUCUUACAAAACCAAAGUAAAAAGAGUACAUAAAUGAGUAUAUUUAUGGACUUAUCAACGUCUUCUUCGUUGGACUUGGGGUUGUUUUCCUUAUAUGUCCCCUAUAUAUAUAUAUGGCCUUUAGUUGAGCCCACAAAUACCUUCAGUUAGUUUUUGGGUUUAGGGGCCUACAGAACCUGCACUAAACAAUAAAAGAAAAUACCUAAUUAGUUUAGUACGAAUUUAUAAUGAAGGCUUUAUUAGGUGAAGUUUUAUUUCUUAAUCGUUAGAUCAAAUUGGUUAGCAUCUGAAGUCGCCCAAAGAUUUGAGAGGGAUUCCACAAACAUAUAAUAUAAAGAAAGAAAGCAAUAGUAGGAGAUGAACCAGUACAAAAAACAAUAUAUAAAUAGUACAUAAUAAUUCCAUAACCUUGUCACAAACGCACUCACAAAUGCUUUCCAUAAACCUUGCCCUAACAUAUAACAAAUAAAGGCAACAUUGCAUAUGAUGCAACCAUGUCCAAAUCUGAUACGUGAUAAAAAAAAAAGGACAUGGCAGCAACAUAUGACUGAAGUAGAUGGGCUCUUUGCAUCUCGUGUUAUCGUAAUUAAAGACAUCAAAAUAUUAAGGUUGAAAUCUUCUAUAGUAGCAAGCAUUAAAAUAGGUUUGAAGCAGAGUUUAAAGAAAAUUCCAAUUCCACUGAUUUGCCUCUGCUCAAAGACGAGAACCAAAAUGGUUACUUCCCUUGCUGAGUAUAUUUGUUAACGUCGGAAACGGUAAUAGAUGACCAAUCAAACCCAAGUACGACGAGUUUUGCAUAGGAUCAGAAGUAGUUGAAUCCAGCUUGCAUCACACGCUUCUUUGACUCCAUUGCAUUAGAUGAGUUUUUGUAUUUUUGAACAGCUACACUCCGAAGUCGUUUGUGUCUACGCUUCAUGCGCUGCAACUUCGCCCUAUCCAGAUUGGCCUGCCUUUUGUCAUCUUCAAUUUGGCCUUCAACAAAUUCCAAACGUGCCCUUGCCCUUUGGAUUUCAUCACCAAGUUGAAGAUGCCUCUCCUUCCAAAAAGCAAGAACUCUUUCAGACUCAAAACUUCCAACAAAAUGGUCAUUCUAUCUAGGAAUGUGACAUUGCUUGUCUGGUGACUCACCUGCGUUUCAAAGGCGGUCUUUGUUUGGAGGGGUGUUUAUUAUGCUCACAUCAAACUUGGUUAGUAAAUCCAUUCUAUGGGGGGAGUGAGUUUCUGUGGAGGAGAGAGUUUCAGUAGAUGGAGACAGAUUCGGUGGAGGAGUGAGAUUUUUGUGGAGGGAGAAUUUCUAUGAAAUGGGUGAUAGUAAUACCAAUAAAAGGGUUCCCGCCAAAAAGUAUUUGGUUGACAAUGUAUAAAUUAAUUUUUGGUCUGAUACAAUCUAAGUUUAAUCCUAACUAGUUUGGUUAGUUUGGUUGAAUUCACUAACUAGAUGUCACUUCCAUUGAGUUUCUUUCAACCACUAUCAGUGGUGUAAGGAGAGUGUGAGGUUGACAUGCUUGAAAAGCAAAACCUAACACCUCUUUUUUUUAAAAUUGAAAGAAAGUACAUAUGUUGACUACACACAAGCUUUGGUAUGUUGGUCUAUAAAGCUAUGUUCCCUUUCUCAAACGAAAUUGCAUAUGCAAUCCUCGUCCUCCCAAAACAAAUAGAAUUAUUCAAGCAUGUCAACCUCUUCAGGCGCCAACAACACAAUCAAAGAUGACAAAUUGGAGUCGCAGGUUCUAUUUCCACAUUGUACUCGCCGACCCCUUCCAUUUUCAACAUCAUUUGGGAGUGAGGGGGACUCCGAUGAUCCAUUAGAGCUAAUACAUGCAGUCAAUAGCAAGCUGGAUUAUAAUUCCAGACUGAUCAAUUCAUGGCGCGAGAAAUAUGUUGAAGACGAAGCCAUUUUGGCUGAUCUUAACAUUAGAGUGAACAAAGCGUUCUCCCAAAAGAACAAGUACUUGAAGCUGAGUCAUAAAAGGAAGCUGAAAGCUGAGGAGUUAGAUACAGUAAUGAAUGAUGAAAUUAAAGGUUGUUUGAUGAAUCAUAUGCGAUGCGAAGAGCACCACAGUGAACUGGAGUUGGCAUUCAACGAAGGAUUCGAAAAAUUACGAGCAUUUGCAGCAACUACUCAUACAAGUUAUAAUUGGGACUAUGUGUCCCCUGAUGUUGUGAGAGAGAUACUAGACGAUGGUGGUGACAUGAAUGAGCAUAAGCACGUCAAAGCUGCUUGGAAGAAGCCGACCGAUACGACUAAGUGAUUGCGGCUACAGUUGUUCAGUUGGUUGAGAGUGAUCGUGGUAUUGCACAAAUUAGAAGUAUAUUCCCAUAAUGUCAUUAUCUAAUUUAAAAUAACACAAAUAUCAGUUUCAUUUGCUUCAUAUUGUAACACCCCGACCCCAAAUUUCCCCAAAAUUUACCCUCAUUUAAUUAAUUAAUUAUUUAAGGGUAUUUUAGUCAUAUUUUUAACCGGAGAGAGUUUGGGACCAUGACUUGUAUUUUUGGAUAGGUCGUACUGAGACGAGUUCAUAGACACGUAGUGGGCUCGAAUCAGAGUUGUAACGAGAGAGAUAUGGUCAAAAGAAACCCAGUGGCACAAUCGUAAAUAUUUCAAAAUGGGAUUUUUAUAAAAAUCUGGUUUUUCUCUCUCUCUCUCUCUCUCUCUCUCUCUCUCCCGCGACUUCUCUCUCUCUCCCGUCGGCUCUCUCUCUUUCUCUCCUUGUAUCUCCGGCCACCGACCACGGCUGUGGGCGGGGCCGGUACCAAACUGACCGGGACGACGUCCCCUUCCUUCCCCGACCAUUCCCCGCCGGCAACGCGGCCGUUGCUGGCCGGAAAAUGCAGAAAACCGCCGGGAGGUCGUCGAAACUUCAACGCCGUCGAUCUCCCUCCUCCGGCCACCAUUUUCGUCGACCCAGGUAUGGAUCUUGAACCUCUCGAGCUGUUCUAGCUGUUUGUUGGUUGGGUUUUGAUCGAUUCGAUCUCUAGAUCACUCGAUUUUCGAAUUGAAAAUUGGCCGAAACUUCGGCCGCCGUGAUCGGCCAUUUUCGGCCACUUUUUGUGGUAGGUCCAAGAACAAAAGUGGCUCCAAAUAGGGUGUUAUACCUAGGGUAGAAGUUUGGAGCCGAGAUGUUGAGAUUUUCCGGCGAAGCGUUAUCGCUUUGGGCACCCACGCGUGCGGCGGCGCGUGGGCACUGUAGAAAAAGUAGAUGUGUUCCGAUGAGAUCCUUAGGUUGUCACGAGUGCGUAGGAUUUGGCGGAUCUCAAUUCGGACGUCGUUUGACUAUCGAACGGAUAAUCGCAUAUUAUGCGUUAUCCGGGUUCGAUAGGUUGAGACCGUCGGAUGGUCCCAAAUUUAAUAUAUGUUGAUCUAGGUAUUUCUAGGAUCGUGUAGGAUUUCACGGAUCGUGAAUCGGAGCCCCGGAUGUUCCGAAUAAUAAUUUAAAGUUUAUAUUUUAUAUUAACCAUCAGAUUAUGCGAUCGUGAGAAAUCCGACCGUCUGAUCUGAACCAAACUGGCAGGAAAAGUGUCCUGUACCUGGUAGAACCCAUAGGGACCUUCGGAUCGGAAAUUGGAGGUCGUGGGUUCCGCAAGUCUGUUUGACCAGGGUUAGAGUAGUUUGACCCUUGGUUGACCGUGAGUCUCCCGGAGUAAUCUCACCCUUCCAGGGGGAAUUAUCGGGAGCUAGACUAUUGUGGAGGGUUACACAAUAUUAGAAUUAUUUAUAUAAUUAUAUAUGGUUGUACAAGGGUACAACAAAGUCUAGAAUGUCAGUUUGGAGUGCUAUACGCACUACUUUAGGUACCUCCUCGGAUUUUGGAUUCGCUACAAGCACCACCAAGUGAAAGUUAGGUCCCGCGUGGCGUAGGUUAUCCGGCGUUGGGACAGACCCCAUACGUGGCGUUGGUUGUACCGGCGUAUGGGGAGAUUUGCAAUAUGAUGUUCAGGUCUCACGUGGCGUAGGUUAUCCGGCGUUGAGACAGGCCCCGUACGUGGCGUUGGUUGUACCAGCGUACGGGGAGAUUAUGUGAUAUGAUGUUGAGGUCCCGCGUGGCGUAGGUUAUCCGGCGUUGGGACAGGCCCCAUACGUGGCGUUGGUUGUACCGGCGUAUGGGGAGUUAUAUGAUAUGAUAGUAUGGCAUGGUCGCACAUGGCGUAGGUUAUCCGGCGUGUUGACAGGCCCCAUACGUGGCGUUGGUUGUAUCGGCGUAUGGGGAGAAUAUGUGAAAUGCAGAGAAAGGAAAUAAGGUAUCACCGAUGUGUGGAAUUGGGUUUUAGGGAAGAACUACGUGUGGCUUGAUCCCUCAAGGAGGGUACGUAGGCAGCCUAAGGUUAUUGGGUGCAGCCGCAGACUAAAUAUUAGUCAUAUUUGGUAUUUGAAUUGUAUGGUAGUUGUUUGAGAAUUAUUGGAAGGCCAAAGGCCAUUUAUGAGAAUUUGCAUGAAAUUAUAUUGUGCAUGCUGCUAGUUGUGGAUAUUAAAUGUGUUUUUAUGCAGGUUGAAAUUUUGGGAAAUGUCCAAUUUAUAGGGGAGACUCUGCUGAAAUUUCGGCAGGAAGUCUCGGUUUUUAGUAAGUGGGCCUGGCAUCGGGGUGAUGUCAGGAAUUCCAAAGGGUUCGUCUCGGGUUUUGAGAAAAUUCGGGGCGGGUCCUUAAACAUAUAUAAUUAUUGGGACUAUGUAUUGCAAGUCAUCAUGUGUUCCUUCUGUCUAACAUUAUAUUUUGCAAAUAUCAAAAUAUUAUUCAAUAAGCAGUCAAUAUCACAGCAAGUUGGGAAUUAGUAAAGCCCCAUUAUCAUGUCCGUUCACAUUAAAGAGCUGGCGUACUUUUUCUCAAAAAACUGACACGUGAGUCAUAAGUAACAUAACAUGUGCUAUACAUUGUUUAGUGAAUGGUUUAUGGUUUAUUUAUAUAUAAUAAAAUUCCAAAUAUUGCUGAAUAUUUGUUUUUUCUAUAUCCCUGGGAACAUGAGUGACCAUAAGCAUGUAAGACCUGUUAAGAAGAAGCUGACUAAUACGACCGAGUGAUUGUGGCUACCGUUGUUUAGUUGGUUGGGGAGAUCGUGGUAUUGCUAAGAGGGAGCACAUAAUGUGCUUUGCAAUCAAAUUUUCUUUUGUGUGUGGAAUUAUGAGUAGUUCAAAUGUUAGUGUACCCUUUAAUAUUCUUCAACCGUUUGAAAUGUGAUUAGCUGCAAUGUACUUUUUUACACGCUGCUUUCUAAUCACUCUGUUCCAACAAAGUGCUUUAAGUAUCCUUCAGUUACAAAUGUUUACAAAAUCGUGCAUCUAAUAACCAGUCGAGCUCAGAUCUUAAUAACAAGUAAAACACUAGAACAUAACAUUCGGAAAAAGUGGGUGCUGCUGGAAAUCAUUACUGGUAAUGGAAGCAAGAGCUGGCUGCUGGAAAUGCUGCAUUAGCCUGUGAUAUAAUCAAUGAAUCUCUGUUAAAACAUAAUUCACCAUAAACUACCCAUUUUACAUGGUAAAAGUCAUUGCUUCUUCACAUAACUCAAAAUUUGAUACUUUAUCAAAUGUCUAUGAAAAUUUCUAAAUAGGGGAAAGACGUAAAAUUAACAUGUGUCCAAAUUUCAUGCAAGAAUGAAACCAAGCAAAUUUUUAUUUCAAUUAUCAGUGGACAUAGUAAGAACUCAUCGGUGGACAUGAACAAAAAAAUAAUAAUAUUAAAAACUGAAUCUAGAAAACUUCACCUGAUCAUUAGUCUUCAUAACAACCGAAUUUCGUCUAAUAGAAACAUAAAUCAUUCAGUUGGUCCGUGCAUCGUGUCAAAUUCAUAGAAUAAUGGGUCACUACGAUCUAUUGGAGUUGAUUCGUCAUUGUUCGACGGUGAUGUCCUGCAUAGACAUCAAACACAAGCACAGAAAAAAUUUACCUAUUCAAAUUUUAGGUGUUAUUAUAAAUAGUGUUAGCAUCUUACGGUGUGUUCAAAUUUCUUGCGCAUUGUCUUCUAUCAUGACCAAUGUGUCCACACUCCAGACAGUGUCUAAUCCCUCGCUUCAUUGCCUUUUCUUUUGCUCCCGUUACUCGUUUCGACCUUCUUUUGCACCUCACUCUCUUAGGGUCUUUCAUAUAUUGUGUUUGAGAGCUGGACCCUCCAACUUCGUUAUUACUUGGUCCAUCCUUCAACAACUUCAACUUCACCUGCAAACUUUUUAGAGUCUCUGACAGUAGCUCACAUCCUUCUUCACUCAUUAAUGCACCCUCAACCACAUCUUAAGCAAGUCGAGACAUUGUACUCCGCCUUAUUAAAAGACCAGGAUCUGCAGAGUCUUUAAUUUCGUUGCCAUUUGCAUCUGACACCAAUUCAGAUUUUGCAGUUUUCUUCCACCUCUUUAAAAUAUAUUUAUCGGGCAUAUAUUCAAUCUGGUCCCUUCUGAACAAUGCUAGGAUGUGCUUGCAAAUAAUUCCAACAAAUUCAAAUCUUUUGCACCCACACGAUGCGUGGUCAGAAUCUUUAACAUAUACGACGUCUGCCACUCUUGUUUCCCAAUUUUUCCUUUUGCUCACGCGAAAGACAACUUUAGAAGCACCCUCUGUUUUGAGCUCUAGGAAACAUGUUGUACUUUGUAUUAGUUCUUGGUCAAACUUUUGAAACAUUGUCCUUGUGUACAAGGUAGCCAUUUGUUUGUUCAUUGGCAUCGGUAGAAUACAUUGAGCCACUUCAAAUGCAUCUACGUGAUCAGCAACUAACUCUUUUUGACGUUGAUGAGAAAGUGCCCUCUCAAAUCGUAUUAUGAAAUCCAUCAACGAAUUUCUCCUUGAUAUGUAUUGCUUGAAAAAACCAUGAGAACCUUCCACUCUUUGGCUGCUUGACAUUCCAGCGGCAAAAAAUUGUUGUGCGUAGGCUGGAACCCAAGAUUCUCUUAAAUCAAACAUUGAACUUAGCCAUGGAUGGUCAGUCAAACCAGCCUUUGUAACCACAAUAUUCCAUUUUGUAACAAACUUAUCCUUAUUGUCAGUAUCCCAUACGGCUUUCUGAAAUUCACGCCAAUACUCCUUAUAAGCAGAAUGUGGUAACUUAACAGAGAACUUUGAUGUGAUGUGCAAUAUGCAAAGUCGAUGAAAUGUAGUCGGGAAGGGUAUUGAAAUCGCUCUGGUCAUUGCCGCAUCUUGAUCUGUAAUGAUCGUUUUAGGUCCGCCACUUGGCAUGGCUUUCUUAAACUCCUCAAACAUCCAAAUAAACGACUCAGUCGUUUCCUUGCUCAAAAAUGCGCAUGCUUAGACAAUUGUCUGACCAUGGUUAUUAACUCCCAACAUUGGUGCAAAUGUCAAGUCGUAUCGAUUCGUGUUGAAUGUGGUAUCGAAUACAACAACAUCUCCAUAAAACCCGUACGCCCAUCUAGAAGUUGCAUCUGCCCAAAAACAUUGACUAAACCUGUCAUGGCCAUCUCUCUCAAUCUUGAAAUAAAAAGCCUCAUUUUUUUUUUCUGUUCAGCCAUAAAAUACUCGGUCACUAGUUCAACAUCGUGGUUCCUCAACUUCCCAUUCACACUACAUUCAAAAUUGUAGAUAUCUUUUUUGAUAAAACCGAUUUUAUCCAUUCCUCCGGAUUGCACCUCGAAAAUACUUACCUUCUGAUGAAUGAGAAUAUUAACCGAACCCAACUGUUUUGUGAGUACUUUUGUAGAAUCUGAACUAUGACGGUGUGAUCUCAAUAAAUGCAUUCUUUCUGAGGGUGUCAUCUUAUGAUUGUGUCCCUCUGCAAAAAGAGAGAUGGUAUACUUCUUGCUCCCAUUUGUCUUCACAACCACAAUCUUAGCUUUGCAAUUGCAUCUACUUAUUCCCCGCUGUCUUUUUCUCUCCCGAGUUUCAUCUCUCCUGUAUUCACCUUGUUUGCAACAUACAAAUUCUUUCCUCAAAAUCUCUUUCUUAUUUCCCCCCCAAAAGCUGGAAUGAAGUCGAAUACCAAAGCCAGCCAAGAAUGCAUAUCUAUUAUAGAAAUUGUAAACGAGGUCAAGCAAGUCGAACUUCAUCCCAACUGCUGGUGUUUCCUCAUUUCUUACUUCAAGAAUGUAAACCCUCCCAUUAGCUGUUACACAGUCAUCACUCUCUGAGCCCCCAGACAUUUUAUCCACGUAUAUUAUUGAUCCACUUCUAUAUUAUUGCAUAGCAAAUAUUAAUUCAUUAAUAAAUCAUUACUGCAUCACAACAUAUCAAUGCAUUCCACUUACACAAAACAUUGCCCAAAUUGACACAAAACACGCAUAGCCUAACUUGUUGGAUUCCGAUUACACAAAACGCAAGCAAAAUUUAAUAAUAGUUACGUCAUCUCUUGUGAAAUAAUCUAGAAAAAAUAACAUUAGAACCAACAUGUUCAACUAAGAACACAAAUGCAAUUCAAACCAGCAAUCACAUAACUUCACCCAAUAUCCUCUCCAAAUGCUUACUCCUAAUGUCAUUAAGCCUAAGUUUAGGAUCUUUUACCUACAUUUCAUAAUUUUUCACCCCCACCAAAAAUAAUCAACUAAGUAUACUGAAUAUUCAUAAGGAAAUGACGCAUUAUUGAUGCCACAAAUGACGAAUUUCCUACCCUCACAAAAAACAAAUCAAACCCAAUUAAAUCAAUCCAGCAAGAGUGAACUUACCUCUCAAAAUCAAUCGGGAGCUCCGAAGUCAGUAAGCUUGAGAGAAUGUGGUGGACAUUAGAGAAGACUCUUUGGUAUUGGAGACUCCAUCUCUACCAAAAUCGAGGAACGAACUGCUGCUACGGCGUCUAGCUACAGAAAAAGAUAUGCUACUUUACUUUCAUCUGGAAUCUUGUUUGCUGAACGAAAAAGAGAAAGGGUUUUCACUUGAGCCAUAGAAUCAAAACAAGGCAACAUCUAGGUAAGAGCCAUUAAUCGUCAUAUCGAGGAUACCAUAGAUCGCAGGCCUCCCAAGGAGCUGAUGACAAUGGAGCGACUAUAGGGUUUGGGAGCUUUGGAUCCUUCUAAUUGUGGGUUUGCGUUACAUUCAAAAAAAGAGGAGUGUGUUGUUGAGUUUUUCACAUAGAGGGAAAGAGGGAAAGAUCUUCAACUGAAGUUGGGUUUCCAACGGGUCAAAUUUCAACCCGGUUCUACAUGCACCCUCUUUUAAAAACUCACCGUUGGAUUUCAUCCAACGGCUCGUACAUACCCCUCAAAAACACCCCUUAUAACUUUCCACUCACUAUAGAAGCUCUCCCCAGGAAAUGCUUCGAGGUAGAUUUUAUGUUUUGGGCCUUGGGACCCAACUUCACAAAAAGAAAACAAAUUUGACCAAAAAACAAAGUUGAAGGACAUUGAUAUUGUACCUGUAGGAUAGGUUAAAACACUAAAAGGAAGGUAAAUAGUACGUUUACAGAGUUUAAGUGUAAUAAAGGAAUAAAAACAUGCCCAGAGAAUUGAUAAGUGAUAUCAAUUCUUGAAUAUAUAGAACGUAAAAUAAAGGAAUACGUAGAAAAUUAUUUUAUGUGGUAAAACUCAAUCUAUGGGGCCACGGGACUUCUUAGUCCAAAAAAAAUCCAUUGAACGAUGAUUACAAGAAGUACUCACACACUUAUCCUAGACACAUUCUAGAUAAUUUUUACUAACAUCUUUGUAACUCAACUUCUGUCAUAGGAUGAUUUUUUGACACUCCUUAUGUUGAACGCAAUACUGGUCACGAUUUCUUCAAGCUCGCAGGAACUCUCCUUAUAUUGAAUAUGAUACUAGUCACGAUAGAUUCAAGCUCAUCGGAGAAAAACAGCCACAACGGUCUUGGUGCCCUCAAUGGUAUGAGUCACUGAACAUGCAAAUAAAUACAAUAUGAAUGAUAAAAGUGUUUGAUAAAUCACCAAGUUAUGGAACACUUGAUGAUUUAUCUCAAAUAAAAACUCAGCUUUCCAAAGUUUAUGAAUUGAAAAUAUGAUCGUUAAAGCUCUCUAAACAAAGAAGACGAAGAUCUUAUUUUAUAGAAUUUUUCUUUAUAAGAAAGAAAACACAUUGAAAACCAAAUCUCCAAGGCUUGACAGAAAAUCACAAAAGUAUCUUUCCUAUUCUAGAGAUUGGUCACAUGUAGUCCAACCAAUAGGACAUGAGAUAUUUAAGAAAUGAAGAUUUUGAUCAAUAUCAAUAUCAAAUGAAUUCUUAUACGCCUAGUCAACUAUUAAGGGUAUCUUGACUCCUUGAUAUUGUGAUAUGAUUGAAACAUGAUUUCCACGUUAGAAAAUUAAGGGGAUGUUAAAACAUGAAAGUAAUAGGAGAAUCAAAUUGAUUUCGGCCAAAAUUGCCUAAAAAGAAAACACUCCUAAAUAAACUCAAUUCACUUUUAAAAACAGUAAAACGUGAUUGAAUUGUUCUUUAAAACAAUUCCCUAAUAUACAUGCAUGAUAAUGACAUCACUUACCUCUGAAUCAAAUGCCUUUCAUAGGUCAAGCCACAAGUCUGUGUUUUGGGGAUUGCUGAGCUGCAUCAAUCCUGCCAAUGUCAAUGCUGCCCCUAUGCUCUCUCAAAGCACGUUUACAACCUAUGCUAACAUAUACCCUAAACCCUAGUAUCAAGAAAAUGCCAACACUAAUUUCGUAACACGUAGAAAUUGUUAGAGAUUGGAAGUUUUUUUUCUUCAAGUCUCUCCACCACUCACUAAUACAGAUUGCUCAUGUGAUGAGUUUACAAAACCUAUUUCUCUACUCUCACAAAGACUAUACUUCUUCUCAAAAGACUAUAUCACUUUACCUCUAUCUCUGUGAAAUGUAAAAAGUUGAAACUUUAAUGUCAAACCUCGACAAAAGAUGAACUUCCAUAAGUUACGUUGAAUUUGGAUUUGUUGAACUUAAGUGGUUUUACUUUUCUGUCAGUGUUUGAUGACUUAAUUUGGUAUUUACUUCUUCUUUUUUUCCUUGGAAAUGUGUUCCACCAACGUGAGGAAGAAAAAUAUGCACAAAUUAAUAUAUUUAAUAGAAGCCCAAGAUUUCGGAAGCACAUAAUUUCUACAAAAUUCUACAAAGUGUUCUACUUUACAAACUUCAUAUGUCUACCAAUUUUUACUAAAAUUAAUUUAUCUGCAGUGCUCAAAUUCAUCAUAUGUGUGUCCUUAAUUUUAGUGAAAAUUGGAAGUUUCCAUUAUUUUUGUUUUACGGGAAUUUUUUGAACCAAGGAAAAUCAAGUAAAAUUAAUAAAGCAUAAAUUGGAAAGGGAAAAUAUCUAGAGGAUGCAUUGUAGGAUUGCUCAUGCCAAUAAUUGUACCCUCUAAAUAUAUAGGGACAUAUUUUUUUUGCUCAUACCACUUGUUGCAGUACACAUUCACCCGUUUUCAAAGAAAGAAAUUCUACCAAUCGAUAAUGUCUCAAAUUUAAUCACAUAUUUUAUGGACCAUCCAGCUAUGAGGUUUUAUCUCAAAAACCUUCGGUACAUUUCUCCCACAUGCCACAAUUGUAUAUUCACAAUUACGUCUGAUACAUCACAUCAUGCCACUUGCCUCAAAUGAAUUUAAGUGAGUGAGGCAGUUGGAAGUAAUUAAGCUCUAUAUUGGUGGGUGGAGUGUUAGUUCUGGGUACCCCUCAUCAUUCGUCUAUAAAAUGGUGAAGCCAGUUGCUACUGUUACCAUAAGAGCCAGCUCCGACUUUCUUUAAUUUCUUGCUUCAUAUCCACUAGCUACAUCUGUUGCUCUUCUCAGUGUAAGCUCUGCAAUUUGAUUAACUUUCCCAUUAUCUCUCACUGUACUCUAUAUAAAGGAAUAAGUGUCGUCCAUUAAUUCUCUCCGAAAGUGUCGUCCUGAUUUUAAUUAGAGUUCGAAUUAAUGUUGCAGCUAGCAGCGGUUGCACUGGCAAACCAUGCUGCUCAACCGGUACCUCAACUUUACUGGAACUCCGUCCUGCCAAACACACAGAUGCCAAGAUCUAUCAGUGAACUUCUGCAUCCUGGUUUGUGUUUGAGCACUUUAGAAUCUUAGAUAUCUCUUCUACCUGCCAUUUUACUAAAAUAUGUUCAACCACAUAUUUAUCAGUUAACUACUGUCAUUACAUGAGUGACACAUAUUCACAAAUCGGCUGAUCACUUAUUUUCCAUUAUGACGUUGAUAUAUAAUGUUGGGAAUGGAAAGCCAAUUGACCACAAGGGAAAACCUGAAAAUACUGUACUACCACAGCUAGCACGAAGCCCAUUUUCUUACAAGAGUGAUGUGGGGACCAAAUCUCAUGUAUCAUAGCUUAACCCAUAUGCCACAACUAAAAGACGUGGGAUGAUCGAACAGCAUACCCACAUGGUCAUGGAUCUCUUCAGAUAAUCAAUAUUAAACAACCCAUAAACUUCUCCCUUUGAAGAACAAAUUAAAACCAAUUUCUAGAGGAAGGUUACAAAACAUUUUAGCCCGUGAAGAACAAAUCAAGACAAUAUAACCCAUUUGAUAACAAAAUCAAAAUGAGAUUUACCAAUACUAGAUGACCACGGCGCCAGUAUAAUGGUACGACGGCGGCGUUAUUGUAACGGUGGAGAAGUGGAUGGUAUGACGACGGUGUUAGUGUGACGGUGGAGGAAACGAUAUUAUGAAGGAGGCGUUGCUAUGUUCGGUGGAGGAGUCGUGUGUUUCACAGUUCAAUAUAUCCUUUUUAGUCAUUUUAUAUUAGGGUAAAUCAGUAAUUCAAUAAAUAAUUUGAUAGUAUGGUGUACUCAGUUAAUAUUAGGGUUCAUUUAACAGCACUCAAAUUAACUAGUGUAGAGUCUAUCUAUAUUAUUAAUACUAAAAAUAAAUAUAUGACUAAAUAACUCAAAAAAAAAAUAAAUCUACAAUCUUUUUUUUAAAAAAUUUUUUUUAUAGAAUUUUAUUAGAUUAAUAGGCACUACUAAAAAAUCUCCUUAUAAACUACAAAUACACGCAUAACUUAUACUAAUGUGAGCUACUGACACCACCUGCCACAUGACAGUUGUCCAAGCAUAGUGUUGUCAUUCAUUAUUCCCCACAGCAACUAACAUCCAAUAAAGGGUUGGGGCCCACCCAUACUCCACCUCUCUGUAUGUAGCUCUUUGAGAAUACAGAAGAAAUAUUUUUUAGGGAAAUAGCUUAAAAUGAUACCCAUUUCAUAAUUUUAAUUAAAAAUACCACCCCUUUCCAAUUUUUGUACAACUAUCACCUAUAAAUAUAAAAUUAUUGUCCACUUAUUGCUGAUUUUUCACAAGUUCAGAAAUUUUGGAAAGAAGAAGCUCACACAGCUCUCUCUCUCUCUCUCUCUCUCUCUCUCUCUCUCUAGCACAACUCUCUUUCUUUGGUAUCUGUCUAUCACAGCUCUCUGUGUCUCUCUUGGCUCUCUCUAUCUUGGCUCUCUCUCUCUCUAGCACAACUCUCUGUCUCUCUCUUUGCUCUCUUUCUCAUAGCGCAGCUGUUUCUCUCUCUAGCUUCGUUAUGUCUCUUUCUCCCCUAUUCGAUCUCUUGCUUUCUGUUUGGAAUCGCGAACCCCUCCCUUUAGCUAUGUCUUCUGAAUAGCUGCUUGCAACCUUGAAGCUCUAGUGGAUUGCCGACCUCGAAAAGGUAGUGUUGAUGGUUAUUUUCUUAAUAUCAGUGGGAUUAUGUGAAAUGGGUUAUAGUUUGAUUGUUUGGGUUUGUGUUAAAUUCGUUUUGGCUUUAAUUUCUUUGGGUUAGGUUUUGUUGAAUAUUCAUACUCAUUCAUCUGGGUUUGUACCAAUUGCAUUUAGAUUGGUCUGGAUAUGUGAAUCUUGAAACUUGGGAUUUUCUAUUUGAUGUAGUAGAUCUGUAUAGUGUGAUUCUGUUGUGUUCCUCUUAUUUUACAGUCGUAUUGCUGUUAUAUUGUCAUUAUAUUGCUUAUAUAUUGCUGUUAUAUUGUGGUUAUAUUGCUAUUGUAUUGUUUGGUUAUUGUGGUUAUAUUGUGUUAAUGAAAUGUUGUUUUGUCAUGGUCAGAAAUGGAGACAAUUGUUAUUCUCGUGUGCUACAAUGGAAAAUGGGUCACCUCGAAGAAGAUGUGCAAAUACGAAGGGGGUGACUCAAAAGGCUUAAUAGUUCCACGGACCAUCAAAUUUGUUGAACUGUUGGACCGUGUGCAUUAGAUUGGUAAUACAAACAGCAGGGAAGACAAGGUUUGCUUAAAAUUCUCAGUUUUGGUGGCCUCGAAUGAGUGGAAGCACAUAAAUAUUGAGGACGAUGAUGAUAUCAAUUUUUUUAUGAAGUACAAUUCCGAGGUAACACCUUCAAAACUAGCUCCCUUACUCGUGAGUAUAGAAGAUAAAGGAUUGACAAAUGAUGUAGUUCAUAGUAUGCAUAUCACGACAGAUAGUAGUCGGAUGGGUCAUUCUUCAGUUGCCAUUGUUGAAAGCAAUGAAGUAACUUGGAAUAAUACGAAUGUCACUGAUGUGGGAGGUGAAGUAGGGACAGAUUUUGUGGAUAUGAUUGAUUUUAGCGAGGUGUAGGAGAUGCAUGGUGGUGAUAAUAGUACUGAAAGAAAUGAAGUGUCAGUGUACUCUGCCCCUCCUAAUUUGGGCUGCUUCAACAUAGCUGCCCAGUUGCCAAUAAUGCGUUUAGGAGGAGAAUCUGAACCCACUCGUCAACAUUAUUGGAGUCAAAUAGGUGAACAAAAUCGGUACAAUGCAGCCGGUGUAAAUGAUGAAGAAGCAUAUUUGGACAGCGGGUUUUCACGAAGUGAUUGGAAUCCGAAAAUUACAGUUGGGCAAAUUUUCUCUAGUAAGAAAGCAUUGUUGACGGAGUUACGGUUGACGGCAUUAAGAGGCCACUUUGAAUUUAAGGUGCAAUUCUCUUGCACUAAAAGGUUGCUUGUGGUUUGUUGUCAACGUCCAUGCCCAUGGCGGGUCCGAGCAUCGAGAAUUGGAGAAUACAGCUUCAUGAUUGUGAGGUGUACAACUGUCCAUGAAUGUGAUUUGAGGUUCGUAAGUGACAAGCAUCGUCAAGCAACCGCAGCACUUGUAGCCACUUCACUUAAAAGGAAGUGACAUUAUGAGAGAUGUGAAACACAACUUUGGUUGCACCAUCCAUUAUUCGAAAGCUUGGAAAGCAAAGGAGUUAGCUCUAUUGUCCAUUAGAGGAUCAGCGGAGGAGGCAUAUUAUAUCCUUCCAGCUUAUUGCUAUGAAUUGGAGCGUAUGAAUCCCGGCACAAAAACACACAUCCAAACUGAUGAGAACAAUCACUUUGUGUAUUUAUUUAUGGCGGUUGGCGCAUGUAUUAGAGGGUUCCGUUCUUCCAUGCGCCCAGUGAUAGCCGUGGAUGCCACUCAUUUAAAAUCCAAGUACAAGGGUGUUAUGUUUGUAGCAAAUGCAUUCGAUGGUAAUUGAAAUAUAUAUCCUCUUGCUUUUGGGAUCGGGGAUUUGGAGACGGAUGCAUCAUGGCAUUGGUUUUUCACUAAACUUCAUGAAGCCAUUGGUGAGUGUCCCAAUCUUGUUAUUAUUUCUGAUCGCAAUGUUAGCAUAGAGAAUGUGUGGAACAAAAUUUUUCCAACUGCACAACGUGGCAUAUGCUUUUAUCAUAUGAAGGGGAACAUGAAACGCACUUGCUAGUUGAAAAAGCGUGAUCACAUACUUAUGCACUUUGAGCAGGCUGCGAAAUCUUAUUCCAUUGCUGAAUUUGAUUGUCAUUUUUGCAAGAUCAAGCGAAAGGAACAUGUUGCUCAAUAUCUUGAAGAGACAGGGUUACAUAAGUGGUCUAGAGCUCACAUGGAUGGACGCCGCUACAAUGUAAUGACAACAAAUAUUGCAGAGUCAAUCAACUCAGUCCUUAGGUUUGCAAGGAUGCUGCCAGUGGUUCAUUUGAUAGGGGAAAUUGUUAAUCUCCUUGUGAAAUGGUUCACCGAACGUUGUGAGUUGGUUUUGAAUUGCACAACAACAUUGUGCCCCAAUUUUGGAGAGAAGAAGUUGAGGAACAGGUUGGAGGAUGCUGCAAGGAUGAAUGUGGUUAAAGUAAAUAAUGCACAGUUUAAUGUUUUGGACGGUGAUAUGGACGGCCUCGUAGAUUUGGCGAACAGCAGUUGUAGUUGUAGAAAGUUUCAGCUUGAGCAGCUACCUUGCAAGCAUGUAGUUGCAGUUUGCCGCUUCUUGAAAGUAAAUGUAUACGCAAAGGCUUCUCGGUAUUACACUCAGAAAACCUGGAUGAUGCUUAUUCGGAUAGCAUCUACCCGGCACAACCUCACGGAAUGUGGGAUAUUCCUGAAGAUGUUCGAAGUCGAGUUGUGCUGCCUCCCAUGGCAAGGGUCAUGCCAGGCAGACGAAAGAAGAUCAGAAUUCCCUCGCAAGGAGAGGGCACCAUUAGAAGAAAGUGCUCAAGGUGCGGUUCCGCAGGCCACAAUAAAAGCACAUGUAAAAACAAUAUUCCAUUGCGCAAUGUAUCUUAGACAAUAUGAUUUGUGUUGCUUUGGUAGGUCAUGUAAACUCUACUUUUAUUUGUGGUGGGUUUCGUGUUAUGUUGAAUGGGAAUUCUUUUAAAUUUGCAUAAUUUGGGUUGCAUUGCUACAGCAUGCUGUAUUGCUGACAGAUUGCUAUUAUAUUGGACUUUUAUUGUACUGGUAUUGCUUCCAGAUUGCUAUUAUAAUUUGAGUGCGAAAUUAAAGGGACUGGAAUGUAAUUCCAAAUGGAUCCAAAUCAUUAAAGUUCUUAGAAUUCCUAUAUUACACAGUUACUGUGAUACUCCGACUAUACCUUCUUUUAUGAUUACAAAUUCGGCCAAUGCAUAGGCCAGAUGUGGGGCAAAUACAAGGUGAAAUGUCCUAUGUGUUUGACUACAUAUACUUGUUGAAGGAGCAUUACGAAUGCUAACCUCAAUAGAUUGCUCAUGUCUUGCCAAGAACACUCUUGAAUUUAUGCAAUGUGCCCAAGCCAGUCCCAAAGCUGGACUCACCCGUCUGCCUGAUGUGUCCAGGGACUCCAAGUUUCCCAACCUCACCUCAUUCACUUUAUCAUGUGGCCCAAUAAAAUCCACCACUUGGUUGGUGACAACCACCGCCAACCCAAACUUAUUUGCUAAACCCUUCAAUGUCCCAGAUAUGUUGAAAAAUAUUUCAAACCGCCAUUUCAAAUCUGCUGGUGUUGUCUGAUACUGUGAUCGGAACAAUGCAGCAAUGGAAUCAAUGACAAUGAGUUUCACAGGUAGGUGGGUGUGAUCAAUGGCAAUAAAUGCUUCUAUGUCUCCAAGGACAUGGAUGAGUUGUUGAGCAUCAUGAACACCAUGAACAUAUAUGUCUUCCAAUGGCUCCAACCUUAUUAAGUUGGGGUAUGAUGCAUGAUAAAGGUUGCCUAGUUGUUGCAAUCGACGAAAUGGGAAGCUGAAUUCUGUGAAUAUGUAGACGGUGGAGCCCUCUAGUCCGCCAUGUGAGGGUGGGAGCUGAGCUGGUACCGUAAGUUGGAGACAAAGUUGCGUCUUCCCAGAACCACUCUCCCCUACCAAUUCUGUUAUAGAGUUGCAGGGUAUCCCACCCCCCAAGCAGUCAUCUAGUAUUGGGCAUCCAAUGGAUAAUUGAGGGGUUGAAAGAGGAAGGAGCAUGAGGUUUUAGGGUGUCAUAUUUGUGUAAUUUAGGGGGGGAUGUGAUGGUGCUACAAGGCAUGCAUUAUAUAUAUAUAUAUAUGUAGAGUUCAUUUUGAAGGUCUGUAUUGUAGGCCAUAUGUCUUUUAAGGGAUGUAUAAUCCAUCCUUUUUUCAGGUUGUAAUUAAUUUUUUGUUUAUUUAUUAGUAUUUUUUUGGACCAAAUAAUUUAAAAAACAUUAUGAUGCAGUACGUACUGUAAUAGGAUCAUAUUGUAACUCUAUCAUCACUCUAUUGUACUCUUAUUGACAUAAUAUUGCCGUUAUAUGCAUGUUUAUUAUAUAGUUAUUACUGCUAUAUCGCCACUGAACUGGACACCGAUAAACUGUAUACGCACAAAUACAAAAAGAGGCUUCAUCAUUCCAUAAAAUCCUAUUUCCAAACUUACAUAAUACAACAACAGGCCACCCCAUCGUUACAUAAUACAAAAAUACGCCACCUCAUAGUUCCAUUUCCCUACUGUUGACAAAUUCGAAGUUGCAUACUCUUCAAGUGCGGUGACCGCGACGCAUGAAAUUCAUGACCCCGGCCACAGUGAUGUUGGCCUAGUUUCCUGCCGGAUCCACUAUUUUUGCAAACUUACGAAAUAGUUCGAAUCCGCUUUCCACUUCUUCUUGCUUCAACUUGGCCGUUGCUUCUGAUUCCUUGAAUACCAUAAUUGCAGUGGUAGGGGCAAUUUCAAUUUUUGCUUUCAUUGUCUUUAUAUGUAGGAGAUGCAUGCGCGCAUGAUAACGAGAGCGAAUUGUGCGGUUUUUUAUGACACCCCAUCUAGUUUGGCCCUCCACAAUUUUGAAACUAUGUCUGCAUGAAGAUUUUUCCAAAACAUGGUAUUGCCUCGACAUUGCUGCAUGCCAUGGACCAAGUCUGCAGGGAGUGAAUUGGGUGACUUGGCUUGUGUUUCAGUCUUCUCUCCUUCAGUAAUUGAAAGUGUUGGGUGUGGUGUGAGGUUAUGGUCCAUGGUCUUCGAUAUUUAUUGUAGCCUAGUGUACAACUUAAUUGGAAAAAAAGGGGACUAAAUGCGAUGGGAGUGAAAUCAGUGGGGAAGGUAGUGGCUGUAAGCAGGAGUUAAUGUGAUGGAAGUUUUCAUUUCAAACAACUGGGUUGAUUAAUAUAGGCAAGUUUUAAUGACCUGGAGUAACUCAGAGAGUUAUUGGUGGGAGGGAUUAGAGGGAGUAAUUGGCGGGAGGGAUUGGCGGGAGUCUUAGGCGGGAUAGUAUUGGGCGGGAGUUAUUACCCAGUUGACUGUAUGCCUUUUUGUAAUAUAUUUGUAUGUUGGACGUUCCAAACUUGGUAAUUUUCCCAUUAUGUAAUUCAAAUAAGGGAUUUGCCUAUUUGCCUAAUUGACCAACUCAUUCAAAUUGACCAAUAUGGUUAUUGUCUUAUUUCUCAUUUCAGCAAUCUCAAUUCGUUUCCAUUUUUCCAUUCUUCAUAUUUUCCUAUUUUCCAUGUGUCAUCCAAUUUUCCAAUUUUCCAAUUUUUCAUUAUUUUUGCCUAUUUUUUCCUAUUCCCUAUUUUCCUAUUGUGCAAUUUCCCAAGUUUCCUUUUGUUGUAUUUCUAGUUUUCCAAUUUUUCAAUGUUCCCAUUUUCCCAUUAUGUAAUUUAAAAAAAGUUGCCUGCUUUGCCUAAUUCAGAAAGUAAUUAAAAUGGUCCAAUAUGGUAAUUGUCUUAUUUUCCAUUUCCACAAUUUCAAUUCGUUUCCAAUUUUCUUAUUUUCCAUGUGUCCCUAUUUCCUAUUUCCAUUUUUCAAAUUUUAAGUUUUUGUCCAAUUAUCCAAUUAUCUUUUUUCCAAUUGGACUAUUUUCUAAGUUUCCUUUUUUUCCUAUUUCCAAUUUUCCAAUUUUUCAAUUUGCUAACUUUCCUUUUGUUCUAUUUCCAAUUUUGCUAUUUUCCAAGUUGCCUUAUUUCCUAUUUUUCAAUUAUCCAGUUAUCCAAUAUUCCAAUUUUCCAAUUAUCCAAUUUUCAAUUUUCCAAUUUGCGAAUUUGCCUAUUUUCCAAGUGUCCUUUUUUCCUAUUUCCUAUUUCAAAUUUUCCAAUUUUCAUGUUUUCAGAGUUUCCUUUUUUUUUCCUAUUUUCCAAGUUUCCUUUUGUCCAAUUUCAAAUUUUCCAAUUUUCCAAGUUGCUUUAUUUUCCAAUUACCCAAAUUUCCUAUUUUCCAAGUGUCCUUUUUUCCUUUUUCCAAUUUUCCAAUUUUCCAAGUGUCAUGUAAUCCUAUUGCCUAGUUUCCUCUUUCCAAUUUUUCCUUUUUUCCUAUUUCCAAUUUUCAAUUUUCCAAAUUUCCCAAAUUUCCAACUUUCCAUUUUUUCGUAUUUCCGAUUUGCCAAUUUUCCUUUUGUUCUAUUUCCAAUUUUCCAAGUUUCCUUAUUUCCCAUUCUCCAAGUUUUCACUUUUCCUAUUUUUCAAUUUCGCUAUUUUCCAAUUUUCUGUUCUGAAAUUCGCAAUAAAUGCUUAGUUACACAGUCCUAUUUUGGGUUGAAAUCCACAAUUUUCAAUUUCCCAUUAAGGUUUGCUUUUUUGUCGUUUGGAAGCCAAUUUUAUUGUUGUUAAUGUAAUGUUGUACUGUUGUAAAUUACAGCCAAUGAGUUAAUGAUGUAGUUUGCAAUCCCAUCAAUUGAAUGCACCAACUAAAUACCCAAUAUACUUCAUAUAAGUUCGUACAUAUAACUCAACCUUCCUAUACAGAACUGCAACAGAGGCACCUUCUUAACGGGAAAGGUAAUUAGUCUUACUAAAACGCAAAUAUUCUCCACUACAGCUAACCAAUUGUCGUUUACAACUGGAGACUGAAUCUACCUUUAUUUGUUUUGUUGCAGGCAACAGCUGUGAAUUGUCCCCGGCAAUACUUAAAGAUGUCGGAUGUACGCCCUCCAAAUGAGCAUGUCACAGUUACCCGGGGGACCAGCCGUGGCAUGUGCCAUUCCCAUCUCCACCUCGGACUCCCAAUCAUGAUCCCACUUCAUCUGGAAGUGAGGCUGAGAGCAAUGAUCCGCUUGACAAAAUCUCUGCCGUCAAGCACCACCUCCAAUAUAUGUCAAAGGCAACGGAUUGGUGGGAGAGUAAGUGCGAUAUUCAUGGCCAAGUUAUGGGAAACUUGGCCAACAAGUUGAACAAAGCAUACGCUGGAGAGGUGAAGCAAACUCUAAAAGCAAAAAGUCGGAGCAAAGAGUUAGAGUCCUUGAAGUUGAAAUUGGAAGAGAGAAAGAAAAAUGCUGUCGAAAAAUUCACACAAUCUGAAGAAUAUAACCAUGAAAUGGUUGAAUGUUUCAACAACGGCUUUGAAAUGUUCCGAGAUUAUGCUUCGGUCAUCUCACCAGACUACAAUUGGAGUGAAAUUGAUGUAGCUGGUGUUUGGCAGGUGCUGAAUAUGGGUGCUGAGGGAAUGGCUCAUCAUAGCCUCGUGCAUGCAGCAAGGAGAAAGGACAAAGACUUGGAUCUUUUGAUGGACCUGUAGUAACAGUGAGUGCUGCUUCAGUUCAACUCACCUGAGUACAUGGAUCUUUUGUUGCCUUCAUUUUCCCUUCGCAGGCUAGUAUUGUUAAGGUUCGGUGGCGAUUUCUUUUGCAUGUGUAAAAUGUUGUCUGUAAUGUGUAUGUAUUGUAUGUAGAUUGACUUAAUAUUGUAGUUCUAUUGUAUGUAUAUUGCCUUAAUAUUGCCUUUGUAUAGCAUAGAUAGUGUAUGCAUAUUGCCACCGUAUUGGAUGUAUAUUGUAAAACUAUUGGUAUCGUAUUGCCCUUAUAUUGCUCUAAUAUUGCCUCUAUAGUGCACCUAUAUUGACCUAAUAUUGCUCUUAUAUCGUAUGUCAAUGGCAUGUGCUCUAAUAAGUCUCCAGUUCGUUGAAAGUAAUCCUGAAUUCAAAUAUGAUGGACAAGACAAUUGUUAUCCAUCCUUAUAUUACCAUGAAUUGAUUUGGACCUUUCAAAUGAUAGUUGGAGUUGCACAUGGAUUCAUAUUCAAAAGGAAAGUAAUUCUCUCCCUCAAUGAAUUGUCGUUCAAAAGAAGGCAGCUAUCAAAUUUUGGGUACAAAAAGGCAACAUCCACGGUAAAUUAAUUGGGCACAAACCACAUAUUACAAAACCAGGAUGAUUUUUGGCAUGCUUCAAAAGAGAAGGGCCAAAUACAACAGAAAAGAAAAUCCAUUCAAGCUUGUACAAUAGAAUGCACAAUAACCCUUUUACAUGUCCUUCCAACACCAGUGUUUUGCCUACUUUAGAGUCGCAGGAGGAGAGCUUAUUGCCAUUGUGCAAUUCGAGGGGGCAGUCAAUUUGGAAUGGUGGCAUAAACAUGUUUACUCCACGGAUCACCUAUAUGGGACAGAGCUUCCUUCUUCCCUUGUCGUCUGUAGGUUUCAACUUCACACUUUUUAUAUACAUGUAUGAGAACUUGUGGCUAUUUAUUUAUGGCCUUCUAACACUUGUUCUGCCAUUCCAAAGUGGGUUGGAGACUUUUUGAGUUGAAUGACUGGAAAGACUUCAGAUGACAGAAACUAGAGAGUUUGAAGAAAAAGGGUUACCAAGAACAGCAGUCAUGCCCACGACAUAAACUAAACAUGCUAUAAGCUCCACAGUAAUAUUUACUUCAUCUCCAUAAUCAGAAUAUUGGGAAAAAAAUACCACGGAGAAAUACGUGAAAUGAAAAACAACUCGGCAGUUACUGUGAGAUUGUGUACAUAAAACUUGGAACAACCAAACCAAUUAAAGCUAAGCCAUCUCAUACGUAUACCUACAUCAAAUAACAGUGUAUGGUCAUCUUGUUUAGAAUAUUGCAAUCAACACUUGGUUGAGACCGACCUGCAAAAACAACUGGGUUAAGUACAGAUGAAGCCAUUUAUGAAGGGCAGUUCCAGAAUUAAGACCUACGUUAAUUUGUAACUGCCACCGAAUCAGUUCAUAGUGCCAAAUGCAUCUACCAAGCACACAGAUAUGACCAGCCAAAAGAAAAAAAAGCAAAGUAAAAAAGAUAAAAGAGGCAUGCCAUAAAUGGGAACCUCAGCAGAAAUCAUCAGAUAUGCAUACAAGCAGAUUGAGUAACAUCUCACUAAGUAGAGGUCAUGUUGGUAAUCGCAUGUUGUGUUUGCACACAGACAUUUGGUUUUUGCAAACACAACAUGCAAUUGCAUUCCAUGAUGUGUGUGUUGUGUUUGCACACAGACAUUUGGUUUUUGCAAACACAACAUGCAAUUGCAUGAUGUGUGUGUUGUGUUUGCACACAGACAUAUGGUUUUUGCAAACACAACAUGCAAUUGCAUAUUGUGUGUGUUGUGUUUGCACACAGACAUAUGGUUUUUGCAAACACAACAUGCAAUUGCAUAUUGUGUGUGUUGUGUUUGCACACAGACAUUUGGUUUUUACACACACGAUAUGUAACAUUUAGUUUUACCCUUUUAUUCUUAUUUUCUUCGUUCAAACAUGGUGGUGAGAAAAGCACCAAACCAUCCCAUCAUAUAAAGCAAAACUCAUACAAUAUUUUAGAUGCAAAAGUUAUAUAUUUUAUAUAAAUGCAUCAUCCGCAUGGCUUGAAAUUACAAAUUCACGUUCACAUAUUACUUUUCACAAGCGCACAGACUAACAAUAAUAAUAAUCAACCAAGUAGUUGCGACAUUCAUCCUAUUACGUCCAUAUUGAUAAUGUCAGAAGUUUCAUCGAUAAGCCUCAUCAAACUACAAGUUUUUUAAUUUGAAUUAUGAAUUCAGAACUAAAAGCUCAUGAUAUGCAGAAAAUGACAUACAUUGUCCACAAUCGACUUUUCGAUAUAUUUCUGCUCUAGCAAUUUAUCGUCCAAAUUCUGGACUCUCUGUGUCAGGUGCUUCUUUGUGUUCUAUCCAGCAUAAGAAUAUUUAAUAGUGUGAUUUCAAUUGUUUAUACAAAUUCUAUAAGUAAUAUUGAUGAGUGCUGUAAAUCUAUUUGAUAUUGGGAACAAACAUGGUCCCACUAACAGAAACUCAAACAAAACAGGAAUUUUUUUUUAUUUUUUUUGGCAUAGACAGCCGAAAAGAAACUUACAGCAAUAGCCUCUGUCACGCUCUCCAGACGUUUAUGCAAUUUUGAAACAGCAGCAUUCAUACUACGCUUUGUCACAUACAGAAGAUCUGAGAAUUUUAGACCCUAACCAUUUGUGAAGAGCAAAUAUUAGAUUUGCUUAAAGAAGACAACAACUCACAGAACCAAUGGAUGAAAUAAUAUGAACAUAAAUAUAUCAUUUGGAUACCUUCCACCACAUGUAACCAUAACCCAAUGCCCCCAAGGUAGCUGUUGGCAUUAUUAGUGAUGUCAAACCUAUUAAAAAAAUCAAAAAAAAAAAUAUAACCAAGUAUAAAAUGUUUCUAUUGCAUUAUGAAAUACAUACGUGUAAGGAAUUAAUCGUUUUACAACUUAACCAAAAAGUCAAGGCAGGAGCAUGCAUUCAUUGAGUGGUUAUAAGCAAGAGGAAAAAGCACAAAGCAUGCUAAGAAUUCAUUUGAACACAGAAGAGAAAGUAAGCUACCUUGGAAUUUGGCUGUCAUUCCCCUUCAGGACGGCUCUCUGUAGUGACGAGUCUAGUUGUCGGACCUCAGCUGCCAGUCGGCGCACCUAAAACAAAGUAACACAGGAAAAUUGAUAUCCAUUACAAAAAACAAAAAUUGAACACGAGAAAGCAUCCUUCGACACUAAAUUUAUAGCAGUUUUUCCAAUACCUGUGAUGCGAUCGCAUAAAAGUCACCUUCUGAUUGUUCUCCGGUUCCAUUGAACAAAGGCUGCAAACAAAACAGAAAUAGACACAAAUCCAUCAAUUUUUUGAGCAACAAGACACAAGCUCCGAAAUAAAUAAACUAUCUAACUGAUCAAAACCCUAGUUUACCAAAUGCAUUACAAAAUUAAAAACUCAUACAAAAAUAACACCAAAUACAAAUGUUCUGCGAGUUCCACUAGCAAAGCAGAGUACAAAUCAUGAAAAUGGUACCUGAAGUUCACCGAUCAAUUCAGAUAAUUGACCAUUCUUACGCAGGAUGGUGCUCGUAUACCCUGUAGAAAGAGAACAAUCACUCAGAUCAAAUGUAGCUAAAUACACAAGGAAACUAAUCCAGUAUGCAAGAUGAAAGAGGAGUGAUUGGUACCUACUCCAGCGAAGAUCAGCAAACACAGUAUGAGGUUCCAAAUUCAAAUAACAACAUAAUGCUAAGCAGAGAAGUAGAAUUGCUGCCGAAAUUAUUUAAAACGAACUAAGUCAAAACUAAAUGGAGAAAUGUUAACAAAGUUGUAUGCUUCAGUAAGUCCAGUAACAGAUUCCCAAAACCACAGAGACAAAAUGUGAACAAUGGCUACAAAAGCAUCCAUAAAGAGCAACUAUGUUUAUAUAUGGAGGUGUACAAAAUAGUUAACCUUCAAAAUCGAAACAGUGUGUGUGCCAUGUAAGGCAAUUAGCCACUGCUUCUAGACUAUACAAUAUUACACCUCACAAUAAUAACUAAACCAACUAGCUCUAGCAAAAAGGCAGGAUGACCAUAUAAAGUACCCCCAGCAAAGCAUCUACGUCUGCAUCUUCAUAUCAAGGAGUUCCUGACAUAAGUAAUGAGCAAAGUGAAUUCCCAAGUCAUAAGUCCAGAAUGAGGUGAAUUCACGGACAUUAAAACAUUUACCUCAUAAAUAUGCCUCCCCCCUUAAACCCUCAAUUGCAAGCCUCAGCCGGUAAUAUUUGAUCUUCAAAGGGUCAACUUUAUCUACCGAAAUCCCAGCACUGAGAUGCUCGAUGAAUUUGACGGUCAUGAUUCCGCAAGACGUACUGUGAGACCAAUAAGUUGGGAAAUUAGAACUGCAGUUAUGUAAGAUUUGGAUAAACUGCACUAAAUUCACAAAGCUUACCCAUCUCGUUGUUGUGGCACAUCUGCAAUGCUGCAAACUGAGAAUGGCGUAAACGUCAACAUCUUCAGCCCCUUUUGCUUAACCUUUUCAACCUCAGAAUCUUCAUAAAAGUGCAUAUCGUACAGCACUCGUGCCAGCGUAUCGCUAAUAGGGUGCAGAAGUGUAACCAGCUUCGAACAUUUGGUAAAAGCAACAUAUGAGUCAUACACAGUUGCAGUAUGUCAGACGAAAUCAAUUUCGAUUGCAACCCAGUAAGACCCUUUAAGAUUAUAUGGAAUAUAGACCUUCCGGACUUUUGUCCAAGCUUGGCCAUACCCGUGUUGCCACGUACCGCGUACAAAGUAAUGUAUAUUCUGCAGCUUGCUGGGUGGAAGGUCAACGGUGUUUGAAGCAACUGCCUUCUUCGAUCCACGUUUCUUGGCAGUCGGUUUGAACGGAUCUAGAAAUUGCUGCAUAAAUUGAAAUGAAGGCAUAUUAGAAAAUCACAACCGAAAGCAAAUGAAGCAGCGAAUGUAACAUGGUAACAUGUUUACCUGCAAGCAACAAUCUGCUGUUGUCCAGUCAGUUCCAAAUACCAACGGAUGAGAGAGUUGCCUUUUCCAGAUAAGAAAGGUUGCCAUGUCCAGGUGCUGAAAGUUGACACACAUAAUAUCAGCACAAUUUCAUACAACUGUACACUUAAAAAAGGUGAGAAAACAAUUUAAUUAUCGCAAUAAAGUAGAGCUUUGUGUAUUCUUACCCUUGAGCUAAUCCAUUCCGUUUCAUCGAUAAGUCUGUAGAAAAAAUCAGCGCCCACUGAAAAUAAUUCCAGCUGCACCUCCGCACUACAAAAGGCAAACUUGCAAUGGUUACUUUUAUAGUCAUCUCAUAAUUCUGACUUUGUUGAUGACAAAAAUACACAUGUAUAUUAAAGCAAACUCUACGUUUUCUCAUUAGUCUAUGACUACAUACUAGAAUAGGAUGAAGAUUGGAAUUCAAAGGUAAAGAAUCCUAACCUGAUAUCGUUUUUCCAGGCAGUACAAAACUCUAUUACUGCCUUCACAUCUUCAAUGGGCACGGAUUUUGAUGGAUCAAAACAUGGCGGGGUUGCAGUCGCAGCCAACACACUCAUCGUCCUCUUCUUCCUCAAAGGAUCAGUAAAUGGGCUCAACAAUGUCUGCGCCGGGCGCUUCUGUCUGCACCCUUUACCUUCCACUUCUUUUUUUUCCACACUCGAACUACCUUCUUCAUCACCAGCCAUACUAACUGUGGGUAGACUUGGAGGAUUCAUCGGACCUCCCGAUGGCAUACUCUUAGUCACUUUCCAAUCUUCUAACAGAGACAACACUUUUUGGCAGAUUUCGUCACACCCGGCCACAUCUUCCGGGGUAGGCAGCUUCUCGGAUUGUGCCUGCUCAGCUGCUUCAUGCACUUGUAAGUGAGGAACUGAAGCGGCCAUUUCUGCCUCUUCGACUACCAUGGCUGCGGAAGGUUCGGCUCCAUCACCGGGAACUUGUGUUUCCAUUACCGCCGGUUCUGUAGGCGGACUAACAUGGUCAUGUAAUGGCGACAAGUGAUUGUCGCCUCCUUCAUUCAUAUGAGGACUACUGAGGUCCUCAUGUCCUUUCCCACCUUCAUUCACCCCACCAUUUCGUUUUUUCAGCUGCUCUAUCUCCACAUUAAAAUAAUGCUCCAUUAAAGCCAGGGUGUUGCGGAAAUCCUCCACACACUUUUUAUUUUUUUCGAACUCUCUUUCAACUUUCAAUGACUCCUUCCGUACCAUGUCUUCCAACUGAUGCACUCUGUUGCGAAGCGCUCGAUUUGAUAUGGCAACUUUGGCCAAUUCAUCCUUUGUCCUUUGAAAGUCACGCUUCAAAGUGCGUAACUCUCUGGACGCGACUGUACCCUGCAUUCAGUUAUAAUGCAAGUGUUACAAUAUUUUCAAAAUAUAUUGCAACAAUACAGCAGUUAUUUUCCUAUUGUAUUAUGACGUAUAUCUUGGAAAAAAAUGUAAUGCUUGCCUUAGAAGACGACGGAAGGCUAGCAGUUUCGUCAAUGUCCUUAUCUUUUUCUUCUACAGAGGCAGAAGUGCUGGUUUUUUGUUCAGCGUCAUCGCCAAACAACUGAACAAGUUCUUCAGUGUCGUCAACACUGUCACCCCAAGUCCAAUACGGCUGCUGCUUGUCGAUUACAGAUGGCCGGAGAAGUUGCACAUCAACCUGCAAUUUACACAUACAAUAUACAUAUCAGUAAACUUAUUAUAUUAUAUUUUCAUAUGCCUAACAUUAUCAUUAAAAACUUAACUAACCUCACGGUUCUCGAAUACUUGGCUCAUUAGCUCAUAAAAACACGGCGAACUAUUGCUCCUCCAAUGUAGUAAACGAGGGAUGUAGGCAUUAUCUUCGUGCACCACCAAAUGUAGUGCAGCCAACGCUGGAAAAACCUCAUAAGCCCAAAUCUGGUUUGAGGAAUAAAACGUGAGUCACUGUAAACAAAUGAAAUUUAACUUCAACAUGAAUGGAAAUUUGCUCACCUGAAGUGCAUAGGCAAAACCUUUGAGGUGGUACUCUCUUGGUCUACCAGUUGCCGUUGUUUUUGCUUUCUUUUCAGAUUUUUUUGUUUUUGCAGCUUUUUUGGGCACUUUCACUCGCUGGUAAUCUGUACAAAGUGCCCUCAGAAGUGACACAAUUGUCUUGGCAUAACACACAGCACCCCAUGGAUACUUCCCAAACUCUUCAAGGUCUUCCACCAACUUCAAAUAUCGCAUGUCAAUCUGGACAUGUUUUUCACUGCCCAACAGCACAAACACAGCAAAGUAUACAAAUCUGAGCUUCAAUACAUCGUCCGCAUCAACGCAUUUGAGGAAGGCCUUUUCUAAUUCCAAAACAUUGACAGUUUUAUAGUUGCCAAAGUACUUCCUUUUCAAUGAGCAGUUCUCAUUAGUGGGAAUCGGAAUAAAGGGAAGGUUUCCAAACCUUAGCCCUGUCACGAUGCAAAAUUGCUGCGCCGUGAAUUGGAUCACCUUAUUGCCAACGAUGAAUUUGAUCCCGUUGAGUUGGGAAACUGUCUUUGGAUCAGCUUUCCUCAGCAGCAAGCCGUGGACAAUUGGCGAAGUCCACUUGAGGUCCUCAAUCAGUAGGAGAUGCCCAAAACAACUCUCUUCAAACCUUUGUAGCUGUUGUUCACUGAAUUUCUCCUUUAUCGUGCUGAUUGCAGUCUUCGUAUGGGAUAGGGACAAUGCUUUUCCUUGGAACUUUUCUUCCUCUGCAAUCAUCAACUUCAUUUGAGCAACCAUCUUUCCCUGCAUGCCAAUAUUAUAAAAAAAAAUUCAGUCCGUUGCAAUCUAGACAAUAACAAGCAAUAAACAAUCAGCACUUAUCUACAGCCUAUUAUAGGAUAUUAAGUGAAAACAAAAAAACAAAAAAUACAGGGCAUAAACAAAACCCCAGCUAUUUACAACUGACCUACUAAUUCAAUAGCUCAAAGCCACAUCCCAAGACACCCAGUACUCUACCACUCUUGCAUAAUAUAAUAUCUAAAGACACAUCUCAACACACCAGAUAAUCAUGACACAGCUUCAGCUAGAAUGGGAAUGUGCGGUAGCACAAGCCUAAUUGAGAACAAUUCAAGACUAACGAUAGAAAUCUAUCUGACUAGAAAGAGUUUUAAAAAAACAAGAAGACAUCGGGAAAGAAUUGAUUGACUUCAAGGUAUAAUGUAAUGGAACAUCCUAUGAAUUAGUGGCAACCAUAAUAAUGACUCCACUAUGGCCCUCCUUUCAAAUGUAAGAAAAUGAAUGAAAUUGGCACCAUCCCUUCAGUUUUUUCUUAACAAAAUAAGAGAUUUGUAUGUAUUCUCUGCUUUAUCGAUAUCAAAGAUAAAUUAAUAAAUAAACCAUCAAAACUGUAUAAAAUGUUUGUUAGACAUGUACAAUUACAAAAUUAUAAGUUCUCCUCAGAAACAAAGUUCUCUAAGUACGCAAACAAGAAAAGCAAAAGCUUAAAGAGUUAGCUUAUAGCAAAAUCAAUGUCCCCAUUUCUCUAAACCACACCUGCUGGUGGUAGGUUCCCAUCUUCACUCAUUUCCCGCUUUCUUUUAAACAGACAAUGAUCAAGCACAAAAGAGCAAACUUUUAAAUAACUCAUAUUACACCACAAAUAGUUCUAAAGAAAACUUAUUCAUAUCCAAUAUGCAACCCCUAAAGUUAGUAAACAGAGUUAUAAAAAAAUAUGUCAAAUUAACAAGCAUUAUUCUCAAACAAAAAGUAUGAUAUGGUUGGGAGUUUACAAGUUCAAAAUGAUAUACACAGGUUAAUUGUCUUAGACUUUAGAUAUCAUCUUCAACAAAGAAAAUAGAUACCGAUUAGACUUGUAAGAAGGUUAAAUGCAAUGGUCAUAAAGACCCAUAGUAAGCCACCAAAUACCAAUCAAUAACUGCUAUAAAAACCAUAAUAAAACCAUAAUAAACUAAAAAUACAACAGCACUAAAAUGCCAACACAACAUCACUACAUUAGCAAUAUAGUAGCAACAAAACCACAAUACGACAUCAAUAGCAACAGCAAAACAACAGCAGUGCAAGCAUCAGUCCACAAAGAACAAACCCAUUCACUGUUUCAAACAAGGAAUCAUCAUACUAAGAUCAUUUCAGAGAAACCCCAAAACCAAUUUCAGUGAAACCCCUAAACCAAUUUCAGAGAAACCCCUAAACCAAUUUCAGAGAAACCCCUAAACCUUCAACCAAUUUCGAACAAAUCCCUGAACCAAUUUCAUAGAAAUGCAUAAACCCUAAACCAACUUCAAAGAAACCCUAAACUGUAAGAAAAUGACGAUGAACAGUACCUGUUCAAGGUGAACGAUGGAGUUGAGCUUCGAUGAACAAAUUUCGCUCGGAGAGGAAGAGAGAAGAGAGAGUCAGAGCUGAGCGACGAGAGAUUAAGGGCUGAGCGACGAGAGAGUGAGAGCUGAUCGACGAGAGAUGAGAGAGUGAGAGCAAAGUGACGACAGAGUGAAGAGAAAUUGAGAGAAGGAGCCAAGAGAGAGAGCUGAGAGAGAACUUCAGCAAAACUGAUAGAGAACUUCAGCAAAAGUGAUAUGUGUACAAUAAGGGGACAAUAAAUAUAUAUUUAUAGGUUAUAGUUCCAAAUUUUUUUAAAAAGAGUGGUAUUUUCAGUUACAAUUAUAAAAAUGGUGGCAUUUUGAGCUAUUUCCUUAUUUUUUAUUCAACAUGGACGCAGAAACUGUUGCUAAACUGCAAACUUCUUAAAAUAUUUGUCUCACUUUCUCAACCCUAUAUUUGUCUAACUUUCUAGAUCCAUGUACUGAGAUUUAUUAGGGAAAUAUUGUAGAAACUGAUUAUUUUGAAAUAUUAAAUGUGAAAAACUGAACAAAAAUUUGAUGGGUUACAUAUUUCAACUCAUUUCAGCAGCUUAGAUUUUGAAGACCUCGGAAGAGGCCAUGCAGUGAGCCUAGCUAGUGCACUGUUGAUCACUUCAGUGUCUACCGAUCUGUAAUUUUUCCAGAUUGGUUAUAUUUUCCUUUACAUAUUCUUAUAUUAUUCCCAGCUGUAAGUGUUUUACACACUUGUCUAUUAGAAAAGGGGAGACUUAUAAAUAAAUCCAAAAUGGGUACAGUAUUUAUAAAGAAUGACAAAAUUAAAGUGUUUGGGCAAUAAUGCCCUUAUUCAUUUUGAGAUUGCCUAAGGAAUAUUUUUUCUGAUUUUCAGAAGAUGCCAAAGGACCGUUGUUUGAUGAUUGCCGUAAGGAGCUAAGAAAACUUGCUUUGAUAGUUUUGGACAGAUGCAUGCUACUGUUGCUGGGAUGAUCUCUUCACGUGAAAUGAGGAUGAUGAUGCUUCUACACUACACAAUCCAACGAAUUCACAUGUCUAUUUCAGAUACAAGUAUAAACUAACAAGGCUUUAAAAUAUGGGCUGAUGCACUGUUGUUGAUGUUGCUGACACUGUUACUGUGUUGUUGAUACUGUCACUGCGUUGCUGUUGGAAAAAGCACAAGGACUUCACAUGUUGCUUUCGUCUUUUGUGGAGGAGAGAGACCUAGGACUUGCAUGUCUUAGAUAUUUAAGAUAAGGGGCUUUCGUUCCAUUUUGAAAAUACUUUGGGUGUUUUUGAAAGGUGAUUGUUUCUUUUGGGUUUCUCACUAAAUUUCGCUUUAGAAGGGAAAAUAAUAAUAAUAAUGUCAAACAAAGUAGGGUAAAUAUUCAGAUAUGCUCAUAUUAUUAUUCUUCUCCAAUAUUGAGGUAUUUAUACAAGUACAAAGAUGUGUUAACCCUAAAUAAAAUAGGAAAUAUAUCUAAAUUAUAAUAGGCAGUAAAUCUCUAUUACAAUAGGACUAAAUAAUAAUUGGUAAGUAACCAAAAUUCUAAUGAAAUAAGGAAUCAAAAUCCUAACUAAGUAAGGACUCGCCAACACUCCCCCUCAAGUUAGGGCAAACAUAUUUCGCAUGCCUAACUUGACAAGCGAGUCAUAGAACACCAUACUUGAGAAGCACCAAUUGUAGAGAAGGUCUUUUCGUCAACCACGAGUGAAACAAGUGACAAACUAAAGCAAAGUUCGCAGCGGAAACACAAGAGCGAAUCCUAAAAAAUAGGGCACAUAGCAGAACACAAAAAUCCUGGAGCACGACAGUAGAUAAGGCAGAACACAGAAACCCUGUUAGCACGGCAAUAGGUAAGGCAGAAAAAGUCAAGAGCAAAGGCAAGGUCAACAGGCGUGACCACAACGAAAACACACCAGCAAAGACAUGAGCAACAAUAUUAGCACCAUAAUAGACAUGAGCAACAAUACUGGUACCAACAACAGCAAUACAAGGCACUGGCACCAGCAAGAGCAACAAGGCAUGGACAUAACAUGCAUAAUCAAUAGUAAUCAACAUUGUCCCCAACAAGAGUCAUAAUAGGCAUGAGCAAUAACAUUGUCCCCACUAAGAGACUUAACAGGUAUGAGUAACAGUACUGGCACCAGCAAAGGGCAUAGUAGUCAGCAGCAAUAACAAUGACAAAUACUUCUAUUAUUGCAGAGACAACUUCUCUUCACUCCCCAUCUCCCCUUGAAGAGAAGGGGUCAUCGGAACCAUAAGAAAAGUGGCACUUAAGAAACAGAAGUUGACUGACGCUCAAAUGUAGAAGAAUCAGCCAUGGCAAAUAGGUAGCUGAAUUGCAGCGGAAUAGAUGAGCAGCGGUGUCACUCCCCCUCAUAUCUGAUAAUGUAUGAGAGUCGAGAUUUGGAGAAAGCAAUAUCGAAAAAUAAAGUUGCAGAACCCAAAUAAAGUUGCAUCUAUCUCCCCAUCAAAUCCGACACUGGUAAAGGGUCGAGAUUUGAAAGAGGAGAAAUUGAAAUAAUAGUAAAGAGACUCAAACAUGCAGUCUCAUGGCAGAAACAAAUGCAAGAGGGGAAGAUGGUAGCAUACGGUUGUCCCAUGAAGAAAAAACUUCAGAAAAGGAGAAUAGUAAGGGAGGAAACCUAGCAAAUCAUGAACAGAGACAAAGACAAAGAUGCUCAAACUGAGAAGCGGAAAGGCAACUCAAGAGAGCAACCGAAGAAGACAGAGGCCCGCAGAACAGUCAAAGUUAAGGCUCGGCGAGUGGUGACGAUGCUCGCGGAGGAAAGCAACGGCUCGGUGAGCGGUGAUGAGGCUCACGGAGUAAAGAGACUUGUUAUGAAGUUUCAAAGAUAGAGAAGCUGAGACAUCAAGAAAGACCAUCUGGCAUACAAAGAUGAAAAAUAAAAAUUUUGGAACAGUAGCAAAGAAGCAUGUGAAGGCUGGUGCGGUGAAAACACAUAUGAAAGGAUGAACAAAAGAAGAUGACUAUACAAGAUGAAGACCCAUGAUGGGUUAGGAAUGAGGAGUGCCAACGACUCUCAAUUUGGCAGAGGUUAUCGCAGGUUAGGAACCUGGCUCUGAUACCAUGUCAAACAAAGUAGGGUAAAUAUUCAGUUAUGCUCAGAUAUGCUCAUAUUAUUAUUUUUCUCCAAUAUGGAGAUAAUUAUACAAGUACAAAGAUGUGUUAACCCUAAAUAAAAUAGAAAAUAUAUCUAAAUUACAAUUGGAAGUAAAUCUAUAUUACAAUAGGACUAAAUAAUAAUUGGUAAGUAACUAAAAUUCUAAUGAAAUAAGGAACCAAAAUCCUAACUAAGUUAGGACUCGCCAACAAAUAAUAGUACAACUCUUAUUAGCAACAGGUUACAAACUUCUUCUACAACACACCAACAUGAAUCUAGCCCUGAUCCACUCUUUUACAUACUUGAAAACAAAACAAAACACGAAAAACAAAAAACAAGAAACAAGAUAGGGAGAAAAUGGCUACGGAGAGACUUCCUGCUAAUCAGGGGCGGCCCUGGGGUGGUGCAAGUGGCGUCACCGCACAGGGCCCCCGAUUCUUAAGGGCCCCCAAAAAAUAAUUCUUUAUAUUAUAUAUAUAUAUAUUAAUAUUAUAUGAAUCGUAUAUAAAGUAUAGCGUCUGGAUGAUAAAGAGACUCAUUAUCAUUAUCUUAGUCAUAAGAUUCAAAAUGAAUUGAUACUUUUGUUAGCUUCUGAGCUCAAAAGUGCAAUCAUUAAAAAGAUUGAAGAAGCUAAAUAUUUUUCUGUGAUUCUUGAUUGUACUCCAGAUGCUAGAAACCAAGAACAAAUGAGUUUGAUAGUAAGAUGUGUGGAUGUCUCUACUAAUUCAAUAAAGGUUGAAGAAUUCUUUUUGGAAUUUUUGAUUGUGAAUGAUACAACAGGACAAGGACUUUUUGAAGAGUUGCAAACGGUGUUGCAAAAACUUAAGCUUGAUAUUGAUAAUGUGAGAGGACAAGGCUAUGACAAUGGAUCAAAUAUGAGUGGGAAAUAUCAAGGUGUCCAAAGAAAAUUUUUGGAUGUAAAUCCUAGAGCAUUGUACACACCUUGUGGUUGUCAUAGUCUUAAUUUAACACUUUGCGAUAUUGCAAACUCUUGUGGAAAAGCAAAAGAUUUUUUUGGAAUCAUACAACGUAUUUAUACAUUGUUUGCUAAUUCUACAAAGCGGUGGAAGAUAUUGAAAGAUAAUGUUAAACACUUAACUCUGAAAUCAUUGUCAGUUACACGUUGGGAAAGUCGUAUUGAAAGUGUGAGAGCAAUAAGAUUCCAAGCUGCAGAUUUAAGAGAAGCUUUACUUCAGUUAGCAGAAAGUGACGGUGACUCCAAAAUAACAAGUGAAGCUAAUUCUUUGGCAACAUAUGAACUUGGAAAUUUUGAGUUCUUAUUGGGCAUGGUUAUUUGGUAUGAUAUAUUAGGUGGUGUCAAUGUAGUGAGCAAAAACUUACAAUCUGAAGACAUGCUUAUUGAUGUUGCUAUUGAUAAAGUGAAAGGGUUGAUUACUUUUUUUUUGAAAAGUAUAGAGAAAAUGGGUUUACAGAAGCUAUGUGUACUGCUAAAAAAAUUGCUACUGACAUGGGAAUUGACCCGGUGUUUCCUGAGAAGCGAAAAAUUCGUAGAAAAAAACAUUUUGAUGAGAAUACUUGUGAGCUAUCCCAAUCAGUUCCUGAAUCAACUGAAGAAAAGUUUAGAAUUGAUUAUUUCUUGUAUUUAGUGGACCAAGCUAUUGGUUCUUUACGAAGAAGGUUUCGACAAUAUCAAGAGUAUGAGAAUUUUUGGGUUUUUGUUUACUUCAGAGAAGUUAAAUUCAUUGGAUGAUUGCGAUUUGAAGAAUAGUUGCAGUCAUCUGGAAAGCAUUUUGAAAAAUGACAAGUUUUCUGAUGUCGAUGGGGAGGAUUUAUUUGUUGAGUUGAAAGUUUUACAAGAGCUUUUACCAAAAGUAAAUACCACAGCUACUGCAAUAUUAAAUUUCUUGAAAAGAUUAAAUUGUUUUCCAAAUGCAUUCAUUGCAUAUAGAAUCCUAUUGACUAUUCCUGUUACUGUUGCAUCUGCGGAAAGAAGUUUUUCAAAAUUAAAAUUGUUAAAAUCAUACUUGAGAUCAACUAUGUCGCAAGAAAGAUUAAAUGGACUAGCUUUGAUUUCAAUUGAAAGUGAACUUCUUGAAAAACUUGAUUAUGAACAUUUGAUUGAUGAUUUCUCUUCUAAAAAUUCAAGAAGAUCAAUUUUCAGACAUUAGUAUUGUACUAGCUGUGUUUUUUUUUUUCUUCUAGGGUAAAAGCUCUCAUAAUAAUUUUAAUUCUUCAAAUAAGACAGCAAAUACAAUGUGAUGAAUUUUGGAUAAUCAGGUAUGUUUUUGUUGUUGCUUUUGUGUUUAAUGCAAUAUAAUCUAAUUUUUUUAAUGACAUUUGUGUGCAACUACUCUUUGAUUUGUGAUUGCCAAUUUUUUUUUCUUUCUAUUAAACACAGAUUGCUUAUUGGAGGCAGCAAGAGACCUUAUAGGGGCACAAGGAGCUUAUUUUUGUACAAAACAUUUAACUUUAUCAAAUGGAAACAUUUAAAUUUUUAUGAAUUUGAUUUCUGAUUGUCAUUGCAUAUUUAUUGAUGGUGAAUUUUAGUUAUAAAAAAAAAAUUGUUUAUGACAUUAAGUUAUGGCAAAUUUUUAUAGUAUUUUCGUAUUAGAUUAUGCGAGGUCCCAAUUUAAGUUUCGCACAGGGCCCUCAAAAUCUCAGGAACGGCCCUGCUGCUAAUACUUGAUCAAUAACAGAGAUAAUAGAGCACACUGUUUGUAUGACAAUGAGUAUCAGAAGAAUAAUAGCUGCAAAGAGAGAAAUAGCUGCCCAAGGUGUGUUGAAAUACUUUUGUCUCAAAUUUGCCUUCCGUCUGUUCGUGGUCUUCUUGCAGUACUCGUUUAGUUUGCCAGCAAGAUCACCAAAAUAGUAGUUUCCGUGGUUCGGAGCAACUUUACUGCAAAGCUUGUUAAUCAUAAUGGAAACCUUAUUGUUGUCACCUAGCGUGUUUACAACAAUUCCAUUGUCAACAAGCAACUCUACAUCCUUUGGGGUGUUUACAAAUUUAUCCAGGAUGAAAACAUAAUCGCUUAUGUAUUUAUCCACGCAAUGGCCUUGUUCAAAGGCAAUGAGAUUUCUAUGUGUAAGCUGUGUAAUCAUGUAUUUCAAUUUUUGGAAUUUCCAAGGUGUUUUUCUUGAACUGUAUAUCGAAUAAGUUCUUGCUUGAUCCCACGUUAAACUUAACUCCGGCCUGGUGUAGUUUUGUCAUGCUGGGUGUACUUUGGAGCCCUCCAUUUUUUUUUCUUUUGGCAGAUGUAAAGUUCUAAUAAAAUCAACAAAAUGUAAAGGUUUUUUAGGAUCAGGAGGCAUAAAAGACUUACGGAAGGCUGGUGAGUUCUCCAAGUUUUCUAAACGCAGUGCCUGUUGGAAGAACUUGUAAGAGAGUUCAAUUAUUGAAGGCUCCCCAGUCUGAGCACCUGUGAGAUUGUAAAGAUCCUCGAGAAUGAAAAAUGGCAGCUGAUUUACGAGCAUAAGCAUGUCAGGCAAUAUAUUUUGUAGCACCCAUGGUUUUUUAAAUAUCCAAGCAUCAUCAUCCUGCAAUUUUUCUUCCUGAAAUUUUUCUUCGGAUUUAUUCCUCAACAAUAGCUCAAUGACAAAGGCGGCAUCAACUAGAAUGAUAUUCACAAAAGUAGCAAUGUUAAACUUCUUAGGGCUAGUUUGGCGGCGUUGUGCUUUUAAAAAAAUAUGCUUCUGCUGUGCUGUGAAAAUAAUUAGCUGUGAAAAAAAGCUACUAGGCGUUUGGUAAACUGUUUUUGAAAAACUGCUGUGAGUAGUCAAAGUGUUUGGUAAAUUUUUAUCAGAAGUACUUUUAGUGUGUAUAAUGACCAAAAAGGACAUGAUGAUGAAAUUGUUUGUUAUUUUCUUCAUUCUUUUUCUACUUUAAAAAAAAAAAAAACCCAAUUUCACUACAUAAAUUUUUAUUCUUUUUUAAUUCACACCUUUUUAUCAAAAAAUUUAAUCUACAAUUAACAUACAUAUUUUACCAUAAAUUAUAAAUUACUAUUAUAACAAAAGUAAUUCUAAAUAUUGUUAUAUUAAUAUGGGCUUCGGACAUGACAAAAAUACAAAAAUUGUUCAAUUUUAAAAUGCCCCAAUAGAUCACUACAAUAUAAAAGAAGCUAAUUAGAUGCAUUCAUUAAACUUGUAGCGAUGCUAUUUCUUAAUGCAUUCAUUAGCUUCUUUUUUUGGUUUCCAAUGGUUCUCUAACAAUUUUAACUAAAAAAACAACCAUAAUGCUUUGUGAACAAUAAAUUCAAGUCCAAAUCUGCUAUUGCCCACACCAUACAUAUAUACAUAAUUGUUCCUUUCAUAAAACUUGAAGAUUCAAUAGUAAUUACACAGUUUACCAAUCUUGAUUCCAACUAUAUCCAUAAAAUUAAACUAUAAUUAGAAAUAGAGGAGCUACAUGUGAUUACUCAUAAAUGCUUCCCACUCUCAUCAUCAUCAUCAUCAUCAUCUUCCUCCUCUGUACUUUGCCUUUCACAAAUGGACAAGACCAGAUGGUAACGUACACGACAUGGUCCACAUAUAGAUAAAUUUUGGGUUCACUGGAGAACAUAAAAGAGUUUUUACACGAAUACAAAGUUAGUUAAGUAGUGAAUAAAGUAAAACUAUUCUGUACAAUUCUAGCUGAUGCAGUCCAAAAAGAAUAUAUGUCUAAUAACUUAAAUAACAAUAAAGAGAAACAAAAGCCUCAUGAAAAAUGCUAGAGUAAAAGUUACAUAACUGAAUCGAUGGACAGAGAACUCCACAGGCAGAGAAACAGCAACAAAAAUUGUCAAAACAGUAGCAAGACCAUGUUGGAGUCAAGGCCAAAGAUCAUAUUUCCUGUGUAUCUUCUUCCAUUCUGAAUUAUUCUCGUAUUCAAAUACUGUAACUCUAUUUCAAGUGCACCCCAAAAUACUUAUCUAAGGCCAGUACAUAGGACUUCAUAAAGGGUGCGAUAAAAAAUAUUGCCCCUUAAUUGAUAAACAGAACCAAGAUCCCAACAGCACACCAAAACUAUACCAACCACACCUACAUAAUAUGGACAGAAAAUCCUGUUGUUCCGAUCUCUAACCACACCAAUGACAUUCAUUAGGAAAAUACAAAAGAUGGGUACCCUGCAUUUCUAACAUUUAAGAUAAAAUUCACUGCCAGCUAAUCACAAAUUUGAAAAGAUGGCAAGAAAAUUGGCUAAGCUUUAACAAAAACCAGAGCAGUCCUUGCAUAGACCUGACUUUUUGCUCCAAGCUUUAGCAGAUCACUUACUGGUAGAGAGCAGAGAACAUGUAUGUGAAUAUCUGAAGUUGGAAGGGUAAGCCAUCACAAACACCAAGAGAUCUGAUUCUCAUCUCUUGUUACAACAACAAAUCACAAACACCAAUACAUCUGAUUCAGAAUCUCAUAAACAAUGGAGGAACAAACACAUAUUCACACACAUAUAAAUCCCUAAACAGAAAAAAUAAAAAAUAAAAAAAAAACCAUGAAAGUCAUAGGAGAAUCAAAUUGAUUUGGGCCAAAAUUGCCUAAAAAGAAAACACUCCUAAAUAAACUUCAAUUCACUUUUAAAAACAGUAAAACAUGAUUGAAUCAUUCUUUAAAACAAUUCCCUAAUAUACAUGCAUGAUAAUGACAUCAUUUACCCCUGAAUCAAAUGCCUUUCACUGGUCAAGCCACAAGUCUGUGUUUUGGGAAUUGCUGAGCUGCAUCAAUCCUGCCAAUGUAAAUUCUGCCCCUAGGCUCUCUCAAAGUGCGUUUACAACCUAUGCUAACAUAUACUAGAGUUUGUUUUAGUAUCUAGAAAAUGCCAACACUAAUUUCGUAACACGUAGAAAUUGUUACAUAUUGGAAGUUUUUAUCAUUUUUUCUUCCAGUCUCUCCACCACUCACUAAUACAGAUUACUCAUGUGAUGAGUUUACAAAACAUAUUUCUCUACUCCCACAAAGACCAUACUUUUUCUCAAAAGACUAUAUCACUUUAUCUCUAUCUUUGUGAAAUGUAAAAAGUUGAAACUUUAAUGUCAAACCUCGACAAAAGAUGAACAUCCAUCAUCAAUUACAUUGAAUUUGAAUUUGUUGAACUUAAGUAGUUUUACUUCUCUGUCAGCGUUUGAUGACUUGAUUUGUUAUUUACUUCUUCUUUUUUCCUUGGAAAUGUGUUCCAUCAACGUGAGGAAGAAAAAUAUGCACAAAUUAAUAUAUUUAAUAGAAGCAAAAAUUAAUAUUUACAAAAAUAUGCACAAAUCAAGUAAAAUUAAUAAAGCAUAAAUUGGAAAGGGAAAAUAUGUAGAGGAUGCAUUGUAGGAUUGCUCAUGCCAAUAAUUGUACCCUCUAAAUAUAUAGGGACAUAUUUUUUUUUGUUUUCAUGACAUGUGGUCCUAAAAUUAUUGUUCUUAGCGGGCUCUCCACCCCUCUCGACUGAAAACCUAUUGUGUAAAUCUUCAAUCCUGAAUGAUGCACCUAAAACUCAUGUUGCAAUACACAUCCACCCAUUCUCAGGCCAAUUAUUACUCCUAGUGGGCUCUCCACCCCCUCUCAAAUUUAAGUGGUCCAUUAUUAUUAACCGUAUAUUUUAUGGACCAGCCAGCUGUGAGGUUUUAUCUCAAAAACCUUUCUCCCACAUGCCACAAUUUAUGUCUGAUACAUCACAUCAUGCCAGUUGUCUCAAAUGAAUUUAAGUGAGUGAGGCAGUGUUACUUCUGGGUACCCCUCAUUAUUCGUCUAUAAAUUGGUGAAGCCAGUUGCUACUGUUACCAUAAGAGCCAGCUCCGACUUUCAAAAUAAAAAUUCCAACAACGGUCUUAGUGCCUUCAAUUGUAUGAGUCAUUGAACAUGCAAAUGAAUAAAAUAUGAAUGAUAAAAGUGUUUGAUAAAUCACCAAGUUAUAGAACACUUGAUGAUUUAUCUCAAAUAAAAAUUCAGCUUUCUAAAGUUUGUGAAUUGAAAAUAUAAUCGUUAAAGCUCUCUAAACAAAGAAGACGAAAGUCUUAUUUUAUAGAAUUUUUCUUUACAAGAAAGAAAACAUGUUGAAAACCAAAUCUCCAAUUUCCAAGGCUUGACAGAAAAUCAAAAAAAUAUCUUUCCUAUUCUAGAGAUUGGUCACAUGUAGUUCAACCAAUAGGAAAUGAGAUAUUUAAGAAAGCAAGAUUUUGAUCAAUACCAAUAUCAAAUGAAUUCUUAUACGCCUAGUCAACUAUUAAGGGUAUCUUGACUCCUUGAUAUUGUGAUAUGAUUGAAACAUGAUUUCCAUGUUAGAAAAUUAAGGGGAUGUUAAAACAUGAAAGUAAUAGGAGAAUCAAAUUGAUUUGGACUAAAAUUGCCUAAAAAGAAAACACUCUUAAAUAAACUUCAAUUCACUUUUAAAAACAGUAAAACAUGAUUGAAUCAUUUUUUAAAACAAUUCCCUAAUAUACAUGCAUGAUAAUGACAUCACUUACCCCUAAAUCAAAUUGUCACGCCCCGGACCUGGGGGUCAGUGGAAACCCCACGUUCGGUGCGUGAGAAAAUAAAAAGUAAAAUAAAAUAAAAAGAAUGCCGAAACAAGGGUUUAAAAUAAACUUCUCUUAUAAAAAUAACUCCAAAAUCUUACAACUUUACAAGAAAUAAAUAAAGCCCUAUCAUUCUUAUCUAAUUCAGCCUCAACUGGUUUAGUCCUUGUCUUGCCCACUAAUUCAUCUAAAAAAUGAAGAGUGUUGCUAAACGAACCCUAAAAUUAAUUGAGUACACCCUACUACCAAACGAUUUAUUGAAUUUGUCACAUCUCGGGAUCAACUCCGCCGUAGCACGAUAUUGUUCGCUUUGGGCCCUCCCUCUCUGGCUCGCAUGGUUUUGUUUCUGGGAACUCACGAGUAACUUCCCAGUGGGUCACCAAUCCUGGGAUUGCUCUAGCCCACAACUCGCUUAACUUCGGAGUUCCUACGACUCCGAAGCCUGUGAGCUCCCAAAAGGUCUCGUGCUAGAUGGAUGCGGGUGUGCACAUAUAAGGCACAUCACCCCCUCUCCGUUGGUUGAUGUGGGAUCUUAUAGAAUUACUAAUUUAUCCUAAUAUAAAAUGACCAAAGAAGAUAAAAUAAUAUUGGUAUCUAUUGCUUUGAAUCCAUGCCUUCAAACAAAUUGACUUAAUUUUUAACAAACAACACGGAGUCCAGGAGAAGUGUAUUGAUCCAAGUUGAUUUUUGUAUGCGUAAAACUUAAACAAUCAAUAACACAAAGCAGUUCAUGCUGAAAUAUUGGAAACCCACACCCAAAGAGUUCUCCGCUGCGAGGUUGAAGGCAGGAGAGAUGGGUGACAGAUUUUACUUCCACUGCGAAGUUGGAGGCUAGGAGAGUCUGUGACUGCCAUGGUUGAGGGAGAAGAUGCGUUCAAAAUGCCUAUUGAUAUUUUACAUUAUUGGCUUUUUUCAAAAGUGAAAGUUUUUUUAUGGGUAAAACCUAAAUUUACUUUUUCUAUACAAGUUAACAGUGUUUGUGUAUUGUGAAAAGGUGGAGAGACGUGUCAAAAUUUUAGACAAAGGACAGGAGGAGAUAGGGAAUUUGGGGACAGCAGAUCUCAACUCCCUUGAGACCCUAUUCUCUACGCCACCCCUCCCCCUCAACAACCCUAGUCACCAUUUCUCCUUCAACUCCAACGGCAACUCAUUAAAACCCAAUUCUCAAAUGCAACAAUCUAAUCCCAAUCCCAAUUCAGAUGUUUCUAAAAAACCCAUUGUCGUGGUGGAGAACUGCAAUUCCAGGUGGUGGUGGUGGUACCACAUGGGAGAGAGAAAAAAGAAGAAGAAGAAGCAGGAGAGAGAGAGUUUUUUAUUUUAUUAUUAUUUUACUGUAAUUUUUUAAUUUAAAUAAUUAAAAAAAUUAAAAGUUAAAGAGGAUGUACCAUGGGUAUUUUUGGUAGUUAAAUAAGGUGUACUUAGGGUCAGUUUGGCAUUGCUGUGCUGUGAAAAUAAUAGCUGUCAGAUUUGCUGUGAGAGAAAUCAGCUGUGAGAGAAAUCAGUUUGGCGUUUGAUAAAAUUUUUGUUAAAAGUGUGUUGAUAUUGAUUUUAUGCUUAAUCCGAAAAUGAUUGCUGCAUAAUCAUUAAACCCAGCGCCUCUUCGAAACUGAUUCCUAUAUAAUCAGAAAAUGAAAGCACCUCAUUAGCUGCUUUCCUUUAUAGCUUUCUCUCACAGCAAUUUUUAACAAUAAGUGAUUUUCUCACAGUUUACCAAACGGGUUGGGCUUCUCAAAAUUUUUUAAAAAUCACUUAUUACCCCAAAUAAGCAAUACCAAACGGGCACUUAGUUAAUUUUACAUUUUAAUUUAAACAUUAGGGUGUACUCAGUUAAUUUUAGGGUUCGUUCAGCAGCACUCAAAAUUAAACAAGGUGAGGGAUGAGCAAGUAGGGACAUGAGACAUUGCCACAGUAGAUUGAUAUAACUAAAUAUUAUUAUAAACAUAGAAAUAUAUAAGUAUUAUUAUAAUAGGAUUCAUAAUAAUUAAUAUAAAAGUAUAACAACAAUAUUUACAUUUAUGUACCAAGAUAAUUACACAUAUAAAUAUAACCAAUAUAUAUUUUUAUAUAUUUUAAAAUAUAAGUCUUUACGUAAAUGCCUUUCACGGGUCAAGCCACAAGUCUGUGUUUUGGGGAUUGCUGAGCUGCAUCAAUCCUGCCAAUGUCAAUUCUGCCCCUGAGCUCUCUCAAAGCACGUUUAAAACCUAUGCUAACAUAUACUAGAGUUUAUGCUGUAUCUAGAAAAUGCCAACACUAAUUUCGUAACACGUAGAAAUUGUUAGAGAUUGGAAGUUUUUAUCAUUUUUUCUUCCAGUCUCUCCACUACUUAUUAAUACAGAUUACUCAUGUGAUGAGUUUACAAAACCUAUUUCUCUACUCUCGCAAAGACUAAACUUCUUCUCAAAAGACUAGAUCACUUUACCUCUAUCUCUGUGAAAUGUAAAAAGUUGAAACUUUAAUGUCAAACCUCGACAAAGUGUUCUACUUUACAAACUUCUUGUGUCUACCAAUUUGUACUAAAAUUAAUUUCUCUACAGUGCUCAGAUUCAUCAUAUGUGUGUCCUUAAUUUUAGUGGAAAUUGGAAGUUUCCAUAAUUUUUGCUUUAAGUCACUCUUCUGAAGGAAGUUGAGGUUCCACUUCAUAAUCCAAAAUGUCAGGUUGACUUAUGGCAAACAAUGUAAAUAUGUAGGAGUACUAUGACCUUUUAUAGCAUUUUUAGUUUGAAUUUGGGUUUUAUACAUAGAUUUCAAAAUUAAUAGGUUGAUGCCUAGGAAAUAGAAAUUGUAAGGGCCUAUAUUAGAGUAGCCCUCUUAAAAAUAAUAUUAAUUAAUGAAUAUUUGUUCUUCUUGUUGUUUUGAAGUAGUGGUGGGAGGCAGACCAACAAAAAAAAAAUAUAGUGAAGGCUUAUAAGAGCAUUUACAAUCAUGCUCCCUAUUUUUUAGUUAAAAUUUAGCUAAAAAUAGAAAAAAAGUUAUUAUAGGAGCUCUUUAUAAAGCUCCUUUAUAAAAUUUGAACUCCAAUCAUACUCCCUAGUUUAGGGAGUCAAAAAUACUAUAGUUAUUUUUUAAUUCAAUUUGAUUUUGGUUAAUCUCUAUAAAUAUGAAAAAAUAGUUAGCAUUAAUUAAAAGUUUAAACUAUGCAUAAAACAAAGAAACAUUAAAUUAUAGGGAGCCACUAUGAGUCAUUACUCUCUCCUCAGAUUUAGGAGCUCCUAAAGGUCUCCCUAUUUUAUGAGGUGGAUAAGGAGCAUGGUUGGAGUUGUAUUUCUUCAAUUUCCUCCCUAAAAUUUGUCUAAGGAUGUGGUUUAGGGAGCCCAUUGUGAAUGCUCUAACUCUGGUAAAACACGAGUGACAUGGACAACAUAUGUUACGUCGUACUGAAGAUUUUUGGGUUUCUUUAAUUGGUUAAGUAGCAUCCACACAGCUUCCUAAAUCAUCUCCUUAGACAAAUUUUAGGGAGGAAUUGGAAAAGUACAACUCCAACUAUGCUCCCUAUCCACCAACUAAAAUAGGGAGACUUCUAGGAGCUCCUAAAUCUGAUGAGAGAGAAAGGACUCUUAAUGACUCCCUAUAAUUUAAUGUUGCUUUAUAUUAUUUUGUAUACAGACGGGUCAAUUAUAUUAAAUUAAAAAAUAAUUAAAGUAUUUAUGACUCUCUAAACUAGUGAGCAUAAUUGUAGAUCAUCUUAUAUACCUUAAUUUGAAGAUUCUUUAUUUGGGUUUCUUUCAAGACUUAUCACCUUAGCCACGCCACCUACACGUCUGCAAGCUUUCCUAACAAGGAAGGGGAGGCUGCGCAAUACUUAUCACCUUAGCCACACUACACCAAAUUGACGUCUGCAAGCUUUCGUAAUCUAACAAGGAAGGGGAGGCUGCGCAAUACUUAUCACCUUAGCCACACCAACACCACAAGACCAAUAUGUGUAGUCCAGGAGGCUUUCCCAUUUUAAUAUAUAUUAUCAAAUAAAAUAAAAAUCAAUCUAUUAUCAUAUAUAUUAUAAAAUAAAGAUUAUUGCUCCAUCCUCCAUGCACUUGCAUGCCUCUUACAAAGUGUGAAGUAGAUUUUGUGUGCUCCAAGUCAUUGACGAGAGCUGUAACAUGGUUAGCUGGAUUUAUAAGAUCUUUUCUUUUCUGGGAAUUUUCUGAAUCAAGAAAAAUUAAGUAAAAUUAAUAAAGCAUAAAUUAGAAAGGAAAAAUAUCUAGAGGAUGCAUUGUAGGAUUGCACAUGCCAAUAAUUGUAUCCUCUAAAUAUAUAGGGACAUAUUUUUUUGUUUUCAUGACAUGUGGCCCUAAAAUUAUUGUUCCUAGCGGGCUCUCCACCCCCUCUCGAUUGAAAACUAAUUGUGUAAAUCUUCAAUCUUGAAUGAUGCACCUAAAACUCAAGUGUCCCAGGCCAAUUAUUGCUCUCAUACCACUUGUUGUAAUAAACAUCCAUCCAUUCUAAAGGAAAGAUAACCAUCGAUAUUAUCUCAAAUUUAACCACUUAAGUUCAUUAUGAUUAACUAUGUAUCUUAUGGACCAAUCCAAUCAUGAGGUUUUAUACCCAAUUAGAUCGACUAAUACAAAGUUCACACGUGGAUUGAAAAGCGCUAUCAGUAGGGGAGUGUUCGGCACCCUUUACUGCCGAACGCAACACAAGACCCCUUGCAUGCCUUCACUAAGUUGAGCCUAUCUAUUUUUUAGCAUUAACAAUAUAUAUAGAUUGAAAAAAUAAAAUAAAAAUCAAUCUAUUAUCAUAUAAAAUAAAUAUUAUUGCUCCAUCCUCCAUACACUUGCAUGCCCUCUUACAAAGUGUGAAGUAGAUUUUUUGUGCUCCAACUCAUUGACUAGGGCUGAAACAUGGUUAGUUGGAUUUAUAAGAUCUUUUCUUUUCUGGGAAUUUUCUGAAGCACGGAAAAUCAAAUAAAAUUAAUAAAGCAGAAACUGUACCCUUUAAUUAUAUAUGGACGUAUGUUUUUUUGUUUUCAAGUCUUAGAUGACAUGGGGACCUAAAAUUAUUGCUCCUAGUGGACUCUCGACCCCUCUCAAAUUUAAGUGGUCCAUUAUUAUUAACCACAUAUUUUAUGGACCAUGCAGCUGUGAGGUUUUAUCUCAAAAACCUUCGGUACAUUUCUCCCACAUGCCACAAUUGUAUAUUCACAAUUACGGCUGUUACGUCACAUCAUGCCACUUGCCUCACAUGCAACAAGUCUGUGUUUUGGGGAUUGCCGAGCUGCAUCAAUUCUGCCAAUGUCAAUUCUGCCCCUGGACUCUCUCAAAGCACAUUUAAAACCUAUGCGAACAUAUAUUAGAGUUUAUGAUGUAUGUAUCUAGAAAAUGCCAACACUAAUUUCGUAACAUGUAAAAAUUAUUAGAGAUUGGAAGUUUUUAUCAUUUUUUCUUCCAGUCUCUCCACCACUUAUUAAUACAGAUUACUCAUGUGAUGAGUUUACAAAACCUAUUUCUCUACUCUCGCAAAGACUAAACUUCUUCUCAAAAGACUAGAUCACUUUACCUCUAUCUCUGUGAAAUGUAAAAAGUUGAAACUUUAAUGUCAAACCUCGACAAAGUGUUCUACUUUACAAACUUCUUGUGUCUACCAAUUUGUACUAAAAUUAAUUUAUCUACGGUGCUCAGCUUCAUCGUAUGUGUGUCCUUAAUUUUAGUGGAAAUUGGAAGUUUCCAUAAUUUUUGCUUUAAGUCACUCUUCUGAAGGAAGUUGAGGUUCCACUCCAUAAUCCCAAAUGUCAGGUUGACUUAUGGCAAACAAUGUAAAUAUGUAGGAGUACUAUGACCUUUUAUAGCAUUUUUAGUUUGAAUUUGGGUUUUAUACAUAGAUUUCAAAAUUAAUAGGUUGAUGCCUAGGAAAUAGAAAUUGUAAGGGCCUAUAUUAGAGUAGCCCUCUUAAAAAUAAUAUUAAUUAAUGAAUAUUUGUUCUUCUUGUUGUUUUGAAGUAGUGGUGGGAGGCAGACCAACAAAAAAAAUAUAGUGAAGGCUUAUAAGAGCAUUUACAAUCAUGCUCCCUAUUUUUUAGUUAAAAUUUAGCUAAAAAUAGAAAAAAGUUAUUAUAGGAGCUCUUUAUAAAAUUUGAAUUCCAAUCGUACUCCCUAAUUUAGGGAGUCAUAAAUAUUAUAGUUAUUUUUUAAUUCAAUUUGAUUUUGGUUAAUCUCUAUAAAUAAAUAAAAAUAUGAAAAAAUAGUUAGCAUUAAUUAAAAGUUUAAACUAUGCAUAAAACAAAGAAACAUUAAAUUAUAGGGAGCCACUAUGCCAAUAAUUGUAUCCUCUAAAUAUAUAGGGACAUAUUUUUUUUGUUUUCAUGACAUGUGGCCCUAAAAUUAUUGUUCCUAGCGGGCUCUCCAACCCCUCUCGAUUGAAAACCAAUUGUGUAAAUCUUCAAUCUUGAAUGAUGCACCUAAAACUCAAGUGUCCCAGGCCAAUUAUUGCUCUCAUACCACGUGUUGUAAUAAACAUCCAUCCAUUCUAAAGGAAAGAUAACCAUCGAUAUUAUCUCAAAUUUAACCACUUAAGUUCAUUAUGAUUAACUAUGUAUCUUAUGAACCAAUCCAAUCGUGAGGUUUUAUACCCAAUUAGAUCGACCAAUACAAAGUUCACACGUGGAUUGAAAAGCACUAUCAAUAGGGGAGUGUUCGGCACCCUUUACUGCCGAGCGCAACACAAGAUCCCUUGCAUGCCCUCACUAAGUUGAGCCCAACUAUUUUUUAGCAUUAACAAUAUAUAUAGAUUGAAAAAAUAAAAUAAAAAUCAAUCUAUUAUCAUAUAUUUUAUAAAAUACAUAUUAUUGCUCCAUCCUCCAUACACUUGCAUGCCCUCUUACAAAGUGUGAAGUAGAUUUUUUGUGCUCCAACUCAUUGACUAGGGCUGAAACAUGGUUAGUUAGAUUUAUAAGAUCUUUUGUUUUUUGGGAAUUUUCUGAAGCAAGGAAAAUCAAAUAAAAUUAAUAAAGCAGAAACUGUACCCUUUAAUUAUAUAUGGACAUAUGUUUUUUUGUUUUUUUGCUCUCGACCCCUCUCAAAUUUAAGUGGUCCAUUAUUGUUAACCACAUAUUUUAUGGACCAUCCAGCUUCGGUACAUUUCAAAAAGCUUCGGUACAUUUCUCCCACAUGACACAAUUGUAUAUUCACAAUUACUUCUGGGUACCCCUCAUCAGUCGUCUAUAAAAUGGUGAAGCCAGUUGCUACUGUUACCAUAAGAGCCAGCUCCGACUUUCUUUAAUUUCUUGCUACAUCUGUUGCUAAGUUAAUUUCAGUCCUAAUGGGGUUUCAUCUCCCACUCAUCUUUGCUAUUCUCAGUGUAAGCUCUGCAAUUUGAUUAACUUUUCCAUUCUCUCUCAUUGUACUCUAUAUAUAUAAAUGAAAGUUUUGUGUUCCUAUAAUUCUCUCCGAUUUUAUUUAGUACGUACUUAAGUGUCGUCCACUAAUUAAUUACACUUUGUGAGAUUUGAUUUUAAUUAGAGUUCGAAUUAAUGUUGCAGCUAGCAGCGGUUGCACUGGCAAACAAUGCUGCUCAACCAGCACCUCAACUUUACUGGAACUCCGUCCUGCCAAACACACAGAUGCCAAGAUCUAUCAGUGAACUUCUGCAUCCUGGUUUGUGUUCAGCUCUUUAUAAUCUUAGAUAUCUCUUCUACCUGCCAUUUUACUAAAAUAUGUUCGACCACAUAUUUAUCAGCUAACUACUGUGAUUACAAGAAUGACACUUAUUUUCCAAUAUAAUUUGCAGACUCCACAAAUGAAGAAAAGAGCAAACCUGAAAUUUUCCCAUUGCAGGGCAAUAGAGUUUACACUCAAAGCCAUUAUAAAAAACGUCCUCCUCCUCCAUCUGACGAGGGCAAACCUGAAACUUUCCCAUUGGGCAAUAGCCAUUACACUCAAACCCGUUAUAAAAAACGUCCUCCUCCUCCAUCUGACGAGGGCAAACCUGAAAAUUUCCCAUUGGGCAAUAGCCAUUACACUCAAACCCGUUAUAAAAAACGUCCUCCUCCUCCAUCCGACGAGGGCAAACCUGAAAAUUUCCCAUUGGCCAAUAGCUUUUACACUCAAACCCGUUAUAAAAAACGUCCUCCUCCUCCAUCUGACGAGGGCAAACCUGAAAAUUUCCCAUUGGCCAAUAGCUUUUACACUCAAAGCCAUUAUAAAAAACGUCCUCCUCCUCCAUCUGACGAGGGCAAACCUGAAAAUUUCCCAUUGGCACGUUCUCCUCCAUCUGACAGUCAACUAAAGCAUUACAAAGACUUAGCUAUUUUCUUCUUCGAGAAGGACAUGCGCCCGGGCACAACUAUGAAGUUCCAAUUCCCUAGAAAUUCAAACACGGCUACUUUCCUGCCACGCGAAAGUGCUCAAUCGAUCCCCUUCUCCUCUAAGAAACUACCAGAAAUUUUCAACCAUUUUUCAGUGAAGCCAACAUCUGAGGAAGCCAAAACAAUUAAGCAAACAAUCGAAGAGUGUGAAGCUCCAGGCCUUAAGGGAGAGGAAAAAUAUUGCGCCACAUCUUUAGAAUCAAUGGUUGAUUUUAGCACUUCGAAGCUUGGAACAAGAAACGUUGAAGCAAUCUCAACGGAGGUAUUGGAAGAAGGAGCCACCAAGUACAUGCACAACUAUACAACAAUGCCGGGACUGAAGAAGUUGGAAGGUGACAAAGUCGUUGUGUGUCAUAAGGAGAACUAUCCCUAUGCUGUGUUUCUCUGCCAUGCAAUAAAACAAACAGAAGCUUAUGUUCUCUCCCUGAAAGCCGAUGAUGGGAUGAAGGUGAAAGCAGUAACCAUCUGCCAUCUAGACACAUCAGAAUGGGACCCAGAGCAUUUGUCCUUCCAAAUCCUCAACGUUAAGCCCGGAACCACUCCCAUCUGCCAUUUCCUUACCACUGAUGCUAUUGCCUGGGUUCCAAAACACAAAUCUGCAUGAUCAUCACUUAGCACUGUACGUGUAAUAAGCUUGGUCGGGUUGCACCCUAGGCCUGCAUAAUUAUCUCCCUACUUAUUUCUGCCUCUUCAUCAUGCGGUGUAAGAUAUAUGAUGAGAUGAAGUUUUCUCUUGUAACUAUGUAGACUACUUCAACUUGUACUCAUAAUAAAGCACGCUGUUGGGGGGUUCUACUUAAUUUCGUUCUCUCCAAUGUUUGAGUGUUGAAUUGUUACGUUGGAAUAGGCUGCUAAUGCAUGUAGUUAGAGAAGCCUUCAUUUAUAUCAAAGUCCUCAAACUAUCAAGAAUUAAUGUAUCCAGAAACAUAUACCAAGACGCAAAACAACAUAUUUUCCAUUCUCUGUCUGUAACACCAAAGCAAACUUCCUUUAUCACAUCAUUUAAAGGAUCAAAUUCCAGUACUAAUCUAAUCCAUCAUGUAAAGCAUACAAGUGCCUACCUAAAUUUGUCCAUUGGAUAUAUAUGUCACUUUUUAUUUUUUGAUAGAGAUAUAAAUGUUGAAAAAAUUAGAGUACACAACUCUUAUAGACACUACUACGAUUUACUAUUUGCGCGACGGAAGUUUGCGCGACGAACAUUGUUUCGUCGCGCAAAAAGCACUAUUGCGACGAAAAAAAAAUACCGUAGCGCAAACAACAUAACACAAGCGCGACAAACAGUUUCGUCGCGCAAACAAUCUAUGCGCGACCAAUAUUAAUUUCGUCGCGCAAAGGUAGGGGAAAAAAACCCGGUUUUUUUUUUUUGGCGCCAUAAUCUUGCGCGACAACAACAAUCGUCGCGCAUGACAAUAUUGCGCGACAAUUCAAAGAAUUCGUCAGGUAAAGAUGGACAGAAAAUUGUCUCAUUUUUUUGGCGGUAAAAAACUUUGCGCGACGAAAUUUUUCGUCUCAAAAGACAACUUAGCGCGACGGAAAUAUGUACCGUCGCGUAAAAAAACGAGGGAUACUUAUUUUUGGCGCCAAAAUGCAGGGUGGAUAAAAAAAAUUUUGCGCGACGGAAUUACCUUCGUCGCGUAAAGUGUAAUGCCGGUGCUUUCUUGCGCGACGAAAUAAAUAAUUUGCGCGACGUAAUUUAAACCUUGCGCGACGAAAAGUAUUAUUUGCGCGACGAAAUUUUGUGCGACGAAUAAUAUGUUUCGUCGCACAAAAAAGCAGAUGUCGACAGGUAAUUGCGCGACGGAAAUGUUGUUUUGUGCGAUGGAAAAGUGGGUUUUCGCGACGGCAUUUUGCGCGACGGAUAUUGGUGUUCGUCGCGCAAAGUCCUUCUUCUUCAUAUUAGUAUCUGCCAUUGCAGAGGCAGAAUGCAGAAAUUGCAUUCUGCCUCUCUCUCACUCUCCCUGCCGCUGCUCUGCUGUGAAUUCAAUACGUUCAUUGGGUAUGUAUUUUUUGUCGUUAGUUUAAAUGUAUUAAUGUAAAUUCGUAGUAACGCUAUUAAUUUUGUUAUCGUUAGGGAUAUUUGUGAUUAGUGAUUGGUGGAGAACGAUUGAGAAGGUAUGUUAUUGUAAAAGUUUGUUUGUUAUGUUUGUAAUUUUUUUGUGAAGUUAUAUGUAUAUAAUGUUGUGAAAUUGUGCGUGACAUAGCACAAUGUGUUGUGAUGUACGAAGUUAAUUGAAAUUAACUUCGUACUUUUAUUUUUAUGUUUAGUAACACGUAGUUUCCCGUUCGAGAUUAGUUGGAUUUCGUGCAUGGAUGAGUAAUGCAUGACUGCGGUCCAAUUAAUUCUUGAAUUGUCCCAUUAUUUGGACAGUUUGGUAAUGCAUAGUGUUGUCACAUAAUCUUCGGCUACAGGAUUAGGUUUCGAUUGUGGAGAUUUCGGUGUCAUCUCGGUACGUUCUUCGAGUGGUACGUAGGUAUUUAUACCUAUGCCCACUUCAAGAACUGUGUCGAGAUGCUGCCGAAAUUAAUCCACGUCGAAAUCUAAUCUCAUGUAGCCGUAGGUUACGUGACAGGACUAUGCAUUCCCGAAUGGGAUAGGGCCCUUACCGGAGGCAUAAGGUGACAUUAUAACUUCGUAUGAAGUUGUUGUGAUUGUUGUGUCGUGAUUGUGGUUUCAUGAAUUAUGAGCAGAAGGUGGAUACAUAACCCGAAUAGAUGCGCAGACGAAUACUUGGAUGGAAUCGAGGAUUUUAUUGAGUUUGCACAUAGACACAACCCGGGUGCAAGUAGAAUCCGUUGUCCUUGUAGGAGGUGUAACAACACGUUGUGGGAGACAAUUGAAAAUGUUGGAUUUCAUUUAGUAAGGAAUGGAAUGAUUGAAACAUAUAGCAUUUGGAACCUUCACGGCGAACAUGUAGGCCAUGCUUCGUCUUCAAAUGCCCCAAGAGUGGACAAUGUUGAACCUAUUGUGGAUCCUAAUGAUCAAGUCAUGGGUAUUAUACAGGAUGCUUUUCCAUUCGCAUCGACCAACAUCAAUCAGGAAGGGGAAGAUAACGUGCCUACACCAAUAGACAGUGCGGAGUUUGAACAGUAUGAAAAACUGUUAAAAAAUGCCAACCAAGAGUUAUACCCGGGGUACGAGAGCUUUUCCGUUCUCACUUCUAUUGUGGAGCUAAUGCACGGAAAAAUAAAGUAUCGUAUGUCGAACUUGUGUUUCGAUUACUUUUUGGGGGUUUUCAAGAGAAUGCUUCCGACGGAUAAUUAUUUGCCGAAAGACCAGAAACAUGCACAGAAGGUGUUGCAUGGUCUUGGAUUGGGUUAUGAAAAAAUCCACGCUUGCAAAAACAAUUGCAUGUUAUUCUACAAAGAGCAUGAAACGUUGGAUACAUGCCCUAUAUGCAAUGAGUCGAGGUUCAAAAUGACAUCCCAGAAUAGAACGACUAAGAUACCACAAAAAGUCAUGCGUUAUCUGCCCCUUAAACCUGGGUUGCAGCGAUUGUAUAUGUCGACGCAUACUGCCACAGACAUGAGAUGGCAUAAGGAAAAACGGGUAGACGAUGAUGUGAUGCGGCAUCCUGCAGAUGGGGAGGCAUGGAAAGAGUUCGAUCGAACGUUCCCCGAGUUUGCUGCUGAUCCCCGAAAUGUAAGAUUGGGACUUGCCACUGACGGAUUCAAUCCGUAUGGGGUUCUAAACCAACACCACAGCACUUGGCCGAUUUUCGCAUUCCCAUAUAAUUUGCCGCCUUGGAAAUGCAUGAAAAAAGAAUACAUGAUGAUGACUGUUUUGAUAACUGAGGAUCCUGGCAGGUCAAUUGAUGUGUACUUAAGGCCUCUGGUUGAUGAGCUGAAAGAUUUAUGGACAAACGGUGUUCGCACGUACGAUAAAUCAACUGGGAGGAUGUUCACUUUGCGAGCAGCAAUUAUGUGGACUGUGAAUGAUUUUCCAGCAUAUGCAAUGGUUUCUGGGUGGAGCACAAAAGGUUAUAUGGCAUGUCAUGUAUGCAAGGAAGAUGUAACUUCUGGUUGGCACGCGGGAAAAGUUUGUUACCUUGGUCAUCGGAGAUGGUUGCCAUGGGACCACGAGUGGCGAGAAAAAGAUAAAGAGUUCAACGGGAACACAGAGCGUCGCCUCAGACCUGGAGAAUGGUCCGGUGAUGAGAUCUUGGAACAGCUGAACCGUUUGGAUUUUGGUCCGUUCGGAAAAACAAUUAGUCGGACCAGACCUUCUACACAUUUGAACUGGACGCACAAGCCUAUGUUUUUUGAGCUCCCAUAUUGGUCGAAACUGAAAUUGAGGCACAAUCUAGAUGUGAUGCAUGUUGAGAAAAAUGUAUUCGACACAUUGGUGGGCACGAUUCUAGAUAUCGAGGGGAAGACGAAGGACACGAUCAAAGCUCGUCUUGAUUUGGAAAGAAUGGGCAUACGAAGGGGUUUAUGGAUGAAUAGGGACAGUGAUAAAGCUAGAAGGGAUCUUGCAUUCUUUUCUAUGAAACCGAAUGACAAAAAGGAGUUUCUAAAGUUUGUAUCGUCUGUCAAAUUUCCCGAUGGGUAUGCUUCUAAUAUCGCACGUUGCGUGAAUGUCGAUGGGGGUAAAUUUACUGGACUUAAGAGCCAUGACUGCCAUGUUCCUGUGGGUAUUCGACACCUACUGCCGGAAGAUGUGGUGAAGCCAAUCAUGUUGUUAUCCAGAUUUUUUUCCCAACUGACGGCAAAAACAUUGCGAAGGACAGACAUGUUUCAGUUGCGCCAUGACAUUGUCCAAGUCCUAUGCAAGUUUGAGAUGAUAUUUCCUCCGGCUUUCUUUACAAGUAUGAUGCACGUAAUGGUUCACUUGCCAGAAGAGGCAUUGCUUGCUGGUCCUGUCAACUAUCGCUGGAUGUAUCCAAUAGAAAGGUAUAUAAUCUUUAUCAUUUGUGUAUGCAUCAUUAUCGACACUUUGCUAAUUUGUAUCAUAUCGUUUUAUUUUGGCAGGCUUCUCGGAGAGCUGAAAAAAAGUGUACGCAACAGGGCAAAGCCCGAAGGAUUAAUUAUAGAGGCUUGGGUUCAAUAUGAGUCGCUUACUUUCUGUGGAAUGUAUUUAAAAGAUGUGGAGACGGUUUUCAAUCGUCCUCAACGCAAUAAUGACGGAGGUAUGAGAAAUGAAAAACUUUUUGUUUUUGCCCAAAGCGCAUGACCAUUUGGAGAUCCUGGACGAGGAGAGUCGUUUUCUAGAAAUGACAUGGAGGUAGCGCAUUGGUUCGUACUGAACAAUUGUGAUGAGAUAAUGGCCUACUUAGAUGAGCAUGAACAGAUGAUGAAGCGAGAACAUCCAUCACAUUUGGUUGCCCGGAAACAUCGUGAAUUAUUUCCACAAUGGUUUUUGGAUUCUGUAAGUUAUAACUGUUUUGUAAUUGACAAAUAUAAAUUGUAGUAUUUAAUUUUGUCAGACUAACAUGUAAAUGAUUUUGUAUACUAUUAGGUGAAUAAAUUGAAAUCAUCGAAUUCCCCCACUUACAGUGAUGAGUUAUAUAACUUGGCGUUCGGCCCAAUUCGUGCUGAGUUGUUCUCGGGUUGUAAUGUUAACGGCGUCAAAUUUUUGGGGGCCGCACGAGAUGACAAGUUGUGUAUGCAAAACAGCGGUGUCCAUGUCCCAGGUGGAGGCGAAAGUACGGACAUUGAUUUCUAUGGCAAACUGACAACUGUCGUGCAAUUGCUUUAGAAAGAUCGAUACCAAGUCAUCAUGUUUAAGUGUCGAUGGUUCGAUACCAACCCAAAUAGGGCGGGAAGUGUUAAAAUCGACCAUGGAGUACUGUUUGUGAACAUGGCGUCCCAAAUUGUGUAUCUAGAUGACCCUAAAGCCGGGAGCGGGUGAAAAGUUGUGCAGAAGAUGGAUCAUAGGAACGUGUAUGAUAUACCAGAACUAGACCCAAGUGACAACGACGUCGACAAUGUGGCUGACCAACGUUUAGAAUCUUCAAUGGAAAAUGAUGCGGAAACACUUCGAGAUACAAAUGUUAUACAAGAACCGUUUCAAAUAGAAGGAGUGUCUUCAGUAGAAAUACCGAUUCAGUCAAUUACAAUUGACCUCGGUGAUCUUCCCCGAUACGAUGUUGCAGUGGGUCCUAGCAACGCCGAUGAUGCAGUUAUAGAGGAGGAGGAGGAAGAAGAUUGGGAGACCGAGAGUGAUGAUAGCGAUGAUAACGAAAGUUAUUAUAGUUCAGAUGAUGAAUAAUGAAUUUAUUUGUAAAGUUAUUAUGUUAGUGUAUUCAUUUUGUGUAAUACAAAUCUUUGAAUAUAUGUAGUUGUCCAUAUGUAGUUGUGUAUUCAUUCUCCAUAUUUCAUCACAAACUUCAUUGGAAUGUCAAUACUUUAGUCAAUACUUAUUACGACCCCAUGCUUGUCGAUUGGUUUUUAUUUAUUUAUUUAUUAAUGUCUUUAACUCUUCAAUUAUUAUUUUUUUCUUUUGAGAUAUAGUUAUUUCUUCAUGUUUAAACAAAAAAUAUAAGUUAUUUCUCCAAUAUUAUCUGUGUGCCACUUAUUUUUCUUCACUUUGGUUCAUGAUUAGUGGCAUCAAUCUAGUCAAACCGAUAAAAUCGGUCGAUUCAAAUCUUAAUUAUCAAUUUAGUUUGGUUUUGAUGAAGAAAUACAAAGCCUUUCCAAAAAAUACAGAGCAUAAAAAAUGAUGAAUACAAAACCUUUCCAAAAAAUACAAAGCAUACACAAUUUGAAUUAAAUGAGGAUUUAUGGCGCCAAAUCCUUGCGCAACGAUAAGGAGCCCUUCGUCGCGCAAAUAUAUAUUAGGUAACGUUAUAGUAUAAUAUAUACCCACAUAUAUAUUUAAAAUUGGCGAUCGAAGUAGUUCAUUGUAUUCAUAUGAAGUGUAGGACUGUAGCUGCAAAAAAUCAUCAACAUCGGAGUUAAAAUAACCGUUCAAUCAUCACUUUUUAUUUAGAACCGUCGAAAAGUUUUACCCCGUUACUUAAUCUCUGAAUGUUUUUUUUGUCUGAUUUUUGCUGUCUAUGAUCUCGAAGUAUAACAAAACAAGUUUGACGGCUGGAUGACUGAAGCUAGUUUCGUAGACUGCGUGUGCUAUCAAAAUCAUAUAUUCACCAAAAACUCAAAAAUUUGUUCAUACAUUUGUGAAAAUGUAACUUAAUGUUUAUGUGGUAUCCCCUAGUGUAAAAAUAUGAAAUUGAAGAUCAAAUUCAGUCAUUGUAUUCAUAUAGGGUCAACAAAUGUUGCUGUAAAAAAUGAUCAAAAUCGGAGUUAAAAUAACCGUUAAAUCAUGACUUUUCAUUUAUAACCGUCAAAAUAUUUUGUCCUGUUCCCUGAUAUCUGAAUGUUUGGUCGUUUUGAUUUUUGGCGUAUACGAUCUCCAAGUAUAAACAAAUAAGUUUGCCGGUUGGAUCAUUGAAACUAUUUUAGGGUUUAGGGUUUAGGGCUUAGGGCUUAGGGUUUAGGGUUUACAUUUUAGGGUUUAGGUUUUGCGCGACGAAUAAACAUUCCUUUCGUCGCACAAAGUGAAAGUGACAAAGAUUGCGCGACGGAUAAGUCUUCCAUUCGUCGCGUAAUCUGGGACACACAUUUCACCCCUCCAUACCCUUUGAACACUUAGUGAAAAUUUCAACCGAAUGAAAUUCUUGAACCCGCGCGACGAACAAAGCAAAUACGUCGCGUAAAGUGGACGUGAACAAGAUUGCGCGACGGAUAAAUCUGGUAUUCGUCGCGCAAUCUGGGCCACACUUUCACCCUUCCAUCCCCUUUGAACACUUAGUGAAAAUUUCAACCGAAUGAAAUUUUUGAACUCGCGCGACGAACAAAACAAAUACGUUGCGCAAAGUGGACGUGAACAAGAUUGUGCGACGGAUAAAUCUAAUUUUCGUCGCGCAAUCUGGGCCACGCUUUCACCCUUCCAUCCCCUUUGAACACUUAGUGAAAAUUUCAAGCGAAGCAAAAUCUUCAACUCGCGCGACGAAUAAAAGUAUUCGUCGCGCAAAAGGCACAGGCCUCUGAUUUUUGUUAGCAAACAUUGCGCGACGUUUACUGUCUUCGUCGCGCAAAAGGCACAGACCCUUCAGUUUCAGCCUCCCGCUAAACCCAAAAUUUUCCCAAAAUUUUGGCGGAACGACAGCGUUUUGCGCGACGAACAUAUGACUUUCCGUCGCACAAGGUUAACCUUGCUCGACGUUUACUAUCUUCGUCGCGCAAAAGCACAAACCCUUCAGUUUCAGCCUCCCGCUAAACCCUAAGUCCCAAAAUUUGGGCGGAACGACAUCGUUUUGCGCGACGAAUAUAUGAUUUUCCGUCGCGCAAGGAGAACCUUGCGCAACGUUUACUAUCUUCGUCGCGCAAAAUCACAGUUUCAGCCUCCCGCUAAACCCUAAAUCCCAAAAUUUUGGUGGAACAACAGCGUUUUGCGCGACGAACCAUGUAUUUUUCGUCGCGCAAAAGGCACAGACCCUAAUCCCCAUUCAAAAUUUGGCGUUCUGGGAGACCUUGCGCGACGGAUAUUUCAUCGCGCAAGAUUCAUUAAUACCAUUUUGCACGACGCAUUCUGUUCUUCGUCGCGCAAAGUCGAAUAAAUUUGCAGAAACGGCCCGAUGCCUCCUUCUUCCCCAUUUUCUGGUUUCUCUCCGUUUCUUCCUCUCUCUCCGCCGUCACCUUAGCCCUCUCUCUCUGCCAUCACCUCAGCCACCUCCGCUCGUUCCGUAGCCUCCCUGCCGUCACCGUCGAGCCUGCCGUCGCAAUUUCGUCAGUUUUUCCCGAUUCUUCGCCGGCCGAUUUCUCUCUCCUCCGGCCACCAUUUUCGACGCCUAAGGUAUGAUUUCUCGACUAUUUUUUGUGCUCUAGCUGAUGGUUGGUUAGGAUUUCUUGAAUUUUCGCUAUAGGAAAUAGGAAUUAAAACCCUAGGUUUUGGCCGCUUUGGGAAUUUCAAAUCCGGCCACUUCCGGCCAUUUUUCGGGGUAGGUCCGAGAACAAAAGUGGCUCCAAUUAAUGUUUUCAACCUAGGGUAGGAACCUUGGCCCUUAGUUUUUAGAAUUUUCCGACGAAUGUUAUCGCUUUGGACACCCACGCGCUGCCGGCGCGUGUGGUGGCGCGUGGGAUGUUGUGGCAGUGGGGCAUUGGGUCCCAGAGCAAUCCCCUGUUUGUCACGAGCGCGUAGGUUUGCUCGGAUUUGAAUUUGGUUAUCGUUUGAGUCUUGAUCGGAUUUCGGCUAUUGUGCGAUUUCCAGGUUUGAUAUGUUCGGACCGUUGGAUCGAACUCAAACUCACGUAGUUGUACCUUUGUGUUUCUACGAUCGUUUAGGAUUCGACCGAUCGUUGAUCGGUGUCCCGGAUACUUCGAAAUUCCAAACCCUAGGUGAAGCUAUGCUUUUAAUUAAUUAGUUUAAAUUCUUAAUGAAAUUAUAUGUGCAGAUGUCAGAUUUGAUUAGACGUGGUAGGUCGAUGAUGACUGCACCGAGUUCGGAUCCCCCUGCUCAGUCGGCAUAUGCUGCCACUGCUCCAGCUUUGAUGGAGCACGUGCUGGUUGGUCCCGGGGCGUCCCAGGCGCCUGCGUCAUCUGCGUCAUCCGUCGCGCAGCCAGCUAGUGCUAGGCGGCGGCACCGGCCCGCCGACACGACAUCGACCGACGGUACUGGUGCCUCGGGAUCACAGCCAGAUAUAACUACCAUUUUGUAUUGUUAAUUUUAUAUUGAAAUUUGACAAUGUUGUUUAUUUAACAUUAAUAUCUUUUUUCUUUGCAGCGAAGAAGAACACCUGAGGGCCGUGUCGUCAGCUGAAGACGGCGAAGGUCACCCGGGUGACCAACAGUCGUAUCAGCAUCGGAUACGACGAGCGCCAUCGGGCUGCACCGACGGCGGAGUUGCAUAGCUCCUUGGCCCACGACAUUGGCCACGUCGUGCGGACCCAUUGCCUGAUGCAAUGGAAGUCUUGGAGGGUCAUGCCUGACGAGAUCAAGGUGGAGGUUCGCGGCCAGUUGUCGGUAUGUACCUUACAUUUUCAUUAAUUUUCUUUAAAAUUGUGUAUAUUUCUAUUACUUAACGUAUCUAAUUAAUUGAUUGCAGACGAACUAUAACUUGGAGGAUCUCGACGAAGAGUCGUUGGCGUACGUCAACAGACUCUUCGCUGAGAGGUACAAGCAGUGGAAGAGCGACUUGCACCAUCAUUUUCAGGCCUUUGAUGAUCCGCAAGUCGCUCUUCAGGAGGGUUGCCCGAAGGAGCUUGAGGGGCGGGAGGAUAGUUGGGAGUGGCUCUGCGCUCAUUUUCAAGCGUCCGAAUAUGUGGUAUUUUUUUAAUAAUAUUUGUUUAAUUAUUACUUAUUUCUUAUUAAUGUUUAUUUCAUUUUUUUUAUUUCAUUAUUAUUUAAUUUGUUAUGUUUUAACUAAUACGUUUCAUUUUUUGUAUAACAGAAUAAGGCCCAAGUGAAUAAGGGUAAUAGGAAGAAGAAGACCCUUCUCCACCAUUCCGGCUCCAGGCCCUUUUCGUAUAGGAUGGAUGCCCGGCGACGGGUAAUAAUCACAUAAUUUAUAUUUCAUUUUUAAUGUCAUUUUUAUUAAUUUAUUUUUUUCAUACUAAUAUUUUUCUUCUCUUGUUCAAUUUAGGAGGGGUCCAAGUUCCCAGAGAUCGACGUCUUUGGUGACGUUUAUGUUCGACCCGGGAAUGAGUUGGCCGAGUCCCUUCAUGUAAGUAUUAUUUAAUUUUAAUUCUUAUGUUACGCAUUCAAUUUAUAUGCAUGUUUAAAUUUAUAUUUUAUGUUAUGUUCAACAGACGACGAUGGUGGAGAGGAGCCAGUUGGUUCUUCAGGAGUCCGCCUCCCAGCUUCCUCCCGAGACUCCGAUCGAGUCUGUGGCUCCUCCACAGGAUGCUGGAUUUCAGAUCUUGACGGAGACGUUGGAUCAGACUCUCGGGAGGAGGCCGGGGACAUAUUGUCGAGGGAUGGGGAAUGCCCGGCGGAGGGAACCUAGACCUCGUUCAUCGGCCCAGUCAAACAGUCAGGUGACUGCUUUGACAGCACAGGUGGCCGAGCUUCAGGGUCAGAUGUCGGUGAUUCUACAGUCCCUCGCACAGAGCGGCUUUCCAAUCCCGCAGUUUCGUGCGUCAACCUCCCAGCCCGUCCACCCCGAGUAUGCCCACCAGACCACUGCCCCGGUGGACGCCCAGACCUCCGAGCCGCAUACUGGCGACGACCCGAUUGAUUUUGCUUCAUUAUUUGAUUAGUGUAUUUAUUUUCAUCAUAAACAUUUAUUUUAUUUGUAAUACAUUUAUUUUAUUUUAUAACAAAAUUUUGUUCUAAUUUAUUUUUAUUGCAAUUUCAUUGUUUAAUCAAUAAAAAAACCAAUUUUAUUUAAAAAAAAUAAAAAUAAAUAAAAAACAAAAACAAAAAAAACAAAAAAAAAUUGUAAUAUUAUUUUUGCGCGACGGAAGACAUUUCGUCGCGCAAAACCACAUGUAACAAAAAAAAUUAAAAAAAUCAAUUUUUUAUUACUUUAAUUCUUGCGCGACGAAUACAUACGUCUCGCAAACAUUUUUUGCGCGACGAAAUGUUUCGUCGCGCAACAGCUUUUGCGCGACGACUGAAAUUUUCGUCGCCAAAUAGAUGAGCGACGAAAACUUUCUCAUCGCGCGAAUAGUUCUGCGACGAAUAUAUACGUCUCCCGGACUAGUUUUGCGCGACGAAUUAUUUUCGUCGCGCUAUUCGUUUCGUCGCGCAAAUAUACGUGCGCCGAAUACUUUAUCGUCGCGCAAAUAUUUAUGCGACGAACAGUUGUUUCGUCUCCACACCGUUGGUGCAACGAUGGUUUACCCGUCGCACAAUUAUGCGCGACGAAGUGUUGUACCUCGUCGCGCAAAGGCUUUCUUCACGAUCUUCGCGCGACGGAAGGUGCGCGACGAAUUUUUUGUCGCGCUGAAAUUAGGGCGACUAAAUAAGACUUUGCGCGACGUUUUGUUAUUCGUCGCGCAAAGAGUAAAAUGUAGUAGUGAGACUUGUUGGAGACAAAACAGGUAAACAAAUUACUUGUAUUAGACUCACAAAAUAUUACAACAAGACAACUCUCAAAGAAAAGACAAACUCUCACACUUCUCACAAGGACUACUUAACUUUAUAGCUUAUUGCAUAUAGCAUAUGCAAACACAAUUAGAACAUACCUACGUACACUAUGGGAACACUCGUGUAUAUUUCAACACAAGAAAACAUGUGCACCGUGCACGGUUCACAUGAAGUAAGAAAUGAAGAGGAAAUAAAGAAGAAGAAUACAAAAGAAAAUGGAGAUGAGAAAAAAAAAAAAACCGAAUAAUGAAAAAUGAAUUGACAAUUAUAUAUGGUUGACAUUAGAUCUAAUAUUAUAUGUAACAACUAUUGAUCUAAAAUAAACAUUAAAUCAAACAAUAAUUAAAAGAUUUGACAAUAUAAAAAUUUAUUGAGGACAAAAAAAGGCAAAAACUUAUGAAAAAUGGAAACAAUAAAUAUGAACUGAGUCAUCAACUCACCAUGGUAAGUUUGCUGACGUAUAAAAAUAGUCAAUGGACAUCGAAAAGUAAUUGGCUUACAUCAAAAAUUAAAAUCACGUGGGUUAUUCCUAAGAAACCUUAAUAUUUGCCUUCCAUUUGUUCCAGCAAAAUAAAAGUCAUUGCUACUUAUUGUAACCCCUUUUCCAAGCUUAUUAAUCAAAGUAGACACCUCACUGCUGUCACCUAGCCAAUUUUCAACAAUGUCAUACUUAACAAGCAACUCCACAUCCUUUGAGGUGUUCACAAAACGAUCCAUGAGACUAACAUAAUCACUUAUGUACGUCUCCUCGUAGUGGCAUUGUUCAAAUGCGAUGAGAUUUCUAAUUAAUACCUCUGUAUGAUCGCUUAUUUUCAAUCUUGGAAUUUCAAGAGUCCGGCCAGCAAAUCUAAUAAGGUAUUCAUUGAUCCCUCAUUCAACUUGAACCCUGCCCUGUGUAGCUCUGUGAUGCUGGGUGUGUUUAUAGUUAUGAGUUUCCCGUCAUUAGUUUUUAGGGUUAUUCGUUAUAUGAGUCCCUGAACUUAGACCCGAUUUGCAUUUUAGUCCCUCAAUUUCCAAAAUCGUUCCAGUGGUCCUUCAACUUUAGUUUCGUUAGGACAAAUGGUCCUGCCGUCAAAUGAUUAUAAAGUGGAAAAAACAAGAACAAAAAAGGAAGUGAGUUAAAUUUGCACCUGCUAUGUUCAAACGACAAAGUUCGUUUCCGUUUGGUCGAUUACAAGAGAAGCUCAAUGCAGCUUACUUGGUUCCUCUUGGUAGAUGGAAAUAUAAUUUUUCUCCUAAUAACAAAGGUUUAGUGCAAUCAAUGAUGGGCUGUAUAGAACAACUUUUUUGUUUUAUAUGUUUAUGUGAGACAAGUUUUGCCAGAUUGAAUUAAUGUCUUCUAGCUAUGUACCUUAUCUUUUUGCCGGGCCAUGAGUUGAAUGUAGAGGCAGAGCAUGGCCUUGGGUUUGUAAAAGACAAAAGACUGAACCAGACGUAAUUAUUUAGAUUUUGGAUCCAGUUCCACAUCCCAAAGAGAAAACCACAAGUUUGCAAGCAAGUUUGUCCAUAUUAACACUACGUAGAGUAUAGGCAGUGUGCUACUCAUCUCACUUUCUCAACCUACCCUAUAUUUGUCUAAAAGAGUUUCUAAUUUCGUGUACUGAUUCACUACUACAUUUUACACUUUGUGCGACGAAGAGAAUUUCGUCACGCAAAAUACAUUGGUCGCGCAAAGUUUAAAAAAAAUUUUAAAAAAAUAAAAAAUUCCCGCGUCCAAUUUUUGGUACUUGUCCAAAUUUUUUGAGUUUUGCGCGACGAAUACUAACAUCGCGCAAAUAUUUGCGCGACGAAAUAUUUUUUGUUUUAAAUUUUUUUAAUUUAAAAUAAACUAAUUUAAUAGUUUGCGCUACGAAAUAUUUUGUCGCGCAAGGUUUUUGACUUUUUGUUUUAUUAUUUCUUUAAUAUGAAUUUAUUUAUAUGAAUUUUUUGAAAUUUUUACUUUUUAAAUUUAAUUUAAUUGUAUGAUUUCUUUUUAAAAUUACUUUAAUUUAAAUUGAUAUUAAUUUUUACUUUUUAAAUUUAAUUUAAUUGUAUGAUUUUUUUUAAUUACUUUAAUUUAAAUUGACAUAUUCAAAAUAAAAUUACAUAUGAAAAAUAGUGAUUAAAUUAUCCAAUAAAUAUAUAUAUAUAUAUAAUAUUCAAAAUGUACACAUAAAUUAACAAAGCACAAUAAUAAAAUCCUAAUACAAGCGUAUUGUGGUGGUAGUGUCGGAGGAUAUGUUUUGAUAGCUUCCUAAUCCUCAACUUUAGCCGUCAAAGUCUCGAUGAUUCCCUACAAAAAAAAUAAAUAUGGUCAAAUAACCACAAACAAAAAAAAAAAAAAAAAAAAAGGCAUAAUCUCCCCUAAAAUUGUUAUACCACAAAUCCAACCCAAACUCCAAUCCCUCCCCUUUACUCAACCCCAAAACCCACACAAACUCAAAAUUAACUCCAAAAACACAUAUUAAUGAAAAAAAUUUAAAAUUUGGAGAGAAUAUACCUUUUGGCAAGAUUGAGAGUGAAUGAGAGGGAGAAGUGAGUGUGAGAGAAUUAGAGAAGAUAGUGAUAGAGAGAUGAGAGAGAUGAGAGAGUGAGUGAGAGAGAGUGAGAGAUAGUGAAGAGAGAGAUGAGAGAUUAAGUGAGAGGAGUGAGUGAGAGAAAUGGUGGGAUUUGGGGAGAGGGAAAGAGAAAGGAGAGGUAAGAGUAGAGAAAGGCAUUGAGAAAAUGGUGGAUGAGUUAUUUCGGUUUUAAAAACCGUAUCACUUUGCGUGACGAAAAAUAUUGUUGGUCGCGCAAAGGUUUGCGCGACGAAAAAUAUUGGAAUAUUGAUCGCGCAAACUUUUGAGCGACGAAACAUAUUGGUCGCGCAAAGUCUAAAAAAAUUAUUUAAAAAAAAUAAAAAUCCCCGCGUCCCAUUUUUGGUACCCGCCAAAAUUUUUAAAUUUUUGCGCGACGAAUAUAGGAAUAUUGAUCGCGCAAAGUCUAAAAAAAUUAUUUAAAAAAAUAAAAAUCCCCGCGUCCCAUUUUUGGUACCCGCCAAAAUUUUUAAAUUUUUGCGCGACGAAUAUAGGAAUAUUGGUCGCGCAAAGUCUAAAAAAAUUAUUUAAAAAAAUAAAAAUCCCCGCGUCCCAUUUUUGGUACCCGCCAAAAUUUUUCAAUUUUUGCGCGACGAAAAAUACAUAUUGGUCGCGCAAAGUCUAAAAAAAUUAUUUAAAAAAAUAAAAAUCCCCGCGUCCCAUUUUUGGUACCCGCCAAAAUUUUUAAAUUUUUGCGCGACGAAAAAUACAUACUGGUCGCGCAAAGUCUAAAAAAAUUCCCGCGUCCGAUUUUUGGUACCCGCCCAAAUUUUUGCGAGACGAAAAAUAUAUAUUGGUCGCGCAAAGUUUUGAGCGACAAAAAAUAUUGGUCGCGCAAAGUCUAAAAUUUUUUUAUUUUUUUUUUAAAAUCCAGCGUCCCAUUUUUGGUACCCGUCCAAAUUUUUAGAGUUUUGCGCGACAAACUGUUGGUUGCGCAAACUUUUGAGAGACGAAAAAUUGGUUCGUAACACAAUAUUUAUAAAAAUAAUUGUUAUGAAUAAUAAAAAUAAAAUUAUUUUAUUUUACAAUUUAAAAUAUAAAUAAGGUUAAAGCUGCUUAAGAAAUAUAUAUACUAUUCAAUUUCUUAAGUGUUAUACGUACAAAAUAAAUAAAUUUAAAGGUACUUAAUAAAUAAAUAUAUAUACACACACCAUUCAACGAUCCAACCGUCAGACUUAUUUGUAUAUACUUCAAGAUCGUAUACCCCAAAAAUCACAAAAAACAAACAUUUAGAGAUCUAGUAACGAGACAAAACUUUUCGAUGGUUAUAAAUGAAAAAUUACGAUUUAACGGUUAUUUUAACUCCGAUUUUGAUGAUUUUUUUUUACAGCUACACUCCUUGACCAUAUAUGAAUACAAUGACUGAAUUUGAUCUUCAAUUUAAAAUAUUUACACUAGUGGAUACCACAAAAUCUUAUGUUAUAUCUAACGAACGUAUAAAUAACCUCUUAAUUGUUAGUGAAUAUAUUGUUUUGAUGGCAUAUGCAUUCACCAAAACUAGUUUCAACGAUCCAACCAUCAAACUUGUUUGUUUAUACUUCGAGAUCAUAUACGCCAAAAAUCAGAAAAAAUAAACAUUCAGAGAUCAAGUAAUGGGACAAAAAUUUUCGACGGUUAUAAUGAAAAAUCACGAUUUAACGGUUAUUUUAACUCCGAUUUUGAUGAUUUUUUACAGCUACACUCCUUGACCCUAUAUGAAUACAAUGACUGAAUUUGAUCUUCAAUUUAAAAUAUUUACACUAGUGUAUACCACAAAAUCUUAUGUUAUAUUUAACGAACGUAUAAAUAAACUCUUAAUUGUUAGUGAAUAUAUUGUUUUGAUGGCAUAUGCAUUCACCAAAACUAGUUUCAACGAUCCAACCGUCAAACUUGUUUGUUUAUACUUCGAGAUCAUAUACGCCAAAAAUCGGAAAAAAUAAACAUUCAGAGAUCAAGUAAUGGGACAAAACUUUUCGACGGUUAUAAUGAAAAAUCACGAUUUAACGGUUAUUUUAACUCCGAUUUUGAUGAUUUUUUACAGCUACACUCCUUGAACCUAUAUGAAUACAAUGACUGAAUUUGAUCUUCAAUUUAAAAUAUUUACACUAGUGGAUACCACAAAAUCUUAUGUUAUAUUUAACGAACGUAUAAAUAAACUCUUAAUUGUUAGUGAAUAUAUUGUUUUGAUGGCAUAUGCAUUUACCAAAACUAGUUUCAACGAUCCAACCGUCAACCUUGUUUGUUUAUACUUCGAGAUCAUAUACGCCAAAAAUCGGAAAAAAUAAACAUUCAGAGAUCAAGUAAUGAGACAAAACUUUUCGACGGUUAUAAUGAAAAAUCACGAUUUAACGGUUAUUUUAACUCCGAUUUUGAUGAUUUUUUACAGCUACACUCCUUGACCCUAUAUGAAUACAAUGAACUAAUUCGAUCGUCAAUUUAAAAUAUAUAUUUUCUAACAAAAACCCAAUCUGAACAACAAUAAUAUAUUUUUCUAACAAAAAUCCGAUCCGAUCUAAAAUAAUAAAUUUAAAGCUACUUAAUAAAUAUAUAUACUGUUUAAUUUCUUAAGUGUUAUGCAUACAAAAUAAAAAACAAAAAUAAAUUAGUAUAGGCGACAAAAUGUUUGGAUUACGUCAUGCAAAGAUUUUAAAAUAUAUAUAUAUAUUAUUUUUAUAAGGACUUUGCGCGACGAAGUUCAUUGUUUCGUCGCGCAAAGUCACUUUGAGCGACGAUGUAUUGUUGUCGCGCAAAAGUUUGUCGCGCAAAGUUACUUUGCGCGACGAAUUUUUUUUCAUCGCUCAAAAUUUGGUCGCGCAAGACUUUGAGUGACGAUGUAUUGUCGUCGCGCAAAAGUUUGUCGCGCGAAGUGACUUUGCGCUACGAAUUGUUUUUCGUCACGCAAAAUUUGGUCGCGCAAGACUUUGAGCGACGAAGUUUUGAGUUUCGUCGCGCAAAGUGACUUUGAGCGACGAAUAGUUUUUCGUCGCGCAAAAUUUGGUCGCGCAAGGGGUUUUUUUUUACUAGUAUGAGUUUUAUAUACAAUUUAUAACAAUAUUUUCAGGCAAAAAAAUGUCUUGGCAAGAAAAUGUACAAUUUGUUACGUACUUAACUGGAACGAUUACCUUCAAAUUCCUAUGGCCAAUUACCUUCUUUUUUCUUCCUUUUUUUUUUUUUUUUUUUUUUGGUUGUUGUUGUUCUUUUGAUCAAGUUGCAUAUUCCAAAGAACGAAAACCAGUACAGGCUCUUUUCCAAUGCAAGCUCUUUUCCCAUGUUUCCCUCUGUUUUUCUCCUAUUUUUCUUAUAUGGAAGUGAUUAAAAUACACCUCUAAGCUUGUUUUGCGUUUGGUAACCGACUGUAAAAGCUCAAUGCAGAUAGUUUGAGGUAGAAUUUUCUCCAAUUUUACUAGCACAGUGAUAAGCUAUACUAUAUGUAACAACAAAUUGCUUUAAUAAUGAUAAUGAAAAAAGUGUGAUCCAUCGAAUAUUUGCGGGGUUUUGUUCCAAGUCAACACAUCAAAUUCUUUUACACCAUGAAAUUAAAAAAAAUUUAUUCAACCAUCUCGACCUUAUGCUCGAUCAUUUUGCACAAGCAACCGUCCACGUACCCCAAUAAUUUAAAAGGGCUGAUGAUCUUUAAUUUGGCGAAAGCUUCUAUCUACUUCUACCGCGCUAUAUAUGAGCUAUGCAAUUGUGACGGUGUUACAUGACGUCACAAUGUCGUAGGGAUAAAAAAAUAAUAGUCAUGGUUUCUUAUUAAUGUUAAUACAGGCAUAGCAAAAAGCUUGUAUUUCUAGUGGUUAAGAACAAUUACCCAUGCACUUGAGAUAUUAUGUGCUUAAAUCCCCUCUUCCCCAAUAUUUCUUGUAUAAAAAUAAAAAUAAAAAUAAAAAUAAUAAAGAUAUUGAUAUUGUAUUCUAUAAAGUGUUGGACAUGUUUUAUACCCCUUUACUGCAAAUUACAGUUUGACACAUGUACAAAAAUAAUAGGUAAGUGUUGGACAUCAAGAGUACUUACAUAUAGGUUUAAUAGGUAAGUUUUGAAUAUUUCUGUCUUUAGCUUUAAUUAUUGAAAAUCAACCUAUUAUCAUAUUAAAGACUUAUCCAUGUUCAACGUACAUUCUCUUAUUUUUCUCUCAUUGAAGUAAAUACAAAACUAAGCACAUAGUGGAAAAGUAGGUCACGAUUAGGGGUGGGUUUGGUCUGGGUUGGUUCAGUUUUGGGCUCAACCCGAACACCGAACCGUAGACCUCGAUUUGGCUAUUUUGGAAACCAAAACUAAACCAUAAUUAAUGAAAACCGACCACUUCAAUUACCUUCUGGUCUUCCAACCAGAAGAAAACUCAAAACUUUAACCAUACCAAGUGCAACAGAAUUACACCAGGCUGGAGUCAAGUUUAUGAUGGUUAAAGAUAAAAACUUAUUUGACAUACAAUUUGAGAAUGGAAUCCUCAAAAUUCCACACCUGCGAAUACAGGGUUAAACAGAAAUUUUCUUCCGCAAUUUUAUUGCCUAUGAGCAGUGUGAGCUCCAUGAUCAUUACAUCAACAACUAUGUCUUCGUCAUGGACCGCCUGGUCGACAGUGCCAGGGAUGUGGAAUUGCUUGUGAAGAGUGGAAUUCUUGAAUCCAUGCUACCGGACAGCGAGGCAGCAGGGGAAUUUAUUAAUUCUCUUGACUUGGGGCCUAUUUUAGGCAAGCUUGAAACAAGACUAUUUCAGUUCACCAUGGGCUGGCCUGUCUAUUAUUGUAGCCGCUAUACUAGUUGUGCUCACAUUUAUUCAAACAGUGUGCUCCGUAAUGGCGCUGUAGGUUCUUCAUUUCCUCAAUUUCAUGUUUAGUGGUUGCAGAUUUGUUGCUCAUGUACGUGUUUAUCUAAAGUUAAAUAAGAGUGAUUGACUGAUAGUCUGUUAGUUUGUUUUUCUGGGGUUUUUCCCCUGUUCGUCAAAAAAGAAAAAGAGAAAGAGUGAUUGCUUGUGCCUGUUUGGGCCUAAUUUGACACACCCAAUCCAAAAUCAAAAAGUCCAUGUCAAUUUUGGACAGCCACCAGCAUUCCCUUUGUAAUUAGGCCAAAAACUGCACACCCAACCUAGCACUGGAGCCUAGAACAAACAAGGUAAACUCAGGACCCAAGCAGUUUGAUUUUUUCAUUUAAAUUGGAAUCAAGGGCCCCAAGUCAAAAAAGCCCAAGCCCAAGGCAGAUUUUUUACCAAAAAGACCCAAGGAAGCCCAGUGCAUGCGAAUUGCUUAGCCCACAAUCCCAAAACUCAAAACUAAGUUUGGCAUGAUUAAAUAAAGAUAGAGAGAAGCCCAAAAUUGAAGAAACCCAAAACAGUUUUAUCAAAAUUGUCAGCUCUCUACCCAAGACCUAAAAAGGGUCAAAAAUACCACUAUUGGCAAAAUUGACGCACUCAGCCUUGGAUCACAAAGAAAUCCACGUGACUAUUUGACUUUGAGAAGUCAACAAUUUCAACUAGUCACAAGAGAAGUUGAUUGGAAUUAAUGUAGGCAGGUCAUUACAGAAAAGACUUCUUUGAAACUCUGUAGCCAAAAGAUCAAAAUCCCUUUCUAUAUAAUUCUGCAUCAGAGUAGGUGGUCUUUCCAAGAGAUAAGCAGACUACGUUUUCAAGAGAUAAGUAGAGAAUGAGGGAGUUGUUCAACAAGAAAAGCAAACUAACCAUCAUGAUAGGUUGUGUUCUUUCUCUCUACAAAAAACAAUAGGGAACAAAGAAGAGUUGGUUUUUCUUUCAGAAAAAGGAAGGAAAAGACCUACAUGAAAACUAAUUAUUGAUGGUUCUUCUCUGCCAGAACAGAUAACUUCUCAUUUUCUUUGACAUUUAAAAAUGAAAGGUCUCGCUUUUACAAAAUCUGCCGCCCAUUAUUUAAAGAUUAGAAAACCCACUCCAGCAUUUCCUAUAAAUAUGAGAGGAGGUGAUGUCACAUCACGGGAUUGGCUCUGCCGUAGCACGAUAUUGUCCACUUUGCGCCCCCCUCUCUACCCUCACGGUUUUAUUUUUGGGAACUCACGAGCAACUUCCCAGUGGGUCACUCAUCUUGGGAUUGCUCUAGCCCCCAGCUCGCUUAACUUCGGAGUUCCCAUGACUCCGAAGCCAAUGAGCUCCCAAAAGGCCUCGUGUUAGAUGGAGGCGGGCAUGUACAUAUAAGGCACAUCACCUCCUCUCCGUUGGUCGAUGUGGGAUGUUACAGGUGAACAUAUCAAAGGACAGCCAAAAAAUCAAUCAAAGACAAAAACUCAAAAUGAUCACUUGAUCUCAAAAGCCUUCAAAACACUGAAGCAAGCAAAGCUCAUUGAGCCACAACGAACAAGUCAGCUAGAAUUCAGAAUCUUUAGAGUCAGUUCAGUUUCAGAGAAAUAAUCAAAGAAAGCGAGAUCUCUCUCGUUACAAAUUUGGUUCAGCUUAAAGCCAAAACAAGCAGAGUUCAGGUUCUUACAAAUAUGAAAACCUCAAUAAAUUUAUGGAGAGCCCUGAUCAAGCAAAACAGGUACUACAGUGCAGUUCUAGCUUAGUAAUAAUCAAAUCCACCCACUUCUGCCCCUUCCAGAUUGAGAAGGUCCCAAUUCUGCCCAUUCAAAAAGCCUUCCAAGACUUGAAAUAGAUUAAAGCUCUGCCAAACUCAAAUGUUGGAAUCAAUUCGCAGCUGAAACAUGACAGUUGAAGGUGUUGAUAGUCCAGUCCAGCACAGACAUACCCAGUCUAGCCCAGAUCAGAAGCAUUCACCGAGGCAGAAAUUGAAGUCCAAAGCUCUUUUUGUCUUUUUAGAGUUGGUCUUCCUUUUCUGAGCUUUGUAAAAGGCAAUUCUGCCUAAAACAGUUCACUUUCUUAUCAUUUAUUCUGGCCAGAACUACCAGUUUUGUACUGUGAAAAAUUAUGAAGUCCUCACCAGUCUAAGGCAAGAAAAGAACUUACUUGGGAGAUAUUCCUCACCAAAUUCACAACCGUUUGUUUAGAAAUCAGUAACUUGGUGUAACGACCCGGUCCUAAAUAAAUUGGUAAUUAUUAAUUUAUUCAGAUAAAAGACCAUUUUGCCCAUAGAAUAUUUUAAUAGGUUUACAUGUUGACCCGGGAGGCUUCGGUGAAAUUGUUACAUCUCGGUCCGAAAAAGUGUUAAAAUAAUUAAAGUAGAGUGCUGCUAAAAGAACCCUAAAAUUAACUGAGUACACCCUAUGAUCUAAGUACACCCUAAUAUUUUAAUUAAAAUAUAAAAUUAACUAAGUACACCCUAUAAAACUAUCAAAAAUAACACUGAUACACCCUAAUACUUGUAGCAUUAUUUUAUAGUUGAUUAUUUUAAUAGUGUUUAUAAAUCUUUGACUUUUCAUAUGGAUUUAUGCUUCUACUAAAAUUGUUGCCACUUUUUUUCCAAUUCCAAGUUCUUGCAAUCACCACAUCUUUCGUUAAAAACACAAUAGGACAAGCAAUCUCUUGAUUAGGGUUGAAUAUGGUUAGUAGGGUGUACUUAUUAAUAUUAUAUUUGUUUCACAAUUCCAUAUAUCCUUUUUGGUCAUUUUAUAUUAGGGUAAACCAGUAAUUCAAUAUAUACUUUUAUAGUAGGGUGUACUCAGUUAAUUUUAGGGUUCGUUUAGCAGCACUCUUAAAGUAAGAGAGAAUAAAAUGAAAUAAACAUUAAAAUAAAAUGAUUUGAAUUAAUUAAGGUUUUUGAGAAAUUAAAAUAUUAUUUAAUAUUAUAAGGGGAAAAAGAUCAUUUUAAGUUUGGGAAGGAAUUUGGAAAUUCCAAUUGUACCGUUGUGUAGAGCAUGUCGAAACGAGUCCGUAGACACGUAGUGGACUCGAAUCGUAGUUAUAACGGAGAAAUGGCGAUCAAAAGAAGUUCAGUGGCAUAGCCAUAAAUAUUUCGAAGUUCAGUUUUUUUAAAACCCAAAUUUCUUCUCUCUGGGGAGUGGGAGAGCCAACUUCAAAUGGUGAUUUCUCCCAACUCCGACCACCACACUUCCCUCUUCCUUCAGUUUUGGCAUCAUGAUGGGUUCCAUCCCGGAAUGACACAUUUUCGACGCUAAGGACGUCACAAAUGGUAUUUGAGAUGCUUUGUAAAUUUGUAACCAUGGAAAACACAAUGAACUUUAUGUUCGGAGUUGCAAGAGAACAUUAAGGGGAAUAUGGAGAGUGGGAAAAUAGUAAUAAGUGGAGAUCUGUAUGCUUACUUACUACUGAACUUCCGUCGUGGUGGUUAGUAUGAAAAAGUGUUAGAGAUUAUAGAUUUUAUGGAGGAACAUGGUUGUACACUGAUAAGUAGUCGGUAGGAGUUGAUUUAAGUUCCAAGAGAAAUUCAUUAUGAACUGGGAUGAAUUACUGCAAGAUUCUUGCUGUUUUGAAGUUAUUGAUUUUAGGGGCAUCACCUCUGAAUGAUCAUAAUAACCAUGCGUGGGCUCUGCAUGAGGUUUCUUUGACAUUGUUUGAUUUUGUGUAUUGAUAAUUACACUUAGGGGUGUCACGUUUCUAGAAACGUGUCUAUCCAAAUUGUUGUAUCUCAAUAUCCUAUGGAAGGAAAGCUGAGAAGCUGAAAAUACUGGAUUUAUGGUGGUGAGAUAAAAAUUGUCAGGAACUUUCAAAAGUCAAAUUAUUUCACAAAGGGAAAUACUGGAGAGAAGUAUUAGAGAAUUUUCUUUGGAUAAGUUAUAUAGGAGUGGAGGAGUUGCGAGUUUAACCAAGGAGGGUUGUGACAAUUUAAAUUGAGAAGUAGUGGUGUUGGGUGAAGUAUUAUUUCAUUCGCGUGGGCUUGAAUGCCGCGAUUGACAGGAAUGGAACAUUAGGGUUCUUCUUCCUUGCUCUCUCACGCGAGCUCGCCAUAGAGAGUAUUUCUUGGCGUGGUACUGGCUUCGUCCGACCUCCGAUUACUGUGAUUUUUGAAAGGACCCGGCCCAAAUUUCUCAAAAUCCGAGGCGAAUCCUGUGAAAUUCCCGACAUCACUCCGAUGCCAGGCCCACUUACUAAAGACCGAGACUUUCUGCCGAACUUUCGGCAGAGUCUCCCCUAUAAAUUGGACAUUUUCCAAAACUACCACCUGCAUAAAACACAAUUUAUAUCCCCAACUGGCAGCAUGCACAAGAUAAUUUCAUGCAAAUCACAUAAUCGGCCUGCGGCCUUCAAAUAAUUCAAAACGAAACCACCAAGCACACUAUCAAAUUAAUUCCUACCUUAAACAAGGCAAACAAUAAAUUUAAAUAUGAAUUAUGACUACUAAAUUUCAACAUACGAGGUUUUAACCUCCUAACACAAUCACAUCUAUGUCCGCGGCUGCACCUAAUAACCUUAGGCUGCCUACGUACCUUCACUGAGGGAUCAAGCCACACGUAGUUCUUCCGUAAAACCCAAUUCCACACAUAGGCAAUACCUUUAUUCAUUUCUCUGUAUUUCACAUAAUCUCCCCAUACGCCAGUACUACCAUUGCCACGUAUGGGACUUGUCAACAAGCCGGAUAACCUACACCACGUGCGAUCUCAACAUAAUAUCACAUAAUCUCCUCAUACGCCGGUACAACCAGCGCCACGUAUGGGGCCUGUCAACACGCCGGAUAACCUACGCCACGUGCGACCUCAUCAUACUAUCACAUGAUCUCCCCAUACGCAGGUACAACCAACACCACGUAUGGGGCCUGUCUCAACGCCGGAUAACCUACGCCACGUGAGACCUGAACAUAAUAUCACAUAUCUCCUCAUACGCCGGUACAACCAAUGCCACGUAUGGGGCCUGUCAACACGCCGGAUAACCUACGCCACAUGCGACCUCAAUAUACUAUCACAAUAUCUCCCCAUACGCCGGUGCAACCAACGCCACAUAUAGGGUCUGUCUCAAAUUGGAUAACCUACGCCACGCUAGACCUCAACAUCAUAUCACAAUAUCUCCUCAUACGCCGGUACAACCAACGUCACGUAUGGGGUCUGUCCGCAUGCCGGAUAACCUACGCCAUGUGGGACCUAACUUUCACAGAGUGGUACUUGUAGUGUAACCAAAAUCUGGGGAGGUGCCUAAGGUAGUGCAUAUAGCACUUCAAACUGACAUUCUCUCACUUAUCUAAACUAAUACUAGAGGUCUUCCCAUUUUAAUGGUACCAGUCUAUAGUAGAUUGUAACGUAAUUUAAUCAUAAAAAUAAUAUUAUUUCUAGACCAACGAUUAUUCACAUAAACAUGAAUUUCAUAAUUUCACUAUUUAAAAUAAUAUCUAAAAGUUUCCUAUAAUACAAAUAAACACUCUAAAGAUCCCAACUUAGUCAACACAGCUCAACAAUGCUCAAGACCUGUCAUUAGGGUCAUUAUGAUCCUUCUAGGAAGGUAAAACUACCUCGAAAGACUCAAGGUCAACCAAGGGUCAAACCACCCACAAUUGGUCAAACGGGCCCACGGGGCCCACGACCUCCAAAUUCCAAUCCGAAGGUUCCUAUGGGAUCUACAAGGUAUAGGACACUCGUCUUGCAAGUUAAGCCUAGAUCGGAUGGUCAGAUCGCUCACGAUCGCACAAUCUGAUGGUUAAUAUAAAACAUAAACUUUAAAUUAUUUAAUCGGAACAUCCGGGGCUCCCGAUUCACGAUCUGUUCCUACACGAUCCUAGAAAUACAUAGAUUAACAUAUAUUAAAUUUGAGACCAUCCAACGGUCCUAACCUAUCGAACCCGGAUAACGCGCAAUAGGCGAUAUUCGUUCGAUAGUCAAACGACGUCCGAAUUGAGAUUUACGAAAUCCUACGCACUCGUGACAACCUAAGGAUCUCAUUGAGACAUAUUGCUAUCCCAAAACCGACCGAAAUCCAAUUCGAAAAUCGAGUUACUUACGUUAAGAAUCGACCGAAUCCUACCCAACAGGCAGCUAGAGCAUGAAAAGUAUGUGAGAAACCAUACCUCACUCGUCGAAAUCAGUGGCCAAAGGAGGGAGAUCGACGAUAGAGAAGUUCGGACGAACUGACCGCUUCUUCUCCAUUUUUCAGCGAAACCACGGUAGCUGGUGGCGGGACCUAGCUGGGGUUGGAAGAGGAUGACGCCCCGGUCAUUUUGGUAUCGGCCUCGUGGUCAUCGGUGGCCGGAUGAGAAAACAGCCGGCGAAAAUGUGACCGGCUGCCGUUGCGCACGCGAGAGAGACCACGAGAGAGAGAGAGAGAGAGAGAGAGAGAGAAAUCUGAUUGUGCCACUGAGAUUCUUUUGACCAUAUCUCUCUCGUUACAACUCCGAUUCAAGCCCACCACGUGUCUACGGACUCAUCUCGGUACGACCUAUCCAAAAAUACCAAUCACUACCCCAAAUACUUUUUGGAUCAGAAAGUGACCAAAUUACCCCUACCUCAAUGGUAACUUUGUAAUUUCACUUAAAUAAUUUAAAUAAGGGAUUAAAUUUGGAGUCGGGGUGUUACAAUUUUUGUUGCUAAAUGUUGUCAUCAUUUCUCCUCUACAUCACUCAGUGAUCAUUCACUCCCAUUUCUCUAGUUUACACGGUGAAUUUUAUUUCUAAAAUUUCUUAAAAUUCCGGCCACUGUGAGUUUGACCAGCGACUUGGGUUACUUUUGCCCAUCUUUUUGGAAAUGGAACCGAUUUGAGGAAGAUUAGGAGGAAAGAUACAUAGGCCGCUGAGGCAGAAGUAAAGCCGGAGCUUUACCAUAGACAGAAGUUGUUUUAGAAGUCCUGGAAGAUUGUGAACAGGAAUUGGAAGUUUGCAUGGGGUGAUAGGAUUUUUAGUACUUGUGCAAACAGUGUUAAAAAUCACAUAAAAUACUUGCAAGAAUACAAGGCUAUUGUAGUCUAGAUGCUCAUGCAAGGUCGUUUUCCUCAAGGACUAAUUAGCAAUUUAUGUAAAAAUAAAUUCCAAUUACUACUUAAAAUAAAAAGUCAAGAAAGAUGAUUAUAAAUUUGGUUGAUUCUAAAAAACAAAUAUUAAACAAAAACAAAUACGAUUGAAAGAAAGAGUUUUGAAUAUCAAUUUAUAAAAACACUAGGGUUUCACCAUCACCUAGCAAUCCUAUGAACUUUUACCAAUUACUUAUGAUUUGCACAUGCCACUUUGAAGGUUAGGUUUUCCUAAUGUAUAUUCUACUUAGAACCUCCAACACAGAAUGUAUAUCCAACAUGCAACCCGUCCGGACGUUCGGAUCAAAUCUGAACAUGAAAGACUCAUUAAGUUUUGUGAAAACCCUUUGAAAAACCAUGCAACCCUUAAGACGUGGUGUUCAUCUUAAGUGAAAUUACAAUUAUUAAUCAGAAGAAGCUAGCAUCAAUUUCAGGGAACCUUCCGACCAAAAUUGCAUCCAAUUACUUUUCUAAAGAUCCUAAUGGUGAUCAGGCAUUAAGACAAUUAGAUAGUUUAAAACAGUGAUUAACAAUUCAAAAUACGCAUGCACUCAUCAUAAGCAAUUAAAUAAAAAUCACAUAUUCAUGCUAAGGUUCAAGGCUUCACCCUAGCAAAAGAAAUUUAGUUACGCAUACUCAUAAUUGAAAUCCAAGAAAAUAUCAUUAAGAAGAAAAGAACGAAAACACCUGAAAGUUGUGAAAACCCAAAACCCUAGCAAUUGCUCUCCACAAUGCAAAGUUCAAAAGUGAAAAGGGAGUCCUCCAUUCCUUGUGAGAAAGAGCUUAAAUACCCCUUAAAACCUAGCUGCCAAUGUACAGCUUUUCUAUCCCCACAAGGAAACUAAUUAAAAUAAAAUAAUACUAGGAAAUAAAGUCCAAAUUGGAAUAGGAGAAUCUGCUCAAAAUCUGCCCAGCCACGUUUUGGCCCCAAAUCUCCUCCAAAUCUGGCCCAAGAUAGCUUGUUUUAAAGAUAAAAAAUGUUCUGAACACUUCUUUAGAAGGCCACGAACCCAUCCGAGGUCAUCUUGGGCUCCAAAAACGCAAUAAAAGCCCAACACGUCACUAUUCCAGCACCGCGCACUGCUCCUUUAUUUUGUUGCCAGAAAAUAACCGCUUGGAAGAAAAAUCUGAAAUUUUGAUACGAUCAAGCUAAGUGACUCAAGAACGUCCUCCAACUGGAAUUACUCCAAAAUUCCUCAAUUUGAUUAUGUUUUGCUCCAGAGAGAUUCGAAAGUCCUAUAUUGGAAAUAUAAUUCAAAGUAUCAAAAGUCUUCCAAAAUAAUAACCAAAAUAUACUAAGAAUGAGGUUAAAUAUAUAAUAUAAAAUAUGUCCAUCAAAAUACCCCCAAACUUAGCUUUUGCUUGUCCUCAAGUGAAACAAGACUCAAACAAAAAUAAAAACUUAACAGAUUAGACAUCUGGCUAACACUUAACUAGGACAAAAUUUCCACCUUCAAGUUGCAAUCCAUAGAAAAUUUUAAAAACUAGAACAUCCUUUCAAUAGAUCUAAGUAAUCCCACCACAAAGUCUAAGCUAUUUAGACUCAAUUAGAAAAGAAUUCACAAACUUCUUUCGGUGCAAAGUGAACCAUUAUGGUUAUGGAGACUUGACUAAAACCCUUAACUCUCAUCCCUUUUAUUCAUACUUCACACACUCCACACUUUUUGUUUUUUUUGUUUUUUGUUUUUUGUUUUUUUGUUUUUUUUUCUUUUUGUUUUUAUAGUAACAGUAGUGGUUGUGCAAUGUUGGUUCCCUUAAGCUUUCAAUCCAACCGUGUAGCCAGCUUUAGGUCAAUGUCUCCCAAACCACUCGGGUUUUAGGGCACUAGGUGUAGAACACCCCUAAGGACUUAUUAACUCAAGCUGAAAAGGCUACGAAACCAACUAACCACCCUGCCUCAUGCCAAAACUCUACCUUUUGUCUCGAGAAUCACUGCUGAUUAGGCAGGAUUGACCCGGUUACUAGCAAAGCUUCGGGUGAGGUAAUUAUUACUUUAUAACACAAACUAACUUUAUUUAUAUUGAACAUAAAUUAAAACACAUUUGGACAAAAAGUAAGUAUUCCAAUCUCACUCCCCAAAAACCAUGUUGGUGUGAUGUGCAAAUUUCAAAGUAUAAUUCAUGAAUUAAUGUCUAAGCAACAAUAAAUAGAAAAUACUCUACCGUGGGAUUGAUUUUCACCAUGUCCAUUUGUUCUAACGUUUAAAAUAAUCUAUGGAUAUUGACUGAAAAACGAAAAUUUGUAAACAAGACUCAAAAAAUGAAAAAUAAAAAAAAUUACGUUCCCACCCCCUAACUUAAAUCACACAUUGUCCUCAAGGUGGGGUAAAUAAUCAAAAGAAACAAGAGCAGAAACAAAACGACUAAAACUUAGAAAAUGGAAAUCAAAAAUAAAGAAAAUACUCUAAGAAAAGAAAUUAGGAAGGCAAAGGAUGAGAUCCAGAUGGAUCUGGUAAUCCUAUCCGUAGAGAUGGAAAGAUUCUAUACACGCCAUUGAGACUGGAUUUGGAGAUGAGGAUUUGACCCUACCUUGUUCGACGAAUUCCCUCAAGGGGAAUUAUAGCAAUAAAAUACAUAUGCUUCUACAAACAUUUAAUUGCACUGCUACGACGUGGAAAGAGUGCUUUGGGGUCUCAUCUCAUGUGAACCCGUUCGAGUAGAAAUCUUUCAUUAGAAUCAGAAAUGGGUCAUGGUAAAGAGAGGUAGAUGAUGAUUACAGUUCGGUAAAAAUGAUCAUUUCUGACAUUCCUCUCAAAGAACCGUGUUGGCAAUGUCGUUUAUCGAUUCUAAAGAAAGAAGAAAAAUAUCAACAAGUCAAAGAACGUGGAUUUCUUUUAAGGGGAGAGCUAGAACAAAAUCAAAUCACGAAUGGAAGAGUUUAGCUUUCAGAGGAAGAUUGAGCAUUACAGCAGCUAUUAAAGGAUAUUUUUAGUUGAAGAAUGAGAUUUUUCUUCCUCUGAUUGUUUAGCUAGAGCUUUUGGCUUGACUGCCAACGUGGUUGUGGAGGAAGAAACUUGGGAACCCGAGUAGUAGAUGCGAGCCCACUACCCAUACCCCUUUUGAGUGACAGGUAUGAAAUUUCAAGGAUGAAAUUUUUAUAAGAGGGGUAGAUUGUAACGACCCGGUCCUAAAUAAAUUGGUAAUUAUUAAUUUAUUCAUAUAAAAGACCAUUUUGCCCCCAUAAUAUUUUAAUAGGUUUACAUGUUGACUUGUUGACCGGGGAGGCUUUGGUGAAAUUGUUACAUCCCGGUCUGAAAAAGUGUUAAAAUAAUUAAAGUAAGAGAGAAUAAAUUGAAAUAAACAUUAAAAUAAAAUGAUUUGAAUUAAUUAAGGUGUUUGAGAAAUUAAAAUAUUAUUUAAAAUUAUAAGGGGCAAAAAGAUCAUUUUAAGUUUGGGAAGGAAUUUGAAAAUUUUGAUUGUACCGUUGUGUGGAGCACGUCGAAACGAGUCCGUAGACACAUAGUGGACUCGAAUCGGAGUUGUAACGAAAAAAUGGCGAUCAAAAGAAUUUCAGUGGCAUAACCGUAAAUAUUUUGAAGUUCAGUUUUUUUAAAACCCACAUUUAUUCUCUCUGGGGAGUGGGACGUGCCAACUUCAAAUGGUGAUUUCUCCCAACUCCGGCCACCAAUUCAAGUAAGACCGGCCCCGUUAGAACCACCACACUUCCCUCUUCCAGUCCCAGCCCAUCUCAGUCUCGAUCCGCCGUCGUAGUCGCCGAAAAUCGCCACGAAACAAGGUGGUUUGGAUAGUUUUUGUCGAAAUUUCGUGGAGCUCGUUCUCCCUCCUCCGGCCACCGUUUCAGGCGAGUGAGGUAUCAUUUCUCACCUAUUUUCUAUGAUAUAGCUGAUGGUUGGAUAUGAUUUGAUAAAUUUUGAGCGUUGAUAGUUCGAUUUUCGAAUCAAAGUUUGGCCGAAUUUCGGGAUGAAAUUCCGGCCACUUUCGAUCACUUUUUGGGGUAGGCCCAAGAACAAAAGUGUCUUCAAUUGAUGUCCUGAUCCCAGGGUAAGAGCAUUGGUCGAAAAUUUUGAGAUUUUCCUGCUGGUGGUAUCGCUUUGGGCACCCAUGCGCUGAUGGCGCGUGUGGCAGCGUGUGGGCACUGUAGCAGAGGGCCAUUGUGUCCCAAUGCGACCCCCUUGUUGUCACGAGUGCGUAAGGGUGCUCGGAUUCCAAUUUGGUUGAGGUUUGAACCCCGAAUGGAUUUCGUAUAUUGUACAUUAUCCGGGUUUGAUAGGUUUGAACCGUUGGAUAGUCUUGAAUUUAAUAUAUGUUAGUCUAGACAUCCCUAGGAUCAUAUAGGAUUUCGCGGAUCAUGGAUCGGAGCCCCGGAUGUUCUGAUUUAAUAAAUUAAAGUUUGUGUUUUACAAUAACCGUCCGAUCGUGCGAUCGCGAGCAAUCCGACAGUCCGAUCCGAACCAAACUUGCAGGACGGGUAUCCUAAAUCUUGUAGAACCCAUAGGAGCUUUCGGAUAAGAAUUUGGAGGUCGUGGGCCCGGUUGACCAAGAUUAGGUAGUUUGACCCCUCGGUUGACCAUGAGUCUUCCGAGGUAGUUUCACCCUUCGAGGAGUACUAGAAUGACCUUAUUACAUAGUCUCGACCUUUAAUUGAGCUAUGUUGACUAUGUUGAGAUUUUUAGAGUGUUUAUUAUUAUCGUAUGAAAACUCUUGGAUAUUACUUUUAAUAAUUGAAAUUAUGGAUUUGAUGAGCGUGGGUAAAUUGAUUUGAUGAGUGGUGAAAAGAAGUCGUGGGCUUGGCUAUGACUAUUAGGAAGUGAGGGGACAUUUAUGUUGAAUAUGCAUUAAUUUCAACAAUUGAAAGAACAUGCAUGGAAUGGGUAUAUAUAUAUAUAUAGAUAAAUUGGAUUAAAGAUUGAGAAAUUAAUAAGUUGAGAUAUUAGUAAUAUUUAAUUGAGAAAUGGAUUUUGAGGUGGAAAUUGGAAGGUUGAAUUUGGGGAAUUUUGGAAUUGAGAAUUAUGGGUUAAUACUGAAAGAUGUAGGAUUAUACUAUGUAAGUACCAUCCCCUAGUUACUAGGCUUCCCAUACGUGGAGUUGGAAUUUCUGGCGUGUGGGAAGGAUAUAUGAUUAUUAGAUCUCACAUGCCGUUGGAUUUUCCAGCGUGAGACAGACCCCAUACGUGGGGUUGGAUUUUUCGGCGUAUGGGGAGAUUAUGUGAUGGUUAGGUCACACGUAGGGUGGGAUUUUCCAACGUGUUGACAGACCCCAUAAGUGGCGUUGGAUUUUCCGGUGUAUAGGGAGAUUAUGUGAUGGUUAGGUCACACGUGGCAUAGGAUUUUCCAGCGUGUUGACAGACCCCGUACGUGGCGUUGGAUUUUCAGCGUAUGAGGAGAUUAUGUGAUGGUUAGGUCCCAUGUGGCGUAGGAUUUUCCGGCGUGUUGACAGACUCCAUACGUGACGUUGGAUUUUCCGACGUAUGGGGAGAUUAUCUGAUGGUUAGGUCACACGUGGAGUAGGAUUUUUCAGCGUGUUGACAGACCCCAUACGUGACGUUGGAUUUUCCGGCGUAUGGAGAGAUUAUGUGAUGGUUAGGUCACACGUGGCGUAGAAUUUUCUGGCGUGUUGACAGACCCCAUAUGUGGCGUUGGAUUUUCCGGCAUAUGGGGAGAUAAUGAGAUGGUUAGGUCACACGUGGCAUAGGAUUUUCUGGCUUGUUGACAGACCCCAUAUGUGGCGUUGGAUUUUCGCGCGUAUGGGAAGGAUAUGUGAUUAUUAGGUCUCACAGGUGGCGUUGGAAUUUCCGGCGUAUGAGACACUAACAGUGAGAAGAGAAUGAGAUUAUUUUUCUAUAUCAGAGAAAGGUUAGAGUAUAAAAAGAAAUAUGUUUGGUGUGUGGUAAUUUAAAUUAAAACAGGGAAAGAUAACUUACCUGUACUACUGAAACAGUUGUGUAACAUUUGGAGCAUGAUUAUGGAGUGAAAGAACUACGUGUGGCUUGAUCUCUCAGUAAGGGUACGUAGGCAACCUAGGUGCAGUCGUAGACUAAACGUUAUUUAUGUUGUUUUAUUGAGAUUGGUUCUGACCCUGUCGUUGGUCCUGAAAUUCGGUUGAAAACUAGAUGCGAGUAAAUAAUUGUUCAUACUCCCGUUUCGUUGAGGGAGGAUUGUGUAAAUGUGUUCUGGUCAAGACAGGUAUAAGAACUCGUUUAGGAUUGAUGUACGAUUUGGGCUAAGGCCUUAAACUACUUGUUGUUGUAUUAGGAGAUUAAAACCUCGCAUGUGGGAUAAUUGGGAAAGUUAGAUGAUGUAAAGUGCACUUAGGCAUUCAUAUAUAUGUUUAAAUUUAUUAUUUGUCUUGCUUAACGUAAUUGUUUGACUUAUGGGCUUUAUUGGUGAUUUGCUUCAGAUUAUUUAAAGGCCGAAGGCCGUUUAUGUGAAUUGCAUUUUGAUACAUUGUGCAUGCUACUAGUUGUGGAUAUUAAAUGUGUUUUAUGCAGGUUGAAAUUUUUGGGAUUGUUCAAAUUACAGGGGAGACUGCCAAAAUUUUGAUAGAAAGUCUCGGUCAUUAGUAAGUGGGCCCGGCAUCGAGGUGAUGUCGGAAUUUACACAAGAUUCCUCUCGGGUUUUCAGGAAUUCGGGGCGGAUCCUGUUACUUGGGGUGCAAAUUAUCCAUUUGUUCACCCGUUUUCGUGUUUUACUUCUGAGGUGGAAGGGCGAAGUUUCCCACUGGCUUGGAGACCACUUGUUGGUCGACAAGUCAGCUUUCUUUGGUGUGUGUGAGCGUGCCACUGCUAGCAAUGUAAAUUCUAGCAGACUUAUUUUUUAGAGUGGAUAACUUGCGCCUCAAGUUACUGACUUCUAAAACAAAUGAUUGUGAAUUUGGGUGAGGAAUAUCUCCCAAGUAAGUUCUUUUCUUGCCUCAAACUGGUGAGGACUUUCACAAUUUAUCUCAGUAUCAAAUGGUUGUUCUGGCCAGAAUAGAUAAUAAUAAAGUAGACUGUUUCAGGCAGAACUGCCUUUUACAAAAUUAAGAAGGGAGAAAUCAACUCUAGAAAGGAAAAAAGAUGGCUGGAAUCCCAUUUCUGCCUGGGUAGAAACUUCUGAUCCGGGCUGGACUGGGUAUGUCUAUGCUGGACGGUGCUGUCAACAACUUUAGCUUGCUCGGCUUUAGUUGUAAAUCGAUACCAAAGUUCAAUUUUGGCAGAGCUUCAAUCUACUUCAAGCCUUGGGAGACUUUUGAGUGGGCAGAACUGCAGCUUCUUCAGUUUGAAGGGACAGAAGUGGCUAUUCUCGAGGAUUUAGCAAGCUGGAACUAUGCUAUAAAAUUUGUUGAGGUUUUCAUAUUUGUGAAAACUCAAACUAUGUUUGUCUUGGCUUUUGCUGAACCAAAUUUGUAACGAGAGGGAUCUUGUUUUCAGAAGACUUAUUUUCUAAGUCUGAACUUUGGAAUUCUGAUCUAAAGCUGUUUUCUUGUUUGUUUUUUUUUGAUUGACUGAUGAAUUGAGUGUCCUUUGUUUCUUUGCCUUCUUUCGCUUUUAUAAGAGAUCCUCCUAAGGAGGUCAUUUUUAAUCCUAAACAAUGGGCGGCAAAAAGAUCUCUUAUAAUGUAAAGUAAGAAGGGUUUCUUAUCAAUCAAGGCAGAUAGGUUCUGAGCAGUCACCUCCUAAAAACAGUCCAUUCCCUGGUUUCCUGGGUGGCAGCUUUCUAAUUCAACCAACGCCACCGUCUGUGUGGGCUUUUUAUGGCAGUUUUGGCUCUUUUCUUUUGUAUUUUCUGAGUGGUUCCCUGUUUCCCGUUCUAAUUUAGAAAGCGUGAUUCGUGAAUUCCUUGGGAGAUGGUGUAUUGAUUUGGAGCAAAAUCUUGAACACAGAUGGGUUUUUGAUCUUCAAUUGGCAGUGUUUCAGAGACGUCCCUCUCACAUUUUUAAACUUUAGUUGGAAUUGCUGACUUUUCCAAAGUUGAGGCAAUCACGUGGGUGUGUCUUUGAUCCCUUGGUUUUGAAUCUAUCGAAAAUUACGGGCUGAUCUUUGAAGCCCAUUUCGAAAGUUUCCACAUCUGGGCUUUCUUUGGGCUGAGGCUUUAUUUCCAACAUUCUUGGUGUGAAGCCCAAACUGUCUGGGUCUUAUUUUCGUUUUUCUCAAGUCUCUGGGCUGGGCAGGCAAUUUUAUCAUGGGCCUGUCUUCUGGUCUUGGGCGUGCCGAAUUUGGGCCCAAACAAUGCCCCCUAAGUCUGAAUCGUUUUGGAAUGGUUUCAGACUUAAUGUUUUGCCAUUUAAUUCACGUGCCAGUUUCUUCCGUGUUUUCGCCCACGUCUGCCACGUUUGCCUGCUACGAACUAGAGUUCGUGGGAAAACGGCUAGUUAUUAUCUAGUUACUAGCUAAUAAUCAUCAGGUGCCGUCCCAUCUUCUUCUUCCCACGUUUUCGAGCCCCUCUUUAAAAGAAAUUCAAAUUCAUAGCUUCUGAAAAAAGAAACCCUAAACCUUCCAGCUCUUGUUCCUGCGAGUUCUUUCUUCGAGAUUUCCAAAGCCUUCUUUAGACCUUCCUUUCUUCUGCUUCUUCCCUUGAAUCAGAAAUGUCUUCCCCAAGGUCCCGCGCUCAGUCUUCUUCCGCUUCAGUUCCUCCCGAUUAUAUCACUGGGAGCGGGAUUGAUGCUCACGCGAUAGAAAUCAGGAGCAAGCUUCAUCCCUUUGCCCAGAAGAAUCUGGACGAGAAUGUCCUCCAUUUGUUUGAGAACACCCUGGUGUUAGGGCCUCACUGGUUUGGUCCUGUUCCAGCUGAGAUGGCAGAAUUGCUAAAAAAGGAUGCCGAGGCUCCUUUGUGUUUUGAGAGCUCUUCUGCCCUGGCUUCUUAUUCUUGGGUUAGCAAGAAUUUGAGCCGGUCCUUCCCGUCCAGCGAGGUGAGGAAUAGUCUGGUCAAAUGGGCAGACUGGAUUGAUAGACUUCUCCCGAGAUAUGGGGGUCACUGGAGGAGAGCUGGGAUUUAUGACGCCAUUUUUCUGUCCAAACAAUCGAUUAACAGAGAUGAGAAUCUGCUUGCUGCUGCUUUAUGCUUCUGGAAUUCUGCCAGCAAUACAUUUGACUUCCGCGUGGGUCCUAUGGCGCCAACCUUGCUGGAUAUGGCUCAGAUUUUUGGGUUCAGGCCCCAUGGUAGGCCUGUUGAUGCCAUUGGAGAUUAUCACAGGCGAAGGAAUCAAGAGAAAGUGGCCACCCCUUUUACUAUCCCUCCAGCCGUGAUCAACCAGAACUGCUCUUUCUCCAACUAUCUGAAGAAGUUCAGUGCUGAUAAGGACAAGGAUCAGCAACAUAUGUUGUUCCUUCUGUAUUGGCUGAAUUGGUUCGUUCUCCCCAAUCGGUCUUCUGCAGUUCUGCUAGAGUACAGACACUUGGCAGAAGCACUCCACAAUCACACUGAUGUGGGGCUCGGGCCUACAGUUCUGGCUCACCUUUUCAAGAAUCUGCAUACUUCCACCCUGGAGAACCCAUUGAACCUGUCAGCCCCUGGCGCAUUCUGGAUGAUCCAGAUCUGGCUGCAGGUUUAUUUUCCAGAACUAAGGUUCCCAGACAUAGUUCUGCCUGAAGAUCAAGUCCUGGCUCUUCCUCUGAUGUCGGCAGAAGUGCCCAAGCAUUCUAUUGAGGAGUAUUUGAUGCUCUUCAGGCAUUGUACAAAGAGGUCGGCAGCUCAGUGGCAAGUGGUGAUCAGGAGGACCUAUCCUUGGUUCCAGACCGGAUUUCGGUUGUUUGAGAAGGAGCCAGAAGAUGAAGCUGCCAGAACAGAUUUCAGGAGGAAAUUUCUGAGCAUUACUCUGCCCAGAGAUCUACCCCAUGGUGGGGGCAAACCUCCAAACUAUCAUCUGGGGGCAGAAGUCUACCAUCCCAACUUCUGCGCGAGGCAGCUUGGUUGUCCCCAACUCAUUCCGCUGAAAUCAUAUCGGAGUUGUAACCGGGCCUCUUCUUGGAGGGAUGCAGAUGAUCUGGAGGUGCACAAGGAUGCCCGGUGUGCAGUGAACAAAAUCAACAACAGCACGGAUGCCCUCUAUCCCUCGUGGGAGCUGAAUUCCUGCAGUUCUGCCGACUUUGACGCAUGGUGGAAAGCCAGAUUCCAAAGUCUGCCUGCUUCUGUCACUGCCCUCAAGGUGCUGUUUGAUGGUUGGGAAAACUGGGUCGUUUUUGCGAAUGGGGAUGCCAAGACGCAUAUGAUCCAGACCAUCAAGGAUAUUAACGCGCAAAUUAUAGAAGGUAGAUUUCUGAUUCUGUAUGGGGUUCGUUCUGUCCUGAUGAUUGAUUUCUAAUGUCUAUUCUGCCUGUAUCAGAUCCUUCUUUGACCAGCGUAGGUGGGCAGUCUGUUCAUGCUGGGGAAGUGAUUGGUAAGUCUUUUCUUUUAAUUCUAUUCUGUCUUUUCCUGCUGGAUUGGUCUCUAAUGUCUAAUGCCUUGGUGCAGUCUCUUCCGUUAUUGCUGCCGGGGACUUGGAGCUCCCUUCUGCGGAUGAAGGAGAUGAGGUCCAGACAGAACAAACACCUACCGAGGCCGCUCUUUCUGGCAGAAGAAAAAGGAAAGGACCUGCCCCUCCUUCGGAUAAUCCCACGCGGCCUGGUAUUUCAGGUAAGCUCGUGAUGUUCCAACCAUUCUCUUUAAAUUUAUUAUGUCUUGCCUUCUUUUCCCUAAUACUGCUUUUUGUUCUGUGCAGCUGGAAGUCCUUCCCCUCCUCCUACCAAGUUGAAAAAACUUAAAAAGAGGAGUGAGGAGGAGUAUGUCGCCGCGGAAGAGACGGCAGCAAUUCCCACCACUACCUCCGGGACGGAUGAAGAGCUGCGAGAGGCUUUUGAGGAGGUGGAGCAGGAAAAAGAAUUGGAAGAGCUGGAAGAAACGCCUCAGGAAAAAACGGCAGUGGCGGAAGGAGAGGUAAGUUUUAUUUCUGUGAUUCGCAUCAGUUCCCUUCUCGCCCUGUUUCUUCCGUUCUGACCCUUAUUUUGUAGGAGAAGAUCCCUGCUGAGGUGAUUGCAGAGAGCAUUGCCUUGGCGCAGAAGCAACAAGGGGGUCCAAGGGCUGAGCGGACUAGCUCAGAACUAGCCCUAUUUGAGGAUGCUGAGGCAGAGCAUUCUACUGCCGUUCCAGCGGCUGAGGAUCAGGCGGAACGGUCUGCAUCAGAGCCUGUGGAUCAGGCAGAGCUGUCUGUUGUGGUUCCGGAGGCUGAAGUGGAAACAACCGCCGCUGCCCCUGUGGUUGUGGUAACUUUCUUUCUUUAUCUGUCCACACUCUCCUGCAUUUCUGCCUUGUUCUUUAUUUUUAACUGUUGUAGCCUUUUCAGGUAGAAGUGCCUAAAGCUGUUGGCGUCCUGGCAGCGGUUACCAGUCCCCAGAAGCCUCCCAUUGUUGCUGUAAGUUUUCAUAACUUUUGGGCCUUUAUUUUCCACUUUCUGCCUGGUCUUACCUUAUGCUUUCUUCUUGCAGAUGCCAAUUCAUUCCCUUCCAGGAUCAUCUGCCACGGCUUCUUUUGCUGAUCCAGAACUCGAAGAGUUUGAAGCCAUGGAUCUGGAUGCCCAAUUGGACAGAUUGGAGAAACUCAGCUCUCCUCCAGGCAAGGCAAAAUCUAGGGCAGUGGAGGAGGCCAUGGAGAGGUUGAAAAUCUGGCAGUCUAAUGAGCUGGAGUUUGAUCAAGACAAUGAAGCCUUAAAUCAGCUGAUGAAGGACCUGGACCUGCUUCACAGACAGAACAUGGCUCCAAAACCUAUCCUUGAGAUGGGCCUAAGCUUGGCCAGAGAUGUGCUCAAUCUGCAUGAUCGCUAUGAGGAUCUCAGGCCUACUUUCAAGACUUCUGAAUUCUGCAAGGCCACUCAUGAAGCCAACCUGGCUGAUUUUGCAAAGCAGAAAGCAGAACUGGAUCAGAUGGUGGCCGGAUAUAAGGAAGCCAGGGCCACUGCGGACAAGCUGGAGAAGCCGAUGGAAGAGCUCCAAAAACAACUGGCAGAAUGCAGGGAGGUGCAGAGCAGGCUUGGGGCUGGACUGAGUUCUAAAACUAAGGCCACUUUCCUUGUGCAAAGUAUGGUUGCAGCUUCCAGGACAGCCUUGGAGAUUGCAGAGGCUUCAAUUCACCAGGGGGUGCUGCUCCAGAAAGAGCUUUCUGUCAAGAAAGCGAACCUGCAGGAGACUCUUAGAAAACUAGGAUUUUAGCUUCUUCUUUCCUUUUAUUGUUCGAAUAAUUUGCCGCAAAGGUGGCUAUUUUUAUAUAAGCUUUCAAAGCAUUUUACUGCUUUUCAUUUAUUCUUGAUGCAAUAACUGGAUACGGCUUUGAAAGUAAAAAACAGAACAACUUUAAAGCAAAAAUAAAUCUAAACAAAAUUCUUUUCAAGAAACAAAAAGGUCAAACUUGUUCCUCUUCUAUCCCGGGAUCUGUUUAUACAGCCUGCGAAUCCCACGUGGUUGGAUAGAACUUCUUUAACCAUUUACCAUUGAUUGGGGCAAAAUGAACAACUCCAUCUCGGUCCUGCAACCUGUAUGCCCCCAUUCCGAGGAUUUGGUUAAUUAUAAAAGGGCCUUCCCAUGUAGGUGACCAUUUCCCAUAUCCAGCUAUGUGUGCUCCAAGGGGCAGAAUUGCCUUCCAGACUAUCUCUCCCUCUUCAAAACUCUUGUUUUUGACUCUUUUGUUGUAGGCCCUUGAUACAGCCUGUUUUCCUGCUAAGAGUUUGUUGAGGGUGUCAAUUCUGCUUGCAUCCAAUUCUUCCAAUUCCAGCAACAUGGCUUGAGAGUAAUCCUCCCCAGUGAGACCAUGCUGGUGAGCAAUUCUAAGAGACUGGACCGCUAUCUCCAUGGGAAGAAUUGCAUCGUGGCCGUAGGUUAGAGCAUAGGGGGUCAUGCCAGUUGCUUCUCUCUUUGAAGUUCUGUAUGCCCACAAAGUUUCUGAUAACUUCUCAUGCCAUUACUUUGGAUUCUUCUCUAGCAUCUUUUUGAUGAUAUUGAUAAUCACCUUGUUACUUGAUUCCACCUGUCCAUUAGCUUGAGCAUAGUAAGGAGUAGAUUGAAGCAGUUUGAACUUGAACGUUUCUGCCAUAUCUAGCAUGUCCCUAGAUAUGAAAGAAGAACCCCUAUCGGUUGUGAUUGAUUCUGGAAUGCCAAACCUUUGUAUGAUCUGUUCUUCUAUAAAGGUGAUGAUCUCUUGAGAUGUUGUGGUUUUUACUGGCUUGGCCUCUACCCACUUGGUGAAGUAAUCUGUGGCAACGAUAAUGAAACAGUGCUGCUGGUUGCUGGCUGGAUAGAUUUUGCCAAUGAGAUCCAUUGCCCAUCCCCUGAAAGGCCAUGGUUUUACUACUGGAUUCAUGGGAACCGAAGGAGCCUGCUGGAUUGGGCCGUGCCUUUGACAGGCUUCACAUCCUUUGGAGUAGUUGAUGCAAUCCUUCAUCAUGGUUGGCCAGAAGUAGCCAUACCUUCUGAUUAACCAGCACAUCUUUCUUCCCCCUUGGUGAGCUCCACAGAUCCCCUCAUGGGUUUCUCCCAUGGCUUUCAUAUAUUCUGUCUUCCCGAGGCACCUUAAUAGUACCUCAUCCUUACUUUUUCGGACCAAAUCUUCAUUCCACAUGAGGUAGUUUGUAGCCAUGAUUCUGACUCUUUUCUUAGAGGGCAGAGUGGGAUAUCGUAAGUAAGUCAUGAUAGGCUCCCUCCAAUCAUCUUCAGUGAUCAAGGCAGAAUUGACUUCUAUCUCCAUUCCUCUCGUCAAAACAGAUGGUAGACUUUUCCUUCCUAUCUUGAUGAUCCUUUGGACGCAGUCUUCGGGCAUUUGUAUGCCUGAUGCCACCUGAGCCAGUUCAUUGGCUGCAAAGUUUUCCUCCCUUGGGAUGUUCUCCCAAGUAGCUUCUCUAAAUUCUGUUAGCAGAUUUCUAGCUGCUACUAGAUAUACAGCCAGAGAAGGAUUCAGACACUUAUAUUCUCCAGCAAUCUGUUUUAGGACAAGCAUGGAAUCUCCCAAGAUCUCCACGGACUGGACUCAUAAUUCUACCAACAUCUCGAGCCCUAUAAUCAAAGCCUCAUACUCGGCCAUGUUGUUGGUGCAUUGGAAAUCUAGCUGGAAGGAAUAGCAAUGUCUGACCCCUAAUGGUUCUUCCAGAACAAUCCCUGCUCCUGAAGCCUUGUCUGUCUUUGAUCCAUCAAAAUAUAACUUCCAAGGUGUGAGAUGAAUCGAGUAGAUUGGAUUGUUAAGGCAAACAUGAGCUCUAGUUAGCAGAUCUGCAUUUGCUAUGUCCAAAGAAUCCAUGUUUUCAAUUUCCUCUCCCGAGUGAUCUACCAAGAAGUCUGCCACAGCUUGCCCUUUGACAGCUUUCUGGGGGACAUACCUGAAGGUGAAUUCUGUCAAAGCCAAAGUCCAUUUCCCAAUUCUGCCCCUCAGCAUUGGUCUUGUUAGCAUGUAUUUGAUUAAGUCUGUUUUGGCAAUGAUGUAGAUAGUAUGUGGCAGCAUGUAGUGCCUGAGCUUUACAGCAGUGAAAUAUAAGGCCAGGCAAAGCCUUUCUAUUGCGGAAUACCUUCUUUCCACUUCUGUCAAUGUUCUGCUUAGAUAGUAGGCUGCCUGUUCUUUUCCUUCUUUGUUAUCUUGAACUAUUAGACUUCCAAUGGAUACUUCUGAUGCAGAUACAUAAAGCUUGAGGGGUCUGCCCCUUUUUGGUGGGGACAGAACUGGUGGAUUUGAGAGGUAAUGCUUUAUUUCCUGGAAAGCCUGUUGGUGCUGUUCUUCCCAUUUGAAUGUCUGUUCCUGCUUCAGUCUUAACAGGGAAGAAAAAGGUUGGAUUUUUCCUGCAGAAUUGGAUAUGAAUCUCCUUAGAAAAUUGAUUUUUCCUAAGAGACUUUGAAGUUCCUUCUUGUUCUGAGGUGGUAGAGCUUCUAUGAUGGAUGUUGCUUUAUUUCUGUCAACCUCUAUACCUCUCUGGUGGACCAAGAAUCCUAAGAAAUUCCCUGCUUGGACUCCAAAAACACAUUUUUUGGGGUUCAUUUUCAGUUUGUGCUGCCUCAUUCUUAGGAAUGCCCUUCUCAGGCUUGCUACGUGAUUUCCUUCCUCAGGGGAUUUAAUCACCACGUCAUCUAUGUAUACUUCCAAGGAAUGUCCUAUCAUAUCAUGAAAAAUAGAAUUCAUUGCCUUUGGUAGGUGGCUCCCGCAUUUCUCAAACCGAAAGGCAUUACAGUAUACUCGAAAGCACCUAUAUGUCCUGGACACAUAAAGGCUGUCUUGUGGAUGUCCUGUUCUGCCAUCAUGAUCUGGUUAUAACCUGCAUUGCCGUCCAUGAAAGAUAGCAUCUGGUUAUGAGUGGCUCCAUCCACUAGCAUGUCUGCCAUUGGCAUAGGAUAUUCGUCUUUAGGAGAUGCCUCAUUCAGAUUUCUGUACAAUAUUUGCUAACCAAUCGGAAUAGACGGCUGGCCUGAUGAAUCCUGCCUUGAGCAGCCUUUCUAUCUCUUCUUUGACCUUUAGUUCUGUGUCCAUAGACAUUCUUCUUCUGGCCUGUUUGACUGGAAGGUAGCCAUCUUUAAUUGGCAGCUUGUGCUCCACUCACUGCCUGUCCAAUCCUGGCAUUUCGUGGUAAUGCCAGGCAAAACAAUCUCUGAACUCCUGUAAAAGUGCCAUGAGUUCAGUCUUGAGUGGUUCCUUCAAAAGUGUGCUGAUGAAAGUAGGCCUUGGAUCUUCUUCUGUUCCUAAGUUUAUCUCCUGUAGAGGAUCCUCUACUUCUGGCAGGGAGUCAUCCAGUGCUGCUGGUGCAAAAUCUAAUACUUCCUCCUGUAAAAUUUCCUCCUCUUGCUCUUUUGUGCUUUCAUGGGUGAAUUCUGCCAUAUUGAUGGCUGGAUUCUGUAUGAAAAGCCUCCUUUCUCCCCAGUAUAUCAACAAUCUUUUUGUGAUGGAUCGGAUUGUUGCAGCUCGAUCCUUGUCUAGUUGAUUCGGACUAAACAUCAGAGUUCUGGAAGUUCAGCACAAAAAGGUCUAUUCCAGUCCUCUAGAGAACUGGCUAAACCUUCUUCAAUGAGUCUUUGGGCCGUGACACCAUGUGGACGGCCGUUCUGAUUGACUCCAAGGAAAGUGAAAGGACCGAGGUCAUCAUGAUAAUACCUUGUUUCAAAGCACAUGGCAGAGGGCAGGAAUGGCCGUGGAUCAGCCUCUAUAAUCUCCAUGCAGCCUUCUUCAUUCCAUAGUGCUAACUGCGGGUGGAGGGUGGAAGGAAUACAAAGGCUCUGGUGAAUCCAAUCCCUGCCAAGUAGUGCAUUGUAGGUGGUGGAAGUAGUGUCUAUAACAAAGAAUGCUAUUUUCAACUCUUUGCUUCCGAUUAUGACAUCCACAUCUAAGAUGCCAUGUAUUUUGGUGAUGCAACCAGAAGUUGGUGACGGUCAAUCGUGUUGGAAUCAGAUCUUUCUCUGUCCUGCCCAGCUUGGUCAGCAUUCUGUGGGGUAAUAGAUUAAUGGCUGCACCUCCAUUUACCAUGAUCUUGGAAAUAGGAAUACCCCCAAGAUUUGCCGUUAUAAACAAAGGUCUGAGGUGAAACAAGGUUGCUCUGUAGCUGGUUUAUUGGCUGUUCUGCCUGUCUUGGGGUUUUCUGCUUGUGGUUCUGGUGGCUCCUCUGCUUCUGCCAAUCUACAUUCAAAGCUUUCCUGAGAGAAAACAUCCCCUUCCAGAGUGCUUUCUUGUCCUUCGGCUGCCCUGAAUUUACUUGGUAGGAUGAAUACCAUGUUAAUUCCCAGAUCACCCUGUAGGAGGUCUUCUAAUUCUGCGCCAAAAGCUUCUGUUUCUGGGUCCAAUUCUACACCAAAUUCCAUUAAUUCUUCCCCGUAUUCUUCCGUCCAGUCAUCCUGUUCUGCUACUUCGAGGGGCUCUUUCUGAUCAUCUGCGGAAGGUUCAUAGUCCAAUUGCUCUUCUUCAUAUUCCUCAGUGUAGUCGUCUUCUCCUUGUAACGGGGUAGACCCAGAUUUCUCUGGUGUCUGCGUGGUGUCAGGACGGCUGCUGGACGACGAGGCCACAUGGAUAGGAGACCUGGCUGGGGGUUCUGUUUUCAGCAAUUCCCUUGACUGGCAAGCUUUCUGUUCUGUCUGGGGAAGUGUUUCAGGAUUUUUUCCUUUCCUAGCAGAACUGGGUUGUGAACGUACCUGCGUAUUAUCUUGGCUCUUAAGAUAUGUGCAGUAUUGCCUCUGGAUUCUCCUUUUCUGGGUUCUGGUUAGCUCCAGAGUCGGUCUACCGCUUCUUCCUACGGAAUACCAUCUCCCUUCUAUGAUCGUUGCCAAGGAUCUUUCGUUUCUGGGCAUCUUGACUGGUAUUUCCUUUCUGGGUUGCUCCAUCCUCCUCUCGCUGUAUUGUGUAGGCCUAAGACAGCUCUUCUGCCUUGUUUUGUCUCGGGAUGAGGUUCCAAUUCUGUCAAAGACACUAGGUGUGGGCUGAUUUUGUCUGUCUAGAACCACCUCUAGCUCUGUUUCACAUUUGCACCUACUGCAGAGCACUACCCCAGCCGAGAUGGUCGCUCUUGGUAUUUGACUGGUCUCCCUUAUGAUUCUUCUGCCUCUGCUGCAACCAGCAUCUGUGAUUGGCUCGGUUUUCCUCUGUUCUGGCCAAUUUAAGUUGACCAUAUUGACUUGUGGUUGAGGAAAAGGAUCCGUUGUGACGGAUGGUGGUUUUUCUGCCAGUUUCAACCUUCCUGCCGUUAUCCCUUCUUGUAUUACGUCCCUGAAAACAACACAACUAUUGGUAGAAUGGUUCCAAGAGUUGUGCCACCUGCAGUACUGUCUGCCCUUGAGUUCUUCCGGCUUCGGUAUUCUGUGAGGCGUCUCUAUUGCCUUCUACAGUAGCAUUUCGUGGAACAAGGCAUCAACCUUGGUUAAGUCAAAAGAGUAAACCUUGUUUUACGUUGGUUUGUUUGGAACGAAUCCUCCUGUGAAUGGUGGUGGCUUUUGGUCUUUAGGUGGCUUUGUGAGGGCUUUGCAACUAAUGGGAUGUUUUAGUUUUGCCAUUUCUGCCACUGAAACCUCUUUCUCUUCUGAUUCUUCUGCAUCUUCUUGUGAUUCCACCUCGAUCAGGUGGACUGAAGAAGAAGGGGUUUUAUAGUAUGUACCUUUGGAGGAGUUCCUCCUUUGCUGUUCCUCCCUGAGUAACUCCUCAUAUUUGGAUGCCUUAUCAGCCAGUUCUGCCAGAUCUCCGAACAAUAUCCCGUCGAACCUUUUCCUGAGAGAGAUUUUAAGGGCAACUUGGGCCAUCUGGAUGAAGUGUCUUUCUUCCAUCGGGAUUCGGCACUUCAUUUUGAGCUUUCUGAACCUGGUUAUGAAAUCUUGGGCCGGUUCAUCUUCACUUUGCUUGAGGGCAGCUAGAUCACUGAUGGUGACUUCUGGCUGAAUCCUGUAAUAGUAGUCAUGGAAGACAUUUUCCAUCUGUUCCCAGGUUUGAACAGAGUUAGCUGGCAGGCUGGUGUACCAGGUAAAAGCUUGCCCAAAAAGAGAGUUGCCGAAAAGCCUUAAUUUCAGCAGAGGGUUGCUUUCUAUAGCUAUGCAUUGGACGGAGAACCUGCCUAUAUGUUCAACUGAGGAAGAAUGGGGGUCUUCCCCAUUGAACAAAGUGAAGUUUGGCACUUUGAAACCUGGAGACAACAGUAUUUGAUCGAUAUAGGCUGGGUAUGGCUUUCUGUAAGUAGGCCUUUCCCCUAUUCUAGCCUCGGGUUCCAUGAUUUCUCUGAUCAUUCUUUGCAACGCUCCUAUGUCAUUCAAAGCAUUGACUGGGGGAAGAUUUUGUCCCUGUUCUGGCUGAACGUAAUCAAACCUGGGCUCUGCUCUGUGUGGUCUGGGUGGAACUUCCUCCCUGUGUUCUUCCUGCUCUUCGACUUCUGGAUGAUUCCUCCAGUUUGCCCCCGGUCUAUUCCUGUCAUGAUUAGCAAAAAGGUUGUUCCCUCCUCGGCCUCUCCUCCUUCUUGCAAGUGGAGGGAAUGGAUUAGGGUCCAUCCUUCUGGGUCUAUAUGGCAAUACUGCCGGUGGUUCAGGCAGAAGCGCCAAAGGUUGAUCAUGUGGGAGCACAUGAAGUGGAAUGGGCUGAGGUUCUGGCUGGUUCUGAGCCAGUGCCAGGUUAUCUGGUUGAGCUGGGGCUUCAUGUUUUUGAUUAGGAAGGGCUCCUUCCCUCGGACCAGCCUGAAUUUCUCCGUGGUCUGGCACUCCAGCCAUCUGUGCAACUAGGAAAUUUUCCUGGUAUGGCCAUAUUAGUCCUGGCGGAGGGCCAUAAGGGAGAUCCAACUGCUGGAUUACAGGAUCUGGGUUUGGGUUUCUGGCCAUGGCGGAUUCUCGGUCCUUCCGGAACUGUCUGUUUACCUGCCAUUACAUCAUGGCUGUCAUGUUAUUGAGAGUGUCCUGGCUCCUUCGUACUGUGAUCUCUUGUCGGAGUACUGACUCCUGUAUUUGAUUCAUCCUUUUGGAGCCAGUCCUGGAACGUCUACUUCCUGUACUGCCGUGGGCAGAUUGCCUAGCAUCGCUUUUUUCUGAUUCGAGGCCUUCCCUGAGAACCAUCUUGUUUUUCUCCAUAUCUGGUGUGGGUUCUGACUAGAUCUUCCGGUAUUUGUGAAUCUGUGAAUGAUUCUGUCAGAGUAUAUAUACUGAGAAGUCCCACUGGGUGUGCCAAAUUAUUCACCCGUUUUCGUGUUUUACUCCUGAGGUGGAAGGGCGAAGUUCCCCACUAGCUUGGAGACCACUUGUUGGUCGACAAGUCAGCUUUCUUUGGUGUGUGUGAGCGUGCCACUGCUAGCAAUGUAAAUUCUAGCAGACUUAUUUUUUAGAGUGGAUAACUUGCGCCUCAAGUUACUGACUUCUAAAACAAAUGAUUGUGAAUUUGGGUGAGGAAUAUCUCCCAAGUAAGUUCUUUUCUUGCCUCAGACUGGUGAGGACUUUCACAAUUUAUCUCAGUAUCAAAUGGUUGUUCUGGCCAGAAUAGAUAAUAAUAAAGUAGACUGUUUCAGGCAGAACUGCCUUUUACAAAAUUAAGAAGGGAGAAAUCAACUCUAGAAAGGCAAAAAGAUGGCUGGAAUCCCAUUUCUGCCUGGGUAGAAACUUCUGAUCCGGGCUGGACUGGGUAUGUCUAUGCUGGACGGUGCUGUCAACAACUUUAGCUUGCUCGGCUUUAGUUGUAAAUCGAUACCAAAGUUCAAUUUUGGCAGAGCUUCAAUCUACUUCAAGCCUUGGGAGACUUUUGAGUGGGCAGAACUGCAGCUUCUUCAGUUUGAAGGGACAGAAGUGGCUAUUCUCGAGGAUUUAGCAAGCUGGAACUAUGCUAUAAAAUUUGUUGAGGUUUUCAUAUUUGUGAAAACUCAAACUAUGUUUGUCUUGGCUUUUGCUGAACCAAAUUUGUAACGAGAGGGAUCUUGUUUUCAGAAGACUUAUUUUCUAAGUCUGAACUUUGGAAUUCUGAUCUAAAGCUGUUUUCUUGUUUGUUUUUUUUUUAUUGACUGAUGAAUUGAGUGUCCUUUGUUUCUUUGCCUUCUUUCGCUUUUAUAAGAGAUCCUCCUAAGGAGGUCAUUUUUAAUCCUAAACAAUGGGCGGCAAAAAGAUCUCUUAUAAUGUAAAGUAAGAAGGGUUUCUUAUCAAUCAAGGCAGAUAGGUUCUGAGCAGUCACCUCCUAAAAACAGUCCCUUCCCUGGUUUCCUGGGUGGCAGCUUUCUAAUUCAACCAACGCCACCGUCUGUGUGGGCUUUUUAUGGCGGUUUUGGCUCUUUUCUUUUGUAUUUUCUGAGUGGUUCCCUGUUUCCCGUUCUAAUUUAGAAAGCGUGAUCCGUGAAUUCCUUGGGAGAUGGUGUAUUGAUUUGGAGCAAAAUCUUGAACACAGAUGGGUUUUUGAUCUUCAAUUGGCAGUGUUUCAGAGACGUCCCUCUCACAUUUUUAAACUUUAGUUGGAAUUGCUGACUUUUCCAAAGUUGAGGCAAUCACGUGGGUGUGUCUUUGAUCCCUUGGUUUUGAAUCUUUCAAAAAUUACGGGCUGAUCUUUGAAGCCCAUUUCGAAAGUUUCCACAUCUGGGCUUUCUUUGGGCUGAGGCUUUAUUUCCAACAUUCUUGGUGUGAACUGGACUAAACAGUUAGUCGGACCAGACCGUCUACACAUAUGAACUGGACUCACAAGCCUAUGUUUUUUGAGCUCCCAUAUUGGUCGAAACUCAAAUUGAGGCACAAUCUAGAUGUGAUGCAUGUUGAGAAAAAUGUAUUUAACACAUUGGUGGGCACGAUUCUAGAUAUCGAGGGCAAGACAAAGGACACAAUCAAAGCCCGUCUUGAUUUGGAAAGAAUGGGCAUACAAAGGGGUUUAUGGAUGAACAGGGACAGUGAUAAAGCUAGAAGGGAUCUUGCAUUCUUUUCUAUGAAACCGAAUGAUAAAAAAGAGUUUCUAAAGUUUGUAUCGUCUGUAAAGUUUCCUGAUGGGUAUGCUUCUAAUAUCGCACAUUGCGUGAAUGUUGACGAGGGUAAAUUUACUGGACUGAAGAGCCAUGACUGCCAUGUGUUUAUGCAACGCCUACUUCCUGUGGGUAUUCGACAUCUAUUGCCGGAAGAUGUUGUGAAGCCAAUCAUGUUGUUGUCCAGAUUUUUUUCCCAACUGACGGCAAAAACAUUGCGAAAGACAGACAUAUUUCAGUUGCGCCAUGACAUUGUCCAAGUCCUAUGCAAGUUUGAGAUGAUAUUUCCUCCAGCUUUCUUCACAAGUAUGAUGCACGUGAUGGUUCACUUGCCAGAAGAGGCAUUGCUUGCUAGUCCUGUCAACUAUCGCUGGAUGUAUCCAAUAGAAAGGUAUAUAAUCUUUAUCGUUUGUGUAUGCAUCAUUAUCACAGACUUGCUAAUUUGUAUCAUAUCGUUUUAUUUUGACAGGCUUCUCGGAGAGCUGAAAAAAAGUGUACGCAACAGGGCGAAGCCCGAAGGAUCAAUUAUAGAGGCUUGGGUUCAAUAUGAGUCGCUUACUUUCUGUGGAAUGUAUUUAAAAGAUGUGGAGACGGCUUUCAAUCGUCCUCAACGCAAUAACGACGAAGGUAUGAGAAAGGAAAAACUUUCUGUUUUUGCCCAAAGUGCACGACCCUUUGGAGAUCCUGGACGAGGAGAGUCGUUUUCUAGAAAUGACAUGGAGGUAGCGCAUUGGUUCGUACUGAACAAUUGUGAUGAGAUAAUGGCAUACUUAGAUAAGCAUGAAGAGAUGAUGAAGCGAGAACAUCCAUCACAUUUAGUUGCCCAGAAACACCGUGAAUUGUUUCCACAAUGGUUUUUGGAUUCUGUAAGUUAUAAGUGUUUUGUAUUUGACAAAUAUAAAUUGUAGUAUUUAAUUUUGUCAGACUAACAUGUGAAUGGUUUUGUAUUAUAUUAGGUGAAUAAGUUGAAAUCAUCGAAUUCCCCCACUUACAGUGAUGAGUUAUAUAACUUGGCGUUCGGCCCAAUUCGCGCUGAAUUGUUUCGGGUUGUUAUAUUAAUGGCGUCAAAUUUUUGGGAGCCGCACGAGAUGACAAGUUGUGUAUGCAAAACAGCGGUGUCCAUGUCCCAGGUGGAGGCGAAAGUACGAACAUUGAUUUCUAUGGCAAACUCACAACUGUCAUUCAAUUGCUUUACAAAGAUCGAUACUAAGUGAUCAUGUUUAAGUGUCGAUGGUUUGAUAGCAACCCAAAUAGGCCGGGAAGUGUUAAAAUCAACCAUGGCUUACUAUCUGUGAACAUUAACAGAACUUGGUAUGAUGACGACCCUUACAUUUUGGCAAACAUGGCAACACAAAUUGUGUAUCUAGAUGACCCUAAAGCCGGGAGCAGUUGGAAAGUUGUUCAGAAGAUGGAUCAUAGGAACUUGUAUGCUAUACCAGAACUAGACCCAACUGACAAUGACGUCAACAAUGUGGCUGACCAACGUUUAGAAUCUUCAAUGGAAAAUGAUGCGGAAACACUUCGAGAUACACAUGUUAUACAAGAACCGUUUCAAAUACAAGGAGUGUCUUCAAUCGAAAUACCGAUUCAGUCAAUUACAAUUGACCUCGGGGAUCUUCCAAGAUUCGAUGUUGCAGUGAGCCCGAGCAACGAAGAUGAUGUAGUUAUAGAGGAGGAGGAGGAGGAUUGGGAGACUGAAAGUGAUGAUAGCGAAGAUAACGAAAGUUAUUAUAGUUCAGAUGAUGAAUAAUUAAAUUUUUUAUAUUUUUAUUAUGCUAGUGUACAGACUUUGUGUAAAACAAAAGUUUGAAUAUAUGUAGUUGUGAUAUCCAAACCUUAUAUAUGUGGACAACUGAAACAUUAUUAAAAUAAAUUUAGUUAUAAAACAUCGGUAAAUCAAUAUAUCCAAACCCUUUUAAUAUUCAUUUAAAAUUUUUUUUUUUGACAAAAACGUUUACAAAAUGAAAAUGAUAAAAUAUUUGUUAUAAAACAUUGAUAAAUAAAUAUAUCCAAACCAUUUUCAUACAAAGUUUGAAAAUUAUUGACAACAAACAUUUUUCAAAAAUGAAAAUCCUUGCGCGACGAAGUACACCUCGUCACGCAAAGUUUGCGCGACCCAGUAAACAGUCGUUGUGUAAAGUUAAAACAUUGCGAGACAAAUUAUCAUCCGUCACGCGAUAGAAUUUUGCGCGACGAAUAUUUACUCUCGUCGCGCAAAUGUAUAUUCUUUUAUAAUAUAUUUUAUAUACACAUAUAUAUUCGAAAUUGACGAUCGAGUUAGUUCAUUGUAUUCAUAUAGGGUCAUGGAGUGUAGCUGUAAAAAAUCAUCAAAAUCGGAGUUAAAAUAACUGUUAAAUCAUGACUUUUCAUUUAUAACCGUUCAAAAAUUUUGUCCCGAUACUUGAUCUCUGAAUGUUUUUUUUUUCCGAUUUUUGGGGCCUAAGAUCUCGAAGUAUAAACAAACACGUUUGACGGCUGGAUUAUUGAAACUACUUUCGUAGAAUGCGUAUGCCAUCAAAACUAUAUAUUCACCAACAAUGAAUAGUUUACUUAUACUUUCAUUAAAUAUAACAUAAGAUUAUGUGGUAUCACCCUAGUGUAAACAUCUUAAAUUGAAGAUCAAAUUCAGUAAUUGUAUUCAUAUAGGGUCAAGAAAAGUAGCUAUAAAAAAUCAUCAAAAUCGGAGUUAAAAUAACCGUUAAAUCAUGACUUUUCAUUUAGAUUCGUCGAAAAGUUUUGUACUGUUACUUGAUCUCUUAACGUUUUUUUUGUCAGAUUUUCGGCGUAUACGAUCUCGAAAUAUAAAAAAACAAGUUUGCCGGUUAGAUCAUUAAAACUAGUUUCGGGUUUAGGAUUUCUGCAGUUUAGGGUUUAGGGUUUGCGCGACGAAGCCAUUUCGUUGGUCGCACAAAGCCUGCAAAGAACAGUCUUGCGCUACGAAACUAGGAUUCUUUGUCACGCAAUCUCAACCAGCCCUUUCACCCUCUUCCUCCUUGGACACUUAGCCAAAAAAAGUUGCGAGUUUACAGAAAGCGGCUUUGCGCGACGCUGCCGGUAUUCGUCGCGCAAUAUGUAUGCCAAUAAAACCUAAAUCCCAAAUUUUGGCGAAUUACAACUUUGCGCGACGAAUAUGGGAAGCUUCGCGCAAAGUUUUCAAUCUUUCCCGCUAAACCCUAAGUCCCAAAAUUUUGGCGGAUUGACAACAUUGCGCCACGAAAGAAGGUACUGUGCGUCGCACAAAGUUUUCAAUCUCUCCCGCUAAACCCUAAGUCCCAAAAUUUUGGCGGAUUGACAAUAUUGCGCGACGAAAGAAGGUACUGUGCAUCGCGCAAAGUUUUCAAUCUCUCCCACUAAACCCUAAGUCCCAAAAUUUUGGCGGAUUGACAACAUUGCUCGACGAAAUAUGGUACUGUGCGUCGCGCAAAGUUUUCAAUCUCUACCCAAUAUUUUGCCGGAUUGACAACAUUGUGCGACGAAAGACGAUACUGUGUGUCGCGCAAAAACUACCCUGAUACCAAAUUUUGGGAUUAACAAUAUUGCACGACAGAAGUUAUACUUAUGUCGUCGCGCAAGUGUCAAUUAAAAUAUUUUGCGUGACGCUUUUGUUUGUUCGUUGCGCAAAAUCGAAUAAAAUUGCAGAAACGACGCGAUAGCCUCCUUCUUCCCCAGAUUUGUUUUUCUACCCUAACUCUCUCUCUCUCUCUCCGCCUUCAGCUCAGCCCCCUACCCCAGUGGAUUUUGGACGACGGCGCCACAACAGUGGUACCCCGGAGGUUUCCCGCCGUCACCGUCGAGCCAGCCGCCCUAAUUCCUCGAUUUUCACCGAAUCUGCGCCGCCGUCGUUCUCUCUCCUUCGGCGACCAAAUCCGACACCUGAGGUAUGGUUUCUGUCCUAUUUUUGAUGCUUUAACUGAUGGUUGGGUAGGAUUUGUGUAAUUGUUGCAAUAGGGCAGUGGAUUUGAAACCCUAAAUUUCGACCGAUUUUUGAAUUCCAAUUCCGGCCACUUCUGGCCAUUUUUCAGGGUAGGUCCGAGAACAAAAGUGGCUCCAAUUGAUGUUUUGAACCUAGGGUAGGAACCUUGGCCCUUAGUUUUAAGAAAUUUUCGACGAUUGGUAUCGCUUUGGACACCCACGCUCUGCCAGCGCUUGUGGUGGCGCGUGGGGUACUGUAGCAGUCUUGCAUUGGGUCCCAGUGCAAUCCCAUAUUUGUCACGAGCGCGUAGGUGUUUUCGGAUUGGAAUUUGGUUACCGUUUGAGUCUCGAACGGAUUUUGCCUAUUGUGCGAUUUCCGGGUUUGUUAUGUUCGGACCGUUGGAUCGAACUCAAACUCACGUAUGGUGUACCUUGUAUUUCUUGGAUCGUCUAGGAUUCGACGGAUCGUGGAUCGGAGUCCCGAAUACUCCGAACUCGCAAACCCUAGGUCAAGAAUCUUAAUAAAAUUGUAUGUGCUUUCAAAUAUUCGUAUGUUUUAUUAAUUUGUAUGUGUAUUAAUGAAAUUGUGUAGAUGUCAGACCUGAUUAGACGUCGUAGGGCGGUGACGACUACGCAGAGUUCUGAGCCCCCGGCUCAACUGACAUCUGCUGCCACUGCGCCAGCACUGAUGGACCACUUGGCAGUUGGUCCCGCGGGGUCCCAGGCUCCUGCUUCAUCAGCUUCAUUAGUGGCACAACCUGUUAGCGCCAGGAAGCGUCAUCGGCCUGCCAGCACCACCGACACCACAUCCACUGAUGCGUCGGGGUCACAGCCAGGUAUAGAUUUCCUUAAACUCCAGUUAUUUAUAUUUUUGUUUUUGUUUUUAUUUUUGUUUUUGUUUUUGUUUUUGUUUUUAUUUGUGUGUGUAUUUUAUAGUUAAAUUUGUUAUUUAUUUAACAUUAAUGUCAUCUUUCUUUGCAGCCAAGAAGAACACCCGAGGGCCGUGUCGGUAGUUGAAGACGGCGAAGGUCACUCGGGUGACCAACAGUCGUAUCAACAUCGGAUACGACAAGCGACAUCGGGCUGCACCGACGGCGGAGUUGCAUAGCUCCUUGGCCCACGACAUUGGUGAUGUCAUUCCGAGCCAUUGCCCGAUGAAAUGGAAGUCUUGGAAGGUGAUGCCUGACGAGACCAAGAUGGAGGUUCGCGGCCAGUUGUCAGUAUGUAGGCCUUUUAAUUCUUUUUCUUUCAAAUUUUAUAUUUCUAUUAUUUAAAUGUAUUUAAUUAAUUUAUUGCAGACGAACUACAACUUGGAGGACCUGGACGACGAGUCGUUGGCGUACAUCAACAGACUCUUCUCUGAGAGGUACAAAUAGUGGAAGAGCGACUUGCACCACUAUUUUGAGGCGUUUGAUGAUCCAGAAGUCUCUCUUCAGGAGGGUUGCCCGAAGGAGCUUGAGGGGCGGGAGGAUAGUUGGGCGUGGCUCUGCUCUCAUUUUCAGGCGCCCGCUUUUGUGGUAAUUUGUAAUAUGAAUUUCAAAUUUAUUAUAUUUUUCUUACUAAUGUUUUUUUAAUGUUUUAUAUUUAAUUUCAAUUUCAACUAAUACGUUUUAUUUUUUGUAUAACAGAAUAAAGCCAAAGUCAAUAAGGGCAAUAGGAAGAAGAAGACUCUUCUCCAUCAUUCGGGUUCCAGGCCCUUCUCCUAUAGGAUGGAUGCAUGGCGGCAGGUAAUCAUAAAAAAAAUUUUAUUUAAUUUUUAAUAUUUAAUUAUUCUUAAUUUAUUUUUUUGUACUAAUAUUUUUCUUCUCUUGUUCAAUUUAGGGGGGUCCAAAUUCCCAGAGAUCGACGUCUUUGGCGACGUUUAUGUUCGACCUGGGAAUGAGUUGGGCGAGUCCCUUCAUGUAAGUAUUAUUUAAUUUUAAUUAUUAUGUUACGCAUUCAAGUUUAAAGGUUAUUAUAUGAAUGUUUUAAUUUAUAUUUUAUGUUAUGCUAAACAGAUGACGAUGGUGGAGAGGAGCCAGUUGGUUCUUCAAGAGUCCGCCUCCCAACUUCCUUCCGAUACUCCGAUCGAGUCUGUGGAUCCUCCACAGGAUGCUGGGUUUCAGAUCUUGACGGAGACAUUGGAUCAGACUCUAGGGAGGAGACCGGGGAUAUAUUGUCGAGGGAUGGAGAAUGCCAGGCGGAGGGAAGCCAGACCCCGUUCAUUAGCGCAGUCAAGCAGUCAGGUCACUGCUUUGACAGCACAGGUGGCCACUCUUCAGAGUCAGAUGUCGGACAUUCUGCAGUCCCUCGCACAGUUCGGCAUUCCAGUCCCGCAUUUUGAUGCGCCGACCUCUGAGCCCGUCCAUCCUGAGCAUCCCCACCAGACGACGGCCCUUGUAGACCCCCAGACCUCUGAACCGCAUGUGCCAGACGACAAUGUAGAUUUUGGAACAUUAUGAUUAGUUUUUUUAUUUUCAUAAUUAUUUUUUAAAUAUUUCUCUUGCAGCAUACAUUUAUUUUAUAUAAUAAAUAUGUUCUUUACAAUUCUUUUUUUUAUUGGAAUUUCAUUUUAUUACCCAAAAAAAAAAAACCAAAUUUAUUUUUUUAUAAAAUAAAAUAAAAAGUAAUAUUAAAAUUAAAUAAUAAUUAUAUAUAUUAAUUUUGCGCGACGAAAUCUUUCUCGUCGCGCAAAUUUAUAUAUUACGAAAUAAAAAUGUUUCAUUUUUUUAAAUACAUAUAAUUUAUUCUUGCGCGACGAAUAUUUUCGUCUCUCAAAAAGGAUUUGCGCGACAACAGUUUUUCGUCGCGCAAAAUGUGUUGACACGAAUUGCACGACGAAGAUAUCUUUGUGCCGCAAAUAUCUACGACACGUAUUGCGCGAUGAAAAUGUUCGUCGCGCAAAAAACGUAUGCGCGACAACAAUGUUUCGUCGCGCAAUACGUGUAGACAUGAAUUGCGCGACGAAGAACUCUUGGUGCCGCAAAUGUGUACGAGACGUAUUGUGCGACGAAUAUUAUUCGCCGCGCAUCGUUGUGGCGACGAACCCGCUUUCGUCGCGCAUAAGUUUGUGCGACGAACUAUUGCAUCGUCUCUGAACCUUUUGUGCAACGAAGGGUAACCGUCGCACAAAUUUGCGCGACGAGUGAUACAAUCAGUCGCGCAAAGUCUUUCUUCACCAUCUUUGCACCACAGAUUACGCGCGACGAAUUUUCUGUCGUGCUUGAGUUUGUGCGACCAAAUUUAACUCUGCGCGACGAAAUUGGCUUCGUCGCGCAAAUCGUAAAAUGUAGUAGUGGAAGUUAUCAACAUCUAUAGGAACCCCAAUGAAAAGGCUGUUAACUAAUAAUGAAGUAAACCCCUCAAUGUUUCCGCGUAUCAGAUAUCUCUCAGAAUAUGCGAUUCCAUACUCAAUAAGCAACUCCACAUCCCCUGAGGUUUUCACCAAACCACCCAUUAAGGAAACAUACUGACUCAUGUGUAAUUAUCAUUACUCAUCGGGUAAUGCAAUUGUUCAAAGGCAAGGACAUUUCUCAUUAUUUCUGUAGUGAACCCCAAUGGAAAUGGUGGGAUCUUCAGAACCCCAUUGGUGCUACUGAAUUGUAUGUCAAAUAUGUUUUCACCUUGUCGCGCCUCAAACUUGACUCCAGCGUGCUGUAAUUCUGUCAAGCUGGGUAUGGAUGAUGGGAGUUCCCCUCCAGCUUUUGAUUCCAACGGUUGAUAGAGUUUAAAUAUUUUCCUGUAAAGAUCAACAAUAUGUGCCACUGAUCUAAAAGUCUCCAAAUUGUCUUCCAUUUUGUCAACAGGCAAUAGAUGUUCGAAGAAACUGAAAGAAAGACUAAUUAUUGAAAGCCCCUCAGUAAUGCAGUUAUUGUCAGCAUCAGCAGGGAGUGUAAUUUUCUGUGGGUCGAAAAGAUCCUCGAGAAUGAAGAAUGGCAACUGAUUUUCAAGCAACCACAUAUCUGUCCAUACAUCUUGCAACAUACCUGGUUUGUCAAAUAUGCGGUCAUUUUCAUCCCAAAAUUUGAAGUAGUCCUUCAAUAAGAGCUCAAUAACGAAGGCGGCAUCCACUAGAAUGAUUGUUACAAAUUCAUCACUGCUAAACUUGAUGGGUUCUCCAUAACAACGUCUCAAUCUUGCUUCGUGGUCCUUUAUUUUCUUAAUAUAAUCCUCCAAACUCACAUUGGUCCGACCUAUAAAAUCUUGCAGGUAUCUCUGUUUGUGCUCUUCCUAUACGACAUUCAAGCCUUCCUUUCCAUGGUGAAGUGGGCCUAUAGAGACCACCUGAGGUGUGCAGAGCUUUUCAUUCACACUUCGUAGUCGUUGAGGAACUCUGUAGAUACAGCACUUGGAGGAUGGGGGAGACAAGCUAUUGAACCCUUUUCUCAUCGAAUUUGCUAAUGAAAUGUAUGGGUUUUCUAUGUCAUUUUGAGCAGAUUGAUGGCUUCCUGCCAUUUUCCAGCUCCUGACUAUAUGUGGUGUUCCGAUUGUAACAGAUUACAAUAAUGAUGAGUAUGGAUAACUGAAUUACUGAUAAAACAAUCAAGAAACAUUUCGUUAUUUUCCAUUCCCAAUAACGAAAUCAAAAUGUUCAAGGAAAUAUAAUCAGGAUAUUGCAAUUAUAUAGCCAUUCAUAAGCUGCCUGGCAUGGAAUAAGAGGUGGAAACCAAAUCUACUUAUUGGCCAAAGUUCGAAUUCACUAUAUAUAGAUAUAUAUUUUGCCAAAAUCUAAAACUGACCAACCUUAGAUACAAAAACACGGUACAGCCCGGUUAAAGUAAUUCCAAGUGCGAAGAAAGAAAGGAAUUGAGCGUUUGUACCUCUACAGCUAGCCAAAUUUUCUAUUGAUUCUUUAAAUUUUAGAGAGCAAUUACUCUUAAUUUGGUAGGUGUAGGACUGUGCAACUUCAAGCUUUAAUGAAAGAAGCCAAGUUUAUUCUAAGGGGACAAGUCAGAGACAACGAAAUUUUGCUCAGCUUCAUUUUCAAAUUUGCUGCUUAAGAAGGAAAUUUAAUAUGUUUGUUUCACAAAUUGUAUUGUCAUCAAUGAAACUCGUGCACACCCAACGAAAUUUGCAUGGCUUAUUUUCAAAGGAGUACUGCUAUUUCCAUCCUCUGUCCUAUUUUUCCACUCACCUUAUCUUCAAAAUUUUAAAGACAAAAAUAAACCCCUUUGUAAAAUGCUUAAAAAGAAAUUUAAUAUGUUUGUUUCAAAAAUUGAUAUUGUCAUCAAUGGUUAAAGAAUUGCUGGUGACAACAUAUACUUCUUUUCUACUGUAUUAAUUUCUUUCUUUAUUUUUUCUUCAGUAUAGUUCUGCCUUUCUUUUACAUGUUUAUGCGCAUAUUUGACACGUUCAAGUAUACUUAUAUAACAAAUGCAAUGAGUUUGUAGUCACAAAAAUCAAGGAUUGAAAACAAAAAGUAAUAUUAUGUGCAAGAGAAACUUACCUGCAGAAACUGAAGAACUCCUCUAGUUUCUUCUCUGUCGCUAUGUACUCCCGCGUUCAAGUUAUUAUUCUUACAAUGUACAUACACUAUUAUAUAAUGGCGAGAAGGCUCUGAUUAACCUCCUUUUUGCUUCAUUGGAUGGGGCAAGAAUGGAAUUGUCACCGUGGGUGUGGAGGUGAUCUACCAUUUGAGCAAGAAAUUCCCACAUAUUCUUUAACUAUUUUUCAAGCAUGCAUAUUCCUCCCUAUCAAUCUUUGGUCUCUUCUUUUACUAUUUUUCAAGCAUGCAUACUUUGAUUUUAAAUCAUCUUUUCCGCACUAAUUUGCUUCAAUCAAGAAACAGUUAAUAUAUUUUGUAUCAUCAUUAGAGAACACUUGAAACUGCAUAAGUUAAUUUUGAAGAUGAUGGCAGAACCAAAAUGUGUAUAGCUUAUAACUAUAAUUUCUUGAUUACAACAAGAGGUUUCAAGUUUUCAACAACACAAAUAUGAAUCUCCCAAGCAAAGAUAAACAAUAAAGCAAGCAUACGGAUUGUCAAAUUGCCUUCAAUCACUCUAAAAUACUUCAUACCGUCCGACACUGGCUUCAAUUACUCUACAAUACUUCAAUUCAUAUAUUGUCCUAUUUUCACAUGUACAUCCUGCUUUUACUUAAGGGUUAAUUGUUGAUUUACCCCUUGAACUUGUACUCUACUUUCAAUUUGCACCCUCAACUUUUUUUUUUGAAAAUUAGGUGCAUGAACUAAUUUUUAUUGCCAAUUCCCCCUACCAACAUGUCAUCUAAUAGUCUGUCAAAUCAUUAAAAAAUAUAAUAUUUUUGGAAAAAAUUAAAGAAAAAAAAAUUCCUAAGGACCCACAGACCCAGAACCCACCCUCCGUUGCCCCCGCUUGCUGUUUUCUUCUCCUCCCAGUCCCCCAUGACCACCACCCUCCACUGCCACACCAAUCCCCUACCCAACAGACCCCUCACCCCUUCUUUUUUUUCACCCCCGAACCCAGCAUGAGUUAUUGGUUAAUACCAUUUUCUUAAUUGCCAAAUAAAAAAAAAAAACAGAGUUAACCCUCUGUUAAGCUAGCUGACUAGUGGGGCGAAAUGGAGGAAAAUCAAUAUGGAGACAGCGGAUCCGGUCCCGUGUAAGUGUAUCUGAUGGAAUAAAAGAAUGAUAUUAUUGGUGGUGGGUACGGUUAUGUGGAAGUAAUAAUGGGUAAGAGAAGAAACUUGUUCUCUUGUGAUAAUCAAAAGACAGAAAGUAGUGGGAAAAGACAGAAAGUAGUGGGACACUAUUUUAGAUAUGAUAAUGUUCCUUCCUUGAUUGAUGCAAAUGAAGAGAAAAGGGUGGCUUUAUAUAAUAGCCACUACCGACCUAACACAUUAAAAACACAACUAACACCAAACAUAGUUAAUUCAACUAACUUCUACCACACCAUUAAUUUAACACACAACUACUAACAAACUGCCAACUAUUUCAAAGUUACCAGCCGACUAUUAAUGAAGUCUAGAUUACUUUAACAUCCUCCCUUAAGCUAGACUUCAUUUACGCCAAUUAAUUUUCUCAUCUUGAUGAGCGGCUCUUUCUUCAACGGUUUGGUGAACAAAUCUGCCAGCUGAUCUUGGGACUUGCAAUACAGAACCUCAACUUCUUUAUCUUUGAUUAGCUCUCUGAUGAAAUGGAACUUGAUCUUGAUGUAACACCCCGACCCCAAAUUUUCCCAAAUUUUACCCUUAUUUAAUUAUUUAAUUAUUUAAGGGUAUUUUAGUCAUAUUUUUAACCGGAGAGAGUUUGGGACCGUGACUAGUAUUUUUGGAUAGGUCGAGCUGAGACGAGUUCAUAGACACGUAGUGGGCUCGAAUCGGAGUUGUAACGAGAGAGAUAUGGUCAAAAGAAGCCCAGUGGCACAAUCGUAAAUAUUUCGAAAUGGGAUUUUUUAUAAAAACUCAAAUUUUUCUCUCUCUCUCUCUCUCUCUCUCUCUCUCUCUCUCUCUCUCUCGCGACUCCUCUCUCUCUCUCCCGUCGGCCUCUCCUCUCUCUCUCUUCGUAACUCCGGCCACCGGCCGCGGCUGCGGACGGGGCCGGUGUCAAAAGAACCGGCUCGACCUCGGCAUCACGACCCAGCCCAUCCCCGCCAUCGGCCGCCGCUCCAGCCGCCGGAAAAUGGCGAUUUUCGCCCAGAUGUCGCCGGAACUUCAACGCCGUCGAUCUCCCUCCUCCGGCCACCAAUUCCGUCGACCCAGGUAUGGAUUUUGAACCUCUCGAGCUGCUCUAGCUGAUGGUUGGGUAGGAUUAGAUCGAUUCUUAGCGUAGAUCACUCGAUUUUCGAAUUGAAAAUCGGCCGAAACUUCGGCCGCCGUGAUCGGCCAUUUCCGGCCACUUUUUGGGGUAGGUCCAAGAACAAAAGUGGCUCCAAAUAGGGUGUUAUACCUAGGGUAGGAGUUUGGAGCCGUGGUUUUGAGAUUUUCCGGCGGAGCGUUAUCGCUUUGGGCACCCACGCGCUGCUGGCGCGUGCGGCGGAGCGUGGGCACUGUAUAAAAAGUAGCGAUGUAUUCCGAUGAGAUCCUUAGGUUGUCACGAGUGCGUAGGAUUUUGCGGAUCUCAAUUCGGACGUCGUUUGACUAUCGAACGAAUAAUCGCAUAGUGUGCGUUAUCCGGGUUCGAUAGGUUGGGACCGUUGGAUGGUCCCAAAUUUAAUAUAUGUUAAUCUAGGUAUUUCUAGGAUCGUGUAGGAAUUCACGGAUCGUGAAUCGGAACUCCGGAUGUUCCGAAUAAUAAUUUUAAGUUUAUAUUUUAUAUUAACCAUCAGAUCGUGCGAUCGUGAGCAAUCCGACCGUCCGAUCUGAACCAAACUUGCAGGACAAGUGUCCUACACCUGGUAGAACCCAUAGGGACUUCCGGAUCGGAAAUUGGAGGUCGUGGGUUCUGCAGGUCCGUUUGACCAGGGUUAGAGUAGUUUGACUCUUGGUUGACCGUGAGUCUCCCGGAGUAAUCUCACCCUUCCAGGGGGAAUUAUCGGGAGCUAGACUAUUGUGGAGGGUUACACAAUAUUAGAAUUAUUUAUAUAAAUUAUGUGGUUGUACAAGGGUACAACAGAGUCUAGAAUGUCAGUUUGGAGUGCUAUACGCACUACUCUAGGUACCUCCUCGGACUUUGGAAUUUCUACAAGUACCACCAAGUGAAAGUUAGGUCCCACGUGGCGUAGGUUAUCCGGCGUGUCGACAGACCCCAUACGUGGCGUUGGUUGUACCGGCGUAUGGGGAGAUUUGUGAUAUGAUAUUGAGGUCCCGCGUGGCGUAGGUUAUCCGGCGUUGGGACAGGCCCCAUACGUGGCGUUGGUUGUACCGGCGUAUGGGGAGAUAUUAUGAUAGUAUGGCAUGGUCGCACGUGGCGUAGGUUAUCCGGCGUGUCGACAGACCCCAUACGUGGCGUUGGUUGUACCGGCGUAUGGGGAGAUUUGUGAUAUGAUAUUGAGGUCCUGCGUGGCGUAGGUUAUCCUGCGUUGGGAUAGGCCCCAUACGUGGCGUUAGUUGUACCGGCGUAUGGGGAGAUAUUAUGAUAGUAUGGCAUGGUCGCACGUGGCGUAGGUUAUCCGGCGUGUUGACAGGCCCCAUACGUGGCGUUGGUUGUACCAGCGUAUGGGGAGAAUAUGUGAAAUACAGAGAAAUGAAAUAAGGUAUUGCCCAAGUGUGGAAUUGGGUUUUAGGGAAGAACUACUUAUGGCUUGAUCCCUCAAGGAGGGUACGUAGGCAGCCUAAGGUUAUUAGGUGCAGCCGCAGACUAAAUAUUAGUCAUAAAUUGUAAUUGAACUGUUUGGUAGUCGUUUGAGGAAGUAUUGAAAGGCCGAAGGCCAUUUGUGUGAAUUGCAUGAAAUUAUAUUGUGCAUGCUGCCAGUUGGGAAUAUUAAAUGCGUUUUUAUGCAGGUAUAAAUUUUGGGAAUGUCCAAUUUACAGGGGAGACUCUGCCAAAAUUUCGGCAGGAAGUCUCGGUUUUUAGUAAGUGGGCCUGGCAUCGGGGUGAUGUCAGGAAUUCCAAAGGGUUCGUCUCGGGUUUUGAGAAAAUUCGGGGCGGGUCCUUUCACUUGAUAUGCUUACUCUUGCUGUGAAACAUUGGAUUUUUGGAAAGACAAAUAGCUGAUUUGUUGUUGCAGAACAGCUUUGUAGGUCCUUCUUGAACUUGACCCAUCUCUUCUAAAAUACUUUUCAGCCACCUAGCUUGACAACCUGCUGAUGCAAGAGCAACAUACUCAGAUUCUGUAGUUGAAAGUGCCACUAUAGAUUGCUUUUUGGAGGACCAUGAAAUCGCACUUGAGCCAAUGCUAAAGACAUAACCAGAUGUGCUUUUGCAAGUAUCAACAUCUCCACCCAAGUCACUGUCACUGUAGCCAGUCAAAUUUAGAUUCUGAAUAGGAUAAUAAUGCAAACCAUAAUUGAUAGUUCCAACCACAUAUCUUAGGAUUCUCUUUCCAAGCUCCCAAUGAACAUCUUUUGGUGACUCCACUAAACGGCUGAGGAAGCUUACUGCAUAUGUAAGAUCUGGCCUUGUUGUAGUUAAAUACAAGAGGCCACCCACUAGACUUCGAAACAAAGUUUGAUUUACCAUUGUGCUUCCAUCAUUCUUACCUAUCUUAACACCAACCUCCAUUGGAGUAGCAAUUGACUUUGCAUUUUCCAACCUGAACCUUUUCAACAAUUCCUUUGCGUAUUUCUUUUGAGAAAUAUAGAUACCAUUCUCAUUUUGUUUGACUUCAAUUCCAAGAAAGAAAUGAAGCAAACCAAGGUCUGUCAUUUCAAAUCUUUGUGACAUAAUCAUCUUGAAAUUAUCACACAUUUGAGCAUUACUUCCAGUAAAUAUUAAGUCAUCCACAUAUAAGCAGACAAUCAAAAUCUCACCUUGAGAGUUCUUCUUGGUGUAAAGAGUAUGCUCAUAUGGGCAUUUGUGAAACCCAUACUCUUGGAAGAAUGCAUCAAUCCGACUGUACCAAGCUCUUGGAGCUUGUUUCAAACCAUAUAAAGCCUUCUUCAAUCUACACACUUUUGUUUCUUCAUUUCCCUGCACAUAACCUGGAGGUUGAGCAACAUACACUUCUUCUUCCAAAAAACCUUGCAAGAAUGCUGGUUUAACUUCCAUUUGAAAGACUUUCCAACAAUUUUGGGCAGCAAGAGCUAACACCAUUCGGAUGGUGUCAAAGCGUGCAACUGGAGCAAAAACUUCAUUGUAAUCAAUUCCAUAAUUUUGCUUGUAGCCUUUAGCUACCAAGCGAGCUUUGUAUUUCUCAACUUCUCCUUGAGCAUUCAGCUUGGUCUUAUACACCCAUUUUACUCCUAUAGGCUUCUUUCCUUGAGGAAGAUCAACCAGCUCCCAUGUGUCAUUUUUCUUAAUGGAAUCAAUUUCUUGAUCCAUAGCCUUCACCCAAUUUUCAUCCUUUGAAGCCUCUUCAAACAUAAUUGGGUCUGCAUCUACAAAUAGAGCAAAAUUUGUGCCACCAUUAGUGAUCAAAACAUAAUCACUAGAUGGGUACCUUGUGGAUGGUUGAUGAGCUCUUGUUGAUCUCCUUUGUCCUCUGCAAAUUUCUUCUUCCUCACUGCUAUCACUAGAAGAAGUUGAUGAUGACCCUUGUGAUGAAGAUUCCUAUGAUGAUAGAGUUGUUGGUGGAGUUAAAUCUGGAUUUUCAAGGCCAAUGUCCAACAGUAUUGGACUUUGAUUUUCAGCUUCACUCCAAUUCCAUGCUUCUUCUUCAUUGAACUUGACAUCACGACUAACAAUAAUCUUGUUAGUCAAUGGAUUAAACAACUUAUAUGCCUUGGCCUUUUCACUAUACCCAACAAGAAUGCACUUUUCUGAUUUGUCAUCCAAUUUUCUCCUUGUUUUAUCAGGAAUAUGAGAAUAAGCAAUGCUGCCAAAUAUCCUUAAGUGACUAAUACAUGGCUUGAGGCCACUCUAAGCUUCUUGAGGAGUCUUGCCUUCCACACUAUUGGACGAUGCACGGUUCAAGAGAUAUACAGCACAUGCCACUGCUUCUGCCCAAAAACGAUUAGGCAUUGCUUUUGCCUUCAACAUGCUUCUUGCCAAUUCCAUAACGGUCCUAUUUUUUCUCUCGGCCACACCAUUUUGCUGUGGGGUGUACCGAGCUGUGAACUGAUGCUUAAUCCCAUUUUCUUUUAGAAAAUUUUCGAACACAUUGGAUGAGAAUUCUCCACCUUGAUCAGACCGCAAGGUUUUCAAUGCAAAUCCACUUUGCUUCUCAGCCAAAGCUUUGAAAACUUUAAAGUAAUCAAACACCUCUGAUUUAUAUUUGAGAAAAUAGACCCAUGUCUUUCUGCUAUAAUCAUCAAUGAAUGUAAGAAAGUAGCGGUUACCUCCUGUUGAUGUUGUGUUCAUGGGCCCGCAUACAUCUGAGUGCACCAGCUCAAGAGGAUGGGAUGCUCUCCAAGAAUUUCCUGUAAGAAACGAAUUUCUCUGAUGUUUUCCCAGCACACAUGCUUCACAAACUUGUGUUUGAUGCUGUAUCGUUGGUAGGCCUCGUACCAUAUGUUGUUUCCCCAUCAAUGAUAGUGUAUUGAAACUCAAAUGCCCAUAGCGUAGAAGCCACAACCAUGAGGAAUCCUUGAUAAGUGCACUUAAGCAAGCAAAAGAUUCAUACUUUAUGUUCAGAGAAAACAUAUUGUCUCCUGACAUCUGCACCUUUGUAAUUAGAGAGUUGUACUUGUCUCUAAUUACACACUGGUCUUCCCUGAACUGAAUAUUAUGGCCUUUAUGAAGAAGUUGCCCCACACUAAGGAGAUUGUAAUUUAAAUCUGGAACAUAUAACACAUCAGAGAUUCUUUUUUGUUCUCCAGACUUGGAUAGAAAAAGAAUAUCUCCACAUCCUUUGGCCACUAGCUUUCCACCAUCACCAAUCCUUACUUCUGAGUUGUUGGUAUGCUUGAAAUUGACAAAGGCACUUUUGUUGCCUGUCAUGUGAUUACUACAUCCGCUAUCAAGAUACCAUUUUUCUGCACACACGUUUCCUUCCCUGGCAGCUGCAUAUGCAAGUAGAACCACAUUAUCAUUUUCCCUUUCAGAAGCUUUUUCAUGCACAAAGCUUGAUUCGGCUCCUCCAUUUGUUUUGUUUUUGCAUGUUGACUUGAUGUGCCCAUAUUGCUUGCAAUUGUAGCACUGAAUAUUAGAAAGAGAGGAACCUUGUUCUCUUCCUCUUCCUCUUGAAUAACCACCAUAAUCUCCUCUUCCUCUUGGAUAACCAUAAUCUCCUCUUCUUCUUGAAUAACCAUAAUCUCGUGCAGAGCCUUCAUCAUUAGUUUUUUUUAGGUCAUUUGCAUAGCCACGUCCUUGAUUAUUUCUUCCUCGUCCACGAGUAAAGCCGCCUCUUCCUCUUCUAGAACUUCCUCUGAAUGAGACUUGAGAUUGAAAAGCUUGCUCAACAGGGCCAGAGUCAAACUGCUUCAGUCGUAACUCAUGGGAUUGAAGAGAACCCAUUAAACUGUCAAGAGACAAAGUAGACAGAUCUUUGGAUUCUUCAAUUGCCACCACAAUAUAUUCAAACUUUCGGGGACAUACUUCGAAGAAUUUUUUCAGCAACUCUCUGAUCUUCAAUUUUUUCUCCAUUAAUUCUCAGUUGGUUGACUAGAGAAAUGACACGAUUGAAAUAGUCUUCAACAGAUUCUGACUCCUUCAUACGUAACAUAUCAAACUCACCUCUUAGAGUUUGCAGUCUUGCCAUCUUCACUUUAUCUUCUCCUUUAUAUGAUGCAAAGAGAGUGUCCCACGCCUGUUUUGAUGUAAUGCAUGAUGAGAUUCUUUCAAAGAUAGCUUCAUCCACUGCUUGAAAGAUAAAGAAUAAAGCUUUUUUGUCCUUCUUACGUGUCUCCUUCAGCUCUGUGAGUUGUUGUUGAGUGAGGACUGCUUGAUCAUUUGGCUCCACAAAGCCAUUUUCAACCACCUCCCACAAAUCUUGAGCAGCAUACAACACCUUCAUUUGGAUGCUCCAUUGACUAUAAUUCUUCCCUGUAAACUUUGGAAGCUGGGGCUGUAACAAGUUGUUGUUUGAAGCCAUAUGAUUCUGAGUUUCCAGCUCUGAUACCACUUUGAUGGAAUAAAAGAAUGAUAUUAUUGGUGGUGGGUACGGUUAUGUGGAAGUAAUAAUGGGUAAGAGAAGAAACUUGUUCUCUUGUGAUAAUCAAAAGACAGAAAGUAGUGGGACACUAUUUUAGAUAUGAUAAUGUUCCUUCCUUGAUUGAUGCAAAUGAAGAGAAAAGGGUGGCUUUAUAUAAUAGCCACUACCGACCUAACACAUUAAAAACACAACUAACACCAAACAUAGUUAAUUCAACUAACUUCUACCACACCAUUAAUUUAACACACAACUACUAACAAACUGCCAACUAUUUCAAAGUUACCAGCUGACUAUUAAUGAAGUCUAGAUUACUUUAACAGUAUCGAAUCUAGCUUUAAUAUGUAUUGGGUCCUCUGGACAAGAAUUCUAUCCUUUUCGUCCUAACUAAUAUGUAGGGGAAAAACAAUACAUCAAUUAUCCUUUUCGUCCUAACUAAUAUGUAGGGGAAAAACAAUACAUCAAUUAUGAAUUUUUUUUAUCUGGGUUCGAAAUUAAAUAUGAAUGGAGUUUUGGAGGCUUAAAAGUUAUAAGCUCAAGAAAGGAAGGAAACUAUAUGUACAUUUGGGUCGGAGGCAAAGGUCCAGUCAUCUACCGUCCAGGAUAUACAGUAUCAAAAAAGGCUUAAGAAUUGUAAUAAGGUGACAUACGCCCACAUACGGCCAACGCUAGCAUAUUUCGUAAGUGUAUUAUAUGUCUUCUAAGUAUAUCAUAGUUAUGUGUCAAUUUUAGAUCCAAUUGCACACCCAAAAUACAGAAACAAAAUCAUUGAGAAUACACUUUUUUUCACUUAUAUUUUGAAUAUGCAUUGCCUGUAUUUCAUGUGUAUGAUAUAGGGGCUUCACUUAUAGUUUUUGCACAAAACCUCCCUUGAUGAAGGAUGUCUUAGAUUAAUGACAUCAAUGAUUUGUUACAUUUGGAGUACCCAACAUAACAGCUCUCUGAUUAACAAUAAAGUUAUAAAAUUUCAACAGUUUCAUACCUAACAAGCAUAGAGAAACAAAUAAAACAACCACAUUGCUUCGAUCACUGUACAUGCACACAGCUCACUUUCACUAACUACAGAGGCUAUAUUUUCUACAUAUACACUAACUUUUUCUUUCUCCAGCUCUCUUACACCACCAGGCUGGUGACAAACCCAGCUCGCGUCAUGUGGAGGACCAAAAGGAAAUGACAAGGAGAAAACGGCUAAGGAGAGACUUACUCUCAACACUUAGAAGGCAGAGCAGAGAUAACAGAGCACACUGCUUGUAUAAAAGUGAGUAUGAGGAGAAAAAUAGCGGUAGCAAUUGAAAUAGUUGCCCAAGGUGUGUUGCAAUAGUUUUGUCUCAAGUUUGCCUGCCAUUUGUGCCAAGACGUUCUGCAGUACUUGUUGAGGUCUGCACAAAGAAUAGCAAAAUAGAAGUCAUUAGAGUCCACAAUGACCCCAUCUGCAAGGUUGUUGAUCAGAGUAGACCCUCCACUACUGUCACCGAGCAUAUUUUCGACGAUUCCUUGCUUAACAACCAACUCCACAUCCGUUGCGGUGUUCACAAAGCGAUCCACGAUGACAACAUAAUUGUUUAUGUAAUUCUCCAUGCAAUGGCAUUGUUCAAAGGCAAGGAGGUUUCUGAUUGUAAGCUCUGUCUCAUCACUUAUUGCUAAUUUUGGAAUUUCUAGAAUCCCAUUAGCGAAUUGUAUGUCGAAUAAGUUUUUGGGUGAUCCCACCUUAAACUUGACUCCUGCUCUGUGUAACUCUGUGAUGCUGGAUGUGUUUAAGAGUUUCAAGUCGCCCCUUAGCAGGUGGUUUCAAUGGUAGAGGUAGAUACAAAUUUCUACAAAAAUCUACAAAGUGUUCUACUUUAGAAGUACAUAAUUUCUCCAUAUUGCCAUCCGUUCCCUCUAUGUGCAUUAGAGUUUUGAAGAAAUUGUGGCAAAGGUUAAGCAUCGAAAGCCUCUCAAUAUUGUUAUUGUUAGAAGAGACUUUGAUUUUUUCGGGGUCAAAAAGUUCCUCAAGAAUGAAGAAUGGCAGCUGAUUUUCAAACAACCGCAUGUCAGGCCAUACGUCUGGCAACAGCCAUGGUUUGUUAAAUAUGCGGUCAAUUUCAUCCUGCAAUUCAUCGAAACGAUACCUCAACAAGACCUCAAUGAUGAAGGCGGCAUCCACUAGAAUGAUUCUCACAAAUUCAUCACUGCUAACCUGAAUGGUUUCUGCAUAACAACUGCGCAGUUUUGCUUCUUGGUCUUUUACUUUCUGUACAUAAUCGGCUAGGCUUACCCUGGUCCGACGUAUAUAAUCUUGUAAGUACCUCUUUUUGUGAUCUUCCAUGGCUUUUAGGCCUUCCUCGCCAUGAUGAAGUGGGCCUAUAGAGACUACCUGAGGUGUGUAGGCCUUUUCACUCACACGCCGUAGUCGUUCAGGAACUCUAUAAAUGCAACACAAGGAGGAGAGGGAAGACAAGCCAUCCAACUCCUCACUCAUUGAAGUUACUAAUGGAAUGCAAGGGUUUUCAAUAUCAUGUGGAGCUUGAUCGCUUCCUUCCAUUUUCCGCUGAUGUGUUUGUUGUUGUCAAUCAUAAUGGAUGAUAAUGAAAUGAUAGUCACUGACACAACAAUAAACAAAUUUUUCAAGAUGGCUGAGAAAAUUAAUACAAACAUUGCAAUUAUAAGACCAAACACACAAAGACUUUUGAUCCUUGUAACUCUUACAUACCACACUAGUGCCUUAAGAAUUCGAUUUGAAUGCACCAAAUUCAUUCAAAACUCUUCUGGUCAACUCUGUUUCUUGUAAUUAUUCUUGGAAGAUUCUAAUACAUUUUUGAUUGAAAAAUUCCUACUAAUCAUGUGAAUCAGUACCAAAGUUUAUUUCAAAUUAACAUACAAACCCCACUUUUUUUUUCCUACAUAUAUACUUCUUUAUUUCCCCUCAACUUAUUGGAGCUUCUAAUAAAGCAAAUUCUUUCUGUGAUGAUAUCAGAUAGUAGAUUAUGCUUCCAGUCAAAACAUAGACAAACCAAAAUCCCAUUAGAAGAGAAGAAAAUAAUAUACGACAUUCACAUAACCUUCUGCUCAAUUCCAAUUUCCAACUACAAUGAAACAUAAGACACUUAAAAGCUUCAAGAAAUUGGAUGUGCAAGCAAACAUAGCGAAAUUAUGAAAGACAGAGAAAGGUGUUGGGCAUUGAAAACAUACCUGAUACGUAUUGAAACACAAUUUUUUUUUGCCUUUGGUAGAUGGAGUAGCUAGAAAAGCUCAAUGCACUUGCUCUUCUGCUACAUUUCAAUAUAAGAACAUUGUUUGGAAGUCCGGUCAAUUCCUCAAAGCUUCCUUGCCUUUGUUUUGACAUGCCGAUGCCCGUCUUGGGGAAGUUUGAAUAAUCCAUUGCAGGCCCCAUGAUAGGAUUUUUAGUACUUGUGCAAACAGUGUUAAAAAUCACAUAAAAUACUUGCAAGAAUACAAGGCUAUUGUAGUAUAGAUGCUCAUGCAAGGUCGUUUUCCUCAAGGACUAAUUAGCAAUUUAUGUAAAAACAAAUUCCAAUUACUACUUAAAAUAAAAAGUCAAGAAAGAUGAUUAUAAAUUUGGUGGAUUCUAAAAAACAAAUAUUAAACAAAAACAAAUACGAUUGAAAGAAAGAGUUUUGAAUAUCAAUUUAUAAAAACACUAGGGUUUCACCAUCACCUAGCAAUCCUAUGAACUUUUACCAAUUACUUAUGAUUUGCACAUGCCACUUUGAAGGUUAGGUUUUCCUAAUGUAUAUUCUACUUGGAACCUCCAACACAGAACGUAUAUCCAACAUGCAACCCGUCCGGACGUUCGGAUCAAAUCUGAACAUGAAAGACUCAUUAAGUUUUGUGAAAACCCUUUGAAAAACCAUGCAACCCUUAAGACGUGGUGUUCAUCUUAAGUGAAAUUACAAUUAUUAAUCACAAGAAGCUAGCAUAAAUUUCAGGGAACCUUCCGACCAAAAUUGCAUCCAAUUACUUUUCUAAAGAUCCUAAUGGUGAUCAGGCAUUAAGACAAUUAGAUAGUUUAAAAUAGUGAUUAACAAUUCAAAAUACGCAUGCACUCAUCAUAAGCAAUUAAAUAAAAAUCACAUAUUCAUGCUAAGGUUCAAGGCUUCACCCUAGCAAAAGAAAUUUAGUUACGCAUACUCAUAAUUGAAAUCCAAGAAAAUAUCAUUAAGAAGAAAAGAACGAAAACACCUGAAAGUUGUGAAAACCCAAAACCCUAGCAAUUGCUCUCUACAAUGCAAAGUUCAAAAAUAAUUAAGAAGUCCUAAAUUCCUUGUGAGAAAGAGCUUAAAUAUCCCUUAAAACCUAGCUGCCAAUGUACAGCUUUUCUAUCCCUACAAGGAAACUAAUUAAAGUAAAAUAAUACUAGGAAAUAAAGUCCAAAUUGGAAUAGGAGAAUUUGCCCAAAAUCAGCCCAGCCACGUUUUGGCCCCAAAUCUCCUCCAAAUCUGGCCCAAGAUAGCUUUUUUUAAAGACACUACUACAAAAAGUGAAAAAGACGACCAGAAAACAACGACGGUCUAAGUGAAAACCGUCGUGGUUUUUAAAAAGACGACGGUUCUAAAAACACCGUCGUGUAAUACCACCUUAGACAACUAAAAAAUGGAGAUUCAAAUGGCUGUUCAAAAACAACGACGUACCUAAUUAAACAACCGACGUCUAUUUGAAACAGAUUUCCGCAGUGUAAAAUCAAAGCAAACAAAGAACGGCAGAAGUUAUGAAUAGACCGACGUAGAAAGUAAAGACGACGAUUUCAAUAAAAGCCGCCGUUUUUACUCAUAAAAUAACACGACGAGGUUUUCGUAUAAGACGCCGUAUAAUUACAAACAAAUCCACGGCUUUAAAAUACAAAAUAAUCUUAACAGAUGACACAGAUUUGCAAUCAGAGAGACAAUUUUUUGGAAGUUGAUCAACGUCGUUGAAAAUUUGCAAUCAGAGAGACAAUUUUCAACGACGGUUAUAUUAUACCUAACGACGUUUAAAAACAAAUCAACGUCGCUCAACAAAUAUAUUACGUCGUCUUAGUCUUACUUAAGACGACGAAAAACGACGACAGUAGUAAAAAAACAGUCGUUGUUUUUAUAUUCUUAUUUUAUUUAAAUCUGUCGUGUUAGUUAAAAACGACGGCAUAACAAAAAACCGUCGUUUUGUUUCAAACUGAAUUAAUUUAAAAUUUCUUCAGGAAAGCAAAAUCUAUUUAUAAUUUCCUCGGGUUAGUAAUAUUGUGUCGUGUUAGUUUACAAAUUCUAGAACAUUAAUUUCCCUCAUUUUAAAUUUUCUCGGGAAAGAAAAAUCUAUUUAUCACGCUUUGUAAUUGAAAACUAAAACUGAAAGAAUUCUGGAAAAAAAACUCUAUUUAUAAUUUAAAAAUAAAAUGCACGUCGGUUGUAGUACACUUAACGACGUUUAACAAAAUAAUCUACGUCGGUAAUUAUAAAUCUACCGCCAUCUUACCCUAAUAUAGACGACGAGAAAAGACGACGGUAGAACAGAAAACCGCCGUUGUUUCAGUUUCUUUAACAGUUUGGUCCUUUAUCUUUCUGCAGGACUUGUAUAGUUCAAAGCAUUGACAAUGUCUUCAUCAUAUCUCCCAGCAACUACUGAUUCGAUUGCUCAUGCUUUAGAGGCCAUCUGAAGCCAUUUCUAUUCUUUAUCGCAUUCUUGAAACCCAUCUUCUUCUUCUGAAGCUCUACGGAUAAAGGAANNNNNNNNNNNNNNNNNNNNNNNNNNNNNNNNNNNNNNNNNNNNNNNNNNNNNNNNNNNNNNNNNNNNNNNNNNNNNNNNNNNNNNNNNNNNNNNNNNNNNNNNNNNNNNNNNNNNNNNNNNNNNNNNNNNNNNNNNNNNNNNNNNNNNNNNNNNNNNNUUUUUUUUGGGGUUGGUUUUUUAUAGUAACCAGUUAUAACAGUAGUGGUUGUGCAAUGUUUGGUUCCCUUAAGCUUCGAUCCAACCGUGUAGCCAGCUUUAGGUCAAUGUCUCCCAAACCACUCGGGUUUUAGGGCACUAGGUGUAGAACACCCCUAAGGACUUAUUAACUCAAGCUGAAAAGGCUACGAAACCAACUAACCACCCUGCCUCAUGCCAAAACUCUACCUUUUGUCUCGAAAAUCACUGCUGAUUAGGCAGGACUGGCCCGGUUACUAGCAAAGCUUCGGGUGAGGCAAUUAUUACUUUAUAACACAUACUAACUUUAUUUAAAUUGAACAGAAAUUAAAACACACUUGGACAAAAAGUAAGUAUUCCAAUCUCACUCCCCAAAAACCAUAUUGGUGUGAUGUGCAAAUUUCAAAGUAUAAUUCAUGAAUUAGUGUCUAAGCAACAAUAAAUAGAAAAGACUCUACUGUGGGAUUGAUUUUCACUAUGUCCAUUUAUUCUAACGUUUAAAAUAAUCUAUGGAUAUUGACUGAAAAACGAAAAUUUUAAACAAGACUUAAAAAAAACUAAAAAUCUAAAAUUUACUUUCCCACCCCCUAACUUAAAUCACACAUUGUCCUCAAGGUGUGGUAAAUAAUCAAAAGAAACAAGAGCAGAAACAAAACGACUAAAUCCUAGAAAAUGAAAAUCAAAAAUAAAGAAAAUACUCUAAGAAAAGAAACUAGGAAGGAAAAAUAGAAGAAUAAUAAAAUAAAAUAAAAUAAGAAAGAAAAGGAGAAAAACAACAAUAGAAAAGAAAUAGGAAAGAAAAUACCCAAAAAUGAGACACCUUGGGGAUUCAAAGGCAGGACCAGGCGGAGUGUUGCGAAAAAGCGCUGACCAACUCAACCACGUCCACACUGGCAUCAAAUAGGAGCGACAGCUACAAUAUAACCUGCUGUAGCUGCUGCAUCUGUCAUUUGAAAAAUAUUGGAUUCCCUUCUCCUACCCCGAGCUCAGAGCCGAAAGGCUCUCUUCUGUCCAUUCCCAUUUUGCAGAAGAAAAAAGAAUAUUGCUGGAUAAACCAAAGCCUCCGCUGUGUCCAGAGAAUCAGAAAAGGUCUCUGAUUUCUCUCUUCUCAAGGCCAUCCAUCUCCGCCUUCACUCUUCUUCAUUCUCUCCAACACUCACGAUCCUUUCCUCUCUUUCAACCCAAUUACACCAGCGUUUUCAUCUGCGUGAGGAGGCCACAUUUGCAGCAAACACAACCAGUGAGGUUGAAUUAUCUGAUGCACCUGAAUUUUUGGAUGGUUUUGGAGUCCCUAGAUUCCUCAAAUUCAGAUCUGUCUCCAUCCAUGUCACCAGAUGCUAACUUGUUCCAAGAUGAAAACAAGCUGAAGCCGAACAAGAGUCUAUUCUCCACCAGUAAGGACCCCAGAUCUGUGCAUCCCGUAGGUAAACUUUCGAACCCCAGAACUGGUUUUUUUUUUUUUUUUUUUCCGUUUUUUUUUUGUUUUGAAAAUAAAAGAAGUAAAGAGUUUAGAAAAAUUGGGUUGCCUCCCAAUAAGCGCGCUAUUUUAAGUCUGUAGCUAGACUUUGCAGAAGCCUGGUGGUCAAAUCACUGGUUCCUUCAGAGUCAAAGACUCGGCUGCAAUGUCAAAGGGUGUCUCCACGUAGGGUUUUAGCCUAUGACCAUUCACCUUGAACGUGUUGCCUUUAUCUUCAUUAGUGAUUUGAACUGCUCCAUGAGGAAAAACUUGAGUCACUAGGUAGGGUCCAGUCCAGCGAGAUUUUAAUUUCCCUGGAAACAACUUGAGCCUUGAACUAAAUAACAGAACCUUUUGCCCUGGCUGAAAUUCCUUCCGUAAAAUUUGACUGUCAUGAAAUGCCUUAGUUCUUUCCUUGUAGAUGCGAGAACUAUCAUAAGCACCUUGACGAAUUUCCUCUAGCUCAUUUAACUGCAAUUUCCGCUUUUCCCCAGCUGAGUCAUAUGCAAAAUUUAACUCUUUAAUGGCCCAGUAAGCUUUAUGCUCCAGCUCCAUAGGUAGAUGACAGGCUUUCCCAUAAACAAGUCGGAAUGGUGACAUCCCAAUAGGAGUUUUAUAAGCUGUCCUGUAUGCCCACAAAGCAUCAUUUAGUUUGAAACUCCAAUCCUUGCGUGUAGAGCUCACUGUUUUCUCCAAAAUACGCUUUAUUUCUCUGUUUGAAACUUCAACUUGACCAGAUGUCUGUGGGUGGUAUGGUGUAGCCACGCGAUGAUUAAUCCCGUAUUUUGCCAGUAGGUUAGCAAAUGGUUUAUUAAUAAAAUGCUUCCCCCCAUCACUAAGAAUAACACGCGGUAUUCCAAAACGUGGAAAUAUAACCCCCUGGAGGAACUUCAGGACCACUGAUCCUUGAUUAGUUGGUGCUGCAAUGGCCUCGACCCAUUUUGAAACAUAUUCCACAGCCACUAAAAUAUAUUGGUGCCCAUUAGAAGAUGGGAAUGGCCCCAUGAAAUCAAUACCCCAAACAUCAAAUAGUUCAACAAUUAGGAUACUUUGUUGGGGCAUUUCAUUCCUUCUGGAUUGAUUGCCGACCCUUUGACACCGAUCACAUGCCUUGCACCAAUUCUGUGAAUCUCUAAAAAGUGUUGGCCAAAAUAACCCACUCUGUAGGAUUUUCUCUGCUGUCCUUUUCUGCGCAAAAUGUCCUCCUCAAGCAUAGUGAUGAGCAAACUUUAAAACACUUUCUUGUUCAGCCUCCGGAAUACACCUGCGAAUAAUCUGGUCUGCACAAUACUUGUAUAAGUACGGUUCAUCCCAGAAAUAGUGCUUUACAUCAGAUAAAAACUUCUUUUUCUGCUGGUAGGAAAAAUCUGGAUGCACCACACCCUUAGCCAAAUAAUUGACAAUAUCUGCAAACCAAGGUGUGUCAAUUUUGACAGCAAAUAGCUGUUCAUCUGGGAAACUUUCACUCAAUGGUAGAGAAUCUGCCUCUGUAGCUGCUGGAAUAAUUAAUCUAGAUAAAUGAUCAGCCACAACAUUCUCACUGCCCUUCUUGUCUUUAAUCUCUAAGUCAAAUUCUUGAAGUAAGAGAACCCAACGAAUCAAUCUAGGCUUUGCAUCCUUCUUAGACAACAAGUAUUUUAGUGCAGCAUGAUCUGUAUAGACAAUUAUUUUAGCCCCAACCAAAUAAGACCGAAAUUUCUCUAGUGCGAACACAACUGCCAACAAUUCCUUCUCUGUAGUUGCAUAGUUAAGCUGUGCAUCAUUUAGAGUACGACUUGCAUAAUAGAUGACAUGGGGAAGCUUAUCUUUUCGCUGCCCUAAAACUGCCCCGACAGCAUAAUCUGACGCAUCACACAUUAGUUCAAAUGGUAAAUCCCAAUUUGGUGCAGCAAUGAUGGGUGCCGAAGUUAGGAGUGCUUUCAACUUGUUGAAUGCUUCUAAACAGGCCUUAUCAAAAUUAAAUGGUGCAUCCUUAGCCAAUAAAGUGCACAAAGGUCGACUAAUCUUGGAGAAAUCCUUGAUGAACCGACGAUAAAAACCUGCGUGUCCUAAGAAGGACCUCACACCUUUUACUGAUGUAGGAGGUGGCAGCUUUGCAAUAACUUCAAUCUUUGCCUUGUCAACCUCGAUGCCUUUGCUAGAAAUUGAAUGACCCAAGACAAUUCCCUGUUCAACCAUGAAAUGCCACUUUUCCCAGUUUAGCACUAAAUUUGUCGCUUGACAUCUCUGAAGAACUAAUGAUAAAUUCUGUAAGCAUUGAUCAUAUGAAUCCCCAAAAACAGAAAAAUCAUCCAUAAAAACUUCCACAAUAUUUUCGACCAAGCCAGAAAAAAUACUCAUCAUACAACGUUGAAACGUAGCAGGUGCAUCGCAUAAUCCGAAUGGCAUCCUCCGAUAAGCGUAAGUACCAAAUGGACAAGUGAAAGUAGUCUUCUCUUGAUCCUCUGGUGCUAUUGGAAUCUGAUUAUACCCAGAAUACCCAUCAAGAAAACAGUAAAAAGCCCGCCCAACCAACCUUUCUAACAUCUGGUCAAUAAAAGGCAAUGGAAAAUGGUCUUUUCUCGUCCCUGUGUUAAGCUUCCGAUAAUCUACACACAUUCUCCAACCCGUAGUCAAUCGUGUAGGAACUAACUCAUUAUUAUCAUUUUUCACCACUGUAAUACCGGUCCGUUUAGGCACAACUUGAGUCGGGCUAACCCAUUUACUGUCAGAAAUAGGAUAAAUCAUACCUGCAUCAAGUAAUUUCAUAACCUCUGUUCUAACCACCUCUUUCAUAAUUGGGUUAAGGCGGCGUUGAGCAUCAACUGUUAGCUUUACGUCGUCUUCCAUUAAUAUUCUGUGCAUACAUAGUGCUGGGCUGAUUCCCUUGAUAUCCGCAAUUGUCCAUCCCAAUGCAUCUUGAUAUUUUCUCAAUACACGAAGCAAUUUAUCCUCCUCUGUCGGUGUUAAAUCUGCUGCAAUUAUAACUGGCAACGUCUCUGCAGCUCCUAAAUAUGCAUAUUUAAGAUGUUGUGGUAAAGGCUUCAGCUCCAAUUUUGGCGGCUGCUGUCUGGAUGGUUUAAGGGGCUGUUUGGGCUCCCCUAAACUCUCAUACACAUUCCUAAAUUUUGGCAACACUGUGGGCAGACUGUUCAAUGCGUGUAUGUACUCAUGAACACCUUCAUCUUCAAAAUCUGUCUCAAAUGCCCCCUGUAAAACAUGCAACAACUGAUCUGUUUUUGAAUUAGCAUAAAAUCUGUCCUGCACCAUACUGUCUACCAUGUCAAUACGCAUACAAUCUAGCUGUUCAGCAGGACGUUUUGUUGCCGCAAACAAAUUAAACACCACAGAUUGGUCCUGAACCCGUAAAGUCAAUGUUCCAGCUUCCACAUCAAUUAAGGUCCUAGCUGUUGCCAUAAACGGCCUCCCCAAAAUAAUAGGUGUUUGAAGGUCUUCAUCCAUGUCUAAAACCACAAAAUCUGCCGGUAGAUAAAGAUUAUCAACCUUAAUAAUUAGAUCUUCAAUAACACCUCUUGGAUAAGUGAUUGAACGGUCAGCUAGUUGAAGUAUAAUUGAUAUAGGCUUUAAAUCUCCUUGCCCCAAUCGCUGAAAAACAGAAAAAGGCAUCAAAUUAAUACUUGCACCCAAAUCAAUUAAAGCACUCUUAAAAUUAGAAUUUCCAAUAGUGCAAGAAAUAUUAAAACUCCCUGGAUCUUUUUUCUUAGGUGGUAGUUUGUGUAGCAAAACUGCAUUGCACUGUUCUGUCAAAAUAACUUUUUCCAAAUCUGAAAGCUUCUUUUUGCUGCUGCAAACUUCCUUCAAAAAUUUGGCAUAUGAUGGAAUUUUCUUGAUUGCAUCCAGUAAGGGAAUGUUGAUUUGAACCUUGGAUAAUGUCUGCAUAAAGUCCUUGAGUUGCUGAUCUUUUACUUUUGGCUUCAAACGUUCUGGAUAUGGAAUUGGGGCCUCAUAAACACGCUCAGGUACUUGUUUUGGAACAGUUUCUAGAUCUGCCAUAUUAUGUUUUUCUACAGGUUUGGCAGGUUCUGCUGCUGCAAAAUUUUCUGUAUGAUCCUCCACUGCAUGCUGCUCCUUUUCAAUGUUAUUUUCACGAUUGUCAUAGCUUUUUCCACAUCGUAAAGUCCGAACAACUUUGCAAUCUUCACGUCCAUUUGGAUUAGGAAUUGUUUGACUAGGAAAUUUGCCCUUUUAUCUGUCUGAAAUCUGUGUAGCUAGUUGUCCAAAUUGUUGCUCCAAACUUUUAAUAGAUGCUUCAACAUUUUGAAAUCUUUGAUUGUUGCCCUCGAUGAAUGAUUGAGUUGUUGCUGCCAGUUUAGCAAGUUGAUCUUCCAUAGAUGGUUUGGAGGGAACAAAAGGUUUUUGUGCAUGCUGGAAUGGUUUGGCAUUAGUCUGAUUGUCACCCCAUUUGAAAUUAGGGUGAUCCCUCCAUCCAGGAUUGUAAUGAGUUGCAUAUGCAUCAUUCCUAGGCCUUUGAUAGCUGUUCAUCAUAUUGACAUGUUGUUCAACAAGCUCUGGGUAAGAGUCUCUAUGUGGGCAGCCCAUUAUGUCAUGUGUAGCCAUACUGCAUAUAGUGCAAACUGUUGAUGUAGGUGGCUGCUGUGUAGAACUUGCUAUAUGUUGUAGAAGCAUAUCAAACUUUGCAUCAAUUUUCUUAUCCAUUUUUUCCAUUUGUGCAGACAUGUUGGGAGAACCUACUGAUAACUCAAAAAUGCCCCUUUUCUGUGAAUGUUCUGCUGCCCAUUGCUGAGAUUCUGUAGCCAUCAUAUCAAACAGUUCAAAUGCCUCUCUUGCAGAUUUAUUUGAUAAUGAUCCUCCAGCUGAUGCAUUCACAUGGCUCUUAGAUGUAGGAUUAAGCCCAUCAAAGAAAAUAUUCAUUUGUGUAUCUGAAUCAAUUUUAACAUGUGGACACUUUAUGUACAUCUUUGUAUAUCUCUCCCACGCUUCAUGAAACUCUUCAUUAGGCUUCUGUGUGAAUGUCAAAAUCUCCCUCUUGUAAUUCAAUGUCUUGGAUGCUGGAUAAUAUUUGUUCAGGAAUUUUGUGUGUAACUGCUGCCAAGUAGUAAUGCUAUUAGCUGGUAGAGUGAAUAACCAAGUUUCUGCCUUGUCCUUCAAAGUGAAAGGGAAAAGACGUAACUUAAUAGCCUCAGCAGAAAAACCCCUAAUCAAAAUAUUCUUGCAACCCACAAUAAAUUUUGCAAUAUGUAUGUUUGCAUCUUCAUUAGGCAAUCCCCGAAAAGUAGGUAGAAUUUCAAGCAUAUGGUGCCUGAUCUCGAACGAAUCACCCUCUUCUUGUUCAGGAUACACAAUGCAAUUGGGAACAUCAGUGGCACGGGCUUCCAAUGACUCCCUGAGUGGUCUACCUGCCGCAGGUAAUUCUAACGCCAUGUUACUCUCGUUUGCAAACAGAUCCUGCAGAAAAGUGCCCUGCAGUGAACAGUCCCAAGCCCAAGUAACUUCUCUCCGCUGUCUAUGCAGUGUGCGCUCUGGUUCUGGAUCAAAUUGUACAAUCUGUGUAGUUCCUGAUCUGGUCUGGACCAUGCAGUCUGCAAAAUCUGCAACAGAAACAAAAUUGUUCAAUUUCAAUUUUUUUUUUUGGACGAAAAUUAAAAAUAAAAUAAAAUGAAAUAAAUCAGAAAAAGGUUAAACAAAAAUUGUCUAAAAUAGUCCCCAGCAACGGCGCCAAUUUCUUGAUAGGAUUUUUAGUACUUGUGCAAACAGUGUUAAAAAUCACAUAAAAUACUUGCAAGAAUACAAGGCUAUUGUAGUAUAGAUGCUCAUGCAAGGUCGUUUUCCUCAAGGACUAAUUAGCAAUUUAUGUAAAAACAAAUUUCAAUUACUACUUAAAAUAAAAAGUCAAGAAAGAUGAUUAUAAAUUUGGUGGAUUCUAAAAAACAAAUAUUAAACAAAAACAAAUACGAUUGAAAGAAAGAGUUUUGAAUAUCAAUUUAUAAAACCACUAGGGUUUCACCAUCACCUAGCAAUCCUAUGAACUUUUACCAAUUACUUAUGAUUUGCACAUGCCACUUUGAAGGUUAGGUUUUCCUAUUGUAUAUUCUACUUGGAACCUCCAACACAGAACGUAUAUCCAACAUGCAACCCGUCCGGACGUUCGGAUCAAAUCUGAACAUGAAAGACUCAUUAAGUUUUGUGAAAACCCUUUGAAAAACCAUGCAACCCUUAAGACGUGGUGUUCAUCUUAAGUGAAAUUACAAUUAUUAAUCACAAGAAGCUAGCAUAAAUUUCAGGGAACCUUCCGACCAAAAUUGCAUCCAAUUACUUUUCUAAAGAUCCUAAUGGUGAUCAGGCAUUAAGACAAUUAGAUAGUUUAAAAUAGUGAUUAACAAUUCAAAAUACGCAUGCACUCAUCAUAAGCAAUUAAAUAAAAAUCACAUAUUCAUGCUAAGGUUCAAGGCUUCACCCUAGCAAAAGAAAUUUAGUUACGCAUACUCAUAAUUGAAAUCCAAGAAAAUAUCAUUAAGAAGAAAAGAACGAAAACACCUGAAAGUUGUGAAAACCCAAAACCCUAGCAAUUGCUCUCUACAAUGCAAAGUUCAAAAAUAAUUAAGAAGUCCUAAAUUCCUUGUGAGAAAGAGCUUAAAUAUCCCUUAAAACCUAGCUGCCAAUGUACAGCUUUUCUAUCCCUACAAGGAAACUAAUUAAAGUAAAAUAAUACUAGGAAAUAAAGUCCAAAUUGGAAUAGGAGAAUUUGCCCAAAAUCAGCCCAGCCACGUUUUGGCCCCAAAUCUCCUCCAAAUCUGGCCCAAGAUAGCUUUUUUUAAAGACACUACUACAAAAAGUGAAAAAGACGACCAGAAAACAACGACGGUCUAAGUGAAAACCGUCGUGGUUUUUAAAAAGACGACGGUUCUAAAAACACCGUCGUGUAAUACCACCUUAGACAACUAAAAAAUGGAGAUUCAAAUGGCUGUUCAAAAACAACGACGUACCUAAUUAAACAACCGACGUCUAUUUGAAACAGAUUUCCGCAGUGUAAAAUCAAAGCAAACAAAGAACGGCAGAAGUUAUGAAUAGACCGACGUAGAAAGUAAAGACGACGAUUUCAAUAAAAGCCGCCGUUUUUACUCAUAAAAUAACACGACGAGGUUUUCGUAUAAGACGCCGUAUAAUUACAAACAAAUCCACGGCUUUAAAAUACAAAAAUAAUCUUAACAGAUGACACAGAUUUGCAAUCAGAAGAGACAAUUUUUGAAGUUGAUCAACGUCGUUGAAAAUUGCAAUCAGAAGAGACAUUUUCAACGACGGNNNNNNNNNNNNNNNNNNNNNNNNNNNNNNNNNNNNNNNNNNNNNNNNNNNNNNNNNNNNNNNNNNNNNNNNNNNNNNNNNNNNNNNNNNNNNNNNNNNNGGAAGUUGAUCAACGUCGUUGAAAAUUUGCAAUCAGAGAGACAAUUUUCAACGACGGUUAUAUUAUACCUAACGACGUUUAAAAACAAAUCAACGUCGCUCAACAAAUAUAUUACGUCGUCUUAGUCUUACUUAAGACGACGAAAAACGACGACAGUAGUAAAAAAACAGUCGUUGUUUUUAUAUUCUUAUUUUAUUUAAAUCUGUCGUGUUAGUUAAAAACGACGGCAUAACAAAAAACCGUCGUUUUGUUUCAAACUGAAUUAAUUUAAAAUUUCUUCAGGAAAGCAAAAUCUAUUUAUAAUUUCCUCGGGUUAGUAAUAUUGUGUCGUGUUAGUUUACAAAUUCUAGAACAUUAAUUUCCCUCAUUUUAAAUUUUCUCGGGAAAGAAAAAUCUAUUUAUCACGCUUUGUAAUUGAAAACUAAAACUGAAAGAAUUCUGGAAAAAAAACUCUAUUUAUAAUUUAAAAAUAAAAUGCACGUCGGUUGUAGUACACUUAACGACGUUUAACAAAAUAAUCUACGUCGGUAAUUAUAAAUCUACCGCCAUCUUACCCUAAUAUAGACGACGAGAAAAGACGACGGUAGAACAGAAAACCGCCGUUGUUUCAGUUUCUUUAACAGUUUGGUCCUUUAUCUUUCUGCAGGACUUGUAUAGUUCAAAGCAUUGACAAUGUCUUCAUCAUAUCUCCCAGCAACUACUGAUUCGAUUGCUCAUGCUUUAGAGGCCAUCUGAAGCCAUUUCUAUUCUUUAUCGCAUUCUUGAAACCCAUCUUCUUCUUCUGAAGCUCUACGGAUAAAGGAAGAGGCUAUCACAAAUCUGACGGAUCUUCUUAGUCAAAAAAAUCAAGCAGAGGAUCAGGCACAUCUGAUCUUCAGAUUUCCCUGAGAAGCGAACUUUCCUUCGACAGCGAGUGGAGGCCAGGCUUGCAUCUCUUUUGAUGGAAAGCAAGGAGUAUUCAGAAGCACUAAGUGUCCUAUCAGGCUUGAUCAAGGAAGUGAGAAGGCUAGUUGACAAGCUUCUUCUUGUCAACUAGCCUAAAUGUAAGCUCAAUUUCUCUUUGAGAAAGACCUCCAAAUUAUUGUCUUUGAGAUGUGAGAGACAGUGUCUCUGAGAGAGGAAGAACUUGGAACCCUAAAUGUAAACCGCGAAAAUGAAUGAAAGCGACAAAUUUAUAGAAUAAAUUUUUAAAACCAACGGCGGUACUUACCAAGAAACCGCCGUUUCAAUUGUAAAAUCAACGUCGGUAUUACUGACGUAUAUUACAGAACUCCACGUCGGUACAUUAAUAAUCACGACGUCUUAAAUAAUCUACCAUGACGCGAGUUAUUACUUAUGUACUUUAAUUUUUGAGUUUACUACGACGGUACCUACAACACUACUGUCGUAUUUAUUUACCACGUCCGAAGUUAAAUUUACCGACGUAUUUUGUACUUUAUACGUCGUAGUUAUAUGUAACCGCCGUAUUAUUUUUUUGAAAUGGUUUUAUAUGUAAGCAACUUUUCGUCUACUUGACUUACACAUUAGUUGUUUUUAUAUUCUUAUUUUAUUUAAAUCUGUCAUCCAAAAAAGAAACUUUACAUAUUGCAGAAUAUUAAUUUCCUUCGUUUUAAAUUUCCUCCGGAAAAAAAACUCUAUUUAUAACGCACUGUAAUUGAAAAAUAAACUGAAAGGUCACGGGAAAAAAAAUUCUAUUCAUAAUUUAAAAAUUAAAAUCCACGUCGGUUAUAUUAAACCUAACGACGUUAAAUGAAAUGAUUCCACGUCGAACGAAAAAUAUUUCGUCGUGUUAGUUAAAAACGACGUAGUUAAAUGUAACCGCCGUAUUAUUUUUUUGAAAUGGUUUUAUAUGUAAGCAACUUUUGGACUUACACAUGCACUGUUUCCAAACCCGAUUAAAAAUUUCAAUCUCCAGAGAAACCUUUUCGUCUUUUUUCCUUGUCAGAGCAUUAUCAGAGUUUCUCAUCGUCUUCCUCUCGUCUUCUUCGUCGUCCUUGAACUUAAACAUCGAUCAUCUUCCUCUUGCUUUCAUUGCACGCAAAAGGUAAGCUUUCAUUUUCACUAUUUUGGUUACUGUUUUGCAUGCUCAUACGUUUUUUGUUUGAAAAAUCUUUUUACCUUUUUUCUGGCCAAAAUCAUUUUACUUCUUUCCAAGUUUGAUAAAAUAUACAGACAAAAAGGGAAAGUUUCCAACUUUGAAGACAACUACCUCAACUAAAUGAGACGACGGUAGACCACGACGGUUCGUCAGUUGUUCUAGCGUCGUCUGAAAAUUGACAAAGUUGUUUUUAAAAUAAUAGUCUUUUUUUAUAUGCUUGUUUAAUUGCAGGUUUGAUUUCUCUGAACAAUGGUUUUUGUUUUUCCCUUAUUUGAUAAAAUAUAAAGAAAAAGAAACUAGGGUUGGUAUCUAAUAUAGACGACAAAAUAUCUUAUUGUUUUACGUCGUGUGAAUGUUAAUACCACGACGGUGUAUUACUAUUAACGUCGUAUGAACAUAAAUACCACGACGUUAUAUAAAUAAUAGUUUACCACGACGGUGUAUUACUAUUGACGUCGUGUGAACAUAUAUACCACGACGUUAUAUAAAUAAUGGUUUUAAACAUUUAUUACGUCUGAGAUUAUUUCAUUGCGUCGUCUAAAAUCAUAUCAUACGUCGUAUUUUUUUAAUACCGUCGUUUGUGUUCUUAAUGUUUUCCUGAAAUAUUUUCACUUGCAGUUUUGUCUGUUAAAAUGGUUUCUCAACAACAAACUAAGGAUUCUGGCUCCAAGAAGCUUGGAAUGGUAGCUCCUCAAGACAAGUCUUCGAAGGAGAUGAAGUCUUCGAAGAAGAUGAAGUUUGCUUCAUCAUCUGCUGAGACAGAACCAACCAGCCAGACAACAAUCUCUGAUGAUUCAAAGACUGGUCGAGGCAUGAGCACAAUGCCUCGUGUUGUGAAGAGAAAGCUUCAGAAACUGAGGCCAAUUGUUGAGUACAAUAAAAGGGGGAAAGGUGUUGGCCAAGCACAUAUUGAGAUGCAGUCGUAUAUUGGUGUGUUGGCACGCUCCAGGAUCCCACUUGUGGACAAGAAAUGGUCCCAAAUCCCCAAGGAUAUAAAGGAGCAGAUUUGGGAAGCAGUUGACAUGGCUUUUGUCGUAGGCCAAGGGGGCAAGACCUCUGUUUUAGCUUCUGCUUCCAAGAAAUGGAAGGAUUUCAAGUCUACACUAACGAGGCAUUAUAUCCUUCCAUACACCAAUGACAGGGAGAAAUUAAGCCAACCCCCUGAAACAUAUAAAUUCAUAGAGAAAGCACAAUGGGAUGCCUUUGUAGCUUCAAGGCUAUCCAAAGAUUUUGAGUCUGUGCAUUCUCAACAUGCACAGAUUAGGGAGAAACUCGAGUACAAUCAUCGAUUGUCUCGAAAAGGAUAUGCUGGAUUGGAGGAUCAAUUGGAGGAAACCAUGCCUGGGGUAGAAAUUGAUCGAUCUACCUUAUGGAAGAGAGCUAGACAGGACAAACAUGGUAACAUCCCUGAUCCAAAGGUGGCAGAGAAAGCAAAAUUAAUUGUAAGCCUACUAUCACUCUGUUUUAAAUUUUUAUUAAACUGUGAAUUAUUCUUAUUACGUCGUAUGUUAUAUUUUUCGUCGUGUGAAUGAUAUUACCACGUCGAAAAGUUUUUAAAAACGUCGUUAAAGGUCUAAAUAGGAAUCACUACUAAUUUUCUGUAAUUAUAGCAUAAGACGUCGGUGGUUCAUUUUCGCGUCGUUUGAAUGAUAUUACCACGUCGAAACUUUUUUAAAAACGUCAUUAACGGUCUAAAUAGGAAUCACUACUCUGUUUUCUUUAAUUAUAGCAUAAGACGUCGGUUGUUUAUUCAUUUCGUCGUUUUAAAUAAAUAACCACGUCGGUAUAACUACCGUCGUGAUAAGUUAUAAUAACGUCGGUUUAUACGUUAUUGCGUCGUGUGAAAUUAUAUAAUACGUCGUUUGUACAUAAAUAACCGUCGUGUGUUUUUUUGUUUAUCUUUGUUUUAGGAUGAAUUGCAGAAACAAGUCUCGGAAGGCAAAGUCAGAGUAGAUGGCAGCAAUGAUGUGCUGACCAUGGCUUUGGGCCCCGAGCAUCCAGGCAGAGUGAGGGGAGUUGGUGCUGGUGUUUCCCCAAGGCAAUAUUUCAAUUUGCCCAAACCACAGAGGGUGAGCUUUGACGACCAUUUGAAGGACAGUUUAAGAGUUCUCCUUCAAGAAGAGACUAAAAAGAUGGAGGCUAAGGCAAGGGAAGAGGCCUUAAGAAUGGAGGCUAGGACAAAACAAUUGGUAGAGGCUGAGAGGGAGCAUUUCCUGAGUCAGCUUUCCCAAUUAAUUCCCAAUUUUGAUCCAAGCAUGCUUAAACCAAGAAUUAGCCAAAGCCCCAAAAAUCCAAUGUCUGACAAAGCUAGCUGCUCUGGAGGUGAUGUGAGAUCCCUACAUUUGGAGGAUGAUACUGCCAAAAUGGGGAAACAUCAGCCAGAUGAAGAGAAGGAAGAAGAAAAAAGAGAUGAAGAGAAGGAAGAAGAAAAGGAGAAAGAAGAUGAAGAAAAGCAUGACGACAAGGUAUGUUCACAUAACUUUGCCUUUUUUAUUUGUUUUUCAAAAUUUCAGACGUCGAUAUUUUUAUUUAAUCCGUCGUUUGUUUAAAACUUAGACGGCGGACUUUUUUUAAGACGUAAUAAAAUAUUUAAACGACGGUUUUUGCACCGUCGUUUAAAUGGUUUCAGACGACGCUUUAUUCAUAAAAUCGUCGUCUUUAUUGAAUUACCACGACAGUUUUUUCACCGUCGUUUAAAUACUUUUAAGACGACGUUUUAUUCCUUAAACCGUCGUCUUUGUUGAAUUACCACGUCAUUUUUUUUAUUUCUUUAAACAGGUUAUUGAAGUUGGUGCUUAUUCAAAUAUGGAGGCGCCAUCUUCUUUAAAAACCCUUUGUCGUUUUGUGGAAACGACACUCCUGCCUGAGGAUAAGACACUCCAAUUUACAAUUGAUAAGGAGGUGUUUGGUGGUGAGCGCGAUACCUUCCUCCUGCCUGAAGAUAUUACACAAUUUGCAGGCAUGGAAGAAAUUGGAGCUACUGUAUUGGCUGUAUAUAUGAGGUUUGUACUUCUAAAAUAAUACCUCGUUGGUUUAUAUAUUGCGUCGUCUUAACUAACUAACCACGUCGUCUUAACUAACUACCGUCGUGAUAAAUAUAUUAUAACGUCCUCAUCUAUUUCAGUACGUCGUGUGAAAUAUUAUAAUACGUCGUUUUUUUAUACAUAACCGUCGUGUUUGUUUGUGCUGACUUGUUUAUAUUAUUUUAUGUAUUUAGGUACUUACACGAUGUUUUGAAACAAGCCAAUAUGUGCAGCAUGGUUGGCUUUAUCGACCCUGCUACAGUUAGUGCCAACUCUGGCACAAUAACUGAAAGAUCACGACUGGUAGCAGCUCGACUUCAGAAGACAGACGGUGAACAGAUUUUCAUGAUGCCUUACAAUCCAGGGUUAGUCUCCUUAGGAUUUUGUUUUUAUGAUUUUCAAUAAAUGACAGCUUAUAAACUAACCACGUCGGUGUUUUAUUUUAUUUAGUCGUUUGAAACUACUAACCACGUCGGUAUUUAUUUAUCGUCGUGAUAAAUAUAUAAUGUCGUCGUUAUCUACUUUAUUUCGUCGUGUGAAAUACUAUAAUACGUCGUUUUUGUAAAUAACCGUCGUUUUUAUAUUCAUUUUGUGCAGCCGUCAUUGGAUCUUGCUGAUUGUAAGAGCAAAGAAGGAGACCGUCUAUUUUCUGGAUCCUCUGCCAGGUCAUCGUGUGGUCGACGAAGAGGCGAAAAACAUCGUGAACAGUGCUUUAAAAAUAUAUAAUACCCACAUAGCCCGAGCACGACGUAAAAAUGUAAUUUGGAAAACUCUCUCAGGCACACCAAAGCAACCCAGCAAUGUCGAAUGCGGGUACUAUGUGAUGCGCUUCAUGAGGGACAUCAUCAUGGAUCCUUCCUUGGGGUUUGAGAAUAAGGUAAGAAGAAAUUACCUUCAUACAUUUCACGUCGUUUUUUGUAUUAUCAACGACGGUCAUGUAAAAUUAACGUCGUUGAAUGGAUAUACUACGUCGGUUAUGAAAAAUAUCGUCGUCUGUGAUUGAAUUUCUUUUUAUUUAUAAACCCUAAUAGUCAUUGUUUAUGCAGUAUGCCAAGGGAAACCAGGAAGCUUCAUACCCCCAAGAAGCCAUUGAUGAAGUCCGGAAUGAAUGGGCAGAGUUUGUUUUCCAAAUUAUUAAACAGGGCAAUUAUUGAACACUUGAUAUUUAUGUAUAAUGUACAAAUUUUCUCUAUAAUAUGUAAUGUAAAAAUUUGUUGAGGUUUUCUUAAAUUAAAAAAAAAACAAACAUACAAAUUGCUUAACCGACGUGUAAUACUUUUCCAACGACCUAAUAAAGUCAAAAACCGUCGUAUUUUGUUGUUUCGUGUUUUAAACAAAUACGACGUAAAAAUAUAGUUAGACGACGUUCUUUGAACAAUUGAGUCGUUUAUGGUUUACAACAUCUUCAAUUUCUUAAGGGUUCAGGGUAUCAUCGACGACGUUUAUGUAACGACAGCGGUUAAGUCGUGGAAUAUAUAUUUUACGUCGUAUAGUUAAAUAGCCGCCAUGGUUUCUCAUUUUAACGACGUCAUUUUAACGACUUAGUAGUCUAUUACAAUUUACAACGUCUACAAUUUAUUAACACCGACGUGGUUUGUUGUUGUGGUAAGAAUAUUUUAUUAUUUUUAUAUCAAAAUAUUCAAAAUAAAUUUAAAAUAAAUCAGAAAAUUGAAAAGUCAUCUCCUAUGAAGUCAUUGAUAUAUUUUCUUCCACAUAAACCUUGAAAAAAUUCAUUUUGAAUAACAAAAAUUUAAAAUGACCAUCCAAAACAAAAUUGUUUUGAUGAGUCAUAAAAUCACUUCUAGUUUUAUGGUUUAGGGUUUAGAGUCUAGGGUUUAGAGAUUAGGGUUGUUAUUUGUUGGGGUUUAUUUUUAAAGUAUAAUUUUUGGGUAGUCUAGGGUAUAUGUUAGGCUUUAAAACCAUAAAACCUUUUAUAAACUUAAUUUUUUAAAUUGUAUAAUUUAGUUUUAUGGGUUUAGGGUAUUAAUUUUUAACGACGGUGGUUGCGUCGUGGAAUACAUAUUUUACGUCGUACAGAAAAACAUACGACAUGGUUUACGCUUUAAACGACGUCAUUUUAAUAUGUAAGUCGGUUUAUAUAAUUUACAACGUCUUUAAUUUCUUAACACCGACGUGGUUUUUCAGUCGUCGUUAUAUAAAAAAUUCAAAAUAAAUUUAAAAUUAAUCCGAAAAAUGAAGCUUCAAAAUGAACGGCCUUACGUUCUUAAUCCGAAAAAUGAAGUUUCCGUCGUGGAAUAUUAAAUUUACGUCGGUACUUGUAGAACUUUCGCCUUGGUUUUUCUUUCGACGUUUUAAAACGCGCGAGCUCUAAAAAUUUUCGCGUGACCUAAAUUUUUUUAGAUUUGGCUCUUAUUCUUAUACUUCGAACCCUGAAACCUAAAAUUUUCAGAUUUCGCUCUCUCACUUCUGCUCUAAUUAAAAGUUGCACUCUCCAGGCUUCGUCGAAUCUGUGAGCUCGUCCAACCUGUAAGUACAAACCCUAUCUUCCCCUUGUAAAUUCAUUGAAUGAUAUUAGGUUGUUUUGUUAAAGGGUUUUAUGUGUAUGCUUUGCGAUCUGUUAAUAAUGUGCUUAUAGGUAUGGGUUCAUAGAUUUUCUGUUUAAUGGGUUCAUGGAUUACAUUAUCUGUUAUGUUGAAUUGGGAAUGGAUUUAAUUUUGUCGUAUCUUUUAAUCACCCUAUGUUAUGUUGAAUUGGGAAUGGAUUUAUUGUUUUCAUGCUUGGUUUCAUGUAUAUGUUGGUUUCUUGCUUGGUUUCAUAUAUAUGUUGUGUUCUUAAUGGGUUUUGUGUUCUUGAAAAUAAACUGAGACACGACAAAUUUUAAGGCAUACGACGACGAUUACACGACGGUUUUUUUAAACUACCGUCGUUGUAUUACUUAUACAAGACGGUUUUUUCAUAAACCGUCGUUUGUAUUACUUAUAAUAGACGACGUCUGUUGAAAAUCCGUCGUCUAUAUAUGCCAAAUACGUCUGUUUUUGUUUAAAACCCGUCAUCUCUGUUGUGUAUUACUUGCGAUUAGAUCAUUGUAUAAUCUGCUAUAGUGAUGGUCAUUGCCUGUAUUUUCACUUUAUUAUAGAUAAUAGGUUAUAGUGUCGGAGAUGGAUAAGUCAUGGAUGCACUCGGAUAGAAGAUCGAAGGCAUAUGAAUUUGGGGUGGAAGCAUUUUUGAACUUUGCUUGAGAAGUACUUUCCCCCUUCAUUCUUUGAUAUCAUGGUUCAUCUAGUAGUACAUCUUGUCAGAGAAGUUCGUCUAUGUGGGCCAGUAUAUUUUAGGUGGAUGUAUCCGUUUGAAAGAUAUAUGAAAGUGCUGAAGGGGUAUGUUCAGAAUCGUACUCGUCCCGAAGGUUGCAUUGCUGAGCGGUAUAUAGCUUAAGAAGCGGUAGAGUUUUGUACUCAGCAUUUAUCUGAUGUUAGUACAGUUGGAGUGCCUUCAAGCCAAAAGAUGGGACUUUCAAAGCCAUUAUCAGGUUGCACAGUGAGCGUAGUUGAUCAGGACCUGUUGAAUCAAGCACAUCUAUAUGUCUUGGAGAAUACGGAGGAAGUCCUACCUUAUAUCGAGUACGUAUGAGCUUUAUUCUUUAAGUUUCCAUUUUAAAUUAUUUCUUAUGUUUAUCUUCUAUAUUUGGGACCGUAAUGCUUGAAUUUUUCGUGUCAUGUAGGCAACAUAUGAUCCACAUCAAGAUUGCUUAUCCAAAAUUUAGAAAGAGAACAAAGUGGCUGCAGGAUAAGCACAAUAGCACUUUCAUUCAAUGGCUACGCUUCAAGGUAUAUGUUGUUGAAUAACAUAUUUCUCUUUUAAUUUUCUUCUUAUUUAUAUGUUAGAUUGAAUUAAGAUAUGAUUAAUUUGCAGGUUCAAAGUGAACUUGAGGAAGACAAUCAUGGCGUAUCAGAAAAUUUAAGGUGGCUAGCAGCUGGUCCAAACAUGUCAGUGCCAUUAUAUAGGAGCUAUCUUAUUAAAGGUAUUAAAUUCAAUAUCAAGGCACAAGAUGAUGUGCGGACAACUCAAAAUAGUGGAGUUUAUUUACUUGCACAUACCAUGCAAGUUGCUAGUGCCAAGGAUAAAAACCCAAUUCUCUCAAACAUGGGUUUCUAUGGUGUCAUUCAAGAAAUUUGGGACCUUGACUACCAAAAGUUUACAAUCCCAGUCUUUAGGUGUGAUUGGAUAGAUAGUUCUGGUCUUGUAGUCGACGAACUUGGAUUUACCCUUGUAGAUUUGAGUAAAAUUGGACAUAGGAAUGACCAAUUUGUUUUGGCUUCUCAAGUCAAACAAAUAUUUUUUGUUGACGACCCGAUGCAUCGUGGUUGGUCGGUAGUGUUAUCAAUGCCUAAUAGAGAAUAUAAUGAUGUUAUUGGUGAUGAAGUCUUAGGUGAUGUGAUAAUUGAGUGUGAGCCAUUUACUAGAGGGAUGCCAAAUGUUGACACAUUUGAUGAACUGGUGGGUGAGUUAGGCGGUCAAAAUAUUCGAGAUGGGUGUGAAGAUAUAUGGAUUGAAUGAUGCUUAUGUAAUUGGCAGUGUAUGACAUUAAUUUUGUAAUAUAUUGUAAUGUGAUUUCUUCACUUUCUACGUUCAAAUAAAACACGACGUUAUUGUGAACCAGUUAUUCAGCAUAUUUACCGACGUCUUAAAGCAACGUAACAAUGAAGAACCACGACGCUAUUGUGAAGCAAUUAUUCAGGAUAUCACGUCGGGGAAGGAUUAAGAACCGCCAUGUAAUUCAAAAUAACACGACUCCAAUCCCAUAAUACCGACGUCUAAAAAACGAGAUAUAUAAUCUGAACGUUAAAAAAUACGACGUCAUCAUACAUUUUCCACAUCGCAAGUUCUUUUAUAAACGAAGAGGAACGAAAUGAAUUCCGACGGAAAUUCAUUAUAACCGCCGUCUAAUAACAAUUAAACGACGUUAUUUGUAAUACGGCUCUCAUCAUAAUCAACGCCGUCUAUAUGUUCUGUAAUACGGCUCUCAUUUAUUUGGAACCGACGUUGUUUAGAAGUUCAACGUCGUCUAUAUUAUUAAGUGCGUCGUGAGUAAUGAUGAUAGAUAUAAAUACAACGUCGACUAUAUAAAUGCCACUGACGUUGUUUCGCAUUUCAACGUCAACUGUAUAAAUACAUACGUCGUAAAUAAUGACACUGACAACUAUUUCCACGUCAUCUUUUUUAGAAAAAUCGAAGUGGAAAAUUUAUUUCACGACGGUUGUUUGUAAAUAAGAGACGUAGUAUAUUUCAAUAACGUCGUCUUCUCAUGUAUUUAAAGACGUCAUAUUUUUUCUUGUCGUGUAAAUUAUAUUUAACGGCGUAGUAUUUUAGUUGUCGUCGUUGUAUGUAUAUCUUGCGGCCUUGUUCUUUUAACAUGUGUCAUAUUUUUCCUUUUUAACGACGGUGAUUUGUUUGAGUUGGUCGUCUAUUCUCAUCCUCGACUAUUUUCUAGAACUUUAGCAGACUAAACACGUCUGUUUUUAUUGUUUUCCGACGUUGUUUUAUUUAACAACGUCUAAUAUUUAUCGUCGUUGUUUGUUUCUGAAAAUAUGACGUAUAAAUUUUGUAAUACGACUCUCAUAUAUUUGUAACCGACGUUGUUUCGUUUUUCAACGUCUACUCUAUAAAUACAUACGUCGUAAAUAAUGACACUGACAACUAUUUUCACGUCAUCUUUUAUCGAAAAAUCGAAGUGGAAAAUUAAUUUUACGACGGCUGUUUUUAUAUAUGCGACGUAGUAGGUAUCAAUAACGUCGUCUUCUAAUGUAUUUAAAGACGUCAAAUUUUUUAUUGUCGUGAAAAUGAUAUUUAACGGCGUCGUAUUUUUAUUUUCGUCGUUGUAUGUCUAUCUUGCGGCCUUGUUCUCUUAAUAUGUGUCAUAUUUUUCCUUUUUAACGACGGUUUUUUUAGAGAGUUGGUCGUCUAUUCUCAUCCUCGACUGCUUUUUUAGAUCUUUUUGCAGUACAAAGACGUCGUUUUGUAUUUGUUGAUGACGUUGUAUAUUUUAACAACGACGGUGAUUUUGCGUCGUGGUUUAUGAGGGAAAAGAUGACGGUGGAUUCCACGACCAUUGAAAAACCGAAUACACGACGGUGAUUUACCGUCGUCUUUUUGCUUUUUUGUAGUAGUGAGAUAAAAAUGUUCUGAACACUUCUCUAGAAGGCCACGAACCCAUCCGAGGUCAUCUUGGGCUCCAAAAACACAAUAAAAGCCCAACACGUCACUAUUCCAGCACCGCGCACUGCUCAUUUAUUUUAUUGCCAGAAAAUAACCGCUUGGAAGAAAAAUCUGAAAUUUUGAUACGAUCAAGCUAAGUGACUCAAGAACGUCCUCCAACUGGAAUUACUCCAAAAUUCCUCAAUUUGAUUAUGUUUUGCUCCAGAGAGAGUCGAAAGUCCUAUAUUGGAAAUAUAAUUCAAAGUAUCAAAAUUCUUCCAAAAUAUUAACCAAAAUAUACUAAGAAUGAGGUUAAAUAUAUAAUAUAAAAUAUGUCCAUCACCCCACAACAACUAAAGAACCAACAUUUUGUAGAAGGUUUUGUCUAUACCUUUGACUGUAAGUAAAUCUCUUGUAUCUGCUCCUGUGGUUCGGUGAAGUUUCUUUGUGUCCUUUCUGCGGAGUCUCCCAUGCUUGUUCCAUGAAAAUGUUCUAGGAGAAAAUACGGUUGUUUCUUACUAGAUUCAAAUGAUUAAGAAAAAUAAAAACGCAAGAAAAAAGGUAUUUUCUUGAUGGACUUGGUGAUGAAAAAUAUCACUCUCUUUAUAUGUCGUCUUCCUUGGACUUUGAGACCUUGGGUUUCGAUUCUUCUUGAGGAUUGCAUAGGGUUUCUAGGCCCAAGAAUACUUUGAGUUAGUUUUUGCGUUUUGGGCUUUGAGACUUUGAGACUAUAAUGAGUGGAAAGUUAUAAGGGGUAAGUUAUAAGGGGGUCACUUUAUAGCCAUCAGAUUAAUCCAAGGGCUGGGGAGAAUUGAGAUAAAGUUUCACAAUUGGGUAGGUGAGGAACCCAAACCCGAAUUGAAUAUCCAGCACGUCCAAAAAGAAGAAGAAGAGGGAAACACGUCCGAAAAAGAAGAAGAAGAGGCAAGUUCGAAGUUUGAACAGAAAGAACUCAUCUCUCUAAAACACAGAGGUCUGAGAUACCCAAUGAAGGCAACGGCUAACGACAGUUGAAGGCAACAAUUCGCCACUCCGUUCUCCAGACCCCGAAAAAGUAUUUAUUUGGAGUAGAAGGGGCAAAGGUGUGGAUUCCAAAUCAGUGAAGGGGCGAAGCAGUGGAAGGGGAAGGGGAGAAGCUGUAUUCGUUGGAAGUGUAGGUUCCAUUUGUGGAGCAAAGAAAUAGAAAGACCCCACACAGACACCUUGCAAUAACCAGCAUUUGGUGAGUAAUUUAUGGAAUUUGAGUUUAGGGUUAGAGUAAUGGUUUUCCCCAAUUUGUACCAUAAAUUUUGUUGGAUUUGGCAUCUCUUCGUUGUGCUUCAGUUGCAUGUUAAUUUUUGCUUAGGUAUAUGUUAAAAAAGGAAUGAAAAUUAAGUCAAUAACAAGUGAAUAACAUGUCAAUAAUGAUAUGAAUAAGAUAAUGGUGUUGAAUUGGAGGAGGCCCUCAAAACCUUCCACAUUUGAAGCAGUGCAUAGUGCAGAUUAAGAAGAGGCGCUAGAAUAUAUAUAUAUAUUUUAUGAAGUAAAUAUGAUUUCCUUUGUUACUAAAUUUGCCUGAGAAACAUUUGAACAGAUAAUAAUAAACUCAUGAAUAGAACUGCAAAGCAUUUGAUGAGCAAUGUAAGGAAUUUAAGUUUAGGGUUAGAGUAAUGGCAUCUCUUAUUUGUGCUUCAAUUGCAUGUUAAUUUUUGCUUGGGUAUAUGUUAAAAAAUGAAUGAAAAUAAAGUCAAUCACAUGUCAAUAACAUCUCAAUAACAUGUCAAUAACAUGUCAGUAAUGAUAUGAAUAAGAUAAUUGUGUUAAAUUGGAGGAGGCGCUCAAAACCUUCACAUUUGAAGCAGUGCAGAGUGAAGAGUACCUCUCUGGCACUAGAAUUUAUAUAUUUUGUGAAAUAAAUAUUAUUUCAUUUGUUACUAAAUUUGCCUAUGAGAAAUGAGAACAGAUAAUAAUAAACUCAUGAAUAAAAGUGCAAAGCAUUUGAAAUGAAGGUUGAUCUAUGACGAUUGUGGGUGACUGAAGAAAAAGGUAGAAAGAAAGAAGGAUGUGGCAAUUGCUUAGCAAGCAGAUAGCAGAGUACAUGCUUUGCUUUGCUUCCUUCCACUAUAUUUCUUAUUUAUUUAUUUUGGGUUGUGUAUGAGAUGACAAUAAUUGUCAUGUGUGUGAAGUGCAGAACUUGCCUACAUUGCACUCACACGAGUAUGGAUGCAUAAAUAAAACACGUGAAAUUGUUUGUAAUUCACAUAAUCAUUGCAUUAACAGGUAUUUGCACAAAAAUUGUCAUAUUGCUUUGAUGAUGUUAAAGGCUGUGAUGAGUAAUCCCUAUGCUCAUGUACUUUGUAAAAGUUGUAAUGUGCCUGGUUGACUAGUUGUGAUUGUGCAAAUACGUGGUAGUAUAUAUGUUCACGUUAUUUCACAUUGUAUUUGAGGAAAUGGGAUCCAACGUGGAGCUGGUAUGGCCAGAGGCAGAGGUAUAUUCGUCACGGGUGAACAACUGCUCACAUGCAAAUUCAUCUCUAGCUGCAAUUCGAGCGAAGUUGAGUGCGGAACAAUUAGAACAAUUCAAGACAUCAUGCUUUGGCCAUCUUCUGAAUAUAGAUAAGAUUCAGUUUAGCGGGCAGAUUGUGCAUGGGGUUGUGUUGCGUAGAGUAGCGGGGCAGGGUGUGAAAGACUUGGAUGGACUGAGUUUCUUAUUAGGGUGUGACGUUGCUCAGUUCACUCGUCAGGAUUUCUGUUUGAUCACAGGGCUUCGUUUUGGGGAAGUGCCUGAAGUUUCCAGUGGAGAGAGUGAUGAAAUCAGACUUCAGAAAAGAUAUUUUAUAGACGAAGGAAUUACAUGCAAUGCUUUAGAAGAAGCAUUUGUGAGGUGCACAGAGGAAGAUGACAUCUACAAGCAAGCUCUUGUUUACUUUGCUGAGUUAGUGGUUUUGGGAAGGGACAAACAUUUGAACAUCAAUCUAAAUUACCUGACCCUUGUAGAGGACUUGGAUGCGUUCAACAGGUAUCCGUGGGGUUCGGUGUCCUUUGACAAAACCCAAGACAGUCUAUUUUCUGCACCAACAAAGUAUGUGAAAAGCUUGGAAAAUGAAGAGGGAAGAGGGAAGGGGAAAAGUAAGGUAACGGGAACAAGCCGGAGAAAUGAGAAGGGCAAGAAGGAUAAGCAUGGUGAAGCGCAAAUGAGUGGCUGGAGUUUUAAAGGUUUCACGUAUGCUUUCCAGGUACAUGGUAAUAAUGUUCAUGUCAGUUAUGUUUUGUUUUUCUUUAAAACAUAAAUAAUGACUUUUGUCCUGUGAAUUGUGUAGAUUUGGGUAUAUGAAUUAAUUCCUAGAAUGGCGGACCUGAAUUACUGCAAGGUUGUUGAUCCGACCGUUGUCCCGCGUAUUUUGCGAUGGAGAACUACUACGUCUGUUCCAGAGAUGAGAAAGUUGAACAAUUAUUUUUUCCAGAGCAAAGAGGUUUGGUUUGCAGCCCUUGGAACUAUUGAUAAGAUUGAAUGAAAUUAUGAAGUAGAAUGAUUUGAUAUGACUCUUGUCUGUAUUCUGAAACAGUCAGUUCAGUUGCGGGCGCUAUGUCCGAGUGAAGAGGAAAUGAGACAGCCAUAUUGGAGUUGGCCACAGGAUCGCCCUGCUGUUGUCUCAGCAGAGUCAAUUCCUUCUUCAUGUGGUGAUCUUGAUGAGUUGAACAAGGUGGUAAGUUGGUUGAGGUCCGAGUUGUUUCAAGUAAAGCGGGAAAAAGACGUCCUUCACUUAAAGGUCAUACGGAUGGAAAAACUGUUGGACCAAUGUUUAGGUCCUCAGUUUGAGCAGGAAGUAAGGAGGGACCUAGCUUUACUGAAACAGAGGACGAAUCGUUGUGUCAUCUCACAUCUAUUUAAGGGAUAUGGGGAAAUGGAUGACAUUCAAUGGGAUGAAGGGCCAAGUAACAGAAAUGAGGGAGAGGAAAAGGAAGAUGAAGGGAUUGAAGGGGGUGAAGGGCCAAAUAAUAGAAAUGAGGGAGCACAUAAGGAAAAGGAGGGGAUUGACGGAGAGGAAAAGGAAGAGGAGGGGAUUGAAGGGGGUGAAGUGCAAGGAAAACCAAGUGAGGUAGAGGAAGGGCAAAGGAAAAGAAGUGAAGGAGAGCAAGUGCAAGUAAAAAGUAGCAAAGGAGAGGAAGCCCAGAGACAGAGCAGUGAGGGAGAGGAAGUGAAAAGAAAAAGCAGUAAGGGAGAGAAACUGCAAAGGAAAAAAAGGGAGGGCAAGGAAGUGAAAACACAAACAAGUGAGGAAAAGGAAGUGCAAAGAAACCAAUGUGAGAAAGAAGAUAAUGAAGUUAUGUUGCUUGGGGGUGACAUUGGCGAGAGCACGGAGGGGACACUGCUUGAGUUUACUGUCGGGGACAUUGAUUUGGAUGAACCUACAGCUGUGCUAUCUCAGUUGAACGUGUGGUUGAAUGAUAAAGGUAAAGCUCUGGCACAAGGGGUCCAAUUACGGAAAAGGAAGAGGAUCAUUCCUUUGUGGAAGAUCAUUGAAGGCAGUGAAUUGGUUCCAAAAAUUGGGGCACAGACAACCGGACUGAAGAUGUUAGACCCAAUGAAGGCGAUUUCGCAUGAUGAUCUGGUGAAAUUGCUGAAACUUUGUUGGGAAUGGCGCCAGGACCCAAAGUAAGUCCCUUGCAAUUAUAAGAUACAAGCAUGACUGUAUAUAAUUUUUUAUAUACAGUGUUCUAAAACUGUUUUAUAUUCAUAGUUUGGUGAUGCAAUUUGGCAACGUGGAAGCUGAGAUUGAAUUCUUCGCUUCCCUCGUGAAAGCUGAUGGUUGGCUGAAAGGAGAUGUAAGUGUAAUUGAUUAUGCAUUUGUUUUAAUGUACAUACAUUAUGAGAUUGACAAGAAAAACAUGUUGCAGCACAUUGAUUUGGGGUUGUAUCUCAUCCGGAAGCGACAACAACAGUUGGAGACAGAUUCGGUAGAAGUAGCGGACUGGACAACGACCGAUGUUUUUUUUAUGGUAUGUCAUCGGCCUUGACCAAGUGCCGUUAAUAAUUACACAUUUUCCAUACACACACUAGUGGAGGUGUUUAACCAUUGAUUGUUUUGUAUUUCACAGAAUCACAUUCGUACUUGCUUUGCGGAUAAUAAAAGAAAAAAACAGCAGCUUGGGUGGAAAAUCAGGAAAAGUUUACUAACCGUUGUAAAUGGGAAGGUUCCUCCGUGUGGGUUGGAUUGGCAGACCGUCUAUAAGGUGUAUACCCCAUUUAUGUUGACGAAGUACAAGCAUUGGGUGGCUGUAAUGAUUGAUCUGGUAUUGUGUGAAAUCAAAGUGUACGAUUCAAAGGUUUCACUAAUUCCAGAUGACAUCGUAAAGGAAGAACUCGGCCCGCUAUCAAUUACGCUUCCAAAUCUUCUCAACACCAUCGACUUUUAUGAAAAAGGUGUUUAUGCAAACAAUUGCAGCCAAGAUUAGUGGUGUCCGUGGCCAAUAGAGCGUGUGGAUGUUCCACAACAGUCUAAUGAGUAAGCACAACUUGCAAUUUAAUUUUAUUACUUUCAAUUGUCAAUUACGUUAGAAUGUCAUUAGUUGAAUUGAUCGAGUUCUUGUUUUGCUUCAGAGGCGAUUGUGGCAUGUUUGUGUUAAAGUACAUUGAGCUUUUCAGCGCUGAGCUUCCGUUAGCUACUUGCACCUCGCACAACAUGCCUUUUUUUCGGUUGAAAUUGGCUGCGGAGAUAACAAGGGGAGAUGCUUACUUCCCAUGAUAUUGGUUGAAGAUGACAAAUGGUACAUGAGAAGGUUUUGGGAAUGUCCAUUCUCAAACUAAUGUAAAUACACAAUAGAGAAGUACGGGUCCUUAUCGAAUUCUACCGCUAACUCCUUCAUGACAUUUACAUGUUUGUUAACCAAACUGCAUUGAAUUGGAAUUUUAAGACUGCAUAUGUGAAUUGGGAUUUGAAGAUGGCUUUUUAAGUGUAUUACAUCAUUGCAAAGUGAUAUGUCAUUGUUGAUGCAAGCCACCAUUAAUCGCAAUGUGUUGCAUCAUAAUAGGUGUCUAAACAUGCGAAAGGUUUUCCGCAGCUCAGUAGCAUAAAAGUAGAAACAAAGACAAUAUACACAAAAUGAACAACAAUUCACAAAUGCACCGACAAGCAAUACACACACAACAGACAAACAAUAUACACAAACUUGGCCUGCCAUAUACAGAGAAUAGACAUGCAAUAUACACACAGUAGACAUGCAAUAUACACACAAUAGACAUGCAAUAUACACACAAUACUCCCUUAACACACACAAUAGACAUGCCCUUGCCCACAAUAAUGAUGCAAUAUACUUCAGUCCCCAAGUACACCAACCAUAGGGAAGUCGUAUUGAAUAGGAUAUUAAACUUAACAGUUGUUCUUCCUACUAAAAGAAAGAAUAAGGUUCGUUUCCCCCCUUCAUUCUUACUUGAGUGAUACUUGUGGCCCCAAUAAACAUCCAAUUUUGGGGCAAUGAUAUUCCAUAUACAUGCAGCAAACUAUCAAUAAACCUUCAAUAAACCUUCAAUAAACAUUCAAUAUCGUUUCUAUAACAUGCGAAAUACAUGCAGUUACCAAAUAUUACAAAAUGGGUUUAGGGUCUCAUUGGUGGUGCGUGCAACAUGUCUUGUGCGGGAGAACUUUCACAAUCUUUUAAACCGUGCAGUUAAAUGAUCAUUAAAAGAACAAAUAAAAUGACAAUUGAUACAACUAAUAAAACUAAUACCAAGUCCUUAAUGGACUUCAGCAUGUUCAGCACUCUAGCAUCAUACGUGUCAUCUUGAUGUUCUGCUUCAGCGGAGGUUACAUCAACCCAUUCGAAUCCAUUGCAACUGGUGGCUCCCUAAUUGCAGGCAUCAUAUAUGGAAUAUAAUUCUGUCAGAGUUAGACAUAGGUUUUUUUUCACCCACAUACAUAUUCUUUAAAUUAAAACUUACAUAGGAGGUUAGACACUUCCAGAAUGGCUUCCCUCGAUUUUUGUCAGAUUUUGAAACCCGAAGCACCAUUGUAGCUCCACAAUACUGACACCUCUUUGUUUGAGCGGGAGAUGAAGAUGAAGACAUGUUUAAUCUUCUCAGUUGUACCUCUUCUCACUCAGAUCUUCUCACUGAAACCUCUUCGGACUCAUACCUUCUCACUCAUAGUUGUCAUUCAUACCACUUCACUCAUAACCCUAAACUUGUCACUCAGCUCUCUCUCAUCUCUGCCCAAAUCGAGUUAUAUUUCUUUUUUUUGGGAUCAUUUGGUGGGUUGGUCACGAUGUCGACACCUGUACCGUCAGCAUUGUGACAUCUUUUAGCCCGAAAAGCAAUAUAAACUACUUCACUACCAAAUAUAUUUUCUGAAUAAUGACGGGACACUGCUUCAAUUUUAUUAAUUUAUUUAUAUUUCAUUAAGGCAACUAGUUGGAUAAGAAUCCGUCAUUAUUGGUUCCAUUUUAAUAACAUUACUAGGGGUAAUUGGGUGUGGGAAAAUGAAAAAGUAUAUGAUGGGACCUUCUGUCACUAGUCAGUAAUCCAUCACAUUUGUAUCAAUGAAUUUGAUAGUGGGAUAAACCCAAAAAUGGCUAUGCAAAUAGCCAUUUAAUUAACUUUUUGACUGUCUGACUCUGUAUGCACCGUUAUGACGUUUUCCCUUCUUUUGUCUUAAGUUUUAAUUCACUGGGGUUCAGUUUCUUUCAAAAGGGUCAACUUGGAAAAACCCCAACUGGAAACACCUUUUCAAAACACUAUAAACAGAGGCUAAAACAAAACGUGUACCCCAAAUAUUAUCAUUUAUCCCCUCUGCCACUCCUCAAAUCGUUCCAUUCCAAAAACUUUUCAAUGAAUUCGAAACACUUCACUACAGUCGGAGGAAAGAGAAGGAAGCAUGUCCAUUUCGAUAUGCCCGAAGCCUUCAUCCCGGAGUCCGCUUGGUUUCAAGUCAUGUUAUACGUGGCAACCGAAUCAUCGGAAGAUCUCUUCCGUAUGGCAUCUGUGUGACGAUUGUUCCGAACUUUGGCAAACAGUUCACAAGUGUGGAACACCAUUUCAAUGGCAAAGUACCCAGACCAUCCUAUAUGGUACCGUGCCAGACCUGCGGUCCAGCAUUUCUUGCAACAAUGCAGGGCUUGCGAUAACCCUGAGUCCAUAUUUAGAGAAGCAUUCGAAGGUUUUUUCAGGCACGGUAAGGUGGAAGCGUUGUAUGGGAUGCGCAUUGCAGCCACGGCAGGCCAUAUGGAAGCGGCAUAUGUAGUUGGACUACUUGGUAUGUCCGGAAUUGGUCAGUCAAAAGAGGAUGCAUUACAAUUCUUGUGUUCUUUGAAUCAACGUAACAACAUUGAUAUGAAAGGAACCAGGGAUGCUUUGACAGGAAGAUUUCACGGAGCAUUUGUUGCAAGACAUAUCGUAGAUAUGUUUGACUAUGGGAAGAUUAAGUUCAAUCGGUGCAGCGCUUGUAACAACAAUGAAUGGUAUUUUGUUAUUCCAGGCUGGCCUAGUGAAGACAAGAUAAAUCCUGCGUUGUGGACUUGUUGCAAUCGAUGCAAAUGGCACCGUGAGAGUAUUUUUUGGUGCAAACUGAUGCGUGAGUAUGUUGUGCGAGGGAAUCACGUAUUUUUGCAUUAGUUUUAGUACGAAUUUACGGUUUUGAUGCAUUGUGGACUUGCUUCUCUUCACUUCUAGGUUGGCUGGCUACGUUAUACCUAUCUCAGUUUAAAUGUUGUUCAAAUGUUGGUAUUUUGUCAUAAACCGUUUUAUAUAUAAAUGUAUAAUAUUUAUUAUAUAGCGGAAUUAUUACUUACAUCAUAGACGGCUAGGAAUGACAUUUUACUGACACAGAUAUUUUGCUCACCGACCCCAAUCUUCAUAUUUGAUAAACGAAAAGUUAUGCAUGGAGUAAAUAGGUGUCUUUUCACCAGUGCUUGGGAAUGACAUUUUCCCACUUAGCAUAUCCGAAAGGAUUUGGUUACACGUUUCUUAACCUAGGGGGUUGAACAGUGAAUGACGUAGACUAUUUUUUGUGUGUGGAAGGAGUACAAUGGAUGACUUGUAUAUUUCCAUAUUAUGUUUCAAAACAUCCCUUCAACCUAAAAAAUAAAAAAAUUAACAAAUUGAAGAACAGAGAAACCGAUGAGCACUACAAAUGGCCUAUUCGCACGGAAAAUAAAAUUGUUUUCAACAAGUUGGACUAAAUAUAAUUAACAAAUGGACAGCCUAAAAAGUAAUAUCAUAAUAAUUAUAAUAAUUGUGGAUAAAUAAUAAUAAAAUACUAAUGUAACAUAACCAUUAAACAGGGAAUGCAGUAGGAAGAUGAAAUCGCAAUAAGUUCGUAGAAAUUUUGGGAUCGUUUUUCUAAUUUUUGUGUAUUUAGUUAUGAAUUUUCCAAGAAAAAAGGUAAUAAAAUAAUAAUUUAGGGUAAAAUGGGAGGAUGUGGCCAUGUUCGGUAACGUACACUUGUGCAAGUAGUCAAAAGUGACGGGCUGAGAUCGCGCCAGGUGUCAUAUUCUUGUUAAUUUUGGAUUCUUUUGUUAAAAAAUCUUUGAAACUAGGUAAUAAAUAGUAGGAAAAUCGUAAAAAUGGCCCAAAAAUUACUCCGGCCUCCUUUUGACGUCCUAAAACUAGGAGAACCUAUAAAUCAUUCGUCUCGCAAUGAAAUAAUCCAAAUUGUGUUACAUAACUCACUUUCCUCUUAACCCUAAGUAUUGAUGUUUGUUAACUUCAACUUGAAUAACCUACUUCAACAAGCAUCUCCCGUUAAUAUUGGGAAUUAAUUUUACAAAUGCGUAACAAUGAAUCGGAGAAUUCAGCAACGGAGAUGGAGUGUCAAUGAGUUCGUAGCAAUUUUCGGAUAAUUUUUUUAUUUUGUGUGUAAUUAGUUCUGAUUUUUGUAAGGAAAAGUAAUAAAAUAAUAAUUUAGGGUAAAAUGGGAGGGUGUGGCCAUGUUGACUGACGUACACUUGUGCAAGUAGUCAUCAGUGACGGGCUGAGAUCGCGCCAGGUGUCCUUUUGCUAUUAUUUUGGCUUUUUUAGUGCAACAAUCUGUGGACAUAGGUAAUAAAUUCUACGAAAAUCCAAAAAAUGCCCGGAAAAUGAGAAAAUGAAAAUUAUUUGUACAUAACUCACUUUCCUCUUAACCCAAAUUCACGUUAACACGUAUAUUUCGGAUAAUAUUCGAAAUAUAAUUUCUAAUAAUACAAUAUUUAGUUUCACUAUAUACAAUAAUAUGUUUUUUUUAUAAUAAUGUACAUAAAUAAUAAUUGCACAUGCUUUGAAGCCAUCAUUGCAACUACGCCUAGAGCUUUGAAGACGUCAGUUCGUAUUCAAUAAGUUGUCCACAUGCAACUGCACCUAGAGUUUUCAACACGUCAGAGGUAUUCAAUAAGUUGUCCACAUGCAACUGCACCUAGAGUUAUUAACACGUCACAGGUAUUCAAUAAGUUGUCCAUAUGACGCCGCAUUGGGAAUCAGUAAUAUAUUUUCAAUCAUGUCAAAUCACAUAAAUAAUGCCAUACUUUUUCUCAAUAACCUCACACAAGUGAAGCAAUUUUAAAACCCUUAGUGAAUAUUUAUCCUAGUCUAUAUGAGUGAUUAUAUAAUCAGUUGCAUAAUAUUUUUUUCACAGUAUAUGUUAACUUUGAGAGGGAUUCCACAAACAUAAAAUAUAAAGAAAGCAAGAAAUAGUAGGAAAUGAACCAGUACAAAAAACAAUAUAUAAAGUGUACAUAAUAAUUCCAUAACCUUGUCACAAACGCACUCACAAAAGCUUUUCCAUAAACCUUGUCCUAACAUAUAAUAAAUAAAGGCAACAUUGCAUAUGAUGCAACCAUGUCCAAAUCUGAUAAGUGAUCAAAAACAAAUGGACAUGGCAGCAACAUAUGAUUGAAGUAGAUGGGCUCUUUGCAUCUUCUGUUUUCGUAAUUAAAGACAUCAAAAUAUUAAGGUUUAAAUCUUCCAUAGUAGUUAGCAUCAAAAUAGCUUUGAAGCAGAGUGUAACGAAAAUUCCAAUUCCACUUAUUUGCCUCUGCUCAAACACGAGAACCAAAAUGGUUACUUCCCUUGCUGAGUAUAUUUGGUGACGUCGGAAACGGUAAUAGAUGACCAAUCAAACCCGGGUACGACGAGUUUUGCAUAGGAUCGGAAGUAGUCGAAUCCAGCUUGCAUCACACGCUUCUUUGACUCCACUACAUUAGAUGAGUUCUUGUAUUUUUGAACAGCUACACUCUGAAGUCGUUUGUGUCUACGCUUCAUGCGCUGCAACUUCGCCCUAUCCAGAUUGGCCUGCCUUUUGUCAUCUUCAAUUUGGCCUUCCACAAAUUCCAAACGUGCCCUUGCCCUUUGGAUUUCAUCACCAAGUUGAAGAUGCCUCUCCUUCCAAAAAGCAACAACUCUUUCAGACUCAAAACUUCCAACAAAAUGGUCAUUCUGUCUAGCAAUGUGACAUUGCUUGUCUGGUGACUCACUUGCGUGUCGAAGCCGGUCUUUGUUUGGAGGGGUGUUUAUUAUACUCACAUCAAACUUGGUUGUGCUUAUGCUCAUUCUUUGGGGGGAAUGAGUUUGUUUGCUUGAGAGAGUAUCGGUAGAUGGAGACAGAUUCGGUGGAGGAGUGAGUUUUGUGUGGAAGGAGAUUUUAUAUGAAAGGGGUGAUAGUAAUACCAAGAAAAGGGUUCCCGCCAAAAAAUAUUUGGUUGACAAAGUAGAAAUUAUUUUUUUAGUCUGAUACAAUCUAAGUUUAAUCCUAACUAGUUUGGUUGAGUUAACUAAGUAGAUGUCACUUCCAUUGACUUUCUUUCAACAACUAUCAGUGGUGUAAGGAGAGUGUGAGGUUGACAUGCUUGAAAAGCAAAAGCUGACACCUAUUUUUAAAAAAUUCCCGCCAAAAAGUACAUAUGUUGACUACACACAAGCUUUGGUAUGUUGGUCUAUAAACCUAUGUUCCCUUUCUCAAACGAAAUUGCAUAUGCAAUCCUCAUCCUCCCAAAACAAAGAGGAUUAUUCAAGCAUGUCAACCUCUUCAGGCGCCAACAACACAAUCGAACAUGACAAAUUGGAGUCACAGGUUCUAUUUCCACAUUGUACUCGCCGACCCCUUCCUUUUUCAACAUCAUUUGGGAGUGAGGGGGACUCCGAUGAUCCAUUAGAGGCAAUACAUGCAGUCAGUGGCAAGCUGGAUUAUAAUUCCAGACUGAUCAAUUCAUGGCACGAGAAAUGUGUUGAAGACGAGGCAAUUUUGGCUGAUCUUAACAUUAGGGUGAGCAAAGCGUUAUCCCAAAAGAACAAGUACUUGAAGCUGAGUCAUAGCAGGAAGCUGAAAGCUGAGGAGUUGGAUACAGUAAUGAAUGAUGAAAUGAAAGGUUGUUUGAUGAACCAUAUGCGAUGCGAACAGCACCAUACUGAACUGGAGUUGGCAUUCAACGAAGGAUUCGACAAAUUCCGAGCAUUUGCGGCAACUACUCAUACAAGUUAUGAUUGGAACUAUGUGUCCCCUGAUGCUGUGAGAGAGAUACUAGACGAUGGGGGUGACAUGAAUGAGCAUAAGCACGUCAAAGCUGCUCGGAAGAAGCCGACCGAUACGACUAAGUGAUUGCGGCUACCGCUGUUCAGUUAGUUGAGGGUGACCGUGGUAUUGCACAUAUACUCCCUUAAUGUCAUUAUCUAACUUAAAAUAACACAAAUAUCAGUUUCAUUUGCUUGAUAUAUAAUUAUUGGGACUAUGUAUUGCAAGUCAUCAUGUGUUAUAAUGUCUAACAUUAUAUUUUGCAAAUAUGGAAAUAUUAUUCAAGAAGCAGUCAAUAUCACAGAAAGCCGGGAAUCAGUAAAUGCUCCUUAUCAUGUCCAUUUACAUUAAAGAGCUGGAGUACUAAUGUGUUCAAAAAAAACUGACACGUGAGUCAUAAGUAACAUAACAUGUGCUAUACAUUGUUUACUGAAUGGUUUAUGGUUUAUUUGUAUAUAAUAAAAUUUCAAAUAUUGCUGAAGAUUUAUUUCGUGUAUAUCACUAGGGAUAUGAGUGGCCAUAAGCAUGUGAGACCUGCUAAGAAGAAGCUGACGAGUACGACCCAGUGAUUGGCUACCGUUGUUCAGUUGGUUGGGGAGAUCGUGGUAUUGCUAUGAGGAAGCACACAAUAUGUUUUGCAAUCAAAUGUUCUUUUGUGUGUGGAAUUAUGAGUAUUUAUGUAAGUUAGUGUACCCUUUAAUAUUUUUCACCUAAGUAUCGAAAUGCAGUUUUUGAAUGUUAUGUUUUUUUUUACCCGCUGCUUUCUAUUUGCUCUGUUCCAACAAAGUGCUUCAAGUAUCCUUCACUUACAAAAGUGUACAAAAUCGUGCCCCUAAUAACCAGUCGGAAAAAGUGGCUACUGCUGGAAAUGAUUACUGGUAAUGGAAACAACAGCUGGCUGCUGUAAUUGCUGCAUUACCGUGAGGAUUUGAAAAAUGAAUCUCUGUUAAAACAAAUUUCACCCUAAACUGCCCAUUUUACAUGGUAAAAGUCAUUGCUUCUUCAAAUCUUUUGCAGCUACACGAUGCGUGGUCAGAAUCUUUGACAUAUACGACUUCUGCCACUCUUGUUUCCCAAUUUUUUCUUUCGCUCACGUUGAACACAACUUUACAAGCAUCCUCUGUUUUGAGCUCUAGGAAACAUGCUGUACUUUGUAUUAGUUCUUGCUCAAACUUUUGAAACAUUGUCCUUGUGUACAAGGUAGCCAUUUGUUUGUUCAUUGGCAUCGGUAGAAGACAUUGAGCCACUUCAAAUGCAUCUGCGUGAUCAGCAACUAACUCUUUUUCACGUUGAUGAGAAAGUGCCCUCUCAAAUCGUAUUAUGAAAUCCAUCAACGAAUUUCUCCUUGAUAUGUAUUGCUUGAAAAAACCAUGAGAACCUUCCGCUCUUUGGCUGCUUGACAUUCCAGCGGCAAAAAAUUGUCGUGCGUAGGCUGGAACCCAAGAUUCCCUUAAAUCAAACAUUGAACUUAGCCAUGGAUGGUCAGUCAAACCAGCCUUUGUAACCACAAUAUUCCAUUUUGCAUCAAACUCAUCCUUAUUGUCAGUAUCCCAUAUGGCUUUCUGAAAUUCAGGCCAAUACUCCUUAUAAGCGUCACGUGGUAACUUAACAGAGAACUUUGAUGUGAUGUGCUAUAUGCAAAGUCGAUGAAAUGUACUCGGGAAGGCUAUUGAAAUCGCUAUGGCCAUUGCCGCAUCUUGAUCUGUAAUGAUCGUUUUAGGUUCCCCACCUGGCAUGGCUUUCUUAAACUCCUCAAACAUCCAAACAAACGACUCAGUCGUUUCCUUGCUCAAAAAUGUGCAUGCUAACACAAUUGUCUGACCAUGGUUAUUAACUCCCAACAUUGGUGCAAAUGUCAAGUCGUAUCGAUUCGUGUUGAAUGUGGUAUCAAAUACAACAACAUCUCCAUAAAACCCAUACGCCCGUCUAGAAGUUGCAUCUGCCCAAAAACAUCGACUAAACCUAUCAUGCCCAUCUCCCUCAAUCUUGAAAUAAAAAGCCUCAUUUUUUUUCUGUUCAGCCAUAAAAUACUCGGUCACUAGUUCAACAUCGUGGUUCCUCAGCUUCCCAAUCACACUACAUUCAAGAUUGUAGAUAUCUUUUUUGAUAAAACCGAUUUUAUCCAUUCCUCCGGAUUGCACCUCGAAAAUACUUACCUUCUGAUGAAUGGGAAUAUUAACUGAACCCAACUGUUUUGUGAGUACUUUUGUAGAAUCUGAAAUAUGACGGUGUGAUCUCAAUAAAUGCAUUCUUUCUAAGGGUGUCAUCUUAUGAUUGUGUCCCUCUGCAAAAAGAGAAAUGUUAUACUUGUUGCUCCCAUUUGUCUUCACAACCACAAUCUUUGCUUUGCAAUUGCAUCUACUUAUUCCCCGUUGUCUUUUUCUCUCCCGAGUUUCAUCCUUCCUGUAUGCACCUUGUUUGCAACAUACAAAUUCUUUCCUCAAAAUCUCUUUCUUAUUUUUCCCCCAAAAGCUAGAAUGAAGUCGAAUACCAAAGCCAGCCAAGAAUGCAUAUCUAUUAUAGAAAUUGUAAACGAGGUCAAGCGAGUCAAACUUCAUCCCAACUGCUGGUGUUUCCUCAUUUCUUACUUCAGGAAUAUAAACCCUCCCAUUAGCUGUUGCACAUUCAUCACUCUCUGAGCCCCCAGACAUUUUAUCUACGUAUAUUAUUGAUCCACUUCUAUAUUACUGCAUAGCAAUUAUUCAUUCAUUAAUCAGUCAUUACUGCAUCACAACAUAUCAAUGCAUUCCACUUACACAAAACAUUGCCCAAAUUGACACAAAAUACGCAUAGCCUAACUUCCGAUUACACAAAACACAAGCAAAAUUUCAUAAAAGUUACGUCAUCUCUUGUGAAAUAAUCUGGUCAAAAUAACAUUAGAACCAACAUGUUCAACUAAGAACACAAAUGUAAUUCAAACCACCAAUUACAGAACUUCACCCAAUAUCCUCUCCAACUGCUUACUCCUAAUGUCAUUAAGCCUAAGUUUAGGUUCUUUUACCUACAUUUCAUAAUUUUUCACCCCGACCAACAACAAUGAACUAAGUAUAUUGAAUAUUCACAAGGAAAUGACACAUUAUUGAUGCCACAAAUGACGAAUUUCCCACCCUCACAAAAAAUAAACCUAACCCAAUAAAAUCAAUCCAGCAAGUGAACUUACCUCUCAAAAUCAAUCGAGAGCUCUGAAGUCAGUCAGCUUGAAAGAAUGUGGUGGACAUUAGAGAAGACUCUUUGGUAUUUGAGACUCCAUCUCUAUCAAAAUCGAGGAACAACUGCUGCUGCGGCUUCUAGCUACAAAAACAGAUAUGCUACUUUGCUUUCAUCUAGAAUCUUGUCAGCUGAAUGAAAAAGAGAAGGGGUUUUCACUUGAGCCAUAGAAUCAAAACAGGGCAACAGCUAGGUAAGAGCCAUUCUUCGUAAUACCCAGGAUACCAUAGAUCGCAGGCCUCCCAACGAGCUAAUGACAGUGGAGUGACUAUAAGGUUUGGGAGAUUUGGAUCCUUCUAAUUGUGGGUUUGCUUUACAUUCAAAAAGAAAGGAUUGUGUUCUUCAGUUUUUCACAGAGAGGGAAAGAGGGGAACAACUGAAGUUGGGUUUCUAACGGGUUAGAUUUCAACCCGAUUCUACAUGCACCCUCUUUUAAAAACUCACCGUUGGAUGAAAUCCAACGGCUCUUACAUACCCCUCAAAAACACCCCUUAUAACUUCCCACUCACUAUAGAAGCUCCCCCAACUAAAUCCCAAAAGGGAAACAGAUUUGAACAACAUACAAAUUUGAAGGACACACAAAUAUGAAUCUCAGCACCGGUGAGAAAUUAAUUUUAGUUGAGGUUGGUAGGUAGGCAUUGGAAGUUUUUAUUGUUUUUGCUCCAAGUCCCUCCUCCACUCACUAAUACAGAUUACUCGCAAAUGAACUAAAGUCUGCAGGGAUAUAUGGACUCCCCUGUCCAUACGAAUGUUGGAAGAAAUGUGUGUUAAAUUUUAGAGAGACGGGUCUGUGACCCACCACUAGCAACGUUGAUAUUGUCUCCAACUUAACUACAUGUUUAGUAGAUGUGGGGUUUUAUACAAAAAGUAUUGAUGUUAUUGGGAAUGGAACCACUUAUUAUAAGUUAAAAUUUAUUUAGUCAAGUUUCCUAUGUGGGACUUUCUAUUCUUCAACAAGCCCCUUCAUGUGGGACCACCACAUAGUGGGCCACACGUAGAGCCAAGUCCACAUCGGAGUCAAUCAUUCAAGCCCAAUACCUAAACACCACGUAUUGUGUGAGGGGUAGGGGUAAACAUUCAAGCCCAACAUAUGAACACUGUAACAUCCCAACUCCAAAUUUAAUCCCUUAUUUAAAUUAUUUAAGUGAAAUUACAAAUUUACCCUUGGGGUAGGGAUAUUUUGGUCAUUUUCUUACCCGAAAAGAGUUUGGGGCAGUGACUAGUAUUUUUUGGUAGAUCGUACUGAGAUGAGUCUGUAGACAUGUAGUGGGCUCGAUUCGGAGUUGAAACGAAGAAGUUACGAGCAAAACAUCACCAAUGGCAAAACCGUAAAUAUUUCAAAAUGAAUUUUUAAUAAAAAAAACCUGAAAAACCCUCUCUCUCUCUCUCUCUCUCUCUCUCUCUCUCUCUCUCUCCUGCGCACAGCCCCUUUCCCCCCUUCGUUUUUUCUUUCCGUGGCUUCCAAGAGCCACCAUCGCCACCACGAAUCACCACCGGCCAUGAGGCCGGACUCGUUCGAACUGCCGCCGCAUCCUCUUCCUGUUCCGGUCGCUCCCAGUCGCUGCCAUCCGCUGUGCUGGCCGGAAAUCGAAGAAAACCAGCCGAUUUUUGUCAAACUUUCGGCCGCUCGUUCUCCCACUUCCGGCCACCAUUUUGGCCAUCCAGGUAUAGAUUUUGAACCUCUCGAGCUGUUCUUGCUGCCUGUUGUGUUAGAUUUGGGAGAUUUCCGCGUUUUGAAGGUCGAUUAAACGAUGGAAGUUUGGCUGGUUUUUGGCCUCCGAUUCCGGCCACUUUCGGUCACUUUUUGGGGUAGGUCCAAGAACAAAAGUGGUUCCAAAUAGGGUGUUAUACCUAGGGUAGGAGUCUUGAGCCGUGGUUUUGAGAUUUCUCGGUGAUGCGUAAUCGCUUUGGACACCCAUACGCUACCGGCGCGUGUGGUGGCGCGUGGGCACUGUAGAAAUGGGGUAUUGUGUCCCGAUGCGAUCCCCUUGUUGUCACGAGUGUGUAGUGUGCUCGGAUUCCAAUUUGGUUGACAUUCGAACCCCGAACGAAUUUCUCCUAUUGCACGUUAUCCGCGUUUGAUAGGUUUGAACCGUUGGAUAGUCUUGAAUUUAAUAUAUUUAAUCUAAGCAUUUCUAGGAUCGUGUAGGAAUUCACGGAUCAUGAAUCGGAACCCCGGAUGUUCCGAUUUAAUAAUUUAAAGUUUAUGUUUAUAUUAACUGUCAGAUCGUGCAAUCGUGAGCGAUCCGACCUUCCGAUCCGGACCAAACGUGCAGGACGUAUAUCCUAAACCUUGUGGAACCUAUAGGAACUUUCGAAUCAGAAUUUAGAGGUCGUGGGCCUAGUGGCCCCGUUUGACCAAGUGUGGAUAGUUUGACCCUUGGUUGACCUUGAGUCUUCCAAGGUAGUUUUCCUUCCUAGAAGGAUUAUAAUGACCCUAAUGACAGGUCUUGAGCGUUGUUGAGCCAUGUUGACUAGGUUAAGAUUUUUAGAGUGUUUAUUAUUGUCGUAGGAAACUCUUGGACAUUAUUUUAAUAAUUGGAAUUAUAAAAGUGAGUUUUGGGUUCGGCUAUGACUUUAGUGAAUGGACUUUAUUUUUAAAUGAAUAGCAUGGCUUUGUGAUGGAAUUUUUAGGCAUGUGAAUUUAAUGGUUUAUUGAAAUUCAUUUUUAUAAUUAAUAGUUAAUUUAGCAGUUUUGGUAAAGUAUUAGUGAUGUGUGGGGUACUUGGGAUUUUGUUGAGGUUUAUACAAUAUUAGAGAUUAACUUAUAUAUUUAAAUAUAGGUAUGAAUGUAUGAAAAGAGUUUAGAAUGUCAGUUUGAAGUACUAUACGCACUACCCUAGGUACCUCAUCGGAUUUUGAUUACACUAUAAGUACCACCCUGUGAUUGUCAGGUCACCCAUGGCGUAGGAUUUUCCGGCGGAAUGACAGACCCCAUACGUGACGUUGGAAUUUCCGGCGUAUGGGGAGAUGAUAUUAUGAUUGUUAAGUCACACGUGGCAUAGGUUAUCCGGAGUGCUGACAGACCCCAUAUGUGGCGUUGGAAUUUCCGGCAUAUGAGGAGAUUAUGUGAUUGUUAAGUCCCACGUGGCGUAGGUUAUCCGGCGGGAUGAUAGACCCCAUACGUGGGGUUGGAAUUUUCGGUGUAUGGGGAGAUGAUAUAAUGGUUAGGUCACAUGUGGCGUAGGAUUUUCCGGCUUGAUGACAGACCCCAUACGUGGCAUUGGAAUUUCUGGCAUAUGGGAGAUUAUGUGGUUAUUAGAGAGAUGAAUUAAGAUUAUUAUACUGAGUUGGGAACGAAUGAUGUUUGAAAAAGAUUUUGUUUGGGAUUUCUGCAAUUGAUUGCAUGUUGAUGGACUUGGAAAUUUUGUAUGAAAGAACUACGUGUGGCUUGAUCCCUUAGUAAGGGUACAUAUGCAGCUUAGGGUAGUGCCUAGGUGCAGCCGUGUGCUAAACUUUACUCAUGUUGUGUGAUGGAGAUUCGUUCGGACCUUGUUGUUAGUCCUGAAUUUUAGGUGAAAAUGAGAUGCAGUCUUGUUAGGAGGUUUAAAUUUUCUACGUUUAAUAUUUGGGAAUUUAGAUGAUGGAAAUCGCAUUUGGCGUUCAUAAAUGUGUUUGAGUUUAUAUUUGCAUUGUUUAGAGUUAGUUGGUGGUUUCGUUUCGAAUUAUUUGAAGGCCGAAGGCUGAUUAUGUGAUUUAUAUGAAAUUAUCUUGUGCAUACUGCCAGUUGUGAAUAUCAAAUGUGUUUUAUGCACGUUGAAAUUUUUAGGAUUGUUCAACUUACAGGGGAGACUGCCGAAAUUUCGGCAUAAAAUCUCGUGCCCUUAUUCCUUAUUGGGAAAAAUGAUUUAGUUUUAGAAGUGGGUUCGACAUCGGGGUGAUGUCGGGAAUUUUCACAGGAUUCAUCUCGGGUUUCGGGAAAUUCGGGUCGGGUCCUGUCAAACACCACGUAUUAGGUAAGGGUAAAGGCUCAAUUCAGGCCCAGUCAAUCAACCCAUUAUGAUAUCAUGUUAAAUUUCAGAUAGACGGGCCUGUGGCCCACCACUAGUAACAUUGAUAUUGUCCCCAACUUAACUACAUGUUUAGUAGGUGUGGAGUUCUAUACAAAAGAUCUCGAUGUUUUUAGGAGUGAAACCACUUAUUAUAAGUUGUAAUUUAUUUAGUCAAGUUUCCAGUCAACCUGACUUUGAUACCAUGUUAAGAUUUUAAAGGGACGAACUCUUGGCCCACCAUUAGCAAUAUCGACAUUGUCCCCAACUUAACCACCUGUUUAACAAGUGUGGGGUUUUAUCCUAAAGAACUCGAUCUUAUUAAGAGUGGAGCCAUUUAUUAUAUGAAACUUUCUAUUUUGUUAACUCUGUGUAUUCUUCAUCAAUGUGAACACCCCUAAACCAAUCAUACCUGAUACGGAUUGAAACACAAGUUUGUUUUUUGCCUUUGGUAGAUGAGUAGCUAGAAAAGCUCAAUGCACUUGCUCUUCUUCUGCUACAUUUCAAUAUAAGAACAAGGUUUGGAAGCCAGGUCAACUCCUCAUAGUUUCCUUGCCUUUGCUUUGACAUGUCUAUGCACUUCUUGGGGAAGUUUGAAUAAUCAAUUGCAGGCCCCACGACAACUAAGGAACCAACAUUUUGUAGAAGGUUUUGUCUACACCUUUUGACUAUAAGUAAAAUCUUUUGUAUCUGCUCUUAUGUUUCGGUGAAGUUUCUAUGUGUCCUUUGUUGAACGAAAAAAUGAGGUUGUUUCUUACUAGAUUCAAAUACUUAAAAGAAAAAAAGAAAUUAUUGUUUCUUAAUUGAUUUUAUGGUGAACAAUAUCAAACUCUCCUCUUAUACGUCUUCUUCGUUGGACUUGGGGUUGUUUUCCUUAUAUGUCCCUUAUAUAUAUAGGGCCUUUGGUUGAGCCCACAAAUACCUUCAGUUAGUUUUUGGGUUUAGGGGCCUACAGAACCUGCACUAAACAAUAAAAGAAAAUACCUAAUUAGUUUAGUACGAAUUCUAUAAUGAAGGCUUUAUUAGGUAAGAUUUUAUUUCUUAAUCGUUAGAUCAAAUUUGACAGGACCCGUUCCUGAAUUUCUCGGAAAUCAGAGCGAACCCCGUCCUUGUUUCGACAUCACCCCGAUGCAGGGUCCACUUACUAAAAACCGAGACUUUCUACCAAAAUUUUGAUAGAAUCUCCCUUGUAAAUUGAGCAAACCCAACAAAAAUUUCAGCCUGCAACAUACAUAAAAAUAAUCCCAACCAGCAGCAUGCUUACAACAUACAACAAAACGUACUAAAUGGCCUCCGGCCUCACAAGUAAAAUUUAACAUGGGUAAUCUACUGAUGUAAACGAUUCGGCCUUCGAACACUGCUUGCAACCUUCCUGAAGCGACUACUGGCUAAGGGGCGCAAAACAGAAAACAUGUGAGUGGACAAAAACAAGAUUCAAUUAAAACAACAUAGUAACCCCACCGUGUAAAAAUAAUGCUCAAGACAUGUAGGUUUACAAUUCAUAAUUAAAUAUUCAAAAACAAAUUUCAUUUAAAAUUCUUUAAAACCACAAAUCACUCCAUCCAUAAAACCUCAUGCCCACAAUUUUACUGCUCCUACCAACCCACUGUAUAGACUCUAAUUUCUUCACAAUCACAACUAUAUAUAAAUAUAUAAAUUGUAUCAUACAACAUACUCCUCACACUACUUAGGUACAGGGGAAACAAUCCAACCGGAGGAUCGUUUAACUAGCCCGCAGGAUUUUCAGGUGCUAUCCUGAGUCUAGGAAUGAGUGGUCCAACCAGGGGACGAAACUCUAUAGCUCACACACCGGAACAUCCAACGCCACGUGUAGCUCCAAUACUAAGUCCUACAGGCACAGACUGGAUCACCACACACCGGAACAUCCAAUGCCAUAUGUGAUAAUCCCAAGCAAUAUACAGAGUCUUCCCAUACGUCGGAACAUCCAACGCCGCGUAUGGAAAGUGUUCACACGCCGGAACAUCCAACGCCACGUGUGGGAAGCCUAUUAACUGGGGAAAGUACUUACAUAGUGUAAUCAUACAAUUUCUCUCAACAACUCCUCAUACUCAAGUUCUUCCACAAACUCACCUCAACAAUCCCAAGUACCCCACCUAUAGACAAUAUAUAUAUAACUUCCCCAAAAUCUAUACAAAACAUACUCUCGAUAUCCAAAUAUGCCAAACUCACAAUAUAUUGCCAAAGUGCAAUACAAACAUCAAAAUCAACACAUGAAUAUAAUAUAUAUUCAAUAUACCAUUUAAAACAUUAUGCGUAAAUCUUUCAUCAAUAAAACCAUGCGUAUGAUUGAAAACAAAGUCCACUCACAAGUAUUCCUACGCUGCUUGACCACGAGAGAGUCCUGCCUGCUGAGUACGUGCAGUAGGAGCACCUAUUUUGAGAUACAAACCUUUAAUUAAUAUAAAAUUACUUCAAAACGGAAAACACAAAUUAAAUACUUAAAUCCCCAAGUUCCCAGUACAUGUACGUUGAACGAGGUAUCCUAAGGUCUAGUUACAAGUUUGGGAAUCGCUCACGAUUGGACGGUUAUCGCUAACCCACAAAUUUUGAAUUAUUGAAUCGGAACAUUCGGGGCUCCGAUUCACGAUCCGUGAAGUCCUACGUGAUCCUAGGAAUACCUAAAACAACAUAUUUUAAUUGGAAAACGCACAAUAUGCGAAAAUCCGUUCGAUAGUCAAACGAUGUCCGAAUUGAGAUUCGCAAAAUGCUACGCACUCGUGACAACCUGAGGAUCUCAUCAGGACAAAGUGCAACUUCACCACCCUCACCCACGCGCCGGCAGCGCGUGGGUGUGUAGAGUAAAUUCCGGCGAUGGAAAAACUCCACACCUACUUGAGGUCAGGAUCUCAUCACUCAACUACAGGGAGGUUCAAUUAGGACGGCAACUGGCCGGAAUUUCACUUUGAAAUCCAGCCAAAACUUAGGUUUUCUAAUCGGUUCCUAGACAACAAAUCGAUCUAAACCUAUGCAACAGUCAGCUAGACUAAGGAAAAAGAGGAAGAAACCUCACAUUUUUCACUGGAAUCGGAAGGGAGAGGCGACGGGGCGACGUCGGGAAGACUCGGGUUUGAACCAGUCGAUGCCGUUGACGAUUCUCGCAUUUUUCGGGGGGACUUUGGGUGGUUCGGGUUAGUGGCUUCACGACGAGUCGAACGGGACCGGUCUCGGGGGCUGGGGUGGUCGGGUGUGGUGGCGGUGUGGUGGUUUUCGUCUCGGUGAACAGUAACAGGGGAGGGUUUCGCACGCGCAGAGAGGGACUCGGGAGAGAGAGAGAGAGAGAGAGAGAGAGAGAGAGAGAGAGGAGAGAAAAGAAAAAUUAGAUUUUUACUCUCCUCUUUUCAAAAUAUUUACAAGUUUGCCACUAAUGAUGUUUUGAUCGCCAUUUUCUUGUUACAACUCCGAUUCAAGCCUACCGCAUGUCUAGGAAUUCAUCUCAGUACCACCUACCCAAAAUUACCAGUCAUGGUCCCAAACUCUUCCCGUAACAGAAAAUGACUAAAAUACCCCUACCCCAAGGGUAAAUUCAUAAUUUCACUUAAAUAAAUUAAAAAUAGGAAUCAAAUUUGGAGUCGGGGUGUUACAAAAUUGGUUAGUACGAUCCAACGGUUAAUAGAUAAAACUUUACAUAAAAGUCAUAUAUAAGGCCCUCACUAUAGAAUGACUCGUUAGUUUAGUCUCUUGUUACAUAUCAACUGUUAGAGAUAUUUUUUUAAUAAGGAUCUACCAUACCACAUAGUUGGAUAAGACAUUAUACACAACUUUUGUAAGAGCAUCUCCAGCGAGCCAGGCCAGCCCAAGCAGCAAGGGGCCUUAAGCCCGGUAAGCAGCUCCAGCGCUCAAGAUUCAGCCCAGGCAAGGUGUGGAACCCACAAGGAGAUCUGGCCCGUCACCUUGCCUUUGGGUUUCAGUCAGGCUGAUGUCAACGAAAGAAUUUCAAAAAAAUUUUGCCGUUGCAAUGCACGCGCCAACGAUAAAUUUUCUUUGGAUUUCUUGCGUUGAUCCACAGCUACCAAAAACCAACGGCUACAAGCCACGUGGCUUCUCCAAGAGCCUCUGAUCCAAAAAUCUUGUCAAAUCUAACGGCUGUCCAUUUUUUGGCUAAAAAAAUAUCAAAAAAUUAUGGAAACAUUUUCUAUAAAUACCUACAAAUAUUAUUCACUUCCCACACCAAACCUUCAUACAAAUUCAUAUCCUUUCAAUAUUUUUCACUUUCCACACAAGAUUUUCUACUACUAAAUUUCAUUUGUGUAAAAAUACAAGUGGCCUCUUCUAUCAAAGCCGGAGGCGCGUGGACAACCGUGGAAGAUAUUUUGUUGUGUGAGUGUUGGGUCAAAGUUGGUCAUUGCCCGAUCACCGGCAAUGAGAUGAAGUCCUCUCGUAGGAGUUUCUGACAUCGCAGCGAAAGUAAGAUGUGAUAUGAGAAUGUAAGGAAUUUGAUGAGAGGAAUGGGAUUUGAGGAGUUUGAUGUAGGAAUUGAUGUUGAAUUGGAUUUGGGAGGUAUGUAUAUAUGAUUUGAGAGUAUGUGUUUAGGGAUUUUGAUAGGAGGAUUUGAGGAAUUUAGAUUUGAGGGAUUUGGAUUUGGGGAAUUUAAAUAUGAGGAAUUGAUUUAGGGUUUGGGUUUGAAUAUGAGAAAUUUGAUAUGAGAGUUUAGAGACAACUGAUGAUUGAUUGCUCUAAUACCAUGCUAAAAUAUAAAUAUGGUUUGAAUACUUUAGGUUGAGUUUUAUUCUUUUCCAUAAGGAGGUAUAUAUAGCAGUUUACAUGAGUGUUUUACAAGGAAAUAGAUACAGUAAUCAAUUAGGAUAAUAUCUCCUAAUUAUACAAUAAUUUGUCAACUAUAUAGAAUAGGAAAGUAAAUUCCUUAAUUAAUCAAGAAAAUAAAUCUCAUUGAUUAAUUAAGAGACUAACGUCAACAUUUAUAAGCCAUGGAAGAGCAGAAAAAGAGGUACUUAGGAGAUUUUAUACGUCGGACUAAGGUAAGCUUAAAGGACUAUAUCAAAAAAAUAAGGGACCAAGAAGCAAGACUGAGAAGUUGUUAUGCAAACCCAUUAAGUUUAGCAGUGAUGAAUUUGUAAAAAUCAUUCUAGUGGAUGCUGCCUUCACUAUUGAGUUCUUAUUGAGGUUCUAUCUGAAAGGAUGUAGACAUGAAGGAGACCGCUUAUUAAACAAAUCAGCUCCCAUUCUUUAUUCUUGAGGAUCUUUAUCACACAUACAUAAUAACCGACUCUUUUAGGAAUUAUUACAGUACUCAUGAUCAUGAGAGGCUUUCAAUAAUUAAUAUUUCUAAGAAUUUCGUCACAGCUGGAAUAUUGAAUUUGGAGGGGAAGGGAGACAAAUGGAACAGAAUAUCAUCUUCUUCUAGUGUUGGAAAUUUUAUAUUAUUUAAUAAUAUUUAAUUUCUAUUGUGAAUGAAAAAUAAGUUUCUUUAAGAAACGUGUGUCUUAGGCCAGUUUUUCUAACUGGUCGGCUUCCUUAGAUUUGUGCCUAUUGCUUUUCAAAGUAUAAUGAUGCAAUGGUUGUAUCUCGUUCAGGCAAAUGGAAGGUAUAUAGCAAUUUAUAGAACAAUACAGUAAUCCAGAAGAAAUAUUAUGAAAUGAAAAGAAUAAAAAGUAAAAAAAGAGAAGGAAAGGAAUUCCCACCUGCAAUGUAUAUGUAUGAAAGGAAGGACCAAGUUUGUUUUAAAAUGGUAAGAACAAGUUGAUUUAUAAUUGGGUUCAGAUCAACUCAUGGAUUUCUUGCCUUUUCUAUUCUCCUUCCUUGGACAUGAACUGUUUAAUCUUGGCUCUUCCCCAUCAUGUUGGGCCUAUCUUCUUCUUGAGGAUUGUAUAGGCCCAGGAAAUGCUUCAAGAUAGUUUUUGUGUUUUGGGCAUUGGGACCUAACUUCACAAAAAGAAAACAGAUUUGGCCAAAAAACAAAUUUGAAGGACAUUGAAAUUGUACCUGUAGGAUAGGUUAAAACACUGUAAGGGAGGUAAAUAGUACGUUUACAUAGUUUAAGUGUAAUAAAGGAAUAAAAACAUGCCCAGAGGAUUGAUAAGUGAUAUCAAUUCUUGAAUAUAGAGAACGUAAAAUAAAGGAACACGUAUAAAAUUAUUUUAUGUGGUAAAACCCCAUCUCUAGGGAAAAUCCACGGGACUUCUUAGUCCAAAACAAAUCUAUUAUAGAACGAUGAUUACAAGAAGUACUCACACACUUAUCCUAGACACAUUCUAGAUAAUGUUUACUGACCUCUUCGUAACUCAACUUCUGUCACAGGAUGAUCUUUCGACACUUCUUAUGUUGAACGCAAUACUAGUCACGAUUUCUUUCAAGCUCAUUGGAGAAAAACCGCCACAACAGUCUCGGUGCCCUCAAUCUUAUGAGUCACUGAACAUGCAAAUGAAUACAAUAUGAAUGAUAAAAGUGUUUGAUAAAUCACCAAGUUAUGGAACACUUGAUGAUUUAUUUCAAGUAAAAAUUCAGCUUUCCAAAGUUUAUGAAUUGAAAAUAUGAUCGUUAAAGCUCUCUAAACAAAAAAAACGAAGGUCUUAUUUUAUAGACUUUUUCUUUACAAGAAAGAAAACACGUUGAAAACCAAAUCUCCAAUUUCAAGGCUUGACAGAAAAUCACAAAAGUAUCUUUCCUAUUCUAGAGAUUGGUCACAUGAAGUCCAACCAAUAGGAAAUGAGAUAUUUAAGAAAGGAAGAUUUUGAUCAAUAUCAAUAUCAAAUGAAUUCUUAUAUGCCUAGUCAACUAUUAAGGGUAUCUUAACUACUUGAUAUUAUGAUAUGAUUGAAACAUGAUUUCCACGUUAGAAAAUUAAGGGGAUUUUAAAACAUGAAAGUAAUAGGAGAAUCAAAUUGAUUUGGACCAAAAUUGCCUAAAAAGAAAACACUCCUAAAUAAACUUCAAUUCACUUUUAAAAACAGUAAAACUUGAUUGAAUCGUUCUUUAAAACAAUUCCCUAAUAUACAUGCAUGAUAGUGACAUCACUUACCUCUGAAUCAGAUGCCUUUUACGAGUCAAGCCACAAGUUUGUGUUUUGGGGAUUGCUGAGCUGCAUCAAUCCUGCCAAUGUCAAUUCUGCCCCUAGGCUCUCUCAAAGCACGUUUACAAUCUAUGCUAAUAUAUACUAGAGUUUAUGCUAGUAUCUAGAAAAUGCCAACACUAAUUUCGUAACACGUAGAAAUUGUUAGAGAUUGGAAGUUUUUUUCAUUUUUUUCUUCCAGACUCUCCACCACUCACUAAUACAGUUUACUCAUGUGAUGAAUUUACAAAACCUAUUUCUCUACUCUCACAAAGACUAUACUUAGGGGGGGUGUAUUCAAUUAGGAGUCUAGAGCGUUUAAAAAGAUUUUGUUUAAGUGCCAGCUUUCAUAGAACUUGAUGGAACUUUAUAAUUCGUAUAGAACUUGAUAGACUUUCAGAAGACUUCUGUAUAAUUUGUUAAUAAAACUUUCUUAAGCUUUCAUAGAACUUGAUAGGCUUUUAUUCCAGAAUUAUGUAGACAGUAUAUUUCAUUUUAUCCCCAUCCUUGUCAUUUAAAGAAAGAAACUUGAAUGUUUUCAAUCAAAUUUGUUUUUGUUACCAAAGCAAAAACAAAAAGUACUUGUUUGCGAAGGAAGAACAUAUGCACAGUUCAAAAUGAAAAGAAUAAGAAGCAAAGUACCUAUUGGACCAAUGAAUGCUGUGUCAACUAGAGAAGCAAUUGGAUCGGCUGUCAAAGCCAAUGCUACAGGCAAUGCAUCGAUGGUCCAAAUUGCAAUAAAAAAUAUUUUGUAUAAUGGUUCUUGCAGACAAAGACCACAUAAAUUCUGGACUGGUCCAGCUUGAAUAAUAAGGUUAGAUUAGCCGAUGGAUGAGAGUAAAAGCAAAGAAAGUUGAUGAAUUCAUCACCAAUUAUUUAAUAACUGUAACAUCCCACAUUGACCAACGGAGAGGGGGUGAUGUGCCUUAUAUGUACAUGCCCACUUCCAUCUAGCAUGAGUCCUUUUGAGAGCUCACUGGCUUCGGAGUCAUGGGAACUCUGAAGUUAAGCGAGUUGGGGCUAAAGCAAUCCCAGGAUGGGUGACCCACUGGGAAGUUGCUCAUGAGCUUUAGAAACAAAAAUCAUGAGGGCAUAAAGGGAGGCCCAAAUUGGAUAAUAUCGUGCUACGGCGGAGCCGAUCCCAGGAUGUGACAAUAACCAAUAGAGUAUUUAAACAUAAACAACAAUGUUUGAUAAACAAAACAAAUAGUCCAAAUAUUAUCCAAAAAACAAUUCUAAAACCAAUCAUUCCAAACAAACUAGUCAUUCCCAAAAACUCUCAAAAAACCCACUCAUUCCAAAUUAUAGGAUAUCCAAUUUGAGCGCUCCUCAGGAGACAUUUUCAAAAAUGCAUCCUUUUUUGUGUUACUAUGCAACAAAGAGAGCGCUUUAUAAUGAGCACGUUCAUCCAAAUUUGAGGUCUCCUUAAUGGCAUCCCACAUAUAACUCUGCUGCUCUCGCUCUUUUCCCCUUUUUGCCAAUAGGUUAUGGACCUCCCGGAAGUCGGUGACAAUUGAAUCAAUGCUAAGGCUAAUUCUUCCCAUAGCUUGUUGGGUGGUCACAUUUGAGAUGGCAUUCCCUUCCAAAUCUAUUCUAGUUCGUUUCCUCUAGUAACAAGCAUAAAUCCUAGUAACAAGCAUAAACCCUAAUCCCAACCUAUAACCUAAUAACAAGAAAAACACGAUGAAAAAAAAAUCAUGGAAAAAGAAAACCCAACGAGGUAUUGAUCAAAAAAAAAAAUAGGGAGCAUACCUUCACAGAUGGAGGAAGGAAGCUGUUUGUCUUCACAGAGAGAAAAGCUAGGGAAAGAGAAAAACGUCUGAUGAAAUACUUUGGGGGGAGGUUGGAUUUCUUUUGGUCUUUGAUAUUUAUAACUCUCCCCUUAAAACCUACAAAAAUUUAUCACUUAAUGAAAUCCUUCCAAAUAUAUGACCUUUCGAAUACACCUAGAUUUGAUUCAACUUUUUUAUAAUCCUAAUUGAAUACACCCAUAUUUGAGUGGACUUUUUAAAAGUUCAUAUAAGUCCGAAUUGAAUACACCCAGACUUGUAAAACCUCUUUUAAAGUUUGUAUAAAUCCAAAUUGAAUACACCCGGAUUUUUAAAAUAUUUUUUAAACGCUUUAUAAUCCUAAUUGGUACAUCCCCCUUAUUCUCAAAAGACUAUAUCACUUUACCUCUAUCUCUGUGAAAUGUAAAAAGUUGAAACUUUAAUGUCAAACCUCGACAAAAGAUGAACUUCCAUCAGUUGCGUUGAAUUUGGAUUUGUUGAACUAAAGUGGUUUUACUUUCUCUGUCAGUGUUUGAUGACUUAAUUUGGUAUUUACUUCUUUUUUUCCUUGGAAAUGUGUUCCACCAACGUGAGGAAGAAAAAUGUGCACAAAUUAAUAUAUUUAAUAAAAGCCCAAGAUUUCGGAAGCACAUAAUUUCUACAAAAAUCUAGAAAGUGUUCUACUUUACAAACUUCUUAUGUCUAUCAAUUUCUACUAAAAUUAAUUUCUCUGUGGUGCUCAGAUUCAUCAUAUGUGUGUCCUUAAUUUUAUUGGAAAUUAGAAGUUUCCAUAAUUUUUAUUUUUUGGGAAUUUUCUGAACCAAGAAAAAUCAAGUAAAAUUAAUAAAGCUUAAAUUGGAAAGGGAAAAUAUCUAGAGGACGCAUUGUAGGAUUUCUCAUGCCGAUAAUUGUACCCUCUAAAUAUAUAGGGACAUAUUUUUUUUGUUUUCAUGACAUGUGGUCCUAAAAUUAUUGUUCCUAGCGGGCUCUCCACCCCCUCUCAAAUUUACGUGGUCCAUUAUGAUUAACCAUAUAUUUUAUUGACCAUCCAGCUGUGAGGUUUUAUCCCAAAAACCUUAGGUACAUUUCUCAAUUAUGUCUGAUACAUCACAUCAUGCCACAAUUGUAUAUUCACAAUUAUGUCUGAUACAUCACAUCAUGCCACUUGCCUCAAAUGAAUUUAAGUGAGUGUGGCAGUGGGAAGUAAUUACUUCUAGGUGCCCCUCAUCAUUCGUCUAUAAAAUGGUGAAGCCAGUGGCUAUAAGAGCCAGCUCCAACUUUCUUUUAUUCGUCUAUAAAAUGGUGAAGCCAGUUGCCAAGUUAAUUUCAGUCCUAAUGGGGUUUCAUCUCCCACUCAUCUUUGCUAUUCUCAGUGUAAGCUCUGCAAUUUGAUUAACUUUUCCAUUCUCUCUCAUUGUACUCUAUAUAAACGAAAGUUUUGUGUUCCUAUAAUUCUCUUUGAUUUUAUUUAGUACGUACUUAAGUGUCGUCCACUAAUUAAUUACAGUUUGUGAGAUUUGAUUUUAAUUAGAGUUCGAAUUAAUGUUGCAGCUAGCAGUGGUUGCACUGGCAAACCAUGCUGCUCAACCAGCACCUCAACUUUACUGGAACUCCGUCCUGCCAAACACACAAAUGCCAAGAUCUAUCAGUGAACUUCUGCAUCCUGGUUUGUGUUGAGCUCUUUAGAAUCUUAGAUAUCUCUUCUACCUGCCAUUUUACUAAAAUAUGUUCGACCACAUAUUUAUCAGUUAACUACUGUCAUUACAUGAGUGACACUUAUUCACAAAUCGGCUGAUCACUUAUUUUCCAUUUUACAUGAGUGAUAUAUAAUUUGCAGACUCCACAAAUGAAGAAAAUAUCGUGAAUGCUGUUGGGAAUGGAAAGCGCAAACCUGAAAUUUUCCCAUUGAGAAAUAUAAAUUACGUUCAAAGCCAUUAUGGAGUGUUAAAUAGAAAUUACGUUCAAAGCCAUUAUAAAAAACGUCCUCCUCCACCUGAAAAUAUCCCAUUUGCAAAUCGAAAAAAGUACGCACUAGGUUCUCCUCCAUCUGACAAUCAACUACUCCAUUAUAAAGAGUUAGCUAUUUUCUUCUUCGAGAAGGACAUGCGCCCUGGCGCAACAAUGAAGUUCCAAUUCCCUAGAAAUUCAAACACGGCUACUUUCCUGCCACGCGAAAGUGCUCAAUCGAUCCCCUUCUCCUCUAACAAACUACCAGAAAUUUUCAACCAUUUUUCAGUGAAGCCAACAUCUGUGGAAGCCAAAACAAUUAAGCAAACAAUCGAAGAGUGUGAAGCUCCAGGCACUAAGGGAGAGGAAAAAUAUUGCGCCACAUCUUUAGAAUCAAUGGUUGAUUUUAGCACUUCGAAGCUUGGAACAAGAAACGUUGAAGCAGUCUCGACGGAGGUAUUGGAAAAAGGAGCCACCAUGUCCAUGCACAACUAUACAACAAUGCCGGGACUGAAGAAGUUGGCAGGUGACAAAGUCGUUGUGUGUCAUAAGGAGAACUAUCCCUAUGCUGUGUUUUUCUGCCAUGCAAUAAAACAAACAGCAGCUUAUGUUCUCUCCCUGAAAGGCGAUGAUGGGGAGAAGGUUAAAGCAGUAACCAUCUGCCAUCUAGACACAUCAGAAUGGAACCCAGAGCAUUUGUCCUUCCAAAUCCUCAACGUUAAGCCCGGAACCGUUCCCAUCUGCCAUUUCAUUUCCACUGAUGCUAUUGCCUGGGUUCCAAAACACAAAUUUGCAUGAUCAUCACUUAGCACUGUGGUGUAAGAUAUAUGAUGAGAUAAAGUUUUUGGUAUUAGUGGUCGGGUUGCCUGAAAAACACAGAUUACAGAAACUGCUUGAAAUUAACCCGAUCAUGUUUUCUCUUGUAAGACUUCAACUUGUACUCCUAAAGCAAGUUAUAUUUAUGAAGAGAUAUUAAUCUAUAUAUAUUUUAUGUAUAUAUAUAUAUAUAUAUAUAUGCUUUGGCUUUGUGGUUCUACCCAGUGUUUGAGUGUUGAAUUGUUACGUUGGAAUAGGCUGAUAAUGCGUGUAGUUAGAGAAGCCUUCAUUUAUAUCAAAGUCCUCAAACUAUCAAGAACUAAUGUAUCCAGAAACAUAUACCAAGACGCAAAACAACAUAUUUUCCAUGCUCUGUCUGUAACGCCAAAGCAAACUUCCUUUAUCACAUCAUUUAAAGGAUCAAAUUCCAGUACUAAUCUAAUCCAUCAUGUAAAGCAUACAAGUGCCUCCCUAAAUUUGUCCAUUGGAUAUAAAUGUUGAGAAAAUUAGAGUACACAACUCUAAUAUGAUAGUUGUACACAACUCUAAUAUCAUAAAGCAAACAAAAUUUCUAAGUUAGUUUGCUUUAUGAUAGUUGUUUUUUGAAGGGGUCCUUAGAUCCUAUCUCAAAAAGUUUGGCUUUUAUUAGGUUUAACUCUGGUUUUUAUCUCUACCCACUAACUUUUAUCUCUCAUUUUUAUUACCCAUUUUACCCUUUAAAAUAAAUAGGGCAAUAAACUAAAAAUUCUGAUUUAAUGCAUGUUUUACUCAUAAGAGAACUAAAAACUAAAAAUUCUAUACUCUAACACAAAAAAUGAAAACUAAAAACUAAAAUUGAAAUGGUUUCAAGCAAUUGCAUGUCAGGCGCUAUAUAUAAUGUAUUAGCCAUGGUUUGUUUAAUACGCGGUCAUUCGUCAUUUUCCCAUUCAAAAUAUUGAAAUUACGAACUACAUACCAUGAAAGAUAAGAAACUAAAAGCUUCAAGCAAAUAGAAAUGUGCUACAAACAUAGUAAUGAAGAUGUGGAAGCAUUAUCUCAGACGAAUGAUUCUGAAGUGGAAAAAACAAGAACAAAAAAGGAAGUGAGUUAAAUUUGCACCUGCUAUGUUCAAACGACAAAGUUGGUUUCCCUUUGGUCGAUUACAAGAGAAGCUCAAUGCAGCUUACUUGGUUCCUCUGGUAGAUGAAAAUAUAAUUUUUCUCCUAAUAAUAAGGGUAUAGUGCAAUCAAUGAUGGGCUGUAUAGAACAACUUUUUUGUUUUAUGUGUUUAUGUGAGACAUGUUUUGCCAGAUUGAAUUAAUGUCUUCUAGCCAUGUACCUUAUCUUUUUGCCGGGCCAUGAGUUGAAUGUAGAGGCAAAGUAUGGACUUGGGGUCAAGUUUGACUUGUAAAAUAAUUAGGAAUUGAAUGGCUCCUACGUUCAAUUAUUUUAAUUUUUUUUCCCGAGCCAUUCAAUUCCUAAUUAUUUAGAUUUUCGAUUUAGUGAGCAUCCACAAUCAUGCUCUCUAUUUUUAAGUUAAAUUUUAGUUAAAAACAUAUAAAAGUUAUUUAGGAGCUCUCUAUAAAAUUUAAACUUCAAUCGUUUUCUAUAGUUUAGGGAGUCAUAAAUGUCAUAACUCUUUUUUGAUUGGUCCAUCUCUAUUAAAAAAUAAAAUAAAAAAUAGUUAGCAUGAAAUAAAGGUUUGAAAUACUCAUUAAAUAAAGCAGCAUUAAAUUAUAGGGAGCCACUAAGAGUCCUUUCUCUCUCCUCAAGUUUAGGAGCUCCUAGAGGUCUCCCUAUUUUAAGAGGUGGAUAGGGAGUAUGGUUGGAAUUGUAUUUUUACAAUUCCUCCCUAAAAAUUUUCUAUGGAUAGGUGGUUUUAAGGAACCCAUUGUGGAUGCUCUGAUCUCAAAGAAAGAAAACCUCGAGUUUGCAAGCAAGUUUUCUACGUAUGUAUAUAUGAAAAACUGACAUUUAUGAAAAUAAUAAAUCCAUAUUUUUAUGUAAGCCAACUUUCUAAAUCCAUGUACUAUAUUUAUUAGGGAAAUAUUGGAGAAACUGAUUAUUUUGAAAAAUUAAAUGUGAAAAACUGAACAAAAAUUUGACAGGUUACAUAUUUCAACUCAUUCAGCAGCUUAGGUUGUGAAGACCUCAGAAGAGGCUAUGCAAUGAGCCUAGCUAGUGCACUGUUGAUCACUUCAGUGUUUACCGAUCUGUAAUUUUUCCAGAUUGGUUAUAUUUUCCUUUACAUAUUCUUAUAUUUUUCCCAGUUGGGGAGACUUAUAAAUAAACCCAAAAUGGGUACAAUAUCUAUACAGAAGGACAAAAUUAAAGUGUUUGGACAAUAAUCCCCUAUUCAUUUUGGGAUUGCCUAAGGAAUUCUUUUUCUGAUUUUCAAUGAUGCAAAGGACUGUUGUUUGAUGCUUGCCGUAUGGAGCUAAGAAAACUUGCUUUGAUAGUUUUGGACAGAUGCAAGCUACUGUUGUUGGUAGGGGUGGGCACGGUCCGGAUUGGUUCGGUUUUACUCUCAAACCACAGCUGAACCAAUAAGAAAAUAACGGUUCGGUUUGGUUCGGAUUAGCCUAAAAUCAUAAUGGAAACCGAACCAAUCCAAACCACUUGUAAUCGGUUUGGUUCGGAUUGGUUCGGCCGGUUUGUGCCUAACACAAAACCAUGCAUUUUUCAACCUGCUCUUACAUUAUAAUGCUAACAUUUUGCCAUUAUAUCAUUCCAUUCCAUUCCAUCAAAGGCUAAUACAACAUCAUUCCAUUUAUUCAAAGGUUGUCCAAUGUCUAGCAUGCAUCUAAGUUCACAAUUUCCAUCAAAACAAACAUAUACAUAAUUUGCAUUAACCAAGUAGCAUUACAUUUACUCAUUGCAUUCAUCACAAUUCAUAAGAGAUGAGAACGAAUCAAUUUUACUUUAACAUAUUAAACAAAUGCAUUCUUUGUAAUAGUUAAACAUUCUCACAUCAUGAAUAUCGGCAAGCUUAUAAAGCUGCUGCACCAACUUGCUAAUUGAUUCGUCUGUACCAGGAACAACAGUAGUAAUGCGAGAGAACCCCUCAACUUCUGCAUGGCCAACAGCUAAACUCUGGAAACGAGAAACCAGCUCAAUUAUAACAAAUGCCUAAAACUUCUACCUUAACAGAAGACAAAGGAGGAAAUAACAGCAGAAGGAAACCAAAUUUCUCAAUUUAAUAACUGAUAUUUCCAAAGGAUUCUUAAGUCUAAAAUUCGACCAAGACUUGAUUAACUAUUCCAAUGUCUAGCAUGCAUCUAAGUUUAUAACUUUGUUCCUUCUUUAACAAAAAGAACAAGGAGAAAAAGCUAAUAAUAAGGUAUCCUUCUUUAACAGGCAUCAAGCAUAUCACAUAAGCAACAUUUUAUAUACAUUAUUCUAUGAACAAAACUAAAUCAAAGCAAGGUAUGCUACAGUCUUUUUGUACAAUAAAAUAGAUUAACAUAUUUUAUAACCAUAAAAAUGAAAAAUUAGGCCUCAUAGAAAAUACCAUUUUAUUUUUCAACUCUCUAACUUUUUAUAUAACCAGUUAUUGGAGACAAUACAAAAAAUAAAGUAGUAGACAGAACUAGCAUAUUUUACAAACCCAGCUGAUGAUGACGAUCCACCACCAACAAUAUUCCCAUAAUCAAUCCUUGCAUAACCUGAUGGUCGAUGAUGGAACUUGGGUUUUGUAGAGAUGGAUUUCGCUGAGGACAAAUGGGUGGGUUUCGCCGAGUUCGAAUCAUGUUGGCUUGAGUUAGCGUCGAGGGAGAGGGAGAGGGAGAUGUAGCAGAGAGACAAAGAGAGAGGGAGAGGUAGCAGAGAGAGAUGGAGAAAUAAUGAGAGGGAGUUGCGGCUAGGGUUAAGAGACGAAGGAAGGGAGAUAGGAGAGAGGCUCUUCUGAGGGAGAGAGAAUGGUUAGAUAACUUAGAUGUGUCCGUGAGUUGUAGUUUUGGAGUCCAAUCAAGUGUUGCAGGGUACAUGGUACACUCUUAAAUAACCACUCAAACCUUGCCACAUGUAAACUAAAUUAAAUAAAUAAUAAAUUGAUUUAUAAUCGGUCCGGUUCGGUUUAGGACAGUUUUUAAAACUCUCAAACCACAGCUGAACCAAACCAAACCGGUUCGGUUCGAUUUUUCAAAAUGUUGACUUUUUCUUUGGUCAAAACCAAACCAAACCAAUCCAAUAUAAUCGGUUCGGCUGGAUUGACCUGAUCGGCCAGAUUGAUGCCCACCCCUAGUUGUUGGGAUGAUCUUUUCACGUGAAAUGAGGAUGACGAUACUUCUACACUACACAAUCCAACGAAUUCACAUUUCUAUUUCAGAUACAUGUAUAAACAGACAAGGCUUUAAAAUAUGGGAUGCUGCACUGUUGUUGCUGCUGCUGACACUGUUACUGUGUUGCUGCUACUGUUACUGCGCUGCUACUGGAAGAAGGACAAGGACUUCACAUGUUGCUUUCGUCCUUUGUGGAGGAGAGAGACCUAGGACUUGCAUGUCUUAGAUAUUUAAGAUAAGGGGCUUUCGUGCCAUUUUGAAAAUACUUUGGGUGUUUUUGAAAGCUGCUUGUUUCUUUUGGGUUUCUCACUAAAUUUCGCUAUUAGAAGGGAAAAUAAUAAUAAUAAAAAUACAGCUCUUAUUAGCAACAGGGUUACAAAUUCUUCUACAACACACCAACUGUUGUAAAAGUUUGAAGGUGGAGCCCACAGAGGAAGUUUCCUUGCAUCUUCCAGGAACUUUCCCUUCCCUGUAUUUAUCAAUUCAGGAAGUUUCCUUGCAUCUUCCAGGAACUUUCCCUUCCCUGUAUUUAUCAAUUGAGGAAGUUUCCUUGCAUCUUCCAGGAACUUUCCUUCCAUGUAUUUAUCAAUUCAGGAAGUUUCCUUGCAUCUUCCAGGAACCUUCCCUUCCCUGUAUUUUACCAAAACCUUAGCCUAUAAAUAGGCUUGCUCAUUCACUUGUAAUACACACCAAAAUGAAGAGAAGAAUGAGUGAGGAAAGAAAGAAAGGAAGAGAAGGAAGAAAGAGGGUGAGUAAGUAGAGAGAAAAAUAGAGUGGAGAGAAAUUAGUGAGCCACAUAUAUUGUAAACACUAAAGUUGUAGCCCUAUUAUUUUACAUAGUGGAAAAGUUACUACUGCUGCUCUCCGGGGACGUAGGCAUAGCCGAACCUCGUUAAAUACUGUGUCUCAUUUACUUUACGUGCAGCUCAAUAUUCAUACAUAUUCCAGGUUAUUUUUAUAACACGUUAUCAGCACGAGAAGCUCUCAGGUAUAAUUUUUGUGCUGCACUAUUAUCUAUACUACUAACCACUAACAAAAAUGGACCCUUGGUAAUACUAAACAUAUUAUCAGUGGGAGACCGUUACUAAUACUAACUUUUUCUUAUUUUAUUCGGUGGUGGUUUUAACCCCACAUUUAUUUACUGUAUGGUGUAGGUUUAUUACCCAUACAUGCACCUUUACUUUAUCGCAAAUUUAUUUUACCGCAUAUUUAUUUUAUUUACUGUAUGGUGUAGGUUUAUUACCCAUACAACAGUAUUUAUUUAAAAGGGUGGUGCGAGUUUAUCGUCCACGCCUUUGCUUUUAUUUAAAUGUAUGGAGCAGAAUUAGUGCCCAUACAAGCACAAUUUACUUUACCGCACAUUUAAUUUUAUUUAAAGUAUGGUGCGGGAUUAACGUCCAUACAGCAAGCAAUUUAAUUUAUGAAUUUAAUUUACCGCACAUUUACAUUUAUUUAAAAGGGUGGUGCGGGUUUAUCGUCCACGCCUUUACUUUUAUUUAAAUGUAUGGAGCAGAAUUAAUGCCCAUACAAGCACCUUAACUUUAUGAAUUUAAUUUACUGCACAUUUACAUUUAUUUAAAGUGUGGUGCGGGUUUAUCGUCCAUACCAGUAAUUUAUUUAUCAGCAAUUUAUUUUAUGGAUUAAUUGUUUAUUUAUCAGCAAUUUAUUUUAUGGAUUAAUUGUGCUGUAUGAUGAGUUUUUCCAGUAUGCAGAUCAGGACCAGAAGUUCCUUGAUCCUCAUCAUACAAUUACAUCAGGACUUGAAGAUCCUUGAUGAUGAUAUUAAAAUGAGAGCUGGCAGUCUCACCGGUACUGUAUUUGUAAACAUGUGAUUGGACUUAAAGGUCCUUGAUCCCUGACAUGUAAAUAAGGACCUAGAGUUCCUUAAUGAUGUAACAGUACCGUAUUGGUUCAUAGUGCCGUACACAUUGAUGAUAACUGUACUGGCAGAUGAAUAGAUACGUAUUCAUGACUUGAUGAAUAGUACUAUUCACAUGAAUAGUGACGUAUGCAUAAAUAUUAACCAUUUUGGGUAAACCGUCACUAUAUACAAAAGGGAACCUGCAGUUCCUUAAACUCAUGGAUGAGCAAUUAAAUGAGAUGCCAGAAGUUCCUCAAAAUAUGGACAAUUAUGUAAGGGCUUGAAGUCCCGAAAUAUGUACAGAAAAUUGUAAAAAUGUCCAUACCAUGAGAAUAUGUGGCUUUGGCCUGAAGUUCCAAAUUUAACAGUGUUGAGAACCUGAAGUUCCAACAAUUAAAUGGACAACCCUUGAGGUAUUAUUGCAAAUUGUGGUAUGCCACAUAUUUCUUUGGCAUAAGAAGAUGAUGAAUUUAAUAAAGUUCGAUUUUGUUAUAAUCGACACCUCAAGGAAGAAAUAUAUUUUGUGAAUUCCGGUUGUUAAGAAUACACCGCGAAAUGGAUAAUAUUAAUAUAAACCUCAAAUAAUGAAUUGAGACUCCCCACAUAUUUUGUUAUAUCUGGGCCGGAAGCCCAUGGAUCCAAAUAUAUGAGAGAUCCUAAACUUGAAGUUGUGGGUAUAUAGUAGUUAAUGCUCUUCACUACUAUAUUGCGAUAUUAUCAUGGCUUUUACUCAAUUCAUAUUUCAUGUCCAUUUGAAAAGGGCAAAUAAAUUCUGAGUUUGUGCCCAGGCCAUAAGUUCCGGGCUACCAUACGUUGAAAUAUGAAAUUUGGGAGAGUCGAUGUGGUUAUUUGAACCUAUAAGGCACAAGGUUCCAAAUCGUCAUUUUGAAAAGACGUAAAAACCAAAGGUGCAAGUUUAAGAAUGUGCGCAAUUAUUAUUACAGGAACAUACAACAGAUAGAUUUUUUCCACUUGCAAUGAAGGUGCAGGCCCUGUAAAAUCUAUAAAAUUACAUUAUGUUCUGGAAGCCUCUGAAGGAAGAGGACGGCGCCUCUUAAGCUUAGCCAUGAGCUUCUCAUGGUCUCCCAAAAUUCUUUCAUUGGAGACCUGCAGCAUGUCUAGCCUUCUCAGUGUAUCAACAGAGUACGAACUCACCAGUUUCAACAAGGAAUUAUUCUCUCCUUUAAGUUUCUCAACCUCCUGUUGAGACUCAUGAAGCAUUCUUUGGAGAGACGAAUUUUCAGUUGUUAAAUUCUCAACCUCGUUUGCUCUGGCACGCAAACGAUCAGCCAUGUUAGAAACAGAAACAGCACUCUGAAUGCUAAAAGCCAUUGAGUCAUCAAUAGCCUCUUCCUCUGAUCUCCCCGUCAACAACAUUUCAUCCAUUGGAGUAAUGAAAUUCCUAGCUACUAUGACAGCAGUAGCAUCAUUCAUCAUCACAGAAUCAUUAACUGUGAGAUGACGAUUUUUGGAUACAAAGGAUGGACGCCAAACUUGGGCGUCACUGGUAGUUGUGGGAGUAUCAUUUAAAUUGAAAUAAUUUGGGCAGGAAGAAGAGGAAGCCAUUUUUAAGAAGGUUUCGAAGAAAGCCUUAGGAAAACUAAAGUUUCAUAAAAUGAAGGAAGUUAAGUUGAAACGCAAUUGCUCCAAUCAAGUUUUGCAAAGGCAAUAUCUAUAGACGAAAAUAUGGCAAUAUCUUCAGGAUUCCAAUAUCUUCUCGAAUCCCCAUAUUAUCUUUUUCUUUCCCAGAGUCCAAAACUUCACGUGGCCUCUAAUAAUGCCUGUCGGCACUUUCGGCGUUUUUCAAAGUAUUAUUUUCAAAGCCGAUCUUGCUUUACGGAUUUCACGGAACUACUUUUUCAAAAGUAUCCCGAGAAUCUCGCAAUUUUCCUAUGGUUAAUUUGAAAUUCACCGGUUCUACCUAUUUAUUGUAUUUAUGUAUAAAUGUGUUACUAACGAAAUUUUCUUUGCAAAAGACAUCCAGUUUUCUCCAUACCUAGUGAUGCGAUAUCUACUUAUUUUUCUUAUCAGUGAGCACUUAAUAUGCCUGAGAAGCAAGACUAUCUCUGAUCAUACAUUCAGGAAGCAAGACUAUCCCUGAUCAUGUUUCCGCUACAUUAGGGAACUGUGAAGGUGACCUUAUGCUCCAAUCUCCUGAGGUCUUUCUAGACUAGGAGAAAUGAGAGCUUGUUGUUUGCUCCCACCAGCUUCCUUCCUUGAUUGCUUACCUUACCUUGCAAUCAAUAUCACAAUCUUUUUGCAUUUUUUCUCUUUUUAUAACUCUCUGUUCAUAAGAGAUUUUAUUUCUUUAGAAUGAACAUCUGAAGAAUGAAUCCAUGAAGUAAUCCUAACUAUGAGGGUUAUUUGUUUUGACAGAGGCAAAAGAGUUGUGAUUUUUGCUCUUGCAGGAUAUAACUAGAUCAUCAAGCGCUACAUUAUAUUUACUGGGCUGAUAUGAGCUUGAAUGAUACUUGAGAAAAGUUUCUCCCACCUAAGGAUGUAAGCAAUACUUGUGUUAUUUUAUGCUUAUAUACCUAUUUGAUAUUUUAUCUUGAAAGGUAACUAAAUGGGGAGAUAAGUCCGUUCCAAAAGAAUGACUUGUAUGUAUCCAUGAAUUAUUAAUGCAAAUUUUACAGAUUGCAAGUUGGAUACAUUGAUAAUACACUGCACAGAUUAAAGUCCCAUAAGAACAGAAUAUGGGUAUAGCAGUGAUCAAUAUGAUGCACGCCUAUUGCGUAGCAAAUGAUAUGGAUUGAAGUCCCGAAAGGACAAUCCUUUGACAUUUCAAUAUUGAUAUUAUGCACGCCUAAUGCGUAGCAAAUUAUAUGGGUUAAAGUCCCAUAAUAUGGGUUAAAGUCCCAUAAAUUAAUUGACAUGUAUGUAUUAAUCUGUGGCAUGCCUGCAGCAUGACAGAUAUAUGGGUUCUAAAUGUUCCAACUCCCUAAAUGGAGAUUAUCCACGCCCUACUAUAAAAUAACGCUCCAUUGGAGGUUAUAAUCCACAUUCUCACAUAAUAAAAGCCCCCUGCAGUGGCUUGGGUACCCAAAAGCAAAGAAAUGCUUAUAAUUGAUGCAUGCGCAUGCACAUGAGAAUGGUGGGAUCAUGAAUUGAUGAAUGACAAUUUUUGAUCAUGAAUUGAUGAAUGACAAUUUUUGGUUUUAGAGUAGCUACUCAAAUCAUCAAUGGGCUGUGUUGAUUGGAACCACGUUCAAUUAUUAAAUGUCGACAAUAUCAUUGGCCAAAAUGGAACGAGGUAAUUCCAUUAUAAAUGAGAAUGAACGUGAAAGAACAAACCCACAAUACGAACCCCAAAAUUUGUUAAUACUAAAAGUUAUACUUGGGUGUUCGGAAUAAAAGGAAAUAUAUCUACUUUGUAUGACACACUGUUUCUGGCAGAAACAAGGAAUGUUGGGUUUUCUCCAUAUUUACAGAUUCAAUUGUGCCCCCCUUAUUACACAAUUACGGAGACCAACAUAUUAUCUUUAAGGGUUAUUAAUGCACAGAGCAUAUCGCCAGAAGCGAUUUCCUAAAGAUGUAUAAAUAGCUGGGUAAAAGCUAUAUAAUGUGUCAUAAAGUUUAAUCCCUUUUAACCAAAAUCUGUUGAGAGGAUUGAUAUUGCAUAGAGCAAGUCCCUAAAGAACAUGUGCUUGAAGCACAAAAUUUGUACUCAAUAUUAAUAUGCAUAAAUUACCUCAGUGAGUACAUUGAUUAUAAUGUGAUUGCAACACAUUAAAGCUUCUGCAGAAUUCAUGAAAUAUUUGUCUCGAUCGAGCAUUAUGCCAACGAGAUUCUUGCUUAUACUAAGAAAGUAUUAAAGUAUUUUUAUGAGGAUUAUCCGUUGGACACUUUAAUGAUUUUCCGGAAGUAUAUUGGACCGGACAUCAUAUUUUCCAGAUAGGGCUCAACUCCAUCACCAUCAUUUUGGGAUGAUGUGAGGUAUAUUUGAUGCUAUCUAAGCAUAACACCAUAUAGGGGCAUAUUUUUUUAGUGAACUUAUAAAUAGCCCAAGUGUUCUAAGAUAUGCGGACUCAGGAAAUCUCUAUGGUCGCUUACUGGAAAAAGCUAGUCAUGAAGUUUUCAGGGGGAGAUAUUCAUCAGGGAGAGCAUGGUAUUAAUAAAGACCUUCAUACACUAUUGACUCACAGCAGCAGUGUCAACUAUGAUAUUCAGACAGAUGAUCAACAGUAUGGCUUAAAGAUAUUUUGCCAAGCAUCAGGGGGAGCGUGCUGUCAAUACAGACCCUUACCCACUGUACUCUUUUUCCUUCGUCCAGGUUUUUAUCCCACUGGGUUUUUCCUGGCAAGGUUUUAACGAGGCAGUGUCGCACGCGCGUCAAUAUACACAGAAUUUUAUGUUACACGUGAUUAUGUACUCUUUUUCCCUUCGACCAGUUUUUGUCCCACUGGGUUUUUACUGGCAAGGUUUUUAACGAGGCAUAUUCCAUAUCAUUUGUGGUCUCCAAGGGGGAGUGUUGUAAAAGUUUUAAGGUGGAGCCCACAGAGGAAGUUUCCUUGCAUCUUCCAGGAACUUUCCCUUCCCUGUAUUUAUCAAUUGAGGAAGUUUCCUUGCAUCUUCCAGGAACUUUCCUUCCGUGUAUUUAUCAAUUCAGGAAGUUUCCUUGCAUCUUCCAGGAACCUUCCCUUCCCUGUAUUUUACCAAAACCUUAGCCUAUAAAUAGGCUUGCUCAUUCACUUGUAAUACACACCAAAAUGAAGAGAAGAAUGAGUGAGGAAAGAAAGAAAGGAAGAGAAGGAAGAAAGAGGGUGAGUAAGUAGAGAGAAAAAUAGAGUGGAGAGAAAUUUCUCCAAGAGAGAAAAAUUAGUGAGCCACAUAUAUUGUAAACACUAAAGUUGUAGCCCUAUUAUUUUACAUAGUGGAAAAGUUACUACUGCUGCUCUCCGGGGACGUAGGCAUAGCCGAACCUCGUUAAAUACUGUGUCUCAUUUACUUUACGUGCAGCUCAAUAUUCAUACAUAUUCCAGGUUAUUUUUAUAACACCAACAUCAAUCUAGCCCUGAUCCACUCUUUUACAUACUUGAAAACAAAACAAAACACGAAAAACAAAAAACAACAGGGAGAAAAUGGCUCCGGAGAGACUUACUGCUAAUACUUGAUCAAUAACAGAGAUAAUAGAGCACACUGUUUGUAUGGCAGUGAGUAUCAGAAGAAUAAUAGCUGCCCAAGGUGUGUUGAAAUACUUUUGUCUCAAAUUUGCCUUCCAUAUGUUCGUGGUCUUCUCGCAAUACUCGUUUAGUUUGCCAGCAAGAUCACCAAAAUAGUAGUUUCCCUGGUUAAUCAUAAUGGAAACCUUACUGUUGUCACCUAGCGUGUUUACAACAAUUCCAUUGUCAACAAGCAACUCUACAUCCUUUGGGGUGUUUACAAAUUUAUCCAGGAUGAAAACAUAAUCGCUUAAUUAUUUAUUAACGCAAUGGCAUUGUUCAAAGGCAAUGAGAUUUCUAAGUGUAAGCUCUGUGUAAUCAUGUAUUUCAAUUUUUGGAAUUUCCAAGGUGUUUUUCAAGAACUGUAUAUCGAAUAAGUUCUUGCUUGAUUCAACGUUAAACUUAACUCCGGCCUGGUGUAGUUUUGUCAUGCCGGGUGUACUUUGGAGCCCUACAUUUUCUUUUAGGGUUGGAUCUGGCAGAUGUAAAGUUCUAAUAAAAUCAACAAAUUGUACAGGUUUUUUAGGAUCAGGAGGCAUAAAAGACUUACGGAAGGCUGGUGAGUUCUCCAAGUUUUCUAAACGCAGUGCCUGUUGGAAGAACCUGUAAGAGAGUUCAAUUAUUGAAGGCUCCCCAGUCUGGGCACCUGUAAGAUUGUAAAGAUCCUCGAGAAUGAAAAAUGGCAGCUGAUUUUCUAGCAUAAGCAUGUCAGGCAAUAUAUUUUGUAGCACCCAUGGUUUUUUAAAUAUCCAAGCAUUAUCAUCCGGCAAUUUUUCUUCCUGAAAUUUUUCUUCGGAUUUAUUCCUCAACAAUAGCUCAAUGACAAAGGCGGCAUCAACUAGAAUGAUAUUCACAAAAGCGGCAAUGUUAAACUUCUUAGUGUCUUCAUAAUAAUGACGGAGUUCAACUUCUCUCUCCUUUAGGUACCUGAGUUUGUGAUCUUCCAUGGCUUCUAAGUUUUUGCUGCCAUGGUGAAGUGGGCCUAUUGAGACUACUUGUGGUGUGUAGGCCUUUUGUUUUACGUUCCGUAGUCGCUCAGGCACCCUGUAGAUACUGCAGGCAGGGGACAGGGCACGGAAGUUUGUCAACUGAUUUUCCAUGGAAGUUGCUUGGUUUUCUAUGUCAAAAGAAGCUUCAUUGCUGCUUUCUUCCACUUUCUUCCUCCGCAUUAUGUGUUGUUCUGAUUGUAAGUGACGAGGAUGGUGAUGAUUCUAGACACCAUAAUCAACAAAUGUUUCAAUCAUAAUUGACAUUUCAAGAUGCUCCGACAAAAAAUUAGAAAACAUUCAUCACAAAAUGCGAACUCAUACAACAGAUGGGUUGAGAAGAUCCACACAUUGCAAUCAUACAAUCCAAUUGAACAGGGAUUACUCCCUAUUCUCCUCUCUCUCUAAAAAAGAUUUUCAUAUCGAUAACAUCUUAUUGCAAGGGACUUGUACAUCAAGUGGUGAAGAACAGAAAUUCAUAUUCUUUCAAUCAACAAAUUUCGAAGAAGUUUGUUUGUUUUAUUUUUGGGGGAAAAAAAUCUGAGCAUAUAUAGAUGCAUAUUAUACGUAGACCUAAGGUGAAAACAUACCAGAUUUUUACUCCAUUUUUCAUGAGGUUUAAGUUCUUGAUGUAUAUAUUUAUCUCAAGUGUAACAUCCCACAUUGAUCAACGGAGAGGGGGUGAUGUGCCUUAUAUGUACAUGCCAGCCUUCAUCUAGCACGAGGCUUUUUGGGAGCUUAUUGGCUUUGGAGUCAUAGGAACUCUGAAGUUAAGCGAGUUGGAGCUAGAGCAAUCCCAGGAUGGGUGACUCACUGGGAAGUUGCUUGUGAGUUCCCAGAAACAAAACCGUGAGGGCAGAGAGGAGGGCCCAAAGCGACCAAUAUCAUGCUACGGCGGAGCCGAUUCUGGGAUGUGAUAAUUUGGCAUCAGAGCUACUCUGCCGUGUGGUGUGAGUGUGCCGACGAGGACGCCGAACCCUUGAGGGGGGUGGAUUGUAACAUCCCACAUUGACCAACGAAGAAUGGGUGAUGUGCUUUAUAUGUAUAUGCUUGCCUAUAUCUAGCACGAGGCCUUUUGGCAGCUUACUGGCUUCCGAGUCAUAGGAACUCCGAAGUUAAGUGAGUUGGUGCUAGAGCAAUCCUAGAAUGGAUGACCUACUGGGAAGUUGCUCAUGAAUUCCCAGAAAAAAAAAGCUGUGAGGGCAGAUAGGGGGGCCCAAAACGGGCAAUAUCGUGCUACGGCAGAGCCGAUCUUGGGAUGUGACAUCAAGAAUUUAUAUCCUCCCUUUUCAGAUCUCAUGUUCCAGUCAAUACAUAACGAAACAUAAGAAACUAAAGUCUUGUUUAUACCCAUCCUCCCACCCACCCACGGCCAUCCACCCCUACCCCCUAUCUCCAUUAAAUCUACAAGUAGCUCAUCAAUUUCUCCACCAUCCCAAGUUCAAUAUACCACCCAACAACCAUCUUACCCAUCUUCUCAUUGAUCUUCCACCCAACAUCCAACACUAUCUUCAUAAACUCUUUAGCUUAAUCUCUCUGUUGCUUUUGUUUUUUGUUUUUUAGAAAUUAAAUUUUUUAGUUUAUUUUUUUGUUGGUACAAAUUCAAUGAUAAAGAACAUCGAACUCGUCGCAACAUCCUGUUCUAGAUCCAAGCUCUACCACCAUCACAACCCUCUCUUGACCUCCGACCAACCUUAACACCCAACUUCAAAUCUAGGUUGUUUGAAACCCAGCCCCCAACAACCCCCCCAAGUCAUCCCAUUGCAACUGACUUGUAGAUGAAGUAGUAAAGAACAAAAAGUCAUAUUCUUCCAAUCAAAACGUAUCAAGUCAAACAAAAUUUCUAGUUAGUUUGCUUUAUGAUAGUUGUUUUUUGAAGGGGUCCUUAGAUCCAAUCUCAAAAAGUUUGACUUUUAUUAUGUUUAACUCUAGUUUUUUGCAAUUUUUUUUUAUCUCUACCCACUAACUUUUAUCUCUCAUUUUUAUUACCCAUUUUACCCUUUAAAAUAAAUAUAGUAAUAAACUAAAAAUUCUGAUUUAAUGCAUGUUUUGCUCAUAAGAGAACUAAAACCUAAAAAUUCUAUACUCUUACACAAAAAAUAAAAAAUAAAAACUAAAAUUAAAAUGGUUAUCAAACAGACCCUUAUAUUACAAAAAACCUUAACUGACCACCUUAUAUGGCAACUGAUNNNNNNNNNNNNNNNNNNNNNNNNNNNNNNNNNNNNNNNNNNNNNNNNNNNNNNNNNNNNNNNNNNNNNNNNNNNNNNNNNNNNNNNNNNNNNNNNNNNNUAGCAUUCUAAAAAAAGUGGCCUCAUGGCAGCAUUCAUUAAUUGACAUGGCAUGACACAUCAGUUGCCACAUAAGGUGGUCAGUUAAGGUGGUCAAUGUUGUGUGUCCAAAUAGCAUUACUAAAAAAAAAUCAAAUAUUGAACUCAUCAUAAGAGAACACAGAAAAACCUCACUGCUUGCAACUCUUACACCACCACUACACGAACAGAACAACUGCUAAUUAAAAUGAGUCACAUGUCACAUGUCACAUGUGGUACUUAACUCUAAAAACUUAUUUAGAUUAUAUAUCCAUAUUUAUAUAUCCUACUCCUCGAUCAAAACAACCAUGAAACAUAAGUGACUUAAACCUCUAGGCAAAUGGACGGUAUAUAGCAAUUUAUAGAACAAUACAGUAAUCCAGAAGAAAUAUUAUGAAAUAAAAAAAAUAAAAAGUAAAAAAAGAGAAGGAAAGGAAUUCCCACCUGAUAUGUAUAUCUAUGAAAGGAAGGACCAAGUUUGUUUUGCCUUUGGUUAAUGACUAGAAAAGCUCACUUGUAUAUUGCUUUCUCCGGCCGUAGAUGCAAGAGAAAUUUUCUCUUAAUAAUAGCACAAUGAUCGGGUAAUCGUAAGAACAAGUUGAUUUAAAAUUCAGGUCAACUCAUAGAUUUCUUGCCUUUUCUAUUCUCCUUCCUUGGACACGAGCUGUUUAAUCUUGGAAUCUUCCCCCAUCAUGUUGGGCCAGUCUUCUUCUUGAGGAUUGUAUAGGCCCAGGAAAUGCUUGGAGGUAGUUUUUGUGUAUUGGGCCUUGAGACCCAACUUCACAAAAAGAAAACAGAUUUGACCAAAAAAACAAAUUUGAAGGACAUUGAAAUUGUACCUGUAUGAUAGGUUAAAACACUGUAAGGGAGGUAAAUAGUACGUUUACAGAGUUUAAGUGUAAUAAAGGAAUAAAAACAUGCCCAGAGCACUACUACAAUUUUUCCCUGUCCUGGCAACCCUUUGUGAUCGGUAAAAACACCAUUAUUGACGGAACUUCGUCAGUAAUUGCUUCUUGACGACUGCAGCGACGAAAAUGAGUAUAGUCAGUAAAAGUCCCGUCAGUGUUACUAUUACUGACCAACUUUUGCAACUUAUUCGUCAGUAGAGGUGUGUCUCUGACACAAGUCAUGAAGUGACUCUAAAUUAUUACUGACAAAACAAAUAGCCACUAUUAAACAAGCUUUUGUCAGGAUUAUUAUUUUAGGAUGGAGUACUAGUGGCAAAGAUUUGUCAAUAUUGUUUUCAACAAAAAAAAAAAUUCAGUCAAUUUGCUUCUGAGCUGAUGCGCCUUUAGAUAUCCUUUUCUGAAAUGUCUUUUGUUUUCUAAUAUAAUGGAUGUUUUUCUUUAAUAAAAAUUUAAUGGAUUCUGAAAAUGUAAUAACAAUUAUAAAUACUCAUAGAUUGAACCAUUCAACCCCCAUCCUUAUAAAUAUAAACUACCAAUGUCGAUUACAAUAGCCAAAUAUUACAAAGUCUGCCUACAUCAGUAGAGUUCAAAAACUUUAGGUGCCCUUACUAUACAAAAGUAUGCAAUUCCAAAUAUUCAACAAAUACACUACAAAAGCAUGCAUACCCCAAUAGGGUCCAAAAUACAACGUCAGCAACUAUAUAUACCAAAAAUGCAUAACACUAAGUAACUGCAUCUAUUCAAGUCCAUGAGUACCUUGAUCUGAUUCUAAAAAGUCUGUCUCACUUGGGUAUGCAUCCCCCCUCAGCAAUCCAGUUAACCCACCAAUAGGAGUAACUGACCUGGCUUGAUAAGGCAUUUGAUGGAACAUCUGCGGCGAGUAAUAUGACAUAUGGAAUGGGUUUGGCAGCUGCUGGUACAAUGGGUGAUGCGAAGCUGACGAGCACGAUAACAUCUGCCUCAUUUCCUCAAUCUCUUGCUGGUUAUGCUUCAGCAACUCUUGCGUCGCCUUCAAUUCAGAACGCCAAUGAUCCUGGUCAUGUUUGUACCUUUCUUGUAACUCUACAUACUGUGACUCAAGGUGAACAUAGUCGUGCCCUCGCAAUCUCUUGGAUGACCCUGCUUUCGUUUGAAUCCAAGGCACCUGAUGGGGUUUCACCCCAAGUCCUUCACCACGAACACUAUUAUUUGUCUCAGGACCCAUUGCCUCAACAUAAGCCCUUCUUCGUGUCUCUAAAUUAUCAGGACAUUCAUCUUCAACCAAUUCCUUCAACUUUUCCUGCAUUUCAGCCUAACAAAAACAAAAUAUAUAUCCUUCUCCAUCAAAUUGUGGUCAUCAUAGAACUAGCCCAAUAAACUCUACAAUGAUGAAUUGCAUUAUGUAAUAAAAAUUUAGGCCAAUUAGUCUUCUGGACCUCUACUGUUUUGUUUUUCAUAUGCUUAAACAAAUAAAAGAACAUAAAGAAUAGUGAACAAGAAAAAAAAACUACCUCCAAACAACUUUCCAUAUGCUUAAAAAAAAAAAAAAAAAAAAGUCAACCAAAACAAAAUAAGAGAAACAUCCUGGACUAUGGCUAACAAUUCCUCAUGAAAAUGAACUUAUAUAUAAUUAUUCCAAUAUAUAGUCCAUAUGCUUACAUAUUUCUGCUCAGCCACCAAGUUAACCCAUGAUCGAUCUUCGUCACGCCGUGUAUGCUUAUCUUGGAAAAACCAAAUAGGAUCGGGGUCUUCACCAUGUUUCUUAUUCUUAGCAUGCAAUCAAUAAAAUAAAAUAAGAUAAUCAAUUAGCUAACACGACCUCAUAUGCUCAAUAUUUGAAUAUAGUAAAGAGUAAACAUUCAAGUGCAUCAUCAAAACUGACAUAUUGUGCUUUGCUGCGAGCAUAAGACUUUGUUCUAGAUGUGUGAUUCAAUGUUUGUUUACUCCGAUUUUCAACAUUUCUUUUAGCUUGCUCCUUUUAUUAGCAAAAACAAAACAUACUUAAUCAUUGCACAGAUUAUAUAUACUGAGUGUUGUGUAAUAAUACGUACUGCAAUCUCAUCUUUUUCCCAAUGUUCAACCAACACCCUCCAUUGAUCUGGGUCUACACGAGAAUCCCCACAUUGCCACCGUCUUUUACUUCCUGUGAAAGGCUUAUAAUAAGCUUUCUUCAAAUCACUCUUGAAACUUCUCCACAAUUUUUCAAUAUUCUUCAUUGUUACAUCCUUGAAGACAUGAAUCAUAGGUUGUUGUUCAGGACGAAAUUCAAUGGUGCCCUGCAUCCACAAUAAGGUAGUCUUACAUCAAGUUGAAAUAUACCUAUUAAACUCAAUUUCAUGCAAUAAGUAUUCAAUAAUUUUAGGAAAACCAAACCCGUAGAGUGUCCCAGACAUCAAGUUUGCAAGAGUCUGGUACUUUUUCCCAUUUUAAAUACUUGAUCGGAAUUAGAUUGGCAUCCCGCGCCAAAAUACCCAUGUAUCUAGAAAAAUGGGGACUAUUGUCACUAAUAACUCUGCCAAAUGGAGAUAAAUCAACUGACUCUUUUUUGUUAUUUAGAAACCAGUUGCAUUUCCCUUGACCUCGACCUUGCUUCGCCUCCUUGCCUACAUGAAAAGUUAAUUUUAACUGAUCAAUACAACAAGAAAAUAAUAAGAAACUGUAAGGUAAUAAGUUUCUCACACAUUAUUCAAAUGAAAAAUUAGCAUAGCUAUUUGGAGAUGAUGUGAUCGUGAAACAUCCCAUAUUCAAUACAUUUGUAUAUGAUUAAAACAUACCAAUUUAUUAAAAGAAAAAGGAAAAGAAAACCAACAUACCAGUAGCACUUAUAGAACCAUCUCCCUCUAGACUAUCCCUAAAGUCAGCGUUGGGCCCUUCUUGUGAACUAUCUUGAGAACUGCUCAUCUAAAAAAUUUGAUAUGCAUAACAGUGAAGGGGUAACAAAUUAAUCAGACAUCAUUGGUAAAAGAAACUAUUACUUCAACAUUCUAAUACAAAACAAUCUACUAAAGAAAUUCUUGUACAAUAUUCUUAAAAUUACGUAGUCCAUUUAAGCUGACAGCUCAUCAAAAUACAUGAAAAAUUCAAUACUCCAUGUCAUCAUAAAGCUCAUCCUCGUUUUCAGUAGAGAGAUCGUCUGAAGACUGUUCAUCUUCUUCAUCCUCAUUUCCGGGCUCAUGCUCAUCUACCAUCUCAUCCAUAUCAACCCUAAUAUGAAAUUCCUCAUUGUCUAGCAGCUGAUCAUCAAGAUUCGGAAUGGCAUAAUUAUCAGUAGCACUUAAAAGGGUUAUCUAUAGUUGGAGCUAGAUCACUAUCUUCUAGCACAUCAAAAAAAUCUCUUGGUUGAGUUUGGGUUGGCACAUGCCAAUGACUGUCUUCUGGAUCUACAACAUAAAACACUUGUGUAGCUUGAGAAGCCAAUAUGAAAGUGUGUCUUUCGUUUGUCGCAACCGAUUGAAACUAACCAAAGGGAAACCAUACCCAUCAAACCUCAUCCCCCUAUCACUAGCAGUAUCAACCCAAUCACAGUUAAAUAAUGUAAUUUUCCGACCAUUAUCAUUCUGUUCUAUUUGACCCCCGUAAUUAAGUUCAUAAAUCUCUUUAAGAACACCAUAAUAAUCAACAUUGCCAAUUACUGGAUUGCGAUCUCUUGCGCUUGAGUAACUAGAUGUCUCUGCACAUUGAAAUACACCACUAUUCUGAUUCUUCUUUUUAUCGUCUACUGAUUUAAUCCGGAACCUACACCCAUGAAUUAUGUGAUUCUUAUACUUGUUCACAAAUCUACUAGGACCAAUUGAUAGCCAACGCAAGUCCUCAGAUAUUGACAGAUCAUGGGCUGUGUACAAUUUAGUAACCUAUAAUUUAAAACAACAACUAAAGUAAAUAACUUUAAUUAAAAAUAUGGUGCAGCAACAUAAAAUGAAUCAUAUUACAACUAAACAUACUUACAUGAUCCUUGAACCAAGUUGGAAAUAUCUUAUUUCUCAUCCCCUCAAUUUCCUGUAUGGUCUUCCGUCGAUUACUUUGUCUCAAUUCUUGGAAGCAUUUUCUGUUUUACAAUAUAAUAUAAUGACUUGUUAGUUAUUAAUUCAUAAUUGAGGAUUGAAAAAAAAAAAUAUCAACAACUUGCUUGUUUUUAUUCAUAAAUAUCUUACUCUAAAAAAGGGGAAACUUCAUCGCAAUUGAACAAGACCACUCUGCGACAUUGGUCCCAAACAUCUUUGUCAAGAUAUAUUUGUUCAGCUGAACCCUUAGAAUGACAUGAAGAGUCAAAAACUUUUAGCUCCCCAAUGACACCACGACCAAUACCAUCAGCAUUUCGACCCUUUCGAUUCCUUCGAGUCUCAACGUUGCUAAGAUACAUGGUACACAUAGCUAAUCCCUCGUCGACAAGAUAUCCUUGUUCCAUACUUCCUUCAGGAUAACUCUUAUUCUGAACAUAUUUCUUUAAUGUUUGUAGGUAUCUAAAGAUAUGGCAAAAUUGAACAUGUUAAUUUACAAUUAAAAUGGAAAACUAGAAAUAAUAAAUAAGAUUUGAACUAAUUACCUUUCAAUGGGAUACAUCCACCGGUAUGGGGCAGGCCCUGCGAUUGCAGCCUCAUCUGCCAAAUGCAUGAUUAAGUGUACCAUCACAACAAAGAAGGAAGGAGGGAAUAUCUUUUCCAUCUGGCAUAAUGUCACUGCAAUCCGAGGUUUUAAAGCCAUGUAUGACGCUUCAUAUUCCUUCUUACUACAUAACCGUCUAAAAAUUGCACUUAGCUCAAGCAAAACAAUGGUAACAGCUUUUGGUAAUACUCGUCGUAUUGCAAGGGGCAGCAGCUGUUGCAUUAUAAUAUGAUAGUCAUGACUUUUCAAUCCGUGUAUUUUUCUCUCAUUCACAUUAACACAUCUAGACAGAUUUGCAGAAUACCCAUCAGGAACUCUCACAUUUGCCAAGACUUCGCAAAACAUUGUUUUUUCCCUUUUCCUCAUGUCAAAAAGUGCUGGAUCAAAAACUUCCUUACCUUUCCCAUUUAUAUAAGGGUGCUGUUUUCUCCUUAUAUUCAAAAUUUGAAGGUCCUUACGAGCUUUUAUUCCAUCCUUUGUCUUCCCAGGAAUAUUUAACAGUGUACCUAAAAUGUUUUCACAAACAUUCUUUUCAAUAUGCAUUAGAUCAAGGUUAUGCCGUAUCAAAAGAUAUUGCCAAUAUGGUAACUCAAAGAAUAUGCUUUUCUUCUUCCACUGAACUUUGUUACUAUUUAUAUUCGUUGUGGGAUAGGUAUUUGUAUUCCUAAUGGGACAAGAACAUUUUUUGGGUUUUCCUUGCCCAACAAAAACAGCUGACUUCUUUUUGGGUUUUCGAAAUGUGAAUGUCAAACUUGACAAUUUUUCUAAACACUGUGAACCUGUCAAGGGAAUAGGUGGAAGAGCAUGUUCUUCCUUACCGUUAAAGGCUGCUUUAUCUCUUCGAAACCUAUGUUGUAUAGGUAGAAAUCUCCGAUGACCCAUAUAACACAUCUUACUACUAUUUGCCAAAUGCAUUGAGACUGUAUCAUCCAUGCAAUGCGGACACGCUUUCUUCCCCUUCGUGCUCCAUCCUGAAAGAAUUGCAUAUGCGGGAAAGUCAUUAAUCGUCCAUAACAAUGCAGCCUUCAUUGUAAAAGUUUGGUUGGCAAACACAUCAAACGUCUUAAUACCAACCUCCCACAACUCUUUCAACUCAUCGAUUAAAGGCUUCAAAUACACGUCAAUAUUAUUGCCAGGCCCAUCAGGACCAGGAAUUAUUAACGAUAACAAUAAAUUUGGUUGCUUCAUACACAUCCAUGGAGGCAAAUUAUAAACUGACAGUACAACAGGCCAUGUACUAUGGGGUUUGUUCAUAUUUGAAAAGGGAUUAAACCCAUCACUUGCAAGCCCCAAUCGCACGUUGCGUAUCUCCGAAGAAAAUUCAGGGUAUAAGGAAUCUAAAUGCUUCCAUGCACGAGAAUCUGAUGGGUGCCUCAUGAAUCCAUCUUUAGGACAUUCGGUUGCAUGCCAUCUCAUAUCUUCAGCGGUAUGCUUCGACAUAAACAAUCUUUGCAACCUUGGUUUUAAUGGAAAAUACCGAAGAACCUUGGUUGGAACCUUAGCUGAUGUGUUCUUACUCAAAGAACCUCCCACAAUAUUGACUUUGUACCUUGAGGCACCACAAAGUGCACACUCAGUCAAGUCUGAUGUAUCUUUCCAAAACAGCAUACAAUCAUUGGGGCAAACAUCAAUCCUCUUGACUGUAAGUCCCAACUCCCUAAUGAUUUUUUUAGCAUCAUAAUUAUUUUUUGGUAAACAAUUCCCCUCUGGCAACAAUUGUUUAACCAAUUGUAACAGCAUUGUAAAGACAUUAUCGCUUCCCUAAACAUUUAAUCUGGAACAGUCUUACAACAGAAUACAAUUUCUUAUAUUUACACCUAGGGUACAACUCCAUAUCUGCUUCUUCAAGUAACUUAUAAAAUAUUUCAGCCUCAGGUGUUUGGCCAUCAAAGAUAGGUGGCUCUGUCGAAGUCCCAACAGUUUCUCCAAUUAUUGGUUGCACAAAGGCUUCAUUGAGAAAAUCAUGAAUGUCAUCUAUACAAACUUCUUCAUUAUGAACUGAUUCUAUAUCCUCUUGGAAUGGUAAAUUUGUCAUGGGCUCCCCAUGAUGCCUCCAAGGGCCAUUCAUAUAUGUGGGAUCCAUUCCUUUUUCUAUAAGAUGAAGCUGGAUGAUGUUUCUUUCAUAGUGAUAACGGUUACAACAUUUUUUGCAAGGACAUAUGACCCUCUCUCCAAAACCCACUUUGGCAAAGACGUCAUCUAAAAACAUUCUCAUUCCGUCUGCGUAUUCCUUACAAUUUCUCCUUAAAUGUACCCAACUUUUAUCCAUAGUUCACCUAUAUUGAGUGCAAGGCACCAAAUACAAUUAUUCAGCACAGAUCAUCCCUCAUACUUAUUGUCUAUAAAUUCCUAUCAGGUGGGUCAAUUUAUUAUCCAUUAGAUGACCCUCAUGACCAUCUACAUCAAUUCACAAGAAAAACCAAAUUAAAAUAACAAAAACCUGAGUCUAAAGAAUAUAUUAACUAAGAAAUUGCACAUUCAUUCAACUGAAGAAAAGAACUAUAACACCAAACAACUAGACCCACUUAAUAGCUAAAGAAACUCACGUCAUAACAACAAAGUAUACAUAUUAAACAACAUAUCAACUCAUAGAUAAAAGCCCGAUAAUCUCAAUACUAUGAACAAUCUUAUUCAAAAAUAAUAAGAUAACAGCAACAUAAUAGAAAAAAGUAAAGGGAAACACACCUGGAUUCUAAGUUUCCAACAACAAUUCAACACUCCUGCAGUAGAUUAAUACAUACAUACCCACAUAUCAAACUUCACCAACAAAUAAUAAAAAAUUAAAACAAGAGCUUUGAAAAAUCAAAGGAUUCGUGUCACAUCCCGGAAUCGGCUCCGCCGUAGCACGAUAUUGUCCGCUUUGGGCCCCCCUCUCUGCCCGCACGGUUUUGUUUCUAGGAGCUCACGAGCAACUUCCCAGUAGGUCACCCAUCCUGGGAUUGCUCUAGCCCCCAACUCGCUUAACUUCGGAGUUCCUACGACUCCGAAGCCAGUGAGCUCCCAAAAGGCCUCGUGCUAGAUGGAUGCGGGCAUGCACAUAUAAGGCACAUCACCCCCUCUCCGUUGGUUGAUGUGGAAUCUUACAAUCCACCCCCCUUAAGGACCCGACGUCCUCGUCGGCACACUCGCACCACACGGCAGAGUGGCUCUGAUACCAAAUUGUCACAUCCCGGAAUCGGCUCCGCCGUAGCACGAUAUUGUCCGUUUUGGGCCCCCCUCUCUGCCCGCACGGUUUUGUUUCUAGGAGCUCACGAGCAACUUCCCAGUAGGUCACCCAUCCUGGGAUUGCUCUAGCCCCCAACUCGCUUAACUUCGGAGUUCCUACGACUCCGAAGCCAGUGAGCUCACCCCCUCUCCAUUGGUUGAUGUGGGAUCUUACAAUUCGUUUAUAUCUUGGAAUAAAAUCAGUAUUCUAAUUUUUAUAUCUAAUUGGAAGGAUUCAUGGGUCAUUACCUACACUAAAAUACUUGAAAAAAUAAAAUAAACAAACAAAAUAAGAACAAAAAUUUCACCAGAACAGAGGCACAAAAAUCUCACCAAAACAGAGGGCCUCUUUAAUGAAGGACAACCAAGUCAGCCCCAAUUGAAAAGAGCAAAGAACCCCCAGAUUUAAUCUCUCUCUCAAUCUGAAUCAGCAACCCCAAUUGAGAAAAGCAAGGAAAACCCCCCAAAUUUAAUCUCUCUCUCUCAAUCUGAAUUAGCAACCCCAAUUGAGAAGAGCAAGGAAAACCCCCCAAAUUUAAUCUCUAUCUCUCUCAAUCUGAAUGAGCAGACACGAAAAUCACUACCACACAUGACUCCAACUCCAUUAGCUAUGAGGAAGAAUACAAUUCAUUCUUCAAUGAAAAGAAGAGGGAAGAGAUGGCCGGUUUGGAGGAAGUAGAAAAGCUCAAGUAAACAAUUGAAGUUUUUUAUAUAUCAAUAGGAAAAUUUUGAAGUUAAAAAUUAUAUUUAAGAAUAGUAUUGGCAAUCGAACUCGUCAGAAAAAAAGUUGGCUUCCUGGUGUCUGAAAAUUUAGGCGCUUAUGUUUUCACUUCCCGCGUUAAAAGAGACUGGCGCAGUGUCUCGUCAGUAAAGGUAGUAAUGACAAAAGACUUUGUCAGUAUUAUUUACUAGUGAAAAAUCACUUUAUUUUGCUAGUAUUUGGUCUCAGUACUGACUAAGCUGCUCUUUCAUCAGUAUUAGUCCGUCAGUAUAAGCUAAAAUUGUAGUAGUGAGAGGAUUGAUAAGUGAUAUUAAUUCUUGAAUAUACAGAAUGUAAAAUAAAGGAACACGUAAAAAAUUAUUUUAUGUGGUAAAACUCCAUCUCUGGGGAAAAUCCACGGGACUUCUUAGUCCAAAACAAAUCCAUUAUAGAAUGAUGAUUACAAGAAGUACUCACACACUUAUCCUAGACACAUUCUAGAUAAUGUUUACUGACCUCUUCGUAACUCAACUUCUGUCUCGAGAUGAUCUUUCAACACUCCUUAUGUUGAACGCAAUAUUGGUCACGAUUUCUUCAAGCUCGUCAGAGUUCUUCCAACUCUCCUAAUAUUGAAUCCGAUACUAGUCACGAUUGAUUCAAGCUCAUCGUAGAAAAACCGUCACAAUGGUCUUGGUGCCCUCAACCGUAUGAGUCAUUAAACAUGCAAAUGAAUACAUAUAUGAAUGAUAAAAGUGUUUGAUAAAUCACUGAGUUAUGGAACACUUGAUGAUUUAUCUCAAAUAAAAACUCAGCUUUAAUGCUUUCUAAACAAAGAAGACGAAGGUCUUACUUUAUAGACUUUUUCUUUACAAGAAAGAAAAUAAGUUGGAAACCAAAUCUCCAAUUUCCAAGGCAAAAUCACAAAAGUAUCUUUCCUAUUCUAGAGAUUGGUCACAUGUAGUCCAACCAAUAGGAAAUGAGAUAUUUAAGAAAGGAAGAUUUUGAUCAAUAUCAAUAUCAAAUGAAUUCUUAUACGCCUAGUCAACUAUUAAGGGUAUCUUGACUCCUUGAUAUUUUGAUAUGAUUGAAACAUGAUUUCCAAGUUAGAAAAUUAAGGGGUUGUUAAAACAUGAAAGUAAUAGGAGAAACAAAUUUAUUUGAACCAAAAUUGCCCAAAAAGAAAACACUCCUAAAUAAACUUCAAUUCACUUUAGUAAAACAUGAUUGAAUCGUUCGUUAAAACAAUUCCCUAAUAUACAUGCAUGAUAAUGACAUCACUUACCCCUGAAUCAAAUUUGUUAAUGUAUGCAUUUUGAGUUUUUUUUUCUUUUGGCUUCCCUUGACAAUUUUGUAAUAGGAAAAUCAUUGUAGUUUCUCAAGCUCUAAGUUUAGAUUAAGAAUUACUUCUCUAGGUGUUCUUAUCUGCCUACAUUCUGAUGGAAAACAAUGCGUUUGACAAAGGUAAAUUCUGCAUUACACUACAUUGCAUUCACUAAAUUUCUUAAGAUUAUGACUAGUCAUCUUUCUUUCGUAUGACUAGUCAUCUUGCAUUCGUAUGACUAGUCAUCUUUCCUUCGUAUGACUAGUCAUCCUUUGUUUCAAUUAGGAUUUCCAGCUCACUGUUUCCAGCUGGGGCUUAAGCAUUUUUUUGUCCUUUUCUACGAAUUUCUCAGCUUCCAUGUGUCUAUUCUGACCUAGGAAUUUUUGGUAAAAGCCAUAGAAUUCCUCAUUUGGCAGCCGUCACUUUUGGGGACAAGUUGUGGAAAGUUUCAUAGCAAACUUUCGCUUCUUCUUCCUCAAGAGUAACCUUCAUAUUUUUCAUCUUUGAGUUCUCUAAAUUGUUUCUUUUUGAAAACUGCAUUUGAAAUAUGAAAACUUCAUCUUGCUAGAUCAAACACUCUAUCAUAUACAUCUAGGUCAGAUUCAAGAUUGAUUUCUUCAAGAGUAUGGUUUCUUGAAGAAAUUGGUCAUUUUCUCCAUGAAUCCAAAUUUCAUUUCUGUCUGAGUUAGAGCUUGCAAGCUGGUGCCAUGGGAUGAAUGAGCUGAAGAAGGAGCUGCCAUUGCCAUGAAGAACUGAGCUUCAAGCUUUGCUAAGUUGGAGAAGAAGAUUGCACAAAGGAGAUAUAGCAUCUUCCUAAAUAGACCUAGGAAUUUCUUGAGCUUGCUAGUGUUCUUUGUAAGAAUCUUUUUGCUUAGUGGAUUGCCUGGUCGGUUGAUGACCCCCAGUUUUUCCCAAUGGUGGGUUUCUGGGUGAACAAUAUCUGGUUUCCAUCUCUGUAGAUUUUUUGGGUUUGUGUUCUUGAUAGUUGACUAGUCAUCUGAAUUUGUGUGGUUGACUAGUCAUCUUUUUCUGCUGUUUGGUGUUUUCUUGAUUAUGUUGUCUUCACACACUUUUACCAUAGUUGUUGCUAGCACAAGGGAUGCCUAGAUUGAUGGGUCCUUCUGAGUGCCUAGGUUGUCACUAGUAAUUCUCUAGGCCUGCAGGUACAUCUUGGUAUGCUUUGUGUAUGUUAUUGUUUGGUUUAAUUCAUAUCUAACAGUUGACUAGUCAUAAGAGUAUUUGGUCAAGGUCUAGAGUGUGUGAAGUUUGUUGCGUUCUUGAUUGAAUAUCUUUUAAAUUUACCCUUCGUCACCUAAUUACCAAUUUGCAGACUCCACAAAUGAAGAAAAGAGCACAAAUAUCGUGAAUGCUAUUGGGAAUGGAAAGGGCAAACCUGUUCAAAAAGGGUAUGGAGGGGGCGUUAGACUUUACGUUCAAAAAGGGUAUGGAAAACGUCCUCCUCCAUCUGACAGUCAACUACUCCAUUAUAAAGACAUAGCUAUUUUCUUCUUCGAGAAAGACAUGCGCCCUGGCUCAACAAUGAAGUUCCAAUUCCCUAGAAAUUCAAACACGGCUACUUUCCUGCCACGCGAAAGUGCUCAAUCGAUCCCCUUCUCCUUUAACAAACUACCAGAAAUUUUCAACCAUUUUUCAGUGAAGCCAACAUCUGUGGAAGCCAAAACAAUUAAGCAAACAAUCGAAGAGUGUGAAGCUCCAGGCAUUAAGGGAGAUGAAAAAUAUUGCGCCACAUCUUUAGAAUCAAUGGUUGAUUUUAGCACUUCGAAGCUUGGAACAAGAAACGUUGAAGCAGUCUCGACGGAGGUAUUGGAAAAAGGAGCCACCAUGUCCAUGCACAACUAUACAACAAUGCCGGGACUGAAGAAGUUGGCAGGUGACAAAGUCGUUGUGUGUCAUAAGGAGAACUAUCCCUAUGCUAUGCUAUGUUUUUCUGCCAUGCAAUAAAACAAACAGCAGCUUAUGUUCUCUCCCUGAAAGCCGAUGAUGGGGAGAAGGUUAAAGCUGUAACCAUCUGCCAUCUAGACACAUCAGAAUGGAACCCAGAGCAUUUGUCCUUCCAAAUCCUCAACGUUAAGCCCGGAACCGUUCCUAUCUGCCAUUUCAUUUCCACUGAUGCUAUUGCCUGGGUUCCAAAACACAAAUCUGCAUGAUCAUCACUUAGCACUGUACGUAUAAUAAGCUUGGUUGGGUUGCACCCCUGUAUAAUUAUCUCCCUACUUAUUUCUGCCUCUUCAUCAUGUGGUGUAAGAUAUAUGAUGAAAUGAAGUUUUUGGGAUUAGUGGUCGGGUUGCCUGAAAAACACAGAUUAUAGAAACUGCUUGAAAUUAACCCGAUCAUGUUUUCUCUUGUAACGAUAUAGACUUCAACUUGUACUCAUAAUAAAGCAUGCUAUAUUUAUGAAGAGAUAUUAAUCUAUAUAUGCUUUGGCUUUGUGGUUUUACCCAGUGUUUGAAUGUUGAAUUGUUACGUUGGAAUAGGCUGCUAAUGCAUGUAGUUAGAGAAGCCUUCAUUUAUAUCAAAGUCCUCAAACUAUCAAGAACUAAUGUAUCCAGAAACACAUACCAAGACGCAAAACAACAUAUUUUCCAUGCUGUCUGUAACACCAAAGCAAACUUCCUUUAUCACAUCAUUUAAAGGAUCAAAUUCCAGUACUAAUCUAAUCCAUUAUGUAAAGCAUCAGGGACAGACUCAAGAUUUCAAAAUGGAGUGGGCUAGAUUUUAGGUCCGGCUAAACUUUAUAGGGAGACUUAUGAAAUUAAUCAUAAUAUUAUAUAAAUUUAAUUUAAAAACAUAUCAUUUUUAUUUUAUUUAUUUAAAGAGUCCAAUUUUACACCAACAAUGUCAUCAACAAUUGAUUAUAUAUGCUUAAAAUUAACAUUAGUUGACAACUCACAACUCAUAUUGCAACUUAUUUAGUAUAUGUGUUUUAUACUAACAAUAACAAAAGAAAAACACUUGACUGGGCUAUAGCCCAGUUUGUACACAUUGCAGGCCCGUCCUUAUAAAGCAUACAAGUGCCUCCCUAAAUUUGUCCGUUGGAUAUAUAUAUGUCACUUUUUAUUUUUUGAUAGAGAUAUAAAUGUUGAGAAAAUUAGAGUACACAACUCUAAUAUCAUAAAGCAAACAAAAUUUCUAAGUUAGUUUGCUUUAUGAUAGUUGUUUUUUGAAGGGGUCCUUAGAUCUAAUCUCAAAAAGUUUGGCUUUUAUUAGGUUUAACUCUGGUUUUUGCAAUUCUUUAUCUCGUAGUGGCAAUGUUCAAAUGCGAUGAGAUUUCUAAUUAAUACCUCUGUAUGAUCGCUUAUUUUCAAUCUUGGAAUUUCAAGAGUCCGGUCAGCAAAUCUAAUAAGGUAUUCGUUGAUCCCUCAUUCAACUUGAUCCCUGCCCUGUGUAGCUCUGUGAUGCUGGGUGUGUUUAUAGUUAUGAGUUUCCUGUCAUCAAUUUUUAGGGCUAUUCGUUAUAUGAGUCCCUGAACUUAGACUCGAUUUGCAUUUUAGUCCCUCAAUUUCCAAAAUCGUUUCAGUGGUCCUUCAACUUCAGUUUCGUUAGGACAAAUGGUCCUGCCAUCAAACGAUUAUAAAGUGGAAAAAACAAGAACAAAAAGGGAAGUGAGUUAAAUUUGCACCUACUAUGUUCAAACGACAAAGUUGGUUUCCCUUUGGUUGAUUACAAGAGAAGUGAAAGGACCCGCCCGAAUUUUCUCAAAAUCCGAGACAAACCCUUUGGAAUUCCUGACAUCACCCUGAUGCCAGGCCCACUUACUAAAAACCGAGACCUCCUGCCGAAAUUUCGGCAGAGUCUCCCCUAUAAAUUGGACGUUUCCCAAAAUUUAUACCUGCAUAAAAACGCAUUUAAUAUUCCCAACUGGCAGCAUGCACAAUAUAAUUUCAUGCAAUUCACACAAAUGGCCUUCGGCCUUUCAAUAAUUCAUAUCCAACUACCAAACCAUUCAAAUACCAAAUAUGACUAACAUUUAGUCUGCGGCUGCACCUAAUAACCCUAGGCUGCCUACGUACCCUCCUUGAGGGAUCAAGCCACACGUAGUUCUUCCCUAAAACCCAAUUCCACACUUGGGCGAUACCUUAUUUCAUUUCUCUGGAUUUCAUAUAAUCUCCCCAUACGCCGGUACAACCAACGCCACGUAUGGGGCCUGUCAACACGCCGGAUAACCUACGCCACGUGCGACCAUGCCAUACUAUCAUAAUAUCUCCCCAUACGCCGGUACAACCAACGCCACGUAUGGGGCUUGUCCCAACGCCGGAUAACCUACGCCACGCGGGACCUCAAUAUUCAUAUCACAAAUCUCCCCAUACACCGGUACAACCAACGCCACGUAUGGGGUCUGUCGACACGCCGGAUAACCUACGCCACGUGCGACCUCACACAAUAUCACAAUAUCUCCCCAUACGCCGUACAACCAACGCCACGUAUGGGGUUUGUCUCAACGCCGGAUAACUACGCCACGUGAGACCUGAAACAUCAUAUUACAAAUCUCCCCAUACGCCGGUACCACCAACGCCACGUAUGGGGCCUGUCCCAACGCCGGAUAACCUACGCCACGUGGGACCUAACUUUCACUUGGUGGUGCUUGUAGUGAAUCCAAAAUCCGGGGAGGUAUCUAAAGUAGUGCGUUUAGCACUCCAAACUGACACUCUAGACUCUGUUGUACCCUUGUACAACCAUAUAUAAUUAUAGUUAUAUAAAUUAAUUCUAAUAUUGUGUAACCCUCCACAAUAGUCUAGCUCCCGAUAAUCCCCCCCUUAGAAAGGUGAGAUUACUCCGGGAGACUCACGGUCAACCAAGGGUCAAACUACUCUAACCCUGGUCAACCGGACCUGCAGAACCCACUACCUCCAAUUUCCGAUCCGAAAGUCUCUAUGGGUUCUACCAGGUAUAGGACACUUGUCCUGCAAGUUUGGUUCAAAUCGGACGGUCGGAUUUCUCACGAUCGCACGAUCUGACGGUUAAUAUAAGAUAUAAAAUUAAAAUUAUUAUUCGGAACAUCCGGGGUUCCGAUUCAUGAUCCGUAAAUUCCUACACGAUCCUAGAAAUACCUAGAUUAACAUAUAUUAAAUUUGGGACCAUCCAACGGUCCCAACCUAUCGAACUCGGAUAACGCACACUAUGCGAUUAUCCGUUCGAUAGUCAAACGACGUCCGAAUUGAGAUCCGCGAAAUCCUACGCACUCGUGACAACCUAAGGAUCUCAUCGGAACACAUCGCUACAUUUUCUACAGUGCCCACGCACCGGCAGUGCGUGGGUGCCCAAAGCGAUAACGCUUCGCCGGAAAAUCUCAAAACCACGGCUCCAAACUCCUACCCUAGGUAUAACACCCUAUUUGGAGCCACUUUUGUUUUGGACCUACCCCAAAAAGUGGCCGGAAAUGGCCAAUCACGGCGGCCGAAGUUUCGGCCGAUUUUCAAUUCGAAAAUUGAGUUGCCUACGCUAAGAAUCGAUCUAAUCCUACCCAACCAUCAGCUAGAGCAGCUCGAGAGGUUCAAAAUCCAUACCUGGGUCGACGGAUUUGGUGGCCGGAGGAGGAGGAUCGACGGCGUUGAAGUUCCGGCGACAUCUGGGCGAAAAUCGCCAUUUUCCGGCGGCUGGAGCGGCGGCCGAUGGCGGGGAUGGGCUGGGUCGUGACGCCGAGGUCGAGCCGGUUCUUUUGACACCGGCCCCGUCCGCAGCCGCGGCCGGUGGCCGGAGUUACGAAGAGAGAGAGAGGAGAGAGAGAGAGGAGAGGCCGACGGGAGAGAGAGAGAGAGGAGUCUCGCAGGAGAGAGAGAGAGAGAGAGAGAGAGAGAGAGAGAGAGAGAGAGAGAGAGAGAGAGAGAGAGAGAGAGAGAGAAACCAGAUUUUAUAAAAAAAAUCCCAUUUCGAAAUAUUUACGAUUAUGCCACUGGACUUCUUUUGACCAUAUCUCUCUCGUUACAACUCCGAUUCGAGCCCACUACGUGUCUGUGAACUCGUCUCAGUACGACCUAUCCAAAAAUAUAAGUCACGGUCCCAAACUCUCUCCGGUUAAAAAUAUGACUAAAAUACCCUCAAAGCAGCUUACUUGGUUCCUCUAGUAGAUGGAAAUAUAAUUUUUCUAGCUAAAUUUCUCAAAUGGUCCUCAAACUUGUACGCGAUUUACAUUUUGGUCCAUCAAUUAAAUUAUUAGUCCAAAUGGUACAUAAACUCUAUUUUAAUCGCCCAUUUGAUCGAACCGUCUAAUUUUCUGUUAGAUUUAACCAAAUUUUAGGGUAAAUAUGACUUUUCAUAAUUAACAAAUAAAAUAGGAUUAAAAUAAUUAAAUACAAAAUUAGAAAAAAAAAAUGAAGAAAAGGAGGAAGAACAGAAGAGGAAGAAACCCAGAAGAAGAGGAAGCGGACAAGGUUAUUGCAAUGGCUUUCUUAAGUAAAAUUGGGAAUAUACUCAGAUGGACUGCAAAGAAGCAUAUCUGAUCUGAAUUAUCUCCUUUCAAACUAUCUAUCCAUCAAGCAGUAAGAUGCAUGUCAAACAUGGUGAGUUCAAAACUCUUAUUGGAGGUAUUUCGUACCAAACAGAUGAGCAGAGUCUGAAGGAAGCUUUUGCAAAAUAUGGUGAAGUUAUUAAUGCAAGAAUCAUCAGUGACCGUGAAACUGGUAGAUCUAGAGGAUUUGGGUUCAUCACUAGCGAGGAGGCAUCCAGUGCAAUCCAGGCCUUGGAUGGGCAUGAACUUCAUGGCCGUCGAGUAAGGGUGAAUUAUGCUACUGAUAGACCUCGCCCUAACUUCGGUGAUGGAGGUGGUUUUGAAACUGCUAGCACUGGAGGUGGUUUUGGCAAUAACAUCAAUUUGGGUGUUGCUGUUGCUGUUGGUGGUGCUCAUAACUUUGUUGGCGGUGCUGACAACAGCUUUGGCAGUGGUGGAGCUCAAUUGGGAGAGAACAAAGGUGGUUUCAGCUUGCAUGAUCCCUUGAAAGGAAAUGAUAAGGAUGAUGAUGAUGAUGCCGGCAACUUUCUCAAGAGGGCUUGAUAAUAUUUAGAUAAGAGGAGCGAUUUAGUUUGCUUCUAUGCAGAGCUACUAGUAGAUUGUCUUUUUGUUACAGCUGCAUGUCCCCCCUCCCCGUCUUUCUAAACUAUUAAUUUCAUUUGGCGGAAUUUUCUGUGAAUUUCAUGCACCUUUUAGUGUGCUUUGUCAACUAAGGACCUGGAUUGUGGGAAAAAAAGAAGCAAAAAAAGAAGAAACCAGGAAGAAGAAGAAGAAACCCAGAAGCAAAAGAAGAAGAAACCCAGAAGAAGAAGAGAGAGAGAGUUGGUGGAUGCAAUGACCAAGUUGCCCUCAUAUUUAACGGAAAUAUUGAUAGAAUGUAACGGUAGGAUCAAUGAAGCGAAUAAUAUAGAGUUGAUGUACCAUUUGGACUAAUAAUUUAAUUGAGGAACCAAAAUGUAAAUCGAGUAUAAGUUUGAGGACCAUUUGAGUAAUUUACCCUAAUUUUUCUCCUAAUAAUAAGGGUUUAGUGCAAUCAAUGAUGGGCUGUAUAGAACAACUUUUUUGUUUUAUAUGUUUAUGUGAGACAAGUUUUGCCAGAUUGAAUUAAUGUCUUCUAGCUAUGUACCUUAUCUUUUUGCCGGGCCAUGAGUUGAAUGUAGAGGCAGAGCAUGGACUUGGGGUCAAGUUUGACUUGUAAAAAAUUAGGAAUUGAAUGGCUAAUACGUUCAAUUAUUUAUUUAUUUAUUUAUUUUUGUCCGAGCCAUUCAAUUCCUAAUUAUUUAGAUUUUCAAUCCAGUGAGCAUCCACAAUCAUGCUCUCUAUUUUUAAGUUAAAUUUUAGCUAAAAACAUAUAAAAGUUAUUUUAGGAGCUCUCUAUAAAAUUUAAACUUCAAUCGUUUUCUCUAGUUUAGGGAGUCAUAAAUGCCAUAACUCUUUUUUGAUUGGUCUAUCUCUAUUAAAAAAUAAAAUAAAAAAUAAUUAGCAUUAAAUAAAGAUUUGAAAUACUCAUUAAAUAAAGCAACAUUAAAUUAUAGGGAGCCACUAGGAGUCCUUUCUCUCUCCUCAAGUUUAGGAGCUCCUAGAGGUCUCCCUAUUUUAAGAGGUGGAUAGGGAGUAUGGUUGGAAUUGUAUUUUUACAAUUCCUCCCUAAAAUUUGUCUAAGGAGGUGGUUUAGGGAACCCAUUGUGGAUGCUCUCAUCUCAAAGAAAGAAAACCUCAAGUUUGCAAGCAAGUUUUCUACGUAUGUAUAUAUGAAAAAAUGAUAUGAAAAUAAUAAAUCCAUAUUUUUAUGUAAGCCAACUUUCUAAAUCCAUGUACUAUAUUUAUUAGGGAAAUAUUGGAGAAACUGAUUAUUUUGAAAAAUUAAAUGUGAAAAACUGAACAAAAAUUUGACAGGUUACAUAUUUCAACUCAUUCAGCAGCUUAGGUUGUGAAGACCUAAGCAACAAAUCUGCUACUGGGGUGUUGGGGUUUUCUACGUCAUGUGGAGCUUCAUUGCUGCAUCCUUCCACUUCCAUUAUGUGUUGUUCUGAUUCUAAGUGAUGAGGGUAUUAUUGGCACCAUAAUAAACAAAUCAUUUCAAGAUGGUUCCUUCAAAAAUUUAGAAAACAUGCAUCACGAAAUUUUUUAGAAAACAUGCAUCAUGAAAAAAUUACGUGAACAAUAUACUUACACCAUGGGAUCACUCCCACAUAUUGUAACACCCCGACUCCAAAUUAAAUGAUUAUUUUAAUCGAUUUUUAUAAAAUUACGAAUUUACCCUUGGGAUAGGGGUAACUUGGUCACUUUCUUCUUCGGAAGGAUUUUUGGACCAUGAGUGGUAUUUCUGGGUAGUUGGUACCGAGACGAAUUCGUAGACAUGCGGUAGGCUUGAAUCGGGGUUGUAACGAAAAAGUUACGGGCAAAAUAGUGUCAGUGGCAAACUUGUAAAUAUUUCGAAAAGGGUUAGGGUAAAAAUCAGAUUUUUCCAGUUUUACCUCACUUUCUCUCUCUUCCUCCCGAUUCUCUCUCUCUCUCCCGCGUCUCUCUUCCUUCUCCGAUCUGCAGAUCGCAGAGCCGCCGCCACAGGCCACGGCUAGCCCCGAGACCGGACCCAAAACGAUCGGCCAAACCUCGCCGACGUCCCCCGACCCAUCUCCAGCCGCCAGCCGCCGCCUCGUCGCCGGAAACCACGGAUUUCAGGCCGAUUCUUGUCUGAGCUUCCAGUCGAUCGUUCUCUCUCCUCCGAGCACUAUUUCAGACGGGUGAGGUAUGGUUUCUCAUCCAAUUUUUGAGUUCUAGCUGAUGAUGGUAUAGGUUUUCAUUGAUUUUGAGUCUAGAAAACCGAUUAGGAAUCUAGGUUUUGGGCCGAAUUUCAAAAUGAAAUUCUGGCCAGUUGCCGGCCGAAUUGGAGCUUCUCGUAGUUGAAUGAAGUGAUCCUGACCUCGAGUAGAAGCUAGAGUAGGAAGGGUGAGCUCGGGUGUGGAGUUUUUCCGUCACCGGAAUUACUCUGCACACCCACGCGCUGCCGGCGCGUGUGGCGGUGCGUGGGCGAGUCUGGUGAGGAUGUAAAUUGACCCGAUGAGAUCCUUAGGUUGUCACGAGCGCAUAGGAAUUCGCGGAUCUCGAUUCGGAUGUCGUUUGGCUAUUGAAACGGAUUUUCGCAUAUUGUGCGUUAUCCGGGUUCGAUAGGUUCCGACCGUUAGAUCUUUCCCAAAUUAAAAUAUGUUGUUCUAGGUAUUCCUAGGACCGUAUGGGACUUCACGAAUUCUGAAUCGGAGCCCCGGAUGUUCCGAUUCAAAAAUGCAAAGUUUGCGGGUUAGCGAUAACCGUAAAAUCGUGAACGCUUCCUAAACCUGUAAUCGGACCUUAGGGUACCAUCUUCGACGUGCACGUAUGGGAAUUUGGGGAGUUAAGCAUUUAAUUUGUAAUUUCCGCUUAGACGUGGUUUUUAUAUUAAUUAACGGUUCGUAUUUCGAAAUAGGUAUUUCGACUGCACGCACGCAGCAAGCAGGACCUUCACGUGGUCAGGCAGCGAGGGAAUACUUGUGAGUGGACUUUGUUUUAAUCAUAUGCCUGGUUUUAAUUAAUGAAAGAUUUUGCAUAAUGUUUUAAUGGCUUCUGGAUUUUAUGUAUUAUAUGCAUGAAUUAAUUUCAAUGGGUGUAUAGCAAUUGGCAAUAUAUUAUGAGUUUGGCCUUUUGGGUUUUGAGAGUGUAUUUCAUGUAUAGAUUGGGGAAGUAUAUUUUGAUAUAUAUAUAUUCUUUUAGAGGAGAUAUUUGGGUUGUUGGAGAGUGAUAUGGAAGAAUGUGAUUAGAGAGGAGUUGUGGGAUUACACUACGUAAGUACCUUCCCCGGUUACUAGUCUCACUCGCGGCGUUGGAUGUUCCGGCGGGUGAGACACUUUCCGUAUGCGGCGCUGGAUGUUCCGGCGUACGGAAAGACUGUGUAUAGAGUUUAGGGUCAUCACCAUGGCGUUGGAUGUUCCGGUGUGUGAUGAUCCAGUCUGCGCGCGUAGGACAUAGUUUGAGAGCUACACAUGGCGUUGGAUGUUCCGGUGUGGGAGCUUUGGAGUUUCGUCCCCCGGUUGGACCGCUCAUCCCUAAACGCAGGAUAGCACCUGGAAAUCCUGCGGACUAGUCAAACGAUCCCCCAGUUGGAUUGUUUUCCCCGGUACCUAAGUGGUGUGAUGAGUAUAUCAUAUAGCUAUUUAUAGUUAUUUAUAUAUAUAUAUUUAUGUGUAUAUUUAUUGAAUAUGUAUAGUUGAGUGUGAAAGGAAUUGGAGUUUGUUUAAUAGUUGAUAGGAGUGGUGAGUUUGAGAGAAUGGGGUUCUUUUUGAAAGAGAUAACUGAUGUUUUUAGAUGAGUUUUACUGAAGCAUAUUUUGAGUAAUUUCUUAUUGAAUUGUGAACCUGCAUGACUUGAGCAUUAUUUUACAUGGUGGGGUUACUAUGUUGUUUUUAACUGCAAACCUGGUUUUUGUCCACUCACAUGUUUUCUGUUUUGCGCCCCCCCAGCCAGUAGUUGCUCUUGGAAGUGCAAGUGGUGUACGAAGCGGAAUCGGUGCAUCUUUCUAAUUAGGAAUUGUGUAAAUUCUUCUACUCAACUGUUCUUGUAAUCUAAAUUCAGUAGAUGCUCUGUAUUUGCCAUGGUAGAUUUUACUUGUGAGGCCGGAGGCCACUCUAGUAUGACUUAUGUAUGUAUGAAAGCAUGCUGCUGGUUGGGAUUAGUAUUACUGUGUGUGCAGGUUGAAUAAAUUUUGUUGGGUUUGUUUAAAUUGCAGGGGAGACUCUGCCAAAAUUUUGGUAGAAAGUCUCGAUUAUUUAGUAGUGGGCCCGGCAUCAGGAUGAUGUCGGGAUCAAGACGGGGUCCGCCUCGGUCAACGGGAAAUUCCGGGGCGGGUCUUGUCACAUAUUUGAACACAUAACACGUGUUCAAGGUUAUAUAUUUCAUUACCUUCACAAUAGGUACCAAACCGUACCAUGGGAACAUUCAUAUACGCACAACAUACUUAUAACAUACUUACACUCGUGUAUAUUUGAACACAAGAAGACGUGUGCACCACCGUGCACGGUUCACAUGAAGUAAGAAGAUGAAGAGGAAAUAAAGAAGAAUACAAAAGAAAAUGGAGAUGAGAAGAAAAAAAAAACACGAAUAAUGAAAAAUGAGUUGACAAUUAUAUAUGGUUGACAUUAGAUGUAAUAUUAUAUGUAAUAACUAAUGAUCUAAAAUAAACAUUUAAUCUAUUCACUCGUUUCGUGUUUACUCCUGUGAUGGAAGGGCAAAGUUCCCCAUUGCCUUGAAAACCAUUGACUGGUCAACAAGACAACUUUCUUUGGUGUGCGAGCGUGCCACUACUAGCAAUAAAAAACAUAGCAGACUUCUUUGAAAUAUAUAACUUGCGUCCUAAGUUACUAAUUUCUAAACAAGCGAUCGUGAAUUUGGGUGAGGAAUAUCUCCCAAGUAAGUUCUUUUCUUGCCUCAGACUGGUGAGGACUUCACAAUUUAUCUUAGUACAAGAUUGGUAGUUUUGGCCAGAAUAAAUGAUAAUAAAGUGGACUUUUUUAGGCAGAACUGCCUUUUACAAAACUAGAAAGGAAAAGAUCAACUCUAGAAAGACAAAAAAAUGGCUGAAAUUCCAUUUCUGCCUGGAUAGAAGCUUCUGAUCCGGGCUGGACUGGGUAUGUUUGUUCUGGACUGAAUUGUCAACAACUUCAACUACUAAGCUUCAGCUGUAAAUCGAUACCAAAGUUUGAGUUUGGCAGAGUUUUAAUAUAUUUCAAGCCCUGGAAGGCUUUUCGAACGGGCAGAACUGCAACUUCUUUGGUCUGAACGGGGCAGAAGUGGCUGGACUUAAGGAUUACUAAGCCGGAACUGCACUAUGGUACCUGUUCUGCUUGAUCCGGGCUCUCUAUAAAUUUGUUGAGGUUUCCAUAUUUGUGAAAACUCAAACUCGGCUUGUCUUGGCUUUUGCUGAACCAAAUUUGUAACGCGAGAAGUCUCGUUUUGAAUGACUUAUUUAUCUGAGUAUGAACUUGGAAGUUCGAUCUAUAGCUGGCUUCUUUUGUGGCUCGAAUGAGUUUUUGGUUGCUCUAGUUUGUUUUGAAGGUUCUCAAUGAUCAAGUGAUCAUUUUGAGUUUUUGCCUUUGGUUGAUUUUUGAUUGUUUGAUUGAUUGUUGAAAAAUGAGUGUGUUUUGCUCUGUUCACCCUCUCCUAUAUUUAUAAGAAAUGCUUUGGAGUAGGGUUUCUAAUUUUUUAGAAAUCGGCGGCAGAUUUUCUCAAAAGAUCUUUCAUUUUUUAAAAUGUAAAGAAAUAGGGGUUUUAUCAAUUCUGGUAGAUAAGCUCUCAAUGGUCAGUUUCUUUAAGUCAAUCACUUCUCUGUUUUUUGAAAGAAAACUUAAUCCCUCUUUAAUUCCAACUGCCCCUUGUGAGAGCUCAAACUGUGAUGGUUAGUUUGAUUUUCCAGUUUAAACAACUUCCUGUUUCAUGCUUUAUCUUUUUUUAGAAAACACAGUCUGCGUAUCCUGAAAGAUGGUGCCUUCUUUGGAGUAUAAACAAUAUCUCUGAAUAUAUAAAAGGGUUUUGAUCUUCUGGUGGCAGAGAUUUCAGAGACAUCCCUUCUUUUCGCCUGCCUCUGUCAACUCUUUAUUAACCUAGUUGAAAUUGUUGACUUUCCUAAAUCAGAGAAAAAGAUUCACUUUGGUAUGUUUCCUUUUGGGCUCCUUCUUCUCUUUUAAUAUGCCCAAACCCUUUUGUUUUUCCUGGAGCCAUGAGCUGAUUGCUCUUUUUUUCUUUUUUCGAGGCCCAAGUUUAUUUGCAGAGUCCAGACUGCUUGGGCCCUGUGGUUUGUCUUUGUUGUUUUUGGGCUGGGUGUGUCAAAUUAGGCCCAAACAAAGUCAAACAAUAAUUAAAAGAUUUGACAAUAUAAAAAUAUAUUGAGAACAAAAAAAGGCAAAAACUUUUGAAAAAUGGAAACAAUAAAUAUGAAUUGAGUCAUCAACUCACCAAGGUAAGUUUGCUGAUGUGUAAAAAUAGUCAAUGGACUACAUCGAAAAAUAAUUGGCUUACAUCAAAAAUUAAAAUCACGUGGUUUAUUCUUAAGAAACCUUAAUAUUUUUGGGUUCAUAUAUUUUUUGUAUUUUAAAAAAAAAGAAAAAAAAAAUCUGACCAUGUAUGUAUGAUGAUGAUAUGCAUGUUAUUUUUAGACCUAAGGUAAAACAAACAAACUUUUUACUCCAUUUUUCGUGAGGUUUAUCAAAAGAAUUAAACUGUUAUAUCCUCCAUUUUAGAUUUCAUGCUUCCAUUUAAAGAAAAGAAUAUCAACAACAAAAAAAGAAUAAAGUUACAACAUUGAUCAAUUCAAAUGUCCAACUAUCGGAUCAUGAGCCUCUGCACUUAGAGACUACGCAUUUACCCGUAUUUCGUUAAAUUUAGACCAUUAUAAUAAUCUAACCCCUUAGAAUGGGACACAUCAUCAAGUUUUUUUUCCUUUCACUAAACAGAAGAGUUAAGUUUUAUUUGUGGGUAACUAAACUCUUGUUUAGAGCAUGUUUUUUAUUUAUUUUUCUUUGUUCUGUGUAAAUUAUAAUAGGUUAGAUUAUUAUUUGUGGGUGACUAAAAUCUUGUUUAACAAUAAUAGUUAACGUUUGUUUAGAGAAGAAAAAAAAUUUGAUGAUGUGUCAUGUUCUAAAGGGUUAGAUUAUUAUAAUGGCCUAGAUUUAGCGAACUGUAGAUAAACGCGCAGUGUCUUAAUGCAGAGGCUCGAGAUCCCCAACUAUCAUUGAAACAUAAGAAACUAAAAUCUUCAAGAAAAUGCUAUCAAUUGAAAAAACAAUAAUUAAAAAACAAAAAAAGGAAGGGAAUUCGCAGCUGCUAUGCAAAAAAGAGCAAGUCGGUUCAAUGAUUUUUUCUUCUUCUUCUUUUUGUUAUGGAAAUGAAAAGCUAAAUGAUGGGCUAUAUAUGGGAAGAAGCUCAAUGAUUGAAUUAAUAUCUUCUAUCUACAUUCUACCCUCUUCCUCGCUACAUACACAAAUGGUGCACGUACAUGGACAUGGGUUGACAUGAAUAAGAACAGCGACGCGUACUUGUUUUUAUUUUUGGUUCUUUAGAUCCAGUUGCACGUACCAAAGAAAGAAAACCACAGGUAUGCAAUGCAAGCUCUUUUCCCAUGUUUUCCUCUGUUUUCUCCUAUUUUUCUCUCUUUUUUAAAAAAAAAAAAAAAGAUAUACGGAAGUGAUUAAAAUACUCCUCUAACUAAGCUUGUUUUGCGUUCGGUGGCCGACUGUAAAAGCUCUGCUCAAACCUAACGUACUAGGUAUUUAUUUUAUUGCUCUGUUCAGACCUAGUGAUUAAAAUGCACUUGCGAUUUUGUGUUUCAAUUCCCUCUCCCCUAAUAUUGCUUGUAUAAAAAUAAAAACUUUUAAAAAGACAUUAAUAUUGUAUUCUAUAUUCUAUAAAGUGUUGGACAUGUUUUAUAUUGUUGACAACCCCCUAAUAUUUUGGUGGUGCCCAGUUAUAUUCAAUUCGUAUGUAUUUAAUUUGCCACUUACAUUCUUGCCUUAAUACAUUUAGGCUUAUUUUUAUACAAAUUUCUCUAACAUAACUUUUGCACAUUCUUUUAGUCUCUAAUAUAUAUAUAUAUAUAUAUAUACAGAGAGCUUCCAUUGAGGGAUCCCUCAAAUAAACUUAUUUGAGGGACACUCCUUGUAGGCCCCACUCCGAAUUGUAUUUCACUAAUACAAACCGUCUAUUUUGUAGAUACUCAUUCAAAGAUCAUCUCUACAAAAAAUCACUUGAAUCCGAUAUCAUUUGACCACUCAAUUAAGUUAUUGAAAUUUUAGCAUUUUCUUGAAGCACCGUGUUCAUUGAUUUUGUAAGACACAAUUGGAUGUCGAAACGGUUUCCGAUUUGUCUAAUUUUUUGUAAGGAUGAUCUAUGAAUGAAAACCUAAAAAAUAGGUAGUUUGGAUCAUUGAGAAAAAAAUUGUAUGGUACCUUAAAGGGCGUCCCUCAAAUAAAAUUAUUUGAGGGAUCCCUCAAUAGAAGGGGACUGUAUAUAUAUAUAUAUAUAUAUUUUCUAAUAAAUAAUCUUACCCAUUUGAGUUAUCAGCUAUUUUCUUUUAGCCCGGAAAAUCGACAUUUUGACAGAGAGUUGAAAAGAACUCCCCAAUUUUAAUGUCAGCCACUUGAAAAAAAAAACAUAAAUUUAAUGACAACAAUUACAUUUAGCAAUGCAACCUAAAAACUCAACCUUUGCGCCCCUUUCACAACGUAGAUAGCAGAGUAAGGAUAUUCGGAUAAGAACCAAGACAUAAGCCAGAGAAACUACGAUAGCCAACCAGGGCCUUCAUUUCUUACCAUCUGAACAAUGCCACCAUUUUGUUUGGUAAGUAUUUAAUAACAUUUCUUGCUCUUCAUAAAGUAAUAUUAAAACGAAAUUUGCCUAAAUUUUUCUUACCAACAAUGCAUACGAAAAAAAAAAAGGAAGAUUCACUAUUAUACUCAAUAUAGGAGCCCAAAUUAUUUAUAAUUAAAAAAAAAACCUUACAUGAAAUGGACUUUAGAAACACACUCAAAACCUAUUUACAACAAAACAAAGACUUUUAACUUCUUUUAAAUUACAAAACUAUCAUUGAUUUCUUAAACAAACCCAACCCCAAUACCUCAUAAAAAAACCCAAAAUACUUGAUAAAGCAUCAAAGUAAUUUAAUAAUCAAAAUUAAAUUCAAUAGGACCAGCAGUUAUUUUUUGGGUUUUUUUUGUUUGUUUAUAGAAAUUAAAUGGUGUAGGAUCUAUCUAUAUUAUUAGUGCUAAGAAUGGAUAUGUGACUAAAUAAUUCCAAAAAAAAAUUAUAAUAAAUCUACAAUUUUUCUUUUUAUAAAAAAAUUCUACAAAAAUUUAUUAGAUUAAUAGGCACUACUAGAAAAUCUCCAUAUAAGCCACUAAUACACCCAUGACAGUUGUCCAAGCGUAGUGUUGUCAUUCAAUAUUCCCCACAGCAACCAGCAUCCAAUAAAGGGUUGCCUCUCUGUAUGUAGCUAUUUGAGAAUAUAAAAGAAAUAUUUUUUAUUCAACAUGGACGCAGAAACUGUUGCUAAACUGCAAACUUCUUAAAAUAUUUAUCUAACUUUCUAGAUCCAUGUACUGAGAUUUAUUAGGGAAAUAUUGUAGAAACUGAUUAUUUUGAAAUAUUAAAUGUGAAAAACUGAACAAAAAUUUGAUGGGUUACAUAUUUCAACUCAUUUCAGCAGCUUAGAUUUUGAAGACCUCAGAAGAGGCUAUGCAAUGAGCCUAGCUAGUGCACUGUUGAUCACUUCAGUGUUUACCGAUCUGUAAUUUUUCCAGAUUGGUUAUAUUUUCCUUUACAUAUUCUUAUAUUUUCCCAGUUGGGGAGACUUAUAAAUAAGGGAAAUAGCCCUAAAUGCCACCAAUUUUAUAAUUUUUUGUCAAAAUACCACCCCUCCCCAAAAUUUUUAAAACUACCACCUAUAAAUACAUCUUUAUUGUAAAUUAAUUGCACCCAUAUCACUUUUUCAGAAAUUGGGUUCUCCCUCAACUCUCUUGGCUCUGUCUCUCUCUUUAGCCUAGCUCUCUCUCUCUCUCCGACAUAGUCAUCUUCCUCCCUCAGCCAUCCAAGCUUAACUCCACAGUUCACAUCCACGAGGUACUGUUCACGUUCCUUUUCUUAGAAAUUUGGGGUUUUUGUGAAUUUGGUUUAUGAUGUAUGGAUUUGUAUGAAAUUGGUUUAGGGGUUUCUUCCAAAUUGGUUUGGUAAGAAGGUGAUGUUGUUGUUGCUGUCACUGACAGACUAUUUUUCCUGGGUUGUGGUUGGUGGGUGUUACUGCGAAUGCUUACAAGGUUGCUGAUUCUCCUUCUAAGGUCUCUCUUUCUCUCUAUUUCUACAAAUUCUAAGGUUUUUUUUUUUUUUUGGGUUACUUUUUUUUUUUUUUUUAUUUCUUUUGCUAAUUGUAAUUGGGCCUUUGUUGCAGAGGUGGAUUUGUUUUGUGCCCAAAAGAUUGUGACUUUGUUGAAAGUUCGUAAAUAGAAAAGGCAGCUGCCCCCUGCGGCUUGGAACGCUCAAUUCGGAGGUAUUAUGCCUUGAAUUUUUACAAAAGAAGAAUUGAAACUACCUUAUAGAAGGCAAAACAAAAAUAUAUAAGAGGAAAAAAGGAGAAAAUUUAUCUAAUUUCCCUUUUUUUAGUUGUAUUUUUNNNNNNNNNNNNNNNNNNNNNNNNNNNNNNNNNNNNNNNNNNNNNNNNNNNNNNNNNNNNNNNNNNNNNNNNNNNNNNNNNNNNNNNNNNNNNNNNNNNNNNNNNNNNNNNNNNNNNNNNNNNNNNNNNNNNNNNNNNNNNNNNNNNNNNNNNNNNNNNNNNNNNNNNNNNNNNNNNNNNNNNNNNNNNNNNNNNNNNNNNNNNNNNNNNNNNNNNNNNNNNNNNNNNNNNNNNNNNNNNNNNNNNNNNNNNNNNNNNNNNNNNNNNNNNNNNNNNNNNNNNGGGGGAAGGGACACCCUAUUUCGUUACAGGGUUUAUUGACUGCAUUCUUCCUUGUUCUAGAAGACCUCCUCAGUUCCAUUGAGCCGACAAACCUUAUGAAGUUGAAUGUGAAGUGUUACCUUGCAUCUACAUGUUUCAUCUUUUAACUUUAUUUUCAUGUUUCACACUGAUGCUUGUAGUUAUUUCUAGUUUUGCAUACAGAUUAGCAAAUAGGUUAUGCAUUUACUGUUUAGUCAUCUAAUGAUUUGAUAUCUAAUAUUUAGGCAUAUGGGAAUUUAUAGAUGUACCGAUUAUGCAUACAUAUAGGUUUUGUGCUUGUAUUAGGAAGUUAGAUUCUUGUGGUUCCUCUUCAAUGGCAUGAAUUUAAAUUGUUGUGCUUCAUGAUUAGGGUCUGAAGAACAACCAUGUAGUAAGAAAGUUGGAGAAACGUCAACAGAUUUGCACCCUUGACCAACAUAUUGAAGAGUAAUUUGGUGGUGGUCGUCUAUUGGCUUGUAUCUCAUCACGACCUAGAUAGUGGCUGUGCUGAUGGGUAUGUGACUUUAUUUGCCUAUGUCUGUUUCUAGUCAGCCGAUAUGUCAUUGGCAUAUUAGUGUAGUUACCAUAUUGCAAGGGCUGAAAUCUGGAUGAUAACAGCUUCUUUUUAUUGUUGUUUUAAAGUGAAGUAUGUAUGGAUCUUAUGAAAUUUUUACAGAAAUAUAUUGGAGGGCAAAUAAUUUUAUUUUAGUUUUUUUAUUCCCAAAUGAUACCCAAAACAUGUAAGCUUCACACUAUGUUAAUUUCUGCAGGAUGGGAAAACAUUGGACAAUGAGUUGGAGGUUGUUAAGGGAAUGAAGCUAGACAUGGGCUACAUAUCCCCUUAUUUCAUCACCAACCAGAACAAUUAGAAAUGUGUAAGUUUUGGUUUGAUUCAGGGAUGACUAUGUCUUGAAACUGUUAGAGGGCUGCUUGUUAAAGUUAGUAGCACCUCAAGUCCCUUUUUUAUUGAUGCUGAUUAUCUUCAAACUUGUGUAUGUGCUGAUAGGAAUUGGAAAAUCCUCUAAUCAUAAUCCAUGAGAAGAAAAUCUCAAGUAUUAAUGCUGUGGUUAAAGUAUUGGAGUUGGUCUUGCAGGUUAUCAUUUCUCUGGUUAGGUUCACUAGUUUCUUCUUUUUUAUCAUGAAUUGGUUGACAAACUUUUGCUCUUUUUCAAAAGCAAAGGUCUUUGCAUUUUGUUAUAUCUUUCAGAACCAAAGUUAUAAAAGAAAAUGGUUUUCCUCUUUGUUAAUUGAGAAUCAUCUGCAGUUAUGAUUUCAGAUCUAUAGAUAACUUGUUGUUGCUGAUAUUGCUACACGGGAGGAGAAUAGAACAGCUUGAAAAAUGUGCAAGAAGAGAGAGCUAACUCAUACACCGAAGAACAAAUUGGUGAAGUUAAGAUCAAAUUAGUAGAAUUUGUGAGCUCUCCAUUAUUUAUAAUUAUAGGUAGGAAGUAUGUAUGUAAUAGAGUAAAGAUUGGUUGACUAUGUAAUAACAAUUGAAUUUUCAAGUUUUAUGAAAGAAAUAAUUUUUGAGCAUAUAUAUUUGUUAAUAAAGCAUUAUAAUUGGUUUUCUAGUUAAAAUCGUUGUAUAGAAUCGUAGGAAACAAAAACCUAAAUAUAACAGCUUGGGAACUUAUUAGACGACAGAUUUAAAGAUAAUAAAAUGUAGUCUGAAUUGUUAGGGUUCGGUGGCGAUUUAUUUUGCAUGUCUAAAUUGUAGUCUGUAAUAUAUGUGUGUGUAUUGUAUGUAGAUUGACUUAAUAUUGCUAUCCUAUUGCAUGCGUAUUGUACUAAUAUUGCCUUUGUAUUGCAUACAUAUUGUAUGCAUAUUGCCACCCUAUUGCAUGUAUAUUGUGAUGUUAUUGCUGUUGUAUUGCCGUUAUAUUGCCCUAAUAUUGCCUCUCUAGUGUAUGUAUAUUGGCCUAAUAUUGCCAUUAUAUUGUAUGUAUAUUGACUAUGACUCAUCAAUGGGUUUACGGUUUAGGCCCUACUUCAUUCAAAAAGAAGACGACGACGAGAAAGAAACAAUGUGCCUUUCAAAAACAAGCAGUCAGGUGCAUUAUAAUUGCACCGUAAGACAUUGUAAGAAAUUAUUUUAAAAGAUAAUAACAACUAAAAAAUAAUUUACCAAAAAAGGAAGGUAUGAAUAAAUAUGCAAAUGCUUCGUCAUGGGUUGAAGAAAAGGAUGAUUACAUUUGGUGGUUUGAUUAUGUUUGGUGAUAUGAUAUGUUGUUCGUCUGAAUCUUCAUAUAUGUAAUUGUUAUGUUAAUACUUGACACAAAUUCAUCUCGUAAUCAUCCAAUUAUUAAAGCUAAGUAAAUGAAAUGAAACAAAAGAAGAAGCCCAAAAUAAACAGAAACAGCAAUUUCUAGCACCCAUUUAUCGCUUCUGUAUUACCACUGUAUCACCAACGUAUCACCAGCUUAGCGUUGAUGACCAUUAGUUCAAACAUUAUGUGAUCUAAUAGGGAUAACUAAUUUUUGGAACAACUAAUGAAUCUUCAAAAAGAUAAAGAACAACUAGUAAACUAAUGUAUGCAGUUUAACUUUGCACGGGUCAUAGUGCUCAACAUGAUAUUUGGCAACCAUCUCUACACUUGGUGUAUAUUGCAGGCUUCUAUGCAUUCCAAACCUUCAUUCUUCUGUGAUAAAACUGUUAAAUUACCAAGAUUUCUAACACAUGGAAGUAAACAAACGAAUCUGCACAUUUAUUUGUACAUACACACUGCGUAUUGCACAUCUGCGCAUCUAUUAAUCACCACACCAAUGUUUCAAAGAUUGAUUCAGAGGGCAAAAUGAUUGAUUACAUAUUUCAAAUUAGUCAUCUGCUCAUAAGAACUUGGCCCUAAAACUGUACUAAUGGUAAAUAUACUGACAUAAUAGCUAUUAAUGAAAAAUUCUAAACAAACGAGGGACUUAUUUUUCUAAUAUUGUAGUGGAAGCAUGUUAAGUGAUUUUCCACAUUUGUUCAUGGGGGUAAAGUAUAUCUUACCCCUUUCUAAACAUUAUGAGGUUUCAAAUUUCAAUAACAACAGAAUGCUAAGCAGAAAAGUAGAAUUGCUACAUAAAUUACUUAGAAGGAACAAAGUCAAAACUAAUUUGACAAAUCUUAAGAAAGCUGUAUGCUUCACUAAGUCAACUAACAGAUUCCCAGUGCAGGAAAUGAAAUAUACCUAUAUCACAUAAAUUGCAAAGAAAACCACAGAGACUAAAUGUUAACAAUGGAUACAAAAAUGAGUAGAAUUCAGUGGAAACGAACACAUCGUUUCAAACAAGUAAAUUGUUAUAUGUCCAUAAAGAGCAACUAUGUUUAUAUAUGGAGGUGUACGAAAUAGUUCAACUUCAAAAUGGAAACAGUUUAUGUGCCAUGUAAGGCAAUGAACAUAUAACAAGGUGAGUCUUCAACAAAUUAAAAGUAGACAAUUAUUUUCAAACAAUCUGACAGCUGCCCGAGAAAACUGAGGGAGUUAAGGCAUGAGAUGCAAACAUGAUAAACACUGUUAAGCACUCGGACGAACCCAUGCUAUAAUACAAGCCAACAGACAAUCACCACCACCAAAUUGCUCUUCAAUAUGUUGGUCAAUGGUGCAAAUCUGUUGAUGCUUCUCCAACUUUCUUACUACAUGGUUGUUCUUCAGACCCUAAUCAUGAAGCACAACAAUUUAAAUUCAUGCCAUUGAAGAGGAACCACAAGAAUCUAACUUCCUAAUACAAGCGCAAAACCUAUAUGUAUGCAUAAUCGGUACAUCUAUAAAUUCCCACAUGCCUAAAUAUUAGAUAUCAAAUCAUUAGAUGACUAAACAGUAAAUGCAUAACCUAUUUGCUAAUCUGUAUGCAAAACUAGAAAUAACUACAAGCAUCAGUGUGAAACAUGAAAAUAAAGUUAAAAGAUGAAACAUGUAGAUGCAAGGUAACACUUCACAUUCAACUUCAUAAGGUUUGUCGGCUCAAUGGAAUUGAGGAGGUCUUCCAGAACAAGGAAGAAUGCAGUCAAUAAACCCUGUAACGAAAUAGGGUGUUCNNNNNNNNNNNNNNNNNNNNNNNNNNNNNNNNNNNNNNNNNNNNNNNNNNNNNNNNNNNNNNNNNNNNNNNNNNNNNNNNNNNNNNNNNNNNNNNNNNNNGAUAUGAAGAAACAAAAUGAAUCUCCCACAAGCCUAACAGGCUAAUACCAUUAACAAGGUCUGAAAUUGACUCUAUAUCAUGUACAUAUAUAUAUAUAUAAACUCCAUCUUUACAUAUUGGAACUACAUCAAUGUAAACCAACUAGAUCGACCCUGCAUCCUGAACACCACCCCCCCUCCCAAAAAAAAGACCGAGAAAAAAAAAAUACAACUAAAAAAAGGGAAAUUAGAUAAAUUUUCUCCUUUUUUCCUCUUAUAUAUUUUUGUUUUGCCUUCUAUAGGGUAGUUCCAAUUCUUCUUUUGUAAAAAUUCAAGGCAUAAUACCUCCGAAUUGAGCGUUCCAAGCCGCAGGGGGCAGCUGCCUUUUCCAUUUACGAACUUUCAACAAAGUCACAAUCUUUUGGGCACAAAACAAAUCCACCUCUGCAACAAAGGCCCAAUUACAAUUAGCAAAAGAAAUCAAAAAAAAGUAACCCAAAAAAAAAAAAAAAAAACCUUAGAAUUUGAAGAAAUAGAGAGAAAGAGAGACCUUAGAAGGAGAAUCAGCAACCUUGUAAGCAUUCGCAGUAACACCCACCAACCACAACCCAGGAAAAAUAGUCUGUCAGCGACAGCAAAAACAACAUCACCUUCCUAUCAAACCAAUUUGGAAGAAACCCCUAAACCAAUUUCAUACAAAUCCAUACACCAUAAACCAAAUUCACAAAAACCCCAAAUUUCUAAGAAAAGGAACGUGAACAGUACCUCGUGGAUGUGAACUGUGGAGUUAAGCUUGGAUGGCUGAGGGAGGAAGAUGACUAUGUCGGAGAGAGAGAGAGAGAGCUAGGCUAAAGAGAGAGACAGAGCCAAGAGAGUUGAGGGAGAACCCAAUUUCUGAAAAAGUGAUAUGGGUGCAAUUAAUUUACAAUAAAGAUGUAUUUAUAGGUGGUAGUUUUAAAAUUUUUGGGGAAGGGUGGUAUUUUGACAAAAAAUUAUAAAAUUGGUGGCUUUUAGGGCUAUUUCCCUAUAAAUAAACCCAAAAUGGGUACAGUAUCUAUACAGAAGGACAAAAUUAAAGUGUUUGGACAAUAAUGCCCCUAUUCAUUUUGGGAUUGCCUAAGGAAUCCUUUUCCUGAUUUUCAAUGAUGCCAAAGGACUGUUGUUUGAUGCUUGCCGUAUGGAGCUAAGAAAACUUGCUUUGUGUUAUAAAAAUAACCUGGAAUAUGUACGAAUAUUGAGCUGCACGAAAAGUAGAUGAAACACAGCAUUUAACGAGGUUCGGCUAUGCCUACGUCCUCGGAGAGCAACAGCAGUAACUUUUUCACUAUAUGAAAUAAUAGGGCUACAACUUUAGAGUUUACAAUAUGUGAGGCUCACUGAAUUUUCUCUCUCUUUCUUCUUCUCUCUUUUCUUUCUUCUUUUUCUCUUCUCCCCUUUCUUUCUUUUCUCCGUUGGUCACACUCCCCUUUACAAUUGGUAUGCCUAUUUAUAGGCUAAUGUUUAGGCAAAAUACAGGGAAGGGAAGGUUCCUGGAAGAUGCAAGGAAACUUCCUGAAUUGAUAAUGUCACACCCCGGACCGACUCCGCCGUAGCACGAUAUUGUCCGCUUUGGGCCCUCCUCUCACUGCCCGCACGGUUUUGUUUCUGGGAGCUCACGAAGCAACUUCCCAGGGUGGUCACCCAUCCUGGGAUUGCUCCAGCCUCCCACUCGCUUAACUUCGGAGUUCUUACAACUCCGAAGCCAAUGAGCUCCCAAAAGGCCUCGUGCUAGAUGGAUGCGGGUGUGCCAUAUAAGGCACAUCACCCCCCUCUCCGUUGGUUUGAUGUGGGAUCUUACAAUCCACCCCCCUUAAGGGUCCGACGUCCUCGUCGGCACACUCGCACCACACGGCAGAGUGGCUCUGAUACCAAAUUGUCACACCCCGGACCGACUCCGCCGUAGCACGAUAUUGUCCGCUUUGGGCCCUCCUCUCACUGCCCGCACGGUUUUGUUUCUGGGAGCUCACGAAGCAACUUCCCAGGGUGGUCACCCAUCCUGGGAUUGCUCCAGCCUCCCACUCGCUUAACUUCGGAGUUCUUACAACUCCGAAGCCAGUGAGCUCCCAAAAGGCCUCGUGCUAGAUGGAUGCGGGUGUGCCAUAUAAGGCACAUCACCCCCCUCUCCGUUGGUUUGAUGUGGGAUCUUACAGAUAAAUACAGGGAAGGAAAGUUCCUGGAAGAUGCAAGGAAACUUCCUGAAUUGAUAAAUACAGGGAAGGGAAAGUUCCUGGAAGAUGCAAGGAAACUUCCUCUGUGGGCUCCACCUUCAAACUUUUACAACACUCCCCCUUGGAGACCACAAAUGAUAUGAAAUAUGCCUCGUUAAAAACCUUGCCAGUAAAAACCCAGUGGGACAAAAACUGGUCGAAGGGAAAAAGAGUACAUAAUCACGUGUAACAUAAAAUUCUGUGUAUAUUGACGCGCGUGCGACACUGCCUCGUUAAAACCUUGCCAGGAAAAAUCUAGUGGGAUAAAAACCUGGACGAAGGAAAAAGAGUACAGUGUGUAAGGGUCUGUAUUGACAGCACGCUCCUCCUGAUGCUUGGCAAAAUAUCUUUAAGCCAUACUGUUGAUCAUCUGUCUGAAUAUCAUAGUUGACACUGCUGCUGUGAGUCAAUAGUGUAUGAAGGUCUUUAUUAAUACCAUGCUCCCCCUGAUGAAUAUCUCCCCCUGAAAACUUCAUGACUAGCUUUUUCCAGUAAGCGACCAUAGAGAUUUCCUGAGUCCGCAUAUCUUAGAACACUUGGGCUAUUUAUAAGUUCACUAAAAAAAUAUGCCCGUAUAUGGUGUUAUGCUUAGAUAGCAUCAAAUAUACCUCACAUCAUCCCAAAAUGAUGGUGAUGGAGUUGAGCCCUAUCUGGAAAAUAUGAUGUCCGGUCCAAUAUACUUCCGGAAAAUCAUUAAAGUGUCCAACGGAUAAUCCUCAUAAAAAUACUUUAAUACUUUCUUAGUAUAAGCAAGAAUCUCGUUGGCAUAAUGCUCGAUCGAGACAAAUAUUUCAUGAAUUCUGCAGAAACUUUAAUGUGUUGCAAUCACAUUAUAAUCAAUGUACUCACUGAGGUAAUUUAUGCAUAUUAAUAUUGAGUACAAAUUUUGUGCUUCAAGCACAUGUCCUUUAAGGACUUGCUUUAUGCAAUAUCAAUCCUCUCAACGGAUUUUGUCUAAAAGGGAUUAAGCUUUAUGACACAUUAUAUAGCUUUUACCCAGCUAUUUAUACAUCUUUAGGAAAUCGCUUCUGGCGAUAUGCUCCGUGCAUUCAAUAACCCUUAAAGAUAAUAUGUUGGUCUCCGUAAUUGUGUAAUAAGGGGGGGCACAAUUGAAUCUGUAAAUAUGGAGAAAACCCAACAUUCCUUGUUUCUGCCAGAAACAGUGUGUCAUACAAAGUAGGUAUAUUCCCUUUUAUUCCGAACACCCAAGUAUAACUUUCAGUAUUAACAAAUUUUGGGGUUCGUAUUGUGGGUUUGUUCUUUCACGUUCAUUCUCAUUUAUAAUGGAAUUACCUCGUUCCAUUUUGGCCAGUGAUAUUGUCGACAUUUAAUAAUUGAACGUGGUUCCAAUCAACACAGCCCAUUGAUGAUUUGAGUAGCUACUCCAAAACCAAAAAUUGUCAUUCAUCAAUUCAUGAUCCCACCAUUCUCAUGUGCAUGCACAUGCAUCAAUUAUAAGCAUUUCUUUGCUUUUUGGUACCCAAGCCACUUCAGGGGGCUUUUAUUAUGUGAGAAUGUGGAUUAUAACCUCCAUCGGAGCGUUAUUUAGUAGUAGGGCGUGGAUAAUCUCCAUUUAGAGAGUUGGAACAUUGAGAACCCAUAUAUCUGUCAUGCUGCAGGCAUGCCACAGAUUAAUACAUACAUGUCAAUUAAUUUCUGGGACUUUAACCCAUAUUAUGGGACUUUAACCCAUAUAAUUUGCUACGCAUUAGGCGUGCAUAAUAUCAAUAUUGACAUGUCAAAGGAUUGUCCUUUCGGGACUUCAAUUCAUAUCAUUUGCUACGCAACAGGCGUGCACCCAUAUUGAUCACUGCUAUACCCAUAUUCUGUUCUUAUGGGACUUUAAUCUGUGCAGUGUAUUAUCAAUGUAUCCAUCUUACAAUCUGUAAAAUUUGCAUUAAUAAUUCAUGGAUACAUACAAGCCAUUCUUUUGGAACAGACUUAUCUCCCAAUUUGGUUACCUUUCAAGAUAAAAUAUCAAAUAGGUAUAUAAGCAUAAAAUAACACAAGUAUUGCUUACAUCCUUAGGUGGGAGAAACUUUUCUCAAGUAUCAUUCAAGCUCAUAUCAGCCCAGUAAAUAUAAUGUAGCGCUUGAUGAUCUAGUUAUAUCCUGCAAGAGCAAAAAUCACAACUCUUUUGCCUCUGUCAAAACAAAUAACCCUCAUAGUUAGGAUUACUUCAUGGAUUCAUUCUUCAUAUGUUCAUUCUAAAGAAAUAAAAUCUCUUAUGAACAGAGAGUUAUAAAAAGAGAAAAAAUGCAAAAAUAAUGUGAUAUUGAUUGCAAGAGAAGGUAAGCAAUCAGGGAAGGAAGCUGGUGGGAGCAGACAAUAAGCUCUCAUAUCUCCUAGUCUAGAAGGACUCCCGGAGAUUAGACCAUAAGAUCGCCUUCACAGUUUCCUGAUGUAGUGGAAACGUGAUCAGGGAUAGUCUUGCUUCCUGAAUGGAUGAUCAGAGAUAGUCUUGCUUCUCAGGCAUAUUGAGUGCUCACUGAUAAGAAAAAUAAGUAGAUAUCUCAUCACUAAGUAUGGAGUAAACUGGAUGUCUUCUGCAAAGGAAAAUUUCGUUUAGUAACACAUUUAUACACAAAUACAAUGAAUAGGUAGAACCGGUAAAUUUCAAAUUAACCAUAGGAAAAUUGCGAGAUUCUCGGGAUACUUUUGAAAAAGUAGCUCCGUGAAAUCCGUAAAGCAAGAUCGGCUUUGAAAAUAAUACUUUGAAAAACGCCGAAAGUGCCGACAUGCAUUAUUAGAGGCCACGUGAAGUUUUGGACUCUGGGAAAGAAAAAGAUAAUAUGGGGAUUCGAGAAGACAUUGGGGUCCUGAAAAGUUGCCACAUUUUCGUCUAUAGAUAUUGCCUUUGCAAACUGCGUUUCAACUCAACUUCCUUCAUUUUCCGAACCUUUAGUUUUUCUAAGACUUUCUUCGAAACCUUCUUAAAAAAAUGGCUUCCUCUUCUUCCUGCCCAAAUUAUUUCAAUUUAAAUGAUGCUCCCACAACAACCAGUGACGCCCAAGUUUGGCGUCCAUCCUUUGUAUCCAAAAAUCGUCAUCUCACAGUUAAUGAUUCUGUGAUGAUGAAUGAUGCUACUGCUGUCAUAGUAGCUAGGAAUUUCAUUACUCCAAUGGAUGAAAUGUUGUUGACAGGGAGAUCAGAGGAAGAGGCUAUUGAUGAAUCAAUGGCUUUUAGCAUUCAGAGUGCUGUUUCUGUUUCUAACAUGGCUGAUCGUUUGCGUGCCAGAGCAAACGAAGUUGAGAAUUUAACAACUGAAAAUUCGUCUCUCCAAAGAAUGCUUCAUGAGUCUCAACAGGAGGUUGAGAAACUUAAAGGAGAGAAUAAUGCCUUGUUGAAACUGGUGAGUUCGUACUCUGUUGAUACAUUGAGAAGGCUAGACAUGCUGCAGGUCUCGAAUGAAAGAAUUUUGGGAGACUAUGAGAAGCUCAUGGCUAAGCUUAAGAGGCGCCGUCAUCUUCCUUCAGAGGCUUCCAGGACAUAAUGUAAUUUUUAUAGAUUUUACAGGGCCUGCACCUUCAUUGCAGGAAAAAAUCUAUCUGUUGUAUGCCCCUUUUCUGUUAUAAUAAUUGCGCAUAUUCUUAAACUUGCACCUGUGGUUUUUACGUCUUUUCAAAAUGACGAUUUGGAACCUUGUGCCUUAUAGGUUCAAAUAACCACAUUGUCUCUCCCAAAUUUCAUAUUUUAUCGCAUGGUAGCCCGGAACUUUUGGCCUGGGCACAAACUCAGAAUUUAUUUGCCCUUUUCAAAUGGACAUGAAAUAUGAAUUGAGUAAAAGCCAUGAUAAUAUCGCAAUAUAGUAGUGAAGAGCAUUAACUACUAUAUACCCACAACUUCAAGUUCAGGAUCUCUCAUAUAUUUGGAUCCAUGGGCUUCCGGCCCAAAUAUAACAAAAUAUGUGGGGAGCCUCAAUUCAUUAUUUGAGGUUUAUAUUAAUAUUAUGCAUUUCGCGGUGUAUUCUUAACAACCGGAAUUCACAAAAUAUAUUUCUUCCUUGAGGUGUCGAUUAUAACAAAAUCGAACUUUAUUAAAUUCAUCAUCUUCUUAUGCCAAAGAAAUAUGUGGCAUACCACAAUUUGCAAUAAUACCUCAAGGGUUGUCCAUUUAAUUGUUGGAACUUCAGGUUCUCAACACUGUUAAAUUUGGAACUUCAGGCCAAAGCCACAUAUUCUCAUGGUAUGGACAUUUUUACAAUUUUCUGUACAUAUUUCGGGACUUCAAGCCCUUACAUAACUGUCCAUAUUUUGAGGAACUUCUGGCAUCUCAUUUAAUUGCUCAUCCAUGAGUUUAAGGAACUGCAGGUUCCCUUUUGUAUAUAGUGACGGUUUACCCAAAAUGGUUAAUAUUUAUGCAUACAUCACUAUUCAUGUGAAUAGUACUAUUCAUCAAGUCAUGAAUACGUAUCUAUUCAUCUGCCAGUACAGUUAUCAUCAAUGUGUACGGCACUAUGAACCAAUACGGUACUGUUACAUCAUUAAGGAACUCUAGGUCCUUAUUUACAUGUCAGGGAUUAAGAACCUUUAAGUCCAAUCACAUGUUUACAAAUACAGUACCGGUGAGACUGCCAGCUCUCAUUUUAAUAUCAUCAUCAAGGAUCUUCAAGUCCUGAUGUAAUUGUAUGAUGAGGAUCAAGGAACUUCUGGUCCUGAUCUGCAUACUGGAAAAACUAAUCAUACAGCACAAUUAAUCCAUAAAAUAAAUUGCUGAUAAAUAAAUUACUGGUAUGGACGAUAAACCCGCACCACACUUUAAAUAAAUGUAAAUGUGCGGUAAAUUAAAUUCAUAAAGUUAAGGUGCUUGUAUGGGCAUUAAUUCUGCUCCAUACAUUUAAAUAAAAGUAAAGGCGUGGACGAUAAACCCGCACCACCCUUUUAAAUAAAUGUAAAUGUGCGGUAAAUUAAAUUCAUAAAUUAAAUUGCUUGCUGUAUGGACGUUAAUCCCGCACCAUACUUUAAAUAAAAUUAAAUGUGCGGUAAAGUAAAUUGUGCUUGUAUGAGCACUAAUUCUGCUCCAUACAUUUAAAUAAAAGCAAUGGCGUGGACGAUAAACCCGCACCACCCUUUUAAAUAAAUACUGUUGUAUGGGUAAUAAACCUACACCAUACAGUAAAUAAAAUAAAUAUGCGGUAAAAUAAAUUUGCGAUAAAGUAAAGGUGCAUGUAUGGGUAAUAAACCUACACCAUACAGUAAAUAAAUGUGGGGUUAAAACCACCACCGAAUAAAAUAAGAAAAAGUUAGUAUUAGUAACGGUCUCCUACUGAUAAUAUGUUUAGUAUUACCAAGGGUCCAUUUUUGUUAGUGGUUAGUAGUAUAGAUAAUAGUGCAGCAUAAAAAUUAUACCUGAGAGCUUCUCGUGCUGAUAACGUGUUAUAAAAAUAACCUGGAAUAUGUACGAAUAUUGAGCUGCACGAAAAGUAGAUGAGACACAACAUUUAACGAGGUUCGGCUAUGCCUACGUCCUCGGAGAGCAACAGCAGUAACUUUUUCACUAUAUGAAAUAAUAGGGCUACAACUUUAGAGUUUACAAUAUGUGAGGCUCACUGAAUUUUCUCUCUCUUUCUUCUUCUCUCUUUUCUUUCUUCUUUUUCUCUUCUUUUCUUUCUUCUUUUCUCUUCUUCUUCUCUCUUCUUUUUCUCUUCUCCCCUUUCUUUCUUUUCUCCGUUGGUCACACUCCCCUUUACAAUUGGUAUGCCUAUUUAUAGGCUAAUGUUUAGGCAAAAUACAGGGAAGGGAAGGUUCCUGGAAGAUGCAAGGAAACUUCCUGAAUUGAUAAAUACAGGGAAGGGAAAGUUCCUGGAAGAUGCAAUGAAACUUCCUCUGUGGGCUCCACCUUCAAACUUUUACAACACUUUGAUAGUUUUGGACAGAUGCAAGCUACUGUUGUUGGGAUGAUCUUUUCACGUGAAAUGAGGAUGACGAUACUUCUACACUACACAAUCCAACGAAUUCACAUUUCUAUUUCAGAUACAUGUAUAAACAGACAAGGCUUUAAAAUAUGGGAUGCUGCACUGUUGUUGCUGCUGCUGACACUGUUACUGUGUUGCUGCUACUGUUACUGCACUGCUGCUUGAAGAAGGACAAGGACUUCACUUGUUGCUUUCGUCCUUUGUGGAGGAGAGAGACCUAGGACUUGCAUGUCUUAGAUAUUUAAGACAAGGGGCUUUCGUGCCAUUUUGAAAAUACUUUGGGUGUUUUUGAAAGCUGCUUGUUUCUUUUGAGUUUCUCACUAAAUUUCGCUUUAGAAGGGAAAAUAAUAAUAAUAUUAAUAGUACAGCACUUAUUAGCAACAGAGUUACAAACUUCUUCUACAACACACACCAACAUGAAUCUAGCCCUGAUCCACUCUUUACAUACUUGAAAACAAAACAAAACACGAAAAACAAAAAACAAGAUAGGGAGAAAAUGGCUACGGAGAGACUUACUGCUAAUAGUUGAUCAAUAACAGAGAUAAUAGCGCACACUAUUUGUAUGACAGUGAGUAUCAGAAGAAUAAUAGCUGCAAAGAGAGAAAUAGCUGCCCAAGGUGUGUUGAAAUACUUUUGUCUCAAAUUUGCCUUCCAUAUGUUCGUGGUCUUCUCUCAGUAACUCGUUUAGUUUGCCAGCAAGAUCACCAAAAUAGUAGUUUCCGUGGUUCAGAGCAACUUUACUGCAAAGCUUGUUAAUCAUAAUGGAAACCUUAUUGUUGUCACCUUGCAUGUUUACAACAAUUCUAUUCUCAACAAGCAACUCUACAUCCUUUGGAGUGUUUACAAAUUUAUCCAGGAUGAAAACAUAAUAGCUUAUGUAUUUAUCCACGCAAUGGCAUUGUUCAAAGGCAAUGAGAUUUCUAAGUGUAAGCUCUGUGUAAUUAUGUAUUUCAAUUUUUGGAAUUUCCAAGGUGUUUUUCUUGAACUGUAUAUCGAAUAAGUUCUUGCUUGAUCCGGCCUGGUGUAGUUUUGUCAUGCUGGGUGUCCUUUGGAGCCCUACAUUUUCUUUUAGGGUCGGAUCUGGCAGAUGUAAAGUUCUAAUAAAAUCAACAAAAUGUAAAGGUUUUUUAGGAUCAGGAGGCAUAAAAGACUUACGGAAGGCUGGUGAGUUCUCCAAGUUUUCUAAACGCAGUGCCUGUUGGAAGAACCUGUAAGAGAGUUCAAUUAUUGAAGGCUCCCCAGUCUGAGCACCUGUGAGAUUGUAAAGAUCCUCGAGAAUGAAAAAUGGCAGCUGAUUUCCAAGCAUAAGCAUGUCAGGCAAUAUAUUUUGUAGCACCCAUGGUUUUUUAAAUAUCCAAGCAUUAUCAUCCUGCAAUUUUUCUUCCUGAAAUUUUUCUUCGGAUUUAUUCCUCAACAAUAGCUCAAUGACAAAGGCGGCAUCAACUCGAAUGAUAUUCACAAAAGCAGCAAUGUUAAACUUCUUAGUGUCUUCAUAAUAAUGACGGAGUUCAACUUCUCUCUCCUUUAUUUUCUCGAAAUAAUCCUUCAAUUUUACAUUAGUCCAAUCAAGAAAACACUUUAGGUACCUGAGUUUGUGAUCUUCCAUGGCUUCUAGGUUUUUGCUGCCAUGGUGAAGUGGGCCUAUUGAGACUACUUGUGGUGUGUAGGCCUUUUGUUUUACGUUCCGUAGUCGCUCAGGCACCCUUUAGAUACAACAGGCAGGGGACAGGGCACGCAAGUUUGUCAACUGAUUUUCCAUGGAAGUUGCUUGGUUUUCUAUGUCAAAAGAAGCUUCAUUGCUGCUUUCUUCCACUUUCUUCCUCCUCAUUAUGUGUUGUUCUGAUUGUAAGUGACGAGGAUGGUGAUGAUUCUAGACAACAUAAUCAACAAAUGUUUCAAUCAUAAUUGACAUUUCAAGAUGCUCCGACAAAGAAUUAGAAAACAUUCAUCACAAAAUGCGAACUCAUACAAUAGAUGGGUUGAUGAUAUAACCAUUAUUUCGUACAUUUUUAUUAUCUUUCUCUUAGAUUCUUGCUAUGGUUCUUGAGUGAGUUUAGUCCAUUUUUACUUAGUUUUGUGUUUUACUAGGUUUGAAGAGUAAAGAUGGAAAAGCAAGCAAAAGGUGCAAUUUUGGUAUUGAAAUAUAAUGUGAAAUCCUAGGAGCAGAAUGUGUUGUGCGGAUCGGACAACUUUACAGAACAUACUGUACUUCCUCAGAGCGAACCAGAUGUUGAACCUUAUAUCAUUGGAAAGAUACGGAUGUUCGCCUUCUGUAGAAUUUCGCGGUUCAUGAUUCGGACGUGUGUGGAGAGAGUUGUGGCCAUUUUAGUACGGACAGUUCGGGCAGAAUGUGUUCUGCGGGUUUUGCAAAAUAAUCCAUUUGAAGUCCAAUCCUUGGAGUUUAAUUUGUGUCAAUUACAUUUGGGAAGUGUCUACAAGGAUGUGGAGUUAUUUUCUGAAGUCUGACCCUUUAUUUAGUAGGAUUAUGGAUGCCAACUCAUCAAAGACAAUGAAGCCAAACUAGGAAAACAUAGUUACCAAGUCAAAAGAGGAUUUGUUCCUUAUUUAAAGAAGACCAGAAAAUAGGGUUCUCUCAUGCUGGAAUUUGAAGGAGAGUUAAAGAGCCGCUGCCAUCGUCAAGUUCUCAAGCAUCGUCAUAAUCCAUAAGUUCUAUUUUAUGUUUUCUAGUUUUUCAAUUAUGUUUUCUUUGAACAUGAGUAACUAAAUCAUUCUCUAGGGCAAGGAUGACGCCCGAGCAUGGAUAGUUAUGAUUUUUAAUGCUAUUUAAUGAAUUCCAAGUUUCUUUUAGAUGAAUGUUUAAUCACUAUUUUAAUUGUUGCUAUUUGUUUAAGUUCUUUGAUUGAUCACCUUAUGACAUGACCCGCCCCGAAUUUUUCGAAACACGAGACGAAUCUUGUGGAAUUCCCGACCACACCCCAAUGCCGGGCCCACUUACUAAAGACCGGGACUUUCUGCCGAAAUUUCGGCAGAGUCUCUCCUGUAAAUUGAACAUUUCCCACAAUUUCAACCUGCAUAAAACACAUUUUAUAUUACCCAACUGGCAGCAUGCACAAUGUAAUAACAUGCAAUUCACAUAAACGGCCUUUCGACCUUCCGAUAAUCCACAACAAACCACCAAGCACGCUAUCAAAUCAAUUCAUACCUUAAACAAGGCAAACAAUAAAUUCAAUCACACUUAAGAAUGUCAAAGCAAUCCACUACAUUUAAUUUUUCUCAACACCCAACAUACGAGGUUUUAACAUCCUAACACAAUCACAUCUAUGUCUGCGGUUGCACCUAAUAACCUUAGGCUGCCUAUGUACCCUCACUGAGAGAUCAAGCCACACGUAGUUCUUCCUACUAAAUUCCGAUUUCCAAACACAUACAAUACCUUUAAUCAUCUCUAUGAUAAUCACAUACUCUCCCCACACGCCGGAAAUUCCAACGCCACGUAUGGGGUCUGUCAUCACGCCGAAAAAUCCUACGCCUCGUGUGACCUAACCAUCAUAUCAUCUCCCCAUACGCCGAAAAUUAUAACGCCACGUACGGGGUCUGUCAUCCUGCCGGAAAAUCCUACGCCAUGGGUGACCUGACAAUCACAUAAUCUCCCCAUAUGCCAGAAAUUCCAACGCCACGUAUGGAGUCUGUCUCAACGCCGGAAAAUCCUACGCCACGCGAGACCUAACAAUCACAUAAUCUCCCCAUAUGCCAGAAAUUCCAACGCCACAUAUGGGGUCUGUCAGCACGCCGGAUAACCUACACCACGUAGGACCUAACAAUCAUAGCAUUUCCCCGUAUGCCAGAAAUUCCAACGCCACGUAUGGGGUUUGUCCUCAUGCCGGAUAACUUACGCCACGUGGGACCUAACAAUCACAUAAUCUUCCCAUAUGCCGGAAAUUCAACACCUCAUAUGGGGUCUGUCAGCACGCUGGAUAACCUACGCCACGUGUGACCUAACAAUCAUAGCAUAUCUCCAUACGCUGGAAAUUUCAACGCCACGUAUGGGGUCUGUCAUCAUGUUGGAUAACCUACGCCACGUAGGACCUAACAAUCACAAGGUGGUACUUAGGGUAGUGCGUAUAGCACUGACAGAAAAUCACAAAAGUAUCUUUCCUAUUCUAGAGAUUGGUCACAUGUAGUCCAACCAAUAGGAAAUGAGAUAUUUAAGAAAUGAAGAGUUUGAUCAAUAUCAAUAUCAAAUGAAUUCUUAUACGCCUAGUCAACUAUUAAGCGUAUCUUGACUUCUUGAUAUUGUGAUAUGAUUGAAACAUGAUUUCCAUGUUAGAAAAUUAAAGGGAUGUUAAAACAUGAAAGUAAUAGGAGAAUCAAAUUGAUUUGGGCCAAAAUUGCCUAAAAAGAAAACACUUCUAAAUACACUCAAUUCACUUUUAAAAACAGUAAAACAUGAUUGAAUCGUUCUUUAAAACAAUUCCCUAAUAUACAUGCAUGAUAAUGACAUCACUUACCUCUGAACCAAAUGCCUUUCACGGGUCAAGCCACAAGUCUGUGUUUUGGGGAUUGCUAAGCUGCAUCAAUCCUGCCAAUGUCAGUUCUGCCCCUAUGCUCUCUCAAAGCAUGUUUACAACCUAUGCUAACAUAUACUAGAGUUUAUGCUAGUAUCGAGAAAAUGCAAACACUAAUUUUGUAACACGUAGAAUUGUUAGAGAUUGGAAGUUUUUAUCAUUUUUUUCUUCCAGUCUCUCCACCACUCACUAAUACAGAUUACUCAUGUGAUAAAUUUACAAAACCUAUUUCUCUACUCUCACAAAGACUAUACUUCUUCUCAAAAGACUAUAUCACUUUACCUCUAUCUCUGUGAAAUGUAAAAAGUUGAAACUUUAAUGUCAAACCUCGACAAAAGAUGAAUUUCCAUCAGUUACGUUGAAUUUGGAUUUGUUGAACUUAAGCGAUUUUACUUUCUCUGUUAGUAUUUGAUGACUUAAUUUGGUAUUUACUUCUUCUUCUUUUUUUCCUUGGAAAUGUGUUCCACCAACGUGAGGAAGAAAAAUAUGCACAAAAUAAUAUAUUUAAUAGAAGCCCAAGAUUUCGGAAGCACAUAAUUUUUUCAAAAAUCUACAAAGUGUUCUACUUUACAAACUUCUUAUGUCUACCAAUUUCUACUAAAAUUAAUUUCUUUGCGGUGCUCAGAUUCAUCAUGUGUGUGUCCUCAAUUUUAGUGGAAAUUGGAAGUUUCCAUCAUUUUUGUUUUCUGGGAAUUUUCUGAACCAAGGAAAAUCAAGCAAAAUUAAUAAAGCAUAAAAUGAAAAGGGAAAAUAUCUAGAGGAUGCAUUGUAGGAUUGCUCAUGCCAAUAAUUGUACCCUCUAAAUAUAUUGGGACAUAUUUUUUUUUGUUUUCAUGACAUAUGGUCCUAAAAUUAUUGUUCCUAGCGGGCUCUCCACCCCUCUCAAUUGAAAACCUAUUGUGUAAAUCUUCAAUCCUGAACGAUGAACGAUGCACCUAAAACACAUGUUGCAAUACACAUCCACCCAUUCUCAGGCCAAUUAUUGUUCCUAGCGGGCUCUCCACCCCCUCUCAAAUUUAAGUGGUCCAUUAUGAUUAAUCAUGUAUUUUAUGGACCAUCCAGCUGUGAGGUUUUAUCUCAAAAACCUUCGGUACCUUUCUCCCACAUGCCACAAUGGUAUAUUCACAAUUACGUCUGAUACCUCACAUCAUGCCACUUGCCUCAAUUGAAUUUAAGUGGGUGGAGUGUUACUUCUGGGUACCCCUCAUCAUUCGUCUAUAAAAUGGUGAAGCCAGUUGCUACUGUUACCAUAAGAGCCAGCUCCGACUUUCUUUAAUUUCUUGUUUCGUAUCCACUAGCUACAUCUGUUGCCAAGUUAAUUUCAGUCCUAAUGGGGUUUCAUCUCCCACUCAUCUUUGCUAUUCUCAGUGUAAGCUCUGCAAUUUGAUUAAGAUUUCCAUUCUCUCUCAUUGUACUCUAUAUAAACGAAAGUUUUGUGUUCCUACAAUUCUCUCCGAUUUUAUUUAGUAUGUACUUAAGUGUCGUACGUCCACUAAUUAAUUACACUUUGUGAGAUUUGAUUUUAAUUAGAGUUCGAAUUAAUGUUGCAGCUAGCAGCAGUGGGAAACCAUGCUGCUCAACCAGCACCUCAACUUUACUGGAACUCCGUCCUGCCAAACACACAGAUGCCAAGAUCUAUCAGUGUACUUCUGCAUCCUGGUUUGUGUUGAGCACUUUAGAAUCUUAGAUAUCUUUUCUACCUGCCAUUUUACUAAAAUUUGUUCGACCACAUAUUUAUCAGUUAACUACUGUCAUUACAAAUCGGCUGAUCACUUAUUUUGCAUUAUGACGUUGAUAUAUAAUUUGCAGACUCCACAAAUGAAGAAAAGAGCACAUAUAUGAAUGCUGUUGGGAAUGGAAAGGGCAAACCUGAAAUUUUCCCAUUGGGCAUUAGACGUUACGUUCAAAAACGGUAUGGAGGGGGCAUUAGACGUUACAAUCAAGAACGGUAUGGAAAAGGUCCUCCUCCAUCUGACAAUCAACUACUCCAUUAUAAAGACUUGGCUAUUUUCUUCUUCGAGAAGGACAUGCGCCCUGGCGCAACAAUGAAGUUCCAAUUCCCUAGAAAUUCAAACACGGCUACUUUCCUGCCACGCGAAAGUGCUCAAUCGAUCCCCUUCUCCUCUAACAAACUAUCAGAAAUUUUCAACCAUUUUUCAGUGAAGCCAACAUCUGUGGAAGCCAAAACAAUUAAGCAAACAAUCCAAGAGUGUGAAGCUCCAGGCCUUAAGGGAGAGGAAAAAUAUUGCGCCACAUCUUUAGAAUCAAUGGUUGAUUUUAGCACUUCGAAGCUUGGAACAAGAAACGUUGAAGCAAUCUCGACGGAGGUAUUGGAAAGAGGAGCCACCAUGUCCAUGCACAACUAUACAACAAUGCCGGGACUGAAGAAGUUGGCAGGUGACAAAGUCGUUGUGUGUCAUAAGGAGAACUAUCCCUAUGCUGUGUUUUUCUGCCAUGCAAUAAAACAAACAGCAGCAUAUGUUCUCUCCCUGAAAGGCGAUGAUGGGGAGAAGGUUAAAGCAGUAACCAUCUGCCAUCUAGACACAUCAGAAUGGAACCCAGAGCAUUUGUCCUUCCAAAUCCUCAACGUUAAGCCCGGAACAAUUCCCAUCUGCCAUUUCAUUUCCACUGAUGGUAUUGUCUGGGUUCCAAAACACAAAUCUGCAUGAUCAUCACUUAGCACUGUACGUAUAAUAAGCUUGGUUGGGUUGCACCCUAGGCCUGUAUAAUUAACUCCCUACUUAUUUCUGCCUCUUUAGCACUGUACAUAUAUAGACUUCAACUUGUACUCGUAUAGCAUGCUGGAAAAAAAAAGGACCAAUAGGGAGAAAAUGGUGAACUAAGGAGAGACUAAUACUUCUGGUUCUUAGAAGGCAUAACAGAAAUAAUAGAGCACACUGCUUGAAUGCAAGUCAAUAUUGUUAGAAAAUUAGGAGAUUUACUUCCUAAUAUAUUAUGAUUCUAUUUAUUUCCUUUUGUAUUGAUAUUAUGUAAUUAGGACUUUAUCUUAGUUUCCUAGUAUAACCCUACUAGGGUUUGUACUCUUGUAUUAUAAAUACCUCCUUUUGGAGAAUGAAGUAUAAUCUGAAAAUAUUCUAUCCACUUUGUUUGACAUGGUAUCAGAGCAAACUUUUCUAGUGACCUGUGUGUUGUGCCAACCCGUAUUCUAGCCCCAUAUUUUUUCUCUACCUAUGCCGUGUGUGCCCCCCCUCUGGGUUUGUGGGUUGUGUUGUCGUGUUGGUGUCAUUCCUAUCUUCGUGCAUCUGCCGUAUUUGAGCCUUUGCUGUGUUCCGCUGUGUACUCUGUUGUGUUCAUACCUCUAUUGUGUUCGUGCCUGUCUUCGUGCAUCUGCUGUAUUUGUGUCUCUAUUGUGUUCCAUUGUACAAUCUGCCGUGAUCUGUUGAAUUUAUGAUGUAAUCAUAGGUGAUAACUCAUUUGUUGGUGUUGUUGUUGCUGUUUCUGGAAAUUUAUGUGAUUCAGACUCUAUUCCAUUUACUGGCUACAAUACUUAGAUAAUUGAUACUGGUACUUAUGAUCAUAUUGACAGGACUCGCCCCGAAUUUCCUGAAACCCGAGACGAAUUCUGUGGAAAUUCCUGACAUCACCCCGAUGUCGGGCCCACUUCUAAAACUAUAUCCUUUUUCCCCAAAAGGAAUAAAGGCAUAAGACUUUCUACCGAAAUUUCGGUAGAGUCUCCUAUGUAAAUUGAACAUUGCCCAAAAUUUUAACCUGCAUAAAACACAUUUUAUAUUACCCAACUGGCAGCAUGCAUAAAGUAAUAACAUGCAAUUCACAUAAACGGCCUUCGGCCUUCCGAUAAUUGGCAACAAACCACCAAGUACGCUAUCAAAUCAAUUUAUACCUUAAACAAGGCAAACAAUAAAUUCAAUCACACUUAAGAAUGUCAAAGCAAUCCACUACAUUUAAUUUUCUCAACAGCCAACAUACGAGGUUUUAACCUCCUAACACAAACACACUUCGUUCUCACUCAAAUAGCAGGACCAACUUCAAGGUCCGCAUCAUACUCAAUAAUACACAAGUAAAGUUUAAACCGCGGCUGCACCUAGGCACUACCCUAGGCUGCCUACGUACCCUUAUUGAGGGAUCAAGCCACACGUAGUUCUUCCUACUAAAUCCUGAUUUCCAAACACAUACAAUAAUACCUUUAUUCAUCUCUCUGUUAAUCACAUAAUCUUCCCAUACGCCGGAAAUUCCAACUCUACGUAUGGGGUCUGUCAUCACGCCGGAAAAUCCUACGCCACGUGUGACCUAACCAUCAUAUCAUCUCCCUAUACGUCAGAAAUUCCAACACCACGUAUGAGGUCUGUCAUCCAGUCGGAAAAUCCUACGCCACGGGUGACUUGACAAUCACAUAAUCUCUCCAUACACCAGAAAUUCCAACGCCACAUAUAGGGUCUGUCUCAAUGUCGGAAAAUCCUAUGCCACGCGAGACCUAACAAUCACAUAAUCUCCCCAUACGCUGGAAAUUCCAACGCCACGAAUGGAGUCUGUCUCAACGCUGGAAAAUCCUAUGCCACUCGAGACCUAACAAUCACAUAAUCUCCCCAUAUGCCGGAAAUUCCAACGCUACAUAUGGGGUCUGUCAGCAUGCCGGAUAACCUACGCCACGUGUGACUUAACAAUGAUAACAUCUCCCCAUACGCCGGAAAUUCCAACGCCACGUAUGAGGUCUGUCCUCACGCCGGAUAACCUACACCAUAUGGAACCUAACAAUCAUAGGGUGGUACUUAGGGUAGUGCGUAUAGCACUUCAAACCGACAUUCAAAACUCUAUUUAUACCUUUAUAAAUUUAUAUAAAAAUAUAUAUAUUAAGUUCUAAAGUUGUAUAAGCCUCAACCACAAUCUAGCAUCCGAUAAUCCCCCCCAAUUUAAAACAAUAAAUUAAUAUCAUAAACCCACAUAAUCAACAUAACUUAACAACGCUCAAGACCUGUCACUAGUGUCAUUGUAAUCCUCCUAGGAAGGUAAAACUACUUCGGAAGAGUCACGGUCAACUAAGGGUCAAACUACCCAAACUUGGUCAAAUGGGCCCACGGGCCCCACGACCUUCAAAUUCCGAUUCCAACCUACCGAAAUUUCUUAUGGGUUCUACAAGGUUUAGGACACUCGUCUUGCAAGUUUGGUCCAGAUCAGACGGUCGGAUCGCUCACGAUCGCACGAUCGGACGGUUACUAUAAACCUAGCCCUAGGGUUGGUAUUUUCGGAGUAUCCAGGACUCCGUUUUACGAUCCGUCGAAUCCUAUACGAUCUUGAGGAUGUCCAAACUAACAUAUAAUAAAUCUAUGACUAUCCAACGGCUCAAACCUAUUGAACCCAGAUAACGCACAAUAUGCGAAAUCUGUUCAAUAGUCAAACGACGUCCGAAUUGAGAUCCGCGAAAACCUACGCACUCGUGACAACUUGAGGACCUCAUUAGGACAAACUGUAGCUUCACCACCUUUGUCCACGCGCCUGCAGCGCAUGGGUGUGUAGAGUAAAUUCCGAUGAUGGAAAAACUCUACACCACCGCUCACCCUUCCUAUCCUAAAUACUACUCGAGGCAAGGAUCACUUCAUUCAACUACGGGGAGGUCCCAUUUGGACGGCAACUGGCCCAAAUUUCACUUUGAAAUCCGGCCAAAACCUAGGUUUUCAAAUCGGUUUUCUAGACAUCAAAUCGAUCCAAUCCUAUCCCAUAGACAGCUAGAGCUCAGAAAAUAGAUGACAAACCAUACCUCACCCGACGGAAUUGGUGGCUGGAGGAGAAAGAUUGAGCGAUGAGAAGUUCUGUCAAAACCGACUCGUUUUCGACUGAUUCCAGCGAGCACAGUUGACGAUGAUGGCUAAGACUAGUCGGGAAAAGACAAGGGAGAGGUGGUGAUUCGAACGGGACCGGUCUCGAGGCCAGUCGUUGACUGUGGAGGCUGCAAUAGCCUUGAAGGGUGGCGGCUGUAAAAACGAAGGGGAGGGGGGCUGUUCACGAUGGAGGAGAGAGAGAGAUAGAUAGAUAGAUAGAGAAAAAUCUGAAUUUUAUAAAAAUUCCAUUUUGAAAUAAUUACGAUUGUGCCACUGAGUUUCUUUUGACCGUAACUUCCUCGUUACAACUCCAAAUCAAGCCCACUAUGUAUCUAUGAACUCAUCUCGUCGAGCUCUACGCAACGGUAGAGCUGAAAUUCUCAAAUUUCUUCCUGAUCAAAAAGUCAACUUUAAACCCAAUAAAAUAUUCUAUGGGUAUAAUGGUCUUUUAUCUACAUAAAUUAAUAAUUUCCAAUUUAUUUAGGACCGGGUCGUUACACAUAUGACUUAUGAUGCUAUAUUUUUUUAUGAGUUGUCUAGUAAUACUCGUGACCCAUACAUAACUAGUGCUAAUGGCUUGCCCUAUCCAAUUACUGGCGAGGGCAUAAUCUCUCACUCCUACUCUGUCCUUGUCUCGUGUGUUACUCGUUCCCAAUAUCCAUUGUAACUUGUUGUUUGUUGGCCGAUUACUUGAUACACUUAAUGCUUAUGCUACUUUCUAUCCUACACAUUGCUCUUUUCAGGAUCUCAAGACUUGCGAGACGAUUGGGCAUAGUAAACGGAUAGGGGGCUUAUAUUAUUUGACAUUGUCUUCUGCACCAAUUCGUGGUUGUGUCAUUCAUACUGUUCAAAGUUGUAGUGUCAAGGACAAAUAACAAAUUUGGUUAUGGCAUCGUCGCUUGGGACACUCGUCGUUCGGCUAUCUUAAGCGUCUGUUUCCAUCUUUAUUCCGCUCUUGUGACGAGUCCAGUUUUAAGUGUGAGACAUGUAUUUUGGCCAAGAGUCAUCGCACUGUGUUUCUUUUAAGUGACAGUAAAGCUGCAAAACCUUUUGAUUUAGUAUAUUCGGAUGUAUAGGGACCUGCUCGUGUGACUUCUAAUGGUUUCUAUUGGUCUAUUACUUUUAUUGAUGACUGCACUCUCCCCAUAGUCCGGAAUUACCAACGCCACGUAUGGAGCCUGUACGCACGCCGAAAAAUCCUACGCCACGUGGGACCUCAUCAUCAUAUCACAUAGUCUCCCCAUACGCCGGAACUACUAAAGCCACGUAUGGGAUUCGUCUCAACGCCGGAAAAUCCUACGCCACGUGAGACCUUACAAUCACAGGAUGGUACUUACACAAUGUAAUCAAACCAUCUUUAUCUCUUUAAUAUAUAUAUAUAUAUUCCCAAUUUCCCCAAGUUUAAAACAAUAAACUAGUUCCUUAAACCCACUAAUUAACAUAACUCAACUAAUGAUCAAGACCUAUUGAAAGGACUCGCCCCGAAUUUUCUCAAAACCUGAGACGAACCCUUUGGAAGUCCUGACAUCACCUCGAUGCCAGGCCCACUUACUAAAAACCGAGACUUCCUGCCGAAAUUUCGGCAGAGUCUCCCCUAUAAUUUGGACAUUUUCCAAAAUUUAUACCUGCAUGAAAAUGCAUUUAAUAUUCCCAAUUGGCAGCAUGCACAAUAUAAUUUCAUGCAAUUCACAUAAAUGGCCUUCGGCUUUCCAAUAAUUCUUAACCAGUUACCAAACAAUUCAAAUACCAAUUAUGACUAACAUUUAGUCUACGGCUGCGCCUAAUAACCUUAGGCUGCCUACGUACCCUCCUUGAGGGAUCAAGCCACACGUAGUUCUUCCAUAAAACUCAAUUCCACACAUAGGUGAUACCUUAUUUCAUCUCUCUGUAUUUCACAUAAUCUCCCCAUACGCCGGUACAACCAACGCCACGUAUAGGGCCUGUCAACACGCCGGAUAACCUACGCCACGUGCGACCAUGCCAUACUAUCAUCAUAUCUCCCCAUACGCCGGUACAACCAAUACCACGUAUGGGGUCUGUCUCAACGCCGGAUAACCUACGCCACGCGAGACCUGCACAUCAUAUCACAUAACUCCCCAUACGCCGGUACAACCAACGCCACGUAUGGGGCCUGUCCCAACGCCGGAUAACCUACGCCACGCGGGACCUCAACAUCAUAUCACAAAUCUCCCUAUACGCCGGUACAACCAACGCCACGUAUGGGGUCUGUCGACACGCCGGAUAACCUACGCCACGUGCGACCUCAACACAAUAUCACAAUAGCUCCCCAUACGCCGGUACAACCAACGCCACGUAUGGGGCCUGUCUCAACGCCGGAUAACCUACGCCACGUGAGACCUAACUUUCACUUGGUGGUGCUUGUAGUGAAUCCAACAUCCAGGGAGGUACCUAAAGUAGUGCGUAUAGCACUCCAAACUGACAUUCUAGACUCUGUUGUACCCAUGUACAACCAUAUAUAAUUAUAGUUAUAUAAAUUAAUUCUAAUAUUGUGUAACCUUCCACAUUCAUCUAGCACCCGAUAAUCCCCCUUAGAAAGGUGAGAUUACUCCGGGAGACUCACGGUCAACCAAGGGUCAAACUACUCUAACUCUGGUCAACCGGACCUGCAGAACCCACGACCCCCAAUUUCCGAUCCGAAAGUCUCUAUGGGUUCUACCAGGUAUAGGACACUUGUCCUGCAAGUUUGGUUCAGAUCGGACGGUCGAAUUUCUCACGAUCGCACGAUCUGACAAUUAAUAUAAAAUAUAAACUUUAAAAUUAUUAAUCGAAACAUCCGGGGCUCCGAUUCACGAUCCGUGAAUUCCUACACGAUCCUAGAAUUACCUAGAUUAACAUAUAUUAAAUUUGGGACCAUCCGACGGUCCCAACCUGUCGAACCCGGAUAACGUACAAUAUACGAUCGUCCGUUCGAUAGUCAAACGACGUCCGAAUUGAGAUCCGCGAAAUCCUAUGCACUCGUGACAACCUAAGGAUCUCAUCGGAAUACAGUGCUACUUUUUCUACAGUGCCCAAAGCGAUAACGCUUCGCCGGAAAAUCUCAACAUCACGGCUCCAAAAUUCCUACUCUAGGUAUAACACCCUAUUUGGAGCCACUUUUGUUCUUGGACCUACCCCAAAAAGUGGCCGAAAAUGGCCGAUCACGGCAGCCGAAGUUUCGGCCGAUUUUCAAUUCGAAAAUCGAGUUGUCUACGCUAAGAAUCGAUCUAAUCCUACCCAACCAUCAGCUAGAGUAGCUCGAGAGGUUCAAAAUCCAUACCUGGGUCGACGGAAUUGGUGGCCGGAGGAGGGAGAUCGGCGGCUUUGAAGUUUGGACGACGUCGGCCGCUUCAUCUCCAGAUUCCGGCGAAUCCGCGGCGGCUGGCGGCGGGAGGUGGCUGGGGUAGGAAGAGGACGACGGCCCGGUCAUUUUGGUACCGGUCCCGUCGUCAUUGGUGGCCGGAGGAGAGCACGGCCGGCCAAAACGUGGCCGGCGGUCGUCGCGCGCGAGAGAGGAGAGAGAGAGAUCGCGCGGAGGAGAGAGAGAGAGAGAGAGAGAGAGAGAGAGAGAAAACCAGAUUUUUAUAAAAAAAAGUCCCAUUUUGAAAUAUUUACGAUGUGCCACUGGGCUUCUUUUGACCAUAUCUCUCUCGUUACAACUCCGAUUCAAGCCCACUACGUGUCUAUGAACUCGUCUCAGUACGACCUAUCCAAAAAUACAAGUCACGGUCCCAAACUCUCUCCGGUUAAAAAUAUGACUAAAAUACCCUUAAAUAAUGAAAUAAUUAAAUAAGGGUUAAAUUUGGGGUCGGGGUGUUACAUCUAUCACCAGGAUCAUUAUAAUCCUCCGAGGGAGGUGAAACUACCUCGGAAGACUCACGGUCAACCAAGGGUCAAACUACCCAAAUUUAGUCAAACGGGCCCACGAGACCCGCGACCUCCCGAUCUGAAAGUUCCUAUGUGUUCUACAAGGUUUAGGACACUCGUCAUGCAAGUUUGGUCCAGAUCGGACGAUCAGAUAGCUCACGAUCGGACGGUUAUUAUAAACAUAAACUUUAAGUUAUUAAAUCGGAACAUCCGGGGCAAAGAUUCACGAUCCGUGAAUUCCUACACGAUCCUAGAAUUGCCUAGAUUAACAUAUAUUAAUUUUAAGACUAUCCAACGGUCUGAACAUGUCAAACCCGGAUAACGCCUAAUAUGCGAUAUGCGAUAUCCGAUCGAUGAUCAAACAAUAAUCAAAUUCAAAUUCGAGCAUACCGUCACGCUCGAGACGACGAGAGGGUUAUUUUAGAACUCUAAGACAAGCCACCACAUGGCCCACGCGCUGACAGCGCGUGGUUGUCUAGAGAAAUUUCCAGCGGCGGGAAAAACUCCAAACCGCCAGCCAAGACUCCCAGGUUAGGUAAAUCACAUGUAGUGGAACAACUUUUGUUCUUGGACCUACCCCAAAAAGUCGACGGAAGUGGCCGUCGGAGGCCGAAACUGGCCUAAACUUCUAUCGCUUAAUUGACAACCAAAAUGCAGCAAUUGAUCCUAAAUAACCCAACCAGCAGCUAGAUCAGAUUGAGGGGAUGGAAAAGCAUACCUAGAUCGCAUGAUUUGGUUACCGAAAACGUCCGAACGAGCUUCCGAAAAAUCCGCAAAAAACCUUUCGGAUUUCUGCAAUUUCCGGCCAGCACCAGCAGUUCCAGCAGCUGAGGUUGGUCGGAAAAGGAAGAGGAGGUGGCAGCGGUUUGAACAGGUCCGGCCUCGUUGCCGGUGGUGAUCCGUGGUGGCAACUGUGGCUCUUGGAAGCCACGGCUGUGCAGAAAAAUGAAGGGGGAGGGGGCUGCGCGCGUGGGGAGAGAGAGAAAGUGAGAGAGAAUCAGAUUUAUCAAACCUUUUUUUGCCAAAAGUACGAGUAUGCCACUAAGGGUAAUUUGAUCGUAUCUUCUUCGUUACAACUCCGAUUCGAGCCCAUUACGUGUCUACGAACUCAUCUCGCUGUGCUUUACACAACGGUACGGUUGAAAUUCCCAAAUUCCUUCCCAGUCAAAAAGUCAACUUUAAACCUAAUAAAAUAUUCUAUGGGCAAAAUGGUAUUUUCUCUGAAUAAAUUAGUGUUUACUAAUUUAUUUAGGACCGGGUCGUUACAAUACCCAAAAAUUUCCUGUGUCAGAAUCAACACAUGGCAGCAGAGAAAGAAAGGGGAAUAGGACAAAAUAGUUGGUUAUCCAGCUGGAAAUCCUACAGAGCAAGGAUGACUAGUUAUACGAGAAACAGAUGACUAGUCAUCAUUUUAUGAAAUCAAUUUAAUGCAAUGUGAUGGAAUGCACAAUUUACCUUUGUCAAUUUGCUUGAACCUCUAUACGAUAGUUGUUAGUUAAGAACACCUAGAGAAACUAUUCUUAAUCUAAACUUGAGCUUGAUAAAAAUAAUAAAAAUCUUAUUACAAGAUUAUCAAGGAAAGUGUUGUGUCUACCCAAGUGCAAGUAGUCACACGUAGUAAUAAUCUUGGAAGUCCAAGUAUCGUAUCCUCAAGGAGCAGGUAGGCAAAUAUCUGCACACAAAGAAAUAAUUAAACAUACCACAAUAAAAGUGACAAGCAAAAUGGAAAAGUUAUUUAUUUGAUUGUUGUGAAAAUUGAAUUUAAAAAUGAAAUAUCAAUAAUGGAAAUGCUAAGGCAUCAAGGUUCAAUUCUUUAAACAAAAUAUGUUUCAUGCUCUUUACUCCAGAUUAUAACUCGAUUAAAAUCAUCAUCGAGAAACUUUAACCGGAAGAUAAAGAAAUUAAAACCAAUUUAAUUUUUCAAUGUAAUCUUUUAUUAAUGAUUGUUCAGAAAAUGGAAUUGCUUAAUAUCUACUCUUUUAAUUUAAAAGCAUGCCAAGUCAGUUCUUAACAAUGAGAAAAAUAAAAUUGAACUCAUGAAAAGGUAAUAGCACUUAACAUCAAUCAAAAUAAAAGGAUAUGAAAAUAUUGAACAACCAAAAAUAAAAGAAUUUAGCAAUUCAUACCGUAUAUUGGAUUAAAGAACAAUUCACAAACUUACUUAAAGAACAUUCCCUUUAGCCUUAGCUAGAGUUCUAGCAACUCAAUUACAAAGGAAAACAUAAACUAAAUGGAUAAAGAAAUCAGUCAUAGUGGUGCCCUUGCCAAAGAAGUUGAUGGGUAAUUUAUAGUGAAUGAGGUGAGUGGGAAGUUAAUACAUGGGUAAUGAAGGGUUUAAGUAAGGGAUUAAUUGGAUUAAACAUUGGUUGAUGGUGGAGAGUUAGUGGAAAAGAAAUAACGGUGAGGUAAAUAGGCGUUAAAUGGCUAUGAAUGACAUGAAAUAGGCUCUUUAGCUUCAACGGUUGUGUCUUCUCUUCUCCCUCUUUACUUCUCUUUAUAAUCACAAUAAUCCAACAAUCAAUUCUUCAAUAAAAUCCGCCAGCAAUUCUCUUCACACCUAGCUUGAACUUGGACAAAUGUAUGUCUUCAUCUUUUGGCUUUCUAACUUCCUACCGAAGAUAAAUUCACCUAAUAAGUUCACCAAAUUAAUAUAGAAAAUUCAUAAAUCCAGUUGAUGAGAAUAAAAUGUAACAAUAAGUGAAAUUAUAUUUAUUAAGUCAAAAUUAUAUCAUAAAGUCUCCAAAAUAAUAUUAAAAAUAUAUAAUUUAAGACUCUCAUCACAAAGCCAAAAGAAAAACUCAAAAUGCAUACAUUAACAGUUUUGCCAUAUUGAAUUAAUGUCUUCUAGCUAUGUACCUUAUCUUUUUGCCGGGCCAUGAGUUGAAUGUAGAGGCAGAGCAUGGACUUGGGUCAAGUUUGACUUGUAAAAUAAUUAGGAAUUGAAUGGCUCCUACGUUCAAUUAUUUUAUUAUUAUUAUUAUUUUUUGUCCGAGCCAUUCAAUUCCUAAUUAUUUAGAUUUUUGAUCUAGUUAGCAUCCACAAUCAUGCUCUCUAUUUUUUUUUUUUGGUCAUAAAUGCCAUAACUCUUUUUUUAUUGGUCCAUCUCUAUUAAAAAAUAAAAUAAAAAAUAGUUAGCAUUAAAUAAAGGUUUGAAAUUCUCAUUAAAUAAAGCAGCAUUAAAUUAUAGGGAGCAACUAGGAGUCAUUUCUCUCUCCUCAAGUUUAGGAGCUCCUACAGGUCUCCCUAUUUUAGGAGGUAGAUAGGGAGCAUUGUUGGAGUUGUAUUUUUACAAUUUCUCCCUAAAAUUUGUCUAAGGAUGUGGUUUAGGGAGCCCAUUGUGGAUGCUCUCAUCUCAAGGAAAGAAAACCCCAAGUUUGCAAGUAAUUUUUCUACGUAUGUAUAUAUGAAAAACUGACAUUUAUGAAAAUAAUAAACCCAUAUUUUUAUGUAAGCCAACUUUCUAAAUUCAUGUACUGAUAUUUAUUAGGGAAAUAUUGGAGAAACUGAUUAUUUUGAAAAAUUAAAUGUGAAAAACUGAACAAAAUUUUGACGGGUUACAUAUGUCAACUCAUUCAGCAGCUUAGGUUGUGAAGACCUAAGCAACAACCCUAGUGCACUGUCGAUCACUUCAGUGUCUACCGAUUUUCCUUUCCAUAUUGUUAGAUUAUUCCCUGCUGUAACACUUGCAUUUAGAAAAUAAUAGUACAGCUCUUAUUAGCAACAGUUUUACACACUUGCAUGAAUCUCACUAUGUUAAAGCAAUCACAUAGCACACCUUUAUUGAAAACAAAGCUAGCCCUGAUCCACUCCUUUACAUACUUAAAAACAAAACAAAACGAAAAAAAGAUAGGGAGAAAAUGGCUACGGACUUACUGCCGACAAAAAGAGAUAAUAGCGAACACUGUUUGUAUGACAGUGAGUAUGAGAAGAGUAACCGCUGCAAAGAGAGAAAAAGCUGCCCAGGCCCAGGGUGAGUUGAAAUACUUUUGGCUCAAAUAUGCCAACCAUCUGUUCCUGCACUUCUUGCAGUACUUGUUUAGAUUGUCAGCAAGACCACCAAAAUAGAAAUUUUGCUGGUCCGGAGCAACCCCCUUGCAAAGUUGGUUAAUCAUAGUAGAAACCUUAUUGUUGUCACCUAGUGUGUUUACAACAAUUUCACUCUCAACAAGUAAAUCUACAUCCCUUUUGGUUUUUACAAAUUUAUCCAGGAGGAAAACAUAAUCGCUUAAGUAAUUGUCUGUGCAAUGGCAUUGUUCAAAGGCAAUGAGAUUUCUGAGUAUAAGCUCUGUGUCAUCACGUAUUUCUAGUUUUGGAAUUUUCAGAGUUCCAUUAUGGAACUGUAUCGCGAAUAAGUCGUUGCUUGACUCCAGACGACUUGAUUCCGGACGAAACUUAACUCUGGCCUGGUGUAGUUUUGUCACGCUGGGUAUACAUGGGAGUUCUCCAGCUUCUGAGGUACCGGUAUCCAAAUAUUGCACAUGUAAAGUUCUAAUAAAAUCAACAAAAUGUAAAGGUGGUUCAGUCCCCUCCACUUCGUCUUCCGACCUCUGUAAACCCACUACCUUUUUGAAGAAAUGGUAAGAGAGCUUAAUCAUUGAAGGCCUCUCAGUCUCAGAAUUCUUAACUCUGACUUUGCUUGCAUCGAAAAGAUCCUCAAGAAUGAAAAAUGGCAGCUAAUUUUCGGGCAAAAGCAUGUCGGGCACUAUAUUUGUUAACAUUUAUGGUUUUUUAAAUAUCCAGUCAUUAUAUCGUCUCGCAAUUCUUGGAAAUGGUACCUCAACAAUAGCUCAAUGACAAAGGCAGCAUCAACUAGAAUGAUACUUACAAACUUGUCGCUACUCUUGAAGUGCUGAGCGUUUCCAUAACGACCACGGAGUUCAUCUUCUUGGGCCUUUAUUUUCUCUGCAUAAUCCUUCAAGCUAACCUUAUUAUUCCGAUGAAGAAAAUUUUGUAGGUACCUCGGUUUGUACUCUUCCAUGGCUUCUAAUUCUUUGUUGUCAUGGUGAAUUGGGCCUAUUGAGACUACUUCCGGGGUGUAAGCGUUAUUUCUGCCCCGUAGUCACGAAGGAACCCUGUAGAUACAGCACUCAUCAGAGGGCCUAUUGAGACAAACUAUCCAACCGCCGCUUCAAAUCUGCUACUGGGGUUUUGUGGUUUUCUACGCCAUGUGGAGCUCCAUUGCUGCAUCCUUCCACUUCUAUUAUGUGUUGUUCUGAUUGUAAGUGAUGAGGGUUAUUGGCACCAGGGGCGGAUCUAGCCCUUUUUUGGCUAGGCAGCCACCCAGUCGAGAAUUUUCAUAAAAACAAAAUAGGUACGUAUUGUUGUAAAUGUAUGAGUUGGUGGAUGACCACCAUACCUCUUAGCAUUCACCUUUUCUAAUUCUAUGUAACUAUACACUAAAUGCCAUAGUUAUGGACUUGUAACUUAUGAGUUGUUAAUGUUUUCUUACGUGUAAGCCUAUAAAUAAGAGGGCUAUCUUGGCAUAUGUGUUCGUCACUAACUAUAUAAUUUAAGUUGUUUUCAGUGACUAAUUUAAAUAAUUGUCAGAAAAUUUGGUCAUUAAAAAUUAAAAAAUAAGGGUCAAUUAUUUUAGUGACCAUGAAGUAUUAUUAGUCAUUAAAUUCAUUGUAUUUGUGACCAUUAUUUAUGUGGAAUUGGUCACUACUGACCUUUUUUCUUGUAGUGUACAUUCUUGCCUUAAUACAGUUAGGCUUAUUUUUAUACUAAUUUCUCUAACAUAACUUUUGCACAUUCUUUUUAUAUUAUAAUAAAUAAUCUUACCCAGUUGAGUUAUAAACCAUUUUCUUUUAGCACGGAAAAUCGACAUUUUGACAGAGAGUUGAAAAGCACUCCCCAAUUUUAAUGUCAACCACUUGGAAAAAAAAAACAUAAAUUUAAUGACAACAAUUACAUUUAGCAAUGCAACCUAAAAACUCAACCUUUGCGCUCCUUUCACCACGCAGAUAGCAGGGUGAGGAUAUUCGAAUAAGAACGAAGACAGAAGCUAAAGGAAUUGCGAUAGCUAACCAUAGUCUGCAUUUCUUACCAUCUGAACAAUGCCACCAUUUUGUUUGGUAAGUAUUUAAUAACAUUUCUUGCUCUACAUAAAGUAAUAUUAAAGCGAAAUUUCCCUAAAUUUUUCUUACCAACAAUCCAUACCCAAGAAAAGGGGAGAUUCACUAUUAUACUCAAUAUAGGAGCCCAACUUAUUUAUAAUAAUUAUAAAAAAAAACCCUCUAUGAAAUGGACUUUAGAAACACACCUAAAACCUAUUUACAACAAAACAAAAAGACUUUUAACUUUUUUUAAAUUACAAAACUGUCAUUGAUUUCUUAAACAAACCCAACCCCAAAACCUCAUAAAAAAGCCCAAAUACUCAAUAAAGCAGCAAAGUAAUUUAAUAAUAAAAAUUAAAUUCAAUAGAGUCAGCUGUUAUUUUUUGGGUUAUUUUUUAUUUGUUUAUAGAAAUUAAAGAGUGCUGCUAAAAGAACCCUAACAUUAACUAAAUACACCAAAUGAUCUAAGUACACCCUAAUAUUUUAAUUAAAAUACAAAAUUAACUAAGUACACCUUAUUUAACUACCAAAAUUACCCGUGUUACACCCUAAUACACUCUAUCACUGUUCACCCGUUUAGUUUUUGCUCCUGUGAUGGAAGGGUAAAGUUCCCCACUGCCUUGGAAACCAUUGACUGGUCAACAAGUCAGCUUUCUUUGCUAUGUGAGCGUGCCACUGUUAGCAAUGAAAAUCCUAACAGACUUCUUAAAAUGGAUACUUGCGCCCAAGUUACUGAUUUCUAAACAGUGAUUGUGAUUUGGGUGAGGAAUAUCUCCAAGUAAGUUCUUUUCCUGCAUCAGGCUGGUGAAGACUUUAUAAUUUUCACAGUAUAAAUUGGUAGUUCUUGCCAGAAUAGAUGAUAUAAAGUGGACGGUUUUUAGGCAGAACUGCGUUUUACAAAAUUAAGAAGGAAAAAUCAACUCUAAAAAGACAAAAAGAUGGCUGGAAUCCCACUUCUGCCUGGGUAGAAACUUCAGAUCCGGGCUGGACCGAAUACAUUCAUGAUGGACUGAGCUGUUAACAACUUCAAUUGCUUAGCUUUAGCUGUAAAUCGAUACCAAAGUUCAAUUUUGGCAGAGCUUUAAUCUACUUCAAGCCUUGGAAGGCUUUUGAGCGGGCAGAACUGCCGUCUCUUCUGGCUAAAAGAGGCAGAAAUGGCUGAAUUUGAGGUUUACUGAGCUGGAACUGCACUGUUGUACCUGUUCUGCUUGGUCAGGGCUUUCCAUAAAUUUGUUGAGGUUUUCAUAUUUGUGAAAAACUCAAACUCUGCUUGUUUUGGCUUUUGCUGAACCAAAUUUGUAACGAGAGAAGUCUUGUUUUGAAUGACUUUUCUCUAAGUUUGAGCUUUUGAAAUUCUAGGAGAGAGAGAGAGAGAGAGCUUUUGAUUGCUCCAGUUUGUUUGAAGGUUCUCAAUGAUCAAGUGAUCAUUUUGAGUUUUUGCCUUUAGCUUAUUUUUGGUUGUUUGUUUGAUUAUCCUUUGCUCUAUUCACCUUCUCCUAUAUUUAUAAGAAAUGCUUUGAAGUAGGGUUUCUUUCUUUUAAUAAUGGGCGGCCAAAAUUCUCAAAAGGUCUUUCAUUUUUUUAAAUACGAAGAAAAAGGGGUUUUCUCAAUUUUGGCAAAUAAGUUCUCAACAGUCAAUUCCAUUGAAAGAGAACCUGACUUUUCUUUAAUUCCCAACUGCCCUUGUGAGAGCUCAAUCGUGAUGGUCAGUUUGCUUCUCCAUUUUGAACAACUUCCUGUUUCCUGUUUAUCUUUUUAGAAAAUACAAUCUGGGUAUCCCUUGAAAGAUGGUGCCUUUUUUGGAGUAGAAACAAUGUCUCUAAAUAUAAAAGGGUUUUUUUUUUAUCUUUUGGUGGCAAAGAUUUCAAAGACGUCCCUUCUUUUCGCCUGCCUCUGUCAACUUUUUAUCAACCCAGUUGAAAUUGUUGACUUUCCUAAAUCAAAAAAAGAGAUUCACGUGGGUCUGUUCCUUUUGGCUCCUUCCUCUCUUUUAAUCAUGCCUAACCUCUUUUGAUUUUACUGGAGCCAUGGGCUGAUUGCUUCUCUUUUCGAGGCCCAAGUUUAUUUGCAGAGCCCAAACUGCUUGGGCCCUGUGGUUUUGUCUUUGUUGUUUUUGGGCUUUUUAGGCUGGACGUGCCAAAAUUAGGCCCAAACAAUGUCCCCUAAGUUUGAAUCGUUUCUAGAACGGUUCGAGAUUUAAUGAUUUUGGCCAUUAAUUCGUGCGCGCCAACUUCUUUCGUUUAAUGCACGUCUGCCUACCACGAGCUAGACUUCAUGGGAAACUGUUUUGUUACUAGCUAGUUACUUAGCUAGUUAUUAUCAUAUGGCGUCUCGUCUUCCUCUUCCCACGAUUUCAAGCCCCUUUUUUAAGAAAUUCGAAACUCCAACUUCUGUUUAUUUCAAAAACUAGCUUCUUUUUAGACCUCGACAAUUCUUAGUUUUCCCCAGAAUUCUCACUUUUUCUUCGACCAGACUCUGCCUUUCUUAUCAUUUCCUUUCCUAGUUCAACACUUCUGAUCAUGUCUUCUCCCAAGACUCGUGCUCAAGGUUGGUCCUCCUCAGUUCCUCCUAAUUACAUCACUGGGACUGGGAUUGACAAUCACGCGAUAGAGGUUAGAAGCAAACUGAUAGGACCCGCCCCGAAUUUUCCAAAACCCAAGGCGAAUCCUGUGAAAUUUCCGACAUCACCCCGAUGCCGGGCCCACUUACUAAACACCGAGACUUUCUGCCGAAAUUUCGGCAGAGUCUCCCCUAUAAAUUGGACAUUUCCCAAAAUUUCAACCUGCAUAAAAACACAUUUAAUAUUCCCAACGGGCAGCAUGCACAAAAUAAUUUCAUCCAAUUCACAUAACGGCCUUCGGCCUUUCAAUAAUUUUCAACAAACUACCAAGCACACUAACAAAUCAAUUCAUGCCUCAAACAAGGCAACCAAUAAAUUCAAAUAUGCAUUAUGACUACCAAAUUUCGACAUGCAUCAUUUUGCUUUUCCAAUCUCAAUAGAUGAGGUUUUAACCUCCUAACACAAUCACAUCUAUGUUCGCGGCUGCACCUAAUAACCUUAGGCUGCCUACGUACCCUCACUGAGGGAUCAAGACACACGUAGUUCUUCCUUAAACCCAAUUCCACACAUAGGCAAUACCUUUAUUCAUUUCUCUGUAUUUCACAUAAUCUCCUCAUACGCCUGUACUACCAACGCCACGUAUGGGGUCUGUCAACACACUGGGUAACCUACGCCACGUGCGACCUCACCAUAUUAUCACAUAAUCUCCCCAUACGCCUGUACUACCAACGCCACGUAUGGGGCCUAUCGACACGUUGGAUAACCUAUGCCACGUGCGACCUCAACAUAAUAUCACAUAAUCUCCCCAUACGUCAAUACAACCAACGCCACGUAUGGGGUCUGUCUCAACGCCGGAUAACCUACGCCACGCGAGACCUGAACAUCAUAUCACAAUAGCUUGCCAUACGCUGGUACAACCAACGCCACAUAUGGGAUCUGUCGACACGCCGGAUAACCUACCCCACGUACGACCUCAAUAUAAUAUCACAUAAUCUCCCCAUACGCCGGUACAACCAACGCCACGUAUGGGGUCUGUGUUAAAGCCGGAUAACCUACGCCACGCGAGACCUGAACAUCAUAUCACAAUAUCUCUCCAUACUCCAGUACAACCAACGCCACGUAUGGGGUAUGUGGACACGCCGGAUAACCUACGCCACGUGCGACCUCGAUAUAUUGUCAGGUAAUCUCCCCAUAUGCCGGUACUAUCAAUGCCACGUAUGGGACCUGUCCGCAAGCCGGAUAACCUACGCCACGUGGGACCUAACUUUCACAGGGUGGUACUUGUAGUGUAACCAAAAUCCGGAAAGGUGCCUAGGGUAGUGCGUAUAGCACUUCAAACUGACAUUCUAGACUCUUUAUACCUUUACAAACAUAUAUAAACAUAUAUAAUUUAAUUCUAAUUGUGUAAACCUCAACAAUAGUCUAGCACCCAAUAAUCCCCCUAGGAAGGUGAGACUACUCCGAAAGACUCACGGUCGACCAAGGGUCAAACUACCCUAACAUUGGUCAAACAGGCCCACGGGGCCCACGACCUCCAAAUUCUGAUCCGAAAGUUCCUAUGAGUUCUCCGAGUUAUAGGACACUCGUCCUGCAAGUUUAGUCCAGAUCGGACGAUCAGAUCGCUCACGAUCGCACGAUCUGACGGUUAAUAUAAAACAUAAACUUUAAAUUAAUAAAUCAAAACAUCCGGCACUCCGAUUCACGAUCCGUGAAUUCCUACACGAUCCUAGAAAUACCUAGAUUAACAUAUAUUAAAUUCAAGACCAUCCAACGGUCCCAACCUAUCGAACCCAGAUAACGCGCAAUAGGCGGUAUCCGUUCGAUAUUUCCCUUUAAUAAUUUAAAUAAGGGAUUUAAUUUGGAGUCGGGGUGUUACAAUCUACCCUCCUUAUAAAAAUUUCAUCCUCGAAAUUUCAUACCUGCUAGAAGAGGAAUCUGCCAGAACUGACUUUAGGAAGAAGUUCCUGAGUGUCACUCUGCCAAGAGAUCUGCCCCACGGAGGUGGGAAGCCUCCAAACUAUCAUUUGGGAGCAGAAGUCUAUCAUCGCAACUUCUGUGCAAGGCAACUUGGCUGCCCCAGCUUAUUCCACUAAAAUCAUACAGAAGCUGCAAUCGGGCCACUUCCUUGAGAGAUGCGGAUGAUCUGGAAGUGCACAAAGAUGCUAGAUGUGCAGUAAACAAGAUAAAUAACAGCGCAGAUGCCCUCUAUCCAGCCUGGGAACUGAACUCCUGCAGUUCUGCCGAUUUUGACGCUUGGUGGAAAUCCAGGUUUCAUGGUCUGCCAGCCUCCAUUGCUGCACUCAAGGUGAUUUUUGAGGGCUGGGACUCCUGGACUGUCUACGCGGAGGUGGAUGCCAAGAACUUCAUGGUGCAGACCAUCAAAGACAUUAAUGCCCAGGGUAUAGAAGGUAACUUUCAAUUCUGUCUGUCUUGCCUAUUCUGUCUCUUAGUGAUGAUGCCUAACAGUUUUGUUCUGUAUAUAUCAGACCCUUAUUUGACAGAAAACAUAGGUGGACAGUCUGUCCAAGCUGGAGAUGUGAUUGGUAAGUUUUUCACUAUUCUGUUCCUUUCAUUAUUUUCUUGCUUGAUUGACUUCUGACUUUGUCUAUUUCUUGUGUAGUCAUUGCUGUCAUUGCUGCUGGGACUUGGAGCUUCCCUCUGGAGAUGAAGAGGAUCUAGCUGCUGAGGCUAUUCCUUUUGGCAGAACAUCCAGCUGCUGAGGCCAUUCUUUCUAGCAGAAGGAAGAGAAAGGAAAUUUCUUCUGCCCAGCACAGUGCUGCUCAGCCUGCGACUUCAGGUAAGUUCUGACAGUUUGAGCUUUUCGUAAUUCUAUUUUGUCCUAUUCUGCCUUAUGUUCUAAUGGUUUAUUGUCUGCUUAUUGUAGCUGAAAGUUCCUCUCCUCCUCCUACUAAGUCAAAAAGACUUAAAAAGAGGACUGUGGUGGAAUAUAUGGCCAUGGAGGAGUCUGCAGCAGUUCCCACCAACACUUCUGGGACGGAUGAAGAGCUGAGAGAGGCCUUCAAGACAGUGGAAUAGGAGAAAGAGCUAGAAGAAACAGAAGAAGAACCUCAAGAAAAGGCAAAAGAAAUGGAAGAAAAUGUGAGUAUUGUUUUCUGGCUAUGUCAGCUUUUCUUUUGUUUCUUCAUUUCCUCUGUUCUGACUUCUGUCUAUGUAUAGAAGGAAAUCCCCGCUGAAGUGAUUGCAUAGAGCAUUGCUUUGGCGCAGAGGCAGCAGGAGAAUCAAAGGGCAGAGCUGACCAGCUCGGAGUUGGCCCUUUUUGAAGACGCAGAGGCAGAACACUCAACUGUUGUUCCAGCAGCUGAGGAGCAGGUGGAGCAGUCUGCAUCAGAGCCUGUGGAGCGAGCAGAACUACCUGUUGCAGUCCCAGCACCUGGAGUGGAAGUGGCUGCUGUUGUUCCCGAAGUUGUGGUAAUUUUUAUUCUACUUCUGUCCACCUGUUUCCUGCAAUUCUGUUCUGUCUGUGCUUCCUUAUCUAUUAGUCUUUUCAGGUAGAAGUGCCUAGGCCUGCUGGGGUUUUGGCAGUGGUGACCAGCCCCUUGAAGCCUCUCAUCGUUGCUGUAAGUGUUAAUGCAUUCCUGGGCUUUUUCUUUUCUGUCUCUGCCUAGUUCCUACUCUUGUUCUUUUCUGCAUAUGCCUAUCCAUUCCCUUCCAAGUUCAUCUGCCACAGCUUCCUAUGCUGAUUCGGAGCUGGCAGAAUUUGAGGCUCUGGAUCUGAACGCCCAGCUAGACAAGCUGAACCCUAAACCCUUGAGAAACUCAGCUCCACUCCUUGCAAGGCAAAGUCCAAGGCAGUGGAGGAGGCUAUGGAGAGACUGAAGAUCUGGCAAUCAACUGAUCUGGAGCUGGAUAAGGACAGGGAAGCUGUUGACCAAUUGAUGAAGGAUCUGGACCUUCUGCACAGACAGAACAUGGCCCCCAAACCCAUACUUGAGAUGAGCCUUGGCUUGGGAAGAGAUGUGCUCAACCUCCACGACCGUUACGAGGAUCUCAAGCCCACCUUCAAGACCUCUGAGUUCUGCAAAGCCACCCAUAAAGCCAACUUGGCUGACUAUGCAAAGCAGAAGGCAGAACUGGACCAGAUGGUUGCAGGAUACAAGGAAGCCAAAGCCACUAUAGACAAGUUGGAGAAGCAGAUUGAAGAGCUUCAAAAACAAUUGGCAGAGUGCAGAGAGGUGCAGAGCAGGCUCGGGGCUAGACUGAGCUCUAAGACCAAGGCCACCUUCCUUGUGUAGAAUAUGGUUUCAGCUUCUAGGCCAGCUUUGGAAAUUGCAGAGGCUUCAAUCCACCAGGGGUGCUACUUCAGAAGGAACUCUCCAUUAAAAAGGCCAACUUGCAAGAAACCCUUAGGAAAUUAGGGUUUUAGAUUCUAGUUUUUUUUUAAAGAAAUGUAAUAAAUAAUUUAGCCAUAAAAAGUGGCUAUAUUUAAAUAAAAGUUCAUUUAUUUUUGUGGGAAUUCCAAAUUCUUUCGACAAAAAGAAAAGAGAGAAAAAGUAAUUUAAAGCAUACUUAACAAAUUACAACGAAAAUGAAAGUGAUCAGAAAUUCAAACAACAGUUUUAUCUUGCUGUCUCUCUAUUCCGGGAUCUGUCUGUACCGCCUGUGAAUCCCACAUAGUUGGAUAGAACUUUUUUAACCAUUUGUCAUUAAUUGGUGCAGUAUGGACAUCUCCAUCUCGAUCAUGUAAUCUGUAUGCCCCCAUUCCAAGGAUCUGAUUAAUUAUGAAAGGACCUUCCCAUGUAGGUGACCAUUUUCCAUAACCAUCUAUAUGCGUUCCAAGGGGCAGAACUGCUUUCUAGACUAUUUCCCCCUCUUCAAAACUCUUGUUCUUGACUCUUUUGUUGUAAGCCCUUGAUACAGCUUCCUUUCCUGCUAAGAGUUUGUUGAGGGUAUCGAUCCUGCUUGUAUCCAAUCCUUCCAGUUCUAGCAUCAUAGCUUGAGAGUAGUCUUCUCCAACCAAACUGUGUUGAUGAGCAAUUCUGAGGGAUUGGACUGCUAUCUCCAUAGGCAGAAUUGCAUCGUGGCCAUAGGUGGUCAUGCCAGUUGCUUCUCUUCUUGAAGUUCUAUAUGCCCACAGAGUUUCUGACAACUUCUCAUGCUACUAUUUUGGAUUUUUCUCAAGCAUUUUUCUGAUAAUGUUGAUGAUCACCUUGUUACUUGAUUCUGCCUGCCCAUUAGCUUGGGCAUAAUAAGGGGUGGAUUGAAGCAGUUUGAAUUUAAAUGCUCCUGCCAUUUCCAACAUUUCUCCAGAUAUGAAAGAAGAUCCCCUAUCAGUUGUGAUUGAUUCUGGAAUGCCAAACCUUUGUAUAAUCUGCUCUUCUAUGAAAGUGAUGAUUUCUUGAGAUGCUGUGGACUUAACAGGCUUGGCUUCCACCCAUUUGGUAAAAUAAUCUGUAGCUACAAUAAUAAAACAGUGUUGUUUGCUACUGGCUGGAUAAAUCUUACCAAUGAGAUCCAUUGCCCAUCCUCUGAAAGGCCAUAGUUUUACUACUAGAUUCAUGGGAACUGAAAGAGCCUGCUGGAUUAGCCGAGCCAUUUCCUUUUAUGCUACCGAUUUCUUUUAUGCUACUGAGCCGGGCAAAACCAAUAAAAUAAAGAAAGGCAACGAAUUUAUUAACCGAGUAUAAAGGAGAGAGAGGGAUUCGAACCCUCGAUAGUUCUUUGUUUCGAACUAUACCGGUUUUCAAGACCGGAGCUAUCAACAACUCGGCCAUCUCUCCGAAAUAAAAUUUAUAUUUUAUUCCACCUAAUAGAACAUGGACAUAUGAGUUGAUACGAUUACUAUCUAUAGAAAGAUAUCAGGUGUGAGUCUAUAGGUCUAUCUAUCUGUAUAUAUAUAUAUAAUAUAGAUGCAUGAUCCAGCAAGCAUGCCCCUGAAGUUGACUUACGCUCAAAUGUAGAAGAAUCAGCCAUGGCAAAUAGGUAGCUGAAUUGCAGCGGAAUAGAUGAGCAACGGUGUCACUCCCCCUCAUAUCCAACGAUGUAUAAGAGUCGAGAUUUGGAGAAAGCAAUACCGAAAAAUAAAGUUGCAGAACUCAAAUAAAGUUGCAUCUAUCUCCCCAUCAAAUCCGACACUGGUAAAGGGUCGAGAUUUGAAAGAGGAGAAAUUGAAAUAAUAGUAAAGAGACUCAAACAUGCAGUCUCAUGGCAGAAACAAAUGCAAGAGGGGAAGAUGGUAGCAUACGGUUGUCCCAUGAAGAAAAAACUUUAGAAAAGGAGAAUAGUAAGGGAGGAAACCCAGCAAAUCAUGAACAGAGACAAAGACAAAGAUAAGGUACUCAAACUGAGAAGCGGAAAGGCAACUCAAGAGAGCAACCGAAGAAGACAGAGGCCCGCAGAACAGUCAAAGGAAAGGCUCGGCGAGUGGUGACGAUGCUCGCGGAGGAAAGCAACGGCUCGGUGAGCAGUGACGAGGCUCACGGAGUAAAGAGACUUGUUAUGAAGUUUCAAAGAUAGAGAAGCUGAGACAUCAAGAAAGACCAUCUGGCAUACAAAGAUGAAAAAUAAAAUUUUUGGAACAGUAGCAAAGAAGCAUGUGAAGGCUAGGUGCGGUGAAAACACAUAUGAAAGGAUGAACAAAAGAAGAUGACUAUACAAGAUGAAGACCCAUGAUGGGUUAGAAAUGAGGAGUGCCAACGACUCUCAAUUUGGCAGAGGCUAUCACAGGUUAGGAACCUGGCUCUGAUACCAUGUCAAACAAAGUAGGGUAAAUAUUCAGUUAUGCUCAGAUAUGCUCAUAUUAUUAUUCUUCUCCAAUAUGGAGAUAUUUAUACAAGUACAAAGAUGUGUUAACCCUAAAUAAAAUAGAAAAUAUAUCUAAAUUACAAUUGGAAGUAAAUCUCUAUUACAAUAUGAGUAAAUAAUAAUUGAUAAGUAACCAAAAUUCUAAUGAAAUAAGGAACUAAAAUCCUAAGUAAGUAAGGACUCGCCAACGAAUAAUAGUACAACUCUUAUUAGCAACAGGUUACAAACUUCUUCUACAACACACCAACAUGAAUCUAGCCCUGAUCAAUUCUUUUACAUACUUGAAAACAAAACAAAACACGAAAAACAAAAAACAAGAAACAAGAUAGGGAGAAAAUGGCUACGGAGAGACUUACCGCUAAUACUUGAUCAAUAACAGAGAUAAUAGAGCACACUGUUUGUAUGACAAUGAGUAUCAGAAGAAUAAUAGCUGCAAAGAGAGAAAUAGCUGCCCAAGGUGUGUUGAAAUACUUUUGUCUCAAAUUUGCCUUCCGUCUGUUCGUGGUCUUCUUGCAGUACUCGUUUAGUUUGCCAGCAAGAUCACCAAAAUAGUAGUUUCCGUGGUUCGGAGCAACUUUACUGCAAAGCUUGUUAAUCAUAAUGGAAACCUUAUUGUUGUCACCUAGCGUGUUUACAACAAUUCCAUUGUCAACAAGCAACUCUACAUCCUUUGGGGUGUUUACAAAUUUAUCCAGGAUGAAAACAUAAUCGCUUAUGUAUUUAUCCACGCAAUUGCCUUGUUCAAAGGCAAUGAGAUUUCUAUGUGUAAGCUGUGUAAUCAUGUAUUUCAAUUUUUGGAAUUUCCAAGGUGUUUUUCUUGAACUGUAUAUCGAAUAAGUUCUUGCUUGAUCCCACGUUAAACUUAACUCCGGCCUGGUGUAGUUUUGUCAUGCUGGGUGUACUUUGGAGCCCUCCAUUUUUUUUUCUUUUGGCAGAUGUAAAGUUCUAAUAAAAUCAACAAAAUGUAAAGGUUUUUUAGGAUCAGGAGGCAUAAAAGACUUACGGAAGGCUGGUGAGUUCUCCAAGUUUUCUAAACGCAGUGCCUGUUGGAAGAACUUGUAAGAGAGUUCAAUUAUUGAAGGCUCCCCAGUCUGAGCACCUGUGAGAUUGUAAAGAUCCUUGAGAAUGAAAAAUGGCAGCUGAUUUACGAGCAUAAGCAUGUCAGGCAAUAUAUUUUGUAGCACCCAUGGUUUUUUAAAUAUCCAAGCAUUAUCAUCCUGCAAUUUUUCUUCCUGAAAUUUUUCUUCGGAUUUAUUCCUCAACAAUAGCUCAAUGACAAAGGCGGCAUCAACUAGACUGAUAUUCACAAAAGCAGCAAUGUUAAACUUCUUAGGGCUAGUUUGGCGUUGCUGUGUUUUAAAAAAAAAUAUGCUUCUGCUGUGCUGUGAAAAUAAUCAGCUGUGAAAAAAAGCUACUAAGCGUUUGGUAAACUGUUUUUGAAAAACUGUUGUGAGUAGUCAAAGUGUUUGGUAAAUUUUUAUCAGAAGUGUUUUUAGUGUGUAUAAUGACCAAAAAGGACAUGAUGAUGAAAUUGUUUGUUAUUUUCUUCAUUCUUUUUCUACUUUUUUUUUUAAAAAAAAAACCCAAUUUCACUACAUAAAUUUUUAUUCUUUUUUAAUUCACACCUUUUUAUCAAAAAAUUUAAUCUACAAUUAACAUACAUAUUUUACCAUAAAUUAUAAAUUACUAUUAUAACAAAAGUAAUUCUAAAUAUUGUUAUAUUAAUAUGGGCUUCGGACAUGACAAAAAUACAAAAAUUGUUCAAUUUUAAAAUGCCCCAAUAGAUCACUACAAUAUAAAAGAAGCUAAUUAGAUGCAUUCAUUAAACUUGUAGCGAUGCUAUUUCUUAAUGCAUUCAUUAGCUUCUUUUUUUGGUUUCCAAUGGUUCUCUAACAAUUUUAACUAAAAAAACAACCAUAAUGCUUUGUGAACAAUAAAUUCAAGUCCAAAUCUACUAAUGCCCACACCAUACAUAUAUACAUAAUUGUUUCUUUCAUAAAACUUGAAGAUUCAAUAGUAAUUACACAGUUUACCAAUCUUGAUUCCAACUAUAUCCAUAAAAUUAAACUAUAAUUAGAAACAGAGGAGCUACAUGUGAUUACUUAUAAAUGUUGCCCACUCUCAUCAUCAUCUUCUUCCUCCUCUGUACUUUGCCUUUCACAAAUGGACAAGACCAGAUGGUAACGUACACGACAUGGUCCACAUAUAGAUAAAUUUUGGGUUCACUGGAGAACAUAAAAGAGUUUUUACACGAAUACAAAGUUAGUUAAGUAGUGAAUAAGGUAAAACUAUUCUGUACAAUUCUAGCUGAUGCAGUCCAAAAAGAAUAUAUGUCUAAUAACUUAAAUAACAAUAAAGAGAAACAAAAACCUCAUGAAAAAUGCUAGAGUAAAAGUUACAUAACUGAAUCGAUGGACAGAGAACUCCACAGGCAGAGAAACAGCAACAAAAAUUGUCAAAACAGUAGCAAGACCAUGUUGGAGUCAAGGCCAAAGAUCAUAUUUCCUGUGUAUCUUCUUCCAUUCUGAAUUAUUCUCGUAUUCAAAUACUGUAACUCUAUUUCAAGUGCACCCCAAAAUACUUAUCUAAGGCCAGUACAUAGGACUUCAUAAAGGGUGCCAUAAAAAAUAUUGCCCCUUAAUUGAUAAACAGAACCAAGAUCCCAAUGGCACACCAAAACUAUACCAACCACACCUACAUAAUAUGGACAGAAAAUCCUGUUGUUCUGACCUCUAACCACACCAAUGACAUUCAUUAGGAAAAUACAAAAGAUGGGUACCCUGCAUUUCUAACAUUUAAGAUAAAAUUCACUGCCAGCUAAUCACAAAUUUGAAAAGAUGGCAAGAAAAUUGGCUAUGCUUUAACAAAAACCAGAGCAGUCCUUGCAUAGACCUGACUUUUUGCUCCAAGCUUUAGCAGAUCACUUACUGGUAGAGAGCAGAGAACAUGUAUGUGAAUAUCUGAAGUUGGAAGGGUAAGCCAUCACAAACACCAAGAGAUCUGAUUCUCAUCUCUUGUUACAACAACAAAUCACAAACACCAAUACAUCUGAUUCAGAAUCUCAUAAACAAUGGAGGAACAAACACAUAUUCACACACAUAUAAAUCCCUAAACCGAAAAAAAAAAAAAAAAAAAAAAAAAAAAAAAAAAAAAAAAACAUGAAAGUAAUAGGAGAAUCAAAUUGAUUUGGGCCAAAAUUGCCUAAAAAGAAAACACUCCUAAAUAAACUUCAAUUCACUUUUAAAAACAGUAAAACGUGAUUGAAUCGUUCUUUAAAACAAUUCCCUAAUAUACAUGCAUGAUAAUGACAUCAUUUACCCCUAAAUCAAAUGCCUUUCACUGGUUAAGCCACAAGUCUGUGUUUUGGGGAUUGCUGAGCUGCAUCAAUCCUGCCAAUGUCAAUUCUGCCCCUAGGCUCUCUCAAAGUGCAUUUACAACCUAUGCUAACAUAUACUAGAGUUUGUGCUAGUAUCUAGAAAAUGCCAACACUAAUUUCGUAACACGUAGAAAUUGUUACAUAUUGGAAGUUUUUAUCAUUUUUUCUUCCAGUCUCUCCACCACUCACUAAUACAGAUUACUCAUGUGAUGAGUUUACAAAACCUAUUUCUCUACUCCCACAAAGACCAUACUUUUUCUCAAAAGACUAUAUCACUUUAUCUCUAUCUUUGUGAAAUGUAAAAAGUUGAAACUUUAAUGUCAAAUCUCGACAAAAGAUGAACUUCCAUCAAUUACAUUGAAUUUGAAUUUGUUGAACUUAAGUGGUUUUACUUUCUCUGUCAGCGUUUGAUGACUUGAUUUGUUAUUUACUUCUUCUUUUUUCCUUGGAAAUGUGUUCCAUCAACGUGAGGAAGAAAAAUAUGCACAAAUUAAUAUAUUUAAUAGAAGCACAAAUUAAUAUUUACAAAAAUAUGCACAAAUCAAGUAAAAUUAAUAAAGCAUAAAUUGGAAAGGGAAAAUAUGUAGAGGAUGCAUUGUAGGAUUGCUCAUGCCAAUAAUUGUACCCUCUAAAUAUAUAGGGACAUAAUUUUUUUUGUUUUCAUGACAUGUGGUCCUCAAAUUAUUGUUCUUAGCGGACUCUCCACCCCUCUCGAUUGAAAGCCUAUUGUGUAAAUCUUCAAUCCUGAAUGAUCCACCUAAAACUCAUGUUGCAAUACACAUCCACCCAUUCUCAGGCCAAUUAUUACUCCUAGUGGGCUCUCCACCCCCUCUCAAAUUUAAGUGGUCCAUUAUUAUUAACCAUAUAUUUUAUGGACCAGCUAGCUGUGAGGUUUUAUCUCAAAAACCUUUCUCUCACAUGCCACAAUUUAUGUCUGAUACAUCACAUCAUGCCAGUUGUCUCAAAUGAAUUUAAGUGAGUGAGGCAGUGUUACUUCUGGGUACCCCUCAUCGUUCGUGUAUAAAAUGGUGAAGCCAGUUGCUACUGUUACCAUAAGAGCCAGCUCCGACUUUCAAAAUAAAAAUUCCAACAAUGAUCUUAGUGCCUUCAAACGCAUGAGUUACUGAACAUGCAAAUAAAUACACUAUGAAUAAUAAAAGUGUUUGAUAAAUCACCAAAUUAUGGAACACUUGAUGAUUUAUCUCAAAUAAAAAUUCCAAGGCUUAUUUUAUAGAAUUUUUCUUUAUUACAAGAAAGAAAACAUGUUGAAAACCAAAUCUCCAAUUUCCAAGGCUUGACAGAAAAUCAAAAAAAUAUCUUUCCUAUUCUAGAGAUUGGUCACAUGUAGUUCAGAAAAUCAAAAAAAUAUCUUUCCUAUUCUAGAGAUUGGUCACAUGUAGUUCAACCAAUAGGAAAUGAGAUAUUUAAGAAAGCAAGAUUUUGAUCAAUAUCAAUAUCAAAUGAAUUCUUAUACGCCUAGUCAACUAUUAAGGGUAUCUUGACUCUUUGAUAUUGUGAUAUGAUUGAAACAUGAUUUCCAUGUUAGAAAAUUAAGGGGAUGUUAAAACAUGAAAGUAAUAGGAGAAUCAAAUUGAUUUGGACUAAAAUUGCCUAAAAAGAAAACACUCCUAAAUAAACUUCAAUUCACUUUUAAAAAUCGUAAAACAUGAUUGAAUCGUUUUUUUAAAACAAUUCCCUAAUAUACAUGCAUGAUAAUGACAUCACUUACCCCUAAAUCAAAUUGUCACGCCCCGGACCUGGGGGUCAGUGGAAAUCCCGCGCCCGGUGCGUGAGAAAAUAAAAAGUAAAAUAAAAUAAAAAGAAAGCCGAAACAAGGGUUUAAAAUAAACUUCUCUUAUAAAAAUAACUCUAAAAUCUUAUAACUUUACAAGAAAUAAAUAAAGCUCUAUCAUUCUUAUCUAAUUCAGACUCAACUGGUUUAGUCCUUGUCUUGCCCACUAAUUCAUCUGAAAAAUUAAGAGUGUUGCUAAACGAACCCUAAAAUUAAUUGAGUACACCAUACUACCAAACAAUUUAUUGAAUUUGUCAAGGUUUUGUUUCUGGGAACUCACGAGCAACUUUCCAGUGGGUUACCCAUCCUAGGAUUGCUCUAGCCCACAACUCGCUUAACUUCGGAGUUCCUACGACUCCGAAGCCAGUGAGCUCCCAAAAGGCCUCGUGCUAGAUGGAUGCGGGUGUGCACAUAUAAGGCACAUCACCACCUCUCCGUUGAUUGAUGUGGGAUCUUACAAAAUUACUAAUUUAUUCUAAUAUAAAAUGAUCAAAAAAGAUAAAAUAAUAUUGGUAUCUAUUGCUUUGAAUCCAUGCCUUCAAACAAAUUGACUUAAUUUUUAACAAACAACACGGAGUCCAGGAGAAGUGUAUUGAUCCAAGUUGAUUUUUGUAUGCAUAAAACUUAAACAAUCAAUAACACAAAGCAGUUCAUGCUGAAAUAUUGGAAACCCACACCCAAAGAGUUCUCCGCUGCGAGGUUGAAGGCAGGAGAGAUGGGUGACAGAUUUUACUUCCACUGCGAAGUUGGAGGCUAGGAGAGUCUGUGACUGCCAUGGUUGAGGGAGAAGAUGCGUUCAAAAUGCCUAUUGAUAUUUUACAUUAUUUUCUAUACAAGUUAACAGUGUUUGUGUAUUGUUAAAGGUGGAGAGACGUGUCAAAAUUUUAGACAAAGGACAGGAGGAGAUAGGGAAUUUGGGGACAGCAGAUCUCAACUCCCUUGAGACCCUAUUCUCUACGCCACCCCUCCCCCUCAACAACCCUAGUCACCAUUUCUCCUUCAACUCCAACGGCAACUCAUUAAAACCCAAUUCUCAAAUGCAACAAUCUAAUCCCAAUCCCAAUUCAGAUGUUUCUAAAAAACCAAUGGUUGUCGUGGUGGAGAACUGCAAUUCCAGGUGGUGGUGGUACCACAUGGGAGAGAGAAAAAAGAAGAAGAAGAAGCAGCAGAGAGAGAGUUUUUUAUUAUAUUAUUAUUUUACUGUAAUUUUUUAAUUUAAAAAAUUAAAAAAAUUAAAAAUUAAAGAGGAUGUACCAUGGGUAUUUUUGGUAGUUAAAUAGGGUGUACUUAGUUAAUUUUCAAUUUAAUUUAAACAUUAGAGUGUACUCAGUUAAUUUUAGGGUUCAUUUAGCAGCACUCAAAAUUAAACAAGGUAAGGGAUGAGCAAGUAGGGACAUGAGACCUUGCCACAGUAGAUUGAUAUAACUAAAUAUUAUCAUAAACAUCGAAAUAUAUAAAUAUUAUUAUGAUAGGAUUCAUAAUAAUUAAUAUAAAAGUAUAACAACAAGAUUUACAUUUAUGUACCAAGAUAAUUACACAUAUAAAUAUAACCAAUAUAUAUUUUUAUAUAUUUUAAAAUACAAGUCUUUACGUAAAUGCCCUUCACGGGUCAAGCCACAAGUCUGUGUUUUGGGGAUUGCUUAGCUGCAUCAAUCCUGCCAAUGUCAAUUUUGCCCCUGGGCUCUCUCAAAGUACGUUUAAAACCUAUGCUAACAUAUACUAGAGUUUAUGCUGUAUCUAGAAAAUGCCAACACUAAUUUCGUAACACGUAGAAAUUGUUAGAGAUUGGAAGUUUUUAUCAUUUUUUCUUCCAGUCUCUCCACCACUUAUUAAUACAGAUUACUCAUGUGAUGAGUUUACAAAACCUAUUUCUCUACUCUAGCAAAGACUAUACUUCUUCUCAAAAGACUAGAUCACUUUACCUCUAUCUCUGUGAAAUGUAAAAAGUUGAAACUUUAAUGUCAAACCUCGACAAAGUGUUCUACUUUACAAACUUCUUGUGUCUACCAAUUUCUACUAAAAUUAAUUUCUCUACGGUGCUCAGAUUCAUCAUAUGUGUGUCCUUAAUUUUAGUGGAAAUUGGAAGUUUCCAUAAUUUUUGCUUUAAGUCACUCUUCUGAAGGAAGUUGAGGUUCCACUCCAUAAUCCAAAAUGUCAGGUUGACUUAUGGCAAACAAUGUAAAUAUGUAGGAGUACUAUGACCUUUUAUAGCAUUUUUAGUUUGAAUUUGGGUUUUAUACAUAGAUUUCGAAAUUAAUAGGUUGAUGCCUAGGAAAUAGAAAUUGUAAGGGCCUAUAUUAGACUAGCCCUCUUAAAAAAUAUAUUAAUUAAUGAAUAUUUGUUCUUCUUGUUGUUUUGAAGUAGUGGUGGGAGGCAUACCAACAAAAAAAAAAAUAUAGUGAAGGCUUAUAAGAGCAUUUACAAUCAUGCUCCCUAUUUUUUAGUUAAAAUUUAGCUAAAAAUAGAAAAAAGUUAUUAUAGGAGCUCUUUAUAAAAUUUGAACUCCAAUCAUACUCCCUAGUUUAGGGAGUCAAAAAUACUAUAGUUAUUUUUUAAUUCAAUUUGAUUUUGGUUAAUCUCUAUAAAUAAAUAAAAAUAUGAAAAAAUAGUUAACAUUAAUUAAAAGUUUAAACUAUGCAUAAAACAAAGAAACAUUAAAUUAUAGGGAGCCACUAUGAGUCGUUACUCUCUCCUCAGAUUUAGGAGCUCCUAGAGGUCUCCCUAUUUUAUGAGGUGGAUAAGGAGCAUGGUUGGAGUUGUAUUUCUUCAAUUUCCUCCCUAAAAUUUGUCUAAGGAUGUGGUUUAGGGAACCCAUUGUGAAUGCUCUAACUCUGGUAAAACACGAGUGACAUGGACAACAUAUGUUACGUCGUACAGAAGAUUUUUGGGUUUCUUUAAUUGGUUAAGUAGCAUCCACAAUGAGCUUCCUAAAUCAUCUCCUUAGACAAAUUUUAGGGAGGAAUUGGAAAAGUACAAUUCCAACUAUGCUCCCUAUCCACCAACUAAAAUAGGGAGACCUCUAAGAGCUCCUAAAUCUGAUGAGAGGGAAAGGACUCUUAAUGACUCCUUAUAAUUUAAUGUUGCUUUACUUUAUGCAUAUUUUGAACUUUUAAUUAAAUCAAAUUAUUAUUUUUAUAUUAUUUUGUAUACAGACGGGUUAAUUAUAUUAAAUUAAAAAAUAAUUAAAAUAUUAAUGACUCUCUAAACUAGGAAGCAUAAUUGUAGAUCAUCUUAUAUACCUUAAUUUGAAGAUUCUUUAUUUGGGUUUCUUUCAAGACUUAUCACCUUAGCCACACCACCUACACGUCUGCAAGCUUCCGUAAUCUAACAAGGAAGGGGAGGCUGCGCAAUACUUAUCACCUUAGCCACACCACCUACACCACAAGACCAAUAUGUGUAGUCCAGCAGGCUUUCCAAUUUUAAUAUAUAUUAUAAAAUAAAAUAAAAAUCAAUCUAUUAUCAUAUAUAUUAUAAAAUAAAGAUUAUUGCUCCAUCCUCCAUGCACUUGCAUGCCCUCUUACAAAGUGUGAAGUAGAUUUUGUGUGCUCCAAGUCAUUGACGAGAGCUGUAACAUGGUUAGCUGGAUUUAUAAGAUCUUUUCUUUUCUGGGAAUUUUCUGAAUUAAGAAAAAUCAAGUAAAAUUAAUAAAGCAUAAAUUAGAAAGGGAAAAUAUCUAGAGGAUGCAUUGUAGGAUUGCACAUGCCAAUAAUUGUAUCCUCUAAAUAUAUAGCGACACAUUUUUUUUGUUUUCAUGACUUGUGGUCCUAAAAUUAUUGUUCCUAGCGGGCUUUUCACCCUCUCUCGAUUGAAAAUCAAUUGUGUAAAUCUUCAAUCUUGAAUGAUGCACCUAAAACUCAAGUGUCCCAGGCCAAUUAUUGCUCUCAUACCACUUGUUGUAAUAAACAUUCACCCAUUCUAAAGGAAAGAUAACCAUCGAUAUUAUCUGAAAUUUAACCACUUAAGUUCAUUAUGAUUAACUAUGUAUCUUAUGGACCAAUCCAAUCGUAAGGUUUUAUACUCAAUUAGAUCGACCAAUACAAAGUUCACACUGGAUUAAAAAGGGCUAUCGGUAGGGGAGUGUUCGGCACCCUUUACUGUGGAGCGCAACACAAGACCCCUUGCAUGCCCUCACUAAGUUGAGCCCAACUAUUUUUGAGCAUUAACAAUAUAUAUAGAUUGAAAAAAUAAAAUAAAAAUCAAUCUAUUAUCAUAUAUAUUAUAAAAUACAUAUUAUUGCUCCAUCCUCCAUACACUUGCAUGCCCUCUUACAAAGUGUGAAGUAGAUUUUUUGUGCUCCAACUCAUUGACUAGGGCUGAAACAUGGUUAGUUGGAUUUAUAAGAUCUUUUGUUUUUUGGGAAUUUUCUGAAGCACGGAAAAUCAAAUAAAAUUAAUAAAGCAGAAACUGUACCCUUUAAUUAUAUAUGGACAUAUGUUUUUUUGUUUUCAAGUCUUAGAUGACAUGGGGACCCCUCUCAAAUUUAAGUGGUCCAUUAUUGUUAACCACAUAUUUUAUGGACCAUCCAGCUUCGGUACAUUUCUCCCACAUGCCACAAUUGUAUAUUCACAAUUACGUCUGAUACAUCACAUCAUGCCACUUGCCUCACAUGCCACAAUUGUAUAUUCACAAUUACUUCUGGGUACCCCUCAUCAGUCGUCUAUAAAAUGGUGAAGCCAGUUGCUACUGUUACCAUAAGAGCCAGCUCCGACUUUCUUUAAUUUCUUGCUACAUCUGUUGCUAAGUUAAUUUCAGUCCUAAUGGGGUUUCAUCUCCCACUCAUCUUUGCUAUUCUCAGUGUAAGCUCUGCAAUUUGAUUAACUUUUCCAUUCUCUCUCAUUGUACUCUAUAUAUAUAAAUGAAAGUUUUGUGUUCCUAUAAUUCUCUCCGAUUUUAUUUAGUACGUACUUAAGUGUCGUCCACUAAUUAAUUACACUUUGUGAGAUUUGAUUUUAAUUAGAGUUCGAAUUAAUGUUGCAGCUAGCAGCGGUUGCACUGGCAAACAAUGCUGCUCAACCAGCACCUCAACUUUACUGGAACUCCGUCCUGCCAAACACACAGAUGCCAAGAUCUAUCAGUGAACUUCUGCAUCCUGGUUUGUGUUCAGCUCUUUAUAAUCUUAGAUAUCUCUUCUACCUGCCAUUUUACUAAACUAUGUUCGACCACAUAUUUAUCAGUUAACUACUGUCAUUACAAGAAUGACACUUAUUUUCCAAUAUAAUUUGCAGACUCCACAAAUGAAGAAAAGAGCAAACCUGAAAUUUUCCCAUUGCAGGGCAAUAGAGUUUACACUCAAAGCCAUUAUAAAAAACGUCCUCCUCCUCCAUCUGACGAGGGCAAACCUGAAAAUUUCCCAUUGCAGGGCAAUAGAGUUUACACUCAAAGCCAUUAUAAAAAACGUCCUCCUCCUCCAUCUGACGAGGGCAAACCUGAAAAUUUCCCAUUGGCCAAUAGCUUUUACACUCAAACCCAUUAUAAAAAACGUCCUCCUCCUCCAUCUGACGAGGGCAAACCUGAAAAUUUCCCAUUGGCCAAUAGCUUUUACACUCAAAGCCAUUAUAAAAAACGUCCUCCUCCUCCAUCUGACGAGGGCAAACCUGAAAAUUUCCCAUUGGGCAAUAGCCAUUACACUCAAAGCCAUUAUAAAAAACGUCCUCCUCCUCCAUCUGACGAGGGCAAACCUGAAAAUAUCCCAUUGGCACGUUCAGGUUACCAACGAAAAAAUUAUGGAGCAAGUCCUCCUCCAUCUGACAGUCAACUAAAGCAUUAUAAAGACUUAGCUAUUUUCUUCUUCGAGAAGGACAUGCGCCCGGGCACAACUAUGAAGUUCCAAUUCCCUAGAAAUUCAAACACGGCUACUUUCCUGCCACGCGAAAGUGCUCAAUCGAUCCCCUUCUCCUCUAAGAAACUACCAGAAAUUUUCAACCAUUUUUCAGUGAAGCCAACAUCUGAGGAAGCCAAAACAAUUAAGCAAACAAUCGAAGAGUGUGAAGCUCCAGGCCUUAAGGGAGAGGAAAAAUAUUGCGCCACAUCUUUAGAAUCAAUGGUUGAUUUUAGCACUUCGAAGCUUGGAACAAGAAACGUUGAAGCAAUCUCAACGCAGGUAUUGGAAGAAGGAGCCACCAAGUACAUGCACAACUAUACAACAAUCCCGGGACUGAAGAAGUUGGUAGGUGACAAAGUCGUUGUGUGUCAUAAGGAGAACUAUCCCUAUGCUGUGUUUCUCUGCCAUGCAAUAAAACAAACAGAAGCUUAUGUUCUCUCCCUGAAAGCCGAUGAUGGGAUGAAGGUGAAAGCAGUAACCAUCUGCCAUCUAGACACAUCAGAAUGGGACCCAGAGCAUUUGUCCUUCCAAAUCCUCAACGUUAAGCCCGGAACCACUCCCAUCUGCCAUUUCCUUUCCACUGAUGCUAUUGCCUGGGUUCCAAAACACAAAUCUGCAUGAUCAUCACUUAGCACUGUACGUAUAAUAAGCUUGGUCGGGUUGCACCCUAGGCCUGCAUAAUUAUCUCCCUACUUAUUUCUGCCUCUUCAUCAUGCGGUGUAAGAUAUAUGAUGAGAUGAAGUUUUCUCUUGUAACUAUGUAGACUACUUCAACUUGUACUCAUAAUAAAGCACGCUGUUGGGGGGUUCUACUUAAUUUCGUUCUCUCCAAUGUUUGAGUGUUGAAUUGUUACGUUGGAAUAGGCUGCUAAUGCAUGUAGUUAGAGAAGCCUUCAUUUAUAUCAAAGUCCUCAAACUAUCAAGAAUUAAUGUAUCCAGAAACAUAUACCAAGACGCAAAACAACAUAUUUUCCAUUCUCUGUCUGUAACACCAAGGCAAACUUCCUUUAUCACAUCAUUUAAAGGAUCAAAUUCCAGUACUAAUCUAAUCCAUCAUGUAAAGCAUACAAGUGCCUACCUAAAUUUGUCCAUUGGAUAUAUAUGUCACUUUUUAUUUUUUGAUAGAGAUAUAAAUGUUGAGAAAAUUAGAGUACACAACUCCAAUAUAGACUUGUUGGAGACAAAACAAGUAAACAAAUUACUUGUAUUAGACUCACAAAAUAUUACAACAAGACAACUCUCAAAGAAAAGACAAACUCUCACACUUCU
rnacentral:lncRNA from 1 species